AAAUGGUCAUCCUUUGAAGCCCGGGGCUGUUCGUCUCUGCUGAUAGACGAAGAUCGGCGCUAAAAGGGGAGUUCUAAGGUCAGACGAGAGGGAUAAGAGGGGCUAGGGUUUGUUUGGCCGAAUGAUUCAGCUUUAGGUCCUUUUAAAGGAUCAAAUACGACGCCGUUUUAAGCCCGUUUCAAUGGCUCAAAAACAACGUCGUCUAAUCGAGCCCGACCCGAUCCAGUUUGCUGCCCCGAUGACCCGCAUGUUUUUGCGGUGAGGGUAUAUUUCCAAAAUCGGCCCCUCCCCUUUCGCACCACGUUUCAAUCAGCUCGCACUCAUGCUUCAGGAUUUUUUUUAUUACCCCUGCGAUUUGUGCGCGUUUGCACUCUAGUCCACCGUACAGUGUCGCGUUUUGGGCAUCUAGAAUAUUUCCAGCUUUAGUCCCUACAUACUUGUGUGGAUUAUUUAUUGACCCAAUUUUCGAUUUUUUAUUUAUAAACUAUUCAUCUUAUUUUAAUUCAUUUUUAUUUUAGUUUUCUAUUUGUAUAACUUACCUUUUAAACAUAUUUAUUAUUUCUAUAUCGAUCUAUUUUAAUCAUUUUGUUUGGUUAUAUUUGUACAUUUGUUUUUGAAGAUUUUAUUUAGAUUAUUUUAACAUUCUUGUACAAUAUUCUUUUAGAUAAUAUAUAUAUUUGUACAUGUAGUAUUUUAAUUGUGUUUUUGACUCGUAAUGCUUACUCUUUUAAAAUUCCUAAUAUUCUUAUAUACGUGUAUAUAUGUGUCGAGUUCUUUUUGAAAACUCUAUUUUGUUUAUAAAAUCAUCGUUUUAAAAUUCUUUUCACGUUAAAUUAUUUUAGCACUUUUAUAUAACAUUUUGAUUAAAUACUUAUAUAUAUAUAUAUUGGUACAUAUAUUUGAUCUAUAUACUUUAUUAGAUCCAUUAUUUUAUACUUAUAGUCUUCUUUGUGUAAUGAGUUCAAGGUUCUUUUUAUCAUGUUAUUUCGCUAUUUAUAUGAUAUUUCUUUAAAUAUUCUAUAUAUGUGUCAUGUACAUUUUUUUAAAUCAAGGUUCAUAAUUUGUAAUUUAUAAUAUUUGUACUUUAAAGUGCUUAACAUUUUUAUAUAUUUGUUGAACUAUUUCAAUAACUUUUUCAUAUAUUUUUAACCAUCAUUUUAUAGUUCAUUUUUAUACUAUAUUAUUUAAAAUAUCUAUGUAACACUUGCUCAAAUGUUUCACGUAUAUUUGUUCAUAAAUGGUUAAUAAUUUAGUUUUAUGUACGUAUUUAGUCCCAUACUAAGGUUAUUUUAUGAAUUCUCUUAAUUUUUUUCUAUAUAUAUUUAUAUACUUUCUUCUACGUACAUAAGUCACCUUUUUAAGAAUAUAUUUUACCACACAUUGUUUUGGUUUAAAAUUUCACACUUAAAUACUAUUUUUAUACAUGUACACAUGUUUCAUAAAUCUAUUUUGUGUAUUAAGUCUUGUCAUAUAUCUUUAUUCUCAUUCUUUUAUAUUACAUUAUUUAAAUCAUCAUGUAGUUUGUCAACUUUUAAAUGUAUUUGUAUUUAAAAUAUUUUACAUGCAAUUUGACCUAAACUUUCAUUCUAUAAUAUCGGUUUCAAAAAAGGUUUUAUAUAUAUAUCCUUAGUUUUAUACAAAAUUUUCAACCUAUAUUUUAUAUGUCCAUUUAUUCGUCAUUAUUGUGAAAUGGUUUUAUACCAUAUUGCUUCUUUGGUUUGCAUUUUGUUUGGUGCCUCUAAUAAUUUUUAUUAUGCCAUGUAUGUUGUCGUUGCAUUUUAUGUAUUCAUUAUUGUCAAGCUAAUUAUUCUCCAUGCAUGAUUGAAGUUGAGUUAUAUUUCCAAGCUAGUUAUGCUUAGUUCUUGUAGUUGAUUAGAUAAAUUAUAUUAUCCUCAUUUUUCCAUUGUCGUAUUUUUAUGCAUACACAUAUUACCCCAUUGAUCGUUUUCCACUUGAUUUUUGAAAUGUGGUUUUAUAAAAUCCAAAUUUUACGAUUAAUUUCGUCCUAUUUCAAAUCGAAUUAAUGCGUUUAAAGCUAGUUUCACAAUUUUUUUUUAAAAAAAGAAUUCUUUAAAACGAAGACGAGAUUCGGUAUUUGGCAAUUCGCGAAAUAGUGCCCUAACGUGUUGGGUUGCAAUUCCGCGUUUGCUCAAAAAUAAUUGAAUAUCCCUUUAAAAUUUCACUCAUAUCUUCUAAAAAUCUUUUAAAACUAAGGCAAUACUCGGUAUUUGAUAAUUCGAGAAUCAUGCCCUAUCGUGCUGGGUUUUGAUUUCUCGUUUGUUCAAAACAAUCGAAUAUUCCUUUAUAUUCGCACUCAUGUUUAUUAAAAGCACUUUAAAACGAAGACGAUGUUCAAUGUUUCGCGAUUUGAGAAUCGUGCCCUAUCGUGCUGGGUUGUGCUUUUUCAUUGGUUCGAAACAAUUGAAGAUCCCUUCGGAAUUUCAUUCACAUUUUCUAAAAUCUUUCAAAAUGAAGGCGAUAUUCGAUAGUUGGAAAUUUGAGAAUCGAGCCCUAUUGUGCUGGGUUGCGCUUUUUCAUUUGUUCAAAUUAAUCGAAUAUCCCUUUGGAAUUUCAUUCGUAUUUUCUAAGGUGAGGCAAUGAUCAAUGUUUGGAAAUUCGAGGAAUCGUGCCCUCCUGUGCUGGGUUUCGAUUUUCCGUUGAACUAAACAAUUGAACAUCCUUUUGUGAUUUUCAAAUUAAAAAUUUUUCGGAUGUCGAAACAAGAAGAUUUUUGGCAACCGACUCGGGUUAUUUAAAUGUUAUUAAAACAGAACCACACUUCAAAAAUAUUUUUAAUUUUAGACAAAAGGGCAGUAUCUAAUCGAUUCGGUACCAAUUUUGGGCGUAGUGAGGGUGCUAAUCCAUCCUCAUGCGUAACCGACUCCCGAACCCAUCUUCUCAAAAGUUCGUAGACCAAAAUCAUUGUUUUAAUAAACCAAAAAUGUUUUAUUAAACUAACCUCAUUUUUAGGUGAUCCGAUCACACCAAAACAAAAGAUCGGUGGCAACUCCAUGCAUUUGUUUUUCAAAAGUCGAUUUCCCCCUUUUGGUUUAAAAUUUAAAAUUUUUAAAUCGAGGGAUGGUUUCGAUAGGAGGAAGAGGCUAAGGAGUUUCUAAAGUUCCUGAAACAUAGCGAGUAUAGCAUGGUGGAGCAGUUGCGUAAGCAGCCGGCGCGUAUAUCAGUGUUAGCCCUACUCCUGAGUUCUGAGGUGCAUCGGGAUGCGUUGUUAAAGUGCUUAACGAAACAUAUGUCACCCAUGACAUAUCCGUUAACAAGCUAGACCAGUUAGUAAACAACAUCAGUGCUGACAAUUUCAUCUAUUUUAAUGAUGAUGAAAUUCCACCUGGGGGCAUAGGGUCAACCAAAGCCCUGCACAUCACUACUCGGUGCAAAGGAUACACACUUCCAAGUGUACUCAUUGAUAAUAGGUCUGUUUUGAACAUCCUUCCAUUAUCCACAUUAAACAUAUUACCCAUUGACAGUUUGCACAUAAAAGCAUGUCACAAUGUGGUAAGAGCUUUCGAUGGAACUGAAAGGAAAGUAAUGGGAUGAAUUGACAUCCCUCUAGAGAUUGGGCCAAAUACGUAUGAAGUUGAUUUCCUGGUGAUGGAUAUCAAGCCCUCCUAUAAUUGUUUGCUGGGGAGACCAUGGAUACACUCGGCAGGAGUGGUGCCUUCCUCACUACACCAAAAAUUGAAGUUAGUGACAGAUGGACGCUUAAUAACCAUGAAUACGGAGGAGAACAUCAUAGCGGCAGUCACCAGCAAGGCCCCUUAUGUUGAGGCAAAUGAAGAGGCUAUUGAGUGUUCUUUCUGCUCUUUAGAAAUCAUUAAUGCAACCUUCAUUUUGGAAGGAAGUGAGGUGCCGACACCCAAAAUGUCUAGAGCUACGAGGAUGGCCCUGCAAAUGAUGAUAGGGAAGGGAGCAUUGCCAGGAAAAGGGUUAGAAAGACAGUUGCAAGGAGGGGUUCAAAUCCCAAAACUGAGCGAGAAGAAAGAUCGCUUUGGUUUGGGUUUCAAGUCAGACCAUAAGCACAGAAGGCAAGAAAUAGAGAAGCGCCAAGCGAGAAGAAAGGCGCAUUUGAAUGGAGGAGAAGUGGAGUGGGAACCGAUGACAUUCCCACCUAUAUCUAAAUCCUUUAAGACAGGAGGACUGCUGAUAGAAGAAAGUCAUCAAGUUAAUACUGUACAUGAUGAAGGAUUGGAGCAAGGAAGCCUCGAGGGCAUUCGCCCUUACGAACCGGAGAGCUCUCUGAAUAAUUGGACCGCGGAGGACCUUCCUGUAGUCUUUAGAAUUUUUUUAGAGUAAUUCUUAAAACAUAUUUGUUACUCUAGGGUCUAGGAGUAGUAAGAUUACGUUUGUGAAAAGAGGCCUAUGUUCAUAUAUAAUUAUUUAAAUAAAACAUAACUUUUAUCAAUUUAAACGAGUAUUGUUUCAUUUUUAUUGACCAAUAUUCCUUUAAAUUCUGACAAUUCUUAUUCUUUUAUUCAUAGCACAUAAACAAUCAUUCUUAGAUUCAUUCAUUCUUUGUAUAUUCUUUCAUACCCCCACAGGUCCCUAGAUAUCAAUGAUAUGAGCGUUGAUACUACAGCUCCUAAUUUCUCUGGCGAGCAAAACAUGUGUUUAGAGGAACAUCAGGAUUUUGAAGAUGUUCAAGAUUGUGACGUAUCUCUCGAUCUGUUAAGAAUGGUAAAGCAAGAAGAGAAACAAAUCAUGCCACAUGAGAAAAAGGUAGUAGAGAAUUUAGCCCUAGAGGAAGGGAAGGAGUUGAAAAUCGAAACCCUAAUUAGCGAGGACACAAGGCAUGGUCUGGUUGAGUUGCUUCGAGAGUUCAAGGAUAUCUUCGCCUGGUCAUAUCAGGAUAUACCCGGAUUGAGUACCGACAUUGUAGUACAUCGUCUUCCAAUAAGACAGGAUUGUAAGCCAGUCCAACAGAAGUUACGAAGAAUGAGGCCAGAUAUCGUUCUGAAAAUAAAGGAUGAAGUCAAGAAGCAGUUCGAUGCCGGAUUCUUGCAAGAAGUGAAAUACUCCGAAUGGGUAGCUAACAUUGUACCAGUUCCUAAGAAAGAUGGGAAGGUACGAAUGUGUGUUGAUUACAGAUAUUUAAAUAAAGCUAGCCCAAAAGAUAAUUUCCCUCUGCCACACAUAGACACUCUGGUGGAUAACACAGCGGAAUAUUCGUUGUUUUCCUUCAUGGAUGGUUUCUCAGGAUACAAUCAGAUAAAGAUGCAUCCAGAGGACAUGGAUAAAACCACCUUCAUAACCUUAUGGGGGACAUUUUGCUACAAAGUAAUGCCAUUUGGAUUAAAGAACGCAGGGGCAAUAUACCAACGGGCCAUGGUAAACUUAUUCCACGACAUGAUGCAUAAGGAUAUUGAGGUAUACGUUGAUGAUAUGAUUGCCAAGCCGCGUACAGAAAAAGAGCAUAUUGAGGUCUUAAGAAGAUUGUUCAUGAGGUUGAGAAAAUUUCAGUUGAAACUUAAUCCAGCAAAAUGUUCAUUUGGAGCCAGAUCAGGAAAGUUAUUAGGCUUUGUGGUCAGUGAAAAUGGAAUUGAAGCUGACUCAGACAAGGUCAGAGCCAUACGAGAGUUACCUCCACCACGCACUCAAAAGGAAGUCCAAGGAUUCCUAGGAAGGUUGAAUUACAUCGCUCGGUUCAUUUCACAACUGACCGAGAAAUGUGAUCUUAUCUUUCGUCUCCUCAGAAAGCACAAUUAAGGUACUUGGGAUGAGGAGUGCCAGAAUGCUUUUGAAAAGGUCAAGCAAUAUUUGUUGAAUGCUCCUGUAUUAUCUCCACCAAGCCCAGAUAAACCGUUGAUACUGUACUUGUCAGUGUUUAGUAAUUCCAUGGGAUGUGUGCUUGGCCAGCAUGACGAGUCAGGGAAAAAGGAGAAGGGAAUUUAUUAUCUCAGUAAGAAAUUCACUGACUGUGAGAUGAGAUAUCCACCGAUUGAAAAGUUGUGUUGUGUGCUGAUUUGGACAACUCGGAGAUUAAGAUAGUACAUGCUAUACCAUACCACUUGGCUCAUCUCAAAUCUUGAUCCAUUGAAAUACAUGAUGGAGUCAACGGCUUUAAAUGGGAGAAUGGCGAGAUGGCAAAUUUUGCUUUCAGAGUUUGAUAUAGUCUACAUAAGUUAGAAGGCUAUAAAAGGAAGUGCAGUAGCAGACUUCUUGGCCAGUAGGGCUCUAGAGGAUUAUGAGCCAUUGAAAUUUGACUUUCCAAAUGAGGAGUUAAUGUGUAUAGCAAUGACCGAUGAUUCUCUUUGGAAGCUAACUUUUGAUGGGGCUUCUAAUGCAGUCGAAAAUGGAAUUGAGGUAGUCUUGGUAUCCCCAAAUGGCGAUCAUUACCCUUUCACGUGCAAGUUGGACUUUGAUUGCACGAACAAUAAGGCUGAGUAUGAAGCAUGUAUCAUGGGGCUUCAAGCAGCUAUAGAGCGAGGUAUAAAAACCCUAGAAGUAUAUGGAGAUUCUGCGUUGGUAGUUUAUCAACUUAAAGGCAAAUGAGAGACAAGGGACCCUAAAUUGAUCAGUUAUCAAAAGGAAGUUUUGGGGUUACUUGAGGAGUUUGAUGACAUCACCUUCAAUUACCUCCACGAGACAAAAAUUAGAUGGCAGAUGCUUUAGCAACCUUGGCCUCAAUGAUCAAGGCGAAUAAAGAAGAAGAGAUGAAGCCAAUUCAAAUGAGUGUCUACGAGGCUCCAGCUCAUUGUUGUAAUAUUGAGAAGGAAAGAAAUGACAAUAACCCUUGGUAUCAAGAUAUAUUACGAUAUGUGAGAGAUCGUAAAUACCCUGAACAGGCCAGUGAAAAUGACAAACGAACUUUGAGGAGGUUAGCUUGCGACUAUGUCUUAGAUGGAGAUAUCCUAUACAAGAGACGGAAAGACCAAGUACUUUUGAGAUGUGUCAAUGUUGUGGAAGCUAAGCUAAUUUUAAAAAAAGUUCAUGAAGGGGUAUGUGGGACGCAUGCAAAUGGGUUCACGAUGGCAAGGUAAAUCAUGAGGUUUGGCUAUUAUUGGGCCAUUAUGGAAGGGGACUGUAUCAACUACACCAAGAAAUGCCAUAAGUGCCAGAUUUAUGGGGAUAAAAUUCAUGUACCACCUUCACCUUUACAUGUUAUGACUUCCCCAUGGCCCUUUUCCAUGUGGGGCAUGGAUUUCAUUGGACCAAUAUCACCGAAAGCUUCGAAUGGACAUCGGUUUAUCUUCAUGGUAAUUGACUACAUUACAAAAUAGGUAGAGGCUGCUUCUUAUGCGAAUGUUACUAAGCCAGCUAUGAGUCGAUUCUUGAAGAAGGAGAUCAUUUGUCAGUAUGGAAUGCCUGAGAAAAUCAUAUCCGACAAUGCAUUGAACUUGAACAAAAAAAUGAUAGUAGAAGUUUGUGACCAAUUCAAGAUCAAACAUCACAAUUCUUCUCCCUAUCGUCCAAAAAUGAAUGGGGCAGUAGAAGCUGCCAACAAGAAUAUUAAGAAAAUAGUGGGGAAGUUGACUGAGACCUAUAGAGAUUGGCAUGAGAAGUUGCCAUUUGCACUCCUGGCCUAUCAAACAUCUGUCAGAACCUCUACUGGGGCAACCCCAUUCUCACUAGUUUAUGGGAUGGAAGCAGUGUUACCUAUUGAAGUAAAAAUACCUUCUCUUCGAAUUUGACGGAGGUAAAGCUAGAUGAAGCUGAGUGGGUUCAAUCCCGGUAUGACCAGUUGAACUUGAUUGAAGAAAAGAGGCUAAAAGCCAUUCGACAUGGUCAGAUGUAUCAGAAGCGAAUGAUGCGAGCUUAUGACAAGAAAGUUCGACCAAGAGAAUUCCAGGAGGGAGACCUUGUACUGAAAAAGAUCCUUCCUAUUCAAAAGGAUUUUAGGGAAAAAUAGAUGCCGAAUUGGGAAGGGCCGUAGUCGUGAAGAAAGAUUUUUCCGGUGGUGCAUUGAUCUUAGCGAAAAUGGAUGGGAAAAGUUUACCCAAUCCAAUGAACUCAGACUCAAUUAAAAAAUACUUUGUCUAAAGGAGAAGAGAAUCCAAGGUGGAAACCCACAAAGGGUGCCUUGAGAUUUAAAAAAAUGGAGAGGCCAAGGUGAAAACCCGCAAAGGGCACCUUGUGACCCAAGGGGUUUUGAGUUGAAAACCCAAAAAGGCAACUCAAAUUUUGAAGAGUACACAGUGAUUUUGCUAUAAAGAGUGAAGCACGUUGCAUACUGGGGCAUCAACAAAGUACUCUGAAUCUUUUAAACACAUGUUGAACUCAAGAGAGACUUCAUGGAGCUGGUGUAUAGACACUCAAGUGGCGAUAUCUUGGGCACAUAACUUUUAUCCUAUUUGCUAUCGUUAGAUUCCAUUUCUUCUUAAAGAUAGAUUUUCAAAUUAUUUUCCUUUGUAUCUUUUCGAUAAUUCAUUUUAAUCCAAUAAAGUUUAUUCAUCUUCCAUUAUUCUUUAAGUAUGUUGCAUUGAAAUAAUAAUAGAUGAACUAAAUAUCUUCACAAAUGAAGUUUCGCAUAUUACUUUGGAAAUUUCUAGAUAAUACAAGAAACUAAAACAAGAUAAUUGUUUAAGGAAUUCCCAUAUGUGAGGGUCGGAUGUACUCGGGGAAACUAAAAUUUCUUCUUCAGUCUAAAUGAUGUUGAACAAAUCAAACAAUGCGAUCCUAGGAGAGGAUCAUCUUACAGACAUUUUUAGCAGGUCAUAUCAUCUGAAGAAUGGUACAAACCUAGAAGUUGAGUUGGAAUGAGACUUCGAGAGAAGUAAGGAUAAAAUUCGAUGAAGGAAGGAGUGAUGACAUUCGAAAUAGGAAUCAUUUUCAUAACAUUUUGCAUUAUAACAUGUCUAAUUUGGAGAAAUUGACUCAUUUUGAUCCUAGCAUUAUUAGGCAUGAACUCAUACGCAUUCUACAGGUUAUGUCUUUUAUGGGACAAUGUAGACCAAAGAAGCAAAUCUGACAUUCCCGUGCUUACAGCGAAGCAGAUCGAAGAUUUCAGCAUGGUAUCCCUGUGUUUAUAGGGAACAAGUUGAAGAUAGUAGAUUCGGCAUCUCUGUAUUGUCAGAGAGCAGAUCGAAGAUACCAGAUUUGGCAUCUCUGUAUUGGCGAAGAGCAGAUCGAAGACAUAGCUGAUUUGGCUUUCACGUGUUUAAGAUGAAACAAAUCUAAGAUGAUUUGUCAUCUCUGUAUUGUCAGAGAACAAAUCGAAGUCUGGCAUCUCCACUUCAAUGGAGAGUAGAUACACAGCAGAUCUGACCUUCAGACGAGUAGACUGAAGCAAGAUCCAAGAUGAUUUGGCAUCCUUGUGCUUACAAGGAACAAAUCAAAGACAUAGCUGAUUUGGCUUUCACGUGUUUACGAUGAAGCAAAUCUAAGAUGAUUUGUGAUCUCUGUAUUGUCAGAGAACAAAUCGAAGUCUGGCAUCUCUACUUCAAUAGAGAGCAGAUACAUAGCAGAUCUGACCUUCAAACGAUUAGACUGAAGCAAGAUCCAAGAUGAUUUGGCAUCCUUGUGCUUACAAGGAACAAAUCGAAGAUGUAGCUGAUUUGGCUUUCACGUGUUUAUACUGAAGCAAAUCUAAGAUGAUUUGUUAUCUCUGUAUUGUCAGAGAACAAAUCGAAGAAGCUGAUUUGAAGUCUCUGUGUUCGGCGGAGAGCAGAUCGAAGAUAUCAACAUUACAAUCCUGAGUUUGCAAGAAGCAGAUUGAAGACCAUAAUAAGAUCGGUCAAAUUUGGUCUUUCUAAAUCUUUGCUCGAUUCCUGUUACACAGCAAUGAGCAAAGAGGGGCAACUGUAAGAGCCUAAAUUUAACCGGGCUGAAAACUAAAUAAAAAGGGAUAAAUAAAUAAAUAAUUGUUUAUUUAACAGUCCAAGUCCAUGUUACAAAGCCCAAACAGUGGGCACAAAAUCAAAUAUUUCAAACCCAUAAACCAGCUAAUUACCCGGUACCCAUUACACCCUACCUAGCCCAGAACUAAAGUGGCAAAAUUGACCCAAACUCUCAGAGGCCCAAAAUUUGGAAGCAUUCGGCUAGGGUUAGAAACCCUAGCCCUCUUCUCGCACCGCAAGAAAUUUCUAAAAGCUUCGGGCACUUCAAACGAAGUGGCCUUUCAUCUCAAUCGUCGCCACCAUGCACGCCGUGAUUUCUCGACUCUGCCGUCAUACAUCACGCCACCAUCGACGCGCAAGACACGCCAGAAUCCAGCGUUAGCUCCAUCAGCGUCAGACAUCAGUGAUCGAGCGAGAUUCUCGUGGAUUACCUGCGAACAAAAGAGGAAACAAAGAUAGAAAACCAAGGCAAAUAUGGAAAGAAAUCUUUGAUUUCUUUCCUAAAACAUAAUAGCCUAAGGCUAUAAAACCUUUCUGUAAAAGGAGAUUUGGAGAGGAGACACAGAGAGAUACAGAGAUAAAAAAAACACAGAGUCAUAGGAAAAAAUACACCACAAAAAGAUAUUGUACAUCGAGUAUUUUUUGAAUAAUAUACUAGAAGGAUUUCGAGAGAAACGAAGGUGACUCAUUACUCUUUUUCUGUUUUUACUUCAUUUUUUAUUACAAACAAUCGAUAUAUAAUAUAUUAAAUAGACAGAGGAAGAAAAUACCUUGAGAAUCGCCUUGAAAAGCGAAGCUUUUCAGGUUCCGACCGUCGUGUGUGGCAGAGUCGGUGACGGCAAUGGAUCUGAACACGAAGGUCCGAUGAACAGAUCAGAUCGGCCUAGGGCCGGAGCUCAGAGGACUGAGGAACCGUUUCAGAGGAUUUCUUUGAUUUUUUUUUAAAACCAGGUUUCUAAAUGAUUUUAAAACUAAGAAGUUGGCUUAUAUAGCCUUGACGAAACGACGACGUUUUAAACCCCCCAGGAUCCGCGCGUUGACCCGAUUACCCGGGGAGGAUCCGCGUAUUUUUAGAGUUGGGUUAAUUACCCAAUCGGUCCUUCCACCCUUUUUAAUUUAUAAUUACGCUUUAUUUUAUUUAUGAUUUGGCCCUAUUAUUUUAUUUUAGUUUUAAUUUAGUCCCUACAGUAGCUGUUUUAAAUCCAAGGUAAAACACAGUCGUUUUGGGAAUAGGGAAAUUUGCCCAAUGAGUCCCUUUGAUUUUGCACGUGUUUUAAUUUUGACCUUAAUUCAGCUUUAUCUUCUUAAAUUCACCCCAGUAAUUUUGCUGAACUUUAAAUUUAGCCCUAUAUAUUUAUUUCUAUUAUAUAUACAUAAAACUUUAUAUAUUGCUAUUUGUUUUAUUUUUAAUCUUAUUAUAUAGUCAUAUUAUUAUAUUAUUAUUAUUUAUUAUUUUUCAUAAAUUAUUUCACACUCUUAUUUAUAUAUUAUAUUUUAUUUGUAUUAUAUGUUAUUAAUUAUUUUUAUAGACAUAUAUACUUUCAUAUUAUAUGUUAUAAUAUUAUGUUAUUUUUUAUAUACUAUUAUAUUUCUUAUUUCCUAUAUAUUUAUAUUAUAUCUUAUUAUAUAACAUUUAUUAUACUUUUAUUUUUACUCUAUAUUACUUUUUUUUAUACAUGUGUUAUGUAUAUCAUAUAUUAUCUAUUAUAUUAUUUAUGCCUAUAUUAUUCAUUAUAUUAUUAUAAUUUUAAAAUUUGUAAAUUAAAUUAUAUUUUUAACUCAUAUUAUACACAUAUCUAAUUGUUAAUUAUUUAUCUGUUAUGCAUUAUUACAUUUUAAACUGAUAUUUGUAUAUUAUGAAUUCUUUUACAUACUUUUAAACCAAUAUAUUAUAUAUAUAAUUAUUAUUCUUUUAUAAACAUUUUGUUGUUAUAUAUUACAUAUUGUAUUUAAAUACUAUCCUAAAAAUUAUUAUUAAAUAUCAUAUUUUUUAAUUAUAGGUAUACUUGGUUAACAAUUAUUCACUUUAUAUUAUAUUUUAUAUAUAUUAAUUCUUUUAUGUAUUUUUAUAUUGUGUGAAUCAUGUGAGUUAAAUGCUAUUUUAUAUUUAUUAUUUGAUGUUAUAUUUUGUGAACAUGUACAUCGAUAUUAUAUUUCUUUUAAAUUGUGUAUCAUGCAUCAUUUCUUAAUUAUUGCUAUGUAUGUUUGUAUGUUUUGCUUAUCCAUCUUCAAUAUAAGUUGUAUGUAUCUUUGUAUAUAUGAUGUAAUUCUAAAUACAUAUGCAUCUAGAUAUGAUUUUUUUUGUAUUAUUGCUAUUGUAUCGUUAAAAUGCAUGUUUUAUUCGCUUAUUAUUGCAAUAUUCUAUUCUAUGGUGAUAAUGUGAUUCCUUAUGCAUCAUUUUUUUAAAAAAAAAACGAGACUCCAAAGUUUUCAAAAAAAAUAUAUAAAGGCAAUUCUUGGUGUUUGGAAAUUUCGAGAAAGUAGUGCCCUAACUUAUUGGAUUGCCACUUUUCUUGUUGAGUUCGAAUAAUCAAGCACCCUUCUAAGUUUUUUUAAAGGUUUUCUAAAUGCAAGCCACUAUCUUGGAAUUUCAAAGCAAUAUGUCCUAACUUAUUGGAUAUAGCGUUUUGCUGUUUCGAGAUAGGAAUUUCCAAAAAAGGUUAACUUAGUGUCAAUACUUUGAUACGAGUGAACUCCAAUUUUCAAAAUUAAAAUAUUUUAAAGAGGACUGCAUCUUAAAAUUUUUGAAUUUCCGACAUUAAAGACACUUGAUAAUCAAUUAGGUACCAAUUUUUGGGCGUUACGAGGGUGCUAACCCUUCCUCGUACGUAACUGACUCCCGAAUCCAUUUUCUCGAUUUUCGUAGACCAAAAUUGAUGUUUUAAAACAAAAAAUUUUAUAAGGUGAUCCAAUCACACCUAAAAAGAUUGGUGGCGACUCCCGUUUUCGUUUUUCUUAAAGUCGAUUCCCAUUUUCCAGAACUCGAUUUAAAAAUGGUUUCGACACGUAUUUCUAGCAUCAAAUAUUGACCCACUAAGGUGCAUGUCCCAUCCAUUGACGGAGUGUCGUGCAGGGGUUGGGUAUUUCAUACUGCUACUAAACACGGUCGCUUUCGUGUUUUUCCACCCACUAACGGAGUGUCAAGUAGGGGUCAUGUAUUCCUCUCGACCAGCAGUAAAUGUUAAAGCUGCAAAUGCAUCAUUUGGCGAUGAAAAUUGUACAUAUAACUCAAGAUAGGGUGAUCUACUAGCGAGAUGAGUCUGCACUAUUGCCUCCAAGCUACGUGCACCUUUGAUGUCAAAUGAGUCAUAUUUCACAGGAUCAACUGAAGCACAAAAUCAAUACUUAAUAGACAAAACUUUCAUUGGCAUCAUUCCGAAGAUUUUAAGCCUAAUUCUUUUACGAAGUUCUGUCAAAUCUCUGUUCUGGUUAAAAACCAGUCUUGCUGUGUUCUUCGAUAAAAAAACAACAUUGUUGUCGGUGUUACAGACUUCACCAUUAUAGUAAAUAACAGCACUAAUACAUUCACUCAUCUUCAAUUACUUUUCUUCUUAGCCUCUCUAAUUUUUUUUUGUUGUAAGUUAUGCAACCUGAGAAUAAAAUUUGGCUAAUUUAUAGCCUCAUUUUUCUACGAACUACUGUAGCAAAAGAGUGUCCACGUGGGAGCUUCUUUCAGAAAUUUUGCUAACAGCGCAUCCUGCUUGAAGCAUUACUGAUACUAUUUGUUCAGAAACAUCUACUCAGAAUUAUUUUUCUAUGAACUAUUGUAGCAACAAAGCGUCCACGUGAGAGCUUUUUUCAGAAAUUUUGCUGAUAGUGUAUCCUGCUUGAAGCGUUUUCGGCACUAUUUGUUUAGAAACGUCUACACAGAAUUAUUUUUUUAUGAACUACUAUAGCAAAAGAGCAUCCACGUGGGAGCUUUUUUCAAGAAUUUUGCUGACAGUGCAUCCUGCUUGAAGUGUUUCGACACUAUUUGUUCAGAAACGUCUACUCAAAAUUAAUCUUGCAGAAACCCUAAACCCUAGACCCUAAGACAAAAAAUUAUAUUGCUUAUAUGUUUUUUCUAAUACCCUAAACACAAAUUUAUUUAAAAAAACUAAACCCUAAUUUAAUCAAUUAACCCUAAUAUCCUAAACUCUAAUAUAGUAUUUAGUAUUUAAAAUUAAUAGUUAAUUUAAUGAAUUAACCCUAAACCCUAAUUCAAUUAAUUUUUUCUUGAAACCCUAAACAUAGCGCCAGUAUGUAUAUAUGCUGCAAUCAUGUUAUCUUUGAGAAUUUCUUUUUCGUGUAUGUAUAUUGGAAAUUAAUAAUUAAAAUAUCAUAAAUGAGCUUGUUACAAGGUAAAAGAAACUUAGCCGGUGGAUCAAAAAUAAAAUGAUCUAAGCCAUUGAUAAGAGAAAAAAACCUAAACGCUGAAGUAAUCGAAUUACCAAGUUGUUGUUUACACGUUAAGAUUUAUUUAAGAGUUUUUUACUAAAAUAUUAUAAGAAAUAAAAUAUUAAAAUAGUAUGUUUAAACCAUUAUGUAUCAAUUAACCUUAAAUUUAAUCAAUUAACCAUAAUUUAAUCAAUCUCUAAUUUAAUUAAUUAACCCUAAUACGCUAAACUCUAAUUUAAUAUUUAGUAUUUAAAAUUAAUAGUUAAUUUAAACCCCAAUUCAAUUAAAUUUACCUAAAACCCUUAAAUUAUAAACCUUAAAAAACCAUAACUCUAAAUCAAUUAAACCCUAAAAAACUCUAACCCUAAAAACACAGGCAAAACGCUUUCCUGGGGAAGCGUUUUGUCCACGUCAGUAAAGUGCGCUCUCAAGGGUUUUCUGCUGAUGUGGACAAAAUGCUCCCCCAGAGAAGUGUUUUGCUAACACUUACUCUGAAAACGCGCUGACGUGGACGCGUUUUCGUGGAAAAUGGCCUAAUCCAGUAAAUAACCUAAUAAACGACCCCUUUCCGUAAUUAAAUUUAGAAAAGGGCCUUUUCAAGUAAAAUGACCAAUAUUGCCUUAUUUUGAAAAUUUUCUUUUUUGAAUAAUAAUAAAUGUAAAAUUUAAAACGAUGAGUAUUUCUCUUUUGAAGUAUGGUGUAAAAGAAUGAAUAUACUUAAACGCGGAUUGCGACAUAAUUGUAACAAUAAUAAAAUUAUAGUGCAAAUAAGCGACAUGACGAUAUAUCUAUAGUAAUAAAAUAAAAAAUAAACAAUGGCAAUAAUCAAUUAAAUCUAAUAUUAACUAAAUAAUAGUGUGAAGCAAAAAAAAAAGAAGAGUAGAAUAUGUAUGGUAAAAGACAAAUAAUAAAAUUAAUUAAAGGACUGAAUUGAAAUUUAAACAGAAUUAAAUGCAUAAAUUAUAAUAAAUUAAAAUAAUUUAAAAAGGAUUCCAGGAUUAAAAAUAAUGUGCUAAAAACAAUGGGGACUAAAAGGGAAAAUAACCCUAGUCCUUAUGCGCAGCGUUUCAUCACAGGACUAAAAUGAAACAAAAAUAAAAUUAUGGGGUAAAAUAAAAAAAAAGAAAAUGAAAUGGGACAAAAUUGAAAGAUCGUUAAAAAGGGGAAGGACUAAAACGAUAAAUAGACCCUUAGCCCAAAACACGCGGAUCUUAGCCCUUGGGUCGGGUCAGACGAGGGUUAAUGGGCAAACGGCAUCGUUCCGAGUCUUCACACGUUAAAAAUGGUCUGAGGACCAAAUUGAAUUAAAAAUAAAAAUAAGUGGCAAAAUUAAAAAAAUAAGAAAAUAGAAUAGGACCACAUUGAAACCAGCCUCAAAAAUAGGACUACGGGUGCAAAUAGCCCCUUUGUCCCAAAACACGCGAAUCCUAGGCGAUUUGGGUAGGGUCGAUUUAGUUCAACCUCAAAAUGACAUCGUUUUAGGCCUUUCCAAACCCCUCCCAAAAUGGUGCCAUUUUAGCACCUUAUAAAAGCCAAAAUUUUCCCAAAAAUUUCAUUUUAUCCCAUUUCAUAAAAAUAAAAUAAAAAAACCAAAAGGGCUCCCCUCUUUUCUCUCAAAGGCCCUAGGUCCGACCAUAGCUCCGGCGUCGACCAUCAUGGUGGUCGCCGGUCACCGUUGAUGGCGCUGCCAUCUACGGUGGCGGGAAAAAAUUAAAAAAAAUGCUUUUCACUUGUUUUUAAUGUGGGACUCCGAUUUUGGAGUCAAAAAAUCGAAAAUAAAGCCGAAAAUUCAAAAAAAAAAAGAAAUGAAAACCGCUUGGUUUUCGCUCCCUCGAAGACGAAGGCCUUGCCCAUAGUGGUGGAAGACCGAUCGUCAGGUGAGUUUUUUUCUUUUCUUUUAUUUUUGUAUUUCCUGCCUAAAUAAAUAACAAAUAUACAAAAAAGGAUCACCUUUAAGAUUUUUUUGAUAGUUUUUCUUUGUGUUUUUUUUUAUUUUUUCCAUGUAAAAAUACAUUACAAAUGUUCUGGCUUUUUAUAGCUGAAAGUAUUACAAUAUAUUAUUUGUUUUUUUUGCUUUUGUUCGCUAUUGUUUCUCUGCUAUAUGCAUCUCUUGCUAUUUUGCUCUUUUCGUUUAUGUUUUUUUUUGUAGGCAAGGUCAACAGGCGAAGAUUCUGGCUUUCUGCCAUUUUGGUGCAAUGAAGGCAGUCCUCGGGCAAUGGGCGCACUGAGGACGCACAUGGAGGCGACGUGUCGCACCUGGAUGACCUAGGGUUUUCCAUUUUUCUAAAAAUUUUGGGCUUAGGGUGGUGCAUUAGGCUAUAACUUUGUAUUUGGGCCUUGUAAAAAAAACUUGGAUUGGACUUAUUAUUUUGGUUUUGUUUUUUUUUCACUUCUAAUUUCUGCUUGUUGGGCCCAAGCAAAUGUGGCCCGUUACACUGGGUUUUCAAUUUAAUAUAAAAUUACAAAUAACAUAAUAUUUAAGUUUUUUUUCCAAAGAGAUCAUUUUAUAAAAUUUCAAAUUAACAUACCAAUUUGCUUAUAAUAUUUAAGAUUGUUAAAUCUAGAAUUAUUUUUCCAAAUAAAACAGCAAACAUUUUAAUCCCUUCGUUACAAUUGUUCCGUUAAAAGUUUAUUUUGACAUUCUAUAUAUAAGGUACAAUAAAAAAACUUCAAUAUUUAAAUUUUAAAUUUUUAUUCAAUUUAGUCCUAACUACCAUGAGAGGAAAAGGAUUUAACUCAUCACCUUAAAGGAAAACGAGAGAAAGAGAUAAAAAGAGAGGGCUGAAGAUUCCUUGCUGAUAUUUAAUUCAUGCAUUAAUACAAAUUACAAACACCUUGACUUACACCAUUUAUCAUUCGACACUCAUUUAACUUAACAUUUAAGUUUAACCAAGGUAAGGUAAUACUAAUUUGCUUAUAAAAUUUAAGAAUUUUUUAAAUUGAGAAUUUUCGUUUUCUAAAGAGAUAAUUGUAUAAGACAACAAAUAUAUCGUUAUCUUCCUAUCUACACACCGAAUAGUCAGUGUUGAAAAACGGGGUCUGUGGUAGAAUAAGUCAAAGUAUUAUAGUAGUUCAUGUACUAUACCUUUAGUUUCAUUUUUGUCCUCCUUGUACAUUACAAUUAUGUCGUUUUUGUUGGGAAGAAACCGAACAACCAAAACAAAGCAAAGCACAAUCGGUGUUCAUUCUCUCCCUAUAACUCCUGUCAAAAAAUUAUGGCAAGCACAAUAGCACAAAAUAUGUUCUCUAGCAACCUUAAUCAACCACAAAUCAACUAAUGCAACCACAACAAAAAUAAAUAGAGACACCGAUAUUUUUACGUGGCAAACCCCUCUAAAUCAAGGGUAAAAACCACGGGACUUUAGAGUCCGAUCAAAAGCUUCACUAUCAUCAAAUGUUCAACUACAAGAUCACAAUUUCAAGCUUACAACAAGCAUUCAACUCCAACAAGGCUAACAAUAUGUAAUCUUUAACAAAAGAGAGAAAAAUGGGAGAACAUCACCAAAAAUACAGCUGCUGAAAAACGAGUAUUUCUGACGAUACAAGACUCAGAUAAAAACUCCGACCGUACAAAGUCAAGAACACCUUAUCACCUAGCUUCUGUCCAAAAAUCAGCUCAAUCGAACCAUGGAUGGACCUUCGAUCGAAGAGUUGAUCACUGCUGCACCAAACUUGAAAAAAACUAAUUUUUUCUUCUUCUCUCUUUUUCGGAUGAGCUUCAAUCUCUCUAUUUUUAAAAUUGAUUUUUGGCUCUCAAUAAAUGCUGCCCACAUCCACACGUAAAAGCCAAAAACAAAGGCUCUUUGACAAAUCCAAAAAGGCAAUAAAUAUGUGGCAGAAGUUUUUACUUUUGUAACCAAACAAAAAACAAAAUAAACAACCCUUUUAAUUGGGUUGACUGGUGUAAGGGUUCCCCACAUAGUGGGACCCACACCCAACAAAUAUCCCCUCCAACUAUGUGGGGAAUGCCUCCAUGCCGGAGGUCAAAUAACAUGCUUCAAACUUUCCUCUUGGUAAGGCCUUCGUCAACAUAUCAGCACCACUAUCAUUAGUAUGUAUCUUUUCAAGCUCUAACAGCUUAGCUUCAAGAACAUCUCGUAUCCAAUGGUACCUCACAUCAAUAUGUUUAGAUCUAGCAUGAAAAGUUGAGUUCUUACCAAGAUGAACAGUACUCUGGCUAUCACAAUGCAGGACAUACUUCUCCUGAGUAAAACCAAGCUCAUGCACAAACUUCUUCAUCCAAAGCAUCUCCUUGCAUGCUUCGGUUGCUGCAAUGAACUCUGAUUCGGUGGUGGACAACGCAACACACUUUUGCAAUCUCGAUUGCCAUGCCAUGGCUCUCUCUGCAUAAUUGAUUAAGUAACCUGAAGUAGAUCUCCUCGAGUCAAUGUCUCUGGCCAUGUCUGAAUCUGUAUACCCAACAAGACCAGGUUUCUCAUUGCCGAAACAAAGUUUUAUGUUGGAAGUGCCACAAAGAUAUCUCAUAAUCCACUUCACUGCAUUCCAAUGCUCUCUGCCUGGAUUAGAAAGAAACCGACUAACGGUACCAACGGCAUAAGCCAAGUCUGGUCUCGUGCAAACCAUUGCAUACAUCAAACUACCCACGGCUGAAGAGUAAGGAAUUUUUUUCAUCUCUUCCUUCUCAUUUUCUAUGGAAGGACUAUGCUUAACACUCGGUCUAAAGUGCAUAGCAAAGGGAGUAUUCACCACUUUAGCUUUGUCCAUACUAAACUUUUGAAGUACUUUCUCAAUGUACCUCUCUUGUGAUAACCAUAAUUUCUUGGCCUUUCUAUCACGUGUCAAUCUUAUGCCAAGAAUUUGCUUUGCUGGCCCUAAAUCCUUCAUUGUAAAGGAUUUACUCGACUCUUGUUUCAACUUCUCAAUUCUAGAAGCAUUCUAACCAACAAUAAGCAUAUCAUCAACAUAGAGCAAAAGAAUAACAAAAUCAUCACCAGAGAAUCUUUUAACAAACACACAAUGAUCAGAAGUAGUCUUCUUGUAGCUUUGCUCCCCCAUAACAGACACAAACUUCUUGUACCAUUGCCUUGGAGCUUGCUUCAAACCAUACAAGCUCUUCUUCAAUCUGCACAUAUAGUCCUCUUUCCAUUGUGCAACAAAACCCUCUGGUUGCUCCAUGUAAAGCUCUUCUUCCAAGUCACCAUGAAGAAAAGCAGUUUUCACAUCCAUUUGUUCAACCUCUAAGUCAUAACAAACUGCCAAACUUAGUAUAGUUCUGAUAGAGGACAUCUUCACAACCGGAGAAAAUAUUUCUUCAAAAUCAACCCCUUUUUUCUGAGUAUAACCCUUAACGACCAAUCUAGCCUUGUAUUGUGGAGAUGAAGACUUCUCUUCUUGCUUCAACCUGUAAACCCACUGAUUCUUCAAAGCUCUUUUGUUGUUAGACAGUUUCACCAACUCAAAGGUAUGGUUUUUAUGCAAGGAUUGAAGUUCAUCUUUCAUCGCUUCAACCCAUUGAUCUUUGCAUUCACUCUCCAUAGCCUCUUCAUAACAUUCAGGUUCUCCCCCGUCAGUCAAAAGAACGUAUUCAUCAGAAGAAUACCUAACAGAAUAUCGUCGAUCUCUGGAAGACCUUCGAAGUGGAACUACUGGUGGAGCUAUAGGUGCUUGUUGUUGAUCAUUCACAACAUCAUCCAUGGGAGUAUCAAAGUCACCUAUAUUCUGAUGGUCAUCACUAACAUCACCAUGCACAUCAUCCUGGAUAGGAUCUGGUGAAGAGUCUAGGGAAAUCGGAUUCACAUCGAUCAGGUCACCACUAUCUUGUGAAUCCACUUUCUCCGUCUUAUCAAUGUCAUCAAUGGUCUGAUCCUCAAUGAAGACAACAUCUCUUCUUCUCACUAGUUUCUUCUGAACUGGAUUAUAGAGUCUAUAACCAAACUCACCAUCUAGACCAUAACCAAUAAAAAUGCAUUGUCGAGCAUUGGCAUCCAACUUGGAUCUUUCAUCCUUUGGAACAUGAACAAAUGCUUUACAACCGAAGACACGUAGGUGAUCAUAUGACACGUCUUUACCAAACCAAACUCUAUCUGGCACAUCACCUCGCAAAGGAACACUAGGAGACAGAUUUAUCACAUGUGUCACUGUAUUCAAAGCUUCAGCCCAAAACGAUCUUGGCAACUUUGCAUCUGACAAUAAACAUCUGACUCUCUCAAUCAACGUUCGAUUCAUUCUUUCAGCUAACCCAUUUAACUGUGGAGUCUUUGGUGGUAUACUCUGAUGUAUGAUUCCCUGUCGUAGACAAUACUCAUGAAACGACCCUGUGUACUCGCCACCAUUGUCAGUACGAAUGCACUUCAACUUCUUCCCAGUUUCCCUUUCAACUGAUGCUUGAAACUAUUUAAACACCUCAAAGACUUUAUUUUUAGACUUCAAAGUGUAAACCCACAGCUUUCUUGAACAAUCAUCAAUGAAAGUCGCAAAAUAAAGUGCACCACCAUGUGAUCUUACUUUUAUUGGACCACAAACAUCUGAAUGGACCAACUCUAGCAACUCUGAUUUUCUAUGAGGAGGACGGCUUCUAAAUGAAACUCUUAUCUACUUUCCUGCUAGAAAAUGAGCACAAUUCUUCAGUGUAGCAUUCUUCAAACCCUAAAGUUGAUUCUUCUUCGCUAGAUAGUUAAGCCCCUUCUCACUCAUGUGACUGAGUCGUUUAUGCCACAACUCAGUUGAGCUGUCAUUCACUGUCACAUUCACCGUCUCUCGAAAAGUCAAAGCUUGCAUCAAGUACAAAUUUGAGCUCUUCUUUCCUCAAGCCACAACCAAGGAGCCUUUAGUUAGCUUCCACUGCCCCUCACUGAAGGUGUUAUAGAAUCUCUCAUCAUCAAGCUUUCCUGCAGAAAUCAAAUUCAAACGGAUAUCCGGUGCAUGUCUGACAUUCUUGAGAGAUAACUUUGUUCCAUUAUUACUCACCAAGCUAACAUCUCCCAUACCAACAGCCGAAACCAAACCGUCAUUACCCAUUUUCAAUACCCCAAAAUCACCAGGAGUAUAACAUAUGAAGAAUUCCUUCCUCGAUGUGACAUGAAGUGAUGCACCAGUAUUAAUCAUCCAACUAGUCUCGUCACAUGCUAGGUUGACCAAAUUCUCAUCACAAAUAACUAACAGAUCUUCACGAGUGACAGUAGCAGCACGCUCGGAUUUUUCAUCAUCAUUUCGAUCGUGUUUAUCACCACCUCCUUUGUUCUCUUUCUUCCACUUGAAGCAAUAUUUCUUGAUAUGACCUUUCUUACCACAAUAAUGGCACUCAAGAUUCUUGUAUCUCGAUCUUGACUUGCUUCGGCUUUUAUCUCUACCCUUUCCAUCUUUAUUUCUGUUCCUCCCCCUGUUCUCGAUAACCAACACCUCGGACUGUGAUAAAGAACCCUGAGAUCUUCUUCUAACCUCUUCAUUCAACACACCACUCUUAGCCAAAUCCAAAGUAAUAAUACCCUGUGGGGCAGAAUUAAUGAGCAAGACCCGAAAAGUCUCCCAAGAGUCUGGUAGAGUAGCAAGCAACCAAAGUCCUAAAAUAUCAUCAUCAAAUUUCACACCCAUACCAAGCAACUGAUUCAUCACACUUUGAAAUUCACUAACAUAGUCAGCUAUAGACGUUCCUUCUUUGUAUUUCAAUGCCAUCAUUUUCUUCAGCAAAAAAACCUUGUUAUUGCCCGACCUCGAAGCAUACAAGCUUUCAAGCUUCUCCUACAAUGUUCGAGCAUGUGUCUCCUGAUCAAUGUGUUUGUAAACAUUUUCUUCAACAAAUUGCCGAAUAAAGCCACACACUUGUUGAUGCUCAAAUUCCCAUUCUUCAUCACUUUUCGAAUCGAGUUUUUGAGUAGUAAAGACUGGAAGAUGCAAAGCCUUCACAAACAACAAAUCCUUCAUUUUAUUCCGCCAAAGUUGAUAAUUUGUGCCAUUCAACAUAAUCAUCUUGCUCGUAUUGAUUUCCAUAAUUAUCUGACACAAUAACCGAGCUCUGAUACCAGUUUGUUAGGAAGAAACCAAACAACCGAAACAAAGCGAAGCACAACCGGUGUUCUUUCUCUCCCUAUAACUCCUGUCAAAAAAUUAUAGCAAGCACAAUAGCACAAAAUAUGUUCUCUAGCAACCUUAAUCAACCACAAAUCAACUAAUGCAACCACAACAAAAAUAAAUAGAGACACCAGUAUUUUUACGUGGAAAACCCCUCUAAAUCAAGGGUAAAAACCAUGGGACUUUAGAGUCCGAUCAAAAGCUCCACUAUCAUCAAAUGUUCAACUACAAGAUCACAAUUUCAAGCUUACAACAAGCAUUCAACUCCAACAAGGCUAACAAUAUGUAAUCUUUAGCAAAAGAGAGAAAAAUGGGAGAACAUCACCAAAAAUACAGCUGCUGAAAAACGGGUAUUUCUGACGCUACAAGACUCGGAUGAAAAAUCCGACCAUACAAAGUCAAAAACACCUUAUCGCCUAGCUGCUAUCCAAAAAUCAGCUCAAUCGAAUCACGGAUGGAUCUUCGAUCGAAGAGUUGAUCACUGCUGCACCAAACUUGAAAAAAAACUAAUUUUUUCUUCUUCUCUCUUUUUCGGAUGAGCUUCAAUCUCUCUAUUUUUAAAAUUGAUUUUUGGCUAUCAAUAAAUGCUGCCCACAUCCACACGUAAAAGCCAAAAACAAAAGCUUUUUGACAAAUCCAAAAAGGCAAUAAAUAUGUGGCAGAAGUUUUUACUUUUGUAACCGAACAAAAAACAAAAAUAAACAACCCUUUUAAUUGGGUUGACUGGUGUAAGGGUUCUCCACAUAGUGAGACCCACACCCAACAGUUUUAACCUUCUAUAUAUAAGGUAUAAUAAUAAAUUUAAUUUUAACUUUUAUAUUUUUAUUCAGUUUAGUCCCAGCAACCCUGAGAGAAAAAGGAUUUAAUUAAUCCAUCACAUUUAGAAGAAAAAAAAAGGAAACUAAAACGCAUCACCUCAAAGGAAAAUGAGAGAAAGAUAGAGAUUACAAAAUAUAAUUUAUCUGAAUUAACAUUUGACUUGUACUUAACUAUUUCCCUCUACCGCUUUGAUUUGCAUUAUCAUUUAUUUGUUUAACUAUUUUCUUUUCAAUCAUGAAGAGGAGACUCUAACAGGAGACAACAAAGAUACUCUUCCACACCAUUAAACUCAACAAAGCGUAACGCCAUGUUCUUUUAACAAAUUUAAUUAUAUGUUUCAAUUAAAUUUCAUCAGUUAUUGGACAUCUUUCUAAAAACAACCUAACAAGUAUAAUAUCAUUUUUCAUCAGUUAUAUUUCUUCAAUUGUUUUUAGUAAAAUUAAAAGCCUUGAUAAGGUUAUAAAAUUGAGAAUACUAUCACGUAUGUGAGAGUAAACUUAUUCAUAAGUUAAAAAAUAAAACAAAAUUUUAGUUGAAGGGGAGAGUUAUGAAUCCUAUGAGCUUUAUUAUAGGAUUUGCUUUCUUAAUUGUGUAUAUAUAAAUAAAUAAAUAAAUAAAAAGGGUGGUUGUUCAUUAAUGAUAAAAGUGAACAAGUUUUGCGCGAAAACGAACAAGGUGUAAAACUUAAUUGUCAAUUGACCUUGAUUUUUAAUUGGACUCAAAUUGUUAAUUUGAGCUUAAUUUCUUUUUAGAAUUAGGGUUAUGGUUAAAAUAAAACACAAAAUGCAACAAAUAAAAAAAAUUCUUCUAUAAAUAAAAAUAAGGUAGAAGUCAUCGUUUAGAGCCACAAAAUUUUUUUUCAAAAAAAAAAAAGAAAGAAAGAAAAGAAAAGAAAAGAGUGUAAAUGGAAAAAAUCAAAUGCUCCUCCCUCCUUUCGUUGGUUAUCCGAUUCAAAUUGCAGAUAGACACAAAAUAACGAGUCUAAUCAGUGAAAUUUAACUUCCUCAACAAUUGAAAUGGAACGAUAGAGGUGGAAGUUGCUCUAUCCAAUGGAGAGCUGAAAAAUCACCUCAUCUUUAGUUGAAUCCUGCAUAUUAAUUGGUCCACACAUGCAGUCUUGAAAGGAGUCUAUCUUGUGGAAAGUCAAACUUGAUUUGUCUCGAUGUGACGAAAUUUCAAAUUAGAUAUUGGAAAAAGUGGUGAUUCUUUGAAUUCAUGUUCCCAAUGUGUGUUAAUGGAAAGAAAUUGGGAGCAACCGUGAAGAAAAUAAAUUGAGGAUCUCAAUCAAAAACGUUUCAAUCAACCAAAGUCAGUGCCUUAAAAUUGAAGUUUUAAUUUUUUUUAAUCAUUAAUACCAAUUUUUCAACAUACCGAUUACCUCUAAAAGACUUCAUUGAUGAAAAACCGCAAUUGAAAUUAGCUUUCCGGAUUUCUCAACUGUCGUUGUAAAACCUAUUCCGAAUGUUUUCUGUUUAAAAUUCUUUUUCUCUUCUCCAUCGUGUUAUCUUCUCCACUCCUUUCUGUCUUUUUUUCCCCUCAAAGCUGUGAAGUUCCAUCGUUUCAUACCAAUCCAUCAAUAUAUUUUGCAAAACCCAUUGAUUAAUUUCACAAAGCUUUUAAAACUCAUCAAUUUUGUUCAUUGCAUUCGGUUUUGGUGAUAACGGUUUGGUUCAUAUUGAUUUGAAAAAAAAUACAACUAAUGUAUAGGUUUUUUUCAGGGUUAAUAUAAAUUUUAGUCAUUAAACUUGAUAAUUAAGUCUAUUUUGGUAAUCAAAAUUUUUUUGUCUACUUUUAUAUUUAAACUUGACAAUUAGAUUCAUUUUAGUCACUGUGAUACUUUGAUAUUGUGUUAUGUCAUCAUCACAUAAAAGAUCCAUUUUCGGGUGAUGAUAUAACACAAUUUUAGGUAAAAGUACCAUGAGACCCUUGUACUAAGAGUCAGAUUGCAUUUUGCCUCAUUUACUCAUGAAGGACAAAUCAAUCAUUUUUCAUUAAAUCAAAGAGAAAACCGAUCUUUUUGUUAAAAUUUUAAUUCAUUUCUACUGUUAAAAAUUGAUUCAUAUAUGUCAACAUGAUAUAUACAUAGCAUGUCAUGUAUCACUGUUUGGUUAUUGCAUUUGCUAUGUAAUUUUUUAAUAAUAUAAAUGGAUAUAAAAUUUUAUAAAAAAGACCAAUAUGCUCUUUGAACUAACGAAUAUAGACUAACUUGUCCAUUUUUUAAGUAGAUGAGACACAAUGCAAUCUGAGUACUAGCACAAGGGACUCCAUUGGUACUUUUACCCACAAUUUUAAAGUUUAAUGAUCAAAAUAGACUUAACUAUCAAGUUUAAUUACCAAAGUGGACCAAAAAGAUAUAGAUAUUAAAAUGGGCCUAAUUAUGAAGUUGGUAUAUUAUAAUAAUAUAACAACAAUUAUGAGUAUAUAUGUAAACAAUUGAUAUAAUAGUUAAUUAAAGAACAAUAAAGCUUAAUUUAAUUAAUUAAUUUAAGUUAAUUAUCAUAUAAUCUAAAAAUAGUAUUCUAUUUUUUAAAAAUUAAAAAUAUUGAACUAUAUUUUUUAAAUUAAAAUUAUUACAAUAAAUUCUUGUAUUAUAAAAUGAAACUUACAAAUUAAUUACUAUAAACUUACAAAAUAAUUUUAAUUUAAAAUUUGAGUUGAGAUAUUUUGUACUGAUUAAAAAUUUAAAAAUUAAAAAUUAAACUCACUAAUUAUUCGAUUAUCAUACGAUACUAAAAAAUAGAAUGAAAUCACGCAAUUUAAACCCAUGUCAAAUGAGUUUCUUUCGCAAACCAACAAAUGAGCUCUCUAAAGUCGUACAAUUAUAAGGGAAUUAGCCUUCUGAUUUCUCUACUGUCAUCGUAAAACCUAUUAUGGAUGUUGUAUUUCUUACAGAAUUUCAGGGCAGGAAGUAGGCUACUAUAUAUAACAUGUAAUUAUUGCUAUUGUUGUUUUUAAUACAAUGUUAAAGCCAGAUUGUGUUGUUGGCUUUUAUAAAAAUAUUAUUAUUCAUGAGUCAGGUUACCUGCUAAAUCUUAAGAUUUGUUCGAAAUUUAAGAGGGUUUGGACAAAAUAUUAGACCCAAAAAUGGGUUUGGACAAAAAAAUUAAACUCGUUUAAAAUAUGGGCCGAGCUUGAGCUUAAACAUUUUAAAUGUAACACCUCAAACCAGGCCUAGACGUUAUGAUUGAAUCAUGGAGUGUUAUGAAGAAGGGUUUUGCAACUAUUGUCACUUCGAUAAAAAACUUGUGUAGUUACUUGUCAAAAAGAGACCAAGUUUUGCAAAACUUAUUUAUUUACAUAUUCAUUACUGAAACAUAAUUUGCAGCAGAAAUCUUAAAAGCCGUUAUUUGUUGUGCGGAAGCGUGUAAAAGAGUAAAAUUAUUGUACUAAAAAAUCACACUAAGUUCAAUUCCCAGGAAAGAGAGGUGGAUCGCAAGGAUCGCUUAAGUACCAGGUCUUUCCUAGCCAGAAUAUCCCUCAAUCGUAAUUUAAUAGCACAAUAAAUCACUACAAUCACACACACAAUUCAUGCAAAAUAAUACAAUAAAGAACACAAGAAUUUAACGAGGUUUAGCAAAUUUUGCCUACGUCCUCGGGCACUACCAAAUAUAUUUCACUCCAAAAUACAAGUGAGAAUUUACAAAGAGAGAGAGAGAAAACAAUGCCUUAAGUAGAGAAUGGCAAGUUUGAGAUACAGAAUGAGAGAUGGUUAUGCCUAUUUAUAGUUGAGGUUCAGGGAUCAACUUGCAAAGUCACUUUACAAUUAGGGAUCAUAUAUUGCAAAUAUCUCAGAUUUUAUUAUGCCAAUAUCUCGAUACCCAUAUCUUUGACUUUCCAAUAUUUGAUACCCAUAUCUUUGACUUUCCAAUAUUUGAUACCCAUAUCUUUGACUUUCUAUUAUUUGAUACCCAUAUCUUUGAUUUUCCAUAAAUAUGGAUAAUUCCCAAUAAUCUCCACCUUGAAGAUUUGAUUCGAGUAAUCUUAUCUUCACACAAUUCUCUCUGCCUUUGUCAACAACACUUGAUAGUGCCUUCUUCAACUGUUAAACAUGCAGAAUAUUGAUUAAGUUCAAACAAUGUUCGAACUUGAUUGUUGUUACCAUCUUGGUCAUCAUAUCUGCGGGAUUAUCUGCAGUCUUAAUCUUCUGAAGGUGAAUUUUCCCCUCAUCAAUAAUUUCCCGCACAAAGUGGAAACGUACAUCGAUAUGCUUUGUACGUGCAUGAUAGACUUGAUUCUUUGCUAAAUGAAUAGCACUUUGACUAUCACAAUACACAUUAAUAUGCUCCUGGACCAAUCCCAAGGUUUUAACCAUACCUUGUAACCAAGUAGCUUCCUUUAUAGCCUCUGUUACAGCCAUGUAUUCAGCUUCUGUGGUUGACAACGCAACUGUAGACUGCAGUGUAGACUUCCAACUUAUUGGUCCUCCAGCAAGAGUAAACACAUAACCAGUGGUUGAUCUUCGUUUGUCCAAAUCACCGGCAUAAUCAGAAUCAACGUACCCAACAACACCUUUACCAAGUGUAGUAUCCUGCUUGAACAGUAAUCCAAUAUCCAUGGUCUUAUGAAUAUACCGUAGAAUCCAUUUCACAGCUUGCCAAUGUCCUUUUCCAGGAUUAUGCAUAUACCUGCUCACUAUACUAACUGCCUGUGAAAUGUCGGGUCUUGUACACACCAUUGCAAACAUCAAGCUACCUACUGCAUUAGAAUACGGAACUUAUAACAUGUAUUCUUGUUCCGUAUUUGUCGAAGGAGAUAGUUGUGCAGAAAGCUUGAAAUGAGAAGCCAACGGGGUACUUACAGCUUUAGUCUGCUCGUUCAUGCCAAACUUCUGUAGUAUCUUCUUUAAAUAUUGCUUUUGAGAUAAACUAACUCUGCCAUGAGCUCUAUCCCUACAUAUUUCCGUGCCAAGGAUCUUCUUAGCUUCACCUAGAUCUUUCAUCUCAAACUCAAGGUUGAGUUGAGUCUUCAAUCUCUCAAUUUCAACUUUACUCUUAGAUGCUAUCAACAUAUCAUCAACAUAUAAGAGCAAGUAUACGAAAAAUCCUUCUUGUAGCUUCUGAAAAUACACGCAAUGAUCAAAUUUACUUCUUGUAUACCUUUUCCCUUUCAUGAACUGAUCAAAUCGCUUGUACCACUGCCUUGGAGAUUGUUUCAAUCCAUAAAGCGACUUUGUCAGUUUGCAAACCCAAUUUUCUUUAUCAGCAACCUUGAAUCCAUCUGGCUGAGUCAUAUAGAUUUCCUCUUCCAAAUCACCGUGUAAAAAUGCGGUCUUCACAUCGAGCUGAACUAGUUCAAGAUCAUAUUGCGCAACCAAGGCUAGCAAAAUCCGAAUAGACGAAUGCUUCACAACUGGAGAAAAUACUUCAUUGUAGUCUAUUCCUUCUUUCUGAGCGUAACCCUUUGCUACCAAUCUAGCCUUGUAUCGAACUUCAUUUUUAUCAGGAAAUCCUUCCUUCUUUGCAUAUACCCAUUUGCAUCCAAUUGCCUUCUUUCCUUUAGGUAGUGUCACCAACUCCCAAGUCCUAUUUUUAUGAAGAGACUGCAUUUCUUCAUUCAUAGCUUGCUUCCACUUUACACUAUCAGAGUUACUUCUUGCUUCUGUGUAAGUAGAAGGAACAUCAUCAUCUGCAAUUGGAAGUGCAUAGGCCACCAUAUCAUCAAAGCGAGCAGGCAUACGAAUCUCUCUUCUUGGCCUUCUAUAUGCAAUUGAAUCAUGUUGUUGUAGAAGUUUUUGGGUCGAAACUUCUUCAUCAUUUGUUCCUUCAAUAUUAGCUGGAUCAUCAUUAACCUUUUCAAGCUCCACCUGCUGCAAAGUGCCACUUGUUGUGUUAUCCUUUUGUGAAUCAUUGUUCUUCAUCAUGGUUGAUUCAUCAAAAGUCACAUCUCUACUGAAAAUUAUUUUCCUUGUAUCAGGACACCAGAGACGGUAUCCUUUUACUCCACCAGUUAUACCCAUGAAUAAUGCUUUCUUUGCUCUUGGGUCUAACUUAGAUUCUUUUACAUGAUAAUAUGCAGUGGAACCAAAAAUAUGUAAAGAAUCAUAAUCAAUAGCAGGUUUACCAGCCCACCUCUCCGUAGGAGUUUUUCCAUUUAUUGCAGUUGAUGGCAACCGAUUAAUUAGAUGGCUCGCAUAUGUAACUGCCUCAGCCCAAAAUUCUUUGCCCAAUCCAGUAUUGGACAACAUACAUCGAACUUUCUCCAGUAUAGUCUGAUUCAUACGUUCUGCCACCCCAUUCUGUUGUGGUGUAUCUCGAACAGUGAAGUGUCGUACAAUACCUUCAUCGUGACAUACUUGUAGAAAUGGAUCAUUCUUGUACUCAGUACCAUUGUCUGAUCGAAGUCGUUUGACUUUUCGACCAGCCUGGGUCUCCACCAUCUUCUUCCAUUUCAGAAAUACAUCCAAAACUUCAUUUUUCCUUUUCAUUAGAUACACCCAUACUUUUCUUGAAUAAUCAUCAACAAAAGUAACAAAAUAGUGCAUACCUCCCAAAGAAGCCACUUUAGUAGGUCCCCAUACAUCACUGUGAACGUAGUCUAGAAUUUCUUUUGUAUUGUGAAUUGCUGAACCAAAUUUUAUCCUCGUCUGCUUGCCCAGAACACAAUGUUCACAGAAUUCCAAUUUGCAAGAAUUUGCACCUUUCAACAAGCCUUGCUUCGCCAAACUCUGCAAAGCUUUUUCACCAGCAUGUCCCAAUCGCAUAUGCCAUAACCUGGUAGCCUCUGAAUCUGCAUCUUUCGUAAAAGCUGUUGAUGUUGAUCCAAUAAUUGUACUUCCAUUUAAAUAGUACAGAUUAUUCUUUCUUAUGCCUUUCAUCACCGUCAAUACCCCAGCUACUACCUUUAGUAAUCCAUCUCUCAAAGUGAUUGUGAGCCCUUUAGAUUCUAGGACCCCUAAUGAGAUAAGAUUUUUCUUCAAGCUAGGUAUAUAGCGAACAUCUGUCAAGACUUGAAUUGAGCCGUCGUGAUUCUUCAAUUGGAUUGUACCCACUCCCAUUGUCUUACAAGCGCUAUCAUUGCCCAUAAAAACAACUCCACCUUCUAGUUCUUUAAGACUAGAAAACCAGUCCUUAUUAGGACACAUAUGGUAAGUACAUCCCGAAUCCAAAAUCCACUCAUCUGUAUGACAUGCCAUUGCCAUGCCAACCAAGCUAAAGUCUGACUCCUCAUCAUGCUCCGCUACACAUGCAUCAGAAAUAGCUUUACCCUUUUGUAACUUAGGACAAUUCUUUUUCCAAUGCCCUUUCUCACGACAAAAAGCACAUUCAUCUUUGGCAGGUCUCCCUUUGGACUUACUCCUUCUACCAGAUUUGUUGCUGCGCGAACGACUUCUUACUGUUAAGACUUCUGUAGUUGUAUCUCUGUGAUCUUUUUUAUCUUUCUUUCGAGUCUCAGAUCUAUACAACGCACUACAGACUGCAUCAAAUGUGAUUGUAUCCUUCCCAUGAAGCAAUGUGGUGGUAAGAUGAUCAUAUUCACCAGGAAGAGAAUUCAACAACAGUAAUGCCUUGUCUUCAUCUUCAAAUUUCUCAUCCAAAUUUAGCAAGUCUGCUAAAAUUUUAUUGAAUGAGUUCACAUGGUCAUUCAUCGACAUACCGGGUGCAUACGUGAAUCGAUAAAGUUUCUUUUUCAUAUAAAGCCUAUUUUUAAGACUUUUUGUUAGAAACUUUUCUUCCAGUGUAUCCCACAACUUCUUCGCUGAUGUCUCCCUCAUGACAGAGUACUUUUGCUCUUUGGCCAAACAUAGGCGAAUUGUUCCACAUGCCUGUCUAUUGAUCUUGGCCCACUCCUUGUCAUCCAUCUUGUCAGGUUUUUCUUCAAGGGCUAUAUCCAGCUCUUGCUGACAUAAGACAUCCAGGAUCUCACAUUGCCACAUACCAAAAUUAUUGGUACCAUCAAAUUUCUCUACUUCAAAUUUCGCAUUGGUCACAGUAGUCUUUGACGAUGACUUUUCCAUUUUUUUCUCCUCAAUCCCAACUACAGUACGUGAACAGUGCCGUGAACGAUCGUAUUCCCCAAGUACGAAUCUAGCUCUGAUACCAAUUGUUGUGCGGAAGAGUGUAAAAGAGUAAAAUUAUUGUACUAAAAAAUCACACUAAGUUCAAUUCCCAGGAAAGAGAGGUGGAUCGCAAGGAUCGCUUAAGUACCAGGUCUUUCCUAGCCAGAAUAUCCCUCAAUCAUAAUUUAAUAGCACAAUAAAUCACUACAAUCACACACACAAUUCAUGCAGAAUAAUACAAUAAAGAACACAAGAAUUUAACGAGGUUCAGCAAAUUUUGCCUACGUCCUCGGGCACUACCAAAUAUAUUUCACUCCAAAAUACAAGUGAGAAUUUACAAAGAGAGAGAGAGAAAACAAUGCCUUAAGUAGAGAAUGGCAAGUUUGAGAUACAGAAUGAGAGAUGGUUAUGCCUAUUUAUAGUUGAGGUUCAGGGAUCAACUUGCAAAGUCACUUUACAAUUAGGGACCAUAUAUUGCAAAUAUCUCAGAUUUUAUUAUGCCAAUAUCUCGAUACCCAUAUCUUUGACUUUCCAAUAUUUGAUACCCAUAUAUUUGACUUUCCAAUAUUUGAUACUCAUAUCUUUGACUUUCUAUUAUUUGAUACACAUAUCUUUGAUUUUCCAUAAAUAUGGAUAAUUCCCAAUAUUAUUAUUUUUGAAAACCUAGUUCGUGUUUUUAGAAAACAUUUGUUCGCGUAAAAUCAGGUUUUUGUAAAUCAUCAUAGUUUAGAAAUCAUAAUGCAUCCAAAUCAAAAAAUUUAAAACAAUAGUCCAAAAGUCCGUAGAGUCCAAAAUCUACAGAGCUCUCAAGAAAAACCAGAAUUAAAAAUGUAUAACCAAUAAUUAAGAGAUAGUUUAUAUACUCGUGGUCACCGCUGAGCCUUUGUCGCACCAACCCGUCUAUGUCUAAGGAUUACCUAAACAGAACAGAGAAACAUAUGUGAGUUUUAUAAAUUCAGUUUGUAACUCACGGAAAUACACAUGCAUAAAAUUUAGAUUUCCAGUACUUCAGAAUAGAAGUGGACAUAAGUCCAUAACAGAGUCAGAUCAUAUCAGAAUCAGAUUUUCAAAACAUACAGAUAUACAGAGUCCUACCCCAUCCUCUACACACCAUCUCUGUCCACCCCAACACACCAUGUGCGGUAUAAAACACCUACUCAUCCCUACACACCACAUAGUGUAUAAACGACACUUAUUAGAAUAGUAUGCAGGCAAGUUGCCAGUUAAUCAGUGAUAUUUCGCCUCACAGAACACUUCCUCCGCAUAUACAAAUCCCACCCCAUAUACAGAUACAAAAUAUAGAUAUACCAGUAUAACAGAAGUAACAUACGCAUAUACAGAUAUCAUACCUACAUAUGCAAAUCAAUCAGAAAUACAUACCGGUUUUUCCUAUACUCAAUCAAUCUAUCAAAUUAACAAAUCUCAUGCAUUAGGGUUUGGUUAGCCCUUACCGACCCUACGAAAGGCCCAUAGUCGAUCGGAACGACAUGUUCGAUCCUAGGGAAAAUUUUAAAAUUUUGGGCGUGUAUUUUGGGCCUACACGCCCGUGUGACUUGCCUGUGUGGGGCCACACGCCCAAGUUGGCCUUGCCCAUGUGGCCCACACGGCUUGAUCCAUAGCUCACACGCCUGGUGGCCCACACACCUGGAUUGGCCUAGCCCGUGUGUCUCACACGACCACACACUCGCCCAUCACACGGCCAGCCACACGGCCAGCCACACGACCGGGCACACGCCCGUGUGGGUCGAUAGGCCACAUUGUCAGCUUUCAUUGAACCUCAAUUUCUCAUGUUUUCAUUACACACUUGGGUUGUUUUUUAUGCAACUGCAAUCCCGAGACCACCAGAACCUAUAAUCAACAUUCCAAUGUCCAAUUUCAGUAACAAUAUUACGAAAUUCAAAUGGAAACUAUUCCAAAACAAAGCCUUAGAAUAAUAUCCAAUCGUAUUCGCACACUUAUCGCCGAUGAACAAAAAUUCACUAAUAUGGACUAAGCUGUUGUAGCGAAAUCCUCAGCUUCACAGUCUUCUCCUACGCAACACACUCAUAGAGAUUAAUCUCCCAAACCACAACACCAACACCCGUUCAAAAGAAACAAAAACCAAAAUAAAUGAACCUACUGACUUACCAAGAUGAACUAUGCACAACCGAAAAACCGAGCCCCAAUGAUUAAAAUGAUUUAUUGGUUGAACAGAAUAGAGAGAAAGCAAAACAAAAAGUAGCAGAGAGAGAAGGGAACAGAGAAAAAGAAAAAAGAAAAAAAAAGUCAGAAAGAUAGGAAUUUUUUCGGAAAAGAAAAUAAAAUAAAAAUAAAAAUUAAAUUCAAUUUACCCAAACUCCCCAUUCCAUCCACUAACUACUAAAUCCCAAAAAAUCCAAUCACUAACCUCGUCCAACUACAUCAGAAUUCCAACUCCACUGAACCUCUAUCAGACAACCGAGACAAAAAUUACACUCAUGUUCAUACAAAGAUUCAAGCAUGAGACCUUCUGCAAGCUUACACCUUACCACUCAAACUAACAGGCUCAUUCUAAUAUGAGUUUACCAUUUUAUAUAAUAUAUAUAUGAUAUGAUUUGAAAUUUAUUUAAUCAAUUUGAAAUAUCAUUAUUUUAACAAACUUACUAUUAAUACCUUUAAGGAUAUAUUUGGUUACCUACUUAUAUGUAAAGCAAAAGCCAACAUUAUAUAUAAAAAUAAAAAGAAAUAUGAAUAGCAGUCAAAACAAAAUCGUACCAUUUGUUUGUAAGAGAUUAAAAAUCAAUUAAAAGUUGCAAGUUGUAACAAUUAAUAAAAAAUAAUAAUGAUUUAAGAUAUGGAAGAUGAAUUAUUUUCCAGAUAUGAAAAGGUUUUGUACUUCAAUCUAAGCUUUACCAACACUAAAUAACAAAUUACUGCAACAUUUUUCUGCUAAACCCCAACCCACUGUAAUCAACAACCAAUUCCAUUUGCUUAAAUCUGUAAUCCCUUCUUGCUUCACAAUAUCCAAUCCCCUUGUCAUACAUGUUGAGCUUCUAAUUCUCAUCGCCAAAGUAUUGCUUAAUGACUGCACUCUCAUGGCGGGAGGGACUGCUCCAAGUGGUAAAUUGACAAUUAUUUUAACCCCUCUCACGAACCACUUUGCUGGAUUUUCAAAUUAAUAUAAAAUUACAAAUAACAUAAUAUUCAAGUUUUUUUUUUCCCCGAAGAGAUAAUUUUAUAAAAUUUCAAAUUAAUAUACCAAUUUGCUUAUAAAAUUUAAGAAAAAGAAGAGUGUAAAUGGAAAAAAUCAAAUGCUCCUCCAUCCUUUCGUUGGUUAUCCCAUUUAAAUUGCAGACAGACAAAAAAUAACGACUCUAAUCAAUGGAAAUUUUACUAAAUUGGAAAUUUAAGAUGAAAACGAUAGAAGUGGAAGUUGCUCUAACUAAUGGAGAGCUGAAAAAUCAUCUCAUCAUUAGUUGAAUCCUGCAUAUUGGUCCACACAUGCAGUCUUAAAAAAAGUCUAUCUUGUGGAAAGUUCAACUUGAUUUGUUGACGAAAUUUCAAAUUAGAUACUGGAAAAAGUGGUGAUUCUUUGAAUUCAUGUUCCCAAUGUGUGUUAAUAGAAAGAAAUUGGGAGCAACCGUGAAGAAAAUAAAUUAAGGAUCUCAAUCAAACACGUUUCACAUAUCUUUUCAUUUCAUGUUUUCAAUGUAGGUCCUUCCAACGAGCAGCGACUCAGCCAUGCAUAACAAGAGAUGAGAACCAAAGGCAUAUAGUCAAAACUAGAAAUUAAAAUUUUAUAGCUUAAGGAAAAAGAAAAUUGAAGUCUUUUCCUCUCAAUACUUUAUUAGUCAGACAUUACAAAAUAGUUUCAAUCAAACAUGUUGAAAUCAUUAGACUAAUUAAAACAGUGUCACUGUCAUCUGCUGGCCUCAAAUACUUGUCUUUGUUUUUUGAUGUCUUGUAAUUGAUAUCUAUACUUUUAAACCAAGGAGAGAGUUUUCCCUUCCGUCAACUUCGCCUUUAUUAUAUUUAAAAAUGAAAAAAAUAAACUUCGGAUCUCAUUUUCCAAUUGGCAAUUGGAAUUUGUGAUAAUCUUACACUUGGAUUGCAAGAAAAACUGUAAAUAAUCACUACACAAAUCUUGUCAAAAUUUUUAAUACAAAGCAACGGGGAAAUGAGGUGAUUUUUGUUUGAGUGUUUUACUAUAACGUAGAUUUAAAAAUUAAUUUAUUAAUUUGUGUCUUUAAAAUUCUUUUUCUGUCUUUUUUUCCCCUCAAAGCUGUAAAGCUCCAUCGAUAUAUUUACAAUAAUAAAUAAUAGAUACUGAAUGAUGAUGAUGAAAAUCAGUAAGUGUGAUUAAUAGUUAAUUAAAGUAUAAUAAAACUUAAUUAAAGUUAAUUAUCAUAUAAUCUAAAAAUAGUAUGCUAUUUUUUAAAUUUUAUUUUUUAAAUUAAAAUUAUUACAAUAAAUUCUUGUAAUUUAUAAAAUGAAACUUACAAAUUACUAUAAACUUACAAAGUACUUUUAAUUUUUAAUUUAAAAUUUGAGUUGAGAUUUUUUUUACUAAUUAAAAUUAAAAUUAAAAAGAAAUUUAAAAUUUAACUCCCUAAUUAUUCAAAUUGUCAUUGGAAUAUAAAAUGAGAUCACACGAUUUGAACUUGCGUCAAAUAAGUGUUUGAUAAGUGUUUUAACAAAAAUUUUCUGCAUCUUAAAUUUUUUCCUCCUAAUAAAAACUUAAACCUAUAAAAGGCUCCUAGGUUUCUCAAACUAGCAAAUGAGCCCUCUAAAGUCUUAACAAUUAUAAGGGAAUUAGCCUUCUGAGUUUCUCAACUAUCAUCGUAAAACCUAUUAUGGAUGUUCAGGGCAUGAAGUUGGCUAAUUUAAGCUAAUAUAUAACAUGUAAUUGGACGUUGCCAUUGUCUUUUUUCUAAUACAAUGUUAGAGCGAGGUUCUGUUGUUCCACUUUGUUAGUGUUUUUCUACUGCAUGCAAUGGCUUUUAUAAAAAUAUUAUUAUUGAACGAAAAAUAUAGCUGAAAAUCAAUCUAUUGGUUCUUAAUAUAUUAAAUAAUUAUUUUGUACAUAUAAAACAAGCAUAACAUUUUUUGUUUAAUAAUUUUUAUCACUAAGUAAAAAGAAUAGAUUAAUGUUUAAUGACAUUAAGUAAAAUGAUAUUUAGAAAAAUGAAUAUGUAAUGAAUGUAUUGUUUGGUUUAUUUAGGGCGUAGUUCUUGCUGGUCCCUUAAAAUGAAAAAAUUAUAUAAAAUUUUAAAUUAAUAAAAGUAAAUGUUAGGAUCGUCCCGAUUAAGCAACGAACAAGUAAAAAUAGUAGAAGAAAUUGAGAAGAUGAACACACAAAUUUAACGUGGAAAAACCCCUCAAAAGAGGAUAAAAAACCACGGGCAAAGAUAAUUUUACUAUAAUGGCAAAAGAAUGAAGAGUACAAAAGAUGGAGAUAAAAACUAAACCCCGAAAACCCGAAAAACAAAGAACCAUCAAACGUAAACACAAAAUUCUCUGAAUGUGUUAUGAGUUCUAAUCUAAUGGGUGUCUCUUAAUUCUAAGAUUGUAAAGGAGCCUAUUUAUAGGCUAAAUUAGUAAGUCAAAUAAACUAUACUAAUAAAUGCUAAAUAUAUUAUACUAAUAAAUACUAAAUCUUCUAGAAAGAAAAUAUAUUUUUGUUUAACUUGACUUGCAAGCAAUCUCUUAGAAUUUGGGUCACACAAUUCUAACAAUCUCCACCUUGACACGAAUUCUUUCAAUGCCAUCUUUGCCAAAACCCGCCACGGGCCUAUCUUGAACUAUGCAGGGAAUUAACUGAGUCGAAUCUAUGCUUAGAAGCUGGAAGACUUCUAGCCUUCGACUUGUGCACUGCCAAAUCAAAACUAACCCGGGUCUGAUUUUCACGAAUACAGUGCCCUAACUUUUCAAAACCUGCAUCCAAAAGAGAACCUCUCUUCAACGAAACGGUCAUACCUUUUUCCCUCCUAUGACCAAGUUGCCUCCGCUUCAAAUGAGUUGACUUUGACUUCGUAACGGACGAGGGACGUCCGAUUUCACCGGUCACUGUAGAACCUUCCAGAAUAUAAAGACUGCCGGUUCUUUUACCUUUUAACAAAACGAGAGCUCCACGAGAUACUUUAAUGUCGCUCGAAUCGAUGUUGAUUCUGUAUCCUUUCAAGUCUAAAAUACUCAAGGAGAUGAGAUUCUUUCGUAAAUCAGGUACAUACCUGACAUCUGAGAGUGUCCUAAUCGUCCCAUCGUGUAUCCUAAUUUUAACAGUACCAAUACCGAUUAUUUUACUAGAUGAAUCGUUUCCCAUGUGCACAACUCCACCUUCAACUGAACUGUAUGUGGAGAACCAUUCUCUAUUGGGACACAUGUGGAAAGAACAUCCUGAAUCUAGGAUCCACUCAGACGUAAGCUUGGUUUAUCGCUCGUUGACACUAACAAGAAAUCAUCACCGCCUUCAUCGACCAAAUUAGCACCAGCUACAUCUUCCUCGUUACUCUCAGCAGCUCUUUUAUUUCGCAGUUUAUAACAAUCUGCUUUGACGUGACCUAACUUUUUGCAAUAGCGACACCUUUUGUCUCGUUUCUUUGAUGCUACCAAAACGGAAGCUUGUCUAUCUGCUUUGCUAUUCAAAUCAAACUCAUUGUCGAGUUUGUCUCUACUCAACAAAUGACUCUUCACAUCUUCGAACGAGAGUUUGUCUCUGCCAUAAAUCAGGGUCUCCCUGAAAGACUUGUAUGAAGAGGGUAAAGAGCACAAUAAUAGCAUAGCUUGAUCUUCAUCGUCAAUAUGAACCUCAACGUUCUUUAAAUCAUUUAAAAGAGUAAUGAAUUGACUGAUGUGAUCUUUAAGAAGCUCACAUUCGUUCAUGCGAAACGUAAAUAGACGUUGUUUCAACACUAAACGGUUAGCUAGAGUCUUAGUCGCAUAAAGAGUUUCUAACCUUUUCCACAAGGCGAAUGAGGUCUUCUCCAUCAAUACCUCCUGCAAUACUAUAUUCGCGAGGCACAACUGGAUUGCAGACAAGGCCUUUUCAUCAAGCUCUUCCCAUUCUGUUUGAUUUAGAUUCUCAGGCUUUUUCCCUGUAACAACCUUUUUCAAGCCAUUUUGAACUAGAAUUGCCAUCAUCCGAACUUGCCACAGAUUGAAAUUUGUCUCACCAUCGAACUUCUCAAUUUCAAACCUUGUUGCUGCCAUCUCUGACCGGGCUGAUCUAUGAAAGUUAAACUAGCUCUGAUACCACUUGUUAGGAUCGUCCCGAUUAAGCAACGAACAAGUAAAAAUAGUAGAAGAAAUUGAGAAGAUGAACACACAAAUUUAACGUGGAAAAACCCUUCAAAAGAGGAUAAAAAACCACGGGCAAAGAUAAUUUUACUAUAAUGGCAAAAGAAUGAAGAGUACAAAAGAUGGAGAUAAAAACUAAACCCCGAAAACCCGAAAAACAAAGAACCCUCAAACGUAAACACAAAGUUCUCUGAAUGUGUUAUGAGUUCUAAUCUAAUGGGUGUCUCUUAAUUCUAAGAUUGUAAAGGAGCCUAUUUAUAGGCUAAAUUAGUAAGUCAAAUAAACUAUACUAAUAAAUGCUAAAUAUAUUAUACUAAUAAAUACUAAAUCUUCUAGAAAGAAAAUAUAUUUUUGUUUAACUUGACUUGCAAGCAAUCUCUUAGAAUUUGGGUCACACAAUUCUAACAGUAAAAUUACAUUUUGACUUUCUCUAAAAGUGAUAAAAUUUUAAUUUAAUUCUUUAAAAAUUAUAAAUAUAUAGAUAUUAAAAUGAUGAAAUUAUAUUUUUAUUAUCGUAAAAAUAUAUAAUUUAAUUUUAUUCCUUUACAAAAAAUUUAGGGCUUCGCCCCUGGGUUUACUAUAAGUAUUUCUUACUGAAAUUACUAGUCCAAUGAUUCAUGCCGUGCCUAAGUCUUUGAAUUCAAGUGUUAACAUCAUAAGAAUAGAACAAAACAGAGCAACCCAAGGCAAAACACAUGUAAACAGUACACCAAAAUGGCACGCCUAAGAAAAUGGGAGGAACACAAAUAUAGAAAGAGAGAUUUCUUAUUGCUAUUCAUUCAGUCCACGCAUUCGUACAAAGUACAAAAACCUUGACUUACACAAUUCAUUAUUGGACAAUCAUAUCCUUUUCGUACACCACCAACGAGAUUGAAUGCAAAUAAUUCUAUCUAUCAAUGCUUUAAGAAAAAAUGUUUUUAUUAAAAGAAUAGUCAGCUACCAUCUUUUAUUUGCAGGAAUGAUCCUAUGUUCCUAAAUGCAUGGAGCUAUGAAAAAUGCUUAUAAAAGAAGAAUCCAUAAUAAUAGAGGGCAGAACUGAGAAAAUAUUCCAAUUUUUGGUUCAAUCACGAGGGAUAUGAGCUUCUCACCAAUAUAUGAAAAUGAAAAUGAAAAUAAAGAAUACCCACCCCAACUGAUAAAUACAAUAGACAACCACAGAAUCAAAACCAAUGAUGAAAUUUUAUAUUUUAACAAGUUAUACUUGUCUUCAAUUAAAUCCUUCAUAUAUGUAGGUAUAAUUGCGAGUUUGGAUUUGGUUAAUAUAUCCAAACGGUGAUCUUUUUUAAUGCGAUUGAAUUAUUAGUGCUACUCUUCAACUUGAGACAAAGUCUUCUAUUUUAGGCUUACCUUUUUUUCCCUAUAACAUGGUUGGACCCACAAGAUUGUACGUAUUUCUUACUCAAAUUAUGAGUCAAUGGAUGCUUUACCUAAAUCCUUAGAAUCAAAGUAUUUAAAGAAUAUUGAACUAACAUUAGAAACGUAUUAAACUCAGUUGUUUCUUUCCUUAUGAUGCGCCGUACACCCAUAUCCAACCUUAUGGCAAAACCAAGCUUCCUCCCUCCGUUUAUGUUUGGGCUACUAUUUGCAACCUUUGGGGUUGUUUUGUCUGCAAAAUAUUCUAACAUCACCGUUGAUCAAUCCGCUCUUCUAGCACUAAAAUCUCAUAUAACUCAUGAUCCUCACAAUUUCUUGGCAACCAAUUGGUCUACUUCUACCUCCGUUUGCAACUGGAUUGGUGUCACAUGUGGAUCUAGACACCACAAAGUCACUGCUCUAAAUUUGUCAAGUAUGGAUCUCACAGGCACAAUUUCUUCUCAAUUGGGAAAUCUAUCUUUCCUUACUUGGCUCGACAUUCAUCAAAAUAGUUUCCAUGGCUCUUUACCCAUUGAGUUAACUAAUUUGCGUCGGAUGAAAUAUUUGGACUUUGGUAACAAUAGCUUCAAUGGAGAAAUCCCAUCAUGGUUUGGUUGCUUCACUGAACUUCAAAUAUUGAAUUUGUACCUCAACAACUUCAUUGGUGUUAUCCCAUCUACUCUAGGCAAUUUGUCAAAACUAGAAAUGUUGGACUUGGCUGGGAAUCUAAUUUUCGGUAGAAUUCCAAAUAGUUUAUUCAAGUGCAAAGAGCUAAAGCAUUAAUCAUUGUAUAGCAACUCCUUGGAGGGAAGUAUACCUACAGAAAUUGGAAAUUUGACUUUGCUCGACAGUUUGUAUCUUGAUAACAACCAUUUCAAAGGUAAACAAUUCCUGGUUAUUGUUUCUUUCAUUUUUAUCUAAUUUCCAUCAACAGUUGUUUUAAAUAGUGAAGCGGGACUUUAAACAAUAACCACUAAGUUCAAUGCUAGCAAAACCAAACUUAAUCAUAGAGUAUAUAUAUAUAUAUAUUAUUUAUGUCAAUUUAGCCAUCAACCAAUUUAAUUGGUGUCAAACAAAACUUAGAUUUUCAAUGCAACUCUUGAUUUACCCUUAGUAGCAGGUAAGAACAUAUCAGAACUCAUAGUCACCUCCACAACCUUAUACUUGAAGAAUAACAAAGUGAGGUAUCUCAUCAACAUUUGUUCUUUGUGAGAGAUAUAAAUGAGCUAAACCUAAAGUGUUGGUUUUCAGUUGUAACAGCUUUAGUUGAAAAGUCAAAGUUGGCUUAUGAUUGGUUUUCAGUUGUAAUAGCCUUCUUUCUGUUAAAAGUUUCUUUUUAUAUUGUUGUAGUUUAUUUUAGCUUCUUACUAUAGUAAUGCUUGUGUCUAAAGAAACAAAUUAGUUUGAGUGAUCUUUUAGCUACUAACACUACUUGGUCCAUGAAAAACAUUUGUAGAAUUUCACCUUAAUUGAAAAAGUUGAGUUGUGUUUGGGUAUUUACUAGAACUUCUCCACAUAUAGGUUAGCUCUAAGUUCACCUUCUUCUACAUUAACCUUCCCAUUAAUUCAAUAAUAAAUACUAUAGAACUGAACAAAAUUUACAUGUUUAAAAAUAGAUGAAAAAGAAAACAAACACCUAAAGUGAUUAAUAAAAAUACCUACGACAUUUUUUAAGCACCACGACUUUUAGUUGUAGAAGCCCAAAUUGUCCGAACCCAUUUACACUUUAAACCCCAAAUAUUAAUAACCCACAGCCCAAUAUAAACUAAACCUACCCAAUACAUAACCCACCAAACCCCAAGACCCAUAAAAUACUAACCCAAACCCGGUUGGCCCACUAAAACCAAAACAGACCCAUUAAUCCCUAAACCAACCACUACCCAACAUCUCCAACAACUCAUCAUUUAAGCUAAAUUUACCCAAACCCAUUACAAAACCCAUUUAUAACCCACUACCCAAAUCCAAUAGCCCACUAAACAACAGCCCAAUACCCAAAUCAAAAGUCAAAAAAAAACCUAACCCUAGCCCCCUACUUUAGCGCCGCACCCUCCCCACUUGCCUCUGCCAAAGUCGGCCACCUGCUCUCUGACGCCACCACUGUUGCGCCGGCCACCGUCCAAAGUCACCUCCAUCAGCAAGUUGCACCUGCAAGCAAGAAAAGACAGUGAAAAUAAAUAAUAAUAAUAAAAACAGUUUGUAAGGGCUAUAAAAGCCAUGAAAAUAAAUGUAAAAUGGUCCCCGGAUUCGACAGUUUGAGAACACAAAAAGAAAUAAAAAAAUCAUUUCAGAUCUAGAGCAAUAAUAGCAAUUCCAUCAGUAUUUAGAUACAAAGAUAACAUAAAACCAAAAAAAAUCAAAGAUCGGAGGACCAAAAGCAUAGAAAACCUAAGGUGAAUCCUUCUAUUUUUAUUUUCUGUUUUAUUUUCGAACCUAUUUCUCCUAUAUUUAUAAACACAUAAAUAAAAAAUAAAAAAUAAUAUCCUAAAACGUAAUUAAAAAAGAAAAGAAAAGAAAGGAAAUUUUACCUUUUCCGGCCACCGCGUGCAGUGGCCGGCGCCGACACCGGCAAUAGUGGUCCGGCAAUCGGCCGGUGACUGACCCCCUGGCCGGAGUCCCUCCCUUCUCCUUCCUCUCUCUUUCCCUCUCUUUUUUUUCUCUUNNNNNNNNNNNNNNNNNNNNNNNNNNNNNNNNNNNNNNNNNNNNNNNNNNNNNNNNNNNNNNNNNNNNNNNNNNNNNNNNNNNNNNNNNNNNNNNNNNNNNNNNNNNNNNNNNNNNNNNNNNNNNNNNNNNNNNNNNNNNNNNNNNNNNNNNNNNNNNNNNNNNNNNNNNNNNNNNNNNNNNNNNNNNNNNNNNNNNNNNNNNNNNNNNNNNNNNNNNNNNNNNNNNNNNNNNNNNNNNNNNNNNNNNNNNNNNNNNNNNNNNNNNNNNNNNNNNNNNNNNNNNNNNNNNNNNNNNNNNNNNNNNNNNNNNNNNNNNNNNNNNNNNNNNNNNNNNNNNNNNNNNNNNNNNNNNNNNNNNNNNNNNNNNNNNNNNNNNNNNNNNNNNNNNNNNNNNNNNNNNNNNNNNNNNNNNNNNNNNNNNNNNNNNNNNNNNNNNNNNNNNNNNNNNNNNNNNNNNNNNNNNNNNNNNNNNNNNNNNNNNNNNNNNNNNNNNNNNNNNUAGGACUCCUGUCUAUCAGGAGCUGCCUUAAGAUGAUCCCAAAUUAAUCUGACUUUGUCUUCAGUCAUGGAAACGAACUCAGGACCCAAAACCCGUCAUUCACCCAACUUAGUCCAACACAGCGGAGUACAACACUUACGACCAUAUAGAGCCUCUUAAGGUGCCAUCUAAAUGCUAGAUUGAAAACUAUUAUUGUAGGCAAACUCAGCUAACAGCAGAAAAUCCUCCCAACUUCCCCGGAAAUCAAUUACACAACUUCAAAGCAUAUCCUCUAGUAUCUUAAUCACCCUCUCAGAUUGACUAUCGGUCUGAGGAUAGAACGCAGUACUGAAGUUUUUCCAAAAUCAAGAAGUGAAGCAAUGAUCCGUAUAAAAAAUUAUUGAAACCAGAACCCUGUGAAGUCUCACAAUCUCAGAAAUGUAGAGCUUGGCCAACUUUUGCAGUGAAUAAUCUGUCCAAACUGGAAUGAAAUGGCCAGACUUGGUCAACCGAUCCACGAUAACCCAUACAGAAUCCUUCUUAGUCGGUGUUAAAGGCAACCACUAAUAAAGUCCAUAGUCACAUGUUCCUAUUUCCAUAAAGGAAUCUUAACAGGUUAGAGCAAACCCAAAGGCAACUGGUACUUAGCCUUAAUUUGCUAACACGUUAGACAAUGAGAAACAAAAUCAGUUACCUCUCGUUUUAAACCCGACCACCAAUAUAGUUCACGAAGAUCCCGAUACAUCUUAUUUCCACCAGGAUGCAUAGCAUAAGGGUUACUAUAUGCUUCCCUCAGAAUCAACUAUCUCAAAUCAAAGUCGUUCAGUACACAAACUCGUCCUUGAAGGCACAAAACCCUAUCACUAUUUAGCCUAAAAUUAGACAUAUUACCACUCUCUCCUUGAUGGAAACGCAGAACUAGAGAACCAUCUUUCAAUUGCUUAUUCCGAAUUUGAUCAAUCCAAGUCGUCUUAAAUUGCAACUCGGGUAGCAGACUCUCAUCCUCAAAUAAACUUAGGCGAGCAACAUCGCCUUCAGACUAGACAUUACUCUAAGACUAAGAGCAUCGGCUACCACAUUGGCCUUAUCGGGGUGAUACUCUAUUCUGCAAUUGUAAUCCUUAAGCAACUCAAUCCAUCUAUAGUGCCUAAGGUUCAACUCAUUUUGAGUAAAGAGGUACUUAACGCUUUUGUGAUUGGUGUAGAUGACACACCUCUCACCAUACAGAUAGUGCCUCCAAAUCUUUAAGGUAAAAACCACGAAAGCCAACUCGAGAUCGUACGUUAGAUAAUUUCCCUCAUGUGACUUAAACUGUCGGGACGCAUAAGCCACAACCUUACCAUCUUGCAUCAGAACACACCCUAAACUGACAUUUGACGCAUCACUAGAAACCAUGAACUCCUUACCAAACUCAGGCUGUAUCAGAAUAAAAGCUUGAGUCAAAACAAACUUGAGCUUCUUAAAGCUUGAUUGUUGCUCAUCAGUCCAAACAAAAAGAGCAUUUUUGUGUAAACCCUUAGUCAGAGAAGCUGUAAUUAACGAGAACCCUUCAACAAACUUCCGAUGAUAACCCACAAGACCUAGAAAACUGUAAAUCUCUAAAACAUUCUUAGCCUGUUUCCAAUUAAGUAUAACAUUAAUAUUUUUAGGAUCCACUUGGAUCUCCUCCGCAAAAACCACAUGGCCCAAAAAAGUUACUUUCGGCAACCAAAAUUCACACUUGCUCAACUUAGCGUAGAACUGUUUCUCUUGAAGUAACUGAAAGACUACUUGAAGAUGCUCAUAUGACACCAAGACGAUGAACAGUGAGUUACACAGCCUAGACACACGCUCGUGUGUACCCUACACUAAUAUGGCCUGGACACAUACCUGUGUCCUCUACCUGUAUGACCCUAAAUCGAUGAAUAGUGAGUUACACGAUCAACCACAUGGCCUGGAACACGAUCGUAUGGCUCACUCAACUUGGACACACUCUAAUGUGCCUAGCCAUGUGGCGUCAAUAGCCACUAUUUUCGGUAAUCAAAACUCACAAAAAUUAAGAUUUUUGGCACGCACUUGAAGAGAUUUCGAAGCAACAACAACAAGGAGGAUCUUCGAAGCCUAAAACAAGCAUUCAAUUACACAAUUAAGUCAUUUUAUCGACAACCAUUCCCAAUUAUAGUCCUAAACUCAAGUCGAAAGUUUCGACACUAAAAUUUCAAUUAACUUAAUUCUUACCGAAAAUUCAAUGGCAAUAGUUGUAAUUGGUGUCUUGUUCACCACUUCCAAUAUUUCUGCCUAAAUAGAAAAUCAACAGUCCUCUAUCAACAAUUCACAUGGAAUCAUAAUACUUAACUUAGAGCCACUUAUGAAGAACAAAAGGAAAACCGUGCAAACAACUGAUUGGCUUACUCGCUAGCAUUUCGAUUGAUGCGAUUUAUAGUGUAUAAUCUCUACUAGAUCGUAUCCACUUAUGACCACAAUCAAAAUGAAGAAAAAGGAAAUUAAAAUUAUUGGAAAGAAAAAGGAAAAAAAAGAUGAACAAGACACAAGAAAAAAAUGAAGAAGAAAAUGAUAUUUUAAAAUUCUAUUAACUUCCAAUCAACUUCCAACACUUAGUGAAUUAUAAUAUAUUCCAAAAUUCGAACUUGAAUGAACUAUCGUAUAUUCAAAGAUUCAAACUCGAAACCAAACAAGAUACAAACAAAUGCUUAACCAGUGAACCAACAUACUCAUUCUUGACAUAGGAUCACACAGAUUUACACUUAGCUAUGUGAUGCAUGAAUAGGGGUUAUUCUAAAAUGAUAAAACUCUAAACGACACAACUCAAACUCUAGACCUCAAACACAUAAGCAAGAAACAGAACAAAAAAUAUAGAUAUUUAAUUACUAUAAAUUCUUACAAUUAAAUUCUCAAAAAUUUAGGGCUUUACCUAUUAUACGCAAAUUCAAUCAAUGGCAAAUACUUUUCCCACGUAUCUUCAAACUCAAGAAUGUAACAUCGUAACAUAUCUUCAAUUAUCUGAAUAAUUAGCUCAGAUUGACCAUCCGUCUAUAGGUGAAAUGCGGUACUGAAAUGUAGCUUUGUACCCAGUGCAUCUUACAAUUUCUUCAAAAAUUGUGAAGUAAACCUUGGAUCUCUAUCCAAAACAAUAGAUAGUGGCACCCCGUGCAAUCGUACAAUCUCUGAAAUAUACAACUCAGCUAAUUUGUCAAGCAAAUAGCCCGUAUGUAUCGGAAUGUAAUGAGCCGAUUUUGUCAAUCUAUCAACAACAACCCAAAUCGCAUCUUUCUUCCUCGGAGAUAGUGGCAACUCUAACAUAAAAUCUAUCGUUAUUCUGUCCCAUUUUUACUCGGGAAUCAUAAUAGGCUGUAAUAAACCUGACGACACUUGAUGCUCAGCUUUAACUUGCUGACAAAUCAAACAUUUUGAUACAAAUUCAGAGAUAUCACGUUUCAUACCAGACCACCAGUAAAGCCGUUUCAAGUCAUUAUACAUUUUUGUUCUUCCCAGAUGAACAGAUAAACAACUACUGUGUGCUUCAGUCAAAAUCAUCUAAAUCAACUCUGAAUUUCUCGAAACACAUAUUCGGCCUCUGAAUUUCAAGCAAUCAUCAGCAUCAACUUGUAACUCUAAAUCAAGGUUCGAAUCACAUUGAGCUUGUUUUGCUAACAUUUCUUUAUCAACUUUCUGAGCUUCACGAAUCUGCUGUAAAAACAACGGUCUCGCUUUCAACUCAGCUACAAUCAAACCAUCGUCAAGUAGAGCUAACUGAGCAUUCAUCGCACGCAAAGCAAAUAAUGAUUUUCGGCUCAAAGCGUCAGCAACAACAUUUGUUUUUCCCAGAUGAUAGUCGAUCACUAACUCAUAGUCCUUUAGCAACUCAAUCCAUCUCCGUUGUCGUAAAUUUAGAUCUUUCUGAGUCAUUAUGUAUUUCUGACUUUUAUGGUCAGAAUAAACAUGAUAUUUUUCACCGAAUAACUAAUGAAGCCAAAUCUUCAAUGCAAACACAAUGGCUGCUAACUCUAAAUCAUGUGUCAGGUAAUUCUUUUCAUGCGGCUUCAAUUGUCUUGAGGCAUAAGCUAUAACUUUGCCUUCCUGCAUUAAAACGCAGCCCAAACUAUUCAACAAUGCAUUACUAUAAAUCACAAAUUCUUUACCCGAUUCUGGCUGAAUUAACACUGGAGCUUUAGUCAAUAGAGCUUUUAACUGAUCAAAACUUUUCUGACAUUUAUCAGACCAUUCAAACUUAAUGUCUUUCUGAAGCAAUCUCAUCAUCGGAGUUGCAAUCAUCAAAAAUCCUUUUACAAAUCUUCUAUAAUAACUGGCUAGUCCCAGAAAGCUACGAACUUUAGAUAUAUUUCUUAGAGGUUUCCAAUCUAUUAUUGCAGAAAUCUUACUCGGAUCGACUCGUAUACUCGAUGCUGACACUAUAUGCCUUAGAAAACCAACUUCUCGCAACCAGAAUUCACAUUUUCUGAACUUUACAAAUAACUGCUUAUCUCACAGAGUCUGUACCACAAUCCUCAGAUGCUCGGUAUGCUCAGAUUCAUCAUGUGAAUAAAUUAAUAUGUCAUCAAUGAAUACCACAACAAAUCAAUUUAGGUACGGUUUGAAAAUCCAGUUCAUCAAAUCCAUAAAGACUGCAGGAGCAUUCGUUAGUCGGAAAGGCAUAACCAAAAAUUCAUAAUGUCCGUACCUCGUUCGAAAAGUAGUUUUCAGCACAUUGGAGUCUUUAACUCGCAACUGAUAAUAACCCGAUCUCAUAUCUAUCUUUUAAAACAUUGUUGCCCCCUUUCAACUAAUCAAAUAAAUCAUUUAUCUGCGACAGAGGAUAUUUACUCUUGAUAGUCACUUUAUUGAGCUACCGAUAGUCAAUGCACAUUCUCAUAGUCUCGUAUUUCUUUUUCAAGAAUAAAACCAGUAUACCCUAGGGAGAAAAACUCAGUCAAGCGAAACCUCUAUUUGUCAAUUCUUCCAACUGAGAUUUCAAUUAUUUCAAUUUAGUCGGGGCCAUUCUGUACGGAGCUAUCAAUAUCGGAGUUGUUCCCGGCACUAACUCAAUACCAAAUUCAACUUCUCAAAUCGGUGGAAUUCCGGUAACUCUUUAGGAAACACAUCCAGAUAUUCACAUACAACUAGUACUGAUUCGAUCUUCUUUUCCGUCACUUUCUUAUCAAACACAUAAGCAAAAUAAGCUUCGUAACCCUUUUUCACAUAUUUUUGAGCUGAUAUCGAUGAAAUCACUGCUGGUUAGCCAUUCAAAUCAUCUGAAUUAAUUUGAAUAAUCUUAUUAUUUUGACACCUCAAAUCAAUCGUCUUUCGUUUGCAGUUUACUAUAGCAUCAUGCAGCGUUAACCAAUCCAUACCCAGAAUUAUAUCAAAUUCGUCAAAUGGCAACAACGUCAGAUCGGCCAGAAAAUAAGAAUCCCGAAUCAUCAAUGAAUAGUUCUUACACACUUUAUCAACCAAAACACACUUACCUAAGGGGUUCAAUACUCUAAUCACAAAUUCAACAGAGUACAGGAAAAGUCUUACUGGAUACUAAUUCAUGCAUAUAUAGGAAUGAGUUGAUCCUAGAUCUAUCAAUACAAUUACAUUAGUAUCAUAAAGAGUGAAAGUAUCGGUAAUAACAUCUGGAGAUGACACUUCUUCGCCAGCACGAAUAGCGUAGGCUCUAGCAGGUGCUAUGGCCUCAUAUCUCACAGCUGUACUACCACUCACGUUUCUAGCACUUCGAGGUGGUCUCCCUCUGGUGGCCGAUGUAUUCCUCGAUCUUGCAUUUUGAAAAUUAUCUUUCUAAGCCAAUUUAGGAUAAUCUCGAAUGGAAUGGUCUCGUAAACCGCAUUUGUAACAGACUCUAAUGUUAUACUUGCCCCAACAUUUAUCAAAAUGUCGUCUUCCACACUGUUGACACUCGAGUUUAUUGUUUUUGACAGUGGCAAUACUUGAUUCCAUGGUAACUUGAGCCUUAGGAUGGGAGUAUUGUUUCACACGAUCUCUAUUUGAAUAAUCGGCUGAAGCAUCUGAAUGAUUGUAUGCAUCUUUGGAUUUCUUUGACGAAGAUUGAUUUGGUUUAUUCAUCAAUCUUUUUCUCGAAUCUCUAGCAUCAGAAUCUACUUUUCUUUUCUUUUUACUGAGCUUUUCGCCUUUAGAGGUACUUUCAACUAAAACAACGAAUUUGGUCUGAUCAAGAAUUCCGACCAAAAUUUUGAUAUCUUUAUUCAAUCACUUAACAAAAUCAUUUACACAUAUUAGCUUUGGUUGAUACAUAUUCUCAUGCAUAUUUACUCAACCUCACGAACUCAUAUUCUUACUGUCACAGUCAUGCGACCCUGUUUCAACUCAAGGAACUCUUUCCAUUUUUGAUCAAUAAACCUCUGGCUAAUAUAUUUCUUUCUGAACUCUGUUUGAAAGAACUCUCAGGUAACCCGUUCUCUCAGAACCACAAAUAUUAAUGUGUUCCACCACUAGUACGCAAUAUCUCUCAAGAGUGAAACCGCACAUUUAAUACAUGCCUCGAGUGUACACGACAACUCAUCAAAUACCUUGAUCGUGUUUUCAAGCCAGAAUUCAGCUCGUUCAGUAUCAUCAUCAUCAGUAGCCUUAAACUCUUCAGCCCUAUAUUUUUGAAUUUUAUUAACUAGAGGUUUAUUCAAAUGUAUCAGAUCAACAACUUGAGGCAUCACAGGUAAGUGUGGAGGAUUAGGCGGGGAGUGGAGGUUGUUGAGCAGCCGAAUUAGUUCUAAUGUACUCUGUGAACCACUUAUCCACUAUUUAGAAGAAGCCUUGCUUAACCUUUCCCUCGUGGCUGCUCGUUAUCGGCCUAGAAUCAGUUGGCGCUGUCCCUUGAGCGGGAGCAGACGCAUUACUUUCUAUAUCAUCUGCUAGAGCUCGUUCGAGAUCCAUUACUAUACGAAAACAUAUUUUAACUAUCAGGAAUCAUCACACUAUCGCAGUUUAUAUAUAUGGCAUGUAUAACUAGACUCUCACACACUAUGUUAGUCCUAGAAUCGACUAAACCGUAGCUCUGAUACCAAUAAAAUGUAACACCCCUAACCCGUAUCUAUCGUCAAACUAGGGUUAAGAGGCAUUAUCGAACCAUUCACAUCAUUAUACAAACAUUUCACAUAUAAUAAACAUUUACAAUCAAAUAACAUUUAUUCAUAUUCACAAUGUCCCUUAUGAAGGUCCACGGAACCUUAAAACAUGCUUAAAAAUGGUUCAAGACUAAACUGAUCACAUACAAAAAUUUUCAAUACUUGGAAAAAUUUUCUAACUUACAGACAUCACACACCCGUGUGAAAAAGCUGUGUGUCUCACACGACCACCAGACACGCCCGUGUCACAGGCUGUGUGAAAACAGGGCAUACAUACUAACUUGGGUCACAUGACACACGCCCGAGUGUCUAGGCCGUGUAACUCACUGUUUGUUUCUUAAUUAAGCUUCAGGGGACACACAGUCGUGUACUAAAGCUAUGUGUCACACACGGUCGAGCCAUACGCCCGUGUGCUCAGUCGUAUGGACGAAAAAUAGGUUUAUUUUAAACCACAUUUUCUCACCCAAUUUCAUUCACCUACAAAAGCUCAAAUAACACCAUUUCACAUACUAAUAUACAACCAAAUCAAUACCAUUUUAUGCAUUAAACAUACCAUACCAACUUUUCCAUUUCAUCAAACCAUAUCUUAUACAUUUGUCUAACCUGAACAUACCAAAUUCAUAUAUCAAAAACCAUCCAUACCAACUAGUCCUAGUAAGCAUUUACUCACCAUUCAAAUAACCAAUUCAACCUCCUAAAUCAUACUAUAAUAUGCCAUUUCUCAACCACAAAACACUAUCAACAUUUCACCAUAUAAUCCACCAUAUAACCAUCAAAGCAACCACCCAAAUUUGCCAAAUUCACAAGGCAUAACAUAAAUACAUCACAUACCAUAUCUUAACUCAUACCAUAAACCAAAUACAAUUCCAUCAACAAUUUCAUUCUUAAGCCAACUCACAUGGCUUAGUCCAUAACUCAAAAUAUACUAUAGUGACACUAGCCUAUAAAUGCCAUAUACCAUAUUUACAAAGCUUCCAAAAGUACCAAUAAGAUGUUCGAUAAUGUAAUGACGUUUCCUGACAAUCCCCGAGUCUGAGCUAACUUUAAUUUACUGUAAAACAGGGAAAUUUACACACCGUAAGCUUUAAAGCUUAGUAAGUUCAUACAAUAAUACAAUUAACUCAUCAAUUAAAUUAAAACACGAUUCAAUCCAUUUAACAACCCUAGUACAACUCAAAACUUUACUCACUCUUUUUACUCAUGAUCAAUACUCAUUUUCAUACAAUUUUAUCAAGUUUCAUACACAUAGUAUCAACAACCACAUAGGUUUAGUACAUACUUGUACUUUCACGUAAUUAUCUCUUACCUAUUCAUCUCUUUGCUCAAUAGUUAAAUCAUUCGAAAUCUUUAGAUACUCAAUGGACUCGCACACUUACUGCCAAACGAAUAGCUGAAACUGUAACAAUGUGGCACACUUAGUGCCAUCUCAUUAAACCUUAGCUGGCUCAGUCUCGCACAUCUAGUGCCAUCACUUUUAACCAAGGCUAACUCAGUCUUGCACACUUAAUGCCAAUUAUUCAUCCGAAGUUAUUUUAAUCUCGUACACUAAGUGCCUCAUAUCAUCAAAUCGUCAUCGAAACUCAUUUAUAUUACUUAUUAACAUUUCCAUUCAUUUCAAAGCAUGUAAACAUUGCUAAAAUAAUAUGUAUUACCUACGAACUUACCUCAGAUGCAAAAACAGCUAAAUCGAUUGAUUAGUUAAGAACUUUGCUUUUUCCUCGAUCAAGAUCUAAGUUUCACUUUUCUUGAUCUAUAUGUAAUCAAAAUUAACUCAUUUAAUUACCUAUUCAUUCAAUUUCAUUCAAAUCAUACAAUUUGGGCAUCUUACACAUUAGCCCCUAAAGUUUCACAUUUUCACAAUUUAGUACUUAUUUUAUAAAACACAAAUUACACAAAAUUUAACAAAACCCAUGCUUGGCCAAAUUCUAUAUGGGUCCCUAGCUUUAUUCCACAUUUCAUCCCCUCAAUUAACAAAUUUCGCAAUUUAAUCCCCUUUUUCGUAAUUUCAUAAAAAUCACUUUACCAAACAUUUAAAUCUAACAUUUAUCUUCCAUAUUUAAUCAUAAACCAUUAGAAAACACAUAGAUUCAAAAAUGGCACAUCACAAAACCAUCAACAAUUUCAAAAAUUGAGGCACGGGCUAGCCAGUACUAGAUGCAACGAUCUCAAAAAACAUGAAAAUCAUUAAAAAUCGAGCUAAAUUCUUACCUUAAUCAAGAUUAACAAGGGCCGAACCCUAGAAUGCUCAUAAACUCUCUUUUCUUCUUCAAUUUUGACAAAAGAUGAAGAUGAAAACAUUUAAUUUUUGUUUAUUUUAUUUAAUAUAACCUUAAUUCACAUUUUACCAUUUUCCCUUAAUGAAAACAUUGUAAAUUAGAUUAAUGGUUGGCCAUUUAUGUCAAAUUUCACUAAUCAUGGUCAAAUCAUAUCAUAAGUACCUCACAUUUAAUAAAUCAUAGCAAUUAAGCACUUAAACAAAGAGAACAUAAAUUUUGCAUCCUAUGCGAUUUAGUCCUUUUGUCAAAUUAACCACUCAAACGAUAAAAUUAAUUAACAAAAUUUUAACACAUGUAUAAUAUCAUGCUGUAAACACUAAAAAUAAUAUUAAAAUAAUUUUACGACCUCGAAUUUGUGGUUCCGAAACUACUGUUCCGAUUUAUCUAAAACUAGACUGUUACAUCCAUGAAUUGACAUUAGACUUAUAGCUACCUAUUUCUAACUUUUUGAUUUGUUUGUUUAAUUAAUUUUUGCUCAACCAGUCUCCUUAUAUUUUUGAAUAUGAGAGGAACAGAGUAUAAGACUUCUACCACCAACCAAGCUGUUUUUGACGAAUUUAAUUAUAUAUUUCAAGUGAAAAUCCACUCGUUAUUACAAACCUGACUUCUCUGCUUCUCAUUGAUCUUUCAAGUAACAAAUUAAUAGGAAUAAUAUAAUUUCUUUUCCUUUUUAUUGUAGCAUUUAUUGAAUCCCUUUAAUAGUAGAACUUUGUUAUACAUUAUUAAUUAGUUUUAUAGUCUUUUAGUUUAUUAAUAUAAUACCUUUAGAUUUAAAAAAUUAAUUACACGUUUGAUACUUUAUUUUUUUAAGGAGAUAUUUUUAAUUACUUUUACAUUAGAAAAAUGUAGGAAAUAUUGAUAAAAGAAAAAAGAAAUUCAAUAAUUUGAAUUACAACUUAUUCUAAUUCCUCCGGUUGGAAACUUGACUUCUCUCACAUACCUUCGUCUUGAGCACAACAAUUUGAGAGGUAUAAUUCCAUUUUUUUUCUUUCUCAUUUUUAUUAUUACAUUUAUGCAAUCUCUUAAAGCCAUUUUUAAGCAAUUGAAAUAAAAGUUACUCGUCUUAAUGGUAAUAGCAGGUUUCUUUCAAUAUUUUACAAUCAUAGAAUGCAUCUAAAAGGUUAGAUGUUGCGAAGUAAACGAAUACAAUUUAUUUACGUAUUCCAUUUUAAAGAAAUAUUCAAACUACUAAUUCUAAGUUAUAAUUCUAUUCGGUUUUUCUGUUAGGGCAAAUUCCAGCUCCACCAUUUUCAUUGAAGUGGUAUGAUGUUCCGGAUAAUAAUUUAAUUGGAGAAAUCCCUUCUUCAAUAUGUAAUUUGAGUUCCCUUAUAGUUCUCCAUUUAUAUAAGAAUAAUUUGGGUGGAAUAAUUCCAAAUUGCAUUGGAAACUGGAGGUCUUUUUUACGAGAAAAUUUUGUAAGAGGUUGCACAUUACAAAGUUUUCAAAUCAACGACAACCAAGUAGAAGGGUCUAUGCCACGAUCAUUGGGUAAUUGCAAAGAUUUGAACCUUCUCAAUGUUGGGAACAACUACUUAAAUGACACUUUCCCAAGUUGGUUAGGAAGUUUGGAUCAUUUACAAGUUCUUAUUUUGAGAUCAAAUAGAUUUUAUGGUCAAGUGGAUAACUAUAAUAUUACAGCUUCCUUCAUUCGUUUACGUGUCAUUGAUCUUUCCCACAAUAACUUCAAUGGCUGCUUGCUUACCUACCAAAUUUUUUGAAGUUUUGCGUUCUAUUAGAGAAGAGCAUAAAAAGAAAGAUAAACCAGAGUACAUGAUGGAGGAAUCGACUUAUGGACAGGGGUAUUAUGAUGUGCAAGGUUUAUCUUUUACAGCAAAAGGGUUGGUAAUAGAGUUUCAAUCAAUAUUAAUCAGCUGGAUGGUAGUUGACUUUUCGAACAAUCAGUUCUUCGGAAAAAUUCCUAAAACAAUUGGUAAGCUUCAUUCACUUAUCGUCCUAAACCUUUCUCAUAAUUGCUUAACAGGUCCCAUCCCAUCAUCAUUAGGUCAUUUAACAGAGCUUGAAUCAUUAGAUCUCUCAUCAAACAAGCUCCAAGGGAGAAUUCCAACAGAGUUAACAAAUCUUGGAUUCUUAGAGGUGUUAAACCUUUCUCAGAAUAAUCUCAAAGGACACAUUCCUCAAGGCAAACAAUUUGACACUUUCACCAGUGAUUCCUAUACGGGAAAUUUGGGUUUAUGCGGUUUGCCAUUAUCAAAAAGCUGUGAUAAUGAUGGGAAAACUCCUGCCAGAUUCGAUAGUGAUGAUGAUGAUGAUGAUGAAAUGAAUUGGAAAUUUUCUAUAUUGAUGGGGUACGGAUGUGGGUUGGUGUUGGGAUUGAGCAUGGGAUACAUUGUAUUCACAACUGAAAAACCAUGGUGGUUGAUUAAGAUCGUGGAGCGAAUUCAACAAAGAUUUUCAAAAAGGUAGAGAGGCGAAUUCUUUAACGGAUUUAUUUCUUUUGAAAAACAAGCUAUGGACACAGCAGAAAACUUCAGUACUUGGUGGUAGGUGGGCAUUUUACUGUAGCUGUUUUAUAACUGUGCUGCCUAGGUGUUUUAUUGUUUGUUGUGUUGCUUGUAUUAUGUUUUCCAAGGUCCUCUCUCAUGGUAGCGUUCCCUUUUCUAUUUUUCUCUGGUGCAUUAGCUUGAAAUGGCCGUCUUAAUCCACACUUUCUGUUUAUUUCCCUAUCUUUUUAAUAAAAUUAAUGUGUCUUCGCCAAAUAAUAAUAAUAAGAUUUGCAAUAAUGAAUGGAUACUCCAAGGAAAUUUAAUUGCUCCCAGAAAAAGAGUUUGUGAAGAAUCAAAGAUUUUUUAAUUGAAUCUGAAUCGUGAUUUUAUACAAUACAUUCUUUAUUUGUUUUUAACUUGGAAUCAGAUUUAGUUCGAUACAAUAUAUAUUCAUCUUUGUGAGUUUAAUUUGUUGCAUCAGAGAUUUGGAUUUGAAUAUAUAAAAAAAGGGCUUUGUGUGUAUUAUGUUUUGGGAAUGAAUAAUUUAAAUUUUUGUGUUUUGGGGAUUAAAUAUGUCAACAUGUAUUCUGUUUGAUCUUAUUAAACAGCAGCCUUGUGUUUUGCUGUUUUUCUAUUAAGGUCCCUCAGUUUCAUCUCAAUUUUUGGAUGACAUUUUUUUAUCUUAUUAUACAGCAUGACAUUUUUUGUUUAAUAAUUUUUAUCACAAGAAAAAAGAAUAGAGUAAUGUCUAAUGACAUUAAAUAAAAUGAUAUUUAAGAAAAGGAAUAAGCAAUGAAUGUAUUGCUUGGUUUUGAAUAUAGAGAAUAAAUGUAAAAAGUUAAUAAAGAUGUGGUUGCGUAAUGGUAGAUUUUAGAUAGCAUCAGUUCAUGUAUAGGCUGAAAAUUGAACAGAGAAGCAAAUGGUGUGCGGAUGGUUGGGCUUAAAAAGGAGUUGUUCUUUCUGCUGUUAUUUUGUUCUUCACUUGAUUUAUUAAAUAACUUAUUAAAACUUGCCUCCUUUGGAGGAUGUAUGGGACCAUUGAAGCAAUCAGAGGUCAGCAGAGUUUUCCCAUUUCAGUUGGGGCUAAGCCUUGCGUUUUCUUUUUGGCUUUCCUUCCGUACCAUUUAUUGUAUGCAUUUCUUACUCAAAUUACCAGUCAAAGUAUUUAUGCUGUGCCUAAACCUUUAGAAUCCAAGUAUUAACAUCACAGGAAUAGAACAAAACAGGUCAACCCAAGGCAAAACAGACCCAAACAAUACAUCAAAAUAGCACGCCUAAGAAAAUGAGAGGAACUCAAAGAUAGAAAGAGAGAGGGUUUAAGAUUCCUUGUCGGUAUUUAUUCAACCCAUGCGUUAAUACAAAUUACAAAAACCUUCACUUACAAAAUUAAUUAUUGGACGAUCAUGUCAGCUUUGCACAUCACAAAAGAAAUUGAAUACAAACAAGUUUAUCUAUAUAUGCUUUAAUAAAAGUGUUUUUAUUUUUAUUUUUUGAAUUAUAAGAGGAGGGCAAAAUCUUAAUAGGAAGGUGAUUAGCACAACUUGAACUUAUGGCACAUUUGGGUGUGACACCUUAACCAUUAGGCCAACAUAUAAGAUUCAAGAAAAGUGUUUUUAUUGAAGAAUAGUUAGGUAUCAUCUUUUAUUUGCAGGGGUAACCUAUGUAAAAUUUUGCUUUUCUUAUUUAUAAUUAAUUCCUAAUAAACCAAAAGAUUUUAUUUGAAAAUAAAAUCACAAGUAAUUAUGAAUUUAUUUAACUAAUUUGAAAUAACAUUUGAUAGUAAACCCAAUUUACAUAUUUAUUAUACUUAACUUUGAUUAAUUAUUGAAUGAAAUAUCACUAAUUUUGAGUUUAUUAUUUGGUUUUUUAUUAGGUGUACAACUAAGGUUGUGAAGUAAAAAAAUAAAAAUAAAAAUUGGGCUGUCAUAAAAGUUUGGAUCAAAGAAUCAGUUGAAGGACCAUAAUAGAAAUUUGACAACUUUAUUUUGGAAAUUUAUUUGUAAAAAUAUUACUUUUAAAUUUCUUGAUUAGGAUAAUAUUAUAUCCUUUUAAGUUAUUUUAGAUAACUCCUUAAUAUUAGAUUAGACUAAAGAGUUGAAGUAGGAAUAGAGUUAGUUUUUGAUUUCUUUUAUUUAUUGCUCAGCAUAUGCGCAGGCAAAAGGCAACUUACGUUUUUCAGAAUCCAAUUGCUAAUUGAAUUGUUUAUCCUGUUUCAAUUCUUUCUUUCUUUUUCACUUUGUGCCAUCGCACCUCCCACCUUUCCUUUCCUUUAUAUUUUUUUCCAUUUAAUCUUUAUUAAAAACCUCCAUUAAUAUAUGCCUAAAUUCAUGUAGUAGCUACAUUUCCAUCUAGCUUUUAAGUUAAUAAAUACUUCAGUAGAGAGCGGUGAGAUAUGAAAUCGCAUUUAAAAACCUUCAAUUUAGUAUAUGGUGUUUUUUCAAUUUAGGAGAUAAACACUGUGAUCUCACAUUUAAACGACUCAUGUGGUUGAGGCUAUUGGUUCGAGUUGAACCAUUCUAGUUUGUAAGUCUAUUAAGAUCUAAAUUGUAGAGGCAUGUUUCGCAAUUAUUCGUUUGGUAAAGGUUAAUUGUUAGGCGUUCCCAUAAUUAAUUUACACACGGGUGGGUUGGCGGUCUGAGGUAUUCUUGAUCACUAUAACUAACUUAUCGAUUGAAGGAGAAAAUUUGAGCCUAAAGUUGAAAUUUCAUAUACUAGUUUAUUUAAUUAAACUUUGCUUCUGCUUAUCUUUACUAUUAUUCUUAUUUUAUUAGAUUUAAAUCAUUCACUUUAUUUUUGCACAUAUCAUCAUAUGUCGUCACACGACAGUUGCUUAAACACGCAACAUGAUUAAAUUAAGCAACAAUUUUAAAUAUUUAAAUUUUUUGGAAUUGAUACUACUUCCUAGACUACUAUUUAUUUAUUGUUUAGGCAUAGAAAUAUUAUUUUUGCUUAAUUCAACACCCAUUAACAUUUCAACAACCUUGAAAUCUAAGGAGUUUAUUAAGUGAUAAACUCAAAAAAGAAUUACUUGGGUUAGGUCAAUGUAAAUCUUUUGUGAAUUUAUACACAUCAUCAUGGCCAUAUAUAUUUUUUCAUUUAAUUGGAUAAAAAAUAUUCAGUUACAAUUUCUGAAAUUUGUUUGAAAUUAGAUCGAUGAUCUGCAAAUGAGAGGAUGAAGAUUAUAUUUCAGGAUUCCCAAUGUGAUCUUGAAAUCUAUUCGACCUCAUGACAAGAAUUUGCUGAUUCUACAGAUUAAUUUCCUAACCAAUUCAGAAAUGUAUCAUUUUCAGGUAAUUGUUUCCCAGAUGUAGAGUCUUCAAAUUCUUGCAAUUAGCCAAAGGUUGUAGAAUUGACCCUUCAAAUCAAUAGUUGUUCAUCCGAUAAUCUUUUAACGAACAAUGUUCCUCGACUUUUAUAGUGAAAUUUAUGCAUAUAGAGGUUCAAGUGUAAAAAAGAGUGGCUUAAAUUUUGAAGGCAUUCUGGAACAAAUCUCAAUUUAAUAAGAAAAAGAUUAAUUAAGAGAAAUUUCAUCCAGCUAACAGCAGCAAGUGAGGAAUAAUGAUGAUACAACUUCUUCAAAUCAGGAUCACCACCAUAUUUGACUCUGUCCCAAUCGGAUAAAAAACCCAGCAAUGAAGAAGAAGGGAACUCAAUUAUUUGUAAAAUAAACAUCUCAAAUUUUAAAACCAUAGACAGAAAUCCAAUAUUAAUCCACGGAAAUCCAUAGUAUUAAUCCACGGCAGAGGUGGGAAAAUAUUCCAAUAUUUGGUUCAAUCAUAAAUGGUCCACACAAAAAGUUUAAUUUGAUAUGCAUUAAUAUGAGAAAGUUUGUAUUACUUGUUCACAAUGGUGGUCAUUCUUUUCGAUUCAAGUUUUCAAUGUAAGUCCAUUAAACCAACUACGACUCAGCCCUGCAUAACAAGUAAGAGAUUAGAACCAAAGUCAUCUCACCAAAACUAGAAAUAAAAAUUUUAUAGCUAAGAAAGAAAAAAUUAAGUAUUUUUCAUCUCAAUAUUUAUUUUUUCUGAUAUUACAAAAUAGUUUCAAUCAAAGUUGAGGAUCGGGAUCAAACAUACAACAAUCAUGGGACUCUAAAUCAAACAAUGUCACUCACUGUCAUCCACUUGUCCCCCAAUACUUUUCUCUGUUUUUUUUUAUGUCAAUGAGUUUUUUAUAUUUAGAGGAACACUAACUUGGUAGUACUUCCGUUGAUAGGAAACAAUGCAAGGCCGACCCCGUGUAAUUUUCACUCAAGUUGAAAAUGAUGGUUUAGAGGAGAGCAGUGUCGAGAGGGAAGCAAAGAGACGGUGGAGAUGCAUCCAUGUGUGGUGGUGGGGAAACAUCACAUUUUAUUUUUUAUACUUGCUGUAAUGUUUAUGUUGAUGAGGUUGUGGUUGUGGUUGUUGUGGGCUACUGUUUUUUUUUAAUAAUUUUAAUAAUUUAUUUUUUAUGUAUUUUUUUUACAGUUUUGCAUGUUUUUAUGAUUUUUUUUUAAAUUAUAAUUUUUAAAUAUAAAGGAGGUUGAUGUAUAAACUUUAAAAAUGAAAUUUGUUAUUAUAUUAAUUAAAAAUAUAUCAUGUGAUCACUAUGUUACUUAGUCAGCGGCUAAAUGAUUAAAAUAAACAAUGUCAAUAACAUCAAUUGUAGCACCCCAAACCCGGCUCAGAAGUUAUGACCGGAUCCAGCAUGCCACAUCGAAGCGUUAAAAUUUUUUUUCCAUUCUAAGUCUAGAAAAUCGUACUUGAUGUUCAAAAGAUUAAUUCAUUAAGGGUUAAAGUGAAUGGAAGCUGUGCACCAGGUAGGAAAUCGGAAAAGAGGUGGUGAGUCCAUCGGACUGCUUAAGUACCAAGCUCCCUUCGGAUCCAAUCCUAGACAUGCAUACCGCCAUUGCCACACCUUAACGUCAUGGAUAUUUCUAGGAAACCGAUUUGAUUAAGUCAUUUUUAGGAAAAGUGAUUAAUUUUGGAAAAUACUUUCAUUGCGGAAGCUUUGCCUGUUGUCGUGUUAUUUUGAAAUCAAUUGUUGUUUUUUUGAAAUCAAUUGUUGUUUUUUUGAAAACGCGUCCUAAAGCUAUCCAGUUUCAAUAGUUAAAAUAAGUAAUACCUAUCUUAGUAAUACAUAUUAAAACCAUUAAAAAUAAAUAAGUGGCCUUAUUACAUUUAAAAGCCCAAAACCUCAAACGUAAUUAAAAGGAUGUCCAGUUCACCAGAAGAAAAUUAAACUUUCAGAACGGGUGGCCACUCCGAAUUCCCUUACAGCUCCAAGCCCACUAUGGUUGGAGAUUUCCUGCGUGGAUGAAAAUAAAAGGGGUGAGUUUGGGGAAACUCAGUGUGUAAGGAAAACUCAUUCAAAGCCCAAGUCAGCUCAAGCCUAUUGGGCCUAAGCCCAUUUAGGUAACAGUUGUAUUGGCCCAGAGCCCUUUUCAGAUUACAAUAAACUGGGCCUUAGCCCCUUAUUCAGAUAACAGUAUGGCCAUAGGCCCAUUUCAAAAUACAUGCAAUAUCAAUAAACAUAUGCAAGCCCAUUUGGGGAGACUACUCAGCCCACCAACCACUACACUCCAUCCGUACCAGCCAUACACUCCAUGUGGGGAAUAGCUCAACCCACCAGCCCAACACUCCACAGUUGCAGCCUUGCUGCUCAGUUAACAGUAAAUUGAGGCAAAGCCUCCAGUACGUGGACAAGCCACUUUCAGUACUUCCUCCGUCAAUAUCCCAAUCCCAUGCAUCAGAUAAUAACAACAUGGCAUGCAAUAAAUAACAACAGUCAAACAUGCAUUUAAGUCAAUUUAACCCUAGGGAUAUUUCGGUAAUUUAUCUCCUAGGGGUAAAACUGUAAAUUUUUCACUUUUAAAGGUAUUUCAGUAAUUUAUCUAUUUUAGGGUUUUUCAUGCAUAUUCCUACCUUUCACAUACUACAGAAUCACGUACCGAGGGUUCUUACCGAAUUGGGUCCGUUGGCCUAUCAUUCCAAUUUUGGCCCAUUAAGCCCAAAAAUAUCGAGGGCACAGAAAUCAUGCACUUUGCAGUCCAAACAUUGCAGCUUACCAAAAACAUUAAUCAAUUUACCUCACGAGCAUUCGCACACUCGCAAAUCUACAAAAUACCGGUUUUUGGCAUUUUGACUUUUUGACUUUUGCCGAUCUAGACUAAGAAAGAGGGUGUUAGUUACACACCUGUUUGCGACGAUAUGCUGACGAGAUCCACACACGAACUGCCUACAAUUGGAUUACUAACACGUUAAUCUAACUAUUCAAACACGAACUACAUAUUAACCCCUUACAAUAUUCGGCCAACCACACCUACAGAUCUUAGUAAGCUUAUAAGAAAUCAAUAAGCAACUCAUUAACAAAUUUUUGUCAAUGUUUACCACAUAAUCAUAAUUUCACUGCAAGCUGUCUUCCUGAGCAACAGUCACGAAAUCAUUUAUAACUGGAGCUACGAAACUCCAAAUCAAGUGCCGUUAAUUUUCCCUGAAAAUAGACUGAUAUAUCUUCUAUCCAUAAAAUUUUCAGAAUUUUUGGUUUAGCCAAUCAAUACCAGAUUUUUCUCAAAGUUUCCCAUGUUUCACUUUUUGACUAAUCUGACCACUCUUCAUUACGACUCAAAUUUCUCAUUGUACAGAAUUCAAAAUAUGUUCUCGUUUAUUUCAUUUGAAACUAGACUCAACAAGAUUUAAUUACAUAAUUUAUUCAGCUUCUAAUUCAUCUCCCACAAUUUAUGGUGAUUUUCCAAAGUCACAUUACUGCUGCUGUCCCAAGCAGAUUUAUUACCAAAUCACUCUUUCACACCUAACUUGCAUGCUUGUUAUUUAAACAUGUAUAUCACCAAUCAAUCAUCACAUAUCUAUGAUUUUACUUAAGUAUAAUCUCUAUUUCAUCAUUUUAAAGCACAACAUGUUAGCCGAUUUUUUCCCCUUAGCAUCUAAGGCACAUGCAUGCUCAUUUGUUUGGCUCAACUUCACCUAUCUUCCAUUUUUCAUCAAAAGAACAUGAAACAACAACCAUUUCCUUCAUUUUAAUUCAUGACUAAAUGCUCACAACACAACUAAAAACCAAAAUAUGCUUCAAGAGUUAAGGUAGAAUCAAGAAGAACUCAUGAACAUCAAGAUAGAAGCAAACUACCAUGAACUUACCUUCAAUUUUCUUCCCCAAGUGACCAAACAUUCAAGAGCUUUCUCCUCUCCUUUCUCUUCUCUAGCUUUAGGCUAUGAUGAACAAAGAUGGACAAAACUUUGUUCUUUUCACCCCUUUUUCUUUUAAUAAAAUUUCAUAUUUCAUCCAUUUAAUUCUUUAAUACAAAAGACAUAAAAUGCCCAUCAUGGAACAUUUACCUAAACCAUUAUCAUGGAACAUUUACCUAACCCAUUAUCAUGGAAUAUUUACCUAAUCCAUUAUCAAUUUGUACCAUAAAUUAUGGAUAUCAAGUGCACAUUUUGUCUACAACAACAUGAUGGCUGGCCACUUUAUGUAAAAUGGGAGGUUUGUCAUGCAAAUCCUCCUAUUUUGCACUCCUAUUUAUUUGGCCACUUCAAUUUAGCCUAUAGAAUUUUCAAACAUUUUCACAUAGGUCCUAUUUCAUAAUUUCACCCCUUUUUCUUAUGGAACAAAAAUUAACUAAAAUUGCCGGGUUCUAUCUUAAGCUUGGGCCUUCUAAAGGCCCACUAACAUAAUUAAACCUAUGCCAACAGGGGACCAAUGAAAAAUAAUAAUGAAGUAUUAAGCAUACUACCAUCAUGCCUAGAAAAAGCUUGAUCUCUCACUAUUAGCUUUGGCCAUUGGUUUUGCAAUGGCAUUUACUCCCUGUCCACUUUAAUAACAUAACCACUGCUAAUGUUGGAUGGAAAAGUUCACGAGAUGCAAGGGAUCUAGGGGAAGAAUCAAAUUAUAACAUUUUAAAUGAAUAUAAAUAUAAUUUUAUCAUUAUAUUAACUUGAAAUUUUACAAUUUCUAAAAGUAUUAAAUUAAAAAAUUUCUAUUUUGAAGGGAUAGAAUUGAAUUAUACCCUUUUAAUUUGCCUUAUUAUUUAUUUGUUUAAGUUUUUUUUUUCUCAGUCAAUUGAAUAAGAGAAAUAGAGUACAUGACUUCUAGCUGUGGCUAUAGACAAUACAUUAGAGAUACUUUACGCCACUACACUCAACAAAUUUAAUUAUAUGUUUCUAGAGGAAUUAUUUUAAUUAUUUGAAACUUGAUUUUCCCUUAGUGCAUUUAUCUUUAUAAUAACAAUAUAAUAUCAAGUUUCUUCUCCUAUUUGUUGUUGCAAUUAUUCAAUCCAAUUUAAUUGUUGUAGCACCUUAUUAUAUAAUAUUAAUUAGUUUUACAAUUUUUUAGUAUCUUAAUAUAAUCCAUUUGGCUUAAAAAAGUUAACUACAUGUUUGAUACUUUGACUGCAUUUAGCAUUAGAAAAAUAUAGGAAAAGUUGGUACAAAGAAAAAAAAAAUCAUGAAUAAUUUGAAUAUUAAACUGAAAUGAAUCCAUUCCAAAAUCUUUAAGCUCGAGAUAUUUUAUUUUUUUCAACUCAAAAUUAUCUUAAUCAAACUUGUCUUGAUUCAUUUAACUGCAAGUUCUAAAUGUUUGUUGAUUUUGAUAUAUUUAAUUAUAUGUUUUAAGUGAAACUCCUCUAAUUAGUGCAAAUUUACUUCUCUCAUGCACUUUUAUCUCUUCCAUAACAAAUUCUUAGGUAUAAUUUAAUCUUUCUUUUUCUCCUUUUGUUGUUACUUUUAUGCAAUUCCAUUUUACUAGUAAUCAAAAUAAACGUUACUUAAGGUAUAUGUUUGGAAGGUAGUAGUAUAUUAAAUUAAUCAAUCAUUUUUAUUAGCUAUACAGUGCAUGUAUUACAAUCUUAGAGUCAUCCUCGUGCAUCUAAAAAUUGUUAGAAGUAGUAUAGUAAAUUAAUCAAUCAUUUUUAUUGGCUAUAGAAUGCAUAUAUUACACCACAAAUUCAAUUCAUUUACAUUUAUUCUAUAAAGAAUAUUCAACCUCUUAAUUCUAAUUCUAUUCCAAAUUUUCUCCAAGGGCGAAUUCCAACUCUACCAUCUUCAUUGCAAUGGUGCCUCCUUUCAGAGAAUAACUUAGUUGGAGAAAUCCCUUCCUCAAUAUGCAAUUUGAGUUCCCUUAUAUCUCUCUAUUUAUAUGGGAAUAGUUUGCUUGGAACAAUUCCGAAAUGCAUUGGGAAUUGGAGUUCUUCUCUUUUGAAUAAUUAUUUUCAUGGUAAAAUACCAAAAAGUUUUGCUCAAGGUUGCACGUUACAAAGUUUUCAGAUCAACAACAACCAAUUAAAAGGGUCACUACCACGAUCUUUGGCUAAUUGCAAAGAUUUGAAGCUCCUCGAUGUUGGAAACAACUAUUUAAAUGAUACUUUCCUGGACUGGUUAGGAAAUUUGAGUCAUCUACAAGUUCUUAUCUUGAGAUCGAAUAGAUUCUAUGGUCAAGUGGUUAACUCUAAUGUUGUUGUUUCAUUCACAAAUUUGCAUGAUCUUUCUCACAAUAACUUCAGUGGCUACUUACCUAUUAAGAUUUUUGAGAAUUUGCAUGUCAUUAGAAAAGGGAAUGAAAAGCCAGAGUACAUGAGAAAUUCAAUGGCUGAUGCAUUAGCUAAUGGAACUCGGUAUUAUCAGAUGCAAGGUUUAUCUUUUACAGCAAAAGGGUUGGAAUUGAAGUUUGAAGCACUAUUAACCAGUUGGAUGGUAAUUGACUUUUCGGACAAUAAAUUUUUGGGAGAAAUUCCUAAAACACUUGGUGAACUUCAUUCACUUAUUGUGCUAAACCUCUCCCAUAAUAGCUUAACAGGUUCUAUCCCAUCAUCAUUAGGUGAUUUGUUAGAGCUUGAAUCAUUAGAUCUUUCAUCAAAUAAGCUCCAAGGAAGAAUUCCAACAGAAUUAUCAAAUAUUGGAUUCUUAGAGGUGUUAAACCUUUCUCAAAAUAAUUUAAUGGGGCCCAUUCCUCAAGGAAAACAAUUUAAUACUUUCACUAAUGAUUCCUACAUAGGAAACUUGGGUUUAUGCGGGCUGCCAUUAUCAAAUAAAUGUGGUAAUGAUGAGAAAACUCCAACCAAAAUUGAUGGAGAUGAUGAUGAAGAAUUGGAUUGGAGAUUUUCUAUAUUGAUGGGAUAUGGAUCUGGGUUGGUGCUGGGACUGAGCUUGGGGUACAUUGUACUCACAACUGAAAAACCAUGGUGGUUGAUUAGGAUCAUCGAGAGAGUUCAACAAAGAUUUGCAAAAAGGUAGAGAAGCAAACUCUUCAAUGGCUUUUUUUUUUUUUUUUUUUUUUUUGCAAAACAAGUUGCGGACAAGUAGAAAACUUCAUUGCUUGAUGGUAUGCAUGCCUUCUCCAUAGUUAUUUUAUAAUUGUGCUGACCUUCUGCUUUAUUGUAUGUUGGGUUGUUUGUAAUAUGUUUUUCUGUUGACGCACUAAAUUAUAAAGACUGUCUUAAUUGGUGCCUUCUAUGUGUUUUCAUAUCCUUUUAGCAAAAUUGAUGUCAGCUAUUUAUAAUUAGAAAAAAAAAACAAACUAUAUUUGCAAUAAGAAAUAGAUACUACAAGAGAGGUUAAUUUCUUCCAAAGAUAGAUUUGAUAAACAAUAAAGAGAGUAAAAUAACGCAAAAUUAUAAUCUACAUGACUUUUUUUACUGAAUUUGAUCUAUCAUGAUUUUAUUACCACAAUCGGUAAACUACAUAAAUAAUCAUCCCUUUAUUAAAAUUUUUUUUGUUAAAUCAUUUAAUUUUAAAAAAUUAUAAAUAAUUACUUAACUUAAUUUUCUUUUAUAUUUUUAAGUCUAAAAUCGUUAAAACUUGAUGGUUAAUUGACGUGACUGUUAAUUUAAUGAUUUGUAUUUUUAACAAUUAUUUUUAAUUCAUAUAUUUUCAUUUUAUAUAAUUAUAAAAAGAAAUGUUACCUCUGACCCAAAUACCCAAAUCAAAAGAAAAUAAAAUAAAAAAUAUAUAAAAUAGUCAAAAAACUAGAAAGUGAAAAGGAAUAAAAUUUUACCUCAGACCCACAUCCUCUAGUCAAAACUCAUUCAAGAUUCUCCCAUGGAUUUAGCUUCAACACUUCCCCAUCAUGAUAACUCAAAGCUCCCAAACUUUCCCGAAUAUCAACAAUGAUUAAAGCUUUAAAGCAACAACAAAGUCAAAGUAAUUAAUGAUACGGUAAAAAAACAACAAAGUGGGUAUUUUGUUUAACACCAUUAAAAGAGGUUAGAUUGUCAUCAGGUCGAUGGAAAAGAAAAGAAGAAGGAAUCUUGUUUUAAUUUUGAUCCGAGAGAGAAGAAAAGGCUGAAAAGGAAUAAAAGAAUAGAAAGGAGGAUUAAUGGUUCGGGAGGGUGUUAGAGAGAGAGAGAGGGGGGAGAGAUCGCAGAUGGAAAAUAGUUUUGGGUUAAUAAAUUUUUAUAAUUAUAUGACAUGGAGAUGAUGUGUAUUAAAAAUAAUUAUUAAAAAUACAAAUCACUGAGUUAACAGCUAUAUCAGUCAAAGGUUAAAUUUUGAUGUCACAUUAGGCCUAUCUAAAGGAAAAAUGAUGACCUGAUUCAAAAUGAGUCUUCUUGUUAGUUAUGUCAACAUUUUCCACAAAUUGAGUCAGAUGACAUCAAAUAAAAAAUUGAAAUUUGAUUUGAUAUGAAUCUCCAACAUUUAUUGCAUGUGAAUUUUACACGGUUUGACGGCUUUAUGUCAAGAAAUGAAUUGAUGAUAUUUAUUGCAGGUCCUAUUCCUUCCUCAGUCUUCAACAUUUUUUCAUUGCAACUAAUUUCAUUGGGAUAUAACAAUCACUUUGGUCAUCUCUUGUCGCAUAUAUUUGAUUACCUUCCUCAAUUAUAUUUUCUCGAGUUGAGUGGAUGCAAACUUUCUGGUAAGCUAAAUGAUUUGUCCUACUUUAAUAAUGUGCUUAAAACUUUCUGGAGAGAACUGUGCCUUUAGAAAUCACAAAUUUGAUCUCCCAAUAGCUUUGUUGGUGCUUUAGCUAUGUAUGGUGUUGAUUUGAAUUUUUAUUUUUUGUUUGAUUGUUACAUGUUGUUGCAUUGUAGCAAUUAUGGACUUCCUCGCUCUAGCUUUGUAAUGUUUCUAAAGAAAUGAAUUAGUUACAAUGAUACUUUUAGUUACUAGGACUUCGUAAAAUUAUAGAAUUUCACUUUGAUUUUACAAAUUUUUCUAAAGACUUCCAAAGCUAUUGGAUUUGACAAAAGUUCAGCUGUGUUUGGCUAUUUAUAAAAACUUCGCCGCAUCUCGGGUUACCUUUAAGUUCACUUUUUAUCUAUCAUAUUUCUUUGGUUUUCAUUUUUUUUUCAUCCAUUGUUAGGACGAGUAUGUAGAUCCUCCUCUACAACUAUGAAUUGUGUGAUGGGGUCUUUUAGAGUUUCCUGUGCUUGUGUUGAGCAUUGGCCUGCUGUAACACCCUUUACCCGUAUCCAACGUCGAGAUAGGGUUCGAGGCGUUAACGGACUUAAACAUUCACAACAACACAUAACAUAUUACUAACCAUGCAUGACAAACAAUCAUAUGCACAUCACCAAUAUCAAACAUAACAUAAAUAGCUAGAUUUAUAAGUCAAAAUCAUUAGCUCACUAAAGACCAAUAUACUUGGCCAAAUUAUAAUAACACAUGUAUUUUUACUUAAUCGAUUUUCCCGUUGAACUCUUCGGAAUAAUAACUAAUACUCAGUUGCCUGCACAUAUUUUCACACUUAUAGCCAAAGCUAUCUGGUACGCAUAGUAGCCUGUACUUAGUACUACACACGUGACCUAACCAUCUGAUACACGUAGUAGCCUGCACUUAGUACUACACACGUGAUCGAAGUUAUCGGGUACACAUAGUAGCCUACACUUAGUACUACACAUGCGACCUCACAAUAGAUCAUUCGUAUCGUUUCUAUUCCGAAGGCUCAACCGGGAAAUUCCUCACUUUCCAACAUGUUACAAAUUUAUUCAUAGUCUUUUUUUCAAUUUGUAAUUUACAACAAAUAGUCAUUCUAUAGGCAGCCACAUUUCAUAUGAUAACAAAAUAUAAUAAAAUAAAAAGAAUCGAUGAAUUAUUUACGUACAAACUUGUCGAAAUCUCAUCAGGUACAACCGUGUAGCAAUUCAUACAACCCAGGUAAUAGUAAUUUAACACCCAAUUCAUGUAACAAUAAUUUGCUAUUCAAUUUCACAUGACACAACAAGCAUUACAUUUUUCCAUAUCAUACAUACCAUCCAUCAACUUCUCUUAAACAUAUUAAAUUAUACAAUUUAUGCCAUAUCAACAGAGAAUUACGAUUCAUGCAUGGUAUUGCAUUAUUAUUAACACACGAACUUACAUCGAUCUAAAAACGACAAUUUACCAUUUUAGUCCAUAACCUUGUAUUUUCCUGAUUUAAGCCUGAAUCUCGAUUUCCUUCAUCUAUAAUAUCACAUUUAGCCUAAUAAUUAGUCACAUUAUUCAUACGGGUCCAAAAAUCAUAUUUUUACAAAUUUUCAUUUUGACCCCUAAACUUUUACAUAUUUGCACUUUUGCCCCAACGUUCGAAAAUUAAACUUCAUCCUAUUUUCUUGUGUUUUAUGACAUGCUGAUCAUUUUCCCCUUCUAUGGAAACAUCAAAUUCUCACUCUAACAUGUACUUAUGAACAUUACGUAUUUUUACCGGUUAUGUCAUUUUACUCGUUUUCACGUAAAAUCACUUAGAAAAAGUUGUUUAACACAAUUUCAAGCUUCAUAUUCAACCAUUAAGCAUCAAAAUACAUGCAUAUCAUUCAUGGUUAAAUUUUUAAACACAAACCCUAGCUCAAAAUAAUGGUAGAAAUAGCUAGAACAUGUUACCGGGACUUCAAAAAUGUAAAGAACAUUAAAAAUGGAGCUCGGGAUCACUUACAAAUGAGCUUGGAAAGCUUGAAAACCCUAGACAUGGUGUUUUUCAUGAAAUAUUCAGCCAUGAGGAAGAAGAUGAGCAAAUUUGGCUUAUUUUGGCAUUUUUAAUUCAUUUAAUUACCAAUUUACUAAAAUGCCCUUAAUGAAAAACUUUUAAAAAUCUAUCAUACAAUGUCCAUUUUUGUCCACAAACUUCAAAAUGGUCUAAUUACCAUUUAAAGACCUUUGAUUUAAAAACUCAUAACAAUUAAACACUUCUAACAUGUGGAACUCAACUUAUGCACUUUUUACAAUUUAGUCCUUUUGACCAAAUUGAGUGCCCAAACGUCAAAAUUUUUGAACGAAAUUUUCACGAAAUAAUUCUGUGAAAUUGUAGAACAUAAAAAUAUAAUAAAAAUGAAUUUUUCUCAUCAUAUUUUUGGUCUCAAAACCACUGUUCCGACUAGGCCCAAAAUCAGGAUGUUACACCUGCAAUGCAACAUGUGACUAUCAGCAGCUCAGCAAGCAGAUCAGCAUUGGACCUGAACCGAGAGCAGCAACUAGUUUGCUUUCUUUUGUUUAUUUUGGUUCAAUUGUAACUUGUUCAAUUUACUUGUAACUUGUUAUUUAGGUUGGUAGGAUUAGUUUUUUAUUUGAAUUUUGAUGUAAUAGUUGUUAUGUCAGCUUGCUUUUGUAUGUAAUUCAAAGAUUACAUUAGUUAUGUAUUAGUAGGAGCAGUUACAUCAUUAGGUAACUGUCCAAUUUCAUGUAACUCACUAAUAUUUUUGAAAUCAUUAAUGAAAAUAGUUGUUCGAUUAUUAUUUUUAUUCAAACUCCUUCAUUUUAUUUUUUGCUUCAAUCUUUUUGUUUUGCUUUUAUUUUUUUGGCUUGCUUGUUUGCUGCCUUUGUUCCAACAAGUGGUAAUCAGAGCCUAGGUCUUUGAGAGCCUCUGUUUUUUGGUUGUUUUAUUAUGAGAACAAAAGCUUGAGAAGAAAGAAACCUAAGCUGUUGAGUUUAUUUCAGCAAAAUGAGUUUUACACCACCUCCACCAUCUGUGUUUGCUGGUAAGAAUUACCACAUUUGGGUAGUCAAGAUGAAAACAUAUCUUCAAGCACAAGAUUUAUGGAAUGUAGUAGAAAAUGAUGCUGAACCACCUUCAUUGAGGGCUAAUCCCACGAUUUCUCAAAUAAGGCAGCAUACUGAAGAGAGUACUAAGAAGCAUAAAACAUUGGCUUGUUUGCAAAAUAAGGUGUCUGAUGUGAUCUUUACCAGGAUAAUGGCCUACAACUCACCUAAGCAAGCAUGGGAGAAGUUAAAGGAGGAGUUCAUGGGUUCAGAAAAAACAAGGCAGCAACAGUUGAUUAAUCUCAGGAGAGAUUUUAAAAAUUUAAAGAUGAAAGAUUCUGAGACUAUAAAGCAGUACUCAGAUAGGAUCAUGCCCACUGUCAACAAUAUAAGGCUCCUUGAAGAAGACUUCAGUGAGAGCAGAGUUGUUGAAAAGGUCAUCACCACUCUUCUUGAGAAGUUCGAGUCAAAGAUUUCAUCACUUGAGGAUUUAAGAGACCUGUCAGCCAUCUCACUGUUAGAGCUGAUAAACUCAUUGUAUGCACUUGAGCAUAGGAGGGCCAACAGGCAAGAAGAGCAUGCUUAAGGAGCUUUCCAAGCAAAGGCUAAAGAAGGCUCAGGUUCAAACUAUAAAGAGAAGAAGUCUUGGCUAGAUAAAAAGCAGAAACCAAGGAGAGAUGAAGGGAAUAAGAGGUUUCCACCAUGUAUCCACUACAAGAAAACCACACAUUUGGAAAAAUAUUGUUGGUAUAGGCUAGACUCUAAUACAAAAGCUGCAAACAGCUUGGUCAUGUUGAGAAGGUUGCAAAAAUAAAGGAAAGGCACAAGGUCAGUAGCAAAUGCAAGCUCAGGUUGUUGAAGACCUUUAAGAUCAAGAAGAGCAUGUCUUUACAGCCUCAUGUUUUAUAUCUUCAAGAAAAGUCAGAUGUGAUUGGCUAGUGGAUAGUGGUUGUACAUACCAUAUGGCAGCUGAUGAAAGGCUGUUUAAGGACCUCGAUAGGAAUUUUGCAUCAAAAAUCAGAAUUGGAAAUGGGAGUCAAAUUGAAGCCAAAGGCAGAGGUGAUGUGGUGAUCAACACUCGUUCAGGUAACAAAGUGAUUUUUGAUGUACUUUAUGUGCCUGACAUAGAUCAGAAUCUACUAAGUGUUGGACAGCUAGUAGAGAAAGGGUAUUCACUGAUUUUUGAGAAUGGUGCUUGUAUUGUAUGGUCAGGAGUUGGUCUCAGUAGCAAUGACUAAUAAAUGUUUCAUGCUUAACAUGAAUCAACUUGAGAAGAAGCCUUACACUAGCCUUGUUGAUAAUGUUGGUCUUUGGCAUAGGAGACUAGGCUUGUCAACUUUAGAUCACUUGAUCUGCUGCAUAAGAUGAAUUCGGUAGAUGAUAUGUCAAGAGUUGAAGUUAGAGACACUGUGUGUGAAGUUUGUCAGCUUGGUAAGCAGGCUAGGUUGCCUUUUCCAGUCAAUAAUGCAUGGAGGGCUCAAGACAGACUUGAAUUGGUUUAUUCUGAUGUUUGUGGGCCAAUGAAGACUCCUUCUUUGAAUAGCAAAUAUUUUGUUCUGUUUAUUGAUGAUCUGACCAGGUUCUGUUGGGUUUACUUCUUAAAAUAGAAGUCUGAGGUGUUUGAAGCCUUUAGCAAAUUUGAGGCACUAGCUGAAAAUCAGUCAGGUUGCAAAAUAAAGGCCUUGAGAACUGAUAAUGGCACUGAGUACUUGUCUGAAAGAUUUCAAAAGCUGUGUGAACAAGCUGGGAUUCAUCAUCAGCUAACAACAGUUUAUACUCCUUAGCAAAAUGGAGUAUGUGAGAGGAAAAAUAGAACAGUGUUGAAUAUGGCUAGAUGUUUGCUAUUUGAGAGUAAACUACCAAACAAAUUUUGGGCUGAGGCUGUCAAUACCUCAGUAUACCUGCUCAACAAGCUGGCAACUCAUGCUGUGAAGGAUAAAACUCCUUCUGAAGCUUGGAAUGGACUCAAGCCAACAAUCACACACUUAAAAGUGUUUGGCUGUAUCUGUUAUGUCCUCAUACCAGCUGAAAAAAGAACUAAGCUUGAAAGAAGGGCUGUUCCAAGAACCUUUGUAGGCUACAACAGUACUAAAAAGGGUUAUAGGGUGUUUGAUCCUUUAACAAACAAAUUUGUGGUGAGUAGGGAUAUCAGGUUUGAUGAAGAGAAGGUUUGGAACUGGAAUGGUGCUAAAGCAAGGCUGAUGGAAGAAGAUCAACCUGAUGACAACUUGGAACUAGUUGAAAACGAGCCUAGAAAUGAAGACUUAGAUGAUGUUCCUAUGAGAGGGACCAGGACUAUUGCUGACAUCUACCAAAGAUGUGAUGUUGCAAUAGUUGAACCCUUAGAUUUUGAAGAAGCUACCAGGGAUAAACAUUGGAAGAAUGCCAUGAAAGCUGAACUAGAGAUGAUUCACAAGAAUGACACUUGGGAAUUAGUGGACAGACCAUAACAUAAGAGAGUCAUAGGUGUCAAGUGGGUGUUUAGAGCCAAGUAUAAUGCUAAUGGAUCUCUGAAUAAGCACAAGGCAAGGCUUGUAGUGAAAGGCUACAGUCAGCAGUAUGUAAUCAAUUUCAUGGAGACUUUUGCACCAGUAGCAAGGCUAGAUAUAAUCAAGCUACUGUUUGUCUUAGCUGCUCAAAAACAAUGGAGGGUUCGUCAAUUGGAAGGAGGAGAUUUUUAUUGAAUAACCAGAUGGAUUUAAGUUCUAGGAAAAGAGGACAAAGUCUAUAGACUAAAAAAGGCCUUGUAUGGCCUGAAGCAAGCACCAAGGGCCUGGUAUGACAGGAUUGGCACAUACCUGUCUAGGCUCAGGUUUAAGAAAAGUGUUAAUGAAGCUACACUUUAUGUGAAGAAGUUAGAAAGAGAAACAUUGCUGAUUGUAUCGUCUUGGGCGACCCAUGCGACCAUAUCAGUAGGUCCACAGUCGUCUUGGGCGACCCGUGCGACCGUAUCAGUACAAUACACUUCCACCAAAAUAACAAUCCCAACCCCAUGCAACAUGUCAUGUAUCGUAUCAUAAUAUCUUACAUGAAUGCAGCAUACAUAUAACGUGGCAUGCUCAAAUACAGUCAUACACAUCGUAGGGAAAAUCAACCAUUUUAUCUUACAGGAUGGGGGUAUAAUAGUCAUUUUACCCUAUGGGGGUAUUUCGGUCAUUUUACCCUAUGGGGGUAUUUCGAACAUUUUACCCUACGGGGGUAUUUCCGGUAAAAUCAUUUUACCCUACGAGGGUAUUUCGGUCAUUUUACCCUACGAAGGUAUUUCGUUUAUUUUACCUUAUGAGGGUAUUUCGGUCAUUUUACCCUAUGGGGGUAUUAAAGUCAUUUUACCCUAUGGGGAUAUUUCGGUCACUAUUUCAGCCCAAAACGGCCUAAACCCAUGAGAUCGCCCAUGGUGGCCUCUCAUAAUCCAGUAACCACGUUUAUGUGUUUGGGGUUACCACACGAGCGAUCGCACGCCCAUUCGGCAUCAACGGUCUUAUUUUUUCAGCUUUUGCCGAUUUACUGUUAAGACAGUGAUUACACAUCUGUUCACGAAAACAUGUGAAAAGUCCACGAGUACUCCAACCUAAAUUCAUUCACAAGAUCUAGUUAAUUGCAUACCAAUUAACCUAUCCAAAACUCCCACCAAGAUAGCUUGCCCAAAAACUUACCCUUCACUAGAACAGAUCAAUCAUUAUGGCUUACUCACUGAAUCUGUUGUAAAAGACCAAUCAAAAGGCCUUCGGGCUAUCUGCAUUCCAAACCACACUAAUCAACUAUCAAUCUUCGAACAGUUUGUACUAGUCGAAAAGUCACUUACCGAAACGUAACGUCCAGAUACAAGAGAAAAAACAAUCAGCCACACUCACACAAUGUCGAAACUACAGAGAGUAAUAGAGGCGAAGUGUAACAAUAGUUUCCCCUAUCAACAAACGGCAGAAAGAAAGAGAGGUUUAAAAGAAAAGAUCUCAACGAUAGACAGAAGCAGAAAGGGAAACAUGAGCACUUACCGAUCGUUGGAGAACUCCUACAAAUCGAAAGCAAAACACCAACAAUUGAGUAAAGGAGAAAAGGUUCAGUCUUAAGCCGAAGGCUAGUAACCAAAAGAAUAGAAGAAGGGCAGUAGGGUAUUCGGCUACAAUAGCUAUAAUGAAAAAAGGGAGAGAGGCAAAAACAAUUGAUCCACAAAGAGCACAGUUGAGAAAGAGAGGAAAAAGAAAGAGUUCAGCCAACACACAACAAAAAGAAAGAAUCAAAAGCAGACUCGAGUGCCCUAAAACAAAGAAUGAAAAGACCUCGAAAGCACACUAGAAGCCAAAAAUGAGAAGAGAGUAUCAGAAGUUUACAAAAUCGAAAUAGAGUACUCAACUCACCCUCUAACCGAAACCUUGAAUGCUACAGUCCAAUUUCGGCACACUACUCCCACCAAAUUUGAAUUCCCCUUUUUUCUCCUAAAAUCCCUCCUGUUCACAAACCUCAGCAACCGAAAAUCCCUAUUUUUACUCCUAAAAUUCUGCUAACAACAACCCCAUUCAAAUCUGUUCAAACCUUUGGUGUUUCAAUCAAACACAACUUCCUCUCAUGGCCAUCAGUAAAAAUAAUCUCCAUUUGCACAAGCAGGGGUUUGAACCUCAGACCACUACACACUCCACACGCCACAAUCCACUAGACCAGUAGGCUCAUUCUGUCAUGUUCUUACCAAAAUAAACUUAUAACCCUACUGGCCAAAGAUAGGAGUUUUAUCCUUAAAAACCAAAAAUUUUUUGUGGAAGCCAAGGUUUGAACCCAUGACUUCCCAGACACUUUCAGAGCACACAACCACUAAACCAGACAUACUUUUGUGUCACUUUCUUGCACAAAUAAAUAUUUAUGUGCAGUCUUCUAGCUGCACCUCUGCCCAAAACUUAAUACUUCUAGGCCCAAAAUUCGAGGCAUUACAAUUCACCCCUCCUUAAAGAAUUUUCAUCCCUGAAAUUUCCACUACACCACUACGCUCCUGCUGCACACUCUAAUUCCAAAACACUACCAUAUUUCACCUGAGUGUUUUUAGUACAAUCUAUAGAUAGACCAGGACAAUGUGUCAAACCAAUACUCACCCACAUGAUUAUAAGGCCAGCUCGAGCACCUCUAUGGCCUCCGCCGCAGCCUCUUGUACCCCUUCUGCGAGUACCUUCGGUGUUUAUAAUCAAAUUACGUUUUAUCUUUGUUAACAAUUUUAUGCAGAUCAGUUUACAGUUCCAGUUUUUUAUUAUCAGAUAUUUUAUGGAAACAGAAUCAAAAUUAUAAAGUUUUAUUUUCGCACAACGCAGUGUCUAUCGGUGUCUACCGAUUUACUACAGUUUUAGUAUUCACUACAAAAGAAUUUACAGUAUGGUAUACUACCUACAACAAUCUCAUUAAUCCUACCUAUGGCAGUUUCAGUCAAAAUCAAAAUAUAGUUUUCAGAUAGAACUUAUAGGAUCGGCACGAAGACUUGGUGUACCACACAUUCAGUAAAAAUAUUUCAAAAUAUUUCAAAGCAUUUGAAACAGUUCUUUCAGAAAUUCUAAGCUUUACAAGAAGCCCAAAUCCACAACUGAGUUUUGCAACCAGACUCUAAUACCACUAAAUGUAACACCUCAAACCCGGCCUAGACGUUAUGCUCGAAUCUAGCAGUGUUACAUUGAAGUGUUUUUUUUGAAACCGUAAUUUCAUUCGAAAACUCAUUAUAUAUUAAAACCUUAUUAUAAUUAACGAAAAUUUGUAAAUCAUAUUAGAUUGUUAUUACACUUUAAAACUAUGUUGGUUGCGGAAGCUUUAAAAUUAUAUUAAGAAGACGUGGUGUUUUUGCAAAACAGUUAUCCUUUGAAAACAUGUCUUCUUCUUACAACUAGCAGUUUAUAUCAAAGCAAGUAAAAAUCCCAAAUUAAAAGUUAAAACCUUAGAGGCCUUAUUACAUAAAAAUACCCAAUUUAAACUAUAUAUAAAUAAAAGGAAAAUAUGGCAACAUGUACGGUUGUGUAGCCACCUUCGAGUCCCUCGCAGCACCGAUCUGCCUAAGGCUGGAAUUAUCUGUACAGUUAAACAAAUGGGUGAGUUUACGAAAACUCAGUGUGUAAUCCUAUAUACACAAACAAUCAAUCAAACAGUACAAUUAUAGUCUGGGCCUAAGCCCUUAUUAAAAACAGUGGCAAUAUUAGUUUAGGCUUUAUCCCAUCUCAAUACAGAAGCAGUCAAAGAUUCGGGCCUUGGCCCAUUAUAGUAACAGUAAAUAGUGCAGUAACAAUAAACAACAUGCAAGCCCUACCCAUCCAGCCUCUACACACCAUCUUCGUCCAACCCUACACACCAUGUGGGUAUAUAAUCAACCCACCCAUCUCUAAACACCAGAAUUAGCAUCGAUUACGGUACUAAAUAGUAUUGCAGCAAAGCUACCAGUAAUAUGAACGGCUUAAAUCCAUUAGUAGAUCCACAGUCUUCUUGGACGACCCGUACGACCAUAUCAGUACAGUACACUUCCUCCAAAAUAACAAUUCCAACCCCAUGCAACAUGUCAUGCAUCAUAUCAUAAUAUCUUACAUGAAUGCAAAAUACAUAUAAUGUGGCAUGCUCACAUACAGUAAUACACAUCGUAGGGCAAAUCAGUCAUUUUAUCUUACAGGGGUAUUACAGUCAUUUUACCCUAUGAGGGUAUUACAAUCAUUUUACCCUAUAAGGGUAUUUUGGUCAUUUCACCCUAUGGGUGUAUUUUGGUCAUUUCACCCUAUGAGGGUAUUUCAGUCAUUUUACCCUAUGGGUGUACUUCGGUCAUUUUACCCUAUGAGGGUAUUUUGGUCAUUUUACCCUAUGGGGGUAUUACAGUCAUUUUACCCUAUGGGGAUAUUUCGAUCACUAUUUCAUCUCAACAUGGCCCAAAAUAGCCUAAGCCUAUGAGAUCGCCCAUGGUGGCCUCUCAUAAUCCAGUACCCACGUUUAUGCGUUUGGGGUUACCACACGAGCGAUCGUAUGCCCAUGCGGCAUCAACAGUCCUAUUUUUGGCUUUUGCCGAUUUACGGCUAAGACAGUGAUUACAAUCUGUUCACAAAAACAUGCGAAAAGCCCACGAGUACUCCAACCUAUAUUCAUUCACAAGAUCUAGUUAAUCGCAUACCAAUCGACCUAUCCAAAACUCCCACCAAGAUAGCUUGCCCAAAAACUUACCCUUCACUAAAACAGAUCAGCUGAUUAUGGCUUACUCACUGAAUCUGUUGUAAAAGAGCAAUCAAAAGGCCUUAGGCUAUCUACAUUCCAAACCACACUUAUCAACUAUUAAUAUCGGAACAGUUUGUACUAGUCGAAAAGUCACUUACCGAAACGCAACAUCCAAAUACAAGAGAAAGAACAAUCGGCCACACUCAUACAAUGUCGAAACUACAGAGAGUAAUAGAGGAAAAGUGUAACAAUCAUUUCCCCUAUCAACAAACAACAGAAAGAAAGAAAGGUUUAAAAGAAAAUAUCACAACGAUAGACAGAAGCAGAAAGGGAAAUAUAAGCACUUAUCGAUCAUCAGAUAACUCCUACAAACCGAAAGCAAAACACCAACAAUUAAGUAAAGGAGAAAAGGUUCGAUCUUAAGCUGAAGGCUAGCAACCAAAAGAAUAGAAGAAGGGUAGUAGGGUAUCUGGCUACAAUAGCUAUAAUGAAAAAAGGGAGGAGGCAGAAACAAUUGAUGCACAAAGAGCACAGUUGAGAAAGAGGGGGAAAGAAAGAGUUCGGCCAGCACACAACAAAAAGAAAUAAUCAAAAGCAGAACCGAUUUCCCCAAAACAAAGAAUGAAAAGACCCUGAAAGCACAAUAGAGGCCAGAAAUGAGAAAAGAGUAUUUAGAAGUUUACAAAACCAAAAUAGAGUACUCAACUCACCUCUGACAAAAACCUUGAAUGCCACAGUCCAAUUUCGGCACACUACUCCCACCAAAUUCGUAUUCCCCUAUUUCCUCCUAAAAUCCCUCAUGUUCACAAACCUUAACAACCAAAAAUUCCUCUUUUUUACUCCCCAAAUUCAGCUAACAACAACCCCAUUCAAAUUUGUUCAAACCUUUGGUGUUUCGGUCAAACACAACUUCCUCCUAUGGCCAUCAACAAAAAUAAUCUCCAUUUGCACAAGCAGAGGUUUGAACUUUAGACCACUAGUACACUCCACACGCCACUAUCCACUAGACCAGCAAGCUCAUUUUGUCAUGUUCUUACCAAAAUAAAGUUAUAACCCUACUGGCCAAAGAUAGGAGUUUUAUCCUUAAAAACUAAUUUUCUUUUGUUGAAGCCAAGGCUUGAACCUAUGACUUCCCAGACACUUCUACAGCACACAACCACUAAACCAGACAUACGUUUGCGUCUCUUUUUUGCACAACUAAAUAUUUAUGUUUAGUCUUCUAGUUGCACCCCUACCGAAAACCUAAUACUUCUAGGCCCAAAAUUCGGGGCGUUACAAUUCACCCCUCCUUAAAGAAAUUUUGUCCCCGAAAUUUCCACUAACCACUAUGCUCCUGCUACGCACUCUAAUUCCAAAACACUACCAUAUUUCACCUGAGUGUUUUCAAUAAAAUCUAUAGCUGGACCAGGACAAUGUGUCAACCCAUUACUCAUCCGCAUGAUCAUAAAACCUAGCUCGAGCACCUCUAUGGCCUCCGUCACAGCCUCUUGUACCACUUUUACGAGUACCUCCAGUUUUUAUAAUUGAAUUGCAUUUUAUCUUUGUUAACAGUUAUAUGCAGCCCAGUUUAUAGUUCCCGUUGUUUAUUAUCAGAUAUUUUAUGGAAAUAGUAUCAAAAUUAUAAAGUUUUAUUUUAGCACAACACAGUGUCUAUCGGUGUUUAUCGAUUUACUAUAGUUUCAGUAUUCACUACAAAAAAGUUUACAGUACGGUAUACUACCUACAGCAGUCUCAGUAAUCCUACCUAUGGCAAUUUCAGUCAAAAUCAAAAUAUAGUUUUCAGAUACAACUUACAGGAUCAACACGGAGACUCGGUUACCUCACAUUCAGUAAAAACAUUUCAAAAUAUUUCAAAUCAUUUGGAACUGUUCUUUCAGAAAUUCUAAGCUUUACAAGAAGCCCAAAUCUACAGUCGAGUUUUGCAACCUGACUCUGAUACCACUAAAUGUAACACCCCAAACCCGACCUAGACGUAAUGGCUGAAUCUGGCGGUGUCACAUUGAAGUGUUUUUCUCGAAAUCAUAAUUUCAUUCGAAAGCUCGUUAUAUAUUAAAACCUUAUUAUAAUUAACGAAAAUUUGCAAAUCAUAUUAGAUUGUUAUUAGACUUUAAAACUAUGUUGGUUGCGGAAGCUUUAAAAUUAUAUUAAAAAGACGUGGUGUCUUUGCAAAACAGUUAUCUUUUGAAAACACGUCUUCUUCCUACAACUAGUAGUUUAUAUCAAAGCAAAUAAAAAACCCAAAUUAAAAGUUAAAACCUUAGAGGCAUUAUUACAUAAAAAUACCCAAUUUAAACUACUUAUAAAUAAAAGGAAAAUAUGGCAGUAUGUGCAAUUGUAUAACCACCUUCGAGUCCCUCGCAGCACAGAUCUGCCUAAGGCUGGAAUUACCUAUACAGUUAAACAAAUGGGUGAGUUUACGAAAACUCAGUGUGUCAUCCUAUAUACACAAACAGUCAAUCAAAUAGUGCAAUUAUAGUCUGGGCCUAAGCCCUUAUUAAAAACAGUGACAAUAUUAGUUUGGGCUUUAGCCCAUCUCAAUAAAAAAGCAAUCAUAUAUUCGGGCCUUGGCCUAUUAUAGUAACAGUAAACAGUGUAGUAACAGUAAACAGCAUCAAGUCCUACCCACCAGCCUCUACACAUCAUCUCCGUCCAACCCUACACACCAUGUAGGGAUAUAAUCAACCCACCCAUCUCUACACACCAGAAUUAGCACCGGUUGCGGCAUUAAAUAGUAUUGCAGCAAAGCUGCCAGUAAUAUGAACGGCUUAAAUCCAUCAAUAGGUCCAUAGUCAUCUUGGGCGACCCGUGCAACCUUAGGUCCACAGUCGUCUUGGGCGAUCCGUGCGACCAUAUCAGUACAGUACACUUCCUCCAAAAUAACAAUCCCAACCCCAUGUAACAUGUCAUGCAUCAUAUCAUAAUAUCUUACUUGAAUGCAAAAUACAUAUAACGUGGCAUGCUCACAUAUAGUAAUACACAUCGUAGGGCAAAUCAGUCAUUUUAUCUCACAGGGUAUUACAGUUAUUUUACGCUAUGGGGGUAUUGCAGUCAUUUUACCUUAUAAGGGUAUUUCGGUCAUUUCACCCUAUGGGUGUAUUUUGGUCAUUUUACCCUAUAAGAGUAUUUCGGUCAUUUUACCCUAUGAAGGUAGUUUGGUCAUUUUACCCUAUGGGGUAUUUCAGUCAUUUUACCUAAUGAGGAUAUUACAGUCAUUUUACCCUAUGGGGGUAUUUCGAUCAUUUUACCCUAUGGGGUAUUACAGUCAUUUUACUGUAUAGGGGUAUUUCAGUCAUUUUACCCUAUGAGGGUAUUUUGGUCAUUUUACCCUAUAGGGGUAUUACAGUCAUUUUACCCUAUGGGGGUAUUUUGAUCACUAUUUCAGCCCAACAUAGCCCAAAAUGGCCUAAGCCCAUGAGAUCGCCCAUAAUGGCCUCUCAUAAUCCAGUACCCACGUUUAUGCGUUUGGGGUUACCGCACGAGCGAUCACACACCCAUGCAGCAUCAAUGCUCCUAUUUCUUGGCUUUUGCCGAUGUACUGUUAAGAUAGUGAUUACACACCUGUUCACAAAAACAUGCAAAAAGGCCAUGAGUACUCAAACCUACAUUCAUUCACAAGAUCCAGUCCUACAUUCAUUCACAAGAUCCAGUUAAUCGCAUACCAAUCGACCUAUCCAAAACUCCCACCAAGAUAGCUUUGCCCAAAAACUUACCCUUCACUAGAACAGAUCAGCCGAUUAUGGCUUACUCACUGAAUUCAUUGUAAAAGACCAAUCAAAAGGCUUAGGGCUAUCUACAUUCCAAACCACACUUAUCAACUAUCAAUCUUUGAACAAUCGGCCACACUCACACAAUGCCGAAACUACAGAGAGUAAUAGAGGCGAAGUGUAACAAUCGUUUCCCCUAUCAACAAACGACAGAAAGAAAUAGAGGUUUAAAUAAAAGAUCUCAACGGUAGACAGAAGUAGAAAGGAAAAUAUGAGCACUUACCUAUCGUCGGAUAACUCCUACAAACCGAAAGCAAAGCACCAACAAUUGAGUAAAGGAGAAAUGGUUAGGUCUUAAGCCUAAGACUAGCAACCAAAAGAAUAGAAGAAGGGCAGUAGGGUAUUCGGCUACAAUAGUUAUAAUGAAGAAAGGGAGAGAGGCAGAAACAAUCGAUCCACAAAGAUCACAGUUGAGAAAGAGGGGAAAAAGAAAGAGUUCAGCCAACACACAACAAAAAGAAAGAAUCAAAAGCAGAAUCGAUUGCCCAAAAACAAAGAAUGAAAAGACCCCGAAAGCACAAUAGAAGCCGAAAAUGAGAAGAGAGUAUUCAGAAGUUUACAAAAUUGAAAUAGCGUACUCAACUCACCCUCUAACCAAAACUUGAUACGUGAUAUUCGUGACUGGUUUUAAAUAUUUAUAAUGAAUCGUUCUUGAAACUAACUAUUAUCACGAUAAAGGCAAGUGUACCUAUCGAAUAGUAGUAUAGCUUUAGCAAGACCGAAUUGUCGAACCUAAAAGAACUAAAAGUACUAGUAUUUACUGUCUUUUUAUUAUCUAGCCUAAAAAUAAAAAGGGUUGUUUAUCUAAUUAAUUAACUAUCUAAAAAAUCACAGAAAGAAAUUAGGAAAAUACUUUUUAGAAAAUUCGAUUGAUUAAGACAAUACCCAAGGAAAAAUCCACCUAGACUUCACUUGUUAUUUAACUCUGAAUCAGACGAUUGAUUCAUUCAACUUGUUCCGUAGAAAUCCCUAAGUUAUAUUAUUAUCUCUCUUGAGACUAAUAACGUCUAACCCUAGGUUGAAUAAUUGAAAUCUCUUUCUAAUUAACACCCUAGAAUUGCAUUAACUUGAUCUAUGGAUUCCCUUAUUAGGUUUCACCCUAAUUCGGUAAAAUCUUGUCACCCUAUCUCUAGGCGUGCAAUCAACUCCGCUUAAUUAUGACAAUGUUACUCUUAGACAGGGACUUUUACUCCUCGGAAUAAGUGCAUUAACUUGAAUCAAUAUCCUGAAAUACUGAAACAAGAAUUAAGAACACAUAAUUAAGAACAAGUUAAACAUUUAUCAUACAAUUCAGAUAAUAAUAACAAGAUCUGUCUUAGGUUUCAUUCCCCUUAGGUAUUUAGGGGGUUUAGUUUGUAACUAUAAAGGAAAACAUCUCAAAAGAAUAAUGAAUACAAAACAUAAAGAAAAACCCAAAACUCCUGAAGGGAAAUUGAGGGGAGAUCUUUAAUUUUGAUGAUGAAUCUGAUUUCUAAGAUAGAUCAAUCGGCUUUCUUCGAGUAAUUCAUUGCUUCCUACUCUAUGCCUCAUUUAUUCUCCUAUUCUAGGGUGUAUUUAUAGGCUUUGGAAUGCCUAAGAGCCCUUAAAAGUGACCUUUUCCAAAUAGGACUCUACUUGGACUCAAAAGUGUCCUUUUUCGAUUGCUUCAGGCCUUGGUCGAGCCUGUUAAAUAGGCAUGGGUGUGUGGUCUACCCGUGUGAGUCAUGCUUUGAUUUUUCCAAAUUGACACGGUCGUGUGGUCUGCUCGUGUAAGGAAGUCCAGGCCGUGUUGAUUUUGUACGUUGGCCCAUUUUCUCCGUUUUUAGCCUGUUUCUCGCUCUUUUUAUUCUCCUAUGCUUUCCAGAGUAUAAAACAUGAAAUUAAGGCAUUAGGAGCAUCGAAUUCACCAAAUCUAAGGAGAAAUCAUACAUAAAAUGUGCUAAGCAUGGGAUAGAAAUAUGUAUAAAUUACAAUUUAUCAAAUACCCCCACACUUAAGCAUUUGCUUGUCCUUAAGCAAAAUCCUCAACUCAUAAUCAAAAUAAAUUCUUCUCAAUUUAUAAUCCCUAUCAAUAGUAUCUCAAAAUAAUCCAUAAGUAAUCAUACAUUGAAAAUUCAACUGAAAGAACAUCAAAGUUUCAAACAUUCCAAGUUGAGCAUUUUAUCACGAAAAUAUAGGUGUUCCCCUUCAUUUAAGUGAUUACCUUUGAUUCAAAAUAUCACAAUGUUUAACAUCGUCACUAAGGAUUCGCUCAAAUCACUCGAGGUGUUUAAGGAUAACAAAAUAAGCACUCAUUAGUCAAUAUGAAAAGUUAUUACCAUAGGCUUGCAUGAAAAUCAAAUCUCCACCACUAUAUAUUGAGAUGAUACAUCAAUCAAAAGGUCUUUAAAGGGUUGUAACGUGGCUUUGGUUAGGGGAUGUUGUCACAAGCUGAAAGAAAAGGUUAGAAUCGAGAUUGAAUUGAAAAAUUACCUAACUAGAAAAAUUACUGAAAAUGAUAAACUAUAUUCCUAAUUAAAAGAUACUAGAUUUGAGCUUUUCUUCAUAGAAUAUGAAAUUACAAAAUUUAAGCUCAUAAAAAAAACUGAAUUACUACUAAUAUAUAAAUAUGAAUGUAUUUUUUUUAGGAACAAGUUAAAUAGAACAUAGUUAAGCAAUUUAUUCAAAUCAAAUCUUGACAAAAAUAGGGAUAAAAUUAAUUGAGGGGAUUUCAACAAUAAUGAGUUAUGGGUUAAUAUUGGGGAUACAUCAAGGAAUGACUUGUUAGGCUCAAGGGGGUUCACUAAGGGUUAUUUGUGAAUGUAGGCUUUUUAUGGAGUGAGUGGGUUAUACCUAGGUGCCUUUAUCCUUUUGACAUAUCAAAUCAAAUGGUGUGGUUUUGACAUGCUUAAUCAAGCAAGUUCUAGAAUAACAGUUCGAUAUCGACGCACUCAAAGCAAUAAUAAAAGUGAGCAUGAAGUAAAUAAUAGAUGCUCUAAAGGCUCAAAAUCCCACAAAAAUUAUGGCUUUUUGAUGUUUAAACCUAUGAAUUUCAACUCAAGAUAAUACCUCAACUUUGGGAAAACAACCUAAAAUAUCUAAUUCUCAAAAAUCAACUUAUCAUGCUUGAUUCUCUAAUAUCUUAAAGUUUAAACAAUCAAUGCAUGAAUGCAUAUGUUUUAAUUCAAGAUAUAUUAAUAAGCAUUAUAAACUAAUCAAAAUUCAUUCUAAUAAUGAUAUGAGAAGAUCGCAUGAGAAUAAGACAAAAUUUAGGGAUUUUUCUGAUAUAAAUAUAAAUAUCCCCCCACACUAAAGAUGUACAUUGCCUCAAUAUACAAAGAUAAAUUGAAAAAUAAAUAUAUGACCAUAAGAUAAGGAGAGAAGUGAAACUUCCUGGUUUAUGGAUGGAUUCCUUGAAUAGGAGUUAUGGAGAGCGAGUAUUGAAAAUAAAGCUGGAGGGCAAGCGUGAUGCUAAGGGAUGAAAGGAUUUUUAAGGGAAUAAUCUGAUAAUAAUCAUAAAGAUAAGCCGAGUUUAAAAAUAAAUGAGACUUCAAAUAAAUAAAAAUAAAAAUAAAGGUAAAAGAAAAUAUAAGUGGGGUAAUCUAAUUUUUAUGAGUGGCACGGUUGUAUCACACGCCCGUGUGGUUCGUGUCCAGCCUGUGUUUGUCUCGAUUUAAGAUAUCGUCACAUGGCCUGAGGACAUGUCCGUGUGUCUAGACCAUAUGGCUACAUGAUUGUGUCACACGACCGUGUGUGAUUUGGUUCGCUUCUCCCACUCCCGUGUACCUAUGCGCACGCCCGUGGUAUUUUAACAGUGUCGACCAUGGGUGUGGGGCACGGGCAUGUCGCGCGCCCGUGUUGUUUUGAUAGUUUCACCUACGGUCAUGUUACACGGUCGUGGCAACUUAUCGUAUCCCGUGUUAGGGAAAAUUUUUUACCCUGUUUGUACACAGCCAUAUCGCACGGCCGUGUCAUUCCCCGUAGUGUAAGCACGGCAUAAGGCAUGGUCAUGUGUCUGGCCGUGUGGUUUUGGAAAGCCUGUGUUCAAUGACUCGGUUAGUAUGUUAGAUGUUAAGAACUAGAAUUUAAUACUAUUAGUGCUCGGGUUACCUCCUUAGAAGCACUUAUUUAUAGUCUAAGCUCGACUUACCUCUCUGGUGUGUGAUCAUGGUGGCUCGAGAAGUUUAUACUCCUCAUCCCUACUAUCAAUUUCAUCUACAUAAGGUUUAAGCCGAGUACUGUUUACCUUGAACGUGCCGAAUUUUUGAUGACUUACCUCGACUGUACCGUAUGGAAAAAGCUAAGUACCGUAAGAGGAAUUUCUUUAUUCGGUUCAGAAGUGGAAAUGCGAGGAUUUACUGCAUCUAGUAGUACUUUAUCCCCAACUUUAAGUUGAUUUGGUGAGGUAUUUAACUCGUCAUGGCGUGGUUUUGGUUUAUUGUGUUUUCUCGGUUUAUGUGUCCGCCAUUCAUCUAGCUCUUCGAUUUGUAGCCUUCGUUCUUCAUAGAUGGGUCCUUUGUUGUUGUUUGAACAUGGCUCAUGCAGGCUCUUCGAACUUAUUUUCUGCAAAGUAGGCUGCACCAUAUGGUCAAUUUUAGUGUGACGGUCUGAAUAAUCACCUUCAAUAUUCAAUGUGUUAUUCGCGUUACAAGCUUGAAGGGUGAUUGUUUCAUCUCCCACACGAAGUGUGAGUUCACCUGUGCCAACAUCAAUAAUUGUUCUAGCAGUUGCUAAAAAUGGCCUUCCUAAAGUUAAAGGAGUGUUACUAUCCUCUUCUAUGUCUAGAACAACGAAAUCAACUGGGAACAUAAAUUCUUCAAUUUUAACGAGUACAUCUUCAAUAAUACCCCUAGGAAAUCUGAUAGUUUUAUCUGCUAAUUGAAUGCUCAUCCUAGUUUGUUUGGGUUUCCCAAGACCUAGUUGCUUAAACAUUUUAUAAGGCAUGACAUUAAUACUAGCCCCUAAAUCAGCUAACGCAUUAUUAACAUCUAAACUACCAAUUAAAUAAGGAAUUUAAAACUCCCUGAAUCUUUUAAUUUUUUGGGUAGCUUAUUCUGUAGGAUGGCUGAGCAAACUGCGUUUAGUUUCACAUGCGACGCUUCAUCUAAUUUUAAUUUAUUUGCUAGAAGCUCUUUUAGAAAUUUAACGGCGUUCGGCAUCUGCGAAAGGGCUUCAAUAAAUGGUAAGUUAAUAUGUAAUUUCUUUAAAAGCUCAAGGAAUUUACCAAAUUGUUCAUCUGAGCGGUCUUUCCUUGUCGCAUUAGGGUAUGGCACACGAGGUUUGUAUUCUGUACUUAUCGAUUUCUGCUCAUUGUGGCCUACCUCACCUUUACCUUUGCUUAUCACAAUUUCUUGCCUUAGUUCUGGUUCAGGUGUAACUAACCCUUCCCCAUCUUGACUGGUAAUCGCGUUGAGUUGCUCCCUAGGGUUAGAUUCAGUGUUGCUUUGCAGGCUACCUUGUGGUCGUUUAGAAGUCAACUUGGCAAGCUGUCCAAUCUGAGUUUCGAGCCAUUGGAUCUAUGCUUGUUGAUUUUUAAGUGUUGUCUCGGUAUUCUAAAAAUGAGUUUUUGACACCGAUAUAAACUUUGUGAGCAUCUCUUCAAGGUUUGGCUUCUUCUCUUGUUGGUAGGGUGGUUGUUGGAAGCCUGGAGGUGGUCUCUGAUUUCCUUGGCCUCCCCAUGAGAAAUUUGGGUGGUUCCUCCAACCUGUAUUGUAUGUGUUACUAUAUGGAUUGUUUUGAGAUCGAGGAUUAUUACCCAUAUAAUUUAGCUGCUCGUUCUCUAUGUUGUGGCCAUAUGGUGGGUAUUCUGAAUUGCUCGAUCCUCCGUUUACUUCGCAUUGUAUUACUAGGUGAACUUGUGAAGAACCAAGAAAGCCAUCAAUUUUUCUAUUCAAAAGUUCUACCUGAUUUGAGACCAUGGUGACCGAAUCGACGUUGAAAAUGCCGGCUGCUUUUGUUGGCUUUGUCCUUAUGACUUGCUACUGAUAAUUAUUCAGUGUCAUUUCUUCUAUAAAUUUGUAAGCCUUUUUAGGUGUUUUAUUAUUGAUAGUUCCACCAGCAGCUGCGUCAACCAUUUGUCUAGUCGAGGGAUUCAGGCCAUUAUGAAACGUUUGAACCUAUAGCCAGAGUGCUAACCCAUGGUGAGGGCAUCUUCUCAAGAGGUCCUUGUAUCUCUCCCAUGCAUCGUCAAGUGUUUCUAAAUCCAUCUGCACAAAAGAAGAGAUAUCAUUACGUAAUUUAGCCGUUUUAGCCGGCGAAAAAUAUUUUAAUAAAAACUUUUCAGUCAUUUGUUCCCAAGUAGUAAUUGACCCUCGUGGUAACGAGUUCAACCACUGUUUAACUUUGUUCUUCAAUGAAAAGGGAAACAAUCGAAGACGUAUGGCAUUUUCAGAAACGCCAUUGAUUUUAAAUGUAUCACAGAAUUCCAGGAAAUUCACCAAAUGAGUAUUUGGAUCCUCAUCCUGCAAACCAUCAAACUGAACAAACUGUUGUAUCAUUUGAAUUGUGCUAGGUUUUAGUUCAAAAUUAUUUGCAGCAAUAGCAAGUCUAACUAUACUCGAUUCAGUUCCUAUUAAAGUAGGUUUAGCAUAAUCAUACAUAUUGUGUGGAACAGGAUUCUGAUUUACUGGAUUAACAACAAUCGCAGGAGGUAUCGGGUUAUCCUGAUUUUCAGCCAUCUCCUCGGUUGUGGUUUGAAUAUCGUUCUCUUGCUCGUCCUCAGUGUAUCUUAAGCUUCGCCUUAUUUCUCUUUGGUUUCAGCGAACUGUGCGAUCGAACUCACUAUCAAAAGUAAUGGUCCUGGCGGGUUUCUUCUAGUCAUAAACUAUAAUAACCUGUCAGAAAAAGGGAAAAGAGGAAUUAUAAUAAAAAUUAAAAUAAAAUUUAAAUUGCAGUAAAAGUAAAUGGCUAAAGUAAUAAAAAUAGAGUGUUCCUAAUAUCUUAGUUCCCCGGCAACAGCGCCAAAAACUUAAUACGUGAUAUUCGUGGCAGGUUUUAAAUAUUUAUAAUGAAUCAUUCUUGAAACUAACUAUUAUCACGAUGAAGGCAAGUGUACCUAUCGAACAGUAGUAUAACUUUAACAAGACCGGAUUGCCGAACCCAAAGGAACUAAAAGUACUAGUAUUUACUGUCUUUUUAUUAUCUAGCCUAAAAAUAAAAAAGGUUGUCUAUCUAAUUAAUUAAUUAACUAAGAAAUCACAAAAAGAAAUUGGGAAAAUAUUUUUUAGAAAAUUCGAUUGAUUAAGACAAUACCCAAGGAAAAAUCCACCUAGACUUCACUUGUUAUUUAACUCUGAAUCAGACAAUUUAUUCAUUCAACUUGUUCCGUAGAAAUCCCUAAGUUAUAUUAUUAUCUCUCUCGAGACUAAUAACGUCUAGCCCUAGGUUGAAUAAUUGAAAUCUCUUUCUAAUUAACACCCUAGAAUUGUAUUAACUCGAUCUAUGGAUUCCCUUAUUAGGUUUUACCCUAAUCCGGCAAAAUCUUGUCACCUUAUCUCUAGGCGCACAAUCAACUCCGCUUAAUUAUGACAAUGUUACUCUUAGACAGGGACUUUUGCUCCUCGGAAUAAGUGCAUUAACUUGAAUCAAUAUCCUGAAAUACCAAAACAAGAAUUAAGAACACAUAAUUAAGAACAAGUUAAAUAUUUAUCAUACAAUUCAGAUAAUAAUAACAAGAUCCGUCUUGUGUUUCAUUAUCAUACAAUUCAGAUAAUAAUAACAAGAUCCGUCUUAGGUUUCAUUCCCCUUAGGUAUUUAAGGGGUUUAGUUCAUAACUAUAAAGGAAAACAUCUCAGAAGAAUAAUGAAUACAAAACAUAAAGAAAAACCCAAAACUCCUGAAGGGAAAUUGAGAGGAGAUCGUCAAUUUUGAUGAUGAAUCCAGCUUCUGAGAUGGAUCAAUCAACUUUCUUCGAGUAAUUCCUUGCUUUCUACUCUGUGCCUUCUUUCUUCUCCUCUUAUAGGGUGUAUUUAUAGGCUUUGGAAUGCCUAAGAGCCCUCAAAAGUGACCUUUUUCGAAUAGGACUCUACUUGGGCUCGAUAGGGACACGCUCGUGUGCGAUUGCUUCAGGCCGUGGCCGAGCCUGUUAAAUAGCCACAAGCGUGUGGUCUACCCAUGUGAGUCGUUCUUCGAUUCUGCCAAAUUGACACGGCUGUGUGGUCUGCCUGUGUGAGGAAGUCCAGGUCGUGUUGAUUUUGUACGUUGGCCCAUUUUAUCAGUUUUUGGGCCGUUUCUCGCUCUUUUUAUUAUCCUAUGCUUUCCUGAGUAUAAAACAUAAAAUUAAGGCAUUAGGAGCAUUGGAUUCACCAAAUCUAAGGAGAAAUCAUCCAUAAAAUGUGCUAAGCAUGGGAUAGAAAUAUGUAUACAUUACAGUUUAUCAGAAACCUUGAAUGCCAUAGUCCAAUUUCGGCACACUAAUUCCAGGAAAUUUGAAUUCCCCUCUUUCCUCCUAAAAUCCCUCUUGUUCACAAACCUCAGCAACUGAAAUUCCCUCUUUUUACUCCCUAAAUUUAGCUAACAACAACCCCAUUAAAAUCUGUUCAAACCUUUGGUGUUUCAGUCAAACACAACUUUCUUUCAUGGCCAUCAGCAAAAAUAAUCUCCAUUUGCACAAGCAGGGGUUCAAACAUCAGACCCCUAGCACACUCUACAAGCCACUAUUCACUAGACCAGCAGGUCCAUUAUGUCAUGUUCUUACCAAAAUAAACUUAUAACCCUACUGGCCAAAGAUAAGGGUUUUAUCCUUAAAAACCAAACUUUUUUUUGUGGAAGCCAAUGCUUGAACCUAUGACUUCCCAGACACUUCCAGAGCACACAACCACUAAGCCAGACAUACUUUCGCGUCACUUUCUUACACAAUUAAAUAUUUAUGUGUAGUCUCCUAGCUGCACCCCUGCCUAAAACCUAAUACUUCUAGGCCCAAAAUUUAGGGCGUUACAGUCAUGACUUACUUCCUUGGCAUGAAAGUGAACCAAUCUGAUCAAGGCAUUUUUAUCAGCCAGCAUGCCUUUCCUUUGAAGAUUCUCAACAAAUUUUGCAUGACUAAUUGCAAGGUAGUCGGCAUACCAGUAGCUCAAGGGGAGAAGCUGACUAGUAAUGGAAAUCAAGAGAGGGUUGAUGAGAAGGAAUAUCGAAGCUUAGUAGGUUGCUUGCUAUACUUAAUAGCAACAAGGCCAGAAAUUAUGUUUGGUGUUAGUCUCCUGUCAAGGUUUAUGCACUGCUAUAAUGUAAUUCAUUUUAAAGCAGCUAAGAGAAUCCUUAGAUAUGUCAAGGGGACUUUGAGCUAUGGAGUCAAGUUUGAAAAAGGAAAAGAGCUUAAGCUAAUUGGAUAUUUUGAUAGUGAUUGGGCUGGCUCUGUCGAUGACAUGAAGAGUACCUCUGGUUACUUUUUCACUCUUGGCUUAGGAGUUUUUUGUUGGAUCUCAAAGAAGCAAUAAACUGUUGCUCAAUCCAUAGCUGAAGUAGAGUACAUUGCAGCUGCAGCUGCUGUUAAUCAAGCCAUUUGGCUUAGAAAGCUGCUAUGUGAUCUGAAUGAAGAACAGGUUGAAGCAACUAAAAUUAUGGUUGAUAACCAGUUAGUAGUUGGCAUAGCUAUAAAUCCAGUCUUUCAUGGUAAGACUAAACAUUUCAAGAUUAAAUUCCAUUUUGUUCGAGAGGCUGAGCAGUCAAAAGAGAGAAGUCUUGUUCAUUGUAGCUCAGAAAAUCAAUUGGCAAAUAUUUUGACUAAGCCAUUAAGUUCUACAAGAUUUGAAGCCUUAAGAAGCAAAAUUGGUGUAUGUUACAUAUAGUCCAAGGAGGAGUGUUGAGCAUUGGCCUGCAGUGCAACAUGUGACCAUCAGCAGCUCAGCAAGCAGAUCAGCAUUGGACCUGAACCAAAUGCAGCAGCUAGUUUGCUUUCUUUUGUUUAUUUUGGUUCAAUUGUAACUUGUUCAAUUUACUUGUAACUUGUUAUUUAAGUUGGUAGGAUUAGUUUUUUAUUUGAAUUUUGAUGUAAUAGUUGUUAUGUCAGCUUGCUUUUGUAUGUAAUUCAAAGAUUACAUUAGUUAUGUAUUAGUGGGAGCAGUUAUAUCAUUAGGUAACUAUCCAAUUUCAUGUAACUCACUUAUAUUUUUGAAAUCAUCAAUGAAAAUAGUUGUUGUCCGGUUAUCAUUUUUAUUCAAACUCCUUCCUUUUAUUUUUUGCUUCAAUCUUUCUGUUUUGCUUUUGUUUUUUUGGCUUGCUUGUUUGCUGCCUUUGUUCCAACAGCUUGAUAUAUAUAUUUGGAUGCUUCAGUUUUUUGUUUUUCUUUCUUGUGUAUUGUGAUGUUUUUCUGAGGUAGGGAUUUAUAAAUUUGAGUUUCUUCAUACUAAUUAAAACUGUUUGAAGGGAUAAAGAAGAUACCUUCAUUAUCCAAAAAAAUAAAAGCAUUUGAAGCGGUCUUAAAUACUAUAAACUUAAUGAAGUUUACAUGUUUAAAAGACACUACAAGAAAAUGGAAUUUUAGGGACGUAAAAGGGGGACAAAUGUCUCCUCUAUCAUCAAUUUAAGAGUAUGAAGGAUAAUUUUUUUUUUGAAUAGGAGGAGGGCAAAGUCCUAAUUACAACGUCAUUAGUAUGAUUUGAACACUGACCACACUUAAGAUGGUGAGCACCUUGACCAUUAGGCUAACGCACUAUUUGCUGGAACAUUUUCAAGUAUUUAUAAUAUUCCAAUAACUAUAAAUGAAUGGGUGUAAUUAAUAAAAAGAUAAAUCUUUUGGUCAUUAGUCAAAAGUUGUAUAAUUUAAUUUUUGAAAAAGAAUUAUAACUAUUCAAACAAUAUACUUGAAUAGUUAUAAAAUAAAAUGAAUAAUUAUUAUUUUUCAUUUAUUCAUAAAGAUGCCUAUUGAAAGAAAUCUCUAUGAAGAGACAUGAAAAUUCCUAUAAAUAGGAAUGAGAUUUCAUUUGGAAAACAUACCGACAAAUUCUAAAAGUUCUUUCUAUCCUUCCUUAUUUUCUAAUAUUAUUAGAUUGUUCUAUAAAGAGUCACUGUAGAAAUUCUUUGUAGAAAUUGAGUUUCUUGUUAUACAUUUCUUAGUUGUAACACCCGUAACCCAUAUCCGUCGCCGGAAUAGGGUUACGGAGCAUUACCGCAGUUUACACUUCAAAAUAAAUGAAAAUUUUAAACAUUUUAAUUCACAUAAUUGUUCAUUGAAAAACCAAUCAAUAACAUGCAUAUCGUCUCUUAUACAAGCCCUUGAGGCCCUGAAAACACAUUAGAAAUAAGUCAGGACUAAAUCGGAAACUAAUAGAAUUUUUCAGGAAACAAUGAAAAUUUUCAAAACUGUAGGGGUCACACGGUCGUGUGGACAUUUGAAGUAAGACACACGGCCAUGUCCGUGCCCGUGUAACUCACUGACUUAGGUUACACGACCAAGCCAGAGCCUGACUUGCAACCCUUUGAAAGCUAUAGGGGACACACGGUCGUGCCACCUAGCUGUGUGUCACAUACGGCUGAGAUACACACCCGUGUGGACGAAAAAUAGGCCAUUUCCAAGCCAUUUUUCUCACCCAUUCAAGCACAUACCUACAACCAAAUUUUGCACAAACAGACAAGCCUUCAAAUUUCACUAAAACCAUACAUAAUCAAGCUAUCCAAAUAUGGUACAUUUGCAUACAACCAAUAUGCGCAAAGGGCACCUCAAUCUCAACACCUAAACAUGUAUAACCAUAUACUCAAAUUAACCAAAAUGUUCAACUAACUUCUAACUAAUUUUAUGCCAAAACAUACCAUUUGAUUUACCUAUCAAAUUCACACCAAAAGGUAUCAAAUGUCCCAUUCAAUAACUAGCACAAAUGGCCAUAUGUGUCAUUUAUAGCAAAUGUACCAAAUCACCACAUUUAAACAAAUCACAAGACUAAUUAUAAUAUGCAUUUUAAACUACCAUCACAUCUUUAACCAUCCAGGAAUCAUGAACCAAGAUAUCAACCAUUUUAAGGCCAAAUAUUUACAUAUCAAAACUAAUUCUAUUCAUCACCUAAAAUGCCAUAAACACAAACCAAAACAAAUGGCUACUUUAACGACCAUAAUCAUAUACAUGCCAUUAUAACCAAAACUUAAAACACCAAAAGUACCGAUAUAGCCAAUGGAUAGUAUGAUAUAACUCCUACAAGCUUCUGAUUCACUAUAAAACACGGAAAAUAACAUAGAGUAAGCAUAAAUGAUUAGUAAGUUCCUAUAAUAUAAAAUACACUUACCAUUUCAUUACAUAAUAAGUAGAUUAAACAUGGCAUAAUCUAACCACCACUUGGCCAAAGCCUAAGCAUUUACACCAAACAUUUUAGCCAUUUACACAUAUAACAUAAGCAAUAUAAUAAUGGAUGAGCGCAAUAUUUAGUCAUGUAUCAUAUGCAUAUAUCAUCCAUUUCAACUCUCAAUAUACCAUGUAUCACCAAUUCAAUGAAAUUCACAUGUUUUCAUGUCUUAGUUCAUAUCAAACUCUUACUAUUUCAUAAUGGAAUGGUGUAUGUUGAACCAUGUAAAAUACCGUUGGAUACCCGGGAUAGCUCACACAUAGUGUGCUAACUCAUAUAACUGUAAUCUGUUAAUUCCUGUACAUGAAUGCUCACAUGAGUUGUGUAUCAAAAUGCUUACACGACUUGUGGGUCAGAAUGUAGCUACAUGAUGCUACUCACACAAGAAGUGGAGUAUCUGCAACACAUGCCAAAGCUCAGCCAUCGGUAGGAUGUUCAGGACCAGCACUCGAAUCAUGUAAACCCUAAUGACAUGUCAUUUGUAUCCUACGAAUUCCUAAGGUUCAAACGAGGCUUGGUAGUCGACGUAAAAUCAUUGGAUAUGUGAUCGGUAUAUAUAUGGGGCAAUUCACAAUACAUGUAUAACUCAAUUAAAAACAUAUAAAUACAAUUUCACUACACGAACCUACAUCAAUGAUUAAAUGUAGAUACGGAGGCGACUAUUCCAAAACUUUAUCUUUGCCCAUAUCUAAAGCUGUACAAGGUUUGUCUUGAUCUAAACGAAUAAAUUCAGCUCAAUUCAAUAUUUAAUUUAUUCAACUUAACCCAAAUUCAUAUUUUAGCAAAAUUACAAUUUUUCCUUUCACUUUUGAUUUCAUUUCAAUUUAGUCUCUAUCUCACAAAUUGAAAAAUCAUGUAAUUUUCCCAAAACCCAUAAUAGUUGGAUUUCAUAUAGGUCCUUAGCAAGCCCUAUAUUUCAUUUAUUUCAUAAUUUUACCAUGUAAAAUUUAUAUUUUUCAAUUUAAUUCCUAAAUGACUAUUUCAUCCAAAAUCACUUAACAAAAAUUGUUUAUCGAACAGCAACUAUCGAUUUUCUUCCAUCAAAUAUCAAAAGAAACAUAUAUUGUAAAACCUUAAACCCGACCUAGAUGCUAUGGCCAAAUCCGGAGAUAUCACAGAUAAUGAGUUUUAAAAUUCAUAAAUUCAUUUCAAUUCUUGAUCUCAGGUUCUUUAUACCAUUUUCAAAAACGUUGAUUAAUUAGGUUGUUUGUCAAAACUUGUUUUUCAACGAAAGCUUAUCAAAUCGAUAUGUUUAUAAAAUCUGUCUUGUGUUUUUAGCAAAAAUCUCAUUUAGAUGUAAAAUUCCUUUCAGUAAAGCAUAUUAUCAUGCAUGCAAAAUAUCAAGCAAUUAAAUGCAAAACCAACAGUUAAAAGUCAUAAAGUCCAGAGGGUCCCAAAAAUUAAAAACUCUCAAAACAUUACCUAAAAAUAGAAAAUAAACCAUAAAUCAAUAUUUUCAAUACGAUUUUACAGAAGAGCGGUCACCACUGAGUCCCUGCUGCACCAAUCCACUAAAGACUAUGGAUUACCUGAACAGAAACAGAGAAACAGACGUGAGUUUACGUAAACUCAGUGUGUAACCCAACAAAAUUAAGCAUGCAACCAUACAAUCAUCAUACACAUAACCAGAAUAGAUAUAGAUAUGGACUCAUGUCCUUUUCAUAUACAGUAACAGAAUCAGAUACAUAUACAAAUAUGCAAAAUCCUACCCCAUCCUCUAUACACCAUCUCUGACCAUCCCAUCACACCAUGUGGGGUUAAAAACACCCACUCAUCCCUACACAACACGUCGCGUAAUUAAGACACAUAUCAGAUAUAAUAUGCAGCAAGAUGCCAGAAUAAAGGCAUUCAACGCCUACAGAAUACUUCCUCCAUAUACAAGACCAAUCCCAAAAUAGAUACAGAGCACAUAUGCAGAUUUAACAGAUACAACAUGCUUAACAUGCUUAUAUAAACAGAUAAUAGAUAUACAUAACAGAGACAUGCUCAAAAUAGUGUUUCAAUCUAACUGAUCAUAUAGAUUUAGUUAGCCUUUACCUCCCAAAACCUGGCCUAGAAGUUUAGAACGAAUCUCAGAUGUCACAUUGAUCACUAAAGUGAUCGUAGGUAAAUUUUUUAAAAAUAUAAGUUACCACGUCGAACCAAAACAUUUAAUUGUUUAUAAUUCAGUCUAUAGAAUUUUAGUUAAAUUUAGUAUAUGAAACCAGAAUAAUGAAAAUAGGUAAAUCUUAAAACAGAGUUUGUACCACAAUAUUAAAAACCUUACAUUUCAAAACUUAAUAGCAUAAUAGAAAUUGAAAAUGCAAACUGAUAAUAAUUCAUUUUUAGCAAGACUGUCCGAGAUUUCGCACACCGAGUCCAGUGUCAGAAUUCAGAAAAAGUACCUAAAAGGAAACACUAAGAGGGGGUAAGCUAUUCGAGCUUAGUGUGAGUUUGAAUCAAGAUAAAAACAAAAAUACAUUAUUCAAAACAGAAGUGCAACAGAAUUUUAAACAGUCAUAGAGUCAGAGAGUACUUGGAACCAACGUCCCAACCAAACUUGUCAAACAAAGUACAUCAUGUGCACACAAUAGUCUUAGUACAAAAACCAUUCAGACAACAUAAUACAGUUAACAAAUCUUACAAUCAUAACCCAAAGAUAGAUGCAGAUGAAAUGCAGACGAAUAAGAACCCACCCAUCUAGCCAACACAUAUCUCUGUCCCCCAAUCACACCACAUAAGAGCUGUCUAAGCUCAUCCAACCAAACAAACCAAUUAGGACCUCGAAAGGCCCAUCUAACCGUACACACCACAUAUGUAGACUAAGCCACUUAGAUAAUAAUACGCAGCAGGGCUAGCGUAUAUGCUGUAUUGUGUAAUACGAUAGUCCGCCGUAUAGACAGGUUACAGUUAAACUGCCAGACCAGAUAAUAGUAUUGUAUUGUGUAAUGCGGUAGUCUGCCAUAUAGAUGGGGUUGCAGUUAAACUGCCAGACCAGAUAAUAGUACGCAACAAAGCUAACGCACAUGCGGUACAGUACGAUAAAUUGUUGUACGUAUAAACCUGCCAGAUCAGAUCACAAUCAAUCUUCUUUCUCUUCACAAUCCCCCAAAACUUUACUUAUGCAAAUGUAUGAAUGCAUACCAUCUCAUAGAACAAUAAAGCUGUCGAAACCUUUUUUUUUAAAACGAGAAUCGACUUAAGUUUUGGAAACGAAAAUGAAAAAUGAGAGUCGCCACCAAUCUUUUUUGAUGAGGUGUGAUCGGGUCACCUCACAAAAGUGGUUGUUUUUAAUAAAUGGUUUGAUUUAUUUAAACAAUAAUUUUGGUCCACGCAAAUCAAGAAAACAGGUUCGGGAGUCGGUUACAUACGAGGAAGGAUUAGCACCCUCGAUACGCCCAAAAUUGGUACCUAAUUGAUUAAUUAGUGUCCUAAGAUCGAAAAUUGAAAACUUGAAAAAGUUUGAAACACGAUCCUUCCUUUUGUAAAAAAACAUUCUAACGUUAAAGACAUUCUCAUCUCGAAGCAACAAAAUGUCAUGUCCAGUGAGUUAGGACACGACAUAUCGAACUUUUGAGAAUGAGCUUGCCUUUUACUCAAAAAUUCGUAUAUUUUAACCUCUUUUUAAAAGGAUAUUCGGUUAGUUAGGGCAAACGAGGAAAAUUGAAACCCAGUAAGUUAGGGCACGUUUCCUCGAAUUUCCAAACACCGAAUAUUGCCUUUACUUGUGAAAAUCUUAUUUCGAGCUAACAAAAUGUCAUACCCAGUAAGUUAGGACACAACACCUCGUAUUUCCGAGAAUAAGCAUAUUUUCAAAACUCGUAUUGUGAUUUAAAAGAAUAUUCCGUUAUUUAGGUUAAAUGAGAAAAAUCGAAACCCAGUAAGUUAGGGCACGAUUGUCUCGAAUUACCAAAUAUGGAAUAUUACUUUCAUGAAAGAAUUAUUUUAAUGUAUCGAGUAAAAAAUAUAACGUGAUUUAUAGUAAAACAUAAAAGCAAAUUAUGGUAUUAAUACGUAUAAUAACAUAAUAAUAGGUGCGACGGAGUUAAAAACAAUAAUAUGAGCAAUUAUAAAAGAUGAAAUAAUAGCAAGGCUAGUAAUAUGUAAAUAUAAACAAAUGCAUGAGGAAAAUGAAAUGAUCGAAUACAUAAGUAAAUAAAUAAAUAAAACAUGGCAAAAUAAAAAUGACAAUGAUAACGAAAACGAUAAUAAUAAUAUAAAUAAUAAUAGUAUAAAACGAUAAUAAUAUAUAUGGUAUUAAACAUUAUAAUAAUAGUAAAAAUGUAAAUAUGAAAUAGUAGGGAACAUAUAUAUGUGAAACAUAUAAUACUAGAUUAAAAAUAUAUACAAUAUUUAUUGAAAACAGUAAUAAUAUAAAAAAAUAACUAAUAAUAACGAUAUAUAAAUAUAUACAAAUAUAUAUUAAAAUAUAUAGGAAUAAAAAGUAUAUACACAAUAUUAAAAAUAUGUAUAUAAUAUAGCGUUUAAAAAUACAUACAUAAUGUAGUUAGUAAAAAAAAUAUACACAAUAUAGUAUUAAGAAUAUACACAACAUGUAUGGUAUUAAAAAUAUAGUAUUAAAAAAACAUAAUACAUACACAUAAGUAUUGAUUAAAAAAUGCUAAUACUAAUAAUAGUAGUAAAAUACUAAUAAAUAAUAGAUAUAGUAUAAUAAUGAAAAUAUAAAUAGAUAAGAAACAUAAUAGAUGAGUAAUAAGGAAAUGAAAAUAUAAUAAUAGUCAUAAUACAAUGGUAAUAGUAAUUACAAAAAUGAUGAUAAUAAUAAUAAUAUUAAAGUAAAGUAAAUAAAAAUAAUACUAUAUAUAAAUAUAUAUAUAUACGUAUAUAAUAAAAAUACACACUAUUAUAUUAUUAUUAUUAUUAUUAUUAUUAUUAUUAUAAUAUAGAAAUACAAAAAGAAAAUAUAAUAAAAAUAUUAAAUUAAAGUAAUAAAAAAACAAUACUAUAUAUAAAUAUAUAUACAUAAAAAAUAUACACUAAUAUAUAAUAAUAAUAAUAAUAAUAAUAAUAUUGAAAUACAAAGAGUAAAUAUAAUAUAAUAAUAAUAUUAAAAUAAAGUAAUUAAAAUAAUACUAUAUAUAAAAAUAUAUAUACAUACAUAUAUAAUGAAACAUACACUAAUAUUAAUAAUAAUAACAAUAGAAGUGAUAAUAAUAAUGGCAUUAGAAUAAAAUAAAUAUAAGUGCAAAUAUAAUAAUAUAAAUAAUGUAAUAAAACAACCAAAAGUAAUAGAAAGGACAUAAUUGAAUCUGAAAACAAAAUUUUGGGGCAAAUCCGAAAUAAAUAAAAGAAGAGGGGAUUAAUUCGCACACGCAAAUAACCAGCAAGGACUAAAAUGGGUAAUAACCCUUUGUCCCAAAACGCGUAGCUUCAAAGGGACUAAAUUGGAAAAGAAAUAAAAUUUCUGGGCAUAAAUUAAAAGCAAAAAAAAUGAAAUUUAAAAGCAAAAAAAUGCGGAAGGCUAAACGCGCAAAUAGCCCUUCCGUUGAAAAAACACGCGGAUCCUUAGUGGAGCGGGUCGGAUCGGGUCAGGUCAAGGCAAAACGACGUCGUUUUGGUGCUUAAAAGGCCUGCCCAAAACGACGUCGUUUUAGAGGUCUAUUUAAGGCCAAAAUUUUUUAAAAAUAAUCACUUUCUCAUCUGUUUUAAAAAAAAUCACCUUUCUUCUUUUUUUUUCUCUACAGGUAUAUGCUCCGGCGAGGACUCUGGCCGGUCGCCGCCAUCGGCCACCGUACACGGUGGCCAAAAAUCGAAAAAAGUAUUAUUUUUUAUUUUUUUAUUUUUUUAUCUAUAUCUAUAUAUAUCUAUAUAUAUAUGCUGUUUUUUAGAAAGAAAAAUAAAAGAAAUAUGUAUAUAUGUGCGAAAGAAGAAAAUAAAGAUAAAAACAAACUAAAGAAAGACCUUUGUGAUGAAUUUGUUUUUUUUUUUAUUAGCUUGCUAUGUUUUUUUUUUAUUUUAAUCCAUUCUUUUUCGUUCCUCCCCCCCUUUACAUUAUUUUUUUGAUGGCUUUUAUAGCCUUUUACAAGUGCUUUUUCUUUUUCUACUUUCUGUCAUUUCAUUUUAAUGGUUGCAGGUGCAGAGGCGGUAGAGGUGACCCGAGUUGGUGGCCGGUGCUGCAGUGGGCAGGUGGUGGCAGAUGCAAGUGGGGAGGUUCGGUGGUUGGCAGCUUUAGGGGGCUAGGGUUACGGGAUUGGGCUAGCUUAGGUGGGCUUCUGUUGUUGUUUGGGUUAGUUUUGGGUAUUGGGCUUGGGUAGUUUUAGUUUAAUUGUUGGGUUAAUUGGUAGGGCUUUUUGAGGCCCGGGCAGAACCGGGUUUGUACAAAAGCAUUAACAGAUAAUCAAACAGAAAAGAUAUGCACACACCCAAAAAAUCAGAUUUAGAAUCAACCUCUCACACAUAACAGUUGUAGAAUGCACUUAAGCCGAAGCCUAAAUCAAAGUCUUGAUUACCCUUUUUUAAGGCUUAGCCAAGGGUUGAAACACACAAACACAUUUUCAAAUCAGAAACAUACAUAGAACCAAUUUAAGUGACUUAGGACGACACGCCCGUGUGCUCUGGUCAUGUGGGAAAUGCCUAGGCCGUGUGGGAGGUCACAAGCCCAUGUAAAAAAGGGCAUGGGAACAGGCCAUGUAAUUCACUAUCCAUUUGCACUAAAAUAGAGUCCAGGGCAGACACGGCCGUGUGAGGGUCUCACACGCCCUUGUGGGAUUCCUACAUCCCCAAAUCGGUCACACAGCCGUGUGACACCAAAUCACUAAAUCCCUAAUUCUCAAACACACACGCCCGUGUACCCAAGGGAAACAACCGUGUGAAGAUCGGCAAAAUCCCCAAAUUGGCCACACGGUCGUGUGGCACCCAAAUCAACUCGGAAACCCUAAUUUCCAAAAGCAUACGACCGUGUGUAUCGACACACGCUGUGUGGAAACCCCUAUGGCCAUGAAACCACUUCGGAACAAGCCAAAAUUAUCUAUUUAGCCAUCGAAAUAGCCCCCAAACGUUACUAAAACAAUAGUAUAUCAAAAUAUGAUAUUUUCCCCAUACUGCUUUAACAAUUAAUACCCAAAACCCACAGUUAGAGAACUCUCGAGAAUGUCAAAUCAAUAAUUAGCGAUAAUAAGGAAAAAGAAAUAGUCGAGUUUCAAAUCCCACACCUGAUUGUGAUCGGAGGCAUCCAACAAUCGACUCGACGACUAGGAAACCUAAGGCUCUUCGGAAAUUACACCCCAUCGUUUUUAAAGAGAACGAACCAAAAAGAAAAAGAAAACCAAAAUCCCAGCAAAAGAGAGAAAAAAAUAAAAAAAAAACGUGCAAAAGGAAAAAGGCAAUAAAAAUAAAAAUAAAAAUAAUAGAAGAAAAUAAAUCACUAAAUACUAAACUAAAUAAUUAAAUAAAAAUAUUUCUCUAAGACACACCCACAAGGAUUCAAACACGCGUCCCAGGGAUACACAAUUAUAGAACUAACCACUAGACUAGCAAGCUCAUUUUGUCAUCUAAUCACGCAACAAACCACCAUAGCAUACCUCAUACUCAGACCCUAGCCACUAAAACUCAAAACUUCUAACCCCCAAAAACCGAGGCAUUACAUUGCCGACCCUAUGGCAGACCCACAAUCGAUUAGGGCAACCCGUGUAACCCUACGAAAAAUUUCAGUAUAAAGGGCCCACAUGCCAAUGUGGCUUCCCUGUAUGGGCCCACAUGCUUAUGUGUCCCACACGCUCAGAUUGGCCUCAUCAUGUGGCCCACACGGCAUGGCCCAAUAGUCGACACGUCUGUGUGUCAUGCCCGUGUGGGCCCACACGCCCAACUUGGCCUAGCCUGUGUAGCCCACACGGCCACACUCGAGCCCCCACAUGGUCGUGGGCUGCAUACGACCAUGCCUUUGUCGACCACACGGCCAUGUUCUCGCACACGGCCUACCACACGAGUGACCACAUGCCCAUGUAGAGUCGACAGAUUCAUUUUUUGGCUUUUUUCGAAUCCCGUUUUUCUGCAUUUCUGGUACACAUCUGGUAUCGAAUCGAUGCAAAACUACUCCCGAGCCUUCCAAGACCUAAAAACAGUAUACCAAGAUCGAUUUAGCGACUACAUUUAUGAAUUUUUCAAUAACAAUCUGACCAAAACUUGACUUAUCAAUGUCGAAAAACACCUUGAACACCUAUCCACAGAUGAAACGAAAAUCACAGUUCGCCGACUUCUCCUACACCAUAAAAUAUAACAACAUUUCAAUCUUCAGAAAAAACGAUAAGAAAAAUUGCAAACGCAAACCCACUUACUGAUUACAUAAAACCAAAAGUUCAGAACGCACAAGAACGAGGGUUAGAUGCAAAGUCGAAGAAAAGAAAUAAAGAGAAAACCCUCUGUUAGAAAGUAAAGAUGAGGAAAUAAAAUUGGGGAUCUUUCUUUGCUUUGGAAGAUGAAAACGUCAAAAAGAAACAAGGAAUUUGGGGAAAAUCAAUAAAGAAAAAUCAAAUAUGAAAACAUAUCCCAAAUUUUCUCAAACACAACCACCCACUACUCAGAAUUUAGAUCCCACUAAUACUCUUAACCCAAAACCGAGCAAAAAUAAAAUACCCACGUCGCACAGGGAUUCGAACACAGGACCUCCAACAUACCAGCACUCUUACCACUCGAACCAAUAGGCUCAUUCUGAUAUAGGUUUAUAGGAAUUCAAUUAAAACCCACGGAACAAAGAUAGGGGUUAGUUCCAAAAAAAUAACAAAAUUUGCUAAAGAUCUCGAACUUGAGACCUCACACACACAUCCAGAAAACUUAACCACUGAAGCAGAUACACAGUUGUGUAAAAAAUUUACAGAAACAAAAACAAAUAAUUUAGGGCGUUACAACUCUACCACCUAAAAGAAAUUUUGACCUCAAAAUUUACUUGGUCAGAAUAAAUGAGGAUACUGCUAACGCAUUGCGUCCUCAGGUUCUCACGUGGCUUCCUCAGUGCCAUGAUUUUGCCACAGAACCUUCACUAAUGAUAUGGACUUCCUCCUCAGAACCUUGAUAUUGCGAUCCAAAAUCUGAACCAGCACCUUCUCGUCAAGUCCGGUCUAACCUCGAUCUCCUCAACAGAGACAACGUGAGAAUGGUCGGACUGAUAUCGCCUUAACAUCGAAACAUGAAAGACAUCAUGGAUACUGUCUAACUCUGGAGGUAGCUCUAACUGAUAAGCAAUCGGUCCCACACGCUACAGAAUCUUAUACGGCCCAAUGAACCUAAGGCACAACUUGCCCUUAAGGCCAAAUCUCAAAACCUUCUUCCACGGUAAAGCCUUAAGAAAGACGAAGUCCCUCAUAGAAUACUCAAUAUCACACAUCUUUAGAUCCGCAUAAGACUUCUGUCUAUUAGAAGCCAUUUUCAGACGAUCGUGAAUCAGUCUAACCUUAUCCUCAGUCUCAGAAACCAACUCAGGACCCAGAACUCGAUGUUCACCUAACUCAGUCCAACAUAGCGGGCUGCGACACUUACUACCAUACAGAGCCUCGUAAGGUGCCAUCUGAAUGCUAGCCUGGAAACGGUUGUUGUAGGCGAACUCAACCAGCGGCAGAUAAUCCUCCCAACUCCCUCGGAAAUCAAUCACACAACUCUGAAACAUAUCCUCCAGUAUUUGAAUCACCCUCUCAAAUUGACCAUCGGUCUGAGGAUGAAACGCAAUACUGAAGUCCAAUCUCGAACCUAGAGCCUCAUGCAAUUUCUUCCAAAAUCGAGAUGUGAAGCGAGGAUCUCUAUUAGAAAUAAUUGACACUAGAAGCCCAUGCAAUCUAAAAAUCUCGAGAUAUAGAGCUUCACUAACUUAUGUAAAGAGUAGUCGGUUUGAACCAGAAUAAAGUGAGUAGACUUGGUCAAUCGAUCUACGAUGACCCAAACAGAAUCCUUUUUAGUGAGUGUCAAAGGCAACCCACUAACGAAGUCCAUCGUCAUGCGUAAGGGAAUCUUAACUGGCUGCAACAAACCCGAAGGUAACUGGUGCCCGGCCUUAACUUGCUGGCAUGUCAGACAACGAGUAACGAAAUCAGUAACCUCACGCUCCAAACCCGACUACUAGUACAGUUCACAGAGAUCAUGAUACAUCUUAUUACCACCGAGAUGCAUAGCAUAAGAGCUAUUAUGUGUCUCCCUCAAAAUCGACUGUCUCAAAUCUGAGUCAUUCGACACACAUAUCUGGCCUCGAAAGCAUAACACACCAUUAUUAUUCAACCCAAAAUCAGAAGUAGUACCAUUCUCAAUCUGACGAAACCGCAACCCCACAAACUCAUCCCCCAGUUGCUUAUCUCAAAUGUAACACCCUGAAUUUGGGCCUAGAAGUUUUGGGCCUUGAGCAUGGGAGCGGUUAAAGGCAGCUUAUAAUAUUCUGUUGUGCAUGCAAAUUUCGUUAAUGAAGGCUUGUUUUAGUAGUUAAGUGUGCUGAGAAGUGUUGGAGAAGUCCUGGGUUCAAACCUGGACUCUAGCAAAAAUUUUGGUUUAAGGUGAAUCAAACCCUGGGUGUAGUAGGUAGGCCUUAAGAAUAUUGUUGGAGAAAUUGUGACACAAAAAGCCUUGUGGCUUAGUGGCAAGUGGCGUGUGGAGCAUUAAGGGGAGGCAUGGAUUCGAAUCCCAUGGCAAGCAAAGAGCAUUUAUUUUGCUAACAGGGGGCGGCAAGAGUUGGUGUUGAAUUUAAACUCUGAUGUUGGAGGGAUCCCACAUCGGGAAGCUAACAUAAGAGUGGAUGGGAAGCUGACUUUAAAUAGAGAGAACCAUGAGGAGAGUAAAGGUACCUUUCUUGGCUGAUCCCUUUCGCUUUAUGGCGUGCUCGUUUGGGUUGGGCGUCGGCUAAGAGUGCUCGGAGCGUGGAUUAACUCCAGUCUCCAAUCAGGUGUGUAUUUCUCACUACUCUAGUUGUUGGAUAGCUACUUCAGACCGCGAUGGGCCGAAAGGGGCCAUGUGGGCCUAAUGGGCCUACGGGCCCAAUUGGAUAAGUUGUUUGAUUCUGUAGUAAAUAUUGGACAAGGCUAGGUGAAUCGCAUAUCUGUGGCUAGGUUUGGGCUAAAAGGGCCACACGAGCGUGUGGGACCAUUUGGCCCGAGAAUGGGCUAUAGGGCCAUUUGAAUUGUUAUCCAUGUUUAGAAUACUUUAGUUUACCAAUUACUGAAAUGCCCUCGACUUGUAAAAUUACAGUUUUACCCUCGAUUUAUAAAGUUACUGAAAUACCCUUGGUUUACAAAAUUACCAAAAUACCCCUGGUUUGUAAAAUUACCAAAAUACCCUUAAUUUACAACAUUACCAAAAUACCCCUAAUUUGCAAAAUUAUCAAAAUACCCCUAGUUUGUAAAAUUACCAAAAUACCCCUAAUUUUUAAAAUUACUGAAAUACCCUUGACUUGUAAAAUUACCAAAAUACCCCUGAUUUACAGAAUUACCAUUUUACUCUUGAUUUACAGAAUUAUUAUUUUACCCUCGAUUUAUAGAUUUACUGUUUCACCCUCGAUUUAUAGAAUUACCGUUUUACCCUUUAUUUACAGAAUUACUGUUUUACCCUUGAGUUACAGAAUUAUCGUUUUACCCUCGAUUUAUAGAAUUAUCAUUUUACCCUCGAUUGUGAAAUUACUGAAAUACCCCUAUAGGGUAGAAUUAUCGAAAUACCCUUGUAGGGUAGAAUUACCGAAAUACCCCUGCAGGGUAGAAUUACCAAAAUACCCCUGUAGGGUAGAAUUACCGAGAUACCCUUGUGGGGUAAAAUUUCCAUUUUGCCCCUAGGAUGUUAAAUGACUGUUUUGCCCUUGUGGGCAAGAGACUAACUUGGACUGUGUGGUUGACGGAUUUGAUUGUGAAUAUAUGUUGGUGAUAUGAAUGACUUGACUGUGACUGUUUGAUUCAAAUAUGGGCAUAAUAUUCUGAUUAUGUAUGUUGUAUGCCAUGACAUUUAUAUCUGUUGCAUGGGAUAUAGGUUAUAUUGAUGGAGGAAGCGUUCUGGUGGCUAUGCCACAAAUAUCUGUUCUGGAGGCUCUGCCACAAUAUCUGUAUAUGGUGACUCUGUCACAAUAUCUGUUGACCGAUCGAUGGCUGAGUGUCGAUCACGUUACCGAAGGCUGUGUGCUAUUAUUGUGGGAUUCGUAUCGAUAUUGUGGACUUCGUGUCGAUUAUAGACCCGUUAUUGAUGGCUCUGUGCCAACCUAAAUAUGGCUUUGUGCCAUCUUGACUAUGGCUUCAUGCCAAACGUAUUUUACCUGUGGCUAUGUACCUAGCAUAUUUGUUGACGACUCUGUGUCGAUCAUAUUUACCGAAGGCUGUGCGCCAGUUAUAUUACUGUAACUGAUGGCUAUGUGCCGAAGUUAUUACAGUUAUCUAUGGCUUUGUGCCACGUAUUUUGUUAAGUGGCUUGUCCACGUACUGGAGGCUUUGCCUCAACUUACUGAUAACUGAGCAGCAAUGCUGCAACUGUGGAGUGUAGGGCUGGGUGGGUUGAGCUAUUCCCCACAUGGAAUGUAGGGUUGGUACGGGAGUGUAUAUGGCUGGAUUGGGUUGGGAUUGCAUUCACAUUCUGAUUCUGAUUCUGUUACUAUACUGAUUCUGAUUCUAAUUCUGUCACCUGAUUUUGAUUUUGAUUCUCAUUUUGGUUCUAAUUCUGAUAAUGUUUCUUAUUCUGUAAUGGGCUAAGGUCCAUCUGGUAUUGUCUGUUGUAAUGGGCUAAGGCCCGAUUGGUACUGAAACGGUAAGUAAGGCUGGGGCCAGACUUUUAAUUCUUUUAGAUGACUGACUGUUCCUUUUUAUAAUAGGGGAUUUCAAACUGAGUUUUCAUAAACUAACCCCGUUUAUUAACCUUUCAGGUAAUUUUUAGCCUUAGAUGGAUCAGGGUUGCGAGGGGCUCGGAGGAAGCCACACACACUGUUUAUGUUACAGUUUUGAUUAUUACCUUUAAAUGUUUUAUGUGGGUUGUAGUAAAGCCGUUGUAAAUUUUUGGAUUUCAAAUUUGGAAUUUUAUUUAUUGUUUUUAUAAUUGCUAGUAUUAGAACACGAUUUUCCAAAGAAAUUACUGUUGUUCAAAACAUCACGUAACCGCAAUUGUUUUUAAAGUAAGUUUCCGCAACUACCAAGAUUUUUACAAAGUUGUUAAGAAUGUUAUUCAGCUGAGGUUUUCUAUCAAGGUUUAAAAAGGGUAUAAGUUUUUAAUUAUUAAGAAGGGUUUUUAAUGGAAACAUGGUUUUCGAAAAACACUUCAAGGUGACACGCCAGAUUCGAGCCAAACUUCCAAGCCGGGUUUGGGGUGUUACAUCAAAUCUGUUCAAUCCAAGUCGGCUAGACUGGCAACUUGGUUAACAGACUCUCAUCAUCAAACAGGCUAAGGCGAGUAAAUAUCGCCAUCAAAUUAGACAUCGCUUUACGGGUUAGAGCAUCGGCCACCAUAUUGGCCUUACUAGGAUGACACUCAAUAGUGCAGUCGUAAUCUUUAAGUAGCUCAAUCCAUCGCCGCUGCCUAAGGUUUAGCUUCUUUUGAGUGAGGAGUUACUUGAGGCCCUUGUGAUUAGUGUAAAUGAUAUACCUCUCACCAUACAGAUAAUGCCUCCAGAUUUUCAACGCAAAGAGUACUGCAACCAACUUGAGAUCGUAUGUCGGAUAGCUCCUUUCGUGUGUCUUAAGCUGACGGGACGCAUAAGCCACAACCUUGCCAUCCUGUAUCAGAACGCAACCCAAACCAAUGUGUGACACAUCACUGUAUACCAUAAACUCAUUUUCAGAUUCAGUCUAUAUCAGAAUAGGAGCCUAAUUCAGAACAUACUUGAGCUUCUCAAAGCUCGAUUGUUGCGCAUCAGUUCAGACAAAAGGGACACCCUUACGCAGAAUCUUGGUAAAAGGAGCUACAAUCAGAGAGAACCCCUCUACAAAAUGCCGAUAAUAACCCUCCAAACCCAAAAAAUUACGAAUCUUAGACAUGUUCUUAGACUGUUUCCAAUCCAGCAAACCUCAAUCUUUCAUGGAUCAACACAAAUCCCCUCAGCAGAAACUACAUGCCCUAGAAAAGUCACCUCUCGCAACCAGAAUUCACACUUGCUCAACUUAGCAUAGAGCUACUUUUCUCGGAUUAUCUGAAGCACUAAUCUAAAAUACUCAUCAUGCUUAUCCUUAGUCUUAGAGUAUACCAAAAUAUCUUCUACAAAGACCAUGAUGAACUGACCAAGAAAGGCUGAAAUACUUGGUCUAUUAGAUCUAUGACUGCAGCCAGAGCAUUCGUCAGACCAAAAGGCAUAACUAGGAACUCAUAAUGUCCAUAGCGGGUCCUAAAUGCAGUCUUAUGAAAAUUGGCUUCCUUAACCCUCAAUUGAUGAUGCCCAGAAUGAAGAUCUAUCUUAGGGAACACUAAAGCCCCUCUGAACUGAUCAAACAAGUCAUUGAUCCUCGAAAGUGGAUACUUAUUCUUCACAGUCAACUGGUUCAACUACCGAUAAUCGAUGCACAUCCUCAUGGUCCAUCAUUUUUCUUAACAAACAGAACUGGUGUUCCCCACAGAGACACACUAAGAUGAAUGAAACCAUGAUCUAGAAGUUCUUGAAGUUGAGUCUUAAGUUUUGUAAGCUCCUUUGGUGCCAUGCGAUAGGGAGCGAUAGACACCGGAGCGGUACCUGGAAGAAGUUCAAUCCCAAACUCAACCUCUCGGUUCGAAGGUAAUCCUAGUAACUCCUCAAGAAACACAUCAAAAAAUCCCUUAUAGUUCUGAUAUCCCCAAUCAAAUAGUCUCCAGAAGCAAAAAUACUGAUGUAUGCCAAAUACGCCUCACACCCUUUUCGAACCAGUUUCUUAGCCAUAAGCGCGGAGAUCACAUAGGACAGAUAGUCUCAACGCUCACCAAUCAUAACCACCUCCCUAUCAUCUUUGGUUCUUAGAACGACUCUCUUAGUAGUGCAAUCCAAACUAACUCAGUGGUUGACCAACUAGUCCAUACCAAGAAUCAGAUCAAACUCCCCAAACGAAAGCUCUAUCAAAUCUUCAAGAAACACAGUCCCUUGCACCUCUAACGGAAUCCCUCUAUAGAGUUUACUAACCCAAACAGACUGCUUCAAUGGGCUCAGUACAUUAACCUCACUAGUAGCACUCUCAACAAAAAUUUCCCAAGGUCUCAGAUACAAUAUUAGCUACACAGGAGUGAUAGAACCUAUGUCUAUCAAAGCAGUAUAAGGCACAUCAAAUAUAAGGAACAUACUAGUGAUGACAUCAGGAGCAUCUCUAUCCUCUCGGCGUCGAGCAGCAUAAACAAGUGCAGGCUGCCUUGCCUCUAUCUAAUUAGCACCUCUGCCCGGUGCUCUCCGUUCAUGACCGAAAUCGUUACCACCCCUAGCCGAUCCAAGACCCUUAAGUAGUUGCUGAACUACCUUCGAAGGCUGCACAAAACCCGGAGCUAAAGCUUGCAUCUGAUCUACCUGCUGUGGACACUCUUUAAUACGGUGUUAUAAGGAUCCACACCUCAAAUGAGCCCCAAUCCUCCAACACUCGCCCAGAUGGCGCCUACCACAAUCACUGGAUGGCCCAGUAAGAGCAAUAAGAACCCCUACUCUAACUGGGCUAUCAAAUCUGGCCUUUUUCUUAGGCCUCAAAAUAGAAGUUGAGGGCUCCGAAUCCCUCUUGUUCUUACCCCUUUACCUGUCCCUAUUAUGGCGCUCCACGCGCUUAACAUCCUCGGCGAUCUUCGCCUUCUCCACCAAAACAACAAACUCUCACUCCCUCUAUGGAGCAAUCAGCACCCUCAGAUUAUCUCUUAAGUCAUCCUCAAAUCGGACACACCUCUCAUACUUUCCAAAAUCCCCAGCAUGGCCUAGGACAGUACGUCGUCCCCAGCGAAACGGCUUUGAGACCCAGUCUCAGAGUAUGCAAAAUUGGUGUCUCACUCGUAUCCAGAUGUGGCAUACUGACCAAAGAGGAAGAUUCAGCUCGAGCCCCCUACAGCCUCUUCCACGGCUACGAGUACCACGUCCACGAGUUCCACAUGCGCUCAUUACCUUAAUUCGAGUUUUAUCUACAUUAAAAGUUUUAUGCAUCUGUUCUAGUUAAUUAUUAAUGGAUGUUUUAUGAAUAAAUUAUUAGAAGAUUAGAAGUGUUUUCAAAAUUUUAGUCUUCUGACUAACUAAAUACAGUUUCAAAGGAUACUAACUACAGUGUUUCAGAACAGUUUUACCUUUGUUUCAGAAACACUUAUAAGAUCGGCGCUGGAGACUUAGUGAACCACAUACUUUCUCAAAUUAUUCAAAUCAUUUUAAAUUUCAUACUUUUUAAAACAAAAUUUUGGAACCCAAAAUUCACUGUUGAGUUUUGUAACCUGGCUCUAAUACCACUAAAUGUAACAUACUAAACUCGGCCUAGACAUUAUAACUGAAUCAGGAAAUUUUAAAAUUCAUAAAUUCAUUUCAGUUCUUGAUCUCAUGUUCUUUAUACCAUUUUUGAAAACAUUGAUUAAUUAGGUUGUUUGUCAAAACUUGUUUUUCAGUGGAAGAUUAUCAAAUCGAUACGUUUAUAAAAUCCAUCUUGUGUUUUUAGGAAAAACCCCGUUUAGAUGUAAAAUCCAUUUUCGUAAAGCAUAUUAUCAUGCAUGCAAAAUAUCGAGCAAUUAUAUCCAAAACCAACAGUUAAAAGUCAUGAAGUCCAGAGAGUCCCAAAAAUUAAAAACUCUCAGAACAUAACCCAAAAAUAAAAAAUAAACCAUAAAUUAAUAUUUUCAAUACGGUUUUACAGAAUAGUGGUCACCGCUGAGUCCCUACAGCAUCGAUCCGCCUAAGACUGUGGAUUACCUGAACAGAAACAGAGAAACAGAGGUAAGUUUACGUAAAAUCAGUGUGCAACCCAACAGAAUUAAGCAUGCAAGCAACAAUCAUCAUACACAUAACCAUAACAGAUACAGAUACGGACUCAUGUCCUUUUCAGAUAUAGUAACAGAAUCAGAUACAGAUACAAAUAUGCAGAAUCCUACCCCUAUCCUCUACACGCCAUCUCCAACCAUCCCAUCACACCAUGUGGGGUUAAAAACACCCACCCAUCCCUACACACCACGUUGUGUCAUUAAGACAUAUAUCAGAUAUAAUAUGCAGCAAGCUACCAGAAUAAAGGCGUUUAACGCUGUACAGAAUACUUCCACCAUAUACAAAACCCGCUUCAAAACAAAUACAGAGCACUUAUGCAGAUUUAACAGAUACUACAUGCUUAAUGAUACGUGAUAUUCAUGACAGGUUUUAAACAUUUAUAAUUAAUCGUUCUUGAAACUAACUAUUAUCACGAUGAAGGCAAGUGUACCUAUCGAACUGUAGUAUAGUUUUAGCAAGAUCGGAUUGUCGAACCCAAAGGAACUAAAAGUACUAGUAAUUACUUUAUUUUUAUUAUCUAGCCUAAAAAUUAAGGGAUUUGUUUUUCUAAACUAAAUUAACUAAACUAAAGGUGUACAGAGAGAAAAUUAGGGAAAAUACUUUUUUAGGAAAAACUGAUUGAUUAAGACAAUACCCAAGGAAAAAUCCACCUAGACUUUACUUGUUAUUUGACUCUGAAUCAGGCGAUUUAUUAAUUCGACUUGUUUCGUAGAAAUCCCUAAGUUAUAUUAUUAUCUCACUCGAGACUAAAAACGUCUAACCCUAGGUUAAUUAAUUGAAAUCUCUUUCUAAUUAACUCCCUAGUGUUGCAUUAACUCGAUCUAUGGAUCCUCUUAUUAGGUUUCACCCUAAUCCGGAAAAAUUUUAUCACCCUAUCUUUAGGCGUGCAUCAACUCCGCUUCAUUAUGACAAAGUUACUUUUAGACAGGGACUUUUGCUUCUCUGAAUAAGCGCGUUAACUUGAAUCAAUAUCCUGAAAUAUCAAAGGAAAAAUUAAGAAUACAUAAUUAAGAACAAGUCAAAUAUUUAUCAUACAAUUCAGAUAAUAAUAACAAGAUUCGUCUUAGGUUUCAUUCCCCUUAAGUAUUUAAGGGGUUUAGUUCAUAAUUAUAAAGGAAAACAUCUCAAAAUAAUAAAGAAUACAAAACAUAAAGAAAACCCAAAAACUCCUGAAGGAAAUUGAAGGGAGAUCUUCAGUCUUAGAGGAGAAUCUGGCUUCUGAGAUGGAUCAAUUGGCUUCAUUUGAGUAAUUCAUUGCUUCCUACUCUCCGUCCCCCUUUUACUCAUCUACUAGGGUGUAUUUAUAGGCUUUGGAAUGCCUAAGAGCCCCCAAAAGUGGCCUUUUCCAAAUAGGACUCUACUUGGGCUCGACAGGAACACGCCCGUGUGACACGCACGUGUGCGAUAGAUUCUAGCUGUGGCCAAGCCUGUUAAAUAGGCACGGGCGUGUGAUCUACCCGUGUAAGUCGUGCAAUAGACACGGCUGUGUGGUCUGCCCGUGUGAGGAAGUUUUUGGCCAUGUUGAUUUUGUAUGUUGGCCCAUUUUCUCCGUUUUUGGCCCGUUUCUCGCUCUUUUUACUUCCGAUGCUUUCCUAAGUAUAAAACAUGAAAUUUAGGGAUUAGGAGCAUCGACUUCACUAAAUCUAAGGAGAAAUUAUCCAUAAUAUGUGUUAAGCAUGGGAUAAAAAUAUGUAUAAAUUACGGUUUAUCACUUAACAUGCUUAUAUAAACAGAUAACAAAUAUACAUAACAUAGACAUGCUCAGGACAGUGUUUCAAUCUAACAGAUCACAUAGUUUUAGUUAGCCUUUACUGACCCUAUGGUAGGCCCACAAUCGAUUAGGAUGACUCGUGCAACCCUACGAAAAAUUUUAGUAUGAUGGGCCCACAUAUCUGUAUGGGCCCACACGCCCGUGUGGCCCAAAAGUUUUUAUUGGCCUCGCCCGUGUGGCCCACAUGGCCUAGCCCAAUAGUUAACACGCCCAUUUGUCAUGCUAGUGUGGCCCACACGUCUAAUUUGGCUUAGCUCGUGUGGCCCACACAGCCACACUUGAGCCCUCAAACGGUCGUGUGCUGUGCAUGGCCAUGCAGUGUUCUCGCACACGGCCUACCACACUAGUAACCACAAGCUCAUGUGGCAUAGAUAGAUUUGCUUUUCAGCUUUUGCUGAAUCCAGUUUUUUUGCAUUUUGAGUAUACACCUGGUAUCGAUUCGAUGCAAAACCACUAUUGAGCCUUCCAAAACCUAAAAACAAUAUACCAACAUCGAUUUAGCGACUACAUUUAUGAAUUUGCCAACAACAAUCCGACAAAAACUCCACUGACCAACAUUAAAAAACACUGUUAACAUUGAUCCACGAACGAAAUGAAAAUCAUAGUUCGUUGACUUCUUCUACACCAUAAGAUACAGUAACAUUUCAAUCUUCAAAAAAAACGAUUAGAAGAAUUACAAACGCAAACUCACUUACCGAUUACAUCGAAAGCAAAUGUUCAGAAUGCACAGGAACGAGGGUUAGAUGCAGAGUCGAAGAAAGGAAAUAAAAAGAAAACCAUUUGCCAGAUAGUAAAGAUGAGGAAAUAAAAUUAGGGAUUUUUCUUUGCUUUGGAAGAUGAAAAUGUAAAAAAAAAAGGAAUUUUGGGAAAAUCAAUAAAAAAAUAAAAUAUUAUCAAAUAUGAAAGCAUAUCCCAGAUUUUCUCAACCACAACCACCCAUACUUAUAAAUUAGAUCUCACUAAAACUCUUAACCUAAAAUCGAGCAAAAAUAAAAUAUAUACGUUCGCACAGGGAUUCGAACACGGGACCUCCAACACACUAACAUUCUUAAAACUCGAACCAAUAGCUCAUUCUGAUAUAAAUUUAUAGGAAUUUAAUUAAAACCUACUGAAUAGAGAUAGGGCUUAGUUCUAAAAAAAUAACAAAAUUUACUAAAGAUAGGGCUUGAACUUGGGACCUCUCACACAAACCCAGAACACUUAACCGCUAAAACAGAUACACAGUUGUGUCAAAAAUUUACAAAAACAAAAACAAAUAAUUUAGGGCGUUACAUAUAUUCAUUAGUGGCAAAUUUCUAAUCCUUUAACAGUUUUAUAAAUUAGUCCCCGGGCUAGUUAAAUUAAGCUACAACAAUCUCGAAAACAUAUAAAUCAUUAAAAACGGGAUGAAAAAUCUUACCAUACAAGCAAAGAAAGAUGACCGAAUGUUAAAGCUCUUCAAUGGCUUUUCUUAGCCCUAAUUUUGGUUGAAGAUAAUGGAAAAAGAUGAUAACCUUGUUUUAUUUUCUUUAAUUUUAACCUUUAUUUACCAAAUUACUAAAAUAACCUUAAAAAUUAUUCAAAAUUUUAAUAAUACCAAGCCAUGUAUAUCCACUAACUUCUUUAAGGGUCUAUUUACCAUAUAAGGACUAAUACUUUAAGGUUCUAUAGCUAUUAAAUACUUUAGCUCCUAGAACUCAAAUUUUGCACUUUAUGCGAUUUAGUCUUUUUAUCAAAUUAAGCAUGCAAAUGGUAAAAUUUCUUAAUGAAAUUUUUAUGCAGUAAUACUAUCAUGUUGUAGACAAUAAAAUAAUAAUAAAAUAAAUAUUUUCAUGUCAGACUUGUGGUUUCAAAACCACUAUUCUGAUUUAACUGAAAACGGGUUGUUAUAUUAGUGCUUAGUUGACAAUUCUUGUCAGUGCAAAAUGCAAAUAGUCAUUGGCUUCAUUGUAUCCUCGAGUUAAUUUGCUUGAAACUUAUUUCUACAUCAAAAAUAUGUGGGGGUGAAUAUAACCUUAAAGAUAGUUGCUUGAUACACGCCUUGAAGUCUUAUCCUAUUUCUUCUUUUUCAAUUUGAGUUUCGUUCAUGUGUUCGAGAUUUUCCUCAUCGGAGAUUUCUACUAAUAAUUUUAAGGUUACAUUUCAUAAUGACUACCACAACACAUGAAAGUGGAACACUAAGGGAGUUGGCUUCCAAUUUGUCAAACUUGAUCAGUUUCAUGAUGAAAAUUUUCAACGAUGGAAGAAAAAGAUGCACUUCUUAUUAUCAACUUUGAAGAUUGCCUAUGUUUUGGAUACUCCAAGACCUGAAGAGAAUGAAAACGAAUCUGUUGCUGCAACCCGAGAAAGGAAAAAAUAGGACAAUGCUGAUUAUAUGUGCAUAGGCCAUAUAUUAAAUGAUUUAUCUGAUGGUUUGUUCGACACCUACCAAAACGAGGUCACUGCUAAAGAAUUAUGGGACAAAUUAGAGACAAGAUACAUGACCAAAAAUGUUACAAGUAAGAAAUUUCUUGUCAAUCAUUUCAAUAAUUAUGAAAUGGUUGAUGGUCGUUCUGUUAUGAAAAAAUUCUGUGAUAUUGAAAAGAUGUUGAAUUAAUUUAAGUAAUAUGAUAUGAAAAUGGAUGAAAUGACUGUUGUAUCCUCCAUAAUAGACAAACUCCCUCCACCUUGAAAAGACUUUAAAAGAACUCUAAAACAUAAGAAAAAGGAAAUAUCUCUUGAGGCUUUGGCAAAUCAUCUUCUUAUUGAAGAAGAAUAUUGAAAGCAAGAUCAAAACCUAAACAAUUCAAGAGAAAGUUCAAAUAUAUUGAUAGAGCACCUAAGUUCAAAAGGAAACAAAAGGGCCCAUGCUAUCAUUGUGGUAAGCUGGGACAUUUCAAGAAUGAAUGUCAAUUUUUAAAGAAGAAAUCAUCUUCUAGGGCUGAUAAAAAUGAAAAGUUCGUUGCAGUGGUAUCUGGAAUUAAUAUGGCACAAGAUGAUAAUGCAUGGUGGAUUGAUAUCGGAGCAACCAAACAUGUGUGCAAAGAAAAAAACAUGUUCACAAAGUUUACUGUAAUACCCCAAAAAUUUUUACAGUAAAAUAUUAUCCGUGAUAUAGUAAAAUAAGGAAAUAAAGUGACAAAAAGGAAAAUUUUGAGUUAUGUCAAUAUUGGGAAGUAUAUUAUAAUAUAUUAAUUCAAGAAAUGACUAAAUUGUAAAAGUAAGAAAAGUUUUGUUGCAUAAGAGUAAAUACUCAAAAUUUGAGAGUUAAAGUAUAAAUAUGAAAAAGUUGAAAGACUAAUAGUGCAAAUAUUUUAAGGGUGGAAUGAUCUAAAAACUAAGGAAAAUGGAUGAAUUACGACCAAAUUGAAUAGGUAAAGAACUAUGAGGGACUAAAUUGUAAUUUUAUUAAAUUAAAUGAUGACUCAAGGAUGGAAUUUUAAAAGAUAAUAAAGGGCAAAAUAGUCAAUUGGAAGAGAGAAAUAUAGAAAGUAAUAAUAAUGCUAGAGAUAUUUUGAUAUUUUAUAAUUAUUUAAUUAGAUAAAUAUUAUUUUAUUAAUAUUUUAAUAAGAUAUAUUUUAUUAUUUUAUUAUUAUUUUAUUAGUAUAUAAAGAAAGAAAGAUGAGGAAUUCUCAUCCAUCUUUCCCAUGCAAAACCAACGUGGGAAGAAGAAGAAUAUCAUUUUUCCAUAACUAGGAAGAGAGAAAAAUUGGAAGACUGGGAAAUUAGAAUAUCAAGUUGGUGUCUACACGUACCAAAGUUCUCCUUAAAACCACAAUCCUCUUUACUAAACCCUUUAUCCUUCACCAUCAUUCAUAAUCAGAAGAACCCUUAAUUCCUCUUCCCAGAUACUAACCAAGACCCCACUUUCUCUGUUAUUUCGAGACACUGUUUUAACAGUAAAACCCGCCGGAACUGAAACCCAGAGCAAAGGCGAAAUCAAUGAGUCGGUGAAAGAAUUUAGGAAUUUCAAAGAAAACCCAAAAGGGAAAAAGAAAGAAACAGAGAAAUUAGAUGGGAAAAAACCCAAGAAAUUCAAGUGUGUGGUUUAUUGGGGAUGAAAACAAAGAAGAAAAGAUGAAAAAGACGAUGAAAGAUAGGAGAGAAAGGGAAAAGGUAAGAGCUUUGAAGGGUCUUUCACAGUUAUCUGAGAUUUUGUCAGGCAUUUGUAUGCAAAAGGGUAUUUUAAGGAGGCUAGUUUUGUGGAAGACAACAAGUUGGAUUUUGGUUACUUUGAGAAUAGUUAUGGCAGGGAUUUUAUCAAGUUUUCUGCUUACAAUUUUGGUAAAGAUCAUCAAGAUAUUGCAAAGUAAGAACUAUUGUUUUCUCCUUUUUUUCUUUUUUAAUUUGGAUUUGACAUUGUUCGACAAUUGUUAAUGUUUUAUAUUCAUGUUGGCUGAUUGAUGUACUUCAUGUUAUAUUUGGUUGUUCUUAACAUUGUAGGGGAAAAUGGAGUAUGAGGAUUAUGGUUAUUUUGCAUUUUUCAAAGGAAUUCAUAAUAACUAGGUGGAUUGAUAAUAUUAGUUUCUUACUUCAUUGUUAUAUACUGAUCAUUUUUCCUUAAGUACCAGAGUUCGAGCAUGGAUAUAGGAUAUAUAUAUAUAUAGAAAAACAUAUAAAAAGAAUUGAGCUUAUCCAUAUUGUAUAGUUAUGGUGUAUGAGGGUAUAUAGGAAAACUUAAAAAGAAAUUCAGAAAAUAGGGAAACAGGGAUAAUCAUAUUUAAGUGCAUAGAUGCAUACAUAUGUGCAAAGCUACCGGUAUUCAUAGACACAAGUGUAUGUUCAAGCAUGUCUUUUUCAUGUAGUUAUAUUAGAGUUAUUCAUUUGGACCGAACCAUGGGUUGAGUGGCAAAAGACUUGAUAUCAAGUAUUUAAUUGAUACCAAUCUUGGGUUCAGUCCUUGGACAACCCUAAACCCUCCCCUUAUACAAAUAAACUUUAGAGGUAUUAUAAAAAUUCGCUGCAUUCUUCAGUCAAAUUGUCAAGAGAUUUAGCCAUAGCAUGCCGUAAGAAUGCAAGGUCUUAGAUUCAAGCAUUGCAAAACUGGCAGAUAUGCACUGAACUUUCACUUAAAAUCAAUGUUAGUAAUUAAGUACAUAUUAGCAGCAUAUGUUUGUCAGAGCUAUAUGAUGUUCUACUAAAAUUGUGCAAAGUUGGUUUCUAUGUGUUUGACAAAAUAUCAGGUGUGACAGAUUUUCAUUUAUUUUUUUAGUAUCAAUCAAUGAUUGUAGCAUAAUUUUUGACUUGAUAUGAUAUGGUCAACCAUAUGUACACCGAUGCAGUUUAUCUAUUAAAAUAUCAUGCUUUUAUAUAUAGCUCAUCUCCUUGCCAUCGUUUUGGGGAAUCAUUACUUCAAUGACUGUCCUUUUGCUUCUUGUAAAUAAAAUAACCUUCGAUUUUGGUAUUUGCAGAUGGUUGCUGGGAAGUCACUUGAAAAAAGUGGUGCUCUUUGGUUGCGCUUCCCUUGAUAAAAAUAAUGUCUUCGCUGGUAAGAGAUUGCGCAAGUUCUUUAAAAUUCAAGAGAACACCGUAAGCCAUUAUUCCAAUGUUUACGUACAAUCUUCGUAUGUUGUUUGUUUUACUGAUCGGUGAUCUCUUCAGGUAUGCAGUCGAUGCAUGUUAAAGGAUUCAUGCGAGUAUGCUAAUAAGAGUGUAUGGGGAAUUGGUACCAACAGUUCGCUUCUGGUUGAUGUAAUGAAAGUUAUCACUUUGUAUGCUUUAGAUUUAGUGCCUGCAAAACUCACCGUUCCGGAUGAGGUAAAAGAUUCAAUCAACCAAUUGUUGAAGGUGGUUAUAAAGUUGAGUCAACCCACAUGCCAAGACUCCUAAAAUGUUCCUACAGGUACUUAUUGUAAAUUCCUCUUACUCGGACUUCGAAGUAAGAUAUGAACAUGUUUAACUUUUGUAAUUUUCCCUAUAUUUGUAGGAUUAUAUCUCCAUAUCCAUGUCUGAAUAUGUGCUGGAUAAAUACUCAAGGGAAAAUGAACGUUAAGAGUCAGAGUGACAUAGGUAAAUUCAGCUGUAACUAUGUCAGUAUCAUCAUUUUGGCUGUUUCCCUUUGAUUUGUUCGACUCAUAAUGUUACAGAUUAUCGAUAUGAUUGCAAGAAAGACGAGCAUAGCUUUUUCUGGUGACAUGAAAGUUGUUCUUUGCAGAGAAGCACAUGUCUAAAGAUGAAUUUUCGAAGCAGAAUACGGAUGAACGAUGUAGGUAUGUAAUUUACAUUCAUGAAAUGACCCAUUUCCUUUGUUGACUGCUUGCAAGGCUCUUAGUAAUCUAGCAUCCAUAUCAGAUCAUUCAUUCAAGCCAUUUUAAUUGAGUUUUCCUUCCUUCGGUCGGUCAAGCAUACAAUAGCAGUUCGACUGGUAAACUGUUAGGCACCCGUUAAUCAAACCCGAGAUUUUUUCGUUUUAAAUAUAUUUAUGUUAGCUUAUACAUUCUUGUGAUUUGGGGUGGGAUUUGAACGUGUAUCAAUUGUUUUGGUAAAACUUUUAAUUUACUAUUGAGCUAAAACUUCAUUUUACUAUUUUUAGACAUUUUAAUUUUUAUUAUACACAUUUUAUUACUUUCAUCAAUUGAAUAUCUAUACUAUUUAUUAAGUAUUUUAUUGUGUUGGUGUUACAAGUUAACUUAACAUUGACUCAAGGUUGAUGACAACACCUUAAUAAACAAUCUAAAUCUAAUUUUUUUCAUUUUAACAUGGUACAUAUUGCAUUUGUUAUUAUUAAUUAGUUUCAAACUAUACAUUUUAUUAUUUGUUGUAUAUUAUUUUUAAAGACAUAUUUAUGUUCUAAAAUUAUAAUUUUCACACACAUACACAUAUUAAUAGAAUUUCUAAUAUAUUAUUAAUUAGCUUAUUAUAUUUUAAAAUAAUACUUUUGGAUGAAAGGAAAAAAAUUAAUGACUCAUUUGAUACUUAACAACUUUUAACGUGAGAAAAAUAUAAAAAAAUAAGGGUAAAAAGAUAUUUAAUAACUUAAAUAACAAAUUACAUGACUUAAAUGAUCCACACGUAAAUAAUUUGAAUGAUAGAUGAAACCAGAUUCAAAUUUGAAAUAUUUAAAAUUUUUUAACUUGAUCGUUUGGAAUCACUGUUUAUAAGUUACUAAUUAAAAUAAUUAAUAUAAAUGGAUUUUGCAUGUAUCAAAUUUAAUAAAAUGAUAUUUAUGUAAAAAAGUAUGCAAUUAAUGUCUUGUCUCCCACUUUGCCUUUAGCCCUCCACUGGGAGACCAUGACCGUCUUUUACUUGUAAAAAUGACUGGAUUUUUUUUUAAAGACUGCAUUGUUGUCUUGCCAAUGGAUGGAUGAAGAAUUGAAAUUAGAUUUAAGUGUUGCAUUUUGGGAUUUCCUUAGAAUCAAAUAUUUAAAGAAUAUUGAGACAACAUUACAAAAAUAUUAACUCAUCACUUGUUUCUUUUCUUAUGAUUUGUCUUUUACCCUUUCCUUACCAUCAAAAUAUUAACCCAACUUUAUGCCAAAAACUAACUUCCUCUCCCUUUUUAAGUUUGUGCUACUGUUUACAAUUUUUGGACUAUUUUUUCUGCACUAGAAAUGUCAAUUAAACUUAUUUUACUUAUUUUUAAAUUUUGAUUAAUUUAAUUAUAUGUUUCAGGGAACCCAUAUUGCAAAUUUGACUUUUCUCCAAAUACUUUCUCUUGCCCAUAAUAAAUUAACAGGUAUACUUAUGCUAACGUGAUGUAAUUGUUUUAUGCAAUACUAUUUCUAUAAUUUAUUACAUUGUUAUGUUGAAUCUGUUUUUAUUGAGUUGUGGUCUUAAUUAUAAGUGCUACUAUUGAUCAAGUCUUUCAUUUUAAGCUUUCAUUUUGUGUUGUGUAAGAUUGUGGUUAGAGUGCAAUUGGAGGUGCUCAUAGGCUUGCAUCUAUCCUAUUUAAUUUUUUACAACAAAAUUAAGUCAAGUCAGGCCAUUAUAAUGUUGAAAAAACUAAAGUCUGAAUCCAACCUAUACAAGCCGAGUCAUCUUGCUCAUCAACACUUUUAAGCCCAAUACUUGCAUGUAAUUUUUUUACUUAAAUUGUGAGUCAUGAGAUGUUGUGCCUAGAUCCUUAGAAUAAAAACUUUAAAAUAUUAAAGAUUGAUUAAAAAUUAUUAAAUUCAGUAAUUCCUCUCCUUCCGGUUUGCCUUAUACACACACAAAACUUUACGGUAGAAAUCUUGGCUUUUGAUCCUUCAUUUUUCUUUGGUUCUGAUAUUUGUUCAUCCAUAACCAUUGUUUGUUCUUGACUUGAAUUAAUCAAAGUAAUGAUUUUGAGAUUUUGGGUGAUAUAUUGAUGGUGAACCUCGUGUGCAAAAAUUUUCAAAAAGAUAUGUCUAUAUAUCUUGUUUGUUUUAUAUAUUUCAAAAUUUAGAGAUUGCCUUAACAAGAAAGAUGAGUAUUAGUGAAUAAGGCAAUAACAGUAAACAUACUCUAAAGAUAAGUCAAAGAAUAAAAGUCCAUAUUUGUGAGAAUAACUUGACAUCUUGUUGACAAAUCCUCCAUCCUUUUUAGCUGAAAGAGCAAGCAACAUUCGUAUACUAUCCAAAUGAGCUAUUGGUGCGAAUGUAUCUGAUAAAUCUACGCCAAACAUUUGUGCGUAUCCUUUGACGACCAGCCUCGCCUUAUACUUGUUCAUAGAACCGUCAGGGUGGAAUUUGGUUCUGUAAACCCAUUUAACCCCAAUAGGUUUCUUGUGCGAAGGUCUAUUCACUAGCUCCCAAGUGACAUUUUCUCAAUCAUAUUCAGCUCCUCCUACAUUGCAACCCUCCAUUUUUCAUGUUCAACAACUUCAACAAAACCGACUGGAUCAAUAACAAUAAAAAUAUUGUUGUAUUUGCAGCUUUAGCCUAGAAAUUUUUGGGCAACCUUUUCUCAUGCAAAAAACAUUGUCAUCUCCAGUAUUAUUCUAUUUUACACCAUUUCUUUUACUUCUUUUUCAUUAAUUACAUGACUAGGUUUUGAUUUUUCACCUUAAAUUUAUAAAUUUAACAAAUUAAUAAUCUCGACUUCUGCAGCAUUGCUAACCCAACCAAAUUAUUUGUAUCUACAAUUUAUAAUCUACAUUUAUAUAAUAUAUAUAUUUAUAUAUAUAUAUAUAUAACAAACAUGCAAAAUCUCUUGCAUCGAUGAAAAUGAUUAAGAGUUUUUACUAUUUUUCUAUUUUCUCAUUGCAAGGGUAUUUAUUAUUAUCAUUUAUAAUUAAGAUUUCUAGUUUCACUAAAAGUAUUUUAUUAAGAGAAUGAAUUUGAUAAUAAUAAAAAAGUUAAUUUUUAUUCAAAAUCUACAUUAAAUUAAUUUAUGUUCUGAAUUAUAAUUUAGACGUAUCUCUACCCUUUUGGUUUGCCUUAUUAUUCAUUUGUUAAAUUAAUUUUUGCGCAGGCCAUAUUUUAUAUUAUGAGAGAAACAGAGUAUAUUAAUUAUCCAAACAUGAAUAAUAAGGUCACUAUUCUUUUCCCUAGUUUCUAUUUGAUUAGUGGUCACUAUGCUUUCAUAGCGCGAAUCUUGAAACUAUUGUGAUUUGCUAUAAUUAUAAAAAUUAUAAGUCUCUAAAAAUUCCUCUAAUUUUUUCAAAAAAGUAAUUAAGCUCCCUUGUUUUUUUUUUUCUUUUUUGUAUUUAAUUUGGUAUUUAAACUUUCAAAAUACAUCAAAAUGACUCAAAUUUUUCAAAAAAAGAAAUUUAGCUCCUGUUAUUUUUUGCACUCAAUUGGAUACUUGAACUUUCUAAAUGCAUUAAAAAGGCCCUUAAACAUUUCAAAAAAAGCAAUUAAAUCCCACCUUUUUUUUUUUUUGCACUCAAUUGGUUACUUAAACUAUUAAAUGCAUCAAAAAAAACCUUUGACCAUUAAUGUUAAUAGUUAACUAUUAAAGUUAACGACCUCUAACUUUUUUUAAUUAAAGUCACCCAAUAUCACAACCAUGGCAUGACAUGUACAAAAAAUUAUAAAAAAAUAAAAAUCAAUAAAAUUUAUAACAUUAAUUAUAUUAUAAUAAAAAUAUUAAAAAAUUAAAAAAAAUAGAAAAAAUUAAAAAUUGUAAAAUUUUAUAAAAAUCAUAAAAAACAUAAAAUGCAUAAAAAAGGCCCUUUAAUUAUUAACUUUAAUCGUUGACAGUUAAAGUUAAUGACCCCAGUUUUUCAAUUAAAGCCAUCAUUUGCUGCUACAGGAUGUGACAUGUAGCAAAAAUUAAAAAAUAUAUAUAAAAAUCAAUAAAAUUUAUGGAAAAAUUAUAAAAUGCUUCUUUUAGUAAGAUAAUUUAUAUUUUUUUUACAUUUUUUUAUAAUUUUUUACGACUUUAUAAAAUUUAAUAAUUUUUUACGAUUUUCAUGAAAUUUUACAAUUUUUAUAAAAUUUUUAUGAUUUUUCUAUUUUUUAAUUUUAAAUAAAAUUUAGAUAUUUUUUAUUAAAAUUUAAUAUUUUUAUAACUUUAAUUAAUUUUUAUUUUUUAUCAUUUUUUGCCACAUGUCACGCUAUUGUUGUGACACGUGGUGGCUUUAACUGAAAAAAAAAUUAAGGGCGGUUUAAGUACCCAAUUGAGUGCAAAAAAAGGCAGGGUCUUAAUUGGUUUUUUGAAAAAGUUUGAUGGCCUUUUUUAUACAUUUUGAAAGUUCAAGUGCCUAAUUAAGUGCAAAAAAAAGUGCUUAAUUGCUUUUUUUUUUUAAGAAGUUUGAGGAUCUUUUUGAUAAAUUGUGAAAGUUCAAGUACUGAAGUGAGAAAAAAAAAAAGCAAAAACUUAUAUAUAUAUAUAUAUAUAUAUAUAUAUUUUAAGUUUGACACCCUUAAACCAAAUUAUAAACACAAAAUGUAAAUUUUAGUUACCCCUUAUAGAUAAUGCUACUAAUGCUACUACUUAGACUCCGACUCUAAAGAAAAUGUCAAUUUUCUAUUAAUUAUGUUAUUUUUUUAUUUUUAAAUUUCAAUUUUCAGGAAAGAAUUUUAUAACUAAUAAUUAAAACUUUACUAACAAUGAUAAAAAAUAAACAUCGUAUCAACUAAUUUGCUUCAUGAUUUGAGUUAUAACUUAGAGUUUCAUAAAAAAAUAGUUAAAAUUAUUUGUAGUUAUAAUAAAUAUUACAUCAAUAAGUGUUCGGUACAGUGAUAAGAUACAUUACUCUCUUAAGAAAAGAAUAAGUUUCAAGCCUUAGAGUUGAUAAUCUUGACAAAAUAACCACAAACGCCGAUCAUGAACUACAAAAUAUACAUAAAAGUACGAAAAAAAUAAUAAAUACUACAAAUUGGAGUAUAAGUAAGAUAUUACAUGUCUAUCUCUUUUAUAACAAAUUACAAAUUGUUGGUAUAGUUUCAUCUUUUAUUUGUUUUCUAUUUAUUUAUACAUUUAUAUAAUCCCUUUUUACUUUUAAGUAAUCGAAAUAAAAAUUUCUUUAGAAGGUAGUAGCAGUUUCCUUUAAUAGAUUACAAUUAAAAGUGUUGUUAUGCAUCUAAAAAUGUUUAGAAGUAGAAGAUGAGAUUUUAUAAAAUUAUGAUUCCCCGUCAUUCCUAGAGAUGACAUAGAAUCACAAUUUCAUACAAUUCUUUCUCUAGAAAUAGUGUUCUAAAUUAAUCAAUUAUUUUUAUUCAUUAUACACAUAAUGCUUGUAUUACAUCAAAAAUAUAUUUAUUUUACAAUUUUUAUUCCAAAAAUCAUCAAACCCCAAAUUCUAACUUUAUUCUAAUUUUACCUACAAGGGCGAAUUCCAACACCAUCAGCUUCAUUGCAAUGGUACACUGUUUCAAACAAUAACUUAAUUGGAGAAAUCUCUUCUUCAAUAUGCAAUUUGACUUCCUUGAUGAGUCUUGUUCUAUCGGAGAAUAAUUUGGAAGGAACAAUUCCAGAGUGUAUUGGAAACUUGAGUUCUUCUCUCAUAGAAGAAAUUUAUCUACAGAAAAAUAAUUUAAAAUAAAUUUCAUGGUCAAAUACCAGAAAAUUUUUCUAAAGGAUGCAUGUUGAAAAGUUUUCGCAUCAACAACAACAAAUUAGAAGGGUCACUACCACGAUCUUUGGGUAAUUGCAAAGAUUUAAACCUUCUCGACGUUGGAGACAACAAUUUGAAUGGUACUUUCCCAAAUUGGUUAGGAAAUUUGGAUCAACUACAAGUUCUUAUCUUGAGGUCGAAUAGAUUUUACGGUCAAGUGGAUAGCUUUGAUGAUACGAUUUCCUUAACACAUUUGCGUAUCAUUGAUCUUUCUCACAAUAACCUCAGUGAUUACUUACCAACCCUUUUUUUUUGAACAUUUACAUGCCAUUAGAGAAGGGUAUGGAAAGAAAGUUGAACCAGAGUACUUGACAGAAGAAAUUGGUAAAGUUACAGUGAUUAUGCUCGUGGUUUAUUUUUUACAGAAAAAGGGUUGGACACAAAGUUUCAAUCACUAUUAUCCACUUGGACCGUUAUUGACCUUUCUAGUAAUCAAUUCAGGGGAGAAAUUCCAAAAAUACUUGGUGAGCUUCAUUUGCUUAUUGUCCUAAACCUCUCCCAUAACUGUUUAAUAGGUGCUACCCCAUCAUCUUUAGGUAAUUUGUCAGAGCUUGAAUCAUUAGAUCUCUCAUCAAACAAGCUCGAAAGAAGAAUUCCAACAGAGUUAAAAAAAUCUUGGAUUCUUGGAGGUGUUAAACCUUUCUCAAAAUAAUCUCAAGGGACCCAUUCCUCAAGGCAAACAGUUUGAUACUUUCACUAAUGAUUCCUACAUGGAAAAUCUGGAUUUAUGUGGUUUGCCAUUAUCAAAAAGCUGUGAUACUAAUGAGGAACCUCCAGCCAAAUUUGAGAGAGAUGAUAACGAUGGUGAUGAAUUGAAAUGGAAAUUUUCUAUAUUGAUGGGAUAUGGAUGUGGGUUGGUGCUGGGAAUGAGCAUGGCAUACAUUGCAUUCAGGACUGGAAAACCAUGGUGGUUAAUUAGGAUUGUCGAGCGAGUUCGACAAAGAUUUGCAAAAAGGUAAGAGAAGCCAACUCUUCGUUGAGUUCAACAAGUUGUAAACAGAACAGAAAACUUCAUAGCUUGGUGGUACGCAGGCCUUUUUUUGUAACUGUUUAAUAAACGUUUUGUGUGGGUGCUUUAUUGUAUGUUAUGUAGUUUGUAUUAUGUUUUUUUUUGGUCCUCUCUCAUGGCAAUGUUUCCUGAUGUGUACUGGUUUGUAAAGACUGUCUUUAUCGGCACUUAAUCUUUUUAAUAAAAUUGAUAUGGCUUAGUCAUAGGGAAUAGAUAGUCCAAGAAUGGUUAAUUUAUUCUAAAGAGAUUGUCAAGAAUCAAGGGAGGUAAACUAAUGCAAAAUUAUAUCUUCAAUACUUCUGAAUUGAAUUUGAUACAUGUCUUCUUUGUUUUUAACCUCAAUCAUAUUUGUUGUCGGAUAUACAUUUUAUGAGGUUGAUUUAUUACAGAAAAGAUUUAAAAUUGAAUCUAUAAAAUUAAAUUACUUGAUUUAGAUUAAUGUAAUUCUUUUUGUGAAAUUACAGAUAUCAUCAUAUGCAUUUUUUUUAUAUAUUUAAUUGCGUAAAUAUGUUCCCAUUCUAAAAUUAAUAGUGAAAAUUUGUUGAGAACUCUUUUUACAAAUUACAGAUGAUAGGAGUUAUAGUAUAAAGCCAACUUUAUACUUUUCAUUUUAGGAGAAUAUUUGAUGUACUGUUAGUACAUAAGUCCUAUACAUUAUAAGUGAAUAAUAAUAUGAUAUAUUAUUAUUAAAUAAAAAAAUAAUGACUUAUAAAUAAAUAUUAAUAACUUUCUUUAAAGAUAAUUAUUUAUAAAUAAAUGUUAAAACCUUAAACUUAAACAUACGAUUUUAGACCUUAGACCCAAUAUUUAAACCUUUAAUUCGAAGAUCUUAAUUAAAUCCGAUAGUUGUUAAUAUUUAUUUAUAAUAGUUAUGUUUAAUGUUUAAAUAGAAUUAUUAGUAUCUAUUUAUAAGUACUAUAUAUUUUUAUUUUUAUUUUAAUAAUAAUAUGUCCUAUUAUAUUUCACUGAUGAUACAUGAAACUUAUACACAGACUCAUACAUUGAUAAUUCAUCAAUUUUUUGUCAAAAUAUAUGAUUAAUCAAAUAAAAAUAUAAAAAUAAAUGCAGACAUGAUCUAGUAUUUGAUAUAACUAUAAAUAGCUUCAAGUCAAAUUUAUUAAGUAAAAAAGAGAUUAAUAACUAGUAAGAAAUCCAUCAAGCUAAUAACAGAGCUAUAACUCUUUAUGAUAAAAUUUUGAAACGUUAUAAUUGAAUUAUGAAAAUAUUAAUAUUGUUAAAAAUAUCAAAUUAAAAAAAAAUCAACUAACACAUUAAACUUUAAAAACAUUCCGAACAUGUUUAGUUGGACUGAAUAGUAAAAGAUUAUAGUCCAAUUCGAUGGACCCACCACCAAACUAAUAUUUGGUUGGCUGUAAUGGCUAUUAUAACCUACACCUAAUCCGUUCCUAUUUAGGGCAAAGAUUACAUAGUCAUUCCAUUCUCUCACCAUUGAAUAGGCGUUGAAUAAGAUUUGUUUUCUUUUACCUUUCCAAUUUUUACUCUCACCUUUACCCUCCUCCUUCAACCCAAUAGUGAUUUUCAAUUUUUGGAUUUUCCUAUUUAGUUUAUCCACCUAUGUGGUUUUGAGUUUCAUUUAUUUUUCCUUUCUUUAUCAUUGAAAUUCCAAGCAAAAUAUCAUGGGCAAGGAUCCUGGUCUCUACACUGAAAUUGGCAAGAAAGCCAGAGGUAUAAAAUUACCAUUUUUUUUAAAACAAGAAAACUUUAAAGCUGUAACAUCUAUGUCCACUUUUUAAAUUUUUGGGAUUUUAUAGACCUUCUUUACAAGGAUUAUCAGACUGACCAAAAGUUCACUUUGACCACUAGCUCUCUCACUGGUGUUGUAAGUUUGGUUCUUAUUUUCUGAGUUUGUUUAAAUUUUUUUCUCUACAUUAUGUUCUCUUUAAUUAUUAUUAAAGAAUUCAUUUGAGAUGCUUUGUCCUGUGAAACCCAAGUUUUGAUUUUUUUCAUAUUUAAUUUUAUAUAAAACACAUGUCUUAUUGUAAAAUUAUGUUAAUUACAAAAAGGAAUGUUUAAUUUAAGCUGAAAUUAAAGGUAAGGUGUAUGCUUUUCAAACAUGUGUGUGUUCAAUUUUGGAAGUAUAAUAGCAGCUAUUUUUCUUGAAUUUCAUCAUGGUUAUCUCAAUCUUUUCACUGCAAUGUAUAAUGGAAGAUGUUUGAUUUCUCAAUCUGCUAUGAGAACUUGAAUUAAUUUGACCUUGUUUUUGUUGUUUUUCCCUUUAUUUUAAGGCAAUUACCCCUGCCAGAACGAAGAAAGGUGAUCUUUUCUUGACUGAUGUUAAUUCCCAGCUGAAGUCUAAGAAUGUUACAACUGAUAUCAAAGUGGACACCAGCUCCAAUGUAAGUACUUCAUCUGCUCCUUCUGUUGGUUUCUAGCUUUAUGUAUAAGUUUGAAUUCAAGUUAGAUAAGAUGCUCUUUCCUCCAUUAUAUCAGUUGUUGUUAUAGUUUUAAAUUAAUUAAAAUUUAUAAAAUCAAUAAUUUAUUUUGCUACAAUAUAAUAAUUAUAUUAGAAGACUUUUUUUUUACAAAUUUACAUAUUACUUUUUUUUGCUACAGUCGAACUGAACUGUUGUCAAAGACAAAAAAGAACAGCAACAGAGAAUCAGAAAAAACAGCAGACAAAAUUAAAACGUCUACCAACAAUACUACGUCAACAGAGCAACAAUACAAAAACACACCACCAAGCUUUAAACAUUUUCUCCCUAUUAAAGCCAGCAAUCGCCACGGAAGAUGCCAAUUCAUUACUUUUCUAAUCGGCCACCGAGAACACAACUUUUCCAGCCUUUAACAUAUCACUAUCGAUGCCUGCAAAAAUUGCUUUUGAGAGACCAAGGUCUCAUUACCUUGUUAACACACCAAGAACACACCACCAAAGAUCCAAGUUCAAUAAAUAAUGAAUCAUAAAUUUUCCAGUUCAAAGAUAAAAAAAAAAAAGAACUUCCAGAGCCACCUUUACUGCACCAUUCUCGGCCACAAUAGCUAUGAUAGCAUCCACCGCACCAGAAAAUAAUGCUUUUGCGACACCCUCCUUAUCUCUCAGUACGCCACCACAAUCAGCUUUCUCCUCUUUUGCAACCCCACACAACAUAAAACUUUAACCAUAUGGAACAGAGCACUGUUGACAUCCCCUUCUUUUAACCAUUACAUUCUUGAUUUUUGACGGCAAAAAAAUUCUUUGAAUUUCAUUGCUUCCCAAAACUCAAUGUUUAGCUUUUUAAACUCCUCCAUUUCCAUCUCCAUCAACUUUCUUUGUUUGCUUAUUUCAUCAAUCACCUUAAUCCUAUCUUCGCUUUCAAUAAUUCUUUUUUCCAAAAAAUUGCCAGCUUCAACAAUCCAUUUCUAGAGGGCUCCCUUCAGAUUGCGCAACUUAACAGCCGUAAGCCCUCUUACUCCCCCCAUUCCCAACCAUUCCAUUUUGAAUAACUUCCUACUAUCAUCCUUUUUGAGCCAAGCAUAAACAGACCUUGACCCCCAGUCAGAAGAUUCGAUAACCAACAAGACUGGAAAAUCUUGCUGAUGAAAAACUCCAACCAAUCUUCCUUAAUUAAGAACCUGUCAAGUCAGCUACGUUUACAAACCGUACCCAUCCAAGUGAACUUUUUCCCCACUAACGACAGAUCAACCAAACUUACCUCAAUCAAUAAACUCUCCGAACUCCUUCGAUCCCUUCUCCAUGCCUGAACAGAUAAUUCGUUCACUUCUAAUUCUCACCAUAUUGAAAUCCCCUCCCACUAUCCAAGCUUUACAAAAUGUACUUCUCAAGCCGAAUAUCUCCUCCCAUAUAAAUUAUUGAGCUAAAAGGUUGUUGGGAGCAUAUACAUUUAUCAGAACAGCCUCCUUCCCCUCAUGCACCCAUUUACCUUCAACUACAAUUACCCUCUUCCCACAAACUCAGCCUUGACCGAAAAACACCCCUAUCCCAAAUAGUAAAUAAACCUCCUGAUCUUACAAUAGCAGCAGCAAAUUUAAAAUCAAAACAUUCAUCCCCCCAAAAUUUUCUAACUAACUCAACUGUCACCGAUUCCAACUUGGUUUCUUGAAGAAAACAUACAUUAUCCCUAGUUAUUCUCACUAAUCUACUAGCAGCUUCAAUUUUAGCACCCGAACCCAGCCCUCUAUCUUUCCAAGUUACAAUACGCAUAACUCAAAACUAGUUGAACAAUUGAAAGUAAAGUCGAGAAAAAUAACCACUCACCAGAAUCACGAAACCCCCAACCCUCAGCCUUUGAAUUCUCCCUAUUGCUUUCCUUCAACCCUCAUUAAUUCUUCGAUAACCAUCUCUUCAUCGCCUUGCACACUAAAGCCCAGCCUCUUGCCCACCUCCCACGUCUUCUUUGCUUCUUUUAGGAUAACUUUCCUUCUAUUGCUAAUGUCUGAAUCUGGUAACGACAAAUUAGCUAUGCUAUCGUCAAUCCUAGAAUCCCCCUUUCCUUUUGAUUUCCUUGCUCCCCUGUCCCUCUUCUGUUUAUCCUUCGAGGUGAGCACAAAGUCCUGAAUCUCACGCAUAGAUCUGAUCUUCUUAUUCUGCACUUUCUUAAUUCUCUUAUUCUGUCGCAUUCGAUGGAUUUCCUCUUCUAUUUCAUCUGCAGAAACCCGAUCCCUUGAACCCUCUGAACCUAAUAAAUGAGAUAAAGCUUGAUUAAACUUUGGGUUCUCGACAUUAUUUGGACACAGUGGCACUAUCUCAUUUAAGCCCAAUUCAUUUCCCACCGAUACUUGAGUUUCCACCUCAAUAUUUUGAUCCACACCCAAUGCCAAUGCCAAGCCCAUAUUGUUCAAAUCUUCAAGUUCCCUAUCAGAUAAAUCGCCAAUUGCCACCCUUGCUGCUGGAACACUCACCACAUUACUUACAGAGUUACCUUCCACAUUAAAUGCCUCAGCCGCUAACCCUGCACCCCAUUAUCAUUGCCUUCAUUCUCGAGGCCAGUCUCAAUACUUCCUUCAAUCCCAUCGUUUCGUCUUCCCUCCGGUGACCGAUCCAGUUCCGAUCUGUUUGCCGAUUCUACUUCCGAUGAAGCAACUUCUUCUCUCGCCAAUUGAUCCCCUCUUCUUAUUUGGUUUUCAUUUGGUUUUUCCACCGAUCGUCUUUCUUUUAUACGGAUUGGAAACGUCUCAUUUCCAAUCUACUAUAAAAUUAAAAAUUGAAUUUUUUUUUUAAUUUUAAUUUUAAUGCAUCAAAAUUGACUUUUACAUUUUAAACUUAAAUAAAUAAAUUUAAUCAAAUUUCAACAAUUCAAAAUUAAAUCAAUCAACCGACCCCCUUUUCAUAUGUUUUAAGCACAAAAUUUAAGCAUCCUCAAAAUAAAUGGCCUAAACUAAAAUUCGAUUUGAUCACUGAAAAUGAAUUUAUUAAUUUUGAUAUAGAUUAAAAAAUAGUUAAAAUUAAACUUGACUCUAUCUGAUUUGAUCAUAAAAAGUUAAUAAUUUAAACUUAAAAAUAAAAGAAAAACAUGCACCAAUUGUUAUGAUUUUUCAACCAAAUUUUAACUGACAAAAUAUACAUCAUUGAACCAUGCACAUAUUAAAUAGGAAUGAAAUAUUAUUAUCAUAAUAAAUAAAAUAAAAUAAGGAAGUUUGAUAACUAAAAUUAAUAAUAUAUAAUGUCACAAUGUAAGCUCUGCUUUAAUUUCUUCAUUGAUUAUCUCAUAAUUUAUAAUCAAUUUUUUCAAAAAUAAUACUUUCAUAUUAAAAAAAAGUCAAACCUAUUAUCCAUAUCAAUGAAAUCAAUAACCAACUGCUUCAAAAUAAUGCCAUGUUUGGUUGGAUGAAAUUGCUAUUCUAUUCCUGCCUUAUUCCGCACGCUACAGUGAUUCAUAUGUUUGGUUCACCGUUUAGGUGAUUCUACGGUCAUUCCCUCAUAUCUUGUAAUAGCUAUUCAGCAGAGAGGUCUCUAACUUGCUAUUCAACACAAAAGCUGAAUACAUUUUCAGAUUUUGGGACCAAAAUAGACUGCUUUCUUCUCCCCAAAAAUCUGCUCCAGAUUUCUUCCAACCUUUUUCCCCAAAUCAAGCAUUCAUCCAUCCGCCCUUCAUCUUCAUCUCCUCAAAGGUAGGUGUACAAGCCCAAAUUUUCCCGGGGGCCCAAAUAACCCUUACAAUGGCCCAAACCCAAUAAUCCAAACCCAAUACAACACAACCCAAACAAAUUUAACCCUAAGCCCAAAUGGCCCAAAAAAAAACUUAGGCCAAUUUCCAGCUAAGGGAAAACCCUAGGUGCGCCGCACCUAGGUCUUCAGCCUCCAGCGCCGCAAGUCACGGCCACCUGCCCUUCUGACGUCGCUCCACCUGCUCCACCUGCAAAGAGAGAAACAAACACGCAACAAGGAGAAAAAGAAGCAGACAACACAAAACAAUGGAAAAUAUUGAAUCUUUUUCUUUCUUUUUGUUCUUUGGCUAUAAAAGCCGAACAUAUUUCAAAAAAAGCGAGGGGGGGAGCCCUUUUGAAAAGAAAAAACAAAGAAAUAAAAGGUGACCCUUUUGGUAUCCGAAUCUUUCUCUGUUUAUUUUUAUUGUUUAUUUUUUAUCUCCUACACUAAAUAACAAACGAAAAACCAAAAAAACCUUACCUGCGCCGCACCGGAGGAGAGAAGACGAGCGGUUUCCCCUCGAUCUUCGGGUCUCCGGCUUCUUUUUCGGGGAUUUGGCCUUAGAUCCGUACCCUAGGGACGCUAGGCUUAAAAAGGGGACCGAAAAGGUCCGAUUUUGGACCUCCGGCCGCCACACACGGUGGCUCUACGGCGGAGACUCGCCGGAAGCCUUGGCCGGGCCAUCUCCGGAAUCGGAGCCUGAGAAAAUGAAAAAAAGAGAGAGUUUUCUCUCUGUUCUUCAACAAAAUGAUGAAACCGUUUUAUUUUUAGCCUUUUUUUUAUAUUUAUAUUAAUUAUAAAACGGCGCCGUUUUGGUGGGGGUGGAUCCGCGCGUCGACCCGACCCAUUACCAGGAGGGUCCGCGUGUUUUCCAUUUUGGGGAUAUUUGCGCAGAUGGUCCUCCCCUUUUUGUAGCGCGUUCAAAUCAAUUUUUUUAUUUCUAAUUUUCGCCCUUUAAUUUGAUGUCCGCUUCAUUUCGGUCCUCGUCAUAACGCUGCGUUUUGGAGGGUGGGAAAUAUUACCCUUUUAGUCCCCCAUGUCAUUCGCGCUUUUUAAUUCGGACCUUCCCUUUUAUUUAUUUUAGAUUUUUUCCUUUAAUUUCAGCUUUGGUGUCAAUUUGAUCCUCUGUUUCAUUAUUGUUACUAAUUUUGUUUAGUUUAUUAUCUUUACUAUUGUUAACAUUAGUUUUAUUAUUUAUAUGUUUAUUUAUCUAUGUACACGUAUUAUAAUUUUAUUAUUUAUAUUAUUACUUUGAGUAUUAUUAUAUCAAUGGUUAAUUUCAUCACAUAUUUUUAAUGUAGUAUUAUUUUAUAUAAUAAAUAAAAUAGUAUUAACACUUUGGGUUUAUUAUACAUUCGUUUCAAAAAUUAUUAUGUAUUAUUGUUUAAUCUUCAUUAUGUAUACGUGCACAUAUAUAUAUAUAUUAUUUAAUGUGUUGUGACUUAUUCCUUAUAUAAUAUUUACUUUAAAACCUAUUUGGACACUAUUAUUCUAUGUAGUAUUUAUUUUUAACCAUAUUUUUAAUUCCUUUCAAAUAUUCAUUUAUAUAUUAUUUUCUAAAAUAUAAAUAUAAUUUCAUUUUUAUAUAUUUUUUAGUUAUUUCAAAACUCAUACAUUUGGUCCGUAUUUGCCUUAAUUGACUCGUUUUCUUUUAGUUUUUGAAUGUAGAUAUGGAUUUUAGCAUAAUGUACAAUAGAGAUUAUUGUUGCUAUGUUUGUUAGUAUUAAUUCAUUAUUUGUUCAUUAUUCUUUGAUAUGCAUUUGAACUAUAUAUUAUCUUUUACGUCAUACAUCACUUUUCAAUCAUGUCAUAUUUGUAAAAAUCGUGUCUUAUCAAAGCACUACAAUCACCCUAUUUCAUAAUUUUCAAAAAAGCCUCGUUCUCAUAGUUCUCGAGAAUUGUGCCCUCACUUACUGGGCUUCAAAUUUUUCGAUGAACUUGGAUAACCGAGUAUCCCUUUUUUAAUCAAAACCCAUAAGUAAAAAGCUCAUUCUCGGGAAUUCGACACGUUGUAUCCUAACGCAUUGGAUAUGACAUGUUAUUUUCUCGAGACGAGGAUUUUAAAAAUAAAGGCAAUGCUCGAUAUUUAGAAAUUUUGUGAAAUCGAACCCUAACUUACUGGGUUUUGAUUUUCUCAUUUGACUCAGAUAAUCGGAUAUCCUCCUUAAAAUGCAUAGGUUUUAAAAGACGAAGAAUAAGCUUAAUUUUGAGGAUUUGAAAUGUUGCACUCUAACUUACUCAGUGUAACAAUUUAUUUCUUUAAAAUAAAUGAGCUUUAUCUUCCAAUUUAUUUUAUUCAAAAAGAAAGGAUCGUAUUUAAAAUUUCGACAUUAAGACAUUAAGUAAUCAACUAGGUACCAAUUUUGGGCGUAUCGAGGGUGCUAAUCCUUCCUUGUGCGUAACCGACUCCCGAACCCAUUCUUCUGAAUUUCAUGGACCAAACUUGUUGUUUUAAUAAAAUCAAACCGUUUAUUAAAAACAACCACUUUUCGAGGUGACCCGAUCACACCUCAUCUAAAAAGAUCGGUGGCGACUCCCGUUUUUUUUUGUUUUCGUCAAAACCCAAGUCGACCCCGUUUUUCAUCCAAAAAAUGGUGUCAACAGCUUGGCGACUCCGCUGGGGACAAACACGAGAGUCAAGCCAUGAGUUGAUUACUUUUUGUCUUUUUGUCAAAAAUCAAAAACCUAGUUUAAAUAUACGAUCCUUUCAUUGUAUUUUUAUUUAUCUUUAUUAUGAUCUUCGUCAUUGUGAUUCAUAAUUGCUGUGUUUAAGUUCAGAUUUAUUUUUGCACAUUGCAUUGCAUGACCGUUGGUCAUACCCUUUUAAGUGGGAGUGAGAAGCUACGCCUUCGUGAGGUUUUCACCUCCGCAUGGGAUAGUGAAUCGCUUUCGGGAUACAUCCGUACCUAUGUCUUCGUGAGAUUUUCAUCUCCGCAUGGCCAUAGGGAAAUGUAUUCCCCUGAACUGAACUCAGUCCGUAUGAGCCUAUAAUGGGUGAGGAUCGAGGAAUCUGCUGGUUCGGGUACCCUUACUUUAGAACCAACCCUCAUAUAGUAGACUUAGGAAUUUAACCUAGGUAGAGCCACUCCAAACCCCUAGUAUCUACCCGAUUAGGUACUUUUUGUUUUCUGUGCUUGCUUAUGUUUUGUACUAACCCUUCUUGUUGUGUUUUGAUUAUGAUUGCAUUACAUUGCAUUUGCAUCUUAGGAAAGAGAUAUGGAUUCAAAUCCAAUUACUAAAUUAGAAAGCUUGUCAUGGAAUACGAAUUCCUUGAUAAAGUGGAAAACAAUACGACUUCCCAAACAUAUUCUGAGAAACACAAGAAUGGCGAUGGAAGAGUUCGUGACCUUGCUUGGUGGCCUGGGGAUUCGAGACGAUUGUCCAAAAGCCUUCAACAAGCUGACGAGCCUUAUGAAGAUGGGCAGAUGAUGGAUCGCGACCAAGAUCAAGAAAAUGAGCUAGUAAUGGCAUCUAUUGGUGAGAUUACCUCAAACAUGCGGAUGAAGAAAAAUCGAUGUUGUUUCUUGGAAUAUGAGGGUAAGGUCGUACAUGUAUCCGUUUUAUGUAAGGGAAUUUGCUUUCUAGAAAAGUUUCCUAAAUGUAAUUGAAUCAGAAUCAACGUCUCUUUAGGCAUUCAUUUCAUGCAUCUGCAUUACAUUGCAUCAUAUGCAUUAGAUUUUCACGAAGUGACCCUAAUUAUGUAAAAUUAUUUCAGCUAAUCUGGAAAACCAAUCAACCAAACAUCCUUACGGUACUCGUCGCAAAGUCAAAGAAAUGGAUCAAAGAUUAGAGAAACUAGAGCAAACGCAAAAAGAGAUGCAAGACCAGCUACAGGUGCGAAUGAAAGAACAUAUGGAAAAGAUCCAGAAAGACAUGGCACAAAAGAUGAAGGAGUCUCAGGAUGAACUAAUGACUAAAUUGACGCAAUUAAUAACCAAGGGAGUGGAUAAAGGGAAAAAUCCUGUGGUUUGCGAUGAAGAAGGAAACAAUGAUGAGCCACUUUUUUCUCCAGGAUACACGCCACUGCAAGCGCAAAUUCAGAUUGAACCACAUCCACGAAGAUCUUCUGUUUCAAUUAGGCCUCAACACUUUCAAGGUGACGCUUCAAUACCGAAGAACCUUCAGGUCAGAUCUGGUUCUAGUCCUGACGAUAAUCUGGUUGUCCCGGACUUCGAUGAAGUAGCGGAGAAAGAUAAGAUGAAGGAGGAGUUACCAAAGCAGUUUGAGGAGAAAUGGUAAUGGAUUGAAGAGAAGUUUAGGGCGAUAGAAAGUAUCGACGGCUAUCGUGGAAUAGAUGCGAAAGAUCUGAGUUUAGUUCCGGAUUUGGUGCUUCCUUACAAAUUUAAGAUGCCGGAAUUCGAGAAAUAUAAUGGGACCAGCUGCCCAGAAGCUCAUAUUACUAUGUUCUGUAGGCGUAUGGCCGGAUACGUCAACAACGACCAACUGCUCAUACACUGCUUUCAAGAUAGCCUCACAGGGGGAGCGUCUAAGUGGUACAAUCAAUUGACGCGUAUCCAGAUUAGUUCUUGGAGGGAUUUAGCACAAGCCUUUAUGAAACAAUACAGUCAUGUAGCUGAUAUGGUCCUUGACAGAAUUACCCUUCAAAAUAUGGAGAAAAAGCCUAAUGAAAGUUUUAGGCAAUACGCACAAAGGUGGAGGGAGGUCGCUAUCCAAGUUCAGCCGCCACUCCUAGAGAAAGAAAUGACGAUGCUCUUCAUCAACACAUUGAAGGCCCCGUUCAUCACCCACAUGUUAGGAAGUGCUUCGAAGAGUUUUUCAGACAUAGUCAUGAGCGGUGAAAUGAUUGAAAGUGCCGUGAGAAGUGGAAAGAUUGAUGCUGGAGAAAAUAAUAGGAGGUCAGACUUAAAGAAGAAGGAAAACGAGGUGAGCAAUGUGAACACCUACAACAAAUCGAUUACACAGCCAAGAAAGGUGAUUACUAGUCAGCAAGUUUCAUCUAGACAAGAAUCGUAUGUGAAGCAAGGCACUGAGAACCUUCAAUUCACGCCAAUUCCGAUGGCAUAUAAGGAGUUGUAUCAAAGCCUAUUCAACGCACGUAUUGUCGCCCCUCUCUACACGAAACCUCCACAGCCACCGUACCCCAAAUGGCACGAUGCGAAUGCACAUUGCGAAUAUCAUGCGGGAAAUACGGGGCAUUCCAUAGAGAACUGCAUAGCCUUCAAGAAACUGGUUGAAAAGCUCAUCAACAUGGGUGUCGUCAAGUUUGGUGACUCAUCUAAUGCAGAAAAUUCGCCACCCAAUCAUGAUUAACAAUGUGGUGAACGCAAAUUAUGAGAAAGUGUUGGGAAGUUUUCACAUCAAUACCAUAUAUGAAGGCAUAAUUGAAAAGGGAUCUUAUUAGAUGUUCGCCCUUAUAAACCUGGGAGUGUUCUAAAGAAACCUUUGUAGUAUUUAGAGCUUACUCAGAGUAAUAUUCAAAACACACUUGUUGCUUUCAGCCUAGAGCAACAAGAAGUCUUUUGUGAAAAGGGCUUAUGUCUGAACAUCAUUAUUUUAAUGGAAUGCAUCUUUGCGAUCUUUUGAACUAAUAUUUUUUCAUUGAUCAUUCUUUUAUUCUUCCAUCCAAAUCAUUCUUUCGUUCAUUCAUAAUCAUACUGUGCAGAUAAUUAUUCUUAAAUUCACACAUUCUUUAUAUAUUAUUUUGUACCUACAAUAGGUCCCUGGAUAUCAACGACAUGAAUAACACUGCUACAGACUUAGAACCUCCUUUUGAGCGAGAUAUGUGUUUAAAGGGAUCUCACGACUUUGAAGAUGACACAGAUCGUAGCUUAUCUCCAAACUUGUUGAGGAUGGUAGAACAAAAGGAUAAACAGAUCCUACCUCUUAGUGAAUCAUUAGAAAUUGUGAGCUUGAUGAAGACUAGAAUUGACCUGCCUACAGAGACGAAAAAUUCAAAGAUGACUUUGUAUGAUCAUACCAGGGUAUGCCUCGAUUCUUAUAAUAAAACCUGCACAACAGCACGAUGUCAGAAAUUUACAGUGCGAACGAUGCAAUUCUUUGCCGGGGCAAUACCGUUCUCGUCAAUUCAGCAUAGCUUUGCCCGUUUGAAGUCGAGUUUCUAUUCCUUCAAGAUGUUGCUGGAUUUUAUCCCGAUGGAAGAAGAAGAUCAAAAGUUUCCAGUUGUAGUUUUGCCCUAAAAGGCUCUAUAAAGGAAAUUCGAUAUCAGAGAAGAUCCUUUGAAGGGGAUAACAAGGACUUGUCUAAUCCCAAGAGUUUAGAUCCGAUUCAAAAAAAUAAGGGAAAAGAAAAAGAAAAAAAACAAAAUCCAAAUCAAAAAUAAAAAAUAAAAAGAAAAAGAGAAAUCAAUCAAAGUCAAAAUAAAAAUAUGAAAAGCAAAGAAAAGAAAAGAAGAGGCCAAGGCGAAAAGCCAAAAAGGGCGCCAUAGGCCAAAGGGGAUCUGAGCUGAAAACCUGAAAAGGGCGGCUCAAAUACUGAUCAAAAUGGGGCAUGAGGUGAUAUAAGCUGCUCAAGUUUUGUUCAUGUUGAGGCAUGUGUUGAUCUUGCCAUGCCUGAAUCAACAGGAAAGGAUAGGCGACAUCUUGGGGGCAUCGACAGAGCAUUGUAGAUCUCCUAAACACAUGUCAAACUCAGGAAAGUCUUCAGAAAGUUUGUACAGAGAAGUUCAAGCUGCGAUAUCUGGGGCACCUAACCUUCAUACUAUUUAUUGAAUCUGUUGUUGUUCUUGGUAUACUUCAUUCUUUUUCAAGAUACGUGUUCCAAUCAAUUCCUCUUUUAUUCUUGCUACCCUUGAUAAUUCAUUCGUUUCGAGCUUGCUCUCAAAUCAAUUCUAUUUCAUCCAUCAUUAUACUUUUUUGCAAACAUGUUGCAUUAGAAUAAUGAUUAAUGGACUAAUAAUACUUUCAUAAAGGAAGUUUUGCAUGUUACUCUGAAAAGUUUCUAAAUAAUAUAGGAACCUGAAACAGGACUAUCGUUUAGAACGCACCAAGUUUAAAGGGUGAAAUAUCUAAGAGGGAAUAGUUUAAGUUAAAGGCUAUCUUUUCAGAUUUUGUUGUCCAAAUAUUGAUUGAGCAAAAUGACAAGAUGUCGUGUUGGUGGCAAAGCUUCAAUGAGCCAACAAGCGAUAUUUACCAGGCAAAAGGAAAAGGUCUUCUGGGAGAAGAAAAUUUUGCAAUUGUGCAUGAGCAUUUGGUAUGACACCUUGGGAAUGAGGUAAAUGACCAAAGAGUUUCACAUUCAAUAUCAUUGAAUUGCGAUAGGAGAAGAUUGAGAAAAGCCAUACCUUUCUACCCUUGGAUUGUAGAGGGAGAAUGAUGGUACAAGUUUUGUGCCCUAAUAGAUUAAACUUUAAGGUUUACAGUGGGGGGCAACCAGAUUAAGUGUUUCUUUGGAUAUACCAGACGAGCAAAAAGGCGUUGUAGUACGUCAGUGAUAAAACCUUAAUAAGUUUUUACGUGAUGUUAACCUAAGCAUUAAGGAAUCAUCUUCAUGACAUUUUGCAUUCAUUCAAAUGUUAUUCCUUCACAUCUAGUUAGGAGUAUUGGAUUCAUUUUGAUCAUGCCAUCCUAAUCAUUAGGCAUAAUUAGGUUCAUUAUACAGGUCAUGUUCCCUAGAGAACAGAUCAGUGAAGACAAAAGAUUUUGCCUUCCUGUAAUGACAGCGGAGCAAACUAAAGAUAACAGAUAUUGCCUUCCUACGUUGACAGCGAAGCAGAUCGAAGACACAAACAUUUCCUCUCUCGGUUGUGAUGGAGCUGGUUGAAGACAAUAGAUCUUGCUUUCCUGCAUUGACAGCGAAGCAGAUCGAAGACACAAAUAUUUCCUCUCUCGGUUGUGAUGGAGCUGGUUGAAGACAAUAGAUCUUGCCUUCCUGCAUUGACAGCGAAGCAGAUCGAAGACACAAACCUUUCUUCUCUCGGUUGUGAUGGAGCUGGUUGAAGACAAAAGAUUUUGCCUUCCUGUAAUGACAGCGGAGCAAACUAAAGAUAACAGAUAUUGCCUUCCUACGUUGACAGCGAAGCAGAUUGAAGACACAAACCUUGCCUCUCUCGGUUGUAGUAAAGCUGGUUGAAGAUAACAGAUCUUGCCUUCUUGCCUUGACAGCGAAGCAGAUCGAAGACACAAAUCUUGCCUCUCUCGGUUACAGUGGAACAUAUUGAAGCCAGAGAUCUUAUCUCCCUGAGAUUACAGCGGAGUAGAUUGAAGCUAGUAAUCCUAUCUCUCUGAAGUUACAGUGGAGCGGAUUAAAAUAAAUGAUCUCAUUACUCUGAAGUUACAGUAGAGUAGAUCGCAUCAGGAUUUACCUCCCUGUGGUUACAGUGGAGUACAUUGAAGCCGAUAAUUCUAUCUCCCUGGUUGGCAGUGGAAUAGAUUGAAGAUCGAAGAUGACAGAUUUUACCUCUUUGUGGUUACAGUGGAGUACAUUGAAGCCAGUAAUUCUAUCUCCCCGACAUUGCGGAGUGGGUCGAAGCGCCAAUACCUAUACUUCUGAAGUUGCAGUAGAGCAGAUCGCAUCAAGUCUUAUCUCCCUGACGUAGCAGUGGAGCAGACUAAAACCACAAAUAUCGUCCUCUUAAAGUUGUCGCGAAGAAGAUUGAAACUGCAAGUCAGAACACUCUGAAGUGCAGUGGAGUGGAUCGAAGCAACAAGACAUAGUGGACUGGAAGGAGGCUACUUGAAGAAGAGAAGCGUUAAGAGAAGUCAAGACUCGACGAGAUCGGACAAAUUUGGUCUUUCUUAGUCUUUGCUCUGUUCUCGUUACACGACAACGAGCAAAGAGGGGCAGCUGUACAAGCCCAAAUUUUCCCGGGGGCCCAAAUAACCCUUACAAUGGCCCAAACCCAAUAAUCCAAACCCAAUACAACACAACCCAAACAAAUUUAACCCUAAGCCCAAAUGGCCCAAAAAAAAACUUAGGCCAAUUUCCAGCUAAGGGAAAACCCUAGGUGCGCCGCACCUAGGUCUUCAGCCUCCAGCGCCGCAAGUCACGGCCACCUGCCCUUCUGACGUCGCUCCACCUGCUCCACCUGCAAAGAGAGAAACAAACACGCAACAAGGAGAAAAAGAAGCAGACAACACAAAACAAUGGAAAAUAUUGAAUCUUUUUCUUUCUUUUUGUUCUUUGGCUAUAAAAGCCGAACAUAUUUCAAAAAAAGCGAGGGGGGGAGCCCUUUUGAAAAGAAAAAACAAAGAAAUAAAAGGUGACCCUUUUGGUAUCCGAAUCUUUCUCUGUUUAUUUUUAUUGUUUAUUUUUUAUCUCCUACACUAAAUAACAAACGAAAAACCAAAAAAACCUUACCUGCGCCGCACCGGAGGAGAGAAGACGAGCGGUUUCCCCUCGAUCUUCGGGUCUCCGGCUUCUUUUUCGGGGAUUUGGCCUUAGAUCCGUACCCUAGGGACGCUAGGCUUAAAAAGGGGACCGAAAAGGUCCGAUUUUGGACCUCCGGCCGCCACACACGGUGGCUCUACGGCGGAGACUCGCCGGAAGCCUUGGCCGGGCCAUCUCCGGAAUCGGAGCCUGAGAAAAUGAAAAAAAGAGAGAGUUUUCUCUCUCUUCUUCAACAAAAUGAUGAAACCGUUUUAUUUUUAGCCUUUUUUUUAUAUUUAUAUUAAUUAUAAAACGGCGCCGUUUUGGUGGGGGUGGAUCCGCGCGUCGACCCGACCCAUUACCAGGAGGGUUCGCGUGUUUUCCAUUUUGGGGAUAUUUGCGCAGAUGGUCCUCCCCUUUUUGUAGCGCGUUCAAAUCAAUUUUUUUAUUUCUAAUUUUCGCCCUUUAAUUUGAUGUCCGCUUCAUUUCGGUCCUCGUCAUAACGCUGCGUUUUGGAGGGUGGGAAAUAUUACCCUUUUAGUCCCCCAUGUCAUUCGCGCUUUUUAAUUCGGACCUUCCCUUUUAUUUAUUUUAGAUUUUUUCCUUUAAUUUCAGCUUUGGUGUCAAUUUGAUCCUCUGUUUCAUUAUUGUUACUAAUUUUGUUUAGUUUAUUAUCUUUACUAUUGUUAACAUUAGUUUUAUUAUUUAUAUGUUUAUUUAUCUAUGUACACGUAUUAUAAUUUUAUUAUUUAUAUUAUUACUUUGAGUAUUAUUAUAUCAAUGGUUAAUUUCAUCACAUAUUUUUAAUGUAGUAUUAUUUUAUAUAAUAAAUAAAAUAGUAUUAACACUUUGGGUUUAUUAUACAUUCGUUUCAAAAAUUAUUAUGUAUUAUUGUUUAAUCUUCAUUAUGUAUACGUGCACAUAUAUAUAUAUAUUAUUUAAUGUGUUGUGACUUAUUCCUUAUAUAAUAUUUACUUUAAAACCUAUUUGGACACUAUUAUUCUAUGUAGUAUUUAUUUUUAACCAUAUUUUUAAUUCCUUUCAAAUAUUCAUUUAUAUAUUAUUUAUCUAAAAUAUAAAUAUAAUUUCAUUUUUAUAUAUUUUUUAGUUAUUUCAAAACUCAUACAUUUGGUCCGUAUUUGCCUUAAUUGACUCGUUUUCUUUUAGUUUUUGAAUGUAGAUAUGGAUUUUAGCAUAAUGUACAAUAGAGAUUAUUGUUGCUAUGUUUGUUAGUAUUAAUUCAUUAUUUGUUCAUUAUUCUUUGAUAUGCAUUUGAACUAUAUAUUAUCUUUUACGUCAUACAUCACUUUUCAAUCAUGUCAUAUUUGUAAAAAUCGUGUCUUAUCAAAGCACUACAAUCACCCUAUUUCAUAAUUUUCAAAAAAGCCUCGUUCUCAUAGUUCUCGAGAAUUGUGCCCUCACUUACUGGGCUUCAAAUUUUUCGAUGAACUUGGAUAACCGAGUAUCCCUUUUUUAAUCAAAACCCAUAAGUAAAAAGCUCAUUCUCGGGAAUUCGACACGUUGUAUCCUAACGCAUUGGAUAUGACAUGUUAUUUUCUCGAGACGAGGAUUUUAAAAAUAAAGGCAAUGCUCGAUAUUUAGAAAUUUUGUGAAAUCGAACCCUAACUUACUGGGUUUUGAUUUUCUCAUUUGACUCAGAUAAUCGGAUAUCCUCCUUAAAAUGCAUAGGUUUUAAAAGACGAAGAAUAAGCUUAAUUUUGAGGAUUUGAAAUGUUGCACUCUAACUUACUCAGUGUAACAAUUUAUUUCUUUAAAAUAAAUGAGCUUUAUCUUCCAAUUUAUUUUAUUCAAAAAGAAAGGAUCGUAUUUAAAAUUUCGACAUUAAGACAUUAAGUAAUCAACUAGGUACCAAUUUUGGGCGUAUCGAGGGUGCUAAUCCUUCCUUGUGCGUAACCGACUCCCGAACCCAUUCUUCUGAAUUUCAUGGACCAAACUUGUUGUUUUAAUAAAAUCAAACCGUUUAUUAAAAACAACCACUUUUCGAGGUGACCCGAUCACACCUCAUCUAAAAAGAUCGGUGGCGACUCCCGUUUUUUUUUGUUUUCGUCAAAACCCAAGUCGACCCCGUUUUUCAUCCAAAAAAUGGUGUCAACAGUAGGUUUUCUUUUUUUACUUCAAGCUCCGAUUCUAUUUCUCCUUCCUCAUAACUGCUCCAGAUUUCUUGUUUGUGUUUCAAAGUUGAGAACUUUGUUUAGAUUUCUUAUCUUCAAUUCUAAUUCUUCUUUUGCGGCAGAAUUUCAGAUCCCUUGGAAGAAGGUUUCAAGCUUCGCCCCAUUGCUAAUAGAGGCCAGGUAUUAUUUCAAAUUAAUGACAGUCAGUCUGCUUGACUGAAGUGCUACACAUUCUGUCUGUUCUCCUGAGUUGUUAAGUUUGCUUUGUUUGCCAGUUGUCAUUAAUUCAAAUUAAGGACGCCAUCUAUGUUUGUAAGUAGUUGUUUAUUACUGCAACUGGUAUGUUUUUUGUGUGUUCUUUCUUUCUUCCAUUGGGUAAUUAGUGUCAAAAUAGAAGAGAUGGACCAACUUGAUAAAGCGAAAAUGUAUUUUCUCCUUUUGCUUGAAUCAGAUAGCCCAUCGUUCAUAGCUUGUUUUCUUCACUUUUCAUUAACUGCUAAAGCUCUUAUAAAUAUUGCUUCAUAUAACAUAUGAUAUGGUACACUGGUAUCUAUACUAUUCAGCUUAUAAAUGUUUCCUAUGCAGCUUGUUAAAAAGUUUGGCAUUGAUCAUAAGAUGCUUUUGCAUUCUGGGACUGGGUUGGCGGUCAUUACAGUGGUUAGUUUUUAUCAAUAUCUUUGGUUACUGUUAAGGAUUAAGACCUUUUGUAGUAGAGCUGUGGAAGAUAAUUAGCCAUGAAGUAAAUUCUAUUCCCAAGCCGUGCACAAUCUCAAGUUUACAGUAUCAAAAUGCCUUGUAUUUGUGCCAGUUAAAAAAAAUUCUAACUACCUAUUUCAUCCUACUUAACCAAUCCGGCUCAGUCAACUAAGUCAUAUUGAAUUGUCUGUUAUUACCUUCUCUCCAAAUCAAACAAAUGUAUGCAUUCCAUCCUGUUCUCGGCAAGAUGGAUAUAAGAGCCUUUCCUCUUAGUUUAACGGUCACCCAUUGCAACUCCUGCUGCAAACUCUCAACUGAUUUUUGAAUCUGGCCCCCUCCCGUACUGCUCCCAAGUAUCUACACUCAAAAAACAGAUGAUCCUUUGUCUCCAGCUCCAAGCCAAAAAAAUUGCACCUGCCAUCAAUAUUUUGCCCUCUCCUUAUAAUUCUAUCCUUAGUAAGCAGUCUGUUUUGAACAGCCAACCAAGACACCAAAGAAAGCUUUGGUAUAUGAAAUGGGUGCCAAAGCUGCCGAAUACUGAUUUUUAUCAGCCCUGCCACUUAUCAUAUUCCAUAUGUUGCCAACUAUAAACUUUUGGCCGUGAAAUAUCCAUGCACCUGUCUGUGUAGGUUAAUGAACUGAGCUGCUAAGCUUCUCAACUUGAGCAGCGUCUUCCAACACCAACAGCUACUGUUGGAUCUCUGCAACCGCAUAAAAGGACUACCUUAUUGUGGUUGUGCUGCAUUCACUUUUCGAAUUUCUAUAACUUGUAAAUUAUGGUUUAUAGUGUCCAUUAGGAGUCUGUAUCUGAUAGGUGAUGUUGAUCUGUGCAAUUUAAAGAGUAUCUCAUUGUUCUAAGGAAAUAAAUCACUUCAAAUAUAACAAACAGAACUUAAGGAUGAAAAUGUUCUUCAAUUUUCAUUUGUGGAGUUCAUUUAUUAUCGCAAAAUUCAGUUUUACACGCUGUACUAAGAACUUGUUUAUUUUACAGUUGUAAAUUCUAUGACAACUAAGAGUGUGUCAUUAGUUUUAAGUUUCAACUGAGCUCUUAAAUCUCCAACUGCAGUAGUUCUUUUGGCAAUUAUUUCUUCAUCCUUUUUACUUUGCCCCCUCCUAAAAAAGUAAUAAUAAUUGUCGUAACCAUUUUUUUGAAAAAAAAACGGGAAUCGACUUGGAUUUUGAAAAUGAAAACGAAAAAUUGAGAGUCACCACCAAUCUUUUUUGAUGAGGUGUGAUCGGGUCACCUUUAAAUUAACCAUUUUAAUAAAAGUUAAGAUUUAUUAAAAUGAUAAUUUUUGGUCUGCGAAAAUCAAAAAAUAAGUUCGGGAGUCGGUUACGCACGAGGAAGGAUUAGCACCCUCGAUACGCCCAAAAUUGGUACCUAGUUGAUUAAUUAGUGUCUUAGUGUCGAGAAUUAAAAACUUGAAAGACCUUUGAAAUACGAUCCUUUUUUUUUAUAAAAAAGUUCAAGUGUUAAAGACCUUCUCGUCUCAAAAUAUGAAAUGUCACAUCCAGUGAGUUAGGACACGACAUCUUAAAUUUUUGAGAGCGAGCUUGCCUUUUAUAAAAAACUUACGUAUUUUAAUUUGUUAGAAGGGUAUUCUGUUAUUUAGAUUAAAUGAGAAAAAUCGAAACCCAGUAAGUUAGGGCACAACACUUCGUAUCUCCGAGGAUGAGCAUUUUCAAAACUCGUAUAGCAAUUUAAAAGAGUAUUCUGUUAUUUAGAUUAAAUGAGAAAAAUCGAAACCCAGUAAGUUAGGGCACGAUUAUCUCGAAUCACCAAAUACGGCAUAUCACUUUUAUAAAAGAAUCAUUAUUGGGGUUAGAUAAAAACCUACAUUCGUAAUGAAAGGAGAUAAUAAAAGAUGCAUAACAAAUAAAAUUGAUAGCCUUAACAAAAUAAACCUAAACAUGAAUGAGAAUGAUAACUAUAAAAACAAUGGAAAAAUAUAUGCAUCAAACAAAUAAUAAGAAGAGGAAAUAAUAAAUGAGCUAAAACAUUCGAAACUAAAAGAACUAGUAGUAAAUGAAUAAACAUUACGCAAAACUAUUUAAGAAAUGAUAGUAAUAAUAAUAUUAAUGGUAGAAAUGCAAGGAAUAAAAUUUUUAAGUUUGAAGUGAUGUGAAAGAUAUAUAAAUGAAUAAUAUGCAAUAAAUAAAAAUCAGAUAACUUAAAGAAUAAUAGGUAAAGAUAAUAAUAUAAUAGCAAUAAUGAAAAUAUAAAUGUAUAAGAAAUAUAGAUAGAUGAAUGAUAGGAAAAUAAACAUAGAUAGAAAAUAAUAAUAGUCAUAAUACCAUAGUUAUAACAAUUACAAAAAUAAUGAUAAUAAUAACAUCAAAGUAGAGUGAAUAAUAAUACUAUAUAAAAUAUAUAUAUAUAAUAGAAAUACACACUACUAUAUAAUAGUAAUAAUAAAUAAUAAAAAUAUUAAAUUAAAGUAAUAAAAAAAUAAUACUAUACGUAAUAUAUAUAUACAUAUAUAAUAAAUAUAUGGUGAUACUAACAGUGUGUGCAUAAUAUAUAUUUAGAUAUUAAAACAUAUAUACAUAAUGUAUAAAAAGAAUAUAUAUAGUAUUAAAAAUGGGAAAUAUGCAUAAUAUAUAUACAUACAUAUGUAUGCAAAUAUAGACAUCAUAUAAUAUUAUCAUACAUAUGCAUUAAUAAGAAUGAUAAUAUUAAAACUAUUAAUAAUACUUUAUAACACAUAUAUAUACAAGUAUUAAAUAAAAAAAUAAUAAUGAGCUAUUAAUAAAAAUAUAACAAUAAUAAUAUUAAAAUUAAAUUAGAAUAAUAAGGAAAAGUAAAAAAAAAGGGACGAAAUAACCCUUCAGUCUAAAAACACGCGGAUCCUGGGCAUAGGUGGGUCGGGUCAUCGGGUCAUUGUCUAAACGACGCCGUUUUGGGUGCUGAGUGCUUGCCCCAAAACGACGUCGCACCAGGGGCCUUUAAAAGUCAAAUUUUUUUUUUUGAAACUUCAUUUUUGUUGAGUUCUAAAAAAAAAAGAGAAAAAAGGGGGUUUUCUCUAGAGAAAAUCGAAAUCGGCUAGGGAUUCGGCCAUCGCCCCUCCGUGGCUCCACGGCGCCGGCGCCGUCGCCGGCCACCGCACGCGGUGGCCGGAGUUUCAGAAAAGGGUAUAUUUCUUCUUUCUUUUUUUUCUAUUAUUAUUUUUGUUUACAAUAUAUGUAUAUAUGCGAAUAAAAGGGCGUGGAAAAUAGAAAAGAAAGAAAAAUAAAAGAAAUCGAAAGAAAAUGAAAUCACCUUUGUUCCUCUUAUUUUUGAUUCUAUGUUUUUGUUUCUUCUUUUAAUGUUUUUCUCUUGAUUGGAUAUUUUGUGCCUUUGACUUACUGAUUUUGAUUUCUUCCUUGGGCUUUGUUUUAUUUCUUGCGAUUUGUUGAUGUUUUCUAAUCUCAGUUUUGGUAUUGAGUCUUCUUUUUUAUUUCUCACCAAAAGAACCGAAUGUACAAAGGUUUUAUUUUUGGCUUUAAAUAGCCAUUUACAUGCCAUUUGCUUUCUGUCUACUCUCGUUUAAUGCUUGCAGGUGAAAUGAUGGUGCAAGUUGGAGGAUGGUGGGGCGGUGCUACAGACGUCGGUGGUGGAUGGGACAAGGGUCAGGGGCGGCCAGCAGCUGAUUAGGCUAGGGUUUUGGUUCUUUUUUUUGUUUUAGGGUUUGAAUUGGGCUGCUAUUGGGUUUUGGAUUUAGUGGGUUUUGGGCUAGGCUUUAGUUAGUUUGGGUCUGGGGUUAUUUGGGAGUUAUUUGGGUAGUUGGGUUUUGGGCUAGGGGCCAAAAUUGGGCUUGUACAAUAAUUAUUUGCAUGAUUUUGGUAUAUACUUGAAUAUCUUGAAUAUAUUUUGUGUUUUCUACUUUAAGGUUUUUAACGGGGACUUCAUGCAUUGAUCAACAUUUCCAUUCAGCUCCUCUCAAGAAUAAUAUAUUAUAUAUACCAGUAAGUGCCUUAAUAUAUAUCAACUCCACUGCAGUUGUGCGUCUUUGUUGCUCAUAAUAUUAGCAUAGAGCCAUCUGCCAAAGUUUUUAUGGGUUUACGGAUUUGGCUGUAAUCUAAUACAGGAAUUUAGAUUGUGCGCCAAUUGAUGGUGUGCUGCUUCCUUACGAGGCUGGUGAAAGGCAAAUCUGGAACAAAUGGCUAACAUAAGUUUUAUCAACUAGUCAACCAGGUGAAUUGUCUGUUGCAUCUUGCAUAUGGUAGAAGAAUAUUAGGAGAUUUGUGUUGCAUAUAUAACAUCUUAGACCACCUUGAAGUUGCUAAAUUAUAUAUUUGACCCUGGACCUGCAAAGCUAUGGAUCUCUGCCCCUAGGAAAAAUAAGAUGCUUGUGCAAAAAAUAGAGACCAGAAAGCUUUGUUGGAGACUGGCCAAAUAUGGCACAUUAUUCUUAUUAGUUACCAUGACAAAUUUAAAGAAGUACUAGCUUCUUGGCAAUGUUCUGUGCUAUUCUCUUUUUUGUAUAUAUCCUUGUAGGAUAAUCAUGAUUUUGACUUGACUUUCUAUUUUCUGAUGGUUUUAUUACUUUUUUGUAAUUUCUAUUUUUAAUAGUUUUAAUACAUUUUAGUUUUUCUUAAACAAUUUUUUAAAAUUUUUAUAUUUUCAUUUGUGUUUUUUCUUAAAAUAGUUAUGUCAGGUUUUUCCCAAUCAAGUGUUUCUUCCCAGAGUUCUCGAGGAACCAAAAGGAAAUGGGUUUCAGAAGAAGAUGCUGCGUUGGUUGCUUGUAUGGUCGACUUGCACAAUGCUGGAACCUUUAAUGCGGAUACGGGAUUCAAAGCUGGCUAUUUAAAUGAGUUAGAAAAAAUGUUAGAAAAAGUUUUACCCAAUGCCAUGUUGAAGGCUAAAGCUAAUCUUGAAUCGAGAAUUAGGACAUUGAUAAGGGAUUGGUCAAUCGUUUAUGACAUGCUUAGUGGAAAAAAUAAUAGCGGCUUUGGUUAGGAUGAGCAUAGGCAGCUUGUUAUUGCUGUAGAUGUGGUGUGGAACUCAUAUAUAAAUGUAAGAAUUAUUUCAAGUCUUUAUUAUCUUAUUUUGACAAAAUUUAUAUCUAAUAUGAAUUUAUCAUUUUUAUAGAGUCAUAAAAAAGCACCUCAAUUAAGACAUCGGAGUUUCCCUUAUUAUGAACAACUUACUGCCAUCUACGCAAAAGAUCGAGCCACUGGAAAAGAUGCUCAAACAGCUGCUGAUAUUAUUGAAGAAAUAAAUGCUGAGGAUGUAGCUGCUACAAAUACUCGUGAAGAAAGAAACGAUUUUCAUGGAUCCGAAGCUGAUGUUUCUUUGGAUGACAUAGAUCUUUCAGCUACACAACUGCAAUCAGAACCGCAACCAGCUAGAAACCAAGGUGAUUCUACAUUUUCAAAGAAGAAAAAAAAAAGAUUUCUGAUGCAAGUGAUUUUUCUACUUCAUUUAAUGAUGCUGGCGCUUUAUUGGCGGAAAAUAUACGGACCGUUGGCCUUGAAAUUAGUAAGAGUAUUGCAUCCGAAGUGGUAAUUCAACAAAAGUCAGAAAUGACCAUUCAAGAAAGUGCUCUGAAAUUAUAUCCAACAUUAUGUGAAGUGGAAGGUUUAACUAAGGAUGAACGCUAUCGAGCAUUGAGCAAAAUUCCAGAUCAUUCAACGCAAAUGCUCAUUUUCUUUAGUUUACCUUCUGUUGUGCGAUUGGAAUGGGUCAGAAGAUUUCUUGCUGACCAUUAAAAGUCAUGGUUCUGUUGAUAUUUUUGUAACUUUUUGUGUUUGUAAUAUUUGGAUGGUAUAAUGACAUGAUAGAAUGUCAUUACAAUGAUGUAACUUUUUGAUGUUGUAAAAUUUUAAAACAUAUGGAUUAUGACAUAUAAACUAAUGAAAUCAUGUAACUUUUUGUUAAUAUAUGAAUAUUAUGCUUGAAUGUGAAAUAUAAUUAUCAAGUUAUUUAUUAUUUUUUUAGCAAUGAGUUAUUUAUUAUUUUUAAUAUUUAAUUAUUUUUUAUUGUAGAAUGAUUAAAUUAUUUGUUUCAGAAAUGAUAUUUUAACAUAUUAAAUAUGUAUUGCAGUUUAAAAAUAAUAAAGUAGAUUAUAUAUAUUUUUAUAGUAUUAUAUAUUUUGAUUUUUUAAUUCAUAUAAUAAUAAUUAUAUUAAGAAUAUUAUUAAAUUAUAUUUUUUUAUUAAAUUAUAUUUAAUAAUAAUUAUGUUAAAAUAUGGUUAAACUAUUUAUUAUUUUUAUUAAAUUAUUUUUAAUAAUAAUUUUAUUAAAAUUUAAUAACAAUAACAAUAAUCAUCUACUUUAAAAAAAUUCUGCUAAGGGUAUUCUGGUCAUUUUAGUUUUUUCUUAUGCUAUUACAACAUCAUUCUAUUCAACCAAACAUAAGAAUAUUAUUACAGUUCUAUUCCAUUCUAUUCAACCAAACAGUUGAAUUACUUAUUACAACUCCAUUCUAUUACAACCAACCAAACGUAGUGUAAAAAAUGGAGCACAAGAGACAUCUUUGUCCUGUCAAUGGUCUUAUCGUAACCUAUAAUCAGCUACUUCAAAACCGAUGCUUUCUCCAAGAAGUGACGCACAAUAUGCAUAUAAAAGCAACCAAUGAAUAUAACUGUCUCAAGUUUGGUGUAUGAAAUGUUGCUUGGCAAUACAAUUGUUGCAAAUUCAUCAUCCCUACAGUCCUGUAAUAACCAUGAAUUGAACCCUUCAACUAAAAAGUUUAAUUUCAUAUCAUACAAAUUAGAUAAUAUGAAAGAAAGGUUAAAACAUAUUGAGAUGUGGUGUACAUACUUUCAUUAGAUGAAUGUUUCAAUAAGGAAACGACUCCUGUUUGACUUUAAUCGCAAAAUGCGUUAAAAUUUUCCAAAUAUUUGCUCCUCCGUCAUUUGCGAAUGUACCAUUCUACAACAAUUUGUGCCACAGUUUUAUUUUAUUUAUUUAUCAAAAUAGAAUAAUAAAUUUUAAUUUGUUUUAAUGAUACUAUUAAUUGUUUUUUUAGAUAUAACCAUAUUAGAAAUAUUUUAAACAAUUAUUAUAUUGGUAAUUAUUCUGGGGUAGAGGAUUAACCUAAACCCUAUCAGACCCAAAUAAUUGAAGAAUUGAAGCUCCCUUAAACUUUUUUUGUUUUUUAAAAUUAACCUUGGUCUAUUCAAAACUUAUCAUAUUUCUUUUUGGAUUAAAUCAAAAACAAAAUUAAAAUAAAUGAUGUUUGAACCAAUUUGAAUUGGUUGAAUCCACAAUAAUUUUUUUUUAAUAAAAUUUUAAUAAUUUACUUAAUUGAGUUGAUAAUUGAAUUGAUUUUACCACCAACUCAAAUAUUGCAAAUCAAUUUUCCUAUGUUCCGGAAUGGUUACUUCAUCUCCAAGUGCUUUAUCAUAGUAGAGAUGGACUUCAAAAAAUCAAAGGCGUCUUUAGAACUUUCAGUAACAUCAAUGCUUGCUGAAGCUUGGGAUAAUACACGAUUUGAAUCACCAUCUUCAUGGUAUUCUAAAUAUAGUUUCGACCAAUUUUGACCCAAUAAGACCAAUUAACAAAACCACCCCAAACAACUAAAACCAAACCCAAUUUCCAAAGCCCAAUUACAAACCCAUAAGCCCAACACCACAAAAUUUUCAGAAAAAGAAAAUAGAAAACCUAACCCUAGCCCCCCCGCCCCUAGUGCUGCCGCCUCUGACCAGCCUACUGGCAGCCACCGACUCCACUGCCCUGUUGCGUCACCAUCCUCCAACUUGCACCUGCAAAACAUAAAUGACAAAAGACAGCAAACACAAGGGAAAAAAGGAAAAUCAUGUAAAAAUGGCUAUAUAAAAGCCAAAUAAAAACAAUGUAAGGGUCUGAUUUUUUUCUUGAAUAAAAACAGCUCAAAACAAAAAGAACAACAAAAGCAAUCGGAGUAGAAAGGAGAUUCAAAAUCGGGCUAAGGUUUUCUUUUCUUUUCUUUUUCUUUUUUUUCUUUUCCUAUUUUCGAAUCUAUCUCUUCCUAUAUAAUAUAUUAAAUUAUAUCAAAAAUAUAUUUUAAAAAAAAUAUAUAAAAAACGUACCUUUUAUAUUUUCACGGUGGCCGACGACGACGGUGGGCCACGGUGGCGACUGGACUGAAACCUCGCCGGAGCAAUGGCCUCUGCAGAGAACAAAGAGGAAGAAAGGAAAUUUUUUUAAAAAGAGGAGAAGAAAAAAAAAUUGGGUUUACAUAGGCCACCAAAACGACGUCGUUUUGGGACUGGCCUUAAACACGCAAAACGACAUCGUUUUGAGACGACCCCACCCGACCCGCUCCAACUUCAGGAUCCGCGUGUUUUCAUUGGAGGGGCUAUUUUCGCAUUUAGCCCCUCUGAUUUUUUAUUACUUUGCAAUUAAAUCAAUUUUUAUUUUUAAUUUGGCCCCGAAAUUUACCGAGUUUUGCGAUUUGGUCCUCCCUUCAGUGACGUCGUUUUAAGGGCUCGGGUAAAUUGCCUUUUUGGCCCUCUGUAGUCGCACGCGCAUUCAAAUGGGUCCCUUUUUUUAUAUUUCUUUUUAAAUUGGCCCCCUAACUUUUACUCUAAUUUCAAUUUAGCCUUUUUGUGUUAUUUUCAAUAUUGUAAUUAAAUUAAUUAAGGUAAUAUAUUACUGUUAUCUCUUAUUAUUAUUAUAUUUUACUUUUGGUGUUUAUUUACUUAUUGUUUUGUUAAUUAGUUCAUUAUUAACAUAUUAUUAUUCUUAAUGUAUUAUCAUUACUAUUAUUUUUAUUUUUUAUUUUUUUCUUUACUAUCAUCAUUUUAUUAUUAUUAUUUGUUGUUUAAUAUAUUAUUAUUAUUGUAUUUUUUAUUUAUUACCACUUCUAUUGUUAUUACUAUUAUUAUAUUUUACUACCAUUAUUUUUCAUACAUAUAUACGCUACUGUUUAUAUUAUUACUACUAUAACUACUAUAUUUUUUACUCCCUCUAUUAUGUAUUACCAAUAUAUUAUUACUACCAUUGUUACUGUUAUUAUUAUUAUCACUUGUUAUUAUUCUCAUCACUAUUAUUAUACUUUAUUAUUGUUACUUAUUAUUUUACUAUUAUUAUUUAAUAUAUCAUCAUUAUCAUUAUUUUCAUUGUAACUUAAUAGAUUAGUAUUCUUAUUUUUUAUUAUUAUUAUUAUUAUUAUUAUUAUCACUAUUAUUACUAUUAGCACUAUUUUUAUUACUAUUAUUUAAUAUAUUAUUUUUAUUACUAUCGUUACUAUUAUUGUUAUCUUGUUACUAUUACUAUCAUAUUAUUAUGUUAUUAUAUCUUUUACUAUUAUUGUUAUUAUAUUUUCCUUUUUUUGUAUUUACUUAUGCGUUAUUAUUAUUUUUUUAUUAACUAAUUUAAUACAUAUAUUUUAGCACACUUAUUUUAUUUAUAUGUCAUUACCCUUAUUAUUAAUAUUUCAUCAUUUAUUUUAUUUAUAUUUUUUUAAAUAAUUUUAAACUUUAGAUUACUUAUUAUUUGUAUUUACCAUUAUUAUUACUAUUAUUUUCACUUUUUUACUAUUACUAUUAUCAUUAUUAUUAAUAUAAAUAUUAAUACUCUUAUUACUACUUUUAUUAUUAUUAUUAAUAUUAUUGUUUUACCACCACUAUUAUUAUUAUCAACAUUAUUAUUAUUAUCGUUUUCAUUAUUAUUGUUAUUUUUGUGUUGUCGUGUUUUAUAUUUCUUUUAUUUACUUAUGUACUCGUUUAUUUCAUUUCCCUUACACAUUUGUUUUAUGUUACUAAUCUUGCCCCGAAGAAAACAAUUUUUCAUAAAAAGCAAUACUUCGUGUUUGAAAUUUUGAGAAAAUCGUGCCCUAACUUACUGGGUUUCGAUUCUUCUCAUUUUAACCUAAAUCACGGAAUAUUCUUUUAAAUCUCAAUACGAGUUUUGAAAUAACUGCUUACUCUCGAAGAUACGAGGUGUUGUGUCCUAACUUACUGAAUAUGACAUUUUGUUAUCUCGAGGUAAGAGCUUUUGCAAAUAAAGGCAAUAUUCGGUAUUAAGAAAUUUAAGAAAACGUGCCCUAACUUACUGGGUUUCGAUUUUUCUCGCUUACCCUAAAUAACCGAACAUCCUUUUAAAAAAUUAGAAUACAUUAAUUUUAAAUAAAAGCAAGCUCAUUCUCAAAGUUCGAGAUGCCGUGUCCUAACUUACUUGGCGUGACAUUUUAUUACUUCGAGACGAGAAGGUCUUUAAUAUUCGAGUUUUUUUACAAAGAGAGGGAUCGUAUUUCAAAGUAUUUUAAGUUUUCAAUUUUCGACAUUAAGACACUAAUUAAUCAACUAGGUACCAAUUUUUGGGCGUAUCGAGGGUGCUAAUCCUUCCUCGUGCGUAACCGACUCUCGAACUCAUUUUCUGAUUUUCGUAGACCAAAAAAUUAUCGUGGUGACCCGAUCACACCUUAUCAAAAAAGAUUGGUGGCGACUCCUCUAUUCGUUUUCAUUUUCAAAACCCAAGUCGAUUCCCGUUUUUCAAAAAAAUGGUUACGACAAUAACCGUGGGAAUCUCAUCCCAAUGAAGAAGGCAAUUUUCAACGCCAAGCCGUGGGCAGCUAAAGAAAAGCUUGCUCAACAUGUUACCACUUACUAUCUGAACCGAUUCAAACCGGGCGGUCUCGGGACAUGGAAAGAAAACACAGACACCAAUCAGGAUUUUUUCGACUACGACCCCUUUAAACAAGUUUUGAGUUUUGAGUUUCUGACACGGAAAGAUCGCACGAGGUAAAUAAUGGAAUAGUUGAGAGGUAUAUCAAUAUUAAACUCUUCGAGGUUAGACGAACUAGCUGUCGAAGAGAGAUGGAUCCACCAAAAAAUCACGGAUUUGUUGUACGUAGCAGUUUCUAACGAAAGAAAAAUCCUACGGACAAUUGUCAAGUUUUUGUGGUUGUUCAAGACAUGGUUCAUGAUAUCGUCAAAUGGAUAGCUCAAAUUAUAAUGAUAUUCUCGCAUAUCAAGAAUUGGAACCGACCUCCAUAAGUAUUGAAAUCUCGUGAAUAUGUUGAAUGGCCCGUGAACCUACAUUUGUAAUGAAUACAUCUGAUGAUGGUAGAAUUCGAGCUUGAAAAAGAGGAAUCUUGAAUGGCUUUAACCACCUCCAAACUAUCAAUUUGCAUCAAUAUAUUAUCAUAGCGCUCUUUGUAAGUGAGAGCUAAUCCAUCAAGAACUCCCCACAAUUUAGUUUUGAAGAUUGAGCAUUUGCCUAGAUUUUUGUUGUAUCCCAUAAGCCAAUCCCUUUUCCAUUUCUUAUGACUCCCCCCGCUGCAACAUCACCCUAGGCAAUUUGGACCGCCCCAUCAGUGCAGAGACUGAUCCAACUUUCUGACAUCUCGACUGCUAACCUUUGUUCUUUCUAUCUAGAAACGUUUUUCCUGUGAAAAGAAACAAAUUGUUUUGCCCAAAUAUAUGAAAUCUUAGUAAUCUCACUUGUACUCCAAGAGAUGCCCUGUAAAAGAAAAAGUUUCGAUUAUUCCAAAUACGCCAAGUUAAGAAAACGAGAUCAAAUACUUUAUGACAUAGUUUUAUUACAUAAAAUGAAUAUAGUAUGAGAAUAAUAAUAUGAAUGGAUCACGAUGGUUAUAAGCAUGUGAAAAUUUGAUUAAUUGAAUUAAUUUAAUCCCAUUCUGUUUAGUUGAGUUUUCACUUUAUUUAGUUGAGACUCAAUUUUAUCGGUUUAACUGAUCAAUUUCAAUUUUAAGUGUCCAAACCAAACAAGUCAAAUAAAGCAACAUACUAAACUCUUUAUAUAUGCCUAAAUCCAGGCCGAAGUUCAUUUUCAUUUAACCCAAAAUCAAAUAAUCAGCCCAAUCCAACUCAUAUUCAAUUAAAUGAAACCCAACCCAACUUAUUUUCAACUCAUUUAUUUAUAUAGAGAGAGAUUACUCUUAUAUUUAUAAAAAUAUUAUUAUUUAAUGAGGCGUAUAACUGGAAAUUAAUUUAUUGUUCUGGAUAUAUUAAAUAAACAUUACAUUAUCCAUAAAACAAGCAUGGCAUUUGCUGUUAAUAAAUUUUAUCACAAAGAAAAAAAGAAUUAAUGUAUUGUUGAAUAGUGAAUAAUGGUGUAGACAUGCAGUCUUGCGUUUUUCUGGCUUUCAUUCUUUACCGUGUAUUGUGGUUGGAGCCCAAUCUUAUUCAUAUUACUAGUCAACGGAUUAACAUCACUAGAACAAAACAAAUCAGAUGAACACAAGACAAAAUACAUCCAAACAAACAAUACACCAAAAUAAGAGGAAGACAGAGAUAGAAAGAGAGAGCGCCCAAGAUUCCUUGUUGGUAUUCAAUCCAUGCAUUACUACAAAUUACAAAGACUUUGACCUACGUAAUUUAUCGUUUAACAAUCAUAUCUUUUUUGUACACCACAAAUAUGUGCUUUAAGAAGAGUGUUUUUAACCAUGAAUAAUGAGCUACCAUCUUUUAUUUGCAAGGGUGAUCUAGGGAUGUCAAUUGAGUGGGUGGGUGUCGGGGUGCUCCUUCCACACCCAUGUUUGCCAAGAAUUUUCAUCUUCGUCUCUGUCUCGUGACUCGUUGCGGGUACAAAACUCAAAACAUCCUUACUUCACCACCCACGUGGGUCCCAAACCCACUUAAUCUCAGCAAUACCCGCCCUACGACUCACUUCAUAUAAUAUAUUUAUAAGUAUCAAUUAAAUAAAUAUAAGUCAAUUUUUUUUAUGAAAAAAAGUAUAAAAUAUCUUUCCUCUAGACUCCCACCAGAUAUGUGACAUUAUUCCAACUGUCACCAUUUAAAAAAAAAAGUAAGUCAUCAAGACCUUUAAUUGGUAAAUAAAAUAUAACUUCAAGUUCAAAAAAAUCAGAAAAUAAAGUCCUUACAUAAUAUCUAAAUACAAAUAAUAUCUUCAAACGCAACACAAGUGCAAAAAUUAAAUACUAUUAAGAUAAUUACUAAAUUAAAUUUUUAUAAAUAUUAUUUUUUUAAUAUGUUUAUUAUAUUAUGCGAGCGGGUGGGGAUGGGGCAGGUACAAAGUCAUACCCACGCCUACCCCACCACCAAUGGCAGGUCUAUUUUUUGUCCCUAACCCUACCCCACCACCCGCAAAACCUGUACCCUUCUCCGCCCAAUUGAGUGCGAAGUGGGGUGGAACCCUGCAAAAAUUGCUCUAUUGACAUCCCUAAGUGAUCCUACUUAAAUUUUGGUCUUUCUAAUUUAAAAUCAAUUCCUAAUAAAUGGAAAAAUUCAAUUUAAAUAUAACAUCACAAAUUUUCUUUCUUUUAACUAAUUUGAAACAACAUUAUUAUAACAAGAUAGGUGAAAUCGAAGGGAGUUUAUCGCCUGAUAAACUCAAAAAGAAAGAGACAUGGAUUAGAUUAGAGUAAUUAUUUUACGAAAUUACAGACAUCAUCAUACCCAUAUAUUAUUAUUAUUUAAUUGGAUAAAACUAUUUAAUUACAAAUUUUGAAAUUAAAAGUGAAGAUUUCUCAAAAUUAGAUGGAUGUUAUGCAAAAAAAAUCAAUGAAGAUUAUAGUUCAGGGUUGCCAAUGUGACCGUAAAAUCUAUUCCACUACAGAUUUCCUAAUCAAUUUAUUCUUAACCACUUUAGUCCAAAACAAUAAAUCUCAAUUUAAUAAUAAAACGAAUCAUUAACAGAAAUUUGAUUUAAAAAUCAGCAACGAGUGAGGUAUAAUGAUGAUACAACUUCCUCAAAUCAGGAUGACCACCAUCUUUUGCUUUCUCCACGGCAGAGAAAGAAGAAAGCUCAAUUAUUUGUAAGAUAAUACCUGAAAUUUUACAACCAUAUACAGAAGUCUGAUAUUUUAGUUUUGGUUUGUAGGCAUGUUCCUAAAUGUAUGUAUCUAGGAAAAAUGCCAUUAGUAGAAGAAACAGAGCAAUCCAUAAUAAUUUAUGGCAGAGCAGGCUUCAAUCACGAAUGAUCCACACAAAGAUUAACUUUAUAAUUUCACACUCUUUAUAAGAAUAAAAUUAAAAUGAAAAGGCCUUUUAUUGGAUGUAAAAAUUAUUCCAUAAACUGUGCUCUUAUAGGAGAUCUUUUAUAUGUAAGUUUAAAAUUUAAAACCAAAAUUGAUUUACUUGAAUUUUGCAGAUCUAAUUUUGUAAUUUUUUUUAAAAAUUUUCAUAGCAAAGGCAACUUCAACUAGAAUUAACAAAAUUUUCCAUUAUUACUUAUACUAAAAAGCGAUAAUAUAUGGAAAUCUUCUAUAUUUCUGAUUAUUGUGUGAUUUAGAAUACACCAACAAAAUUCCCAAUGGAAAUUUAUAAUAAUUUUUUAAAACUUAUGGAAAUAUAUAUAUUAUUCUACUUUAAUUAAGGCAACAUUAUAAUGAUAUAUAAUGUACGAAAUGGCUAAAAUUGCUGCAAACUUUUGACUCGCGUUAGAAGAAACAUGCUUACUUAGUUACAUUAAAAAAUACUUAAAAACUUUACUUUAUAUAAUAUAUAUGAAAUAAACAAAGUUUUGGCCUUAAAUAAUAGAGAUAUCGUGCUGCGUUUUUUGAGUUAAUGUUUGAAUCUGUUUUCUGUUGCUAUUCUCCUUUUGUAUUUCGAAAAAGAAAGAAAGGAAAAGAACCCUUUACACCCGAAUCUUUUGUGACUUAUAUAGCCCAUUUUUUACAAGAUUUCAAUUAUUUUUAUGCACACUGUCCUUUCUUCCUUUAAUUUUGCAGGUGAACGGCGGUGGAGGAAGGUGCCACUUGCACUGACGAUGUGACUGGGGCGGUUGGAGUCAGAAGACCCUAGGCGCGGCGCACCUAGGGUUUGAAAUUUUUGCUGUUUUUUUUGUUAUGGUUUGGGCUACAUUGUUUUGGGCCUAGUGGGUUUAGGUCUACUUAGGGUUUGGGUAGUUUUAGGUUUUAUUUUUGGUUCAGUGGGCCGAGCAGGAAUGGGCUUCUACAGCUGCCCCUUUUUUCUUGUUGUCGUGCAACGAGAACGGAGCAAAGACUUUCAAGAAAGACUAGUUUUGCCCGAUCGCGCCGAGUCUUGACUUCUUUAGUCUCAUCUUCUUUAGGUAGCUUCAUUCUAGUCCACUGCAUCUUGUUGCUUGAUUCACUCCAUUGUAACUUCAGUCUGCUCCAUUGCAACUUCAGGGAGAUAAGACUAGUGACUUCACUCUAUUCCGCUAGAACUUCAAAGAGCUACGAAUUGUGGCUUCAAACCUCUCUAGUGCUAUUUCAGGAAGAAGAAAUUUGUAACUUCGAUCUACUCCGCUAGAACUUCAAGGAGAUACGAAUGGUGGCUUUGACCCUCUCCAGUGCCACUUCAGGGAGAAGAGAUUUGUAGAUUCUAGCCUGUUACUAUGGGGUUAAGGCUUACUAUCUUCGAUCCGCUCCACUACUACAUAAGGAGACAAGAUCUGUAAUUCAACCUGUUACCCUACUGCUUAGGGGUUUAAGGCCUAUCGCCUUCAAUCUGUUUCCCUACUGCAUAGGGGGUUAAGAUCCGUAAAUUUAGCCUGUUACCCUACUGCUUAGGGGUUUAAGGCCCGUCACCUUUGAUCUGUUUCUCUACUGCUUAGGGAGACAAGAUCUGUAAUUUUUAGCCUGUUACCCUAUUGCUUAGGGGUUAAAGCCCUUCGUCUUCGAUCUGUUUCCUACUACUUAGGGGGUUAAGAUUUGUAAAUUCAGCCUAUUAUCCUACUGUUUAGGGGUUUAAGGCCAUUCGUCUUCAAUCUGCUCCACUAUUGUUUAGGGAGACAAGAUCUAUAAUUUUCAGCCUAUUACCCUACUGCUUAGGGGUUAAGGCCUUUCGUCUUCGAUCUAUUUCCCUACUGCUUAGGGGGUUAAGAUCUGUAAUUUUUAGCCUGUUACCCUACUGCUUAGGGGUUAAGGCCCUUCGUCUUCGAUCUGUUUCCCUACUGCUUAGGAGGUUAAGAUCUGUAAAUUCACCGAUCUUGGGACAUGAUAUUUAGAAUCAGUUCUAUGUAUUUAUGCUUAUGCCAAAGAAUUAGGAUACUAUGAUCGAAAUGAAUCAAAUGUUCCUAACUAGAUGUGCUAUGAAUGAUCUAUAAACGCAUGAGUGCAGCAUGUUGUGAGAAUGGAUCCCUUUUUAAUAUUUGGGUUGUCAUUGUUCUUUGUUCAUCAAGGUUCUUUCACUGAAAUGGUACCCUGUCUUCUGGUUCAGCUUAGAUCUUUGAACAGAAAACCCGAAGAGGUAGUCCCAAUUUAAACUCUUUCUUUUCAAAUGUUUCCAAUCUUUAAGUUUGGUUGGUUCUAAAUAAUAGCCCUGUUUCAGGUUCCUGUACUAUUUGGAAACUUUCAGAGUAAUAUGCAGAACUUCUUUUGUGAGAGUGUCAUUAGUCCAUUAAUCAUCAUUUCAAUGCAAAAUGCUUGAAAAAAGAUCAUAACAAUGAUAGAACUAAAAUUUGUCAGAAAAAAAAUUUGAAGGGAAUAGAUUAAUCCCAGACAACAAACAUUGCUGGAAUACAAAAUGAAUAAAAAGAAAAUAGGUGCCCCAGAUAUCGCAGCGUGAGCUUCUCUGUACGAACUUCUUGAGGACUCUUUUUUUGCCCAAUAUGUGUUUAGGGGAUCUAGAGUACCCUUGUAGAUGUCCUAAGAUGUAACAUCUCUCAUCCUUGUUAAUUUAGGUAUCGUAAAUCUGCUGUCUGCCCCACCUUUGAUCAAAAUUAGAAUCGCCUUUUACGGGUUUUCAUUUCAAAAUCCCUUUGGUUUCAAAGUGCUCUUUGCGAGUUUUCACCUUGGCCUUUCCUCCAUUUUUUUAGGCGAAGUAUUUUUUAACCGAAUCCGAAUCACAAGAUUGGUAAAGUCUUGCCAUCCAUUUCGGCCAAUAUCAAUGCUCCUCCAGAAAAGGCCUUCUUUACCACAUAAAGUCCUUCCUAAUUCAGCAUCCAUUUUCCUCUAAAAUCCUUUUGUAUGGGCAGGAUCUUUUUCAAUACUAAGUCUCCCUCGUGGAAUUCUCUAGGACGAACCUUUUUGUUGUAAGCUCGCAUCAUUCACUUUUGGUACAUCUGACCAUGGCGGGUAGCCCUUAGCCUCUUUUCUUCAAUCAAAUUCAACUGAUCGUAUCAGGACUGGGUCCAUUCUGCUUCAUCCAACUUUACUUCUUAUAAAACUCUGAGGGAAGGAAUCUCGACUUUGAUAGGUAAAACCGCCUCCAUUCCAUACACCAAUGAGAAAGGCGUUGCCCUGGUGGAAGUCUUGGCAGACGUUCGAUAAGUAUAGAGGGUGAAUGGUAACUUCUCGUGCCAGUCUUUAUAAGUCUCAGUCAUUUUCCCCACAAUCUUCUUAAUGUUUUUAUUAGCUGCCUCAACUGCACCAUUCAUCUUUGGGCGAUACGGUGACAAGUUGUGGUGUCUGAUCUUAAACUGACUGCAGACAUCCGCUAUCAUGCUGUUGUUCAAAUUCAAUGCGUUAUCAGAUAUGAUCCUUUCUGGCAUUCCAUAUCGAUAAAUGAUUUCCUUUUUUAGAAACUUCCUAACUGCCAAUUUAGUAACAUUGGCAUAUGAAGCGGCUUCUACCCACUUGGUGAAAUAGUUAAUGACUACAAAGAUGAAUCGAUGUCCAUUUGAAGCUUUUGGUGAAAUUGGCCCAAUCACAUCCAUGCCCCACAUUGAGAAAGGCCAUAGAGAAGUAAUGACAUGCAGGGGUGAAUGAGGCACAUGAAUCUUGUCUCCAUAGAUUUGGCAUUUAUGACAUCUUUUGGCGUAGUUAAUACAGUCUCCUUCCAUGGUGGACCAAUAAUAACCAAACCUCAUAAUUUGCCUGGCCAUUGUAAAGCCAUUAGCGUAUGUCCCACGGACGCCCUCAUGGACUUUUUCUAAGAUUUUCUUGGCCUCUAUAGCUUCUACACAUCUUAACAGUACUUAAUCUUUCCUUCUUUUGUAUAGGCUUGAUAUUUCCUUCUUUUGUAUAGGAUCUCCCCGUCUAAGACAUAGUCAUUGGCCAGUCUUCUCAAUGUUCUUUUGUCAUUCUUGGUAGCUUGGUCGGGGUACUCACGAUUCUUUACAUACAGCAGGAUAUCGUGGUACCAAAGGUGAUCAUCAUUUUCUUCUUCUUCUUCAAGGUUGUAACAAUGAGCCGAAGCCUCAUAAAUACUCAUUUGGAUUGGUUUCACAUCCUCUUGCUGAUUUACCUUGAUCAUAGAAGCUAAAGUUGCUAGGGCGUCAGCCAUAUGAUUUUCUUCUCGCGGGAGGUAACAUAAGACAAUAUCAUCAAACUCUUUAAUUAAUUCAAGGAUCAGCCUUCGAUAAUUGAUCAAUUUGGGGUCUUUCGUCUCCCAUUCACCUUUGAGUUGAUAAAUCACUAGGGCAGAAUCUCCAUAUACCUCUAACACCUUGAUUUUACGUUCUAUGGCUGCGCAAAUUCCAAUGAUGCUUGCUUCGUAUUCUGCCAUAUUGUUCGUGCAGUCAAAAUCUAAUUUACUAGUGAAGGGAUAAUGAUCUCCGUUUGGGGAUACCAGGACUGCCCUGAUUCCAUUACCCACAGCAUUUGAUGCUCUGUCAAAGUUUAGCUUUCAAGGAUGACCUUCUUGAGGGUCUUCUUCAGUGGUUGCUACGUGCAUUAGAUCUUCAUUUGGGAAAUCAAAGUUCAGAGGCUCAUAGUCUUCUAGGGCUCUACUAGUUAGAAAAUUUUCUAUUGCACUCCCUUUUACAGCUUUCUGGUUUACGUAGACUAUAUCGAAUUCAGAAAGUAGAAUUUGCCAUCGGGUCAUUCUCUCAUUCAAAGCAGUCGACUCCAUCAAGUACAUCAGAGGAUCCAUUUUAGAGAUCAGCCAAGUUGUGUGGUAUAACAUGUAUUGUCUCAAUCUUCGGGUUGUCCAAAUUAAGGCACAACAUAACUUUUCAAUUGACGAGUAUCUCGUUUCACACUCAGUGAACUUCUUACUGAGGUAAUAUAUCGCUAUUUUCUUCCUUCCUGACUCAUCAUGUUGGCCAAGCACACAUCCCAUAGAAUUUUCAAACACCGUUAAAUACAGUAUCAAUGGCUUUUCUGGACUAGGUGGUGUCAAUACUGGGGCAUUAGACACAUAUUGCUUAACCCUGUCGAAAGUCUUCUGGUACUCCUCGUCCCAAACACUAGGGUUGUGUUUCUUAAGGAGACGGAAUAUGGGGUCACACUUCUCGGUUAGUUGUGAAAUAAACCGAGCGAUGUAAUUUAGUCUUCCUAAGAAUCCCCGAACUUCCUUUUGAGUACGUGGUGGAGGUAACUCCUGUAUGGCUUUGACUUUAUCUGGGUCAAUCUCAAUCCCUUUUUCACUAACUACGAAUCCUAGCAGUUUUCCUAACCUGGCCCCGAAGGUAAAUUUUGCUGGAUUAAGUUUCAGCUAGAAUUUCCUCAACCUCAAAAAUAAUUUCCUCAAGACUUGCACAUGCUCUUCUUCUGUUCGGGAUUUGGCGAUCAUGUCGUCAACAUAAACUUCAAUUUCUUUGUGCAUUAUAUCAUGGAACAAGGUUACCAUAGAUCUCUGAUAUGUUGCUCUCGUAUUUUUAGUCCAAAUGGCAUCACCUUAUAGCAAAAGGUUCCCCACAUGGUUACAAAUGUAGUCUUAUUCAUGUCCUCAGGAUGCAUCUUUAUCUGAUUGUACCCUAAGAAACCAUCCAUGAAGGAGAACAGUGAAUAAUCUGUCGUAUUGUCCACUAAGGUGUCGAUAUGGGGCAACGGGAAAUUAUCUUUUGGGCUGGCUUUGUUCAAAUCCCUUUAGUCUACGCACAUUCAUACUUUUCUAUCUUUUUUAGGGACGGGGACGAUAUUGGCUACCUAUUCCGAGUACUUAACUACUUGCAAGAAACCAGUGUCAAAUUGCUUCUUGACCUCCUCUUUUAUUUUCAGCAAAACAUCGGGCCUCAUCCUUCGAAGCUUUUGUUGAACUAGGUUGCAUUCUUCUUUGAUGGAGAGCCUAUAUACCACAAUGUCAGUACUUAGUCCAGGCAUAUCUUGAUACGACCAUGCAAAGACAUUCUUGAACUCUUGGAGUAACUCAAUAAGGUCCCGCUUUGUCUCUGUGGGAAUGCAAGCUCCGAUCUUUACUUCCUUUUUUUCUUGUUCAUCUCCAAAAUUCACAAUUUCUACUGACUCUUUGUGGGGUAGAAUCUAUUUCUCCUCUCAUUCUACCAUCCUUAACAAAUCAGGGGAUAAGUUACAGUUUCUAUCAUCCUCAAAGUCCUGAGAUCCCUCUAGACACAUAACCCUCUCAAUAGGGGACUCUGAGUUAGUAGCAACGUCACUCAUAUCGUUGAUAUCUGGAGACCUGUUGUAGGUACGAAGAAAGAUACAAAGAACAAGAGAAUCUAAGAAUAAUGAUAUGUAUGGUAUGAUCAUGAAUGAAAGAAUAAAAGAAUAUUUGCACUGAAUAAAACAAAAGGAUGCAUUUAAUUAAAAUAACGAUUUUGAACAUAAGCCUAUUUCACAAAAGGGACUCUUAUUACUCCUAGGCCUAGAGCAAUAAGUGUGUUUUGAACAUUACUCUGUGUUAGUUCUAAAGACUACAGGAAUCUCUUCCGCAGUCCAAUUGUUCAGAAUACUUCCCGGUUCAUAAGGGUGAAUGCCCGACAAAUUCUCUAUUCCAGUUCUUUCUUCAUAUGUGGCGUUGAUGUCCAAAUUUGCCAUCAUUCCUUCCACGAUUUCUUUUUCCAACGUCCUCCGCUCAUGGUGAAUGAUUCCUUCAGACACAAAAGUCUUUGAUAUAUGGGGAAAAUUAUUAGUUCCCACUUGAUUUCUUCCCCGUUCAAUCACACUCUCCUUCUCUCUUACUUCUUUUCCAGCUCCUUCUUUCUUUGUUUCAUGUUUGGCUUAAAUCCUAACCCAAAACGGUCUUGUUUUUCCUUCAUCAUUGGUGCAUUAAUCCUUCCCUAGAGGUAUCUCCCGAAUCCUCUUCCGGGUAGGGCCUUUUUUUCAACAGUUAGCCGUAAUCCCAUUCUUGUAAUCUCAGAUAACCUGGGCAUUGGAAUCCUAUUUCUUUCGGUAAUGAAUGUCACAAUCACAAACUUUAAAGACCGAAAAGAGCACUCGAUUGCUUCAUCAUUUGCCUCUAGAUAUGGGGCGUCACUAGUUAUUGCUACGAUGAUGUCCUCUUCAGCAUUGAUCGUUACUAACCGACUUUCGGUUACCAAUUUCACCUUCUGGUGUAGUAAUGAAGGGACUGCCCCUGCUGAGUAUAUCCAUGGCCUCCUCAAUAGGCAAUUAUACGAAGGCUUAAUGUCCAUAACCGGGAAAUCUACCUCGUACGUGCUCGACUCGAUUAAGAGGGGUAUUUCAAUUCUCCCCAUUACCUUCCUUUCCGUGCCAUCAAAUGCUCUCACUACAUUUUGGCAUGUCUUCAUAUGGGAACUAUCUACUGGCAACCUAUUCAACAUAGAUAAGGGCAGGACAUUUAGUGCAGACCCAUUGUCAAUCAAUACCCCCGGUAAUGUAUACCCUUUACAGCGAGUCUUGAUGUGCAAAGCUUUAGCCGAUCCUUUGCCUCCUGGCGGUACUUCAUCAUCAUUGAAGAAUAUGAAGUUAACGGCACUUAUAUUGUUGACUAAACGGUCCAGUUUGUUUACAGAAAUAUCGUUAGCAACAUAAGUUUCAUUCAGCACCUUCAUCAAUGCGCUACGAUGGAUUUCUGAGCUUAAGAGUAAGGGCAGUACCGAUAUACGAGCUGGCUAUUUGUGCAACUGUUCUACGACGCUAUAUUCGCUGCACUUUAGAAAUUUUAAAAAUUUCUUCGCUUCUUUUUCCGUCACUGAUUCAUUAACAGUCGGUUCAGGUCCCGCUAGCUUCCCUUUCUUUUGCUCAAUUGCCAAUGAUUUUCCUUUAACCUGCUCGACUUUUGUAUUUGGGGUAUCAUAACGCCUUUCGCUGCGCGUAUAAAAACCCUCAUCUUGACCUUCCUCUGAUGCAUUAAUUGGGAUCUCCUCUCCCGAGAUUGUUACAUUGCAGCUAUAGUUCCAUGGUACCCUUUUGCUAUCUUUAUAAGGGAAAGCAACGGGCUUCUAGAUUACGACCUUUGGUGUAACUUGUGCCCCGGCUUCAUUAAUUCUCGGACGUGAUAUGAUAACCACUGGGUGGUUGACUGUGAAAACAUCAUUCGUCGACCCCUCUUCUGAGGCACACACAUCUGUUCCUUUUGGGCUUCCGACAUAUUCGAAGAAUUCUAUCUCCUUAUUAUUCAUCAAUCCUUGUAUUAAAGCCCUGAAUUCGCUGCAUUUCUGAAUCUCAUGAUCCUUUUGAUUAUGGAAUUCAUAAUAAUUCUUUGCUUCUCGAGGUCUGACCCUUGAAUUCUGUGUUAUCAACCCUCUUUCCACCAUUUUCUUCCAUACUUCUUUCAGCGGGGUAUUCACUUCUGCAAUGUUCACCUUAAUUUCUUUCCCCGAGCUCUCGAUUAUCGCAUUUAUCCCCUUAUCCCCAUGGUUAGGUAAUGGAUUCUCUGCACUAGAUGUAUCAUCAAAUUUCAUGAUGCCUAUAUUGAUGAGUCUUUCAACUAAUUUCUUGAAAGUGGUGCAGUUUUCUAUCGAGUGUCCUGUGGCUCCUGUAUGGUAUUCGCAUUGGGCAUUUGCGUCAUACCAUUUGGGGUAUGGGGGUUGCAUCGGCUUUAGAUAGAAGAGAGACACGACAUGUGCAUCAAAUAAACUUUGGUAUAACUCCUUGUACGUCAUUGGAAUGGGCGUAAAUUGGAGUUUCUCCCUAUUUUGCUUUGUAUUGGGCUCUUGUCUGGGUGGACCCUGCUGACCAGUGGUUGUCGAUCUUGGUUGGCUUACGGUGAUAGAUUUCGAAUAUGUACUCACAUUAUUUACCUCGUGCUCUUUCUUUCUCGGUGCUGACCUUUUGGCAUUUUCUCCAGCCUCUAUUUUCCCACAUCUUGUCGCAUUUUCUAUCAUUUCUCUAGACAUUACUAUGUCUGAAAAACUCUUGGUUGCAUUACCCAGCAUGUGGUUAAUAAAAGGUGCCUUUAGGGUAUUAAUGAAGAGCAUAAUGGUUUCCUUUUCCAACAGAAGGGGCUGGACUUGUGUGGCCACCUCGCUGCAUCGUUGGGCAUAUUUCCUAAAGCUUUCAUUAUGCUUUUUCUCCAUAUUCUGUAAAGUAAUUCUAUCAGGGGCUAUGUCUGCCACAUGACCGUACUGCUUCAUGAAAGCUUGUGCUAGAUCUUUCCAUGAACUGAUCUGGGUGCGACUCAGUUGGUUGUACCAUCUAGAAGCGGCCCCAACCAGACUUUUUUGGAAGCAGUGAAUCAAGAGUUGAUCAUUAUUACCAUGACCUGCCAUUCGUCUGCAGAACAUAGUGAUGUGAGCUUCGGGAUAGCUAGUCCUAUUGUAUUUCUCAAAUUCUAGAGUUUUGAACUUGGGAGGGAGUACCAGGUCCGAAACCAAACUUAAUUCCUUAGCAUCGAUUCCACUAUGAUAAUCGGUGUUUUCCAUUUCUUUAAAUUUUUCUUCUAACUAUCUAAACCUUUCUUCAAGUUCUUUCAAGAGUUCUACCUUUGUCUUUUCUGUUUCUGUUACUUUAUCAAGAUUGAGGACAACAGGGUUAGUCAGGUUAUCCCCCGGAUUGGAGCCCAAGCCAGCCUGAUAGUUCACCGGUACCGAAACACUGGCCUGAAAUGGCUGGGGCCUAAUUGUGACCGAUGGCCUUCUUGAGUACAUAUCAGGUUGUGUUUGAACGUCCGUUGGGGCAAAACGCGGAUGGUAUAUAAGAUCUUCAUUAUCAUCUCCCACAUUGGUCAUGAGGCUUUUUCCCUUUUUCUAAUCCGCCAGCCAAUAGACGCGUUAAUUGAUCCAUGAUACUUUUUUGGGACUCCAGCAUCUGGUCCCUUACAUCUUGCUGGAUUUUGGCUAGCUGUUCUUGCAUACGUGUUUAUAGUUGAUCCUGCAUCUCUUUUUGCAUUUGUUCCAAUCUCUCUAACCUUUGGUCCAUUGCUUUUGUUUUUCCUCUUGUACCGUAACGAUGUUCCAGGGUAACUGCCAUCAUUUUUAGGGUUUUUGUGAGUUUUAGUGCAUUUGUUGCAAUGCUGAUGCAUGAAUGCAAUGGAUGCAAUGAAUGCAAUGAAUGCAAUGAAAGAAAAUGCGUUGAUUCUAAUUCGAUUUCAUUAGAAUAACUUUUCUAGAAAAUAAGUUUUUUUUACAUAAAAUAGAUUACAUAUAAGGCUUGGCCCUGAUACUUAAAGCCUUGACCUGCCUAAGAAGGCAAGCUAGCUCUCGACCUCGGUCUGAUUCUGACUCAUAUUUUAAACUCAGCACAUCGGCCUGUACUACUAACUUUUGUAAGUGAUCAGCCACUUCUCGCACUUGAGUCAAAGCUUCACCCAUGACGUAAUCCCUGUUCCUGACCUGGUCUUGAGAUUGAUGAAGUUGCUCCCUCAAUCGCUCGUUAUUUACCUCAAGGAGUUCAAUCUAAAGUUCAUGAUUUUGCAGCGCUGUUUUAAGUUCUUUUAUAUUCUCUUUUAAUUCUUCGAUUUUGCUCUGACUAGCUUUCAACUCGAUUACAGAGUUACGCGUACGAUACUGAUACAAUGAACUUUCUAACUUUGACACCCGAAUCUUUAAUCCCUCCUUCUCAUUUUGGCUUUCUACCAAACUUCUUUUCAGAGCACCUUCUCGAGCUUGAGCAUCCCAGAACUUUUCUUCCCAUUGGUUGGCUUUGCUUUUCUCUUCUUUAACUUCCUGUCGCCACUGUUCAGAUGUUUUUCUUAGCCCAGCGGUUCUCAUUGAUCUACUCAGCUUCUUAUAUUCUGUUUUCAAACUGUCCAAAUCCUCUUCAGCCUUGUUUUUUUCCUUUUCUGGGCCUUUCAGCUUCUAGUUUCUGGACAUCAACAUCUAACCCCAGCUGUAUUUUUUCUUCCUCUAAUUGCUCGAUCCUUUUUUCUAAUUCCAAACUCUUUCUCUCGAAAUCUUGCCUGAUGAUUUCUAACUCAGAUGAGAUUACUUUCAAGUGUUCUUCUAUUAAUCGAGGAUUCCCUUGAUCUGACGUAGAGAUGUUGUCGUUAAUCCUCUGUUCCCUCUAUCGGUCGUACUCAGGGGUAGUCAUGGGAUUGGCAGCAAACUUUUUCAUUCUACGAGUCUGGUUCCAAGUAUUUGAUAUCUUGUGAACUUUCUUUUUGUAAUUAUUCCCCGUGAAUACAAACUCGCACUGAGUUAACCCUUAUGUUGGUAGUGUAAACUGUCUGGAUCUGUACUGUCUUAAUGCAAGCAGAGGAGCAUACCUGACGGCUCCCCAUACUCCUAACAAGGGAACCCAAUUGAAAUCUCCAUAUCGAUAUAAUAUUUCAUCAGGAACCAUCCACGGGGCUCUCUAUUCAACGUCUUCCUCUUGCAAAUUUUGGAGAACCGUCAUCCAAUUUUCUUCUGUAAUAUUAUCUCGCCUCGGUGUAGCUACUAACUCUUUCAGUGGAGAGUAAUUUUUAGAGAAGAUAUGAUAUGAGACCUUUUCCACUUUCUAAAAAUGGUUGUCGAACCAAGAUAGCAAGAGCUGUGCACAUCCAAUAAAUCUCCCUUCACUGGCUCCUCGACAAGCAUUCAAUGAUCUGAAAGUUUCAGCCAAGAUUACGGGUACAGGUGUGGUCCCUUUACCAAGCCUAUCAAAAAGAUCGAAAACCGCCUUGUCUACAUGCCCCAAAGCUUUGGGGAAGAUAACCAGUCCAUAAAUGCUCAGGGCGAAGACAUCUACCCUUUUCUUCACAUCGGUGUGCGCUAAGAUUAGAUCCCUCAGUUUCUUCCAAGGAAUGCACUUACAAUCUCUUUUUUGUUUGAUCUGGGUUGUAACCUACUGUUCGCUCAUCCCUGUGAUGUUCAUCAGUUUUUUUGAAAAUGCUGGGACAUUGGCAGAUCUAGAAUAAAUUCUAUCAACCUGAAUCUUUGGGCAAUGGAGCAAGGCCGUGUAAUUUUCUAUAGUAGGUACCAGAUCUACCUUCCCGAAAGUGAAGCAACUGUAAGCAGAAUUCCAAUAUUGGGCGAAGGCUCGAAACAGACGUUCGUCUACCUUGACAUGACAAUAGAAUAGUUGUUUGACUUUGUCAUACCACAGACCCCAAAUUUCUUUCAUCUCUUAGAGAUUAUUCUGAGUUACGCUGAUCCGAGUAAAAUCCCACAACUCUGACACGUACCCCUCGUUAAGACUGUCACCUUUCUCUUGCUGUGUUGUCUCAGCCCAUAUCCGAACAGCCGCAUUGUUCUCUACUUUAUCAAAAAACCCCUUUUCCAUGAUAAGCUAUCUACUUAGAAACCGAAUGUGAAUCAACACCUUUUGUGAUAAAAAUGCCAUGCAAAUACAAUCAAAGUAAAACAAAGCAAGUCAGAAUUUCAUACGCAGUUUAAAGCAAACAAAGAAUAACAAAUAUAGCACUUGCUCAGGUAACUACUAGGGUUUCGGAGUGGCUCUACCUAGGGUGGGCUCUUAAGGCUUGCUACAUGGGGUGCGGUUCUAGAGUAAAGGUACCUGAACCAGCUGAUUCCUCGAUCCUCACCCAUUAUAGGCUCAUACAGACCGAGUUCAGUUCAGGGGAAUACAUUUCCCUAUGGCUACACGGAGAUGAAAAUCUCACGAAGACAUAGGUACGGAUGUAUCCUUAAAGCGAUCCGUUAUCCUGCACGGAGGUGAAAACCUCACGAAGGAAUAGUUUCUCACUCCCACUUAAAGGGUGUGACCACAACGGUCAUGCAAUGCAAUGUGCGAAGAUAUAUGCAUAAAAACUCGAAGCAAUUAAAGAAAAUAGGAAUAAAAUGAUGAAAACUAGUAGAAAAACGGGUGAAAUGCAAUGAAGGGAUUGUAUAUCAAAACCAAAUUUUUAAUUUUCGACCAAACGAAAAAAGUUAAUCAACUUGCUGCUUGACUCUCUUAUUUGUUUUCCCCAGUGGAGUUGCCAAGUUGUCGAAACCAUUUUUUGAAAAACGCGGGAAUCGACUUAAGUUUUGAAAACAAAAAAAAAACAAGAGUCGCCACCAAUCCUUUUUUGAUGAGGUGUGACCGCGUCACCUCGUAAAAAUAGUUGUUUUUAAUAAAUAAUCUGAUUUAUUUAAAUAAUGAUUUUUUCGCGAAAUUUAGAAAAACGAGUUCGAGAGUCGAUUACGUACGAGGAAGGAUUAGCACCCUCGUAACGCCCAAAAAUUGGUACCUAGUUGAUUAAUUAGUGUCUUAGUGUCGAAAAUUGAAAACUUGAGAAACUUUGGAAUAUGGUCCGUCUUUUUUAAAAAUAACAUUCGAAUGUUAAAGACCUUCUCGUCUCGAAGAAACAAAAUGUCAUAUCCAGUGAGUUAGGUCACGACAUCUCGAACUUUUGAGAAUGAACUUGCCUUUUACUUAAAAAUCUGUGUAUUUUAACUUCUUUUCAAAAGGAUAUUCAGUUAGUUAGGGUGAAUGAGGAAAAUCGAAACCCAGUAAGUUAGGGCUCGUUUCCUCAAAUUUUCAAACACCGAAUAUUGCCUUUACUUGCGAAAAAUCUUAUUUCGAGGUAACAAAAUGCCAUACCCUGUAAGUUAGGGCACCACAUCUCGUAUCUUCGAGAAUAAGCAUUUUUUAAAACUCGUAUUGCGAUUUUUAAAAGAAUAUUCCGCUAUUUAGAUUAAAUGAGAAAAAUCGAAACCCAGAAAGUUAGGGCACGAUUUUCUCGAAUUUCCAAAUACGAAAUAUUACCUUUAUGGAAGAAUUGAUAUUGGGUUGGAUAAAAUCUAAAUUCGUAAUGAAACGAGAUAAUAAAGAAUGCAUAACAAAUAAAAAUUGAUAGCCAUAAUAAAAUAAGCAUAAACACGAAUGUGAAUGAUAACGAUAAAAAUAAAGGUAAAAUAUAUGCAUCAAACGAAUAAUAAAAAAAGGAAAUAAUAAAUGAGCUAAAAAUAUUCGAAAUUAAAAAAAAACUAGUAAUAAAUGAAUAAAUAUUAUGCAGAACUAUUUAAGAAAUGAUAGUAAUGAUAAUAAUAUUAAUGGUAAUAACGCAAGGAAUAAAAUCUUUAAGUUUGAAAUGAUGUAAAAAGAUAUAUAAAUGAAUAAUAUGCAAUGAAUAAGGAAUAAAAAUAAAAAUGAGAUAAUUUAAAGAGUAAUAGGUAAAGAUAAUACAAUAAUAUAAUAGUAAUAAUAACAAUAUAAUAAUAAUAGUAAUGAUAGUAAUAAAAAUAAUAUAUUAAAUAAUAGUAAUAAAAAUAGUGCUAAUAGUAAUAAUAGUGAUAAUAAUAAUAGCACGAUAAAAUAAGAAUAGUAAAAUAAUGAUAUUAGUACCUAAACAUAAAUAUAGAUAUAAUACCUAAAAUAUAAUAAUAAUGAAAAUAUAAAUACAUAAGAAAUAUAAAUAGAUGAAUGAUAGGAAAAUAAACAUAGAUAAAAAAUAAUAAUAAUAGUCAUAAUACAAUAGUAAUAGUAAUUACAAAAAUGAUAAUAGCAAUAAAAUAAGAUAAUAAUAAUAAUAACCGUAAUAGUAGUAAUAAAAAUACAAUAAUAAUAUAUUAAAUAACAAAUAAUAAUAAAAAUAAUUAAAAAAUGAUAAUAGUAAUAAAAAUAAAAAUAAUAGUAAUGAUAAUACAUUAAGAAUAAUAAUAUGUUAAUAAUAAUAAAUUAAUGAAUUAAUAACAAAACAGUAAGUAAAUAAACACAAAAAUAAAAUAUAAUUAUAAUAGUAAUAUUAACAAAAUAAUAAUAAUAAUAAUAAUAAUAAUAAUAAUAAUAAUAAUAAUGAUAAGAGAUAACAAUAAUAUAUUAAUUUAAUUAAUUUAAUUACAAUAUUGAAAAUAACAAAAAAGGAGCUAAAUUGAAAUUAAAGUAAAAGUUAGGGGCCAAUUUGAAAAUAAACAAAGAAGAAAGGGACCGAUUUAAAAUCUCAAAAAAACAUGGAGGGCCUAAAAUGGGAAAUAACCCCACCCUCUAAAACGCGAGUUUAAAGGGGGACUAAAUUGAAAUCCGAAGUAAUCUUCUGGGCCAAAAUUAGUAAUUAAAAGGAAUUUAAUUGUGAAUUAAUAAAAAAGAGGAAGGACUGCGCGCAUAAAUAUCCCAGAAACCAAAAACACGCGGAUCCUUGGAGCGGGUCGGGUCAAGGCGCGGGUCCUAGGCUUAAAACGACGUCGUUUUGGCAUUAAGAAGGCCGGCCAAAACGGUGUCGUUUUGAGGGGCUAUUUAAAUCCGAUUUUUUUAAAAAUUUUCAUUCUUCCUCUGUUUUAAAAAAAAAAUUUCUCUUCCCCUCUCACUUUCCUCUGCAGAGGCCAUUAUGUCGGCGAGGGCUUCAGCCAAAGGUCCGAUCAUCGCUCGUCGUAGGAUUCGCCGCGCCGGCCACCUUACACGGUGGCCAAAAAUUAGAAAAAGGUAAAUUUUUUUAUAUACAAACAAAUUCGGAAAAAAAAUAAGAAUAAAAAGAAAAGUAAAUAGACCUUUGAUUCGGUCGUUGAGAUAUCUUGCUAUGAUUUUUGAGUUAAUGCUUGAAUCUGUUUUCUGUUGCUAUUCUCCUUUUGUAUUUCAAAAAAGAAAGAAAAGAAAAGAACCCUUUUACACCCAAUUCUUUUGUGGCUUAUAUAGCCCAUUUUUUACAAGAUUUCAAAUAUUUUUAUGCACACUGUCCUUUCUUCCUUUAAUUUUGCAGGUGAACGGCGGUGGAGGCAGGUGCCACUUGCACUGACGAUGUGACUGGGGUGGUUGGAGUCAGAAGACCCUAGGUGCGGCGCACCUAGGGUUUGAAAUUUUUGCUGUUUGUUUUGUUAUGGUUUGGACUACAUUGUUUUGGGCCUAGUGGGUUUAGGUCUGCUUAGGGUUUAGGUAGUUUUAGGUUUUAUUUUUGGUUCAGUGGGGCGGGCAGGAAUGGGCUUCUACAGUUAAUAUUUUAAUAUAUGAAAUAUAAAUUUUAAGUAUUUUUAUAAUUAUUUAUAAAAUUUAAGUAGAAGAUAUAAAUUAUAUUUUAAAUAUUUAAAUAUUUAAAAUAAAGGGAGAAGAGAUUAGAGAUGAAAAAAUAAUUAAGCACUUAAAAGUGCUUUUAAAAAAAAUAAAAAUAAAAACUUUAGCUUCUUCGUUCGGUCAAAAAUACAUUUGAAAAGUAAAAAUUUUUAGCUAAAAAUUACUUAUUUAGCAUAAUUUUUUUUUUCUAAAAGUGCUUCUCCACAUAAUUGCUAAACACAACCUAAAUGGGGGCUUAGGUAGUGUGGUAGGCGGUGAUGAUGAAAGAUGGUGGACUUGAUGGAGGUGAUGGUUGAUGAAUGGAAGGUUUUGGAGAGUUAGAUUUAGAAUGAGUGAUGGUAAUGGAGUUCGUUUAGGCUUGAGUUUAUUGGUGGAAGGCAAUGUGGUUGAAGAGAUGGUUGGAAGAGGCAGUGGUUGGAGAGAAAAAAAAAAGAUAAAUAAGGAAAAAGGAAAUAAAAAUUAAAAAGAUUUAAUGGGAAAGAAAUGAAUUUAACAGUAGUGAUCAUUUUAUUUAAUUUUAUUAACCACAGUGAUUAAAUUAACAAUGUUUUUUAAAAUGAUUAAAAUAAGACUAACUCUAUAUUAAUCUAUUUUAAGGUCACUAACGAGUUAAUUUAUAUUUUUAUUUAUAAAAUUACUAUUAUUGAAUGCGACAUAUAGCUGUAAAUUAAUGAAUUGGUUGUGGAUAUAUUAAAUAAAAAUUACUUUAUACAUAAAUAAAUAAAAAGCAUGACAUUUGUUGUUAAUAAAUUUUAUCACAAAGAAAAAGGAAUUAAUAUUUGUUGAAUUGUGAAUAACGGUGGAGACAUGCAGUCUUAAAAGAAGUGACAAAUUUCCAAAUUACUUUUUUUUUUUUUUUUUUUUAAUUCAUGUUUCCAAAGCUCUGAGUCUUGCAUUUUUUUGGCUUUCAUUCUGUACCGUGUAUUGUGGUUGACGCCCAAUCUUACUCAUAAGAUUAACAUCACAGGAAUAGAACAAAUCAGAUCAACACCAAGCAAAACACAUCCAAACAAAAAAUACCCCAAAAUGGCACGCCUAAAAAAAAUGAGAGGAAGACAGAGACAGAAAGAAAGAGGACCGAAGAUUCCUUGUUGGUAUUCAAUCCAUGCAUUACUACAAAUUACAAAGACGUUGACUUGUUGGAAAAUCAUGCCUUUUUUGCACACCACAAAAGAGAUUUAAUGCAAACAAAUCUAUGCUUUAAGAAGUGUUCUUUUAUUAAUUAAAGAAUAGCGAGCUACCAUCUUUUAUUUGCAAGAGUGCUAAAUUUUCGCCUUUCUAAUAUAAAAUUAAUUUCUAAUAAAUCAAAAUAUUUAAUUUGAAUAUAGAAUUUUGAAAUAACAUUAUUAUAACAUGCUUCUUAUAUAUUGGUGAAAUCGAAGGGAGUUUAUCAGGUGAUAAACCCAAAAAAAAAAAAUUAAUGAAGAUUAUAAUUCAGGAUUGCUAAAAUAAUUAUUUGAUCUAUAAUAAUCCAAGGCAGAACUGGCUUCAAUCACGAAUGGUCCACACAAAGCUUAAUUUGAUCUAUCUGAAGAUGACAAAGUUUCUACUACUUGUUGGCAUUCUUUUCAAUUCAUGUUUCCAACAUAGGUCCAUCGAAGCAACUGCGACUUAGCCGUGCAGAACAAGUAAGAAAUGAGAACCAAAGGCAUGUCUUCAAAACUAGAAAUUUAAAUUUUAUAGAAAAAAAUGCCUUUUCAUCUUGGUAUUUAUUUUGUUAGACAUUACAAAAUAGUUUCAAUCAAAGUUGAGGAUCACGAUCAAACAUGUUGCAAUCAUGAGACUCUAAAUCAAACCAUGUCACUCACUUUCUUCAGCUGGUCCCCGAAACUUGUCUUUGUUGUUUUGAUGCCUUACAAUUGGUAUUUGGACUUUUAAACCAAUGAAAGAUCAACAAAGUUCUCCCCAUUUAGAGGGGUACUGACUUAGUAGUACUUGGGUUGAUAGGGAACAAGCAUGACCCUCGAAACCUCUUGGCAACCAACUGAUCUAUUUUUAUUUCUAGUUGUAAUUUAAUCGGUAUUACUGCCACUGCUUUGAAUUAGUUAAAAAUGAGUCUCGCAGACACAUCGAAGUCCAACCCUACUUAGGGACAAUAACUUCCAUGGAUAUUUACCCAUUGAGUUAUUUAAUUUGCCAACAAAUUUUGAAGUCGCUAAACAUCGAAGCUUGUUUCCGAACACCAUCAAAUUCACUUGUUUUAUCCCAUCAACUUUGAGCAAUUUGUCAAAAACUAGAAUCAAACAAUCUCAAAGGAUAGAUUCCUACAACAUUUGUAAUCUAUAAACUCAAUAAGAUAAGAUAUUAAUUAUUUAGUUGUGUAUAAAAUCACAAACAACUCUAAAUUUAGCUUAUGUAAGACAACAUACUACUUUCAUAAUCAAAUAUAAGAUUUUGCUAGAUUGAGAGAUUAUUAUUAUUAUUGUAAAAGCCCAUUUUUGCCCGGGCCCAUACCAACAAAAUAACCCAAAUAAUAAAAACAAAAGCAGCACAUUUUCAGCCAAUUUAAACCCAAAAAAAACUACAAGCCCAAAUGCCCAAUAUUAAUAAAAACCCUAGAGGCUCGAAUGGCCCAAAACUACACCAGCUUUCAAACACAAAAAGAAACCCUAGCCGCAUAUUGCUGCUGCCACCUCCUGCGCACGCCCACCGUCGCUACUCGCCAAUCACCGGCUUCGCGUGUUCACGCGUCUGACACCUGCAAAACGAAGCACACGCAACAGAAAAAGGCCGAAUAGGAAAAUAAAACGAAACAGAGAUGAAGGGUUUGUAAUCUGGCUAUAAAAGCCACAAGCAAUUUCUUGAAGUUUUCUGGACACAAUAGCAAUAAAAAUAUAGAUUUUGAAUCAGAGAAGGUGAUAUUUUCGUUUUUUUGUGUGCGUUUUUUAGAUCUAGUUUUUAUUUUUUUCUUUUUAUUUACGAAAAUAAAUAAAAGGGAAGAGAAGAAACUUACCUAGGGCUGCAUGCAAGGUCCAUUGCCGGAACCGCCUUGGUCGGUGAAAUCGGGACCGAAGAGAGGCCGUGGGGUUUCUCUUCUUUCGACCUUCGAGCCCAGAGGCUUCGACCUUUAAAUGGCCUUUAAAUCGGGUAAAAGACUCGACCUUUGCGUUGCUCUGAUCACCGAUGACGGUGAGGGGCACGGCGGCGCCGGCGAUGGCCCUAUCGGCCGGACUUGAAACCUGCGAGAGAGAGAGGGGCUGAGCCCUCUGUUUUUUUUUCUUUGAAAAAUGAAGCAAAUUCUCCUUUUUUUUUCUUUCCUGUUUGAUAUUUAUAUUAGAUAAAACGGCACCGUAAUGGGGGAUUUGCGCAUGCUUUGCCCUAAUGGGUAAUUUAAGCAUUUAGUCCCCCCAACUUGCGUUGAAGUGCAAUCCAACCUUUCAUGUAUUUUCUAAUUUGGGCCGAAAACUUUACUUUCGCUUCAAUUCGGUCCUUAGACCAGGCGCAGUUGUUGUUCCCUGAAACGGUGCCGUUCAGAUGGCAUGGGAAUAUUUCCCUUUCAUCCCUGUAGCUAUGCACGCAUUUAGUUCAGGCCCCGACUAUUUUUUAUUUUUAAAUUCUGUCAUUUAAUUUCGUUUUAAUUUCAAUUUGGUCCUGGGUCCAUUUAAUUUAUUUGUUUAUUAUUAUUUAAAAAAAACUCUUUUAUUAUUAUUUGUUUUAAGUUUUUAUUUAUUUAUUAUUUAUUGUAAACUAUUAUAUAUAUCUUUUAAAUUUUCAUACGUAUGUAUAUAUUCUUUGAAACGGUUUGUACUUAUUUUUUCUAUAUAAUAUUCUUUACUUUAAAAUGUUUUAUAUUUAUUUAUUCAAAACUCUUAUUAAGUAUUGUUCUUAUUAAUCAUUCAUGUUAAGUUAUUAUUUACUUUAGAUUUGUUAUAUGUAUAUUAUAUAUAUAUUAUUUUCCUUUGGUUAGUGAUGUUGUAUUUAAAUUAGAUAUGUUGUGUGUUCAUUGCCGUUGUGCGUACUAUAAUUUGCUUAUUCGUAUCCUUGUAUAUCAUGCAUUGAUGUAUCACUUUAUUCAUAAAUUGUUAUGUCAUGUUCCGUUAUCAUUCAAUUUCAUUUCAUCACUUCAACGUUACGAUCGAUUUUGUACACCCCAAUAAUAAAUCAUUGUAUUUUAUCCUUUCAAUAAUUUCAAAACGAGGCAAUGUUUUGCGUUUGGAAAUUCGAGAAAACGUGCCCUAACGUGCUGGGUUUCGAUUUCUCGUUCGAACAAAUGGCCGAAUAUCCUUUCAAUAAUUUCAAAACGAGGCAAUGUUUUGCGUUAGGAAAUUCGAGAAAACGUGCCCUAAUGUGCUGGGUUUCGAUUUCUCGUUCGACUAAAUAGCCAAAUAUCCUUUUAAAACUUCAAAGUAUGGUUUCGUUAACCUAAGGUGAUCUUGGUUUCGAUGGUUUAGAGUAUCGUAUCCUAACGUGGUGGAUGUGAUAUUCCUUCGGAACAAGAGAAUCUUAUAUUUCAAUUCACGUUAUCAGAGUUUCUUUUAAUGAUCGUAUUUUUUUUAAACUCUUCAAAGUUUUCAAUUUUCGACACUAAGACAAUAAGUAAUCAAUUGGGUACCAAUUUUGGGCGUAUCGAGGGGGCUAAUCCUUCCUCGUGUGUAAUCGACUCCCGAACCCAUUUUUUUGAAUUUCGUAGACCAAAAUCGUGAUUUUAAUAAAAAUUAAAUCGUUUAUUAAAAACAACCACUCUUCGAGGUGACCCGAUCACACCUCAUUGAAAAAGGAUUGGUGGCGACUCCCACAUUCGAUUUCAUUUUUCAAAACCCAAGUCGACCCCGUUUUGUCAAAAAAAAAUAGUGCCAACAGCUUGGCGACUCCACUGGGGAAAAUAAGAGAGUCAAGCCACGUGUUGAUUAUUUCUUGUCUUUUUGUUGAAAGUGGAAAAUUCGAUUUAAAUUUACGAUCCUUUCAUUGCAUCUCUUUUGUUUUGAGUUAUAUUUUUUUAUCGUGUUCUGUAUUUUAUUUUAUACCUCUGCAUAUUGCAUUGCAUGAUCGCUGGUCAUACCCUUUUAAGUGGGAGUGAGAAACUACGCCUUCGUGAGGUUUUCACCUCCGCAUGGGAUAGUGAAUCGCUUCCGGGAUACAUCCGUACCUAUGUCUUCGUGAGAUUUUCAUCUCCGCAUGGCCAUAGGGAAAUGUAUUCCCCUGAACUGAACUCGGUCCAUAUGAGCCUAUAAUGGGUGAGGAUCGAGGAAUCUGCUGGUUCAGGUACCCUUACUUUAGAACCAAACCACAUAUAGCGAGCCGUAAGAACCCACCGAGAUAGAGCUAUUCCAAACCCUAGUGCUUACCGAAUAGAAGCUUUAUUUAUUAUUGUUUACUUUGAAUCCUAGCUCUGAUUUGCUUUGUUUGUGAUUGCAUGGCAUUUUCAUUUCAAAAGAGGUGUCGAUUCACGUUCAGUAUAAUAGAAAGCUUAUCAUGGAAAAGAGGUUUCUUGAUAAAGUAGAAGACAAUGCAGCUGUACGAGUGUGGGCUGAGACGAUGUGGAGAGAGAAAGGCGAUAGUCUUGCAGAAGGGUACGUAUCAGAGUUAUGGGACUUCACCCGCAUCAGCGUAAUCCAAAAUGAUCUUCGAGAAAUGAAGGAAAUAUGGGAUCAAUGGGACGAUGGGACCAAGCAGAUGUUUUACUAUGACUAUGGGGACUUGCCUUACUUACUUGGUGUCAAAGUGGACAAGCAUUUAUUCCGAGCCCUAGCCCAGUUUUGGAAUCCUGCUUACAGUUGUUUCACUUUUGGAAAAGUGGACUUGGUGCCCACCGUGGAAGAAUAUACGACCUUGCUUCGGUGUCCAAAGAUUCAAAUUGACAAGGCCUAUUCUAGAGCUGCUAGUGUCCCGACAUUAUUAAAAAAAUUGAUAAGCAUUACAGGGAUGAGCGAACAGUGGGUCGCUGCCCGAAUCCAACAGAAAGGAGACAGUAAAUGCGUUCCUUGGAAAAGCUUGCGAGAUUUAGUAUUAGCACACCCUGACGUGAAGAAAAGAGUGGAUGUCUUCGCUCUAGGUAUCUAUGGAUUGGUAAUUUUCCCUAGAGCUUUAGGGCACAUAGAUGAGGCCGUCUCUGAUUUGUUCGAUCGGCUUAGUAAAGGAGUCACGCCCAUCUCGGCAAUCUUAGCAGAAACCUUCAGAUCUCUAAGCGCAUGUCGAAGAGUAGGGGAGGGAAGGUUCAUCGGAUGCGCACAGCUACUAUUGGUGUGGUUCCAUAGUCAUUUUUGGAAGGUGGAAAAUGUCUCUUAUCGAGUCUUCUCAGAAGGCUAUUCCCCAUUGAAGGAACAAGUUGCUACACCAAGACGAGACGACAUCACGGAAGAGAAGUGGAUGACGAUUCUCCAAAAUCUUCAGGAGGAUGACGUUGAAUGGAAAGCUCCUUGGAUGGUACCCGACGAGAUCCUGUAUCGAUGUUGGGAUUUUGACUGGGUCCCUUUACUUGAAAUUUGGGGAGCUAUCGGUUAUGCCCCUUUACUCGUAUUAAGACAAUAUAGAUCGAGACAGUUCAUACCAGCAACACAAGGGCUGGCUCAAUGUGAGUUUUCUUAUAAGGAUGAAAACUACAAGAGAAAAACUCGAGAAAUAUCUAACGCUUGGAAACAGGUUCACCGAAUGAAAAGAUUUACUGUAGGAGCGAUGACAACUUCCGAAUAUUAUGGGUGGUGGAGUAAAAGAGUCAAUGACAACAACCCUAAGCCGAGGGAAGAUUGCGUUCAGUCUAUAGAGGAGCAUCUACAAGUAGUUCCGUCAGAAUUAGAGAUCAUCAAACGAGACUUUGAGAAAAGAAAUUCUGAGUUGGGAAAGAGGAUAGAACAGCUAGAAGAAGAAAGAGUGCAUUUGGGAUUAGACAUCGAUAUCCACAAGCUAGAAGCCGAGAAAUUAAGGAAGGGAAAGAACAAGGCUGAAGAGGAUUUGGAUAGUCUAAAAACAGAUUACAAGAAGCUGCGAUUGUCAAUGAGAACUGUCGGUUUGGGUAAAACGUCAGAGCAGUGGCGACAAGAGAUCAAUGAGGAAAAGAAUAGGGCCGAUCAGUGGGAAAAGAAAUUUCAAGAUGCUCGAGCUCGAGAAAACGCUUUGGAAAGGAGUUUGUUAGAGUGUCGAAAUGAGAAGGCAGGAUUAAAGGCUAAGGUGGCAAAGCUAGAAAAGUCACUUCACUCGUACCGUAGUCACAAAUGAGAGGAGUAAUGAUCAAUGGCAAGAGCAAUUCCAUCAUUCUCAAAGUCAGAUUAGAGAUAGAGAUUACGUUAUGGGCGAAGCUGUGACUCAAGUGCGGGAAGUGGCUGAUCAUCUGCAAACAUUAGCAGUUCAGGCCGAUGUAUUGAGUUUAAAAUAUGAGUCAGAAUCAAGCCGAGGUCGAGAUUUAGCUUGGCUUCUUAGGAAGGUUAAGGCUUUGGGUAUAAAGGCGAAGCCGUAUAUGUAAUUUAUUUUAUGUAAAGAAAUUUACUUUCUAGUUGAGUUUUCUAAUGAAAUUGAAUUCGAAUCAAUGCCUCUUUUGCAUUCAUCUCAUACAUUUGCAUUACAUCAUAUGCAGUAAGUUUCAUAAAAUGACCCUAAUAAAAUUAAAUUAUGACAGUUACCCUGGAAACCAACAAAAAUCUAAUCAAAUAUCACUACGGUACUCGUCGCCAAACAAAAGCAAUGGAUCAAAGGUUGGAAAGAUUGGAACAGUUGCAACGAGAGAUGCAAGAUCAGAUGCAUGGACGACUGGAAAAAAUCCAGCAGGACAUGUUAGAAUCCCAGAACACUGUGAUGAACCAAUUAAAGCAGCUAUUGGCUGGAGGGAAUAACAAAGGAAAAGACCCCGUAGUUGAUGCUGAGGAGGAUCACGAUGACCCUGUUUAUCCUCCAGGUUUCACCCCAACUAACAUCCAAGCACAACCAGAGGUGUACCCACAGAGGGUACCGGUUACCAUUGGACCUCAAUAUCUGGCUGGUACCUCGGUACCAGUGCAUUUUCAAAUGGGCUCAGGUUCUAAUCCCGGGGAUAAUCCCACUAAUCCUGUGGUCCCGGAUCUCGAUGACAUGGCAGAAACAGAAAAAACAAGAAUGAACCUGCCAAAACAACUGGAGGACCGAUGUAGAUGGUUAGAGGAAAAAUUUAGAGCCAUGGAGAACAUCGACUAUCAUCGCGGGGUUGACGCCAAGGAUCUGAGUUUGGUCCCUGAUUUAGUACUCCUACCUAAGUUCAAAAUGCCGGAAUUCGAAAAAUAUAAUGGGACUAGUUGUCCUGAAGCUCAUAUAACUAUGUUCUGUCGAAGAAUGACAGGAUACGUCAACAAUGAUCAGCUGUUAAUCCACUGCUUCCAGGACAGUUUGAUCGGAUCUGCAGCCAAAUGGUACAACCAACUGAGUCGUGCUAAAGUUAGUUCAUGGAGAGACUUGGCGCAAGCUUUUAUGAAGCAAUACAGUCAUGUAACAGAUAUAACACCCGAUCGAAUUACGUUACAAAACAUGGAAAAAAAGCCUAGCGAGAAUUUCAGGCAAUACGCCCAACGAUGGAGAGAAGUGGCAACACAAGUCCAGCCACCCCUUUUGGAAAAAGAGGUCACCAUGUUGUUUAUCAAUACUUUGAAAGCCCCGUUCAUCAACCACAUGUUGGGGAGUGCUACCAAGAGUUUCUCGGAUAUGUUAAUGUCCGGUGAAAUGAUUGAGAACGCGGUAAGGAGCGGUAAAAUUGACACGGGGGAAAACUUCAAAAGACCAGCCCUAAGGAAAAAAGAGGGCGAAGUAAACAACGUAAACACAUAUAGUAAGAGCCAUUCAAAACCGAUUACUGUUGGCCCUCCAAAAAUGAUAACCACUAGUCACCAAGCCCCCUCAAGGCAGGAACCCAACACAAGGCCCAACACAAGGACUAACACAGAGAGACUUCAAUUCACGCCCAUUCCAAUAACAUACGGGGAACUGUAUCAGAAGUUAUUUGAUGCACACAUAGUAUCUCCAUUUUAUCUAGAGCCCAUGCAACCUCCAUAUCCCAAAUGGUAUGACACGAAUGCCCAAUGUAAAUACCAUGCAGGGAUACCAGGGCACUCAAUUGAGAACUGCACUGGGUUUAAAAAGGCGGUGGAAAGGUUCAUUAAGAUGGGGAUUGUGAAGUUUGACAACCCAUUAGAACCAAACGUAGCAGCGAAUCCGUUACCCAAUCAUGCUGAUAAAGGGGUAAACGCAAUAAUCGAAGGUGGGAGAAAGAGAAUCAAAGCCAACAUUGCAGAGAUAAAAACCCCAUUGAGUUGGGUUUGGAGACAAAUGAUAGAAGGAGGUCUCAUCAAACAAGAUUCAAAGGAAAGGCCCGAAGGAACGAAGACGUACUGCGAGUUUCAUGCUGAAGAAGACCAUGACAUUCAAAACUGCACUGAAUUCAAGGCCAUGGUACAAAAUCUGAUGAACAACAAAGAGCUAGAAUUUUAUGAAGAGAUCAAAGGACUUGAAAAAGGAGAAGUUUAUGCCUCAGAGGAGGGGCCUACGGGAAAGGCCCAAAAUCAGCCGGUGGUGAUUAUUUCAAGGCCAACAAGCACAGGAUCUGGAAUACAACUGGCGCCAAGGGUCAUAAUCCAAAAAUCUGUAGCCUUUCCUUACAAGGAUAGCAAAAAGGUUCCUUGGAAUUAUGACUGCAAUGUGAUGAUCAUGGGAGAGGAGAACCUGAUAAAUGCUUCAGAAGAGGGUAAUAACGCAGGCUUCUAUACGCGUAGUGGAAAACGUUACGACCCGGGAAAUACAAAAAGGGAGCCUAUAAAAGGAAAAGCCUUGGCGGUUGAACAAGAUAAAACGAAGACGACCGGAAUUGAACCACAUAUUAACACACCGGUGACUGAAAAUGAGGCUAGAGAAUUCCUAAAAUUCUUGAAGCAUAGCGAGUAUAGCGUGGUGGAACAACUGCAUAAGCAACCGGCUCGCAUCUCAGUGCUCGAGUUACUUCUAAGUUCAGAGAUACAUCGUAAUGCGUUGAUAAAAGUGCUAAAUGAGACUUAUGUCGCUAAAGAUAUCUCAGUGAACAAAUUGGAUCGCCUGGUUAACAAUAUAAAUGCCGAUAACUUCAUCUUCUUCAAUGAUGAUGAGAUCCCGCCAGGUGGUAUGGGAUCUACCAAGGCCUUGCACAUCACUGCCCGUUGCAAGGGGUGUAUACUACCGGCGGUACUCGUUGACAAUGGAUCGGCCCUGAAUGUUUUACCCCUGUCCACAUUAAACAGGCUACCUGUGGAUAGUUCUCACAUGAAAUCAUGCCAAAAUAUAGUGAGAGCAUUUGAUGGCACUGAGAGAAAAAUGAUGGGAAGAAUCGAGAUACCUCUAUUGAUUGGUCCAAAUACAUACGAGGUAGACUUUUUGGUAAUGAAUAUUAAACCAUCUUACAAUUGCCUAUUGGGGAGGCCUUGGAUCCAUUCUGCAGGGGCUGUACCAUCGUCAUUUCACCAAAAGUUAAAAUUGGUGGUAGAGGGUCGAUUGGUGACUAUAGGUGCAGAAGAAGACAUCAUUGCAUCAGUCACCGAUGAUAUGCCAUACAUAGAGGCUGAUAGUGAAGCGAUAGAAUAUUCAUUCCGAUUAUUGGAAUUCAUAAAUGCCACAUUUGUCAUCGAGAUGAGCAAAAUCCCAGAGCCUAAGAUAUCCAAAGCUACGUCAAUGAGCUUACAGCUAACGAUGGGAAAGGGAGCAUUGCCUGGAAGAGGAUUUGGAAAAUACCUCCAAGGAAGGGUCAAAAUACCGAUCCUAGUUAACAAACAGGACCGUUAUGGUUUGGGAUAUAAGCCUAAUGCGAGGGAAAGGAGGAAGGAGAUGGAGAAAAAGCAAGAAAGGAGAAGAGCACAUUUGGGCGGGAUAGAAGCCAAGUGGGGACCGAUAACCUUUCCCCAUAUAUCUAAGACUUUUGUUUCAGGGGGAAUUGUCCACCCUGAAGAGAAGGAUGAGGUUACAGAAGGAAGGAUUGAGAGGUUGGACAUCAAUGCCAUAUCCGCGGAAGAAAGGGUGGAAAGGAAUUUAUCGGGCAUUCGUCCUUACGAACCUGGAAGUGUUCUGAAUAACUGGACUGCAGAAGAGAUCUCUGUAACAUUUAGAACUAAUUCAGAGUAAUAUUCAGAACACUUGUUGCCCUAAGCCUGGGGGUGAUAAGAAUCUUUUGUAAAAGGCACAUGUCCAAAAUCUAAUUUCAGUGAAAACUUAUCAUUCAUUUUCAUCUUGAGCAAAUAUUCUUUCAUUCUUUUCAUUCCCUUUAUAAUCAUACUAUGCAUACAAGUAUUCUUAGAUUCUUUUAUUUGGGCCUCCAUUUGUUCCAAUAACAGGUCUUUAGAUAUCAACGAGAUGAGCGACGCUGUUACUAAUUCAGAGUCUCUAUUCGAACAAGACAUGAGUAUAGAUGAUCCUCAAGAUUUUGAAGGUGACCAAGACAGCGUUUUAUCUCCGGAUUUGUUAAGAAUGAUGGAAGAAGAAGAAAAACAAAUUCUACCCUAUAAGGAAUCAGUAGAAGUUGUGAUCUUAGAAGAGGGCAGAGAGGUAAAAAUUGGCGCUUGCAUUGCCAAGGAAACAAUGCAAGACCUUGUUGAGUUGCUUCAAGAGUUUAAAGAUGUCUUCGCAUGGUCCUACCAAGAUAUGCCAGGGUUAAGUACUGAUGUCGUGGUACACCGAUUGCCUAUAAAGGAAGAAUGCAAACCAGUCCAACAAAAGCUCCGAAGGAUGAGGCCUGAUGUCUCGCUAAAAAUAAAGGAAGAAGUUAAGAAGCAAUUUGAUGCUGGUUUCUUACAGGUGGUCAAGUACUCAGAAUGGGUAGCCAAUAUAGUCCCUGUUCCUAAGAAAGAUGGGAAGGUGCGAAUGUGUGUGGACUACAGAGACUUGAACAAAGCCAGCCCAAAAGAUAAUUUCCCACUGCCUCAUAUCGAUACCUUGGUAGACAACACGGCCGGAUACUCACUGUUCUCUUUCAUGGAUGGUUUCUCCGGGUACAACCAAAUUAAGAUGCUUUCUGAAGACAGGGAGAAGACCACAUUCAUAACGAUGUGGGGGACGUUUUGUUAUAAAGUGAUGCCUUUUGGAUUGAAAAAUGCGGGAGUAACGUAUCAGAGAGCCAUGGUAGCAUUAUUCCAUGAUAUGAUGCAUAAAGUGAUAGAAGUUUAUGUUGAUGACAUGAUCGCAAAAUCCAGAACAGAAGGGGAACACGUGCAAGUUCUGAGAAAACUGUUUCUAAGGUUAAGGAAGUUCCAGCUAAAACUUAACCCAGCCAAGUGUACUUUCGGGGCUAGAUCAGGAAAAUUGCUAGGAUUCUUAGUCAGCGAAAAGGGAAUUGAAAUUGACCCAGACAAAGUUAAGGCCAUACAAGAAUUACCUCCGCCAAGUACUCAAAAAGAAGUUCGGGAUUUCCUAGGAAGACUAAAUUACAUCGCUCGAUUUAUUUCACAAUUAACUAAGAAAUGUGACCCCAUAUUCCGUCUUCUUAGGAAACACAAUCCAGGUAUAUGGGAUAAGAAGUGCCAAAAAACUUUCGAAAGAGUUAAACAUUACUUGUCCAACGCCCUAGUACUGAUGCCACCUUGCCCUGACAAGCCACUGAUACUAUACUUGGCAGUAUUUGAGAAUUCCAUGGGGUGCGUGCUCGGCCAACAUGAUGAGUCAGGACGAAAAGAAAGAGCGAUCUAUUAUCUCAGUAAGAAGUUCACUGAAUGCGAAACGAGAUAUUCGCCAAUUGAAAAAUUAUGUUGCGUAUUGGUUUGGACUACUCGGAGAUUGAGACAAUACAUGUUGUACCAUACGACUUGGUUAAUCUCAAAGUUAGACCCUCUGAAAUACAUGAUGGAGUCAACUGCUCUAAACGGAAGGAUGGCCCGAUGGCAUUUAUGAUGUGAAGCCUAUCCAAAUGAGCAUUUAUGAUGUUUCAGCCCACUGUUGUAACAUUGACGAGGAAGAAGAAAAGGACGACAACCCUUGGUAUCAGGAUAUAUUGCGAUACGUGAAAAAUCGUGAAUACCCAAACCAAGCAACUGAGAAUGACAAGAGAAUGUUGAGGAGGCUGGCCAGUGAUUACGUCUUAGAUGGAGAGAUCCUGUACAAAAGAGGAAAAGAUCAGGUGCUGUUAAGAUGUGUGGACGCUGUGGAGGCCAAGCAGAUCUUGGAAGAAGUUCAUGAUGGUAUUUGUGGAACACACGCUAACGGUUUCACAAUGGCCAGCAGAUCAUGAGAUUUGGAUAUUAUUGGUCUACCAUGGAAGGAGACUGCAUCAAAUAUGCUAAGAAGUGCCAUAAAUGCCAGAUUUACGGAGACAAAAUUCAUGUGCCUCCAUCACCUCUUCACGUCAUGACUUCCCCAUGGCCUUUCUCCAUGUGGGGUAUGGACGUCAUUGGGCCAAUAUCGCCAAAGGCUUCAAACGGACAUCGUUUCAUUUUUGUAGUGAUUGACUACUUUACUAAGUGGGUAGAGGCUACUUCUUACGCCAACAUCACAAAGGCAGCUGUCAGCAAGUUUUUAAAGAAGGAAAUCAUAUGUCGGUAUGGAAUGCCCGAAAGGAUUAUAUCUGACAACGCAUUAAAUUUGAAUAAUAGCACGAUAGCAGAGGUUUGUAGUCAAUUCAAUAUCAAGCACCACAACUCAUCACCAUAUCGUCCAAAGAUGAAUGGUGCGGUGGAGGCAGCCAAUAAAAAUAUCAAAAAGAUUGUGGGGAAAAUGACUGAGACCUAUAGAGAUUGGCACGAGAAGUUUCCAUUCGCCCUCUAUGCUUAUCGAACGUCCGUCAGGACUUCUACCGGGGCAACACCAUUCUCUUUGGUUUAUGGAAUGGAGGCAAUGCUACCAAUUGAGGUUGAAAUUCCCUCUCUCCGAGUUUUUUCAGAACUAAAGUUAGACGAAGCAGAAUGGGUCCAAUCCCGAUAUGAUCAGCUGAACUUGAUUGAAGAAAGGAGGUUAAGAGCUAUCCGUCAUGGUCAAAUGUACCAGAAACGAAUGAUGCGAGCUUACAAUAAGAAAGUUCGUCCUAGAAACUUCCAUGAAGGGGACUUGGUACUGAAGAAGAUACUUCCCAUACAAAAAGACUUCAGAGGAAAGUGGAUGCCAAACUGGGAGGGACCUUAUGUGGUAAAAAAGGCCUUUUCAGGAGGGGCAUUAAUUUUAACUGGGAUGGAUGGCAAAAGCUUGCCCAAUCCUGUGAAUUCGGAUUCAGUGAAAAGGUACUUUGCCUAAAAAAAAAAAAGAGAGGCCAAGGCGAAAACCCGCAAAGGGCACCUUGAGACCAAAGGGGUUUUGAAUUGAAAACCCAGGAAUGGGCAAUUCAAAUUUUCGAUCAAAGAUGAGGCAUAGAGUAGUUUUGUCUUCUCCGAAUUAACAAGGAAAGAUACUACAUCUUGGGGCAUCAACAAAGUCUUGUAGGACUUCUAAACACAGAGUUUGUGUGGAGAAGCUCAUGCUGCGAUAUCUAGGGCACCUGUUUUUAUCUUAUUUACAUCUUAGCAAAAUUUGCUAUUUGUUCAUUUAGAGCUCGGCUCUCAAUAAAGUUCCAUCUUAUUCAUUGUGAUAAUCUUUUUCAUCAUAUCUCAGCAAAAUUUGUUAUCUUGAUUGAUUUAUUCAUUUCGAGCUUUGCUCUCAGCAAAAUUUUAUCUUGUAUAUCUUGAUAAUCUUUUUCAAGCAUUUUUUCAUUAAAAUAAUGAUUACUAGACUGGUAAUAUUCAAGCAGAAGGAGUUCUACAUAUUACUCUGAAAGCUUCUAAAUAGUACGAGGACCUGAAACAGGACUAUUGUUUAGAACUGACCAAACUUAAGGGUUAGAAGCAUUGGAGGAAGAAUAGUCUAAAUUGCAACUAUUUCCUUGGGUUUUUCUGUCAAAGAUACCAGCUGAACGAGAAGGGGCGGUGAUGGAACCUUUAAUAAAUUUCGAGUAAUGACAACCUAAGCAUUUAAAAAGGGAUCAUUCUCAUGACAUUCUGCAAAUAUCAUUCAUACACAUCUAGUUAGGAGCAUUUGAUCCACUCUGAUCAUGUCAUCCUAAACACUAGGCGUAAAUAGGUCCAUAAAAUUGAUUUUAUAGGUCAAAGGAACAGAUCCUAUACCCUUGAAGUUGCAAUGGGAUGGAUUGAAGUCAUUAAAGUAGAUCUUGUCUCAUGUAUUGACAUGAAGUGGAUCGAAGAUGCAGAUCUUGUCUUCCCAUAUUGGUGGCGAAGUAGAUCGCAGAAAGCAGAUCUUGUCUUCAUGUAUUGGCGUGAAGUAGAUCGAAGAUAGCAGGUCCUAUCUUCCUAUAUUGAUAGGAAGUGGAUCCAAGAUGCAGAUCUUAUCUUCCCAUAUUGGUGGCGAAGUAGAUCGCAGAAAGCAGAUCUUGUCUUCAUGUAUUGGCGUGAAGUAGAUCGAAGAUAGUAGGUCCUAUCUUCCUAUAUUGAUAGGAAGUGGGUCCAAGAUGCAGAUCUUGUCUUCCCAUAUUGGUGGCGAAGUAGAUCGUAGAAAGCAGAUCUUGUCUUCAUGUAUUGGCGUGAAGUAGAUCGAAGAUAGCAGGUCCUAUCUUCCUAUAUUGAUAGGAAGUGGAUCCAAGAUGCAGAUCUUGUCUUCCCAUAUUGGUGGCGAAGUAGAUCGCAGAAAGCAGAUCUUGUCUUCAUGUAUUGGCGUGAAGUAGAUCGAAGAUAGCAGGUCCUAUCUUCCUAUAUUGAUAGGAAGUGGGUCCAAGAUGCAGAUCUUGUCUUCCCAUAUUGGUGGCGAAGUAGAUCGCAGAAAGCAGAUCUUGUCUUCAUGUAUUGGCGUGAAGUAGAUCGAAGAUAGCGGGUCCUAUCUUCCUAUAUUGAUAGGAAGUGGAUCCAAGAUGCAGAUCUUGUCUUCCCAUACUGGUGGUGAAGUAGAUCGAAGAAAGUAGAUCUUGUAUUCAUAUAUUGGUGUGAAGUAGAUCGAAGAUAGCAGAUCCUGCCUUCCUAUAUUGGUAGGAAGUGGAUUGAAAAACAGAUCCUAUCUCCCUGUAUUUGGCAGUGGAAUAGAUUGAAGAUCAAAUAUGGCAGAUUUUACCUCCCUGACUACAGUGGAGUACAUUGAAGCCGAUAACUCUAUCUCCCUGUAUUUGGAAGUGGAAUAGAUUGAAGAUCGAAGAUGGCAGAUUUUACCUCCCUGACUACAGUGGAGUACAUUGAAGCCGAUAACUCUAUCUCCCUGUAUUUGGCAGUGGAAUAGAUUGAAGAUUACAGAUUUUAUCUCCCUAAGCAAUAGUGGAGCAAAUCAUAUUCAGUAUUAUCUCCCUAAGCAGUAGUGGAGCAGACGAAGAAAACAACAAAUCUCAUCCCCAUGGAGUUGCAGCAGAAUAGAUUUAAGUCAUGUUUCUCUGGAGCGCAGUGAAGUGGAUUGAAGCAACGAGACACAGCAGAACAGAAUAAGGCUACUUGAAGAAGAUGAGCACCAAAAAGUCAAGACUCGGCAAGACCGGGCAAAAUUGGCCCUUUUGAUGUCUUUGCUCUAUUCUCGUUACACGAAAAUUAGCAAAGAGGGGCAGCUGUAAAAGCCCAUUUUUGCCCGGGCCCAUACCAACAAAAUAACCCAAAUAAUAAAAACAAAAGCAGCACAUUUUCAGCCAAUUUAAACCCAAAAAAAACUACAAGCCCAAAUGCCCAAUAUUAAUAAAAACCCUAGAGGCUCGAAUGGCCCAAAAACUACACCAGCUUUCAAACACAAAAAGAAACCCUAGCCGCAUAUUGCUGCUGCCACCUCCUGCGCACGCCCACCGUCGCUACUCGCCAAUCACCGGCUUCGCGUGUUCACGCGUCUGACACCUGCAAAACGAAGCACACGCAACAGAAAAAGACCGAAUAGGAAAAUAAAACGAAACAGAGAUGAAGGGUUUGUAAUCUGGCUAUAAAAGCCACAAGCAAUUUCUUGUAGUUUUCUGGACACAAUAGCAAUAAAAAUAUAGAUUUUGAAUCAGAGAAAGUGAUAUUUUCGUUUUUUUGUGUGCGUUUUUUAGAUCUAGUUUUUAUUUUUUUUCUUUUUAUUUACGAAAAUAAAUAAAAGGGAAGAGAAGAAACUUACCUAGGGCUGCAUGCAAGGUCCAUCGCCGGAACCGCCUUGGUCGGUGAAAUCGGGACCGAAGAGAAGCCGUGGGGUUUCUCUUCUUUCGACCUUCGAGCCCAGAGGCUUCGACCUUUAAAUGGCCUUUAAAUCGGGUAAAAGACUCGACCUUUGUGUUGCUCUGAUCACCGAUGACGGUGAGGGGCACGGCGGCGCCGGCGAUGGCCCUAUCGGCCGGACUUGGAACCUGCGAGAGAGAGAGGGGCUGAGCCCUCUGUUUUUUUUUCUUUGAAAAAUGAAGCAAAUUCUCCUUUUUUUUUCUUUCCUGUUUGAUAUUUAUAUUAGAUAAAACGGCGCCGUAAUGGGGGAUUUGCGCAUGCUUUGCCCUAAUGGGUAAUUUAUGCAUUUAGUCCCCCCAACUUACAUCGAAGUGCAAUCCAACCUUUCAUGUAUUUUCUAAUUUGGGCCGAAAACUUUGCUUUCGAUUCAAUUCGGUCCUUAGACCAGGCGCAGUUGUUGUUCCCUGAAACGGUGCCGUUCAGAUGGCAUGGGAAUAUUUCCCUUUCAUCCCUGUAGCUAUGCACGCAUUUAGUUCAGGCCCCCGACUAUUUUUUAUUUUUAAAUUCUGUCAUUUAAUUUCGUUUUAAUUUCAAUUUGGUCCUGGGUCCAUUUAAUUUAUUUGUUUAUUAUUAUUUAAAAAAACUCUUUUAUUAUUAUUUGUUUUAAGUUUUUAUUUAUUUAUUAUUUAUUGUAAACUAUUAUAUAUAUAUCUUUUAAAUUUUCAUACGUAUGUAUAUAUUCUUUGAAACGGUUUGUACUUAUUUUUUCUAUAUAAUAUUCUUUACUUUAAAAUGUUUUAUAUUUAUUUAUUCAAAACUCUUAUUAAGUAUUGUUCUUAUUAAUCAUUCAUGUUAAGUUAUUAUUUACUUUAGAUUUGUUAUAUGUAUAUUAUUUAUAUAUUAUUUUCCUUUGGUUAGUGAUGUUGUAUUUAAAUUAGAUAUGUUGUGUGUUCAUUGCCGUUGUGCGUACUAUAAUUUGCUUAUUCGUAUCCUUGUAUAUCAUGCAUUGAUGUAUCACUUUAUUCAUAAAUUGUUAUGUCAUGUUCCGUUAUCAUUCAAUUUCAUUUCAUCACUUCAACGUUACGAUCGAUUUUGUACACCCCAAUAAUAAAUCAUUGUAUUUUAUCCUUUCAAUAAUUUCAAAACGAGGCAAUGUUUUGCGUUUGGAAAUUCGAGAAAACGUGCCCUAACGUGCUGGGUUUCGAUUUCUCGUUCGACCAAAUGGCCGAAUAUCCUUUCAAUAAUUUCAAAACGAGGCAAUGUUUUGCGUUAGGAAAUUCGAGAAAACGUGCCUUAACGUGCUGGGUUUCGAUUUCUCGUUCGACUAAAUAGCCAAAUAUCCUUUUAAAACUUCAAAGUAUGGUUUCGUUAAGCUAAGGUGAUCUUGGUUUCGAUGGUUUAGAGUAUCGUAUCCUAACGUGGUGGAUGUGAUAUUCCUUCGGAACAAGAGAAUCUUAUAUUUCAAUUCACGUUAUCAGAGUUUCUUUUAAUGAUCGUAUUUUUUUUAAACUCUUCAAAGUUUUCAAUUUUCGACACUAAGACAAUAAGUAAUCAAUUGGGUACCAAUUUUGGGCGUAUCGAGGGGGCUAAUCCUUCCUCGUGCGUAAUCGACUCCCGAACCCAUUUUUCUGAAUUUCGUAGACCAAAAUCGUGAUUUUAAUAAAAAUUAAAUCGUUUAUUAAAAACAACCACUCUUCGAGGUGACCCGAUCACAACUCAUUGAAAAAGGAUUGGUGGCGACUCCCACAUUCGAUUUUAUUUUUCAAAACCCAAGUCGACCCCGUUUUGUCAAAAAAAAAAUGGUGCCAACAAUUAUUUUUGAAAAGACAAUUUUAUAAGGUUGGAAUUAAAUAGCUGUCUUGCAAUUGAGGCAUGGGGCAAAAAAUAAAAAGCAAAGAAGCUUAAUGGAGAUUUAGAAAGGCAGAUUCCUUUACUCCAAAAUUAUAAAUGGUAUAAUAUCAUAAUGGUUUCUGAAGUUUAUCAAAUUUUUCGAGAGGGUCCCUACACAUUAAAAUUACAUUCGAAAGAAAGUAUGCUACUUUAUUGAAUGAGACAUAUAGCUGAAAAUGAAUAUAUUGGCUCUUAAUAUAUUAAAUAAAAAUUACUUUAUACAUAAAACAAGCAUCACAUUUUUUGUUUAAUAAUUUUGAUCACAAAGAAAAAAGAAUAGAGUAAUGUCUUAUGACAUUAAAUAAAAUGAUAUUUAAGAAAAGGAAUAUGCAAUAAAUGUAUUGUUCGGUUUUGAAUAUAUGUAGAAUAAAUGUAAAAAGUUAAAAAAAGAUGUGGUUGGGUAACGGUAGAUGAUAGAUAGCAUCAGCUCAUGUAUAGGCUGAAAAUUAAAGAGAGAAGCAAAUGGUGUGCAGGUGUAUAAUAAUAUCUGAAAAUUUAAAACCAUAGGGAGAAGAAUGCCAUUAAAAGAAGAAUCGAUAAUAAUACAGGGCAAAGCAGAGAAAAUAUUCUAAUACUUGGUUCAAUCACAAAUUGUCCACACAAAAAUUAAUUUGAUUUGUCUAAAUAUGACAGAGUUUUUAUUACUAGUCUUUUCAAUUUAUGUUUUCAAUGUAGGUCCAUCCAACGAACAGCGACUCAGCCUUACAUAAUAAGAGAUGAAAACCAAAGGCAUGUAAUCCAAACUAGAAAUUGAGUUUUUAUAGCUAAGGAAAAGAAGAAAAUUUAAGUCUUUUCCUCUCAAUAUUUAUUUAGCCAGACAUUACAAAAUAGUUUCAAUCAAACAUGUAGGAAUCAUUAGACUAAAUCAAACAGUGUCACUCACUAUCAUCUGCUGGCCCCCAAUACUUGUCUUUUGUUUUUGAUGCCUUGUAAUUGAUAUCUGGACUUUUAAACCAAGGAGAGAGUUUUCCCUUCCGUUAAUUUCGCCUUUAUUAUAUUUAAAAAUGAAAAGAGAAAACAUCAUUUUUCCAAUUGCGAAUUGGAAUUUGUGAUAAUCUUGCACUUGGAUUGCAAGAAAAACUGUAAAUAAUAAACACUACACAAAUUUUGUCAAAUUUGUUAAUAAAAUUAACAGGAAAAUGAGGUGAUCUUUUUGUGUGUGUUGUAAUAUAACGUAGACUAAAAAAAUAAUUUAUUAUUUUGGGUCUUUAAAAUUCUUUUUCUCUUCUCCACUCUUUUCUGUCUUUUUCCCCCUCAAAGCUGUGAAGGUCCAUCAAUAUAUUUUGCAAAACCCAUUCAUUAAUUUCACAAAGCUUUUAAAACCCAUCAAUUUUGUUCAUUGCAUUCGGUUUUGGUGAUAACGGUUCGGUUCAUAUUGAUUUGAAAAAGAACACUACUAAUGUAUAGGUUAUUUUAAGGGUUAAUAUAAAUUUUAGUCAUUAAACUUGACAAUUAAGUCUAUUUUGGUAAUAAAAAAUUUUAGUAAUUAAAAAUUGAUUCAUGUACGUCAACAUGAUGUCCACAUGGUAUGCCAUGUAUCACUAUCUAGUUAUUACGUUAGCUAUGCAACUUUUUAAUAAUAUAAAUGGAUAUAAAAUUUCAUAGAAAAGACAAUCAUGCUCUUUUAACUAACGAAUAGGAACUAAUUUACCCGUUUUUUAAGUAGAUAAGGCAAAUAUGCACUCUGAGUGCUAGCACAACGGCCUCCAUUGGUACUUUUAUUCAUAAUUUUAAAGUAUUAUGUUACCAAUCUUUUAUGUUUUAUCAAGUUUAAUGAUCAAAAUAGACUUAACUAUCAAGUUCAAUUACCAAAGUGAACCAAAAAGAUGUAAAUAUUAAAAUGGACCUAAUUGUGAAGUUGAUAUAUUAUAAUAAUAUAACAACAAUUAUGAGUAUAUGUAAACAAUUGAUGUAAUAGUUAAUUAAAGUAUAAAUAAAACUUAAUUUAAUUAAUUAAUUAAAGUUAAUUAUCAUAUAAUCUAAAAAUAGUAUGCUAUUUUUUAAAAAUUAAAAAUGUUGAACUCUAUGUUUAAAAAUAUAGAAAGAGAGAGGGCUUAAGAUUCCUUGUCGCUAUUCAUUCAAUCCACGCAUUUGUACAAAUUACAAAAACCUUGACUUACACAACUCAUUAUUCGACAAGCAUGUCUUUUUCGCACACCACCAAAGAAAAAGUGUUUUUAUUAAAAGAAUAGUCAGCUGCCAUCUUUUAUUUGCACGAAUGAUCCUAUGUAAAAUUUUGUCUUUCUAAUAAAUUAAAAGAUUCAAUUUGAAUAUAAAAUCACAAAUAAUUAUAAAUUUAUUUAACUAAUUUGAAAUAACAUUAUAUCAUCAUAUCCAUAUAUUUUAUUUGCAGGCAUGUUCUUAAAUGCAUGCAUCUCAGAGCAAAUUAAUUAAAUUAGUUUAAGAAUUUGAUAUUAUGAUUAAUUAAAAACUUAAGAAAGUUGUUCAUGAAUGACAAAAGCGAACGAGUUUCACACAAAAACAAAGAAGAUCAUAAACCUUAAUUGUCAGUGGUGCUUGAUUUUCAAAUUAGAUGUUGGAAAAAGUGGUUAAUUGAAAGAACUUGGGAGCAACUGUGAAUUAAGUUGAGGAUCUCUAUCAAACCAUGACAGAAGUAACAGUGAAAUUUUCAAAGCAUAGGCACAAGUCUGAUAUGUUCUGGUUUAUAGUUGCAGGCAUGUUCCUAAAUGCAUGGAGCUAUGAAAAAUGCUUAUAAAAGAAGAAUCCAUAAUAAUAGAGGGCAGGACUGAGAAAAUAUUCCAAUUUUUUUGUUCAAUCACGAGGGAUAUGAGCUUCUCGCCAAUAUAUGAAAAUAAAAAUAAAGAAUACCCACCCCCAACUGAUACAUACAAUAGACCACCACAGAAUCAAAACCAAUGAUGAAAUUUUAUAUUUUAACAAGUUAUACUUGUCUUCAAUUGAAUCCUUCAUAUAUGUAGGUCUAAUUGCGAGUUUGGAUUUGGUUUAUAUAUCCAAACGAUGAUCUUUUUUAAUGUGAUUGAAUUAUUAGUGCUACUCUUCAACUUGAGAAUAAGUCUUCUAUUUUAGGCUUUCCUUUUUUCCCCUAUAACAUGGUUGGACCACAAGAUUGUACAGAUUUCUUACUCAAAUAAUGAGUCAAUGGAUGCCUUACUUAAAUCCUUCGAAUCAAAGUAUUUAAAGAAUACUGAACUAACAUUAGGAAAUUAUUAAACUUAGUUGUUUCUCUCUUUAUGAUGCGCCUUACACCCAUAUCCAACCUUAUGGCAAAACCAAGCUUCCUCCCUCCGUUUAUGUUUGGGCUGCUAUUUGCAACCUUUGAGGUUAUUUUGUCUGCAAAAUAUCCUAGCUUCACCGUUGAUCAAUCUGCUCUUCUAGCACUAAAAUCUCAUAUAACUCAUGAUCCCCACAAUUUCUUGGCAACCAAUUGGUCUACUUCUACCUCCGUUUGCAACUGGAUUGGCGUCACAUGUGGAUCUAGGCACCACAGAGUCACUGCUCUGAAUUUGUCAAGCAUGGAUCUCACAGGCACCAUUUCUUCUCAAUUGGGAAAUCUAUCUUUCCUUGCUUGGCUCGACAUUCAUCAAAAUAGUUUCCAUGGCUCUUUACCCAUUGAGUUAACUAAUUUGCGUUCGAUGAAAUAUUUGGACUUUGGUAACAAUAGCUUCAAUGGAGAAAUCCCAUCAUGGUUUGGUUGCUUCACUAAACUUCAAAGAUUGUCUCUGUACCUUAACAACUUCAUUGGUGUUAUCCCAUCUACUCUAGGCAAUUUGUCAAAACUAGAAAAGUUGAGCUUGGGUGGGAAUCAAAUUUCCGGUAGAAUUCCAAAUAGUUUAUUCAAGUGCAAAGAGCUGAAGUAUUUAUCAUUGUAUAACAACUCCUUGGAGGGAAGUAUACCUACAGAAAUUGGAAAUUUGACUUUGCUCGACACUUUGUAUCUUGGUGACAACCACCUCAAAGGUAAACAAUUCCUGGUUAUUGUUUCAUUCAUUUUUAUCUAAUUUCCAUCAACAGUUGUUUUAAAUAGUGAAGCGGGACUUUAAACAAUAACCACUAAGUUCAGUGCUAGCAAAACCAAACUUAAUCAUAGAGUGUAUACAUAUUAUUUAUGUCAAUUGAGCCAUCAACCAAUUUAAUUGGUGUCAAACGAAACUUAGUCAGAUUUUCAAUGCAACUCCUGAUUUACCCUUAAUAGCGGGUAGGAACACAUCAGAACUCAUAGUCACCUCCACAACCCCAUACUUGAGGAAUAACAGAGUAAGAUAUCUCGUCAACCUCUGUUAUUUAUGAGAGAUAUGAAAGAACUAAAGAAAAAGUGUUGUUUAAGAUUGGCUUAUGAUUGGUUUAAGAGUUGUUUAUGAUUGGUUUUCAGUUGUAAUAGCCUUGUUUCUGUUAAAACUGUUAGUACAAAACUCCGGUAAGGAAAAAACUCGAACACACGAUCGGAACUCGAAAAGAAAAAGAAGAAAUAGGACAGGCUCCAAGGCGUGUAUCAAGCCACUAUCUUUAAGGUUAUAUUCGCCCCCACUUAUCUUCAGUGUGUAAACGAGUUCCAAGCAAAUUAACCUCGAGGAUACAAUGAAGCCAAUGACUAUUUGCGUUUUGCACUGACGAGAAUAGUCCACUAUGCACUGAGUAAUGUAUAACAAAAACUCAAUUUCUACAAAGGAUUUCUGCAGCAAUACUUUAUAGAAUAAUCUAAUAAUAUUAGAAAAUGAAGGAAGAGAAGAAAUAAUAUUAGAAUUUGUUGAUAUGAUUUCCAAAUGAAAUCCCAUUCCUAUUUAUAAGAAUUUUCAUGUCUCUUCAUAGAGACAUCUUUCAAUAGGUGUCUUUAUGAAUAAAUNNNNNNNNNNNNNNNNNNNNNNNNNNNNNNNNNNNNNNNNNNNNNNNNNNNNNNNNNNNNNNNNNNNNNNNNNNNNNNNNNNNNNNNNNNNNNNNNNNNNNNNNNNNNNNNNNNNNNNNNNNNNNNNNNNNNNNNNNNNNNNNNNNNNNNNNNNNNNNNNNNNNNNNNNNNNNNNNNNNNNNNNNNNNNNNNNNNNNNNNNNNNNNNNNNNNNNNNNNNNNNNNNNNNNNNNNNNNNNNNNNNNNNNNNNNNNNNNNNNNNNNNNNNNNNNNNNNNNNNNNNNNNNNNNNNNNNNNNNNNNNNNNNNNNNNNNNNNNNNNNNNNNNNNNNNNNNNNNNNNNNNNNNNNNNNNNNNNNNNNNNNNNNNNNNNNNNNNNNNNNNNNNNNNNNNNNNNNNNNNNNNNNNNNNNNNNNNNNNNNNNNNNNNNNNNNNNNNNNNNNNNNNNNNNNNNNNNNNNNNNNNNNNNNNNNNNNNNNNNNNNNNNNNNNNNNNNNNNNNNAGAGCAAGCAUUUGGGUUUUCGACCCUAAAAAUUUGAGGAUAAGCAAACUCUGAUUAGUACUUGGAUGGAUAAUAUUCACUUUGUUUGACAUCGCUCAUCUUCUUGCCAUCGUCUCCAUCCAUCUCCUUUGACUUGAUCUUCUUCUUUCUUCUCUUCUUCCUUUGUUUUCUUCGUCAUUCACUAUACAAUUAUGGGAUUAUACAAAAAAAAAUUGCGCCAACGACGGAUUCAAUGGAAUUUGUAGUGGAGAUUCCGUUGAAAUCUUGAGACAUAAAAUUUUACUGAAUUUCAAAUCUAAAAUUUAAAAUAUUUGGUGGAAUUUGGAAAUUAACGAGUUACUAAUUUUGAGCGUCCUAUAACUUUCCCUACUUGUAAUCAUUCUCGAAUUUAAUUUUUCUCUAAAUUUAAAGGUAGACCUUAAAUUUGCCAAUUGUUAAAGGGAUUUAUAAAGUGUGAUUUUAUAAAUAACCAAUUAGACCUAUCCAACAAAGAUUCAUUUUAUUAUAUGUGAAUACUUAAAUGGAUCCAAACCUAAUUUUUCUCUAAAUUUAAAGACGGAUUAAAAUUGUCAAUUCUUAAAGGAAUUUUAAAAUUUCUCUAUAAAAUUUGAUUUUAGGGUGACUGAUCCCACCUAUCAAAAAAAUAGGUGAUGAGUUUUUAACUUCAACCAUUUAUGUACUUUUAAAAUAGAAAAUUUUCUAACGGUAAAAAUGAUUGUUACAAAUGUAUUCAUGCAUUUUAAUUUAAUUACUAAUAGAUUCCCUAGAUUCAUUUAUUCUAAAAGCAUUCACGCAUUACAUCGCAUUACUCAACCAAAGUCAUCCAUUCAUGGGAUGCCGGUAAUUGAUGUUGCUUUUGGUAGAAGGUCGAUCGAAGCUCGAGCACCGCUAAAUGAAACCUUUCUCACUGACUGGAUAAUUGAUUGCUAGGAUAAAGGAGAUAUUCUGGCCACUGUCGAUGGGAGGUUGGGAAAGAGGUUUGUGUCUAACGGUCGCCAUUCCUCCAUUUUUAUCUUAUCGUUUUUUAUUUAUAUCAAGGAUUUUAUUUUACUUCCAAAUGAUUGAAAUAUUGAACUUUUAAUUUCAAAAUGCAUUUGCCUCCUUUGAUUUAGUACACUCUAUAUCAAUUUCAUGUUCGUGAAAUUCAUCCAUUCUAAAUGCAUUUUGCCUUCUUUGAUCAUCAACUAUAUCAAUUUCAUGUUGGUAUAAUGAACACCAAUAUAUUUCUAGUUCCAUCACAUCAAUCAAUGUUCCGGAUAUAAUGAAUGCUAAAUAACAAUCUAUUUCUACCAUCAAACAAUCACAUAAACUUAACUAAAUAGGAGAAAAAAUCUAUUUGUACGAAAGGGCUAGUGAAGUAGUUUACACAAUUAUUGCUUCUUCCCUGAUCGGCCCGUUGUAAAAUUGAAAAUCUUGAGGAAUAUCGAAGAUUGAUUACUUAAAUACAUCCCUAAAGAAGAAAACGUAGAAGUAGAUUGAAUGGCUAAAAUAACCUUUAAUAGAGAAGAAGAAUUACCCCCUAGCUUGUAGAGGAAGCAAUUUUAAAAAAGUUUUUUUCUUCUUUGCUCAAACAACUUAAAAGAUUAAAUUGUUCUUUUAACAUCUAAACUGGUCUAAGUUGUGACAAUCUUAAAUAAAACUAUUAACCGUACAAAUAUAUAUUUGAAGAAUGACAUUUCAUACUCAUAUUAUGAGUAAAGAUAUCUAAAAUAAUUAUUUUAUGUAAACAACGUCAAUGUGUAAAAAAAAAGGAAUUAAUAGGACAAAGGUGGUUAAAUAGUUUACUAUAGUUAAUGCUUCUUCCACGACUGGCCCAUUAUAAAAUUGAAAACUUUUUGCAUCCGUUUUGGUUGCCGCCCUUCUUCCUCCGCUUCCUCGUAGACAUUACGUUUUCGUUUUAUGUGAGAAGUGCUACCUACUGAUCCAUCGUCGUGAGCAGAGUGUGUUGAAAAGUCAAAUUAAAAGGGGUGUUGAAAAGUCAAAAAUGGGAGGUGCAAGUGGCACCGAAAGAAAAAAAGUGGUAGGCAAGUUGUUUAAAGUUGAAUGGGAUAAUUGCAAUUUUGGUCCCUAAUUUUUUAGGCCAUUUGCAAGUUAGUCCCUGAACCUCAACUAUAAAUAGGCCUAACCAUUUCUCAUUUCAACCAUCCCAACUAAUCUUUCUCUCUUAGUUUUCUCUCUUCUCCCAUUUGAGAAUUCUUAAGGAAUUCUAUUUGUUUGUAAUAUUUUGGAGAUAGUAAAGUUAUCAUCUGGUGUUAGUGCCCGAGGACGUAGGUAUAAUUUACCGAACCUCGUUAAAACUCUUGUGUUCUUUUUUGUCCUAUUUUUCUUUCAAUAUUUGAGGGUAUAAUAGUAGUAUUUAAUUGUGCUAUUAAAUUAUUAUAGAAGGGAUAUUCUGACUAAGGAAAGACUUGGUAUUUAAGAGAUCCUUGUGAUCCACCUCUCUUCUCUGGGAAUUGAACUUUGUGUGAUUUUUUAGUACAAUAAUUUACAAGCUUCCGACCCUAUUGGAACAACAGAGUGUUGGUGGAUGUGUUCAAAAUUUGGAGAAGAUUGAGCGCUAUGGCACUGCAACUCUUUUAUUUCUUCCAAAUCUUUCUCAUACACUAUUCUAACACCACACUUCUUCACCUUAGCACGGCGUCCAAAUCGAUCUAUGAAAGACACCUCAAGCUCAUCGCAUAGCAAUCUGUUGCCCGUAACUUAUUGGUUUCACAGUCACCAAAUUUAUCCGCCUAGGAAAAUUGAUAUAAUUUAUCACGCGACCAAUAACGAAGAAAAAGGUGAUCUUUCAUUAUGGACUGGUUAAAUCCUUUACCCAACAACCAGCCUCUCCAAUCAAUCCGUCGAGGAUUUCUACCUCUAAAAAUAGAUCCAUUACAGCUGGCUUGUUCAGAAUUUCUACAAUAGAUAUAUGCUCCACAACCGAUAUAUUCGUCAUCCCUUAAAGCAUCAUUAUUGACAAAAAUGCAACAGCAAGCAACUCCAAUCCAUUGACUAUCUUUUCGAAGGUUGAUAGGCAGGGGUAUCUUAAUUGAAGCGUUACUUGUUUGUUGGCUAAACCAUUCUGGGAUUUCACUUCCGGGCAUAAUAAUAUCAAACAUUUUUCUUGAAUUUGCAAAUGCCUGCAAAACAAAACACAAGUCGUUUGGUAACUAAAACCAUAAAUCCUCAAGUAUGAGAUUUUGUAAGGGAGAAAAAAGAGAUUAAUCGACCUUAAGAAAUUUUUUCAGCAGUGUUAAUGCAUUGAUAUUCUCAGCCAAUUUGAAGCAGUUAAUGGCUCUAAUGAAAGUAGAAUCCACUAAAUUGCAUACUUUUGAUGGACUUGCAACUGCUUCAAGUGAAGAACAACCAUCUAUCCACACAUCUUCUAUACUUGUUGGUAGCUCAGGCAAUGAUUUAAGCAUCUUGCAAUCUGACAAUCUAAUAGAAUAAAGCUUGGAAAGUCGAAUAAUAGAUGCAGGUAUGCUGAUGAAAUUGUUACCCUUAAGAUCAAUGAGUUUUCAAAGAGGAUAGACCAGAAAUAUCACUAGGAAUAUCUCCUUCACAAAGAUUGCAGUCCCUUAGUUUUAGCUCUUUUAAUGAACUCAAACCUGACAACAAAGGCAACAUCCGAGCUAUGGGAUUCGUCCUUCUGCCUUGGAUUACCUUGAAAAGAGAAGGUAAUUUUAAUUGUAACUCAAAUGAUGGCCCCUUGCGCCCAUUGAAACACAGAGCUUUAAGAUUUUUAAAUUGACAAAUAAAGGAUGGUGGUUCUGUUAUGGCUGUUUCAUUCAAGUCGAGCUCUUCCAAAAACUUCGCUUGCUGUAAAUUCUCUAAUAAAUUUUCAACUCUGUAACAACCGGAAAGAUCUAGAGUUUUUAAGCACUCCAUUAUCCCAUCAAUCUCUGGAAACCUUACAAGACUUGAGCAACCCGAAAGAAUUAAUGUUUCAAGAGAUUCCAUUCUAAUUUUGGUUGGAAGACUCCUAAGACUUUUGCAAUCUCUUAAAUUCAAAAGUUUAAGGCGCUUAAGCACUUCGAUGGAUGGAUGAACAUCCACUAAUUUGGUACAACCUUCCAAAAUCAAAACUUCAAAAUUUGAUGCUGUUGUGAAGUCUGGUGUCUUGAUCAGGUUUUGAGACCCUUUGAGGUUCAUCAUUUUUCAACUUAUACAAGGGCUGUUGAAAACAAUAACAAAUUAGAGAAGAGAAAACAUAAUAAUGCUCCUUUUUUUUAAAUCUUAAUCAAAGUUUAAUCAUUUAUAUUAAAAUAAGCUAAAACAUAAGGAUCAGAUGAGUUAAUUCUUACUCUAUUUCCCUUCCAUAGUUGUUCAAUGCAACUGUAUGGCAAGAGAAGUGCAACAAGGUUGUCCGGUUGGAAGUUUAAAGGUAACGAUCUUAGAGGGCAUCCUUUCCAAUCUAAAAGUCGUAGCUCAUUAAAAAGAUAUUUGAGAUCAUCACAAUUUGAGAGGCAAUGCACUUUGAGCAGUCUCAAAUUUUUGAUCUUUGAGAAGGCAUCGACACUCAAGUUGAACAUUUUACUCGAUUCCUUAAAAACCACGAGCAAAAAAAAACAAAAAAAAAAAGAGUUUCAGAAGAUACAAAAAUAUUCAAUAUCUACAAGCUAUGUUGCAUCGAUAUUGUUUUUUAAUGUACCCAUACCCAACACUUAUAUCUAAUGCAUAUCCGAAUAUCGUAUUCAGAUAUGACUGAGCAUACCCAUGAUAGACAAUACUCUUAUCUAACACUUACAUUCGACUUUUAAUUACAUAAGCCUAAAAAAACUAGAAUUAAUAUUAAUAGUACAUAUUGAUAAAUUUAUAUGUAUGUUUUUUUACCUUUUAUUGUCGAUGAUCAUGCUUUCAAUCACUUUGGUAGCCUAAAAGUAAUCAAGAAUAGACAAUAAGAAAGACAAAAUAAAUGGUCUAAAUUGUAUGUUAAAAAUUUUGAAAAUUUACAUACACAAUCUUUAGUUGGAACUAUAGUAAAUAAAAUAUUUUGAACAAAGUAAAACAUUUUCUAAUGAGAGUAUUUCAAUAAAAUUGAAUGUUUAUAUUACCAGUUCUUAUUAAUAUUUAUGAUCAACAAAUGAAAAUUAUCUUAAAGCUACUCAAUUUCACUUAAAAUUUGAUAUGUAAAUCAAUUAGACUAAGCUUUGGUUUUACAUCAUAUAUUGACAAAAAGAAAAUAUUUUAUGAAUUUUUUGUUCAAUGAUUUACCGUGUUUUUUGCUAGGACAUGAUGGACAUCUCUUUCCUUCCACAAUCUACAACGUUUUCCAGGUUCAUCAACGCAUUUUUCUUCAACAACUUUUCUUCCCAUUUCUUGCAACAAGGCAUGCAUCCAUAAAUAUUGGUUAUCAUCACUGACUUUUAUAAGAGAUUUCUUAAUGAGAACAUCGAUUCCAAUAUCUGGGAAAAACUCACAACUAUCCAAUACUUUCAUUACUAAUUCUUUCUUCUCCCCAUUGAAAAAGCAUGCUAUGUCUAGAAAUAUAUUCUUUUCCUUUUCUUCCAACCCAUCAAAGCUGAUUCUGAGUGUGUCAAGAAUUUCUUUGUUGGAAUCUUGUUUAAGUCUUUCGAUUGCGUUUCUCCAUUGAGCUAAAUUUCUACCGCACAAAAAAAGAACCCAAGACUUCAAGAGCUAAGGGGAGACCACCAGCGUAAUUUACAAUAUGUUCAGAAAGCUCACUAAAAUCAUCUUUCAACAUUGUAUCACUAUCAAAAGCUUUCAAAUUGAAAAGCCUAAGUGCAUCAUUGGGAUUCAAUGUUGUAGGCUUAUACACAUCAUCGAUUCGAUAAGAUCGGAGCAAAUGUUCAUCUCUGGUUGUUACGAUGAUUCUACUCCCUAAACCGAACCAAUCUUGCCUUCCAACUAAGUAUUUCAAGUGUUGUACAUGAUCAACAUCGUCAAGAACAACAACAACCUCUUUGCUAAAUAACCUAUGGCUAAUUAUGGCAUUCCCUUCAUGAACAUUGAAAAAAUUGAAGCAUUCAUCUGGCAAGAUUUGAGAAAGAAGUUGUUUCUGUAAAGAGACAAGUCCACAUUUGUUUGAAACUUCUCGAAUAUCAGCAAGAAAGCUUUUACCUUCAAAAUAAGGUGACAUUUGAGUGUAAACAACCCUUGCAAGAGUUGUUUUACCGAUGCCACCCAUUCCACAAAUUUCAAUAAUGCGGACAUCGUCUUCCCCAAUGUUUAUUUUUGAAUACAACUCCUCCAAAUGUAAACUAAUUCCAACCGACUCGUCAUGAAUAAUUGGAUAUGUCUUGUGUAGCGACGUAAAAAUUUACUGAUCGCUAAUUGUGGCGAUUUAUAAAAAUAUUUGGAAGUUGAAAUUUGAUUUUUAAGAUAAACCAGGAGUCGCCACCGAUCUUUUUUAGGGUGUGAUCGGACACUUAUUUGAUUUAUUUUCUAAAACAACAAGAAGGCUAAGUUUGGGUCUACGUCAAGAUCUAGAGGAAAAAUUGGGCUCGGGAGUCGGUUACGCGCGAGAAAGGUAUUAGCACCCUCGCAACGCCCAAAAUUGGCAUCUUUUAAACACGUGUCGUCUUGAUUUUCAAAAAUACGAGUUCAAUUUAAAUUUCAAUCGUGAUCCGAUUUAAAAAGCGAGAACUUUUAAGUUCUUAGAUUUUUUUUUUGAGAAGGAUGUACAUAUACCGUUUUAACAUAAAUCGACAAAUUCCAUCCAACAUAACGAUGAAAUUCUAUGAUUUAAUAUUAAACCGAUACAUUACCUUUAUUAUUGAAAUUUAUUAGAAAACACGAUCGGGGUUUUGAAAUAAUGUAAAGCAAAUUGGAAGAAAUAAAUGGAAUAAUUAAAACAUUUUGAAGCGAAUGUCGUAAUAUGGCAAUAAUGUUAAAGAUAUACGCAAUAUAUAUUAGGAAUACUAUAAACAUAAACAUGUAUUUAUACUAAUACUAAUAAUAAAAAUGUAUGUACACCAAAUAAUGACAUAUAAGUGAUAAUAAUGAAAAUAAUGAAUAAAAAUGAAUAAUAUGACAUAUAUGUACAAUAAAACAUGGGCACUAAUUGUGUAAUAAAGUAUAAUAAUACAUAUAGUAUGGUAUUAAAAACAUAGAUAUAAAAACAUAUAUAAUACUAAAAUAUACAUAUAAUAUAUAAAGGUAUGUAUAGAGUAAAGUAUCAAAAAAUUUGUGCAAGAUAUAUAUAAUAUGUUAAAAGUACACAUAUGAAAUAUAAUGUUAAAAAUAUGUAUGCAUAGUGUAAAAAUGUAUAUACAAUAUGGCAUUAAAAUACUUACAUAACGUAUACACAUAUAAUUACAAGGUUAAGUACAUAUAAAAAAAUAUUAAUAUUGAUAUUACAUAAAGAUAUACUUAUAUAUAUACUAAAGUUAUGUACAUAUAUACAUAGAUAAUACAAUAUUCAACAUAUACAUAAUAUAAUAAAAUAAUAAUAUACAAAUACGUAAUAUAUAUAAUAUGCACAUAAUACAUACGUAUAUAACAAAAUAUACAUUAUAUUACAAUGGUAAUGGCAUUAAAAUAAAAAAAGAACAAUAUAACAUAACUAAAAUAAUAUAUCUAUAAAUCUAUAUACAUAGCUAAAAUGUACACCAUUAUAAUAAUACUAAUAAUAAACAUUAAAAAAUAUUGAAAUACAAAAACAAACACAAUAAAGGUAAUAAAAUAAAAAAAUAAACCUACAUGUAGAAGCAUAUUUAUAUACAUAUAUUAAAGAAUACAUAUAAUAAUAACAAUAUUAAUAGUAAGCAUAAUAAUAGUAUUGAAAUAUAAAAACAAAUAGCAUUAAAAUAUUGAAAGAAAAUAACUAAAAAAAACUAAAUACAAAUACAUACACACAUUUAAUAAGAGUAUAUACUAAUAUAUAUAGUAAUAAUAAUAAUAAUAAUAUAAAAAUAACAAGGAUAUUUAAUAAAUAUAUAAAAAUAAACAAAAAAAAGGACUAAAAUUAAAUCAAAAACGAAGUUAUGGGGCCAAUUUAAAAAGAAACUAAAAAUAAAGGGCCUAUUUAAACACGCGAGAAAACAGUGGGGAACAAAAGCGCAAUAUUCCAAACUUUCCAAAACGCUGCCCAGUAACAGGGAUCAGAUUGAAAAUAAUAUUAAAUCAUAGGGCCAAAUUAAAAUAAAAAACUUAAUUAUAAAACGUUGAAAAAGCGGAGGGGCCAAAUGCGAAAUAUCCCCUCCCUUAAAAAAACGCGGAUCCUAGGUCGAGUCGGGUCGGAUCGGGUCGGGCUAUGAUGAAACGACGUCGUUUUGGAGUUAAAAAGCAGCCCUCGUUUUGGAGGGCUAUAUAAAGCCCUAAAUCCGAAAAAAAUUCAUUUGUAAGGGAAGGGAGAAAAAAAAGAGAGAGAGGAAAGGAGAGAAGAGGGAAGAGGGAGAAAGGAGAGAGGGGAGAAGGGAGAGCACCGGCCAGGGGCCGGUCACCGGGCGGCCUCGCCGACGAUGGCGCUGGCCGCCGUACACGGCAGCCGGAGAGGUAUUUUUCUGAUUUUUUUCUUUUUAUUUUGUUUAUAUUUUUUAUGUUUUAAGCAUUGUUUUUAUUUAUUUAGUUAUUUAUAAAUAUUAGAAAAAUUUUGAAAAUAAAACUGAAAAAUAAAUAAUAGACUAUUCACCUUAGGGUUUAAUGUCUGAUUUUGCGAUCUGGGAUGUUACCCUUGCUUGGCUGCUAUUUUGUUUAUCUAAAUGCUGAGAAAAUUUGCAAUCGUUUUGGAUUUGGAAAUGAUUUCUUAUUUUCUCUGUUUUCAAACUGCAGAACUUCGGACCCCUUUACAGUGUUUCAUUCGGCUUUUUAUAGCCACUUUGAUUACAUGAUAUAUUAUUAUUUUUUGAUGUUCUUGCUUCUGUCUUGUUUGUCUGUUGUUUCUGCAGGGUAUGGAAUGGAGCUGAUGGUAGCCGGUGGGGGAGAGGUAUGGUGGCUGACAUGGUGAGGCAGAAGGGUGGUUGCGGCGUCACUUUAGGAGCUAGGGUUAGGGUUGGUGUUAGGUCAGUUGGGUUGUUGUAUUGGGCCAACCGGGUAGUGGGUUUAAUGGGUAGGUUAAUUGGGCUGAAGGUGGUUUUUUGUAAUGGGUAUUGGGUUAUUUUGGGGUUUAAUAUGAAAUGGGUUUGUUAAUGGGCCAUUUGGGUUUUGUAAAAUGGCCCAAAAUUGGCCUGUAACAGUCUGACAUAAUUUUGCUGAUAUAUUCUUAACAAUGUCUCCGAUAAAUGCUGAUUCGUGCCUACAAUGAAAUAAAAAAUCGCUGCUAUCUUUCAAAUGCAAUUUUUCAUUUGUAAUUGAGUGUAUCAUGAAAUAUAAUAUAAUUGAAGCAAACCAAAAGCUAGAAAAAGACAGCAAGAUUUGUUAGAGCAUCAAAAUACACAACAUGCUCAUUAGUUGAAAUAUGGAAAUUCUCAAUUAAACACAGUUACAAAAAUUUACAUGCAAUCCAAGAAAAAAACAAUUUUUUAGUCAUUAAAAUUAGGAAAUAGAGAAGAAAAGGAAGAAAUACCGAUUAUGUAAAUGCCAUCCUUUGAUGUUAGCUACUUCAGUCAAAGCAUUUCGCCACUUUUGGAUCUUGUCUUUAUCUUCCUUGUAUCUUUCUUCGUGUUCGGCGAAGGCUUCUCCAACUUUUUCUUUUUGUUUUCUUAAAUCGGAUGGAUCCACAUCGUAGAAAAUUGGAAAUACUUUAUGCCCGUUAACAUUUUUUUGUUGAACAAUCUCAGCAAGUUCCUCCAAGCACCAUCCUGAAAAGGCAUCGGUUUCCGAAAAAAUGAUAACCGAGCACCACGACUGCUGGAUCGCUUUGAAGAGUUCCGGGGCGAUCUCUUCGCCGACCUCCAGCUUUGGAUCAUCCCUAAAAGUGAUGAUGCCACUCCUCUUUAGAGCAUCGUAGAGAUGAUCUGCGAAGUUCUUGCGGUUAUCUUCACCUCUAAAACUCAAGAAAACAUCGUAUUUCUUUCUGGAAAUGGAUGAGGAAGUCGAAAGUAACGAUGACAUAACGAUGUAUGAGAUGAUAAAUAUAUGUGGAAGGCGAAAAACAGAUGAAAUUUACAGGGAGCGACAAACGACUUUUCCAAGAAAUUUCGGUAUACGUUUCCCACCUUUUACUUUUCCAAUAAAUUCGUGGGCCAUAGAUGAGUUGGAUUAUCUUUCCUGGAAGACUUCAAGAAGGUGAGAGUUGACAAUUGGUGUCUACUUUAAUUACAACUAAUAAUUAUAGAUUUUUAAGAGUUUUCUUUAAAUUUUGCCACAAGUCCCCAUCCUUUUUUAUAAAUUUAAAAUUUAGUCCCUACACCAUUGUUUAUUAAAUUAUGGGUAAGUUUUUGUUUUGGCCACUUAAUUAAAAAGUUUCAAUUUGGACAUUGAACUUUUCAAAAUUAUUUUGUCGGUUACUUGGCACUUUUUUAAUUAGUAUAAUAACAAUUUUAAUUCUCAAAUUUUAUGUUUUUCAUCAAUUUAACCCUGAUUUUAUAUAAAAUAACAAAAAAUUAAAUUUCUUUUAAAAAAUUUAGAGAACUCUAAAAAUUAAAAUUAAAAUAAAAGUAAAUAAAAAUUUCAAAAAUAUAUAAAAUGAGAAAAUGAGCGAAAACUAUUAAUAAACCUUCCAAAAUUUCUCCCAAAUUAUUGGUUGUAUGCUUUUUUUUUAUCUCUUUUGUUUCUUGACAUGGUUGUUUCGUUAUAAGAAAAAAAAUUCAAAAUAUAAUUUGUUUUACUGUUUGAUUUUAUAAAUAAAUAAAUAAAAUUUUAAAUCGAGUCUGAAAAUGAAAAUUUUAUGGUAUAUUUUGAAAUUUUUUUUCUAAAAAAUGGCAUAAGCCUAUGUAUUUUGGAUGUUCUUCAAGGGCAUGAAAUUUGACUUGAAGAUAUUAUUAAUUUGAUUUCAAAAAACAUUGAGGAAGCAUGUAAUAAUCUAAUAAUUUUUGGUUUUGUUCUAUUUUUAAUUUGUUCUAGGAUUCUAUUGAAUGAUAAUUUUCUAUUUUUCCCAUACAUAUUAGUUCUUCAAAAACAAUAUUUUCGAGAUUUUAUUUUUUUAUAAUUUUCUAUAAUUUUCAUAUAGAAUUUUCUACUUUUUAAAUAUUUUUGAGUUUUUUUUUUAUAAUGUUAUAUAGAACCAUAGUCAAAUUUACAAAAUAUAAAAAUUGUGCACUAAAAUUGUUAUUUUGCCAACUAAAAAGUGACACUUAACAACGGAGUGACUAAGAAAAAUAAUUUCGAAAAAUUUAGUGACCAAAUCGUAAUAUUUUUUAGCUAAGCUACCAAAAUAAAAACCUACCAUAAUUUAGAGACUAAUUGUGUAGUUUACCUUAAGAACUAGUGGACCAUGAGGGUAGCAUUAAUAAGUUAGAAUUAUAUAUAGAGAGAACAUUAUACAUUAAUACAUAAAAGAAAAACAAUAGUUCUUCGAAUAAAUAUUAAAUCCUAUUCAAAUUAAAUUGCAUUAAAGAAAAAUGCCAUAACUUACCACUACUGAAAACAAAGGCAUUUCUAUUUCCAUAGCAAACAGAGUACCUCAAUCAGUUCCUUCCACAGGAAAAGUUGUUUGAGUUCCGAAGAAACUCACAGUUCUCCCAUUUCCUCGUGCCCAAUAGACACCAUUUACUACAUCUUCCCAAAUAUUGGACAAAGCCCUCCAGAGAAACGAGCAAUUAGAAGGAUGUAUCGAAGAUGACCAUUUACUUAUUACCCAUACUUGUUCCGAAGGACUUUAACCCAUAGCACCUUCAUGUUAGAAAUGACAUUAAAAGCUACUUUAAGCAUGAAAGCUUUAUCGUGGUAUCAUACUUUCCUCAACUCAAAUCCACCAUUCUUCUAAGGCAUACAACAUUUAUCCCAGCUCACUAAAGUUGGUUUCCAGUUACCAGACGUUGACCCCAAAUGAAUCCUCGAACCAGCUUCUCAAUUUCAUUGCAUUUGUCUAGGUGAUCACCUUAAAAAAGACCAUAAAGAGAUUGACCAGUCUAAAUUGAGAUUGAGGGACCAGCUAGGGAAUACCAAAAAUCCUAAGCUACCGCAAAAAAACCUGAAGAAUUAUAAAAAAAUAUUAUGAGGGAUUAUCAAAUAUUGAUUUGUCUUAUAAAAAUAAUUUUCACUAUUUUUAAAUUUAUAUAUAAUAUUUGUAGUACCAAAUAUUAGUAUGCAAAGUUGCCAAAUUAAAAAUUAUCAAGUUUUUCCAUCAGUUAAAUCCCAUUACAAAUUUAUUAGGAUGAAGCAUAAAAAUAGUCACUAAAAUAUUUCCCGUAAACUUAUAAAAUUUAUUUUCUGAUGAAUGAAAUCAAGUACAAAGUCGAGACUUUUGUAAUGGACCAAAAUAAAUUGGUGGGGUUUACUGGCCUCUUUCUCCCAUUAUAACAUUUGAAAAUGGUCACAAAUUUAGAGAGAUUCGUGGACAGCUGUUCAGUAACAUGUGUUGGGGUUAUGAAGUCAAAUCUAUAUGUUGCGAUUUGGGCAUGUUGAAUUUGGCCUCCAUGCAGCACAUGCAGCCAAGAGCAGACCAUGCAGCCCACAGCCAUGCAGAUGCUGCUGAAAUUGAUGCAGCAGUUCAAUUUCGGUUUCAUUUUGUUACUUUAAGUAAUGUUUUGUAACUUAGUCAAAUUUGAGUUAAGUAGGUAACAUAUUUAAUGUAAUUAGGUAGUGUUUGAGCUGAUAAAUCAGUUUUGUCAAAGUGUACAAGUUUCAUUUAUCAAGUUUCAAUGUAAUUAGUGGUAGUAGGUGAUGAUUAGGUAAUGUUUGUGACAUUUUGACCAGCUCAUGAAUUGGUAUAUGCAAUGGCUCAAUGCCUUUAUUCAGUUGUAGUUAAUGAAAUCAUUGAAUUUCAUCAGAAAACUUUCUUAUUCCUUUGUUUUCAUUUUUGCUCUUCAAGCUAGAGGUGUGCAUGGGCCGGGCCGGGUUUGGCCUAUUUUUAAGGCCCGAGCCUGGCCCGGGAAAAAAAUGGUAGGCCCGAGCUGGCCCGGCUCGGCCAUAUUAAUUUUUUUUUGUUUUUUUAUUAAAUAAAAAACUUUAAAAUAUAAUAAAUCAAAUACAUUUAAAACAUAAAAAUAAAUAUUAAAACAAAAAACAAAUAAAAAAUGAGACUAAAAUAAUUCUUAGAAUAAUACAUAAAUUAAAAAUAUAAUAAAAAGUAAUUAUAUUAAAAUUGAAAAAUUGAAACAAAUUAAAAUUAAAUUAAGAACUAAAUUAUAUUAAUAACAAAAGUUUUACAAUAUUAAAAUAACAUUAAAAACAACAAAAAGAGUAAAGUAAAAUACUAAAGUUACUUAAAAUUAAAAAUAAAUUUUUUUAAAAAUAAUUUAAUAUUAAAAUCAGGCUGGGCCCGGGCCAAAAAAUUUUUACCCGAGGCCCGGCCUAUUUUCUAACAGGCCUCGUUUUUUGUCCAAGCCUAUUUUUCGGGCCUAUAUUUUUACCCAAACCCUCCCAUUUUUCGGGCGGGCCUUCAGGCCGGGCCGGGCCGCCCGGCCCAUGCACACCUCUACUUCAAGCUCGAUUCUGUUUAUUUCACCUGCAAAAGUCGAGCCUUGUUGCUCAAGCUUCUGUUAACCUUGGUUGAUUUUUGUUCUUAAUCCCAACAGGGCCCAUACCAUCUCCAUCUCCAUUUUCAUUUUUAAGUUACUAUUAUCUCUCAUUAUUUUAUUUUAUCUUAAUUUCUUUUCAUCAGUCUUUUCUUUUUGCUUUUGAUUGUUGGAAACUUGGAGUACUAGGGCAUUCCCAAGCCUCGGUUUGGGACUUCUUGAUAGCAUUCCCGCCCUAUAGCAAAUUAAAUGGGAUAUAAACAUCGUGAGAUUAAUUUCUCAUAUUUUGCAAUAUCUAAUAGAAAGUUUUCAGAAUCAGAUAACUGAUUGAAUUAAUCAACUCAUUAGUUUUUGAUUCAGUCAAUUCACUUAGUCUGACUGGUUCAUUCGAUUUAAUUAAGUAAAUUAUUAAAAAUUAUAAAUAUUAAAAUAUUAGAUAAUAGUAAAAAUCAAUUCAACUGUUAGAUUCAACAUGUUUUGAGAUGUUCGUGAGUCAAACGGUAAAUACACUUUCAGAAAAUCUCCACCAUAUCACAUCUUUCCCCAGCUUGAAAGAAGUUCAACUUAGUUUUCUUCAUAUAAAAAUAGUGGGAUUUGAGGUGAUGAUAAUCUAAUUUCAGCAUGAUUUCUCAAUGAUUGUUACAAAUAUAUGGAACUUCUGAAUUCAUUAAAAAGGAACAAGGUAAGCAAUUAUAGACAGUUGUUCCUUGGUUAAUACUGUUGUUAAGGUGGAAAUGAUAACAGCAUUGUUAAACUCCUGCAACUUCUAAACAGAGGCAAGGGCCCUGUAUUUACUUACAUCAUUCUCGGUAAACACAAAAUUGCUGGAUGAAACCCAUAAUUCCACCACCCCUUCAUCAUGCAAACUCAUUGAUUUGACACUAGCGAGAAUGAGAUUCUUUGCUGCACAAGCAAAAGAAAUAAACGUCUAAGUGAUACCAAUCUCUAAUAAUAAUCUUAUAUACAUGCCAAAAUACUACCAAAAAUAAACAGAAGGUUCACUUUAUUUCCCAAAUAUUUUAAAGCAGAGCAAUGCUUGUUUUGUUGGGUUUGACAUAAAUUAUCCAUAUAAUUCGAUAAGCUUAACCUGUAUGGAUUCGACUGUGGGAUUCGUGGACACCUCUACAUUGACAUGAUGAAAGACAACAAUAUGCAGUAAAAGAUGUAAGAGAAAAAACCAACGUUAUGUCAUGAAACUAGAGGUGUGCAUGGGCCGGGCUACCCGGACCGGCCCGAAGGCUUGCCCGAAAAAUGGAAGGGUUCGAGUAAAAAUAUAGGCCUGAAAUAUGGGUUUGGGCAAACAAACGAGGCCCGUUUAGAAAAUGGGCCGGGCUCGGGUAAAUUCUUUUGGCUCGGGCCCGGCCCUGGCCCGGCCCGGCCCAAAUUAUAUAAUAAAUAUAUUUUUUUAUUUUUAAUCAUAUUUAUAUUUCAAUUUUAAUUUUAAUAUAAUCAAUUUUUAUUAUAUUUUUUAAUUUGUGUAUUGUUUUAAUAAUUGUUUUAAUAUAUUUUUUAUUUGUUUCUUGUUUUAAUAUUUGUUUUAAAUGUAUUUGAUUAUUUAAUAUAUUUUAAAAAUUUUUAUUUAAUGAAAUAAGUUUAAAAAAAAUUAAUAUGGGUCGGGCCGGGUCGGGCUCAGGCUUAACAAUUUUAUUUCGGGCCGGGCUUGGGCAAAUUUUUAGGCCCAUAUUUCGGGCCAGGCCGAGCCCGGGCCUAGAAAACGAGCCUGAAAUUUUCAGUGAGCCCGGCCCGGCCCAGCCCAUGCACACCUCUACAUGAAACCUUCGAACAAGAGAUAAGUAAAAAAACAUAUUCUUGGUGCAUGGAUAUCUAGUGAUUAAUCUUCCAUUUAAGUGUCUAAGAAAGUAAGAAUUCAAUCCAAUUAAUUCCUCAAUCAGCCCAAUUACAUAAGCAUGCAGCCUACCUCUACUCUAGUAGUACUAUACAACACAGCAUCCAACGUAUCACAGAAGAAAAUCAUUAGCAGCAACAUAUUGAAUGUGCGAUAGUGGGCACCAUCAUCAGGUUAUCCUAAUAUUGCACAAAAUCAUAUAAAAUCGAAGUUCAUGCAUAAUAUUACACAUUGGAUAAAAGUUCAUGUCUUCUAUUAUUAUCAUGGGCGAUACAUGGAUUUAAAGGAAGCUCAAAUGUUCACAGUGAGGAGCUAUUAUUGAGUGUUGAUUUUCACUUACUGUAGUUAAAGUAAGUCGGGAGAGAGUUUACUUAAUUGCACAACGGUGAGGUUGCACCAAGUUAGGCUUAAAUAAUUUCGUUGUAUUGUGAAGUUUAUAGUGGAUUCAUCUCUUUGAGUAAGGCCUGGCAGAAACUACGUAAUCAUUUUGGUUGUGCUCUUUAUUUUGCUUGUUGCAUAGUAUGUGUCAACUCAAAACUUAAUUUUUGUUUUCCUAAAAAUUUAAACUUAUAAUUAUAUCAAUAGUCACCAUUAAAAUUUAUUGUUACAAGUAUCAAAUUAAAUAAAAAAACUCAAAAAUUAACUUGUCUACACAUAAUAAUAUAUAUUAAACUUUUGUAACUUUUUGAAUUUUUGAGGAUUUUUGUCUCCAUUAUUGUAAAACUUUAAAUUAAUUCCCAAAAUAUGUAAUGCUUGUGAUUAUUUUUUGUUGGGGAUAAGCACGAUUGAGCAAUGAAUAAGUAAAAAUAGUGGAAGAAAUGGAGAAAUUGAAUACACAAAUUUAACAUGGAAAAACGAAGAGCACAUAAAAUCACAUGCAAAGAUAAUUUUACUAUAAUGACAAAAAAACGAAGAGCACAAAAGAUGGAGACAAAAAUUAAACUCCGAAAACAAAGAACCCUCAAAACAUAAAUAUAAAAUUCUCCAAAAGUGUUAUAAGUUCUAAUCUCUAAUGGGUGUAUUUUCUAAUAUUGUAAAAAAACCUAUUAAUAGUCUAAAUUUGUAGGUCAAAUAAUAAAAUAAUCUAGACUAAUCAGAGUUUGAUUGAAACAAAUAAACAGAGUGUUGUAGGCCAAUUUUGGCCCGUUUACAUCCAAACCCGAGUGGCCCAAUUACUAAACCUAACCCACCUAAGUUAAACCCACUAACCCAUCAUAACACAAACCCAAACCCAAGCCCAAUUUCAAACCCUAGCCCAAUACCUAAAAUAAAAAAAGAAAAACCCUAAAAAAAUCAGCUAGCCGCCGCCCCUAUGGCCAACUGCCCUCUACCACCACCACUGUGGCCACCAUCCCUUUGCACCUGCAAAAAAUAAAGAUAGAAGUGACAACAAUAAUAAAAUUUCUUGUAAAAUGGCUAUAUAAAAGCCUAGAAAUCGGUUUGUAAAAAAAAAAGAUUUUUUUUUGUGGUAAGAAUACAAACAUUCUAUUUCAAAAGCAAAAACGAAAAACAGCAACUCUAGCAAUAUUAUAGCACGAGAAUAGCACCAAGUCAAGCAACCAAAACAUCGAUAUCAUAAUCAAAGGCCUAAGGUGAUUUUAGUUUUUAUUUUAGUUUUAUUUUUGAAUCUAUUAACUUGCAUAAACUUAUAUAUAUUAUAAAUACAAAAAAAAUUAUAUAUUAAAAAUACAAAAAAAUAAUAAAUACCUUUUUGAAAUUUCUGGCCACCGUGCGCGGUGGCCGGCGACGGUGGCCAGUGGUGGUUGGCGAAGGCGGCCGACGGCAGUCCGGCGACCGGACGGUGACCGGCCUUGUGGCCAGAAAUCACCCACCCUCUCCCUCUCUCUCUCCCUCUCUUUUUUCUUUCAAGUGUAGAAAUGAAUUUUUUUUGAAGAAAAGAGGCCUUUUAUAGCCUCCAAAACGACGUCGUUUUGGGGUUGGCCAUUAAACCCCAAAACGACGUCGUUUUGACUUGGACCGGAUCGACCCGCCUAGGAUCCGCGUGUUUUUUAACAGAAGGGCUAAUUGCGCUUUUAGCCCUUCCGCUUUUUUAUUACUUGGCAAUUAAGUCAUUUUUUAUUUUUAAUUUGGCCCCAAAAUUUGUCGCGAUUUUCAAUUUAGACCCCGCUGAUGUGCUGCGUUUUGAUGGGAAGGAAUAAUUGCUAUUUCGGUCCCCCUUUGUUUUGCGUGCGUUCAAAUAAGCCCCCUUUCUUUUGUUCUAUUUCGAAAUUCGCCCCAAAACUUAUUUUUUAAUUCAAUUUUGUCCUUUUUUCACUUUUUCUCAUUAUUUUAUUUUAAUUUUAAUAUUAUGUAUACUAUUAUAUUUUAUUACUAUUAUUAUUAUAUUUAUUAUUUAUUAGCAUUAGUAUUAUUUUCACUUAAUACUUAUAUGUAUAUAUAUUAUAUAGUAUUAUUAAUAGUUUUUUUUUGUUAUUAUUAUUUUUCUUAACAUUAUAUUAUGUAUACAUUCUUAAAUAUUAUUAGUUAUAUAUUUUUAUGUUAUCAUAUACAUAUAUGUGUCUAAUGUUAUAUUACAUAUAUACUUUAAAAGCUAUAUCAAGUACGUAUAUAUUAUGUACAAUUUUUCUUAAAUAUUAUAUUAUAUAUAUUUAAAUACUAAUACUAUGUAUAUAUGUUUACGUAUAUAUAGCGUUACUAAUUUUCUUUUAUUAUUUUUAUUUUCCCCGGUACACAUUGUCGUUUAUAUAUUCUUAUUAUUACUAUAUCUAUUAUUUAUUAGUAUUUUACUAUUACUAUUAUUAGUAUUAUUUUUUAAUCAAUACUUAUAUGUAUAUAUUAUGUAAAUAUUUUAACACUAUAUUAUGUAUAUAUAUAUUUUAAUGUUAUGUACAUAUUUUUUUAAUAUUAUAUUUUUUAUAUAUUAUUAUGUAUAUAUUUUAAUAUCAUUAGUUAUAUUUUUUAUACUAUCUUACGUAUAUAUUUCUAAUACUAUAUAUUGUAUAUUUCUAAUAUCAUUAUAUAUAUAUAUGUACGUAUUUAUGUAUCGUAUUAUAGUUGCUUUUUUUUGUAUCAUUAUUGUUAGUAAUAUAUAUAUAUCAUGUAUAUAUGAUUUUCUUUUAUAUAUAUUAUGUGUAUAUCUUUAAUACUAUAUUAUUUAUGUAUUUUUUCUUACAUAUUAUCUUAUGUAUACGUUUUUUUAAAUAACUAUAUUAUGUAUGUACUUUUAAUGCUAUAAUUAUAUUUUUAAUAUUAUGUAUAUACUUUUUAUUCCUAUUAUUACGUAUGUAUUUUAAUACAUAUAUGUAUAUGUUUAUAUAUCGUUAUUAUUAGUUAUUUUUUUAUAUUAUUACCGUUUUCAAUAUAUUGUAUAUAUUUUUAAUCUAGUAUUAUAUGUUUUAUAUAUAUAUAUAUGUUCCCCACUAUUUCAUAUUUGCAUUAUUACUAUUAUUAUCAUAUUUAAUACCAUAUGCAUUACUAUUGUUUUAUUAUUAUCACAUAUACAUUGUUAAUGUUUUUUUUUAUAUUAUUUGCUUCGUAUAUUCUUAACUUUUUAUUGUUAUUUGUCUGUUCCGAAUUUAGCAUAUUAGUUCAUAUCUUAUUCCAACAUCAAUAUUAGUUUUCUUUUACUGAAAUAUUUUCAUUCAUAUUUUUAAAUUAAUUUCAAUAAAUAAGGUAACAUACCGAUUUAACAUUAAGUCGUCGAUUUCAUCGCUAUGUUGGGUGAAUAUCAUUGGCUCGUGUUAAAAACGGAAUGCCCUUCUCAAAAGAAACUGAAAUUUUAAAAAUUUCUCGUGUUUUGAUCGGAUCACGAUUAAAAUUCAAAUUGAACUUGUAUUUUAGAAAAUUAAGACAACACAUGUUUAACGAGAUACCAAUUUUGGGCGUCAUGGGGGUGCUAAUACCUUCCCCGCGCGUAACCAACUCCCGAACCCUAUUUUUCUCUGGCUUUUGUCGUAGACCUAAACUCGGCCUUCUUUUUGUUUAAAAAUAAAUUUUCUUUUAAAAAAAAGGAGGAUUUAUUAGGUGUCCGAUUACACCUAGAAAAAAGGAUCGGUGGCGACUCCCUUUUUAAAGAAAAUAGAAAGUCGGUUUUCAAAUUUUCAAUAAAUCGCCUCAAUUACCGACCGAAAGCAAAUUUUUUACGUCGCUACACAGAGUUUAAUUGGAAGAUUAUUUCUCAUAUUUGACUGAAAUAUGAGUCAUACUCAACAAAUCUCCACCUUGACUCAUAUUUCCACAAUGCCAUCUUUGCUAAAGCCCGCCACGGGCCUAUCUUGAACUAUGCAGGGAAUUAAUUGAUUUGAAUUUGUGUUUAGAAGCUAGAAUACUUUCAGCCUUCGACUUGUGCACUGCCAAAUCAAAACUAACCUGGGUCUGAUUUUCACGAACAUAGUGCCCUAACUUUUCAAAACCUGCAUCCAAAAGAGAACCUCUCUUCAAUGAAACGAUCAUACAUUUUCCCCUCCUUUGACCAAGUUGCCUCCACUCAAAACGAGUUAACUUUGACCCCAUAACGGACGAGGGACGUCCGAUUUCACCAGUCACUGUAAAACCUUCAAGAAUAUAAAGACUGUCAGUCCUUUUACCUUUUAACAAAACGAGAGCCCCACGAGACACCGUAAUGUCGCUGACUCAAUGUUGAUUCUGCAACCUUUCAAGUUUAAAUUAUUCAAGGAGAUGAGAUGCUUUCUUAAAUCAGGUACAUACCUGACAUCUAAGAGCGUCCUAAUCGUCCCAUUGUGCAUCUUAAUUUUAAUAGUACCAAUUCCAAUUACCUUACUAGAUGAAUCGUUUCUCAUGCCUAUAACUCCAUCUUCAAUCGAACUGUAUGUGGAGAACCAUUCUCUGUUGGGACACAUGUGGAAAAAACAUCCUGAAUUUAGGAUCCACUCAGACGUAAGCUCGAAACUAUCGCUCGUUAACACUAAUAAGAAAUCAUCACCGUUUUCUUCGGCCAAAUCAGCACGAGCUACAUCUUAUUCAUUACUCUCAGUAGCCCUUUUAUUUUGCAGUUUAUAACAAUAUAUUUUGACAUGACCUAACUUCUUACAAUAGUGACAUCUUUUGUCUUGCUUUUUUUAUGCUACCAAUACAGAAGCUUGCCUAUCUUCCUUGCUAUUCGAACCAAAAUCAUAGUUGAGUUUUUUUUUACUCAACAAAUGACCUUUCACAUCCUUGAAUGAAAGAUUAUCUCUCCCAUAAAUCAUGGUUUCCCUGAAAGACUUGUAAAAGGGGGUAAAUAGCACAACAAUAGGAUAGUUCGAUCCUCACCGUCAAUCUCAACAUUAUUUAAAUCAUUUAAAAGAGUAAUGAAUUGACUGAUGUAAUCUCUAAGAAGCUCACAUUCGUUCAUGCAAAACGUAAAUAGACAUUGUUUCAAUACUAAAUGGUUAGUCAAAGACUUAGUCGCAUAACGAGUUUCUAACAUUUUUCAUAAGGUAGAUGAGGUCUUCUCGAUCAAUACCUCCUGCAAUACCCUAUUCGAGAGGCAUAACUAGAUCAUAGACAAGGCCUUUUCAUCAAACUCUUCCCAUUUUGACUGAUUUAGAUUCUCAGACUUUUUCCUGGUAAUGACCUUUUUCAGGUCGGUCUAAACUAGAAUUGCUGUCAUUCGAACUUGCCACAGAUUGAAAUUUUAGACACGAUCGAAUUUCUCAAUAUCAAACCUUGUUUUGUCAUCUCUGAAUGAGCUGAUCUGCGAAAAUCAAAGUAGCUCUGAUACCGCUUGUUUUGGGUUGACCCGAUUAAGCAACGAACAAAUAAAAAUAUUACAAGGAAUUGAGAAAUUGAACACACAAAUUUAAUGUGUAAAAACCCCUCCGAAGAGAAUAAAAACCAUGGGUAAAGAUAAUUUUACUAUAAUGGUAAAAGAACGAAGGGUACAAAUUAUGGAGAUAAAAACUAAACCCCAAAAACUCGAAAAUAAAGAACCCUCAAAAUGUAAACAUUCUAAUAUCUAAUGGGUUUUAAAAGAGCCUAUUUUUAAGUUAAAUUCGUAGGUUAAAUAAUAAUAAAAUAAUCUAAACUAACCAGAGUUUGAUUGAAACAAAUAAACAGAGUUUAACUAGAAAACUAUUUUUCAAAUUUGACCGAAAUAUGAGUCAUAUCCAACAUCUUUGAAAUAUGUGGUUUUUUUAGGUUGGAAGAUAAGAUUAGUGUAAAAAUUUAAAUACAAUAAUUUUUGGGUCCUUAGAUUAGGGAGGGAAAAGAAAAGAGAUUGAGAAAUAUGACUUCCGACCAGAAGACUAAUGGUGUCGAAGUCUGUUUUUUUAUUUUUAUUUUUUUAGAUAAAUAUCAAAAAUUAUUAAUGAACAUUAGUACAAUGUGUGAUUUGAUAAAUGAACUUUGAUUCGGUGUAAUUAUACGAAUGAAACUUUAUUAUAAUUCAAAUGUAUACAUGAAGUUUUAAUUUUGACUCAAUUGUACACAUAUUUAAAAAUAAAGACAUUAAUCUAAUUUUCUAUUAAAUAAAUAUAAUUAUUUAUGUAUACAUAAAAAAUAAAAUGGUAAUACAUACAUUACCCGUAAAGUCAAUAUAGUCUUUUAAAGAUGUCACCCACCCACCCACUAAUUAAUAAUUAAAUAAAAAAUUACUAAUUUUAUAUUAAAACUUAGAUAAGGGAUGGUCAUUCUUUAUGACUUUUCUGCAGUUUUCAGUGUAAUUUUCUGGAUGAUAAUGAAUAGCAGCACAUGAUACUACGAAUAAAGAACAAGUUGGGUAGAAUAAUUCAAUUGAAUUUAUUAUAUUAUAUACUUUUUAAAAGGGUAAAAGUGGGAUUGGCCAAGAAUGGAAUUUAAUUUUAGUGCUAAUUGAAAAUUCAAUCACAAGUUUUUAUCACUCCAUGUAUAGUUUAAAUUACUCUUUUAUACUAUACUCUUAUUAUUAAUUAUUAAUAAUGUUGAUGUAGGCUAGCGUGUUCAUAUUUCUUAUUAAAGGUAGUAGUUAUUUCAAUAUACAAUUUUUUUUUUUUGGAAAUUUUGUCCCAUUCUUUUGUUUCAUGUCAUGUUCGAAAAAGAGUUUGAAUAAUAGGUUUAGAGUAGUAAAAAAUGGCUCGUUUAAUAUUACAAUAAUAUUUGUUACAUGUCAAAUCGGUUUCAUGUCGUGUUAAUAUAUGGAAUUUGAUUUCCAAUUUAUUAUUAUUAUUUCUUUUUGAAACUUUAUUAUACGUUGUUAUUAUAUUCACUCUUUUUGAUAUAAUACUUAGAACUAUUUAUAGUUCCUCCAUUAAUCUUAAAUAGAAGGAUAAUACGCUUCAAUAUACUCAAAAUCACGUCGUCCUGCACUAGCAACAAUGCUGAUGUCAAUCGAGUUAGAACUCAAACCCACGUGUUCUUAAACUACUAGGUUUGAUGACCCCUAGGAAGAUAUCAUAGGCUAGACGAGGUUGGGAGAUAAAUGAAUAUCAAUCAAUCGAUUAAUUAGUUUGAGGUCGGGAGAUAAUAAUUGACUAAUCAGUAGCUAAUCCACCCUAAAUUCCUAAUCCGAAGUUUGUUACAAAUCUUGAAACGAGUUAAUCUUCCUGAUUAAUUUAUUAAUUUUAGUCAAUUGUUAUUUUUCUUAUUUAAAUUCUCUCAUUAAUCUAUUUUAUGGUUUAUCGUAAUAUAGAGAUUAAUUAUUACUACUUAGACUUAUUAUUAUAAAAAGGUUUUCUUAGAUUUAUUCCAUCAUUUCUUGGGUACAAUCCUUAAAAUACUUCCAAAUAUUUUGUUGUAUUAAUUAUAUUACACUUUGACUUGUGCACUUGCGAACACCACUAUUCUAAAUUCUUAUAUAUUUUUAGUGUAUUAUUUUAAUAUAAACAAUAACCCCUUUACCACUCCCUUGGCCCACUUUAGCUACAGACCCCUGCUUCAAACGAAUUGGGUCAGUGGUCCGACCUUCCCCACUACCUCCAGCCUCAACCAAGACGCCCUUUCCUUUUUUAUUAGCUUCCAGAAUUAUCUCCCUUAUUUCCUCCCAUCCUUCCCUAAUAUCAUUGACAGAAUCAAGAACUUCAAAUCUAGAAUCCACAAUCAAAAGCCCCGAAUUAGCGUUACCUGGCUUCCAAGGAUCCCUAAAAUUACGCCUUAAAUUUCUCUCCACAAGCAUCCAUGGUCCGUAGACUGGUGACUUCUCUGGUCUAUCAUCUUCCACCACCACCGCCAUAUCCGCCAUGGAGUGUUUCGCAUAAGCCCUCGAAGCCCCCUUGUUCUUGUUGGAGUUGGAAUCCUCAAUUGUAAGUCUCUGAAUGAAAUAUUUCAACCAUUAAUCAAAAAAUAACAGAGAAACUCAACUAAAAAGGAGAAAAAAUCAAUUUGUACGAAAGGGCUAGGGAAGUAGUUUACAGAAUAAUUGCUUCUUCCCUGAUCGGCCCGUUAUAAAAUUGAAAAUGUUUUGCAUCCGUUUAGGGUGCGGCCCUUCUUCCUCUGUUUCCUCGUAGAUAUCACGUUUUCGUUUUACAAGGGAAGUGCUGCCUGCGGAUCCAUCGUUUUCAGUAGAGUGAUGAUGGAUAUGUUCCAAGUUUCGAGAAGAUUGAAUGGUUUGGCACUGCAGCUCUUUUAUUUCUUCCAAAUCUUUCUCAUACAUUAUUCUAACACCACACUUCUUCACCUUAACAGAAGGAUACCAUUUUGAAGAUUGGAAAGACAUCUCAAGCGAUAAAUUCUUGGUUUCACAUUUAUCCUUUAAGAAAAAUGGAUAUAAUAAUUCACGCGAGAAAUAACGAAGAAAAAGGUGGUCCUUCGUUAUGCGUCGUCGAUCAAGAUUAAGGAAAUAGAAAUCGACCGAUCGACUAUAUUUAACUUGAACAACAGAUCCAUCACGACUAGAUUGUCCAGAAUAUCUAGAAUGGAUACAAGUUGGACCACCGAUAACCUUUAACUCGGAACCAUCAUCUCCGCCAAAAAUGCAGCAGAAAGCAACUCCAAUCCAUUGAUUGUCAUUCUGAAUAUUGAGAGGCAAAGGUAUUUCAAUUACAGAGCCGCCUCUCUGUUGGCUGAACCAUUCUGGGAUUUCAUUUCCAGGUAUAACAACAUCAAAUCUUUUUCUUGAAUUCUCAAAUGCCUGAAAAUUAAAACAUCAGUCGUUCUUGAAUUUGCAAAAUAAAAUAUCGAUGGUUCUGUAACUAAAACCAUGAAAAAGAAGAGAGAGAUCAACCUUAAUAUGUCUUUUCAGCAAUGUUAUUGCACUCAUGUUCUCAGCCAAUCUGUAGUUGUUAAUGGCUAUAAAGUAAGACCAAUUAUGUUUCCACUCACUUGUCUUCCUUGCUAGAAGCACAGGCAACGAUUCAAGCUCUCUGCAAUUACACACUCCAAGAUAUUGAAGAUUGGAAAGACGAGCAAGAGACGCAGCUAUGCUGGUGAAAUUGUUACCAUUAAGAUCAAGAACUUUCAAUGAGGAUAGACCAGAAAUAUCACUGGGAAUAUCUCCUUCACCCAUAUUGCACAGGCCGCAACUUGACAAACUAAGAUCUUCAAGCUUGGAGAGUCCAGUAAGAGAUGCCGGUAUUCUGUUGAAAUUGUUAACGCUAAGAUCAAGACGUGUCAAAGAGUAUAGACAAGAAAUAGCACUAGGAAUAUCUCCUUCACCAAGAUUGCAGGCCCUUAGUUUCAACUUUGUUAAUGACGUCAAACCGGAUAAUGAAGGUAGCAUUGGAGCUAUGGAAUUCAUCCUUCCUCUUUGGCUUACCUUGAAAAGAGAAAGGAGAUUUCUUUUUAACUUAUACGGACCCUUGCAUCCAUCGAAAGACAAAACUUUAAGAUUUUUCAAUUGAGAAAUGAAGGAUGGUGGUUCUUUUAUGGCUGUUUUACUCAAGUCAAGCUCUUCCAAAAAUUGUGCUUGAUGCAAAUUCUCUGGCAAAUAUUCUAACUUUAUAACAACCAGAACGAUCAAGAGAUUUUAGAUGUUCCAUUUUCCCAUCAAUCUCUGGAAAACUUGCAAGAUUUGAGCAACCCGAAAGAAUUAAAGUUUCAAGGGAUUCCAUUCCAAUUUUGGUUGGAAGGCUCCUAAGACUUUUGCAGUCUCUUAAAUUCAAAAGUUGAAGUCUCUUAAGCACUCCAAGUGAUGGAUGAACAUCUACUAAUCUGGUACAACCUUCCAUAAUCAACACUUCGAGAUAUGGGGCUGUUGUGAAGUCUGGUGUCUUGAUGAGGUUUUAGGACCCUUUAAGUUUGAUUAUUUUCAACUUAUACAAGGGCUGUCGAAAACAAUAACAGAUUAGAGAGAAAAGAGAAAACAUAAUAAACCUCAUUAUUAUUAUUAUUAUUAUUCAAAUUUUAACCGUUUAUAAUCUUAAAAAAUUUAAUCUUUUAUAUUAAAAUAAGCUAAAACACAAGGAUUAGAUGAAUUUAAUUCUUACUCUAUUUCCCUUCCAUAGUUGUUCAAUGCGACUAUAUGGUAAGAGAAGUACGACAAGGUUGUCUGGUUGAAAUUUUGAAGGCAAUGAUUUUAAAGGAUAUCUUGUCAAAUCUAAAAGCCGUAGCUCAUUAGAAAAAUAUUUGAGAUCAUCACAAUUUAGGAGGCAAAGUACCCUGAGCAAUCUCAAUUUUUUCAUCUUCGAGAAGGCAUCGACACUCAAAUUGAGCAUCUUGCUUGAUUCCCUACAAAACCUCGGGCAAACAAAAAAUGUUCAAUACCUAAAAGCUAUGUUUCUCCAAUACUAUCUUUUAAGGACUUUUAUCCGAUACUUAUAUCUAACAUGUGUCUAAAUAUGAGUAUUGAUAUAUGAUCCUUCAAGAACUCUUUAAAUACAUAAAAAAGUCUUUAAAAAAAAAUCACACAUACCCAUUUUAGACAUAUAUAUCUAUCAAACACUCACAUUAAGCUUCGAAUUACUGAAGCUUUAGAAACUAAAAUUAAAAUCUUAUUGGUGCAAUAAUAAUGCAUAAUUCUAUUUAUUGUUACUGAACGAAACAAUGACACAUCAUUAAAAAUGAAAGCAAUUGGUUUUAUUUUUAAAAAAUUUUGAUGACAUAAGAUUUUUUUCCAUUGAUUUUUAUUGGAUACUUUUACCAAAAUAGAAAGAAAGCAAAUAACAAUAUUAAUAAUAUUCAUCAUAAAUGUGUAUGUAUGUUUCUUACCUUUAAUUGUCGAUGAUCAUACUUUUAAUCAUUUCUGUAACCUAAAAAGGUAAGAAUAAAGAAUAAAUAACCUUAUGGUCAAAAUAUAGUAAAUAAAACGCUUUAAAUAAAGUAAAAUAUUUCUUAUGAGAGAGAUUUAAUUAAAUUAAAUACUUAUUUGUACAAAUCCUUAUUAACAAUAAUAAUCAACAAAAGGAAUUUAUCUCAAUGCUACUCAACAUCACUUUUUUUGUGGACUGCUAUAUCAAUCAAUUGCACUUAGCCUUACUCAAUUUUAUUUCAGAAAUAAAGUAAAACAUUUUCUAAUGAGAGUAUAUUAAUAUUUAUAUAUUUCAACAAAUGGAAAUUAUUUUAAGGUUACUCAAUGUCAUUUAAGGAUCGAUAGGUAAACCAGUUAAACUAAACUUUGGAUUUACAUCAUAUAUUAAUAAAAAAAAAUUGUAUGUAAUUUUUGUUGAAUGAUUUACCGUGUUUUUUGUUAGGACAUGAUGGACAUCCCUUUCCUUCCACAAUCUACAACGUUUUCCAGGUUCAUCAAUGCAUUUUUCUUCAACAAUUUUUCUUCCCAUUUCUUGCAACAAGGCAUGCAUAUGCAAAUAUUGGUUGUCAUCACUGACUUUUAUGAGAGAUUUCUUAAUGAGAACUUCGAUUCCAAUAUCUGGAAAAAACUCACAACCAUCCAAUACUUUCAUUACGAAAUCUUUCUUCUCCCCAUUGAAAAAGCAUGCUAUAUCUAGAAAUAUAUUCUUCUCCCUUUCUUCCAAUCCAUCAAAGCUAAUUCUUAAUGUGUCAAGAAUUUCUUUGUUAGAAUCUUGUUCAAGUCUUUCGAUUGCACUUCUCCAUUGAAUUGUAUCUCUACCGCACAAAAAUGAACCCAAAACUUCAAGAGCUAAGGGGAGACCAUCAGCAUAAUGUACAACAUGUUUAGAAAGCUUAAUAAAACCAUAUUUUGGCAUUGUAUCACUAUCAAAAGCUUUCAAAUUGAAAAGCCUAAGUGCUUCGUCAAGAUUCAAUGUUGUAGGCUUAUACACAUCAUCGAUUCGAUAAGAUAGGAGCAAAUGUUCAUCUCUUGUUGUUACAAUGAUCCUACUCCCUAAACUGAACCAAUCACGCCUUCCAACUAAGCAUUUCAAAUGUUGUAAGUUAUCAACAUCAUCAAGAACAACAAGAACCUUCCUGCUAGACAACCUGUGGCUAAUUAUGGCAUUCCCGUCAUGAACAUUGAAAAAAUUGAAGCAUUCAUUUGGCAAGAUUUGAGAAAGAAGUUGUUUCUGUAAAGAAACAAGUCCGCAUUUGUUUGAAACUUCUCGAAUAUCAGCAAGAAAACUUUUACCUUCAAAAUGAGGUGACAUUUGAGUGUAAACAACCCUUGCAAGAGUUGUUUUACCGACGCCACCCAUUCCGCAAAUUCCUAUAAUGCGGACAUCAUCUUCUCCAAUAUUUAUUUUUGAAUACAACUCCUCCAAACGCGAACUAAUUCCAACCAACUCAUCAUGAACAACCGGAUAUGUCUGACAUAAUUUCGCUGAUAUCUUCUUAACAAUGUCUCCAAUAAACUCUGAUUCAUGCCUACAAAGAAAUUAAAUUCAGUUGCUACUUUUUAAAUGCACUUUUUCAUUUUUAGUUCAGUGAAUCAUGAAAUAUAAUAUGGUUGGAAGCAAACAAAGAGCAAGAAUAAGACAGUAAGAUACAUUAUAAAAUCAAAUCACAUAACUUGCUCGUUAUAAGAAAUAUGGGGAUUCUUAAUUAAACACAAAAUUAUAAUAAUAAUAAUAAAACAAGUUUUCAGUCAUUAAAACUAAGAAAUAUAGAAGAAAAGAAGGAAUACCUAUCAUGUAAAUGCCAUCCCUUGAUGUUAGCCACUUCAAUCAAAGCAUUUCGCCACUUUUGGAUCUUGUCUUUAUUUUCUUUAUAUCUUUCUUCGUGUUUGGCAAAGGCUUUUUCAACUUUUUCUUUUUGUUUUCUUAAGUCGGAUGGAUCAACAUGGUAGAAAAUUGGAAAUACUUUAUGACCAUUGCCAUUUUUUUGUUUAACAAUCUCCGCAAGCUCCUCCAAGCACCGGCCUGAAAAGGCAUAGGUCUCCGAAAAAACGAUUACCGAGCACCAUGAUUGCUGAAUUACUUUCAAGAGUUCCGGUGCGAUCUCUUCACCUGCCUCCAAAUUUGGAUCAUCUCUAAAAGUGACGAUCCCAUUUCUAUUUAGAGCAUCGUAGAGAUGAUCCGUAAAGUUCUUGCGAGUAUCUUCACCUCUAAAACUCAAGAAAACAUCGUAUUUCUUUCUAGAAAUGGAUGAGGAAGUCGAAAGUAAUGACGACAUGAGGAUGUAUGAGAAGAAAAAUAUAUGUGGAUGUAAUGUUCAAAAUCAGAAAACAGAUGGCUCAAUACCUCAGAAACAAAGUAGAAAGAAUAAUGAAAAUUCAAGGGGAAAACAAAGAACUUGUGUAAGAAAUAUCUGUUUUACUUUUGGAAAUGAAUCUAUCAAUAUAAUAAUACCUAUGAAAGUGAGUAGGUGUGGAAAUUCAGGGUUAUAGAUGUUCUUUCCAGGAAAACUCCAAUUGACAGAAUGGUAUCGUUUAAUAUUGAAGUAAAGUGUUGGAGAGAAUCAUAUCAUUUAAUAUUCAAUUAAUCUUUUAGAUAUUAUAUCUUUAAUAGCAGUAUUUAUUAUAAAAUAAUAUAUUUUAUUUAAAUUAUUGAAUAUAAUUAAAAUAUAUUAAUUUAUCAAUUCAAAUAUCAUAUAAUAGAAAUUUUUUAAAUAAUAAUUAAUUCAUUUUUAACAUAUUAAGUUGUACUUUAUGUAACUAAUUCAAAGUAUUAUUAUUUAAAAUAACAACUAAUAUGUUUAAAAUUCUACUCAAAUAAUAACUCUAUUUUACAUGAAUAAAAUAAACACAAUUUUUGUUACUUUAUUCUUAGAGUUCUAUUGAAGUAAGUUAUAACUCCAUUUUAAAAUUAGCACAAGUUUUUUAAUUAAUAAUUGUAAUUUUAAUUUUAAUUAUUUUUAAAUAGAUAAUUAUCACAACUUCUAUUAAUUUAUAAUUAUUUUAUUUUGAUACAAUGCUUCAAAUUACCAUAACCCUUCCCAACACUUAAUUUAGAGGAUAAAUACACCUCAACAUGCUCAAACCUAUAUCCUCUUACGUUGGAAACUAUGUCGAUGCCAGCCGAGCUAUACUCAGUCAGUAAUUAUAAUUAUCUUUAAAUGUAUAAUUAAUAAUUGUAUUUUUAUAUAUGCAGAUUACAUAUUAAGUAUUAAGUAUAUAUAUAUAUAUACACAGAUCUUCCUUUCUAAUAAAUUAACAAGUGCCAAAUUACCCGACUCUACUCCAUCACUUUUUAAAAAGCCCCUCAAUCAAUGCCAUCGCCCCUCGUUAACAUUCCCCCCCAACAAAAGCCACCGCGCAUGUUGGAAUCUGCUUUAACUUUACCCCAUAAUAAGCGGAGACCUUGAAAGGCACUCAUUCCUUAACACCAUCGUUCCCACGAUGCCACUACUGAAAACAAAGGCAUUUCUAUUUGUCAAAAGUUUCCAGCAGGCCAUAGCAAAAAGAUUACCCCAUCCACAGAAAAAGUUGUCUGAGUUUCGGAGAAACUCACUGUUCUCCCAUUUCCUACUGCCCAAUAGACACCAUUCACUACAUCAUCCCAAAUACUGGACAAAGCCCUCCAGAGAAACGAGCAAUUAGAAGGAUGUAUAGAAGACGACCAUCUACUGAUUCACCCCAUACUUGUUUCCAAGGACUUUAACCCAUAGCACAUUCAUGUUAGAAAUGACAUUAAAACCAACACAAUAAGAGUUGGAUUCAAAUCCAAAGGAAUUGAGUCACCUUCAAAGCACCUUUGAAUCAAACAACAAAUUUGAUCCUUAAACAAAACUCCAUUAAGAUUGAAAAAAGCAAGCAUGGAAACCAUCAACAUCAGGAGCCUUCAAUGGUGCCAUACUAAACAAAGCUUUACUUGCCUCUUUCUUCAAAACCCUAUCAUCUAAAGCCACAAGUUCCUCAACUCCCAAAGUAGGAAAGCAAUUUGUUAAAAAUAAGCUAACAUAUAUUAACUGUUUCAUAUAUAAUCCUUUCGCAUUUAUUAUAUUCGUGAAAAAUACAUAAGUUAUCUACGUAGCCAACGAAAUGAUUGGUUAAUUUACUUGAUAACUUUUUGCAUGCUCUAAAUUUUAAUUUAUUAAAGGGAACUACCACUACUAUAUUACCUUUAACCUACAAUUUUAAUCUAAAAUUUUCUAGAUGCAUAAGAAUGAGAAAUAUUUUGGACUAAUUUUUGUUGUUUGGUAUUGUAACAACCCAAAAUCUGUGGGCACCAGAAAAGUAUGUUAUCGGGCCUCCGUCUUAGUGAAAUAAGUUCGAAAAUAAUUAUUAAAAAUAUUUAUGAGUCUAGUAGUGUGUUUAAUUAGGUUUUAAUUAAGUAAACUUAGCUUAAUUUAGAGUAAUUAGUAAAAAAGAUUAAAUUGAAUAAGGGUAAAAGUUUAAUUAUAGAUUAAAGAAAAAUUAGGACUUAAGAGGAAAUUAAACCAUUUCCUAUAGCUGAGGCGGUUUAACGUGGAAAAUAUCAAAAAUUUUAUUAAUUAAAAAAAUAUAUUUAUUUAAUAAUUAAGUAUAUUAUAUUAUAUUAUAUUAUUAUUAUAUAUAUAAAAGAAACAAAUAAGUUAAAAAGAAGAGGAAAUGAAAACGAAAACAGAGAAGAAACAAGGGAGAAAGAAGAAAGAAAAGGGAAAAUAGGGUUUAUGAAGCUUGGAGUUAAUUGGUAAGCUCAAUCAAGUCAUUUUCUCAUAAUUUUGAUAUUUUAGAAGUCUUAAAAUAAGUUUUGAUGAAAUUAAGUUGUUAGUUUGGAAGUUCUUAGGUUUUUAAACAAAGUUCAUGUUGAAUAAAAUGAUGAAAUAGAGGUUUAAUUGAAUGAAAUUCAAGUUAGAAUAGAUAUAAGGAUUGAAUUGCAAAGUAAGCUAUAAGUUUUGUGUUUUAGAGACUAAAUUGAGGAAAAUUCGGAAUUAAGAAAAUAUGUUGAAAAUUUAAUAGUUAAAUUUGAGUUUAAAUGAAAUUUGAAUAGGAAUAAGGUGUGAAUUGGUGUUAUAAAUUUGGUUAUUAACAUUUUACAUCAAAACAGUUUUGGGAAGUAGCAGUGGUCUGACUUUGAAAAUUCACUAAAAAUUUUAUAAAUUGAACUAGAGGAUGAACAAAAUAUGGAAUUAAACCUUAUUGAGUCUAGUUUCUUAUAGUAGAAACAGUGUAAGCAAUUAAUUGAUGAAUCAAGAGAUAUUUGAAAUUUUGUAAUACUGGUUCCGGGUGAUUUUGAGAUGCCCUGUUUUAACUUUGGAAAAUCAUUAAAAAUUGUACAAAAAUAAUUAUGUAGUGUAAUUUAUAUAUGUGAACUCCUUAAUUAAUCUAGUUUCAAAAUAAAUAAACAAGAACCUUAUUUGAGUUCUGUACAAUGAGAUAAUUUAUUUUUAGUAGAGAAAGGUCAGAACUGUCAAAUGAAAUAACAGGGGAGUAUUUAAUGAAUAAACUGUACUAAAUGGCUAGACCAAAAAUUCUAGAAAUUUUAUGGUUAGAAGAUAUAUGAGUCUAGUUUUAAGAAAAAUUUACGGAUAUUAAUUUGGAGUUUCGUAGCUCAAGAUAUAAAUAAUUUAGUAACAAUGACUCAAGUAGACAGCUUAAUGGUGAAAUUAUAUAUAUACAUUAAAAAUGGUUAAAUUUGCAUGUUUAGGCUCAUGAAUUAAAUUGAAUCAUGUUGUAUUGAUGAUUAUAAAUUAUUAUUUUCGUAGCCAACAAAGAACCUGAAGCAUCAGCAUCGAAAGGAAAGGAGAAAGUCAUCGAGGACUAAAACGGGAGAAUUACGGUGUGUAUUACUAUAAUUCGAAUUUUAAUUAUUAUUGAUUGCUGAAAUUUUAAUUGUUAUGUAUGGUAAAUAAGACUUGAGGUAAGUAUGUGAAAUUGAAAUUAGAAAAAGUAAAAUAAUACCCUAUUAACUUGUCGGACUAGAUUCGAUACAAAUGGCAUGCCAUUGGAUUUGUGAUGUGAUGAAGAGAUUGUAGUUCGGCCGAGAAGAUGUUUCUAUUAUUAUAUACUUCGGUUUAUCCGAGUAGGCAUUUAAUGCCUUAUUGGUGUGUUGGGAGGAUAUAUUAUACCGGUGUGUUAUGGAGGAUUUACAAUAUUCCGGGUGUGUUUGGGUUGGAUAUUCUGGUGUGUUUGGGUGGAAAUCCGUGUAUCUGUCAUAGUCCGAGCUUUGUUAAUAGGGUAAAUAAUUGAAAUGAAAUUUUGAAAAUGAGAUUAUUUGUUUUAGCACUAUUGAAAAGUACGAGAAAGAAUGUAUAAGUUAAAUUAUGAAUUGAGUUAGUAUGAGAAAAAAAAAUGAAUUAUGAAUUUAAGAUUUUAUGAAGUAAAAUAAAUAUAUAUAAAAGUAGUUUAAAUAAUUAUAAAAUUUAUGGUUGAUGUUUGUAAUUUAUUAUUAUUAAAUAGUCUUGAUUUAUAGUAAUACCACUGAGUAUAUCCAUACUCAGCGUACGGUUGUCUCCGUGCGCAGGUUAGUAGAAGUCAAGUAUUCCGCUCAGCAUCCAGAACAAUCCCGACUCCAACACAAACUUGGUGAUGUAUAUUUUUCUUUUGGGUAAAGUGGCAUGUACAUAGGUGUUGUUUAGUCACCUGAAUAUGUAUAUUGUUUUGAGUAGUGAAGGAUGAAUUAUAAGAUUUAGAUGGCUAAAUGAAAUAGUAAGAAAAGUACAUGAUAUUUUGAUACAUGAAUAUUAAGUUGUUAAAUGAAUGAAGUUUUUAAUCAAUUUUGAAUGAUGCUAUGAUAGUAAUUAAGUUAAAAUUUUGUUAAUAAUAUAAAUAUUAGUUAUAUGAAUGUGAAAUAUUGGUGUUGGUUGUUUUGGUUUAAAUUUGCAGGAGGGUUAAGUAAAAAUAAGCAGAAAUGCUGCCGAAAUUUUUAUAAAAAAAAAAUAUUUGGAAUACGCGAACAAGUUCCGUUCUUCUUUUAAUACGUGUUGAACUUCGAGAGUCCAAGAUAGUGACUUGAUUAUUAUAUUAUACUAUGAAAGUUAUAUUAAUUGUAAAUUAUUCGUAAGUUGUUUGAUAUGUCCGGUAAUGCCUCAUAACCGCGUUCCGACGACGGUUUGGGGUUAAGGGGUGUUACAGGUAUUGCGAAUUUCUUCAAUUGGUGGGGGAUUGAUGAUUCGUAGUGGUGAAUUAAGUUUUUGUUUUGGGUCUGAGUGUAUUGGACUAUCUGGAAUUGCAUAGAGUUUCAGAUAAUGUGGUGUGCUUUUAUUUUUGUGUAGGGAGAUGCUGGUGUUGCCUUGUUGUAAGGGUUUGCCUUGUUGUAAGGGUGAGGGACCCUGGACUUGUGGGUUUUAAUGUUUGACAUGUUGUGAUUAGGCAUGCUAAACAUGUGCUUCAUUGUUCUAUGGACUAUUUUCAAUAAAACUUAUUUGGCUAAGAAAAAAAACUGCAUAAAUUUAAUAAAAAAAUAGAAUAAAAGAAAGAUUAUAUUAAGCCUGUUGUUGAAAAGAUAAAAGUGACCGCAUAGAAAUCAAGUUUCUAAUAACAAGAGAAUUUUUACUUCAAACAUAUAAUUAAAUCAGUCAAAAUUUACAAAUGAUUUCCUAAUGAUUUAUUUUUUGAGCACUUUUGUUGGUGUUUGACACACUUUAUCCGGAUGAAGUAUGAAGCUCAGUGUAAACUUGAGCAACAACGUAAUUUAUCCGGAUAAAGAAUGAAGGAAGAUUAAGCUUAAAAAAAAACUCUGUAUUUGCAGGAUAAACAAAACAGAAUUUUACUUGGUAAAAGAAAGCAAAAAUUGAGAGAGUAUUUUUUGGAAUGAUUUCUAUUGAAAUUCAUUAGAUUGAAAAAUGGCAUACUGCCAGUACAUAUACCAGUCAUAAGCUGGCCAGCUUUGACAAGUUUCACUUACUACUUUUAGGCUUCAUUGCAACUUGCACAACUUGCAAAUACACUACCUACUUAGUUCUAAUUUAACUAAGUUACAAAAUAUUACAAAAUGAAACUGAAAUUGAACAAUAGCAUCAACUUCAGUAGCUGUAAGUACUUGAUCCGAAAAUAUUACAGCAGUUUGAUCUGCUUCUUCAUACUUCAUUCGGAUAACUUAUGUUGUACGGUCUGCUCCUUAGUUGCUUUAUCUGCUGCAUGCAUGCCAACUUCAACACUCCUCCUUGGCUUGCAUGCUGCAAACUCCCAUUUUGGCUCUUAAAUCUUCAAAUCUUGACACACAAGGGGCUUUGUUAGGAUAUCAGCAAGUUGUUCUUCAGAACUGCAAUGAAUUAGCUUCACUUCUUGAGCUUGCUCCAUCUCUCUAACAAAGUGAAAUUUGAUCUUAAAGUGUUUUGUUCUCCCAUGGAACACUGGAUUUUUUGCAAUUGCAACAGUAGAUUGGUUGUCACAAUUAAUCUCUGUUGCUUCCCUUUGGUGUUGAUUUAAAUCGGCCAUUAUUUUUCUUAGCCAAAUGGCUUGGUUGACAGCUCCUGUAGCUGCCACAUACUCUGCUUCAGCAGUUGAUUGAGCAACACCAGUUUGCUUCUUUGAACUCCAGUAAAAGAUGGCUGAACCAAGGGUGAAUAGAUACCCUGAGGUACUCUUCAUAUCAUCUAUCGAUCCAGCCCAAUCACUAUCAGCAUAACCAAUUAAUUUCAUGCUUUCAGCCUUGGUGAACAUCAUUCCAUAGCUCAGUGUACCUUUAAUGUACCUGAGAACUCUUUUGGCAGUUUGGAAGUGCUUUUCAUUGCAGCAAUGCAUGAAUCUUGAAAGCAAACUGCAGCAAUGCAUGAAUCUUGAAAGCAAACUUAUAGCAAACAUAAUGUCUGGUCUAGUGGCAGUUAAAUAGAGUAAACAUCCAACUAGACUUCUAUAGGUUGAUUCACUAACCUUCUCAAAAUCACAUUGGCUUGAUAAUUUCUCUCCAAUGGCAACUGGUGUACUUAUUGCUUUGCAAUUCUACAUGGAGAAUUUGUUUUGAAUUUUUAAGGCAAAAGCCUUCUGACUUAGGAAGAUCCCUUGCUGAGUUUGGGAUAGUUCCAUGCCAAGGAAAUAAGACAUUUGUCCCAAAUCAGACAUCUCAAACACUUGUUGCAUCUUGCACUUGAAGUCUGUCAACAUUGCUUUGUCUCCUCCUGUUACUAACAAAUCAUCAACAUAUAGAGACACUAUCAGUUGAGUUUUUCUACCUUGCUUUUUCACAUACAAAGUAGGUUCACUGAUGCUUCUUUCAAAUCCAAGGCUAGCUAGAUAGCCAUCAAUCCUGCUAUACCAGGCUCUUGGAGCCUGUUUCAAGCCAUACAAGGCUUUCUUCAAUUUGUAUACCUUGUCUUCUUGACCAACAAUUUUGAAGCCUUCAAGCUGCUCAACAUGUAUCUCUUCUUCAAGGAGACCAUUGAGAAAGGCUGACUUCACAUCGAGUUGAUGAAUUUUCCAUUGCAAUUGUACUGCUAAGGAAACUAGUAGCCUUAUGGUGUCAAGCCUAGCCACUGGUGCAAAGGUUUCAAAGUAGUCAAUGCCAUACUUUUGGCUGAACCCUUUUACAACCAGCCUUGCUUUCAAUUUGUUCAAGCUUCCAUCAGCAUUGUGCUUGGCUCUAAACACCCACUUCACUCCAAUGACCUUUCUGUUGAGUGGUCUUUCAACUAGCUGCCAGGUCUAAUUCUUCUUAAUCAUACUGAUUUCAUCAGCCAUUGCCUGUUUCCAGCCUUGAUGAGCUUCAGCUUCUUUAAAACAGCUUGGUUCAAUAGCAGCCACAUGAGCUCUUUCAUAAAUCUCAGCCAAUGGUCUAGUGCCUCUGACUGGUUCAUCAUCAAUGUCCAUUUCAAGACCAUUUUGAUCAGCUUCAGUUUGGUCUGUUGCAAGAUCUUUAGAGACUGCCUCUGGUUCAUUUUUAUCCCAGUUCCAGCUUGCUUUCUUAUCGAAUACAACAUCUCUACUCAUAGAGACUUUGUUUGUUGAAGGAUCAAGUAUUCUAUAACCCUUCUUGAUACUGCUGUAGCCUAUCAGAAUACCAGGAUGAGCUUUCUUAGCAAGCUUGUCUCUUUUUGCUGCUGGAAUAUGAGCAUAACAAACACAUCCAAAGACUCUUAGGUGAGCCAAUGAUGGUUUGAACCUGAACCAGGCCUCGAAUGGAGUUUUCUGAGCCAAAGCCUUGGUUGGGAGCCUAUUUUGGAGGUAAACAGCAGUGUUAACUGCUUCUGCCCAAAAUGUCUUACGCAAAUUUUUUUCAAACAUCAAGCUUCUGUUCUUUCUUUCACUUACACCAUUUUGUUGAGGUGUAUAAGUGUUGGUAAGCUGGUGUUUGAUUCCUACUUCAUCACAAAACUAUUUAACCUAGAUGAAGUAUACUCAGUCCCAUUAUCAGACCUCAAUGUCUUCAACUUGCAACCUGUUUCAGUCUCUGCUGCAGCUUUAAACUUAAAAAAUACUGAAGCCACUUCUGAUUUCUGUUUCAAAAAAUAAAUCCAGCAAUAUCUCAAGUAAUCAUCAAUGAAUAAGAUGAAAUACCUGCUGCCAUUCAGAGAUUGAGUCUUCAUUGGACCACACACAUCAGUGUGUACAAGUUGCAGUCUUUGAGAGGCUCUCCAAGCUUUGUUUGUAGGAAAUGGUAGUCUAGCUUGUUUUCCUAGCUGACAUACUUUACAAACUUCUUCUUUUUCAACUGAGUUAGUGAAGUUUUCAACCAAAUCUUCUUUGGUUAGCUGAGUAAUUGAGUUGUAGUUGACAUGGCCAAGUCUUUUGUGCCAUAGCUUGGAUUCAUCCUGAGCAGCUGCGUAGGCACUGUCUGCGCCCUUGUUCCAGUCCACCAUAAAACUUUUGUCAGCCAUGGUCAUUGACAUGAGCUUGGAUCCAUUUGGAUCACUGAUUAGGCACUCAUUGCCUUUGAAUACCACAGAGUAGCCCUUUUCAAGCAACUGAGCUAUACUGAGCAGGUUUCUAUCUAUUUCAGGCACCAAAAAUACAUUUGACACAAGUUUGGUGCCUGUAGGAGUGUCAAUCAGCACAUCUCCCUUGCCUUUCGCUUUGAUGAAGUGUCCACUCCCAACCUUUACCCUUGUUUUGAAGCUUUUGUCAAUUUUCUUAAAGAUGGCAGCAUCAGGAGUCAUGUGGUUAGUACAUCCACUGUCAAUCAACCAUCCUUUUGUGGCUUUUCUUUUGUUAGUUGGGCAAGAAACUGCAAAGACUUGCUCUUCUUCGUCACUGCCUUCUUCUGCUACUUGAGCUUCAGCUCUUGGCUAUUGAGGUUGAUUUGGCCUCUGUUUGCCUUUGUUUUUGCAAACUUUUUCUGCAUGGCCCAUCUUUUUGCAGAUUUUGCACUGCACAUCAGGUCUAAACCAAUAUACUUCACCCGGAUGACUUAGCCUUUUACAGUGUGGGCAAGGUCGAUAUUUUCUUGCACCAUCUGCCUUUGGCUUGUCUGACCAGGUUUUCUUCCCCUUGUAUCUAGAGGAGUUUGAGGCUGGUCUAGUUUUGGCUUGGAAGGCACCUUCUUGAUGCUCCUCCAGUCUACUUGCUCUCCUUUGCUCUUGAGCAUAAAGAGCAUUAAUCAGUUCUGUCAAGGAUAUGCUGGUCAAGUCCCUCGAGUCUUCAAGAGAUGAGAUCUUUGCCUCAUACCUUUCAGGUAAAGUUGAGAUCACCUUCUCUACAAUUCUUGCUUCACUAAAUUGAUCUCCAAGUAGCCUUAUGCUGUUUACUACAGCCAUGAUUCUGUCUGAGUACUGCUUGACAAUUUCUUCCUCUUUCAUCUUCAAGUUUUCAAAGUCCCUUCUUAAAUUCAGUAGCUGCUGCUGCCUUGUUCUGUCAGUCCCUUGGAACUCCUCUUUCAACUUAUCCCAAGCCUGCUUUGGUGACUCACAAGCCAUGAUUCUUGUGAAAAUCACAUCAGAUACACUGUUCUGGAUACAUGACAUAGCUUUAUGCCUCUUUGUUCUUUCAUCAGCAUGCUUCCUGAUCUGAGCCACUGUUGGAUUGGCUCUGAGUGGUUCUGGUUCAACAUCUGAGUUGACCACUUCCCACAAAUCGAAUGCCUGCAGGUAGGUCUUCAUUUUCACUACCCAAAUGUGGUAGCCCUCUCCAUUAAAAACUGGUGGUGCAGUUGGUGAGAAGCCUGAUGAAGCCAUGGUUGUAAGAAUUGAAAUAUGACAGGUCCACUAAGAAUAAGGCUCUAGAUACCAAUUGUUGGUGUUUGACACACUUUAUCCGGAUGAAGUAUGAAGCUCAGUGUAAACUUGAGCAACAACGUAAUUUACCUGGAUAAAUAAUGAAGGAAGAUUAAGCUUAAAAAAAAAACUCUGUAUUUGCAGGAUAAACAAAACAGAAUUUUACUUGGUAAAAGAAAGCAAAAAUUGAGAGAGUAUUUUUUGGAAUGAUUUCUAUUGAAAUUCAUUGGAUUGAAAAAUGGCAUACUGCCAGUACAUAUACUAGUCAUUAGCUGGUCAGCUUUGACAAGUUUCACUUACUAUUUUUAGGCUUCAUUGCAACUUGCACAACUUGCAAAUUGCAACUUGUAAAAUUAGAUAAACUGAUAUAUCAAUCUUAUCAGCACCGAAUGCAUUAAAUACACUACCUACUUAGUUCUAAUUUAACUAAAUUACAAAAUAUUACAAAAUGAAACUGAAAUUGAAUAGUAGCAUCAACUUCAGUAGCUGUAAGUACUUCAUCCGGAAAUACUACAGCAGCUUGAUCUGCUUCUUCAUACUUCAUCCGGAUAACUUAUGUUGUACGGUCUGCUCCUUAGUUGCUUUAUCUGCUGCAUGCAUGCCAACUUCAACAACUUUAGGCGUCUAUUUUAUUUAUCUAUUUUUUUUAAAGCAUGCAACUUUUGUUUAGUUUCAUACUACUUAUAACAACAACAAAUGAUUUUAAUUUGUAAGUCAAAUGAUUAAUUUUUUCUUGUACCUACAUUUUUCUAAUGUCAAAGUAUUUUUCAGUAUCAAAUGUGUAAUUAACUUCUCCUAUUUAAAGAAAAAUAAUACCUCAAUUAUUUCACUUAUGAUUUGCCUUGUACCCAUACCCAACUUUAUGGCAAAACCUGGCUUCCUCCCUCCUUUAAUGUUUGCACUGCUAUUUGCAACUUUUUGGGCUAUUUUGUCUGUGAAUUCACCCAACAUCAUCAUUCAUCAAUCGGCUCUUCUAACAAUGAAAUCUCAUGAUCCUCACAAUCUUUUAAUAAUCAAUUGGUCUAUCUCUUCCUCUAGAUUGGUAUGACCUACGAAUCCAGCUAUCACAGAUCACUGUUUUGAAUUUGUCAAGCAUGGAUCUCACAGCCACCAUUUUAUCGCAAUUGAAAAAUCUUUCUUUGCUUGGCUCGACAUUCAUUAAAAUAGUUUCCAAGACUCUUUACCCAUUACGUUAACGAAUUUGCAUUGGCUGAAAAUUUUCAACUUUGGUGACAACAACUUCAAUAGAUCAAUUCUAUCAUGGUUUGGUCACUUCGCUAGCAUUAAAAAAUAUAUAAACCAACACUUUAGUUUUAGCUCAUUCAUAUAUCUCACAAAGAAAUUAAGGUUAGGAGAUACCUAACUCUAUUAUUCGACAAGUAUGGGGUUGUGGAGUUUUUAUGGUUUGCUACUUGGUACUAUGUGUAAAUCAGGAGCUGCAUUGAAAAUCUUACUGUUACUUCUCUUUAAGAAUAUUAUUAAAGCAUAGCUUAUCUAAGAAGUCGGCCUAAUUGACACCAAUUAAUUGGUUGAUAGCUCAAUUGACAUAAUAUAUAUAUAUAUAUAUUUACUCGAUGAUUCAGUUUCACUUUGCAAGAACUAAACUGGUUUUAAAGUUAUGCUUCAAUAUUUAAAACAAUUGCUCAUAGAAAUUGAAUAAGAAAAAAAGAAUAAAACAAUAACCAUGAAUUGCUUACCUUUGAGGUUGUUAUCAUCGAGAUACCAAGUUAAAUUUUCGAUUUUCGAUAUAUAAGGAUACAAGCUUCAACUACUUUUUUACCCUUGAAUAAGCUAUUUGGAAUUCUAUUAGAAAUUUGAUUUUCACUCAAUUUUAACUUUUCUAGUUUUGACAAAUUGCCCAAAAUAGAUAGAUAACACCAGUGAAGUUGUCAGUGUGCAACUAUAAGACUCGAAGUUCAGCGAAGUGACAAAACCACAAUGGAAUUUCUCCAUUGAAGUUGUCGUCAAAGUUCAAAGAUUUCAGCUGAUACAAAUUUGUUAACGCUAUAGUCAACAGCCAUGGGAACUGUUUUCAUGAAUGUAGAGCCAAGCAAGGAAAGAUAGAUUUUCCAAUUGAGAUGAAAUGGUGCCUACAAGAUCCAUGCUUGACAAAUUCAGUGGUGAUGUUGGGUGAAUUCAAACACAAAAUAGCCUCAAAGGUUGCUAUUUGGCAGAGAUUGAGGUACACUGUAAAAGCCAAUUCCACCAAUUACCCUCUUGGAUUUGAACACCUGAUAAGGCUUUCACCCAAAAAACUGCUCUAAGCUUGGUAAGAAAGAGAAUCUAUUCAACCGGAAAAAAGUUCGCAUUAAAAGUAAAAUCGCGCCAGCCAUAUCGACCAUAACCCCGCUGCACAACAGAGGAGCGACCACUGCUUAAUAUCACCUUUAAACAUCCACCCAUUGNNNNNNNNNNNNNNNNNNNNNNNNNNNNNNNNNNNNNNNNNNNNNNNNNNNNNNNNNNNNNNNNNNNNNNNNNNNNNNNNNNNNNNNNNNNNNNNNNNNNNNNNNNNNNNNNNNNNNNNNNNNNNNNNNNNNNNNNNNNNNNNNNNNNNNNNNNNNNNNNNNNNNNNNNNNNNNNNNNNNNNNNNNNNNNNNNNNNNNNNNNNNNNNNNNNNNNNNNNNNNNNNNNNNNNNNNNNNNNNNNNNNNNNNNNNNNNNNNNNNNNNNNNNNNNNNNNNNNNNNNNNNNNNNNNNNNNNNNNNNNNNNNNNNNNNNNNNNNNNNNNNNNNNNNNNNNNNNNNNNNNNNNNNNNNNNNNNNNNNNNNNNNNNNNNNNNNNNNNNNNNNNNNNNNNNNNNNNNNNNNNNNNNNNNNNNNNNNNNNNNNNNNNNNNNNNNNNNNNNNNNNNNNNNNNNNNNNNNNNNNNNNNNNNNNNNNNNNNNNNNNNNNNNNNNNNNNNNNNNNAAAAAAGGUAACUGAAAAAAGAAGAAGAGAAGAAACAGAAAGAUGAAAGGAAAAAGAGAGGAAAAGAUAAAAUAAAGAAAAAAUAAAACCCAUUUUUUGGUAGGCCACCAGCAGCCCACCACCAGUGGACCCGACCCAGCGCAGGCCCAACACCACUGACGGCCCACUAAGCCUCAAUUUGCAGCAAAAAAAGAAAAAGGGCUUGUCCUCCAAGACUUUGGUCUUUUGGGUGAAUUUUUUUCUUCUUUUUUUCUUUUUAAUCUAUUUUAUUUUGUUUAAUGUAUUUAAAUGGUAUUUUAUUUAAUUUAAAAUAGUAUGUUUAAAAAUAGUUUUUCAUAGAUAUUAUUAUGUCAUUUUAAUUACAUAUUUUUUUUAAAUAAUAAUAAUGAUAAAUAUUUUAAUGCAUAAGACAACGAACUGAUUUAGCAUCGAAUUAUCGAAUUCAUCGCUAUGUUGGAUGAAUAUCGAUGGCUCGUGUUAAAUACGGGACGCCCUUAUAAAAAAUUGAAAAUAUUCAAAAUUUCUCGUAUUUCAAUAAAAAUCCUCUUGUUUUAUUAGAAUCCCGAUUAAAUAUUAAAUUGAAUUAAUUUAACACUAAUUCGAUAGUUUCAUCGCCAUAUCGGGGUGAAUAUCAUCGAUUUGUGUUAAAUACAGUAUUUUUAAAGAAAAAUCGUUUUUUAAAAAAAAAAUUCAUGUCUUCAAAAUUUCUCGUGUUUCAAAAAUAAUAAUAAUAAAAUUUCCCGUGUUUCGAAAAAAAUACAUUCGUGUUUCUUUCUAAAAAAAUCGUGUUUUCAAAAAUUUCCGUGUUUCAAAAAUUCGUGUUUUCGUGUUUUCAAAAAAAUCUCGUGUUUCAAAAAAAAAUAAAAAUAAUAAAAAAUAAUAAAAAUAAUAAAAAAUAAAAAAAAUUCUCUUGAAUAUUUUUGGUAUUAUUGUGUUUUCAAAAAAAUUCAGUAUUCGACAAAUUUUGUGUUUUCGUGUUUUCAAAAAUUUUCGUGUUUUCAAAAAUCUUUGUGUUUUCAGAAAUUCUGGCGUUUCAAAAAUUUUCGUGUUUAAAAAAAAAAUUUACGUGUUUUCACAAAUUUUCGUGUUUCACAAAUUCUCGUGUUUUCAAAAACUCCAGUGUUUCAAAGUUUCCAUGUUUUCAAAAAUUCUCGCGUUUAAAAAAAAAAUUCGUGUUUCAAAAUAUUCUCGCAUUUCAAUUUUUGUUUUUUAAAUCGUGUUUCAAAAAAAUGUCGUGUUUUAAAAAUUUUCGUGUUUCUAAAAUUUCCCUGUUUUAAAAAUUCCCGUGUUUCAAAAAAAAAUGUCGUGUUUUAAGAAAAUUUCGUUUUUUCUAAAAAUUUUCGUGUUUCUAAAAUUUUCGUGUUUACAAAUUCUCGUGUUUUCAAAAAUUCUCGUGUUUUAAAAAAAAACUUUCGUUUUAAAAAAAGAAAUACUGCGCUUCAAAAUUCUCGUGUUUUUUUUUUUUAAAAAAAAGGGUUCUCGUAUUUCAAUCGGAUCACGACUAAAUAUUAAAUGGAACUCGUAUUAUUGAAAAUUAGGACAACAUGCGUUUAACGAGAUACCAAUUUUGGGCGUCGCGAGGGUGCUAAUACCUUCCUCGCGCGUAACCGACUCCCGGACCCUAAUUUUCUCUGGAUUUUGACGUGGACCUAAAAUUGUCUCUUUUUUAGAAAAGUUUAAAAAAAAUUCUUCUAAAAAAGGAUUUUAUUUGGUGUCCGAUCACACCUAAAAAAGAUCGGUGGCGACUCCUCUUUUGUAAAUAAAAUUUGAAACUUUAAUUUUUCAAUAAUCAUUUCAACUAGCGCCUAUUGCCAAAUUUUUAGGUCGCUACAAAUGGUAUAGUAUAUAUAUUAAGUUAAUGGUAUGGGCCGGGUUUGUUAUCUUGGAUUUGGGGUAUAGUGUUUUAAAUUAGUUUGUUGUUUGGGGUUUGGUACUAUUUUAAAGUAUUAAUUUAGGGUUUAGGGUCUUAAUGUUUAAGGUUAUAAGGGUUAGUGUUAGGGUUUAAGGGUUAAUUGAUUAAAUGAUGUUCUGGUUGAAUCUAGGUUUUGGAGUGCUCGUAGUGUGGUUUAAUUAAAUACUUGAUCUCAUGUUUAUACAUGUAUUUACGAUGUAUAUGUUUAUAUUCCCAGAUAAUUACACAUGGAUUUAGUAUUAUACGAACAUAUAUAUAUUUUUUAUUUGAAUUCAUUUCAUGUUUUAAAUAAUUAUUAGAAAUUAUUUACCUAAAAUUUAAAUAUUAAAUAUUUAAAUAAUAAUUAUUCAAUAUAAUUUAAUUUUUUUCAAAUUAGAUAUAUUGUUUGAAAGUAAACAAAAUUAGUUUAAAAGGAAUUUAAGAAAUAAUUAAACUAUUAAAAUUUAAAUGCAUUAGUGGCGUUUUUGUAAAAAACGCCGCAAAAAAAUUUCAAAUCAGGCAAAACGAAGUCGUUUUAUGAUUUGUGUGCAGAGGCAUUAGCGGCGUUUUUACAAAAACGCCACUAAAAAAUAUAGAAUUAGUGGCGCUUAUUGAAAAACGCCGCAAAAGAGCAUCAUCUUUUAAACAAAACGGCGCCGUUUUGUAGGAUUUAUUAGUGGCGUUUUUUGUGAAGCGCCGCAAUAGGUUUGGAUUUAGCGGCGCUAGUGUAUAAACGCCGCUAAUAUUAUUUUGUUCAGAUCAAAGUGUCGUCGUUUUGUUAGUUUAUUAGUGGCGUUUAUUUGAAACGCCGCAAUAGCUUACCCUUUUAGCGGCGCUAUUGCAAAAACGCCGCAAAUGUUAAAUUAAGUUUGUCAAAACAUCGUCGUUUUUGUUGUCUUCAUUUUUACAGACGAUAACACUUAGAAAUUUUGUCUAAGUCUCCCCAGUUUAUUUCCCCUCCCCUCUCUGCCUUACUCCCAAAUCCCUAAAGAAUCAUCACAUUUUUUCCCCAAUUCGACAUCCGAAAAUAGCCCAUUCUUCCCCAGUUUGAAAUCCCUAAAAUCCACCCUUCCCACUGGCCAUUGAUUUUCCAUCUAUAGAAAAUUGGAUUAAGAAAGGAAAUGUUUCAAAAGUUGGCUUCGGGGUUGAAGAAAACAGUUCAAGGUAAGAAAAUAGUUCAACGAUUAAUGAUUUUCAAAGUUUGUUUCUUCUAUAUUAAUGAUCGGUAUUCGAAGUGUCAGGUGUCCUGUAGGCGUUGGAUUUAGGUUUCUAACUAUCCCUUUUGCCAUUUUCGUUUACACCUAUAAGUUCUUCUCUGCUGAUCUCCUAGAUAAUUUUUGGGUUCAACGGAAAAGCAUAUUUCUUUUCUACUUCAGAUUUCAAUUUGACUGGUUAUUUUCGUUAUUUGCAAUGUUAUAUUCUAAGUUCAUUCAAGUUUAUUUUCUGGGUUUGUGUUGCUUGAUUUAGUUUUGUACUAAGUGGAGUUGUAUUUUCUUUUAAUAGCUCCUGCUGGAAAACUGGAAUUUGGAAAUUUGAAUCUUGUUCUUGGAAAGCUUAAUAGGAGUUAUAUAUAUAUUUAUCCGUGUGUGUGUUCUAUAACUUAGUCAGGUUUAGAUGUCAUCUUCGUGAUUGAACUUAUAUGAAUUGUUUGUGUGUUUAUAUAAAUACAUAAUUCUAAAUACAUAAAUGCUGAAGUUUGUGAAUUUUAUGAAUUAUUUGUUUGACCCAAAAAUUUUAUACUAAUAAACUAAUAUAGUAGGAACAUUAGUUUUACUGAAUUGAGUUGCUGUUUUUAUGAUGAUAGAAAAUAUAACUCAGGCCCAAAACAAAAAUAAUUACAAUUCAUCUUGCAGAAGAGGUCUAAUAUAUUCAGAUUCUCAAAUUGCAUCGCAUGCCUGGAAAGUCAACAUGUAAAACUAAGCUAGCCCUCUAAAAGCUGCCGAUAUUUCAAAAAUUUUGACAAAAUCGAUUUCACUUACCUUACAUUACAAAUGCCUCUAUUUGUAGCGAAAAUUACUAUUGGAGAUAGUGAGCUCUCUAAAGCACGAUUCAAGUAUGAAAAGCACUCCAUGUCCAGCAUAUGCACCUGCUAACCAUGAUUUAGAGAACAUAAACAUGCAUGAUGUGUAAAAUGCUUUGAGCAUGUGCACAGGUCAAGACCUAAGAAGUAUCUUAGAUAUACAUUUGUUUGCAUGCUUAUUUGCAUAGAAACAUACAUUGCAUCCAUGCAUCUAAAGGACAUAUAUCGUAUGCUAAAACAGCUCAACUAAAGAAAAGAACAAGGCCUCAUCAAUGAAUAGAACUCCUGGUACAAGCUAUGCAACACCUUCAUCAAUAUACCGGUUAACUAUCUGUUACAAACAACAUUAUUUCAAUUAAAAGGCAUGCCAUCUUUCUAAGAAACAAUUGAGCAUAACAGUUGAAGUCAAUCCCACAUCAUAAGCCUGUUUCCAAAUUGGACAGGAAGUCCAUCUGACUCUAAAAGUUUAACCGUGUACUAUAUUGGUAGCUUCUAGGGAGCUGAUCAUAACAGGAUUCAUAGUAAUAGUAGGAUUAAACCAGAGAUUAGCUGAUAAGACUUCGGCUCUUAAACUGAAGAUUCCAAGUAAUACUAUUAAUGUAUUGGUGAGAGAAAUCACAGCAAUGGUAAAAUAAUACUGCCUAUUGUCCAUAAAAAUCGUCAUAAAAUGGACCUCAAAUAAACUAAUAUAGUAUGCAUAUGAUAGUUACACUUGAGUCUAAAUAGCAUAGCUUCUUAAUUGUCCAUUCAGCAUUGCUGUGUGCUUUUCUACAUUUAUAUUACUAGAAAGUUUGAACCGUUUGUUAGCAUUUAUAUGCAGGUAUGUUGUUUCUGUUCUUGGUUAUUAUGCCAUCCUUACUAUUUAUGCUCUGGUUUCUAGCUGUCAGUUGCACUUUGUGGUUUUACUACUUCAAAACACAAGAUCUUCUAGAAAUCUUCUUAAAAAAAUCAAUAAGCUAAUGAUACUCCAAGUGGGCAUCAAUAAGUUUAGGAACUCAAUCAUAUGCUUCAUCUUUCAGUCUGUCAUUCAGUUGUCUGGUACAUGAUGUUUAGCUAUAUUAUUGUGAAUCUAUGGAUUCUUUUUGAGCCUUUAAUUCUUAGAACUUAUGAAAAUAUCCGAAUACAUAAAGUAAUUUUUUUUUCUUACAUCUGUUCUAGGUACUGUCCAGCACCUAAAUUAAUAGUUGUUGCAAAUAAAUACACCACAUCCAUUGACAUCUGUUCUAGGUACAUGUUUCGUUGCUUAAUUACUUAACUUAUUUUUAUGCAUUUUUCCUUUAAAUUACUUAACAAAUACUAUUUUUUCUGACUCCAGCCUCUGUUUCCUGGUCAGAGUGAAGUAGACCAGCUUGUUGAAAUUAUUAAGGUACGUUUUAGUUCAAAAUUCGCAUAAAGAAUAGUUUCAUCAUGAUGAUUUUGAAAAAAAUCAUUUUACUUAGAUAUAUGAUUUGGUAUGAAGUAAUGAUAAGUAUGGUUUAUAAUUAGCUCAUCUUGGUAAGAUUGUUAAUUGGUAUGAUAUGCAUUUGUGGUUGUUAUUUUUCUGACUCAAGUGAAUUAAGUAUGGUUGUUGGAUGUGUUUUGGGUAUGGUUUAUUAUUGAAUUACAUUUUGACUAUAAUUUGUUUAUUCAUUAGUUUCGGAAAUGGCAGUGAUGAGAUGUUAUAUUUGGUUGAUGAUAGAUAAAUAAAUACAUAAAGUUAAUGUUUAUGAGUUUUGUGGAGUAUGAUUCUGCACAUGCAAAGUUGGUUUGUUUAAAGCUGUGCAUUUUCAUGUUUACAUACUAAUGGUGAUUCCAUUUUUGUUUUUUAGAUGUUCUUUUGGUCUGUUUUCAUGUUUCUAUCCAACUUAUGUGUUUACUGUGCAGUUUUGCCAUAUUUUGCUAAGGUGUAUAGCUUCAUUGGCAGUGUCUUUGAUCCUGGUACAAGUGGGCACUUGCAAAACUGAUAUAGGUAAAGUUUCUAUAUUUGCUUAAACUGAAAUAUAUUUGGUGCUACUCUUAUAAUCUUACAUCUGUUCUAGGUACUAUCGAGCACCUGAAUUAAUAUUUGGUGCAACUAAAUACACCAUAGCCAUUGGCAUUUGUUCUAGGUACGUACAAGUUUCGUUGCUAAAAUUUUUCCUUAUUUCUAUGCAUUUUCACUUUAAAUUACUUAACAAAUAUUACUUUUUUGACUCCAGCCUCUGUUUGCUGGUGAGAGUGGAGUAGACCAGGUACGUUUUAUUAAGGUAGGCUUUAUUUCAAAAUUCUAAUCAAUAAUAGUUUUAUCAUGAUGAUUUUGGAAAAAUUAAUAUUUUGGGGUUGCGAUUUUGUAAAGAUUUAAUUGCUAGUUCUGUUUGGAGUAGAACUAUUUUGUUUCCAAAUUAAUUUUAAAUAUUUGGUUCAACUUAAUUAUUAUUUGAUUCAACUUAAGUAUGAAUAGGUAUGAAUUAAUUUUAUUACCAUGUAGCUUGCUUGUCCAUUAAAAUUACAACAAUAGCUGACUUUCUCUCCAACCUUAUUUUAAAUAUUUUAAAGAUUCAAAGUAUAUACUCUGGAAACCUGACGGGUUGCCUUAUAUCGAGCUGCAAGAUAUAAUGGAUCCUCCCUAGGUGUAACAACGCCACGUAUCAUGAAUCUUAAAAAAUUCAAAAAGACUUGAAAACAGUUCUAUCGAGCUCAUUUACUAUUGAAUAUUUAUAUAACCUUAAUUUAUUUCCAAUUUACUUAUAAAAAUUAAACUACGAUUCUUUUUUGAUAUUAUUAUAUUCAAAUUACUAUUUUUUAUAUUAAUAAUGUUUUAUUUUAAUAUUUAAUAUUUUUAAAUUUCUUUAAAAGUUAUAACUACUUUUUAUCAAAAUUACAACAAUAGCUGACCUUCUUCCAACCUUAUUUUAAAUAUUUUAAAGAUUCAAAGUAUAUAGGCUGGAAACCUGACGGGUUGCCUUAUAUCGAGCUGCAAGAUAUAAUGGAUCCUCCCUAGGUGUAACAACGCCACGUAUCAUGAAUCUUAAAAAAUUCAAAAAGACUUGAAAACAGUUCUAUCGAGCUCAUUUACUAUUGAAUAUUUAUAUAACCUUAAUUUAUUUCCAAUUUACUUAUAAAAAUUAAACUACGAUUCUUUUUUGAUAUUAUUAUAUUCAAAUUACUAUUUUUUUAUAUUAAUAAUGUUUUAUUUUAAUAUUUAAUAUUUUUAAAUUUCUUUAAAAGUUAUAACUACUUUUUAUCAAAAUUACAACAAUAGCUGACCUUCUCUCCAACCUUAUUUUAAAUAUUUUAAAGAUUCAAAGUAUAUAGGCUGGAAACCUGACGGGUUGCCUUAUAUCGAGCUGCAAGAUAUAAUGGAUCCUCCCUAGGUGUAACAACGCCACGUAUCAUGAAUCUUAAAAAAUUCAAAUGUUUCAAUUUAAUAUGUCCCAUCUAAUAUACAAAUAUUUAAUAAAAUAUUUUAUAUAGUUUUUAACUUAAAUUUAAAUUAUUAUUGAAAUAUUCUCGUCCGUUUUAUCACAAAUAUUAUUCUCCGUUUUAUUACAAAUAUUAUCGUCCGUUUUACCAUUUAAGUUGAACUUUUUAUUCAAACUAAAUCAUAGCUUUUAAGCUAAAUACGGAUGUCCACACAGUGCUUUAAUAUGUACUUAAGAAAAGAUGACUUGUAAAACAUAAAUUAAAUUAAGUGUGGACUAUUUUAACUGCACAUGUGAUUUGUCAAAUAAAAACGAAUGACAUGUAUAUUAUUUAAUUAAAAUAAUUUUUUAUAAAUAUUAUUUAAUUAAAUAUUAUUUAAUCCCGCUACUUACCUGUAGAUACUUGAUAUUUGAUAUGUAUUAUCCAUGUGAUUUUCCACAUCGUGAAAUAAAAAACUUACAUAAUACAUAAAUAUAUUUGAUAUCAUAAUUUACAUAACUUAUAUAACAUAUAUAACUUACAUAACUUAUAUAACAUACAUAACUUAUAUAACUUAUAUAACUUAGAUAAAUAUAUAACUUACAUAACUUAUAAAAUACUUAAAUAUAUUUUAUAUCAUAAUUUACAUAACUUACAUAACUUAUAUAACUUAGAUAAAUAUAUAAUUUACAUAAAUAUAUAUCAUAUCAUAAAUUACAUAACUUACAUAAUACUUAAAUAUAUAUCAUAUCAUACAUAACUAGUUUACGAAAUUUACUUAACUUACAUAAUACAUAAAUCUAUAGUUGAAAAUCCUGCAACUUGCCUAAAUUAGUUUAUACCCAUUAGAGACUUGAUAUUUAGUAUAAUGAUAUGAUUUAAAUCAAUUGAGAACAUUUAAGUAACUGUAAUAUGUUGUCAACUUUAGAUUUCAAGAACUACAAAAUGGAUAGGAGUUGGAUGAAAUUGUCAAGGGAAAGCAAUGCCUAUCAAAAUGGAGCACAAACUUUUCUAAAUUUUGCAUUUCAAAAUGCAAGCCAAGAGAAUAUGAUUCUUUGCCCGUGUAAGAAGUGUGGCAACAUCUACUGGCAUUUUCGUGAAGUUGUCUACGAACAUCUAAUUGUUGAUGGCUUUAUUCGGGGGUAUAAAAAAUGGAUUUUCCAUGGAGAGUGUACAUCUAGUGGAACUUCUUCAACGAUUAAUCCGACUUAUCCUGAUACUGAUUACCAUCAGUAUGUUAGACAAGAUGACAUGGAAGAUAUGUUGCGGGAUGCAUUUAAUAUGCGUAGUCAUGGUGAGUAAUCGUUUCCACCUGACUUUAUUAUAUCUGAGGAUUGUAAUAUUGGUGGAAAUGUUUUUUGCGAAACGGGAACAAGUGCACCUAAUGAGGAGCCAAAUGAAGAAGCGGCUAAGUUCUACAAUUUACUUAAUGAAAUGAAUAAAGAACUUUACGAGGGAUCAAAAUAUUCGAAAUUGUCCUUCUGUAUUCGUCUAUUUCAUUUAAAAUGUUUGGGAGGGUGGACCGGAAACUCUUUUACAAUGCUGCUAGAGUUUCUAAGAGAGAUGUUUUCGUUUGCAAAAAUUCCCCAGUCUUGUCAAGACAUGAAGAGACUAAUAAAAGAUUUGGGCCUUGGGUACGAUAAAAUUCAUAGUUGCCCAAAUGACUGCAUGUUGUACUGGGGUGAUCAAAAAAACUAACAAUCUUGUCAUGUUUGCGGUAAGUCUCGUUGGAUGAAUAGUAAUACAGAAGAUGUGAAUACGGAUGAAGGUGGGGCACAGUUAAAAAAGAAGCCAGUCAAGGUCUUGCGAUAUUUUCCCCUGAUACCAAGACUUCAAAGGCUUUUCAUGUCCUCAAAGACAGCCGAAUCUAUGACGUGGCAUAAUGAUCAACGGACCGAUGAUGGAUUAUUAAGACAUCCUAUGGAUUCUUUAGCUUGGAAAUCAUUUGACAGUAAAUUUCCAAGCUUUGCAAGCGAUCCUCGGAAUGUGAGGCUUGGGCUAGCAGCUGAUGGCUUUAAUCCAUUUAAAAUCAUGAGUACUUUGUACAGUACUUGGCCUGUAGUGCUUGUUCCUUACAAUUUACCUCCAUGGAUUUGCAUGAAGCAAUCUUCAUUUAUUUUAUCAAUGAUUAUCCCUGGAGAGAAAGGUCCCGGAAAUGAUAUUGACAUCUAUUUGCAGCCACUUAUUGAAGAGUUAAAACAAUUAUGGUCGGGUGUUGAGACAUAUGAUGUAUUGAGAAAGGAGAACUUUAAUUUACGUGCAGCUUUAUUGUGGACAAUUAAUGAUUUCCCGGCUUAUGCUAAUUUAUCGGGUUGGAGUACUAAAGGACGUUAUGCCUGUCCUUGUUGUGCUGCGCAAAAUUGUUCGAAGUGGUUGUAUAAUGGGAAGAAGUUCUCUUACAUGGGCCAUCGUUGGUGGUUAGAUGAAAAUCAUAAAUUUAGAUUUCAGAGGACUCUAUUUGACGGUACUGAAGAGUACAGAGGAGCUCCUGAGCAGACCGUUGGAUCUGAAAUCUUGUUUAUGUUAAAAGAUAUCAACUUUAGUUACGGGAAGAUGAAUCAACCACCUAUCACGCAAACAAGGAGAAGAUCGAGGGAUGAAUCUGAUGAUGAAUCUGACGAAGAGGAUGAUCCUAAUGAGGCGGAGUUGUGGAAGAAAAGGAGUAUUUUUUUUUAGUUGCCUUAUUGGGAGCACAACAUUUUACGCCACAAUCUUGAUGUCAUGCAUAUUGAGAAGAAUGUCUGCGAGAACAUAAUUGGGACAAUUUUAAAUGUCGAUGGAAAAUCAAAAGACAAUCUUCAGAGCCGACUUGAUUUAGUUGACAUGAGAAUCCGGCGUGAUCUUCAUCCUCAAGUACUUCCGAAUGGGAAAUAUCGGUUGCCGCCUUCUAUUUUUUCAAUGUCAAAGAAAGAGAAAGAAGUUUUCUGCAUGGUGUUGAAGGAUAUAAAGGUCCCAGAUGCGUAUGCGUCAAAUAUAUCUCGAUGUGUGAGUUUCAAAGAUAGAAGAUUAUAUUCAUUAAAAUCACAUGAUUACCACAUCUUGAUGCAAGAUUUACUCCCAAUUGCUUUACGGUGUUGUAUGUCAAAAAAUGUAACGUCCUGUAUUAUUGAACUAUCCAAUAUAAUGAAAGCUAUCUGUGGCAAAGUUUUGAAUGUCGAAGAACUUGAGAAAGUACAGGAUCGAGCGGCUUUGACUUUAUGCAAUUUAGAGAAGAUCUUUCCACCUUCCUUCUUCACUAUUAUAGUGCACUUGGUAAUCCAUCUCCCUCACGAAGCAAUCCUUGGUGGACCGGUUUUUUAUCGAUGGAUGUAUCCUAUAGAAAGGUGCUAAUUUAUUUCUCAAGUAUUCAUUCAUUCACCACUAUACAUUUAGUUACAGCUUUUGAUAAAUAUUGUAUAUCGUGUUUAGGUUCCUAAGCAAAUUGAAGUCAUAUUGUCGCAAUAAGCGUUAUCCAGAAGGAUCAAUUGCUGAAGGCUACUUGGUUGAAGAGUGCAUGACCUUCUGUUCUAGAUAUUUAGAAGAUGCUGAAACACGAUUGAAUAGACCAAGUAGAAAUGCUGGGCUCAAUGAUAAUGACUUGGCCAAAACUUAUUUAUUUCAAAGUUAUGGAGAACCAAUCGGCAAAGUUGAAAUUGUAGAAUUAGAUGAUAUAUCGUGGAUAAAGGCACAUCGAUAUGUACUUUUUAACCACGAUUCAAUUGAACCGUUGCGCAAGUAAGUUAUAAAAUUGUCUUACAUAUUCGUCGUUUCGAUUUGUUUAGCUUCUAACCAAUUAAACUUGUUUUUAAUAUAGUGAGUACAAACAAAUUUUGAGAUCUCGUGCACGGUCUCAAAGAUUACAACAUCGAGAGAUUAAUAAGUUAUUCACAGAAUCUUUUCAUGAAUGGUUAAGUCAAACGGUAUGUAACUAAAGUUAAUAAGUUACAUAUAAUCGCGAAAUUUAGUUAAUCAAAUAAGAAUGUUUUUACAUAAUACAUUUUUAAUUAUUUAACUUACUUUCGAUUCAAUAGGUUUGGAGUGGGAAGGACGUCAAUGACGAAGUUAAAUGGCUUUCCCAAGGUCCGAACAGAGUAAUAAAAAGAUAUAGUGCCUUCCUCAUCAAUGGAUACAGAUUUCAUACAAAGUAUCGCGAAAGAAUGAGGAGAACUCAAAAUUGUGGAGUUGUUGUUAAUUCUUCAAUUACAAGUUAUGCUAGUGCUAGGGAUAGUAAUCCGGUUGAGGGUAAUGUGGAGUAUUACGGACUUCUUACCGAUAUUAUUGAGUUGGAUUACUAUGGCAGAUGGAAAGUUAUCUUAUUUCGGUGUGAUUGGGCAGAUGUUAAUACUGCUCGAGGAAUUAAAAAAGAUCAAUUUGGUUUUACAAUGGUGAAUUUCUCUCGCUUGAUUCACACUGGACAACAAUUGAUGGACGAGCCAUAUGUAUUUCCCUCUCAAGUGAAACAAGUUUUUUAUUCGAAAGAUCGAACUGAUGAGGGUUGGUAUGUUGUACUCCGGAACACCCCUAGAGACUUGUUUGACAUGGGUAAUGGAAGUAGAGAUGACAUCGUCGAAAGAUCAGAAACAUUACCUUUUCCAGAACAAAACUUAGAUGAAAAUAUCCCUAGUACUAAUACACAACAUCAAUGGGUUCGACAUGAUGUGGAUGAAGAUAUUUACGAAUAAUGAUGUAGUAAGAUUUUACAAUUUUUUAAUUAUAUGUAAUAUUAUAAUUUUAAUCUUUGUCAUGUUAUAUAAUUUAACUAUUUUAUAUGUACUACUAUUGUUGUAAUUUGUUACUAAAACUUUAAUUAUUUUAUGUGUAUUGCAGGAAAAAUGUGUAGAAGAAGAGUACGAGAUUUAAGUAUUGUCCAGAAUACUCCAAAUUCGGAAGAAAGAAAUAGUGAACAGCAGGCAGUUGUUGGAUCUUCGAAUGUGCCGGAGACACUUGAUGAGCCUGAAGAAUUUCAAAGUAAUAUUAUGUUCAUUUUACAUGUGUUGACUUUUAUUAUUGAAUUAUUUGUCAAUUUUACUAUAAUAAUAGUAUAUCAUUUUUCAGCUGAAAGUGGUGGGACGCGCAGAGUUCGAGGACGUACGCUACUUAGAGAUUUAUACGACUUAGAUCCUGUCGAGCGUGUUAAAGUAAGUAGAAAUACUCAUGGUCAACCUGUUGGAUCUGAAGCUCGACUUUUAGCAGGCUAUUUGGGCAUUUUAGCACGAAAUGCAAAUAUGUUGCCCAUCAACUACGAAUCAUGGCAUCACAUGCCUGAUAGCAACAAAAACCAGGCUCUCGCUAAUAUUAAGGUAACAAAAUGUGAAUGCAAUUUAUAAUACUUUGGUUUAAGUUUCAUUUAUAUUUACAUUCUAAACUUAUGUUGUUUUAGAAGAGAUUUGUUUUAGAAGUCUCUGAUGAUUAUAUCAAGAAGGCAUUAGGUAAAAGAUGGAGAGACAAUAAAAGCACUUUAAAGAAACAAUAUUUUAAGAAAGACAUAAGCCUCGAGGAAAAACUAAGAAAUGUUCCGCCAGGAAUGCUGAGGUAUCAAUGGGAAGAUGCGGUUAGAUUUUGGAAUUCAAAGAAAGGAGAGGUAUUGCGUAUUUCCAAACUCUUAUAUAUAGUGUUUACUAUAUACGUAAUAAUAAUUUUAUUAUGUAGGACCGUGAGCGAGUUGGAACAAGCAGCAGGCAAAAACAAAAAUUCACGCACACGGCAGGGUCGAGAAGUUUUGCUUCUGUAGCUGAGGCCGAGGUAUUAUGAAUUUAUUAAUUCUUUCAAAUAUUAAUAACUUUCUAUUAUUAAAUAAUAUUCUUACUACUAUAUUGUAGGAAGUCAAAUCCGGACAAAAAGUUGGACGCCUUCAGCUUUUUGAGAUUACGCAUAGGAAGAAAGAUGGAUCUCCUAUGACAUCCGAAGCUGGAGAAAUUAUGGUAUAUUCACUUAAUAAUAUUUGAUUUAUUCUAAAUAUUUAUAAUCUUUAAUUAUAAUUGUUUAAUUCAAUUCAUCAUUAGUAGUUUUAAAAAAUGUUAAGUUAUGUUGCAUUUCUUUUUAUUAUAUAUUUCGUUUCUAACUCUUUAAUUGAUUUUUUAGGAGAAACUAAAGGUGAAGAAGGCGAAAUAUGAAGCGAUUGCUUCGAGUGAUAGUUCUGUUAAUCUUGAGAACAUUGAUAACAGAAUUAUCACUGAAGUUUUGGGUCCUGAAAGGUACGGUCGGGUUCGAUUUCAAGGAUCUGGUGUUACCCCGACCCAAUAUUUUGGAUCCGGCUCCCAGCAAUACAUUCCUUCCGGAAGUCAAGCUCAAGCUGAAGUUCAGAGGUUAAGAGACCAGAUAGCUCAGAUGCAAGCGAACACGGUUGAGCAAAUUGUCGAGGUUCAACGAAAAUAUGAAGAACUCCAGCAACAACUUAGAGCAGAGGCAGCAGAGAGGGAGGCAGCGGCUGCAGCGAGAGAGGCAGAGGCACGAGCGAUGGUAGCAGAACAGAGAAAAAAGUACGAUGACCUCCAGCUACAACUUCAGCAGAUGAUGCAUAUGUUUCAACAAUCGCAAAAGCCGCCGUCUUAGACAUUAGUUUUCUUAUUGUAAGAAUGUUUUUAAGUUUUGUCACGUUUAACAUUAUUGUAAAAAUAUUUUAAAUUAUACUUUAUUAUUAAUUAUAUCAUAUAUCUUUAGUUAAAUUUGAAGUAUCAUUUAGAAUUAAUAUUUUUGUUUGUAUUUUUUAUGUUAAAUUUGCUGUUUUUGGCUGCAUUUUAUAUUAUAUUUGUUGUAUUUGGUUGGAUUUUAAUGCAGGAAGGGCUGGAUAUUGGUGAAAAAAAUACUACAAAUCUGCCAAAUUUAGCGGUGUUUGUAAAAAAAGCGCCGCUAAAAGCCUUGACCUUUAGCGGCGUUUUUUUCCAAUAAACACCACAAAUUUUUGUGGCGUUACAUAUAGCAGCGUUUUUUGCGGCGUUUUAGAAAGCGCCGCUAAAAGUUUUAGUGGCGCCUAAAAGCGCCGCUAAAAGUUUGUUUUCCUGUAGUGCGAAGAAAGAAAACGUGCCAUAUUGGCAGACCUUUCUGAUUAUCGUAGGGUAUUGGGUUUAAGUAACACAAUGUUAAUUCUUAAUUUGUAAUAUAUAUAUAAGAAUGUCAUGAGAAGAAUUUUAUUUUUUUCUUUAUGUUACUAAAUUCAUAUUUAAAAUUAAUUAUAAUAUUUAAUUUAAAAUUAUUGGCUUAGAAAAUUGAAUUAAAAUAGUUGUGAUAAUUAUAAACUUAAAAAUAACUAUAAUUUAAUAAAAAUUGUGAUUUUGAACUAACGAAAUUACUCUUUAUUUUCCUUCAUAUUACUAAUUUCAUAUUUAAAAGUAAUUAUAAUAUUUAGAAUUAUUUGUUAAAGAAAGUUGUAAUAAAAUAGAAGUUGAAAUAAUUAUACAUUUAAAAAUAAUAAUUAUUCAUUAAUAGAAGGUGUGAUAAUUAUCCAUUUAAAAAUAUUUACAAUUUACAAUUAUUAAUUAAAAACGCUUGUGCUAAUUUUAAAAUCGAGUUAUUACUUUAAUAAAACUCUAUCAAUAAAAUAUAGUGAAAAAAGAUUAUGAUAAUUGUAAUUUCGACAUAAAUAAAAGCAUGCUAAUUUAAUAUUAAAGUUAGUUAUGUUAAAUAUUUUUUUUAUAUAUAUUUGAGAGAGGUGAAUGGGGUUGCUUGGGAUCGAACCCAAACUCUCAUGUCUACAAAAUAAUGCUUUUGUUACUAGGCCAAGAGGUUGAUAAUUAUGUUAAAUAACUAUUAUUUUGAAUAACAUUAUUUUACAUUAGUUACAUAGAGGAAAAAUAUGUUUAAAAUACUUUAAUUAUUAUUUAAAAUUUUUCUAUUGAAAUAAUUAUAUUUUAUACUAAUUAUUGCAAUUAAAGGUAUAAUAUUUGGUAUUAGAAGAGUAAAUAUGAACCCGUAAAAAGAAAAAAAAAAAGGAAAACACAAACCGUCCAACACUUAAUAAUAAUUGUAGGCUCCAUCUUAUCAACACUCACCUUCUUGGAGUCUUAUCGUAAAUAUCUAUAACCCCAAAUUUCCACACCACUCACUUUCAUAAGUACUAUUCUACAGAAAUUUCUUACAAAAGUCCUUUGUUCAUACUUAUUGUUUUUCAUCUGUUUUCCUCCUUCCUCAUGCUCAUAUACUUAUUGUUUCUGAGGUAUUGAGCGAUCUGUUUUCUGAUUUUGAACCUUACAUGCACAUAUAUUUUUCUUCUCAUACAUCCUCAUGUCGUCGUUACUUUCAACUUCCUCAUCUAAUUUUAGAAAGAAAUACGAUGUUUUCUUGAGUUUUAGAGGUGAUGAUACCCGCAAGAAUUUUACGGAUCAUCUCUACGGUGCUCUAAAUAGAAGUGGGAUCGUCACUUUUAGAGAUGACCCAAAGUUGGAGGCUAAUGAAGAGAUCGCACCGUGUUGUGCGGAAGCGUGUAAAAGAGUAAAAUUAUUGUACUAAAAAAUCACACUAAGUUCAAUUCCCAGGAAAGAGAGGUGGAUCGCAAGGAUCGCUUAAGUACCAGGUCUUUCCUAGCCAGAAUAUCCCUCAAUCGUAAUUUAAUAGCACAAUAAAUCACUACAAUCACACACACAAUUUAUGCAGAAUAAUACAAUAAAGAACAUAAGAAUUUAACGAGGUUCAGCAAAUUUUGCCUACGUCCUCGGGCACUACCAAAUAUAUUUCACUCCAAAAUACAAGUGAGAAUUUACAAAGAGAGAGAGAAAACAAUGCCUUAAGUAGAGAAUGGCAAGUUUUAGAUAUAGAAUGAGAGAUGGUUAUGCCUAUUUAUAGUUGAGGUUCAGGGAUCAACUUGCAAAGUCACUUUACAAUUUAGGGACCAUAUAUUGCAAAUAUCUCAGAUUUUAUUAUGCCAAUAUCUCGAUACCCAUAUCUUUGACUUUCCAAUAUUUGAUACCCAUAUUUUUGACUUUCCAAUAUUUGAUACCCAUAUCUUUGACUUUCCAUUAUUUGAUACCCAUAUCUUUGAUUUUCCAUAAAUAUGGAUAAUUCCCAAUAAUCUCCACCUUGAAGAUUUGAUUCGAGUAAUCUUAUCUUCACACAAUUCUCUCUGCCUUUGUCAACAACACUUGAUAGUGCCUUCUUCAACUGUUAAACAUGCAGAAUAUUGAUCAAGUUCAAACAAUGUUCGAACUUGAUUGUUGUUACCACCUUGGUCAUCAUAUCUGUGGGAUUAUCUGCAGUCUUAAUCUUCUGAAGGUGAAUUUUCCCCUCAUCAAUAAUUUCCCGCACAAAGUGGAAACGUACAUCGAUAUGCUUUGUACGUGCAUGAUAGACUUGAUUCUUUGCUAAAUGAAUAGCACUUUGACUAUCACAAUACAGAUUAAUAUGCUCCUGGACCAAUCCCAAGGUUUUAACCAUACCUUGUAACCAAAUAGCUUCAUUUACAGCCUCUGUUACAGCCAUGUAUUCAGCUUCUGUGGUUGACAACGCAACUGUAGACUGCAGUGUGGACUUCCAACUUAUUGGUCCUCCAGCAAGAGUAAACACAUAACCAGUGGUUGAUCUUCGUUUGUCCAAAUCACCGGCAUAAUCAGAAUCUACGUACCCAACAACACCUUUACCAAGUGUAGUAUCCUGCUUGAGCAGUAAUCCAAUAUCCAUGGUCUUAUGAAUAUACCGUAGAAUCCAUUUCACAGCUUGCCAAUGUCCUUUUCCAGGAUUAUGCAUAUACCUGCUCACUAUACUAACUGCCUGUGAAAUGUCGAGUCUUGUACACACCAUUGCAUACAUCAAGCUACCCACUGCAUUAGAAUACGGAACUUGCAACAUGUAUUCUCGUUCCGUAUUCGUCGAAAGAGAUAGUUGUGCAAAAAGCUUGAAAUGAGAAGCCAACGGGGUACUUACAGGUUUUGUCUGCUCGUUCAUGCCAAACUGCUGUAGUACCUUUUUCAAAUACUGCUUCUAAGACAAGCUAACUCUAUCAUGAGCUCUAUCUCUCCAUAUUUCCAUGCCGAGAAUCUUUUUAGCUUCUCCUAGAUCUUUCAUCUCAAACUCGAGAUUGAGUUGAGUCUUCAAUCUUUCAAUCUUAACUUUGCUCUUAGAUGCUAUUAGCAUAUCAUCAACAUAUAAGAGCAAGUAUAUGAAAGUUCCUUCUUGUAGCUUCUGAAAAUACACGCAAUGAUCAAAUUUACUUCUUGUGUACCUUUGCCCUUUCAUGAACUGAUCAAAUCGCUUGUACCACUGCCUCAGAGAUUGCUUCAAUCCAUAAAGCGACUUUGUCAGUUUGCAAACCCAAUUUUCUUUUCCAGCAACCUUGAAUCCAUCUGGCUGAGUCAUAUAGAUUUCCUCUUCCAAAUCACUGUGUAAAAACGCGGUCUUCACAUCAAGCUAAACUAGUUCAAGAUCAUAUUGCGCAACCAAGGCUAGCAAAAUCCGAAUAGACGAAUGCUUCACAACUGGAGAAAACACUUCAUUGUAGUCUAUUCCUUCUUUCUGAGCAUAACCCUUUGCUACUAAUCUAGCCUUGUAUCGAAUUUCAUUUUUAUCAGGAAAUCCUUCCUUCUUUGCAUAUACCCAUUUGCAUCCAAUUGCCUUCUUUCCCUUGGGUAGUGUCACCAACUCCCAGGUCUUAUUUUUAUGAAGAGACUGCAUUUCUUCAUUCAUUUCUCGCUUCCACUUUACACCAUCAGGGUUACUUAUUACUUCUGUGUAAGUAGAAGGAACAUCAUCAUCUGUAAUUGGAAGUGCAUAGGCCACUAUAUCAUCAAAGCGAGCAGGCUUACGAAUCUCUCUUCUUGGCCUUCUAUAUGCAAUUGAAUCUUGUUGCUGUAGAGAUUCUUGGGUAGGAACCUCUUCAUCAUUUGUCCCUUCAAUAUUAGCUGGAUCAUCGUUAAUCUUUUCAAGCUCCACCUGCUGCAAAGUACUACUGGUUUUGUCAUCCUUUUGUGAAUCCUUGUACUUCAACAUGGUUGAUUCAUCAAAAGUCACAUCUCUACUGAAAACAAUCUUCCUUGUAUCAGGACACCAGAGAUGAUAUCCUUUUACUCCAUCAGUUAUACCCAAGAAUAAUGCUUUCUUUGCUCUUGGGUCUAACUUAGAUUCUUUUACAUGAUAAUAUGCAGUGGAACCAAAUACAUGCAAAGAAUCAUAAUCAGUAGCAGAUUUACCAGUCCACAUCUCCAUAGGAGUUUUUCCAUUUAUUGCAGCUGAUGGCAAACGGUUAAUUAGAUGGCACGCAUAUGUAACUGCCUCAGCCCAAAAUUCUUUGCCCAAUCCAGCAUUGGACAACAUACAUCGAACUUUCUCCAGUAUAGUUCGAUUCAUUCGUUCUGCCACCCCAUUUUGCUAUGGUGUAUCCCGAACAGUGAAGUGUCACACAAUGCCCUCAUCUUGGCAUACUUGUAGAAAUAGAUCGUUUUUGUACUCAGUACCAUUAUCUGAUUGAAGUCGUUUGACCUUUCGACCAGUCUGAGUCUCCACCAUCUUCUUCCAUUUCAGAAAUGCAUCCAAAACUUCACUUUUUCUUUUCAUUAGAUACACCCAUACUUUUCUUGAAUAAUCAUCAACAAAAGUAACAAAAUAGUGCAUACCUCCCAAAGAAGCUACUUUGGUAGGUCCCCACACAUCACUGUGAACGCAGUCCAGAAUUCCUUUCGUAUUGUGAAUUGCUGGACCAAAUUUUACCCUCUUCUGCUUGCCCAGAACACAAUGUUCACAGAAUUCCAUUUUGCAAGAAUUUGCACCUUUCAAUAAGCCUUGCUUCACCAAUAUCUGCAAAGCUUUUCACCAGCAUGUCCCAAUCGCAUAUGCCAUAAUCUGGUAGCCUCUGAAUCUACAUCUUUUGUAGAAACUGUUGAUGUUGAUCCAAUAACUGUACUUCCAUUUAAAAAAUACAAGUUAUUUCUUCUUGUGCCUUUCAUCACCGUCAGUUGCCCAGCUACUACUUUUAGUAAUCCAUCUCUCAAAGUGAUUGUGAGCCCUUUAGAUUCUAGGGCACCUAAUGAGAUGAGAUUUUUCUUCAGGCUAGAUAUGUAGCGAACAUCUGUCAAGACUUGGAUUGAGCCGUCGUGAUUCUUCAAUUGGACUGUACCCACUCCCAUUGUCUUACAAGCACUAUCAUUUCCCAUAAGAACAAUUCCACCUUCUAACUCUUUAAGACUAGAAAACCAGUCCUUAUUAGGACACAUAUGGUAAGUACAUCCUGAAUCCAAAAUCCACUCAUCCGUUUGACAUGCCAUUGCCAUGCCAACCAAGCUAAAGUCUGACUCCUCAUCAUGCUCCGCUACACAUGCAUUAGAAAUAGCCUUGCCCUUUUGUAGCUUAGGACAAUUCUUUUUCCAAUGCCCUUUUUCACGGCAAAAGGCACAUUCAUCUUUGGCGGGUCUCCCUUUAGACUUUCCCCUUCUACUAAAUUUACUGCUGUGUGAACGACCUCUUACUGUUAAGACUUCUGCGGUUGUAUCUCUGUGAUCUCUUUUAUCUUUCUUUCGAGUCUCAGAUCUAUACAACGCACUACAGACUGCAUCAAAUUUGAUCGUGUCCUUCCCAUGAAGCAAUGUGGUGGUAAGAUGAUCAUAUUCAUCAGGAAGGGAAUUCAACAACAAUAAUGCCUUGUCUUCAUCUUUAAAUUUCUCAUCCAAAUUUAGCAAGUCUGCUAAAAUUUUAUUGAAUGAGUUCACAUGGUCAUUCAUCGACAUACCGGGUGCAUACGUGAAUCGAUAAAGUUUCUUUUUCAUAUAAAGCCUAUUUUCAAGACUUUUUGUUAGAAACUUUUCUUCCAGUGUAUCCCACAACUUCUUCGCUGAUGUCUCCCUCAUGACAGAGUACUUCUGCUCUUUGGCCCAACAUAGGCGAAUUGUUCCACAUGCCUGUCUAUUGAUCUUGGCCCACUCCUUGUCAUCCAUCUUGUCAGGUUUUUCUUCAAGGGCUAUAUCCAGCUCUUGCUGACAUAAGACAUCCAGGAUCUCACAUUGCCACAUACCAAAAUUAUUGGUACCAUCAAAUUUCUCUACUUCAAAUUUCGCAUUGGUCACAGUAGUCUUUGACGAUGACUUUUCCAUUUUUUUUCUCCUCAAUCCCAACUACAGUACGUGAACAGUGCCGUGAACGAUCGUAUUCCCCAAGUACGAAUCUAGCUCUGAUACCAAUUGUUGUGCGGAAGCGUGUAAAAGAGUAAAAUUAUUGUACUAAAAAAUCACACUAAGUUCAAUUCCUAGGAAAGAGAGGUGGAUCGCAAGGAUCGCUUAAGUACCAGGUCUUUCCUAGCCAGAAUAUCCCUCAAUCGUAAUUUAAUAGCACAAUAAAUCACUACAAUCACAUACACAAUUUAUGCAGAAUAAUACAAUAAAGAACACAAGAAUUUAACGAGGUUCAGCAAAUUUUGCCUACGUCCUCGGGCACUACCAAAUAUAUUUCACUCCAAAAUACAAGUGAGAAUUUACAAAGAGAGAGAGAGAAAACAAUGCCUUAAGUAGAGAAUGGCAAGUUUUAGAUACAGAAUGAGAGAUGGUUAUGCCUAUUUAUAGUUGAGGUUCAGGGAUCAACUUGCAAAGUCACUUUACAAUUUAGGGACCAUAUAUUGCAAAUAUCUCAGAUUUUAUUAUGCCAAUAUCUCGAUACCCAUAUCUUUGACUUUUCAAUAUUUGAUACCCAUAUCUUUGACUUUCUAUUAUUUGAUACCCAUAUCUUUGAUUUUCCAUAAAUAUGGAUAAUUCCCAAUACACCGGAACUCUUCAAAGCAAUUCAGAAAUCAUGGUGUAGGGUAAUCGUUUUUUCGGAGAACUAUGCCUUUUCAGGUUGAUGCUUGGAGGAGCUUGCGGAGAUUGUUAAACAAAAAAAUGACAAGGCUCAUAAAGUAUUUCCAAUUUUCUACGAUGGGGAUCCAUCCGAUUUAAGAAAAUAAAAAGGAAAAGUUGAAGAAGCCUUCGCCAAACACGAAGAAAGAUACAAGGAAGAUAAAGACAAGAUUCAAAACUGGCGAAAUGCUUUGACUGAAGUGGCAAACAUCUCGGGAUGGCAUUUAAAUAAUAGGUAUUUCUUUCUUUUCUUCUCUAUUUCCUAGUUUUGACGACUAAAAACUUGUUCUUUUAUUGCAUGUUAUUUUUUAUAAUUUUGUGUUUAAUUAAGAAUUCCCAUAUUUCAACUAACAAGCAAGCUGCGUACUUUGAUGCUGUAAUACAUCUUACUGUCUUAUUCUUGCUUUUUGUUUGCUUCCAACUAUAUUAUAUUCCAUGAUUCAUUGAACUCAAAAUGAAAAACAGCAUUUGAAAGAUUUUUUAUUUCAUUGUAGGCAUGAAUCAGAGUUUAUCAGAGACAUUGUUAAGAAGAUAUUAGUGAAAUUAUGUUAGACAUAUCCAACUAUUCAUGAUGAGUUGGUUGGAAUUAGCUUACAUUUGGAGCAGUUGUAUUCGAAAAUAAACAUUGGGGAAGACGAUGUCCGCAUUAUAGGAAUUUGCGGAAUGGGUGGCAUCGGUAAAACAACUCUUGCAAGGGUUGCUUACACUCAAAUGUUACCUCAUUUUGAAGGUAAAUGCUUUCUUGCUGAUAUUCGAGAAGUUUCAAACAAACAUGGACUUGUUUCUUUACAGAAACAACUUCUUUCUCAAAUCUUUCCCGAUGAACACUUUAAUUUUUUCAAUGUUCAUGAAGGGAAUGCCAUAAUUAGCCAUAGAUUGUCUAGUAAAAAUGUUAUUGUUGUUCUUGAUGAUGUUGAUAACGUACAACACUUGAAAUGCUUGGUUGGAAGGCGUGAUUGGUUCAAUAUAGGGAGUAGGAUCAUUGUAAUAACAAGAGAUGAACAUUUGCUCCGAUCUUAUCGAAUCAAUGAUGUGUAUAAACCUACAACACUGAAUCCAAAUGAUGCAUGUAGGCUUAUCAAUUUGAAAGCUUUUGAUAGUGAUACAGUACCGAAAGAUGAUUUCAUUGAGUUCUCUAAACAUGUUGUACAUUACGCUGGUGGUCUCUCCUUAACUCUUGAAGUCUUGGGUUCUUUUUUGUACGGUAGAGAUUUAGCUCACCGGAGAAGUGCAAUCGAAAGACUUAAACAAGAUUCUAACAAAGAAAUUCUUGACACACUCAGAAUCAGCUUUGAUGGGUUGGAAGAAAAGGAAAAGAAUAUAUUUCUAGACAUAGCAUGUUUUUCAAUGGGGAGAAAAAAGAUUUAGUAAUGAAAGUAUUAGAUGGUUGUGAGUUUUUCCCAGAUAUUGGAAUCGAUGUUCUCAUUAAGAAAUCUCUCAUAAAAGUCAGUGAUGAUAACCAAUAUUUAUGGAUGCAUGCGUUGUUGCAAGAUAUGGGAAGAAAAGUUGUUGAAGAAAAAUGUGUUGAUGAACCUGGAAAACGUUGUAGAUUGUGGAAGGAAAGAGAUGUCCAUCAUGUCCUAACAAAAAACACAGUAAAUCAUUCAACAAAAAUUACAUACAAAAUUUUCUUUUUAUCAAUAUAUGAUAUAAAUCCAAAACUUAAUCUAAUUGGUUUACAUAUCGAUCCUUAAGUAACAUUGAGUAGCUUUAAGAUAAUUUCCAUUUGUUGAUUAUAAAUAUUAAUAAGUAUUUGUAAUAUAAGUGUUUAAUUUUAUUCAAUUUCUCUCAUUAGAUAUUGUUUUACUUUGUUAAAUAUUUUAUUUACUAUAUUUCGCCCCAAAGAUUGUAAUAAUGUUGAGUAUGUAUGUAAAUUUUCAAAAGUUUUAUCGUACAAUUUAGACCAUUUAUGUUGUCUUCUAAUUGUCUAUUCUUGAUUACUUUUAGGCUACCGAAGUGAUUGAAGGAAUGACCAUCGACAAUAAAAGGUAGGAAAAUAUACAUAUAAAUUUAUCAAUAUGUACUAUUAAUAUUGUUUGUAAUAAAAUCCAAUAAAAUCCAAUGACUAAAAAUCCUUUUGGCUUGGCUUGAGAGAUUGAAAAGAAAGAUAAAGGAUGGAAAAUUGAAGGGAUAGAAAAGUAAAUGAUGGAAAACAUAUUUUUUUUCAUAGGUGUGUUUGGCAAGAAAAAUAGAAAUUAUAUUUCGCUUCUCAGUAUUGCUUAGUAUAAUGAAAAGUGGGAAGGAAAGAAACAAAUAUAUAGACGAACUAGGUUCUGACAUAUCAUUAACAGUUUUCAAAAAUAAAUUCAAGUGAUGCCAUUAUUUGAUUCAUUGGUAAUAUAAGGAAUUACAAAUCAGUGCACCAAACAUAAAUCAAAAUAUUAGUUCUUGUUUUUUAAGCUUAGGUAAUUAAAAGUCGAAUGAAGUGUUAGAUAGAGUGUUGUCUAAUAUUUUCAAUCAUUUCUCAAUAUGCUAUGCAUUAGAUAUAAGUAUUGGAUACAGGUACUUAAAAAGAACAAUAUUGAUGCAGUAUAACUUUUAGAUAUUGAAUUUUUUUUUGUAUAUUUUGAAGCUCAUUUUUGUUUUGCUCACGGUUAUUAGAGAAUCAAGCAAGAUGCUCAAUUUGAGUGGCAAAAUCUUCUUCAUGAUGAAAAAAUUGAGAUUGUUGAAAGUGCUUUGCCUAUCAAAUUGUGAUGAUCUCAAAUAUCUUUCUAAUGAGUUACGGUUUUUAGAUUGGAAAGGAUACCCUUUAAGAUUGUUGCCUUUAAGCUUCCAACCAAACAAUCUUAUUGCACUUCUCUUACCAUACAGCUGCAUUGAACAACUAAGGAAGGGAAAUAGAGUAAGAAUUAACUUAUGUGAUCCUUGUGUUUUAGCUUAUGUUAAUAUAAAUGAUUAAACUUUGAUUAAGGUAAAAAAACCAAAAAUUAGCAUUAUUAUGUUUUCUCAUUUGUUUCUAAUUUAUUGUGGUCUUCAACAGCCCUUGCAUAAGUUGAAAAUAGUGAACCUUGAAGGGUCCGAAAACCUGAUCCAGACACCAGACUUCACAACAACGCCAAAACUUGAAGCUUUGAUUAUGGAAGGUUCUACCAGAUUAGUGGAUGUCCAUCCAUCAAUCGGAGUGCUUAAGAGGCUUAAACUUUUGAAUUUAAGAGACUGCAAAAGUCUUAGUAGUCUUCCAACCAAAAUUAGAAUGGAAUCUCUUGAAACAUUAAUUCUUUCAGGUUGUUCAAAUCUUAUAAGGUUUCCGGAGAUUGAUGGGAAAAUGGAACAUCUAAAAACUCUUGAUCUUUCUAGUUGUUAUAAAAUUGAAUAUUUGCCCGUGAAUUUGCAGCAAGUAGAGUUUUUGGAAGAGCUUGACUUGAGUGAAACAAGCAUAACAGAGCCACUACCCUUCAUUUUUCUAUUGAAAAAUAUUAAGAUUCUAUCUUUCAAUGGGCGCAAGGGACCAUCAUAUAAGUCACGACCAAAUUUGCCUUCUCUUUUCAAGGUAAUCCAAGGAAGAUGGAUGAAUCCCAUAGCUCCAAUGUUGCCUUUGUUGUCAGGUUUGAAUUCAUUGAGAGAGCUAAAACUAAGGGACUGCAAUCUUUGUGAAGGAGAUAUUCCACGUGAUACUUCUGGUCUAUCCUCCUUGACAGAUCUUGAUCUUAGUGGUAACAAUUUCAUCAGCGUACCUGCAUCUCUUACUCAACUCUCAAAGCUUGAGUUUCUUUACUUGAUAAAUUGCAAGAAGCUUAAAUAUUUGCCUGAGCUUCUUGUUAACAUUAAUGGAAGACAAUUAAUAAUGGUUGCCAUUAACAUUAUGGGAGACAAUCAAUAAUGACAACCACCAACUUUGGAAAAGUGGCAUGGAAUAAUUUUUUUUAGUCCUUGAGAUAAUGGGCUAUUUAUUGUUUAGUCCUUGAACCUCAACUAUAAAUAGGCCUUCUCAUUUCUCAUUUCAAUUCAUCCCAACCAAUCUUUCUCUCUUAGUUUUCUCUCUUCUCCCAUUUGAGAAUUCUUAAGGAAUUCUAUUUGUUUGUAAUAUUUUGGAGAUAGUAAAGUUAUCAUCUGGUGUUAGUGCCCGAGAACGUAGGUAUAAUUUACCGAACCUCGUUAAAACUCUUGUGUUCUUUUUUAUCCUAUUUUUCUUUCAAUAUUUGAGGGUAUAAUAGUAGUAUUUAAUUGUGCUAUUAAAUUACUAUAGAAGGGAUAUUCUGACUAAGGAAAGACUUGGUAUUUAAGAGAUUCUUGUGAUCCACCUCUCUUCCCUGGGAAUUGAACUUUGUGUGAUUUUUUAGUACAAUAAUUUACACGCUUCCGACCCUAUUAGAACAACACUUCUAACAAGUAUAGGAAAGGUGUGGAUCGAUGGUUGUACUUCACUUGAAGUAGUUGCAAGUCCAUCAAAAGGAUGCAAUUUAGUGGGUUGGGCUACCGUUAGAGCCAUUAACCGCUUCAAAUUGGCUGAUGCAUUAGCUCUGCUGAAAAAACAUCUUAAGGUCGAUUAAUCUCUAUUUUCUCCCUUACAAAAUCUCAUACUUGAGAAUUUAUGGUUUUAGUUACCAAACCACUUGUGUUUUAUUUUGCAGGCAUUUCCAAAUCCAAGUAAAACGUUUGAUAUUAUUAUUCCCGGAAGUGAAAUACCAGAAUGGUUUAGCCAACAAAAAAGUGGCUUUUCAAUUAAGAUACCCCUACCUAUCAACCUUCGGAAAGAUAGUCAAUGGAUUGGAGUUGCUUCUUGCUACAGUUUUGUCAAUAAUGAUGCUUCAUGCGAUAUCGAGGUUGUCGAUUGUGAAGCAUUUAUCUAUUGUAGAAAUUCUGAAGAAGCCAGCUGUAAUGGAUCUAUUUUUCAAGGUAGAAAUCGUCGACAAAUUGAUUGGAGUGGCUGGUUGGUGGGUAAACGAUUUAACGAGCCCAUAAUGAAAGAUCACCUUUUUCUUCGUUAUUGGCCGCGUAAUAAACUAUAUCCAAUUUCCAUGGAGGAUAAAUAUGGUGACUGUGAAACCAAUAAUUUAUGGACAACAGAUUGUUUAGAUUGGAAAUGCGAUGAGCUCGAGUUGUCUUUCAUUAAAAGCAGUGUUAAGGUGAAGAAGUGUGGUGUUAGAAUAGUGUAUGAGAAAGAUUUGGAAGAAGUAAAAGAGUUGCAGUGCCAUACCACUCAAUCUUCUCCAGAUCAUGAACACAUCCACCAACACUCUGCUCACAACGAUGAUCCAUCAGUAAGUAUCACUUCUCACAUAAAAGGAAAACGUAAUAUCUAUGAGGAAGCAGAGGAAGAAGGGCCGCAAUUAUAAUGUGCCAAUCGGGGAAGAACCAUUAACUAUGGUAAACUACUUAACCAACCUUGUUUUUUUUACAUAACCUUGCAUCUUUUAUUUCAUAUAAAGUAAUUAUUCUAGACUUAUUUACGUAUUGAUAUGAACCUUUCAUUAUAUAUCAAAAAAGUUUUAAAAUUUUUAUUCAUACUAAUAUAGUAAUAUUGAACAUGAACUCAUAUUCUAUGCCUAAGCAUAUCCCAAAUGUCGAUAACAUAGUUUUUUUAUAUCAUUUAAAAUUUUAAUAACUUAAUUCAUUCCUCUUAACAUAAUUGAAAUGUGUACAUUUUGAUUGGUUUCAAUUUUUUUAUUUAUUAAAUUUUUAUUUUCAUUAUAUAUAUAUAUAUAUAUAUAUAUAUAUAUUCAUUUACAUCUAUAUUUUAUUUGUAGGUUGAAGUAAAUAUAAUAAAUUUGAGACACAAAUAUGGAGAAAAAUGGAUAGCUUUCAUGACGAAGCAAGUAAUAAUAAGGUGAAAAUCUUUUAAUGAGAAUUCGAUCAUAAUUUCGAUGGGAAAGGAUUGUAUGAAACAGUGACGCCAUGUCAUCUGUAUCCCUUUUCCAAUAGUUUUAUGCCAUAUCAGCAUUCUCAUCCUGAAUUUCAGUAUUUUCAUCUUGAAAAAAAUCAAAUCCAAAUUAAAUUCCUGAAAUUCAGGAUAAGAAUAUUGAUGUGGCAUAAAACUAUUGGAGAGGGAUAAUACCCUGUUUCAUACAAUACUUUCUCAAUUUCGAUUGAGUUAAAAGUACUGGGUUUAAUUCGUUCUAAUAAAAGUAACAUUUAACUUUCAUGACUUACAAAUAAUAUUAUUCCAACUUCUCAGCUUAUUUUUUUUUAUAAAGUAUUUAUGUUUACAUUUAUUUUUAAUACUCAUUCAAAUAAUCUUGGUGAUUUAUGUUUGUCACUUAAACCAAUAGAAGCACGAAAAUUUGCUCAAAAAAUCAUGCAAACAGACAGUUUAACAAUUAUAGGCUCGGUUGAAUUUAGGAAAUUAGGCAAAAUGAUAAUAAUAAAAAAAAUUCUUGGAGCUUAUAAAUUUUGAUAAUUUGACCAUUAUUCUUAUUUUUUAGUAAUUUAGUCCUUAACAUUCUAUUUUGAGUUAAAUUAUAGAUUUUUUAAUGCAUUAUGUUAAUUAAACAGAUAAUUUAAUAAUAUUGACGUGACAUAAAUAGCAUUUCAAUUCAACAUCAAACUGUUUAAGUAUCGUCUCAAUUGGAUCAUCUUUAACUAAAAUAGAGGAUAAAGGGAAGGAAAUUCCAUUUGAUUGGUGCGCAGUUUUCUUCUUACUUUUCUUAUAAUUGGUGCACAAUUAUGAUUGAUUUAAAUGAUUGAACAUUAGCAGAAUGAAAUUAUCAAAUAUUCACCUCUAUUUUACAAUGAAAAUGUCAUAAUCUUACAAAAAAAAAAUCUGAAAUAUUAAGAUUCAAACAAUUGAUUCGUUUAAAUGUUGUUAAAGACAAUUGCACAAAAUAACUAAAUCUCAAGUUAUAUUCUGAAUUGGAUUUAUUGUCACUAAAUUCUCCCUCUAGGAAUGCAUAAAAGUCUAUUAAAAUUAACUUAUCUCACCGAAACUGGUGUAAUCCCUUUACAAAGUCGGUUCAAACCACCUUAUCUGACCGAAAAUGAUGUAAUCCCUUUAUAUACAUACCUAGAUACGUAUCGAACAAUUUUGGUUUCUGCUUCUUAUUAACAAGCUAGAAGGGGAUUUAAAUUUCUGUGUGCUUCAUGUUCAUCCUUGGUGCCUAAUGUAUGGGUGUUGAUUGCUUAUUCAGCUUUCAUCCUAUAGCAGUAAGGAUGAAAGCUUAUUCGGAUCGUUUGGAUGUAUUUCAGAAUGCUUAAAACUUAAAUUUUGUGUUUUGUAAGAACCUUUAUUUUGUUGUAAUCAUAAUUUCGACUCUGUAAGUUCUAUCACAUUCUUUGGUGUACAUAUUUGGUGGAACUUUAGUAAGAGAUAUUUACAUUAUAAAUGUGAAGAUUAAAAAAUCCAGAUUUUAUGGUAGUUUUUUAUGAAUUUGGGUUAAAGCAAUUAAUAAUGAUAUCGAAUUAACAACAUGUAAAUGUAAACAUUACUUUCGCUGACUUUUUAAAUUGCCUUGAAAAGUAUUUUACCUAUGAUAGGAGUUAAAAGUGUCGCGAAAACUUUUGUCGGCAAAUUUUCAUACUAUACUAACUAGAUUAUAACAUGUCAUUCAAUUUUUUUAUUGGUUCACUAAAAAUGCAUAAAUUUUAUAAACUUCCAGAGCACCAAAAAUAAAUGAAAAUAUUAAUUCUAGUAUUUUUAGGCUUAAGUAAUUUAAAGUAAGAUGCACGUAUUAGAUAUGAGUAUGUAUUUGAAAUGUGUAAAAAAGGUUCUUUUUCAUGUAUUAGAGAGUUCUUGAAGGGUCAUGUCUCAAUGCCCAUAUUUAGAUUUAGCUGCUUCAUGUGUUCGAGCUGCUGCUUGUAACAAUGCAUUUUAUUGGAUUUAGCUUCCAUUAAAGCCAUUAACUGCUACAGAUUCGCUGAGAACAUCAAUGCAUUAACAUUGUUGAUAAACCAUCUUCCCUCUCAUACUUGGGAAUUUAUGGUUUUAUAUAUUUACCAAGAAACUGAUGUUAUUAUACCUGGAAGUGAAAUCCCAGAAUGGUUUAGCCAACAGAGAGGUGGCUCUACAAUUAGGAUACCUCUACCUCCCAAAAUAUUUAUUAAAUAUUUUGUUAUAUAUAUAAACUUACACCUAUAUUUUCAAUAUAGGUUGAAAAAAUAUAAUCCAACUUUGAGACAAAAGUGCGGAGAAAGUUGGAUUGCUCCAUGAAGAAGCAGGUAAUAGGGCGAAAUAUAAUCAUCUUUUAUCUUUGUCAUCAAACGCCAUGGGAACCUGUACUGUGUUUUUGUGUUGCUUAAAUGGUAUUUAAAUAGCUACAUUUUGUAGUUAAAUGUCUUCAAUUCCUGCUAACAAAAGAUCCCAUAUUGACGAAACCAUAUUUCUUGUUGGGGAUUUUUGAAGCAGAGGAAGAAAUACAGGACAAAACAAUGCAGUAUUUUUACUUGCUCACAAAUGUGCAACAAGGGAGUUAUGGCUUCAGCUCAUUUAGCUCAUCUUUUCAAUAAGAAAAACAAAACAUUUAUAGUCAACUACAUCACCUAAACAUCCACCUAACACCACGAAGUUACAUUGGAAUUUAUGAAAACAUUACUUGCACACAUAGGUAAGCUGAUUUAUCAAUCUAUCAGCACCUAAUUACAUUAAAAACUAUACCAACUCAGUUCAUUUUGAACUAAAAAACUAAACUAGUGCUUGAAGUAACAAAAUGAACAACAGCUUGAACUUUAGCCAGCAUAAGUAUGGCUUUGCAGCUUGUUCUGCUUCUUGGCUGCUUCAUGUGCUGCAUGUGCUGCAUGCAUGCCAACUUCAACACUCCUCCUUGGCUUGCAUGCUACAUACUCCUAGCUUAGCUCGCAAAUUAGUGAACCUUGCUGUUACAACAAGCAAACAUGCUGCAGCAUGUUUAGAAGCUGCAUGCACUUAACCAAAAAUAUAAUAGCAGCAUGGUUGGCCAUUUUCAACACUACUGGUCUGCUUUUGAACUUGACAAUCUCUCAUACUUCAUCCAACAAAAAUACAUUGUCUUUAAACACAUCUUGCCUUGUUCCUUUGUUCAUUACAAUCCUGUUUCUUCUUGCAUAAACAACUUGCAAGUAUAGUUAAUUUGUUUGCCUUCAAUCUGCCAUUUUGGCUUGCAAUCCGACAUGUUUGCACUUUGUUGCUUGCACUAGGCUAAGCUUGCACCUUUGACAGGCUCGCAUUUUUUUUGCUUACUGUCUCUUAAGGUGUCUUCAACAGGCUCGCAACUAUACAGGGCUCGCACCUUUUGAUGAGUUCAUAGCUCUCACUUCUCGCUAAGCUUGCAGCUUACACAUUUUGCUAAGCUUGCAGCUUACACAUUUUGCUAAGCUUGCAGCUUAGACAUUUUUGCUGAACUUGCUGCUUGCACAUUGGAAAGCUCACAUUCUUUCCUUGAAACUCCUUCAGCUUAUUCAAGCUUGUUUGGGAGUCUCUUAAGGUUGAGAUGAUGUUGUCUUCUCUUCAAGCAGUCCUUGAUGACAUGCUUUGACAACUUCUUUCUUUUAACAAGCAACAGAAGCAAAAAUCAAUGGCCCUUAAGAUUAAGGCUCUGAUACCAAUUGUUGGGGAUUUUUGAAGCAGAGGAAGAAAUAUAGGACAAAACAAUGCAGUAUUUUUACUUGCUCACAAAUGUGCAGCAAGGGAGUUAUGGCUUCAGCUCAUUUAGCUCAUCUUUUCAAUAAGAAAAACAAAACAUUAAUAGUCAACUACAUCACCUAAACAUUCACCUAACACCACGAAGUUACAUUGGAAUUUAUGAAAACAUUACUUGCACACAUAGGUAAGCUAAUUUAUCAAUCUAUCAGCACCUAAUUACAUUAAAAACUAUACCAACUCAGUUCAUUUUGAACUAAAAAACUAAACUAGUGCUUGAAGUAACAAAAUGAACAACAGCUUGAACUUUAGCCAGCAUAAGUAUGGCUUUGCAGCUUGUUCUGCUUCUUGGCUGCUUCAUGUACUGCAUGUGCUACAUGCAUGCCAACUUCAACAUUUCUGCUGUUAUUCCAGAAAGGUAUACCUUCAAAAUGGUUUUUUUAAGGGAUCGAGGUAUUCUAACAGUUAAGGUUCUAUCAAAUGUUGUCGGUGCAAUGAAGUUGAAGAGACUUGUGAUCAUAUUUUUAUUUCUUGGAAAGCUUGAGAAGUGUUGUUUCAAUGGUGGGUGUUAUACUUGAAAUAUAAUUAAAUUGUUUGAUAAAUACAAAUAUCAAAUUAUAAAAAAAAUUUAUUUUAUAAUUUUAUUCUUAAUUUUUAAACAUUGCACAUUAUUUUAAAUAAAGUUAUAUAUUAAAUAACAUUACUAUAAAUAUGAAAAAUUUGUAGUAAAUUAUAGUAUUACUUAUAAAAUAUUUAAAAAUUAUGAAAAAUAAAUAUUAUACCGAGAAUUAAAAAAAAUGAAGGUUCAUAUUUCAUAGAAAAUUUUGUUGAAUAAAAUAACAUAGUGAGAAAAAAAUUGAAUCUAAUGUGUGAUGGUCUGAUGGUCAGGAUGUUCACUACCCUAGAUGUAGUUUGGAUUCAAGUCAUGUUAGUCACAAUUGUUGUUUAAAUUUUACCCUGUUAUUGUAAUUCACAAAAAAAAAUGAAGGAUGUCACUUUUUUUAGUAGAUAAAAUUAGAUAAAUAUUGAAUUUCCCUUUAUAUUUGUCUUUGAAUUACACUUUUUUUUAAUUUAAAUAUUGAAAUUUAUAAUUAAACAAUAUCUUGUAAUAGAAUGAUUUAAUGCAUAAUUUGAUAUUUAAGUUUGACACUUUUUCUAAGGUGGUACUCUUGUUUUUUUUGUUCAAUUUGUUACAUGUAUUUGACAAAAGUUAUAUAUUUUGGUAUUCAAAAGUAACGAUGUUAACUUUUUAGUGUUUAAUUUGGGUAUGGGAAUUGAUUUAAUGAAAGUUAAUUGCUAAUAUUAUUAAAUUUGAAUUGUCCAUGAUUUUGUUAAUAGAAUAAAUUUAGUGUUAAUUAUGGAUUUGUUUAAUUUUGUAUUUAAUUUGUCAAAUAUAGUCCAAUGGAUGUGAUUUCAUUUGGGUUUUAGAGUUGAUUUUGUAACAUCCCCUAACCCCAAACCGUCACCGAAACAGGGUUACGAGGUAUUACCGGACAUAUCAAACAACUUACGAGUAAUUCACAAUUAAUAUAACACUUAUAGUAUAAUUUAAUAAUUAAGUCCCUAUAUUAGACUCUCGAAGCCCAAAACAUGUAUUAAAAGUAGAACGGUGUUAGAGUAUUAACUACAGGUGGUUAGUAAGUUGGUCAAGUCAGUUAAUAGUUGUUAAAGUAGUUAAUUAGCUAUAUAAAGAUGUAUUCACUCACUCUUCAUUCAAUAUAGUCAUUCUGUUAAUACUAAAACAGUAUUCUUGAGAUAUAAUUCUUGUAUAAUUCAACAUGGUAUCAGAGGUCUAGAGUUCCUGGAUAUUUUUCGUUUCUUUCUUUUGUCUAUUAAUGGAGUUUUCACAGCACUCAGUUCAGUCGACUGCACCAGCCAUGGUUUCUGCUGUUGAUAACUUUGAUACUAGGUUCUUUUCUACUAAAAAGAUUAGUGUGAUUCUUGAUGAUGACAAUUUUCUCUUGUGGCGACAACAAGUCUUGCUUGAGACCAAGACUUACAAACUUCAACGGUUCUUGGAUUCUAGUACUAUUCCACCUCCUGCAACACUUCCGGAUACUGAUGGGAUUCCUCAAGAAAAUUCAGAGUUCAGUCGUUUUGAGCAGCAGGAUAGUGCGCUUGCGUCUUGGCUUUUAUCUUCUGUAAGUACCACUGCCCUUCCACAUCUUAUUGGUAUGGACACAAGCGCCCAAAUCUAGAAUGCAAUUGCGAGUCUUUAUGGCAGCAAGACCACCUCUCGUCUAAUGUUCUUUCGCAGAGCUUUACACUCUCAACGAAAAGGUGAUCUUUCCAUGAAAGAUUUUUUAAUGAAGAUUAAGGGUUUUUGUGACAAUCUAGCUAGUUGCAGUGAGGUCAUUAGUGAACGGAAACAUGUCAUGGCGAUUCUCAACGGGUUGCCACCUGAAUAUGUCUCAGUUAUCACCAUCAUUACUGCCAGUCAUACACCUUAUACUGUUCAAGGGAUCAUGACAAUGUUGAUUGAUGCAGAAGCUCGACAUCAAACAAUGAUUCUAGAGUCUCCUUCCUUAGCUAAUGUGGUUACUCAUCAGCCACCUGGUUCUGCUACCAACAGUGAUCCACCUCUGGUAUAUCGUCCACCAACAGUGUCUCGUGGUCUUGGCCGUGGUAGGUCAUCUGGCUCCCGCAUACAAUGUCAGUUAUGUGGAAAAAUAUGGCACUUAGUUGAUCGGUGCUACCAUCGAUUUGAAUCCUCUUAUAAGAAUACUGGUUAUAGACCUCCUUCCUCUCAGGCGAAUGUUUUUAUGUUUGGACAAAGGGCUCCUUUCUCACCUUGGGUGGGAUCGUCUCCUUCAUCUUAUCUUCAGCCUGGAUGGUUCAUCCCACCUACUUCACCAAUGUCAUGGAAUGCCAAUACUCCACAAUCUGGUUCCACUUCAAAAAUGUCAACUUCUUCUCCACAAGCUUAUAUUGCCAAUCCAGUGACUGAUUGUGAUAAUGCCUGGUACCCCGACUCAGGUGCAACACACCAUCUCACUCAUUCAGCUACAGCUAUUGGUGAGAGUACUCCCUAUAAUGGCCCAGGUAAGAUUUAUGUUGGUAACGGCAGUGCUAUUCCUGUACACUCCACUGGUUAGUCUUCUUUUCUCACUAGAACACGUCCUUUGUAUAUGCGUUCUUUGUUGCAUGUUCCUGGUAUAACGAAAAAUCUGCUUUCAGUCUCGCAAUUUACAAUGGAUAAUCAUGUGAUGUUCGAGUUCUUUCCCACACAGUGUCAAGUACGUGAUCUGCAUACCAAGGAAGUUCUUUUACGUGGCUCAGUGCAUCAUGGCCUCUACAGACUUCAGCUGAAGGACAAUUUUCAGUCGCGUCACUGCUCAGCUCAUGGUUUUACAGCAAGUGUUUCUGUGCCUGUUAAUCUUUGGCACGCUCGACUUGGCCACCCUUGUACAAGUACUCUUACCAAGGCUUUAUCACAUUGUAAUGUACCUUUUGUUCUGAAUAAAGAGUCUUUUGAUUGUGUUGCAUGUCAUCUUGGAAAAGAAAGAAAUCUACCGUUCUCUCAUUCUGCUUCUGAAUAUGUCACUCCUUUGAGUUUAGUGGUUGCUGAUGUUUGGGGUCCAGCACCGAUAUCUUCAAAUGGGUUUCGGUAUUAUGUGGCUUUUACUGAUGCAUGCACCCGAUAUACUUGGGUUUACUUCAUGCGACAAAAGUCUAAAGUUUCAACCAUAUUUCCACAGUUUCUUCGAAAUGGCAGAGAGGUUACUUGGCUUCAAGCUUAAGAUAUUUCAAUCUGAUGGAGGGGGUGAAUUUCACGUAUUAAAAGGAUACUUGUCUCAACAAGGAGUCCUACACAGGUUUACGUGUCCACACACAUCAGCUCAGAAUGGAAUUGUUGAACGCAAGCAUCGACAAAUUGUUGAAGUUGGCUUGUCCAUGCUUGCUCAUGCGUCCAUGCCAUUGAGCUAUUGGAAUGAUGCCUUUGCUAGUGCAAUAUAUCUUAUCAACUGGUUACCCUCAGCUCCCUUAGGCUCCCUCUCACCUUAUGAAAAGUUGUUUCAUAAUAAACCUUGUUAUUUUUCCCUCAAGGUGUUUGGAUGUCUGUGUUUUCCAAACUUGAGACCCUAUAACAAACACAAACUACAGUUUCGAUCCCUCCCUUGUACGUUCCUAGGCUAUUCUUCUUUACACAAAGGAUAUAGAUGCUUAGCUCCAGAUGGAAAGAUCUAUGUGUCUCGACAUGUGACAUUUCAUGAAACCACAUUUCCUUUUCAAACCCUAUGUUCCAAUCCAAAGUCCACUACUGUUCUAUCAGUCAGUAAUAAACUACUUGUUUUAUCUCCAUCUGUCAAAUCAACUAUACCAUCACAGUCGGUUCCCAUCAAUUUCUCACCUAAUCCCACUGUUUCUCCAGAACUUAUACCCGACCCUACCAACAUAAGGUCAACCAAUUCUACAACCAGUUCUCCUGUGUCUAGCACUCACAUUUCUCCUCUGCCGAGCCCUCAACAAUCUCAUUUGUCUAGCUCCACACAUUCACUUCCUCUCAACCCCCAUCCUAUGAUAACUCAGAGUAAAGUAGGCAUCUUCAAGCCAAAGGUGUUUCUGAGUUCAGCUUCUGCACUUUCCUUUGAAACCCCAUCUGAUAUACAUGAGGCCAUGCAACAUGAGCACUGGAAAGAUGCAGUUCACAAUGAGCUUCAAGCACUCCUUUCCAAUGGUACCUGGAGUCUUUGCACGCUUCCGAGCAAUCGCAAGGCCAUUGGAUGCAAAUGGCUUUUUAAAGUAAAAAAGAAGGCCGAUGGGGCUAUAGACAGAUAUAAGGCUCAGUUAGUUGCGAAGGGGUUCUUGCAGCACGCAGGUCUGGAUUUCAGAGACACUUUUAGUCCUGUUGUGCGAGCAGUGACCAUUCAGACAGUUCUAGCUAUUGUAGUAAUGCAAGGGUGGUGUUUAAGACAGGUUGAUGUCAACAAUGCCCUCCUUAAUAGCAAGCUGACUGAAGACAUUUACAUGGACCAGCCACCUGGUUUUGAAGUGCUCAGUACUGCUGAACAGCCUCUUGUUUGUAAGCUAAACAAAGCUCUAUAUGGUCUCCGAAAAGCACCUCGGGCUUGGUUUCACACUCUCAAGCAGUUCCUUGUGGAUUGGCUGGGUUUUCGUGAGUCAAAGGCAGAUCCUUCUUUGUUUAUUCAUAUCUCCUCUAACGACUGCUUGUUUCUUAUGGUAUAUGUGGAUGAUAUUGUGAUAACUAGUAACUCGUCUACUAUCGUUGAUACUGUUGUCAAACAACUCCAUCACAAGUUCGCUCUUAAGGACAUGGGUCAGCUUAAUUAUUUUUGGGCAUUGAGGUUCACCAUAAUGAACAGGGGGUCUUUAUUAGUCAGAAGAAAUAUGUUCUAGAAAUUCUUAAAAAAGCUGAUAUGCUUGGGGCAGCAGUCACGCCUACACCUAUGGUCAGCAUGCCUAAACUUGUCACCACUGAUGGAAGCUCUCCGAUGGUUGACGUUCAUCUAUAUCGCAGUGUGGUUGGUAUGCUCCAGUAUCUUUGUAUCACCAGACCUGAUUUGUCUUUCUGUGUCAAUAAGCUGAGCCAAUUCAUGAAUUCCCCGAGUGAGUUGCAUUGGAAAGCUGUUAAGCGGGUUCUGCACUAUCUGAUUGGAACCAUAGAGCAUGGUCUGAGUUUUUCAAAAGGGCCAUUUCAGUUGGAAUGUUACUGUGAUGCUGACUGGGCUUCAUCUCUGGAAGAUCGUCUGUCCACUACAGGUUACGUAGUGUAUCUUGGUCCAAAUCCAGUUGCAUGGUACUCUAAGAAACAGGCUGUUGUCUCUCGGUCCUCGUCUAAAGCUGAGUAUUGAAGUCUCGCAAAUUGUGUGUCAGAGCUGUUAUGGGUUCGCCAACUGGUAGAGGAACUUGGUAUACAGGUUAGCUUAACUCCAGUGGUCUGGUGUGAUAACACGUCCACGGUUUCCAUGGCAGCAAACCCUAUGCACCAUGCUCGAGUCAAACACGUGGAGAUUGAUCAUCAUUUUGUCCGAGAAAAGGUUCUUGAUGGAUCUCUUCAAGUUAAUUUUGUUCCAUCAGCCAAUCAAAUAGCUGAUGUUCUUACUAAACCAAUUACUUCAAAGCGCUUUGCUGCGUUUCGCAAUGCUCUUAAAGUUCUAUCUACUUCUGACAAAGUUACAGACUUAGAGGAAAACGGGAAGAAUGUUAGAGUAUUAACUACAGGUGGUUAGUAAGUUGGUCAAGUCAGUUAAUAGUUGUUAAAGUAGUUAAUCAGCUAUAUAAAGAUGUAUUCACUCCCUCUUCAUUCAAUAUAGUCAUUCUGUUAAUACUAAAACACUAUUCUUGAGAUAUCAUUCUUGUAUAAUUCAACAAACGGGACUUGCUCGAGUAUUCCGAAAAAUUUUUCGUAAAUUCUUUUUGACAAAAAUUUCGAUAGUAUUUCUGCUUAUUUUUACCUAAAACCCCCUGCAAAUUCAAACCAAAAACAAGCCAAUACCAAUGUUUCAUCCAAAGAAUUUUACAUCUUAAACGCUACUAGAUCAUCCUUAAUCCAUUUAUUUAUUAUUUAAAAUUUAAAGUGUUAACAUAUAAGGAACUAAUUCAUAUCUUUCAUUUCAUUUCAAAAUUUAAUACCAAAUUUACUAAUUUAUAACUUUAAAAUUUCAUAAUUAUCUAAUUACAACAAGAUCAUUUAACCUAUAUAUAUAUAGUAAAUGACUCAUGUACAACCACCUAGUACAUGCCACUUAAACAAAAAGAAGAAAUACAACACCAAAAUUUUCUUGUUGGAGUUGGGAUCUUUUUGGAUGCUGAACUGGAUCUUGAACUCUAAUGACCUAUGCACGGAAACAAUCAUACGCUGAGUAUUUUAUACUCAGUGGUAUUACUAUAAACCAAACUAUUUAACAUUAAUAAAUUACAACAUCAACCAUAAGCUUUAAACUAAUUACACAUAAUUAUAUAUCACUUCAUAAAUCUUAAAUUCAUAUUUCUUUUUCUUUUCUUUUUUUUACAUACUAAUUCAAUUCAUAAUUUAAUUCAUACAUUCUUUCUCGUACUUUUUAGUAGUGCCAAAUCAAUCAAUCUCAUUUUCAAAUUUUCAUUUCAAUUAUUUACCCUAUUAACAAGGCUCGGACUCUGAUAGAUACGCGGAUUCCAUCCAAACACACCAGAAUAUCCAACCCAAACACACCCAGAAUAAUAUAAAUCCUCCAUAACACACCAGUAUAAUAUAGCCUCCUAAACACACCGGUAUAUCAUAUCCUCCCAAAUACACCAAUAAGGCAUUAAAUGUCUCUUCAGUUAAACUGAAGCAUAUAAUAACAGGAUCAUCUUCUCAGUCGAGCUACAAAUCUCCUCAUCACAUCACAAUCCUGUGGCAUGCCAUUUGUAUCCAAUCUAGUCUGACAAGUUUAUAGGGUAUUAUUUUACUUUUCCAAUUUCGAAUUCAUUUUCACAACAAUUUCAAAUAUCCAAUCAAUUCAAAACAUCUAUUAUCUCAAUUCACAUAUAAUUCAAUAUUCACACAUAUUCUUACUUAAUUUCAAAUAUUAUUACUUACCUUAUCUUAGAUGUCCCAUGACUACAAAUUUAAUAUAACAUUUAAUAAAUGGAUUGAGUUAUAGUAAUACAAACCCGGAAUACUCAUUUACUCCUCAACGAUCUUUUCUUUUCCUUUGGAUGCCGAUGCCUCGUUUUCCUUGUUAGCUACGAAAAUAAUAAUAACAAUUUACAUUAUUAAUUACAGCAUUAAUUUAAUAAUUAAUUAAAUUUUUAUUCAAUUUAUUCCUUAAUUCCAAUUUAAUCCUAAUUAACUCUUUUAUUUGUUUAACUUAAUUUAUACUUCAUUUCUACUCAAUUUCCUUCCAUAUUCACCCUAACAAUCUAAUGUUCAUUAUAAACCCUAAUUUAAAAUUUCUUUCAAUUUAAUUUCCUAAAACACAAAACUUAUAGCUUCUUUUACAAUUUAAUCCCUUUUUCAAUUCUAACUUAAAUUUCAUUCAAUUAAAUACCUAAUUCUUCUUUUUGCUCAACAUAACCCAUGCUUAAAAACCUAAGAACUUCCAAAACCUUAAAUUAAUUUCAACAAAAUUUUGUUUUAAAGCUUCUAAAACAUCAAAUUUAAGAGAAAAAUGCUAAAUUUAGCUUACCAAUUAAACUUGAAGCUUUAAAAUCCCAAUUUUCCCUUUUUUUUCUUCUUUUCCUUUUUCUUCCCCUGUUUUCGUUUUGUUCUCUGUUUCUUUUCUGUUCUUCUUUCUUUUACUUUCUUUUUAUUCUAUUUAUUUAUUUAUUUUAGUUAUUUUAUAUUACUUUAAUAUUAAGUAAACAAUUUAUUUUAUAACAAAUGUACCAAUAAUUUUAUUACACUUGUCAUUAUUCAAUUUGUUUUUAAAAAAUCUUAUAAUUUAAUUAUUAUUAUUUACUUAUUAUAUAAGAAAUUAUAUAUAUUUUACACAUGUACCAAUAAUAAUUAUGCACUUGUCUUAUUUCAUAAUAUAAUAUCAAUUUAAUAAUUAUUAAUAUAUAGAAAUAUCUUUUACUUAUUAUUUAAGAAAAUAUACAAAUAUAUAUAUAUUACAUGUGUAUAAAUACACAUAUCACACAUGUACACUUUUAUCAUCAUACAUUUGACACAAAUUUUAAUUUAUUUAUAAUCUAAUAACAAAAUUUUAAAUUAAAUAAUAAUAAUAUUAACAAUAAUAAUUAAUAAAAUCUAAGAAAAAUCUUAGAUUUUUCUAUCCAUUUUGCCGCCUAAAUUAUUACAAAUGGCUUAAUUUCCAUUUUAAUUCCUUUUUCUUUCUAUUGUUUUAGAAUUCAACUUUUAACCUUUACUCAAUCUAGUCAUUUUUACUAAUUACUCUAAAUUAAAUUAGUUUCACCUAAAUAAAACUGAAUUAGACAUAUAACUAGACUCAUAAUUAUUCCUAAUAAUUAUUUACGAACCGGUUUCACUAAUACGGUGGCCCGAUAAUGUACUUUUAUGGUGCCCACGAAUUUUGGGUCAUUACAGAUUUGAUGAAAAUACAUAAUUAGCGAUUAAUUUUCAUCAAACCAACCCUAAAACUCGAAUUAAACACGAAAAAGUUAACAUCAUUAGUUUUGGGUGUCAAAAUAUAUAACUUUUGUCAAAUACAGGUACAUGAUUAAAUCAAAAAAUAACAUAAGUACCACAUUAGAAAAAAAGUGUCAAACUUAAGUACUAGAUUAUGUAUUAAGUCUAAUAGAAUAUUUUAAUUAUUUUACAUUACAUAAAAUAAUAUACAUUUUUAAAUAAAUAAUCUUAUAUCUUUAAAUAAUAAUAAUUAAAUAAACUAAUUAAUAAAAAUAAAUAUAUAAUUAAUGAAAUAAAAAUAAUUAGAAGUAUGUUACAUAAGAAACUAGUUAAGCAUGUAAAGCACAAUUAGUUAAUACUUUAUAAUUAUAAAGUAAAUAUGAUAAUCUAAAACACAAGCCGUCCAACACAUAUAAUUAUUGUAGGCUCCAUUUUGUCGACUCUUUCUUGGAUUCUUCCUAGAGACAACAUCAAUCACUCAUCUAUCAUCCCUCAAUUUCCAAACCUACGCAUUUUCGUUUGGAAGAAAAAAAAAGGAAAUGUAUAGAGAAAUUGCUUACAAUAAUCUUCGUUGUUCCCUUGAAAUUUGAUCCGUUUUUCUCCUUCUUCAUGUAGGAUUGUAGAUUAGGUGAUACUUAUAUCAUUAAAAGAGACAAGUUUAGUCUUGAUUAAUGCCCCAACAUUGAUUUUAAGAUUAAGAAAAUGAAAAAAAAAAUCACUAUGCUUCAGUAGUGAAGAAUCUAAUGUAUGCUCAUGUUUAAAUCUGCAAAAAUAUUGCUUACAUUUUUCAAAUAUUGGAUAGAUGUUUGAGAAAUUUGAGUAUGGAUGAUCCAAUCAUGGGAAAGUAGCUGGGUGAUUCAUACCAUAUCUUCAAAAUUAAAACAUUACAUGCUCACGUAUCAGAUAUCUGAUAAGUUAAAAAUCAUCAAGUAUACAAACUUUAAUUUUGUUGAAAUAUAAAUACAAAAUUUUGCCAUGUGACAAUAGAUACCAAUAGUCAAAGCAAUUGACGACUAAAAUUAUUAUUAUGCCAAUAAAAAAAAGUGUUACUUAAUAGUUAGGUGAUAAAAAAAUAAUUUCAAAAAGUUUAGUGACCAAAUUGUAACUUUCUUUAGUUAAGUGACCAAAACGAAAACUUACUAUAAUUUAGUUGCUAAUAGUGUAGGGACUAAAUUUUAAAUUUAUAAAAAAUACAGGGACUUGAGGUUGUUAACAAUUAUGUUAAGUAGUUAUUAUUUUGAAUAAUAUUACUUUGCAUUAACUACAUAAAGGAAAACUAUAUCGUAUGUUAAAUAUUUAAAAAAUGAUUUAAUUAUUAUUUAAAAUUUUUUUAUUAUAAUAUUUAAAUUGAUAAGUUAAUAUAUUUUAUUUAUAUUUAAUAAUUUAAAUAAAAAUAUUAUUUUAUACUAAUUACUUCAAUUAAAAGUAUAAUAUCUAAAAAUUUUAAUUAAUAUUAAUAAAAUCACAAUGUAUUAGAAGCAAUUAAUUAUAAAAAUAGAUAUGAUAAUGUAAAGAAAAACAGUAAAACACAAACCGUCCAACACUUAUUACUCAUUAAUGAUUAUAGGCUCCAUUUUGUCAACUCUCACCUUCUUAGAGUCUUCCUGGAAAGAGCAUCUAUAACUCCAAAUUUCCACACCUACUCCCUUCCAUAGCUAUUAUUAUACUGAUAGAUUCAUUUCGGAAAUUAAAACAGAAAUUUCUUACAUAAGUCCUUUGUUUUUCCCUCGAAUUUUCAUCUGUUUUUCUCCUUUCUCAUGCUCAUAUACUUAUUGUUUCUACUUUGUUUCUGAGGUAUUGAGCCGUCUAUUUUCUGUUUUGAACAUUACAUCCACAUAUUUUUUCUUCUCAUACAUCCUCAUGUCGUUAUUACUUUCGACUUCCUCAUCCAUUUCUAGAAAGAAGUACGAUGUGUUCUUGAGUUUUAGAGGUGAAGAUACCCGCAAGAGCUUUACGGAUCAUCUCUACGAUGCUCUAAAUAGAACUGGGAUCGUCACUUUUAGAGAUGAUCCAAAGUUGGAGGCUGGUGAAGAGAUCGCACCGGAACUCUUGAAAGCAAUUCAGCAAUCAUGGUGCUCGGUAAUCGUUUUUUCCGAGACCUAUGCCCUUUCUGGUUGGUGCUUGGAGGAGCUUGCGGAGAUUGUUAAACAAAAAAAAGGCAAGACUCAUAAAGUAUUUCCAAUUUUCUACCAUGUGGAUCCAUCCGAUUUAAGAAAACAAAAAGGAAAAGUUGAAGAAGCCUUUGCCAAACAGGAAGAAAGAUACAAGGAAGAUAAAGACAAGAUCCAAAAGUGGCGAAAUGCUUUGACUGAAGUGGCUAACAUCUCGGGAUGGCAUUUAAAUAAUAGGUAUUUCUUUCUUUUCUUCUCUAUUUCCUAAUUUUAAUGACUACAAAAUUGUGUUUUUAUUGCAUCUUAUUUUUUAUAAUUUUGUUUUUAAUUAAGAAUUCCCAUAUUUCAACUAACAAGCAAGUUGUGUAUUUUGAUGCUAUAAUAUAUCUUACUGUCUUAUUCUUGCUUUUUGUUUGCUUCCAACCAUAUUAUACUUCAUGAUUCACUGAACUAAAAAUGAAAGAGUGCAUAUCGGAAUUUAAUUUCUUUGUAGGCACGAAUCAGAGUUUAUUGGAGACGUUGUUAAGAAGAUAUCAGCAAAAUUAUGUCAGACAUAUCCUGUUGUUCAUGAUGAGUUGGUUGGAAUUAGUUUACGUUUGGAGGAGUUGUAUUCGAAAAUAAACAUUGGGGAAGACUAUGUCCGCAUUAUAGGAAUUUGCGGAAUGGGUGGCAUAGGUAAAACAACUCUUACAAAAGUUGCUUACACUCAAAUGUUACCUCAUUUUGAAGGUAAAUGUUUUCUUGCUAAUAUUCGAGAAGUUUCAAACAAACAUGGACUUGUUUCUUUACAGAAACAACUUCUUUCUCAAAUCUUUCCGGAUGAACGCUUCAAUUUUUUCAAUGUUCAUGAAGGGAAUGCCAUAAUUAGCCGCAAGUUGUCUAGAAAAAAGGUUCUUAUGAUUGUUGAUGAUGUUGAUAACGUACAACACUUGAAAUGCUUGGUUGGAAGGCGUGAUUGGUUUAGUUUAGGGUUGUAGGAUCAUUGUAACAACAAGAGAUGAACAUUUGCUCCGAUCUUAUCGAAUUAGUGAUGUAUAUAAGCCUACAACAUUGAAUCCGGACGAUGCACUUAGGCUUUUCAAUUUGAAAGCUUUUGAUAGUGACACAAUGCCGAAAUAUGGUAUUAUUGAGCUUUCUAAACAUGUUAUACAUUAUGUUGAUGGUCUCCCCUUAGCUCUUGAAGUUUUGGGUUCAUUUUUGUGCGGUAGAGAUAUAGUUGAAUGGAUAAGUGCAAUCAAAAGACUUGAACAAGAUUCUAACAAAGAAAUUCUUGACACACUAAGAAUUAGCUUUGAUGGAUUGGAAGAAAGGGAGAAGAAUAUUUUUCUAGAUAUAGCAUGCUUUUUCAAUGGGGAGGAGAAAGAUUUGGUAAUGAAAGUAUUGGAUGGUUGUGAGUUUUUUCCCGAUAUUGGAAUCGAUGUUCUCAUUAAGAAAUCUCUCAUAAAAGUCAGUGAUGACAACCGAUAUUUGCAUAUGCAUACCUUGGUGCAAGAAAUGGGAAGAAAAAUUGUUGAAGAAAGAUGUAUUAAUGAACUUAGAAAACGUUGUAGAUUGUGGAAGGAAAGAGAUGUCCAUCAUGUCCUAACAAAAAACACGGUAAACUAUUCAACAAAAAUUACAUACAAAAUUGUUAUUGAAUUACUCUGGUUAAAAAAUAUUUUAUUUAGUAUAUUUCAACCAAAAGAAUGUGAUAAUGUUGAACAUGUGCAUAAAUUUUCAAAAGUUUUAUUACAUAAUUUAUUUUGUUUUCUUAUUGUCUAUUCUUGAUUAUUUUUAGGCUACCGAAGUUAUUGAAGGUAUGAUCAUCAACAAUAAAAGGUAAGAAAACAUACAUAUAAAAUUGUCAAUAUGUACUAUUAAUAUUGUUAUUAUUUUUUUGUAAAAAAUCCAAUAAAAAUGACAAAAAAAACCCUUUUGGCGUUGCUUGAUAGAGUGGAAAGAAAAUUAAAAGGAUGAAAAACUAAAGAGAUAGAAAACUAGAUAGAGUGGAAAGAUGGAAAAUAUAUUUCUCUCCUCACUGUUGCUUGGUAUAGCGAGAAGUGGGAAGGUAAGAAAAUAAACCAUUUGAAUAUAAAAUUUAGAAGGUUUGAUUUUUAUGCAUUAUAAUAGAAAUUGAUUUAUUAUAUUAUUUUUCUUACUUUUCUUUCUGACUAAAACAUAGUUAAAAUUUAUUUUCUUUUCACUUUUCCACUCAACGAAAUUCCCCCUUAGUUCCUAAUUUUUAGAUAUAUUAACAAUAUAUGUCAAUGAACUAGGUUAUAAAAUGUCGUUAAAAGUUUUCAAAAAUAAAUCCAAGUGAUGUCAUCAUUUGGUUCAUGAUAAUGCAUAGAAUUACACGUUAAUGCACCAAACAUGAAUCAAAAUAUUAGUUCUAGUUUUUUUAGGCUUAGGUAACUAAAAUUCUAAUGAAGUAUUAGAUAGAGUGUUGUCUAAUAUUUUCAAUGAUAUCUCAAUACCAUAUUCGGCUAUGCACAAGAUAUAAGUAUUUGAUACAACUACUUAAAAAAAACAAUAUUGAUGCAACAUAACUUUUAGAUAUUUAAUGUUUUUGUAUAUUUUGAAGUUUGUUAUUGUUUUGCUCAUGGUUAUUAGGGAACUGAGUAAGAUACUCAAUUUGAGUGCCGAUACAUUCUCAAAGAUGAAAAAUUUGAGAUUGCUCAAAGUGCUUUCCCUAUCAAAUUGUGAUGAUCUCAAAUAUCUUUCUAAUGAACUACGGCUUUUAGAUUGGAAAGGGUGUCCUUUAAGAUACUUGCCUUCAAGCUUCCAACCAAACAACCUUGUCGCACUUCUUUUACCAUAUAGUCACAUUGAACAACUAUGGAAGGGAAAUAGAGUAAGAAUUAACUCAUCGUUUUAGCUUAUUUUAAUACAAAUAAUUAAACUUUGAUUAAGGUAAAGAAAAUAAAAAUUAGCACUAUUCUGUUUUCUGUCUAAAUUAUUAUUGUCUUCAACAGCCAUUGUAUAAGUUGAAAAUGAUCGACCUUAAAGGGUCCCAAAACCUGAUCAAGACACCAGACUUCACAACAGCACCAAAACUUGAAGCUUUGAUUAUGGAAGGUUGUAUCAGAUUAGUAAAUGUCCAUCCAUCAAUCGAAGUGCUUAAGAUGCUUAAACUUUUGAAUUUAAGAGACUGCAAAAGUCUUAGGAAUCUUCCAACCAGAAUUGGAAUGGAAUCUCUUGAAACAUGUUACAGCUUGUUUGGUUUGGUGUAUUGGCUAUGCCAAUACACCUCUAAUCGGUGGGCCCCACCUAAUACCUCUCUAAUCCGCCAUUUGGUUCAGCGUAUUGCUAAUACGCGUGUAUUCCGUUACUUUCCUAAUCGGUGAAAAGCACCGAUUUCUAUUCCCCCCCUUUUGCCCAGAUUAGGUGACGCUUCAGCAAACCCUCCCUCUUUUACCCUCCCCCGAUCCCCUUUGUUUCUCUUCUGUUUUCCACCUUCAUCCGAUUUGCUUCCUUGUUUCAUUGCUUUUCUUUUCUGCCGAUUUGGUCCCAGUUUAUUUUCUUGCCUUUUCCUUUGUUUUCUUUCGUUUUCCCUCUCUUUCUCUCUAUUUUCUUUCAUAAUACUUGGAGCGUAAAAAGAAAAAAUACUGUAAUUACUUUCUAGACGAUAACUAGAGAGAGUGAAGCCAAGAACUUUCUGGAAUUUUUAAUCUAACCUUCUUCUUUUUUUGUUUUAGUUCAGAGAGAGUGUUUUUGAAUUUCAUCGUUUGUUAAUUUCUUCUUUAGUUUCCUUUUUUUUUGCUACUUGAUUCGGUUAACGAUCAAUAUGUGAGAUUUAGCUCUUUGAUAGUCGGAAUUAGAAUGAUGGAGCGGUUAAUCUCCGUUUGUUUACAGUUGAUUUUGGUGUUGGAUUUGGUUUUCAGAGUUUCAGGAAAUGCGGAAGGUUCGUCAUGAUUAUUUCCUCUUAUUUUCUUGUUUGAACUUUGAACUUUGCAAAUGGAAUUAUUGUUAAAUUUAAUGUAUAUGAUUCAAAUUAGAUGAAUUUAGUAGCUAUUGGAUUGGUUUAGCAGUGGCAUAAGGUUGACUGUUUGUUUUAAAUUUCAAUUAGCUUUGGUGCUGUAAUUGGCUUGACUGGAGAGAUACUUGCACGCUUACUAAUUUAUGCGAAAGUUUUCGAUACAAUUUUACGUUCUAAUUCUCGAUAUCCAGUUUGGUUAAAUUAACCAAUGCGUUGUCUUCAUCCAUGUCUGAUGUCGUCUUGAACCCUGUUUGUUGUUUUGAAUCUUUCAAGUUAUAGUGGAGCUUUAGCGCUUUACAGUAUUUUAAAUGUUUUCAUGAUAUGAUUUUAACUUCUUUGUUGUUAUCUGUUUAUGUGAUGAAAUAAAUCUUCUUUACAGUAUUUUAAAUGGUGCAGGAUGUUGUAUUAUGCCAUGCAGGGAUCUUUCAAACAAUAAGCUAGAAGGAGAUAUUCCAGUUAAUGGUUCCUUUUCACUCUUCACUCCCAUCAGGUUUUUCUCUUAUGCUAUUUCAUGUUUCUCUCACCCUAACUUCUGAUCCUCGUCGCCACUGUUUUAUCAUAUCUGUACUCUUAGGCUAGCCUCUUGAAUUGCUGCUUCUUUUGUUCACAGUUUUGCUAAUAAUCGGUUGAAUAAUCCUCCACCUGCUCUGCCGCCUCCUAUCACACCUACGGCUCCAAUUCCAUCAGGUUUGUUCUCGAUUUUAUUAUUAUUAUUAAUUAUUAUUAGCUUUUAAUUGUGCUUAACUUUGAGGCCUGCUUCACUUUUAUUUGUAUUUAUAUAGAUAUUUGAUUGGGAGUUGAGAUAUUCCUUUGUAUUUUUCUUUGCAUUUGCCAAUUUUUUGGUAUAUUGCUGAUCCUGAGCUUUUUUACAUCUGGGUCUGUUUUUUAAGAAGGUGCCUUUGAGCUCAGAUCUAAAAUCUGAUUAUAAUAUUGCCUAAGAUGGCUUUAGGUUCCUGUUUAAGAGGUACUGGCUGUUUUCUCCUCGUUUAUUUCUUUAGUCUCAUGUUUCACAUUUGUGCUAUGCUCUCUGUAUUUGGUGCGCCAUUUAUCAUAUGUAUGUUCUUCAGGUUGCCAAUUUUUUUCUGACUGUUAAUUAUUAAAUCUAUUGUUAGCCUCAAUUAUCAAAUAUCUUCUCUUUUGCUUCUUCAGUUUGAGAUGAUAUUCUGAGCUACUGAUCACCUACUGGAAACUUGUAUUAUAACAUUUGUUAUUUUUAAAUUCAUGUGCUUGGUGAAUGUGGAUUGUCUUUGAAUCGAAGUGGAAUUGUUAGAAAUUCGUGGAUGCCAAAUACUUUUUGAACUCUUGUUACAAUGGACCAUCUAUUGAUCUGAUUUUUACAUUGUCUAGAACGUCUGGAAUCUCAAGCACCACUUGAUUGGGCUGUAAGGAAACGGAUUGCAUUAGGAGCUGCAAGGGGGCUUGCAUAUUUUCAUGAUCAUUGUGACCCUAAGAUUAUACACCGUGAUGUAAAGGCUGCAAAUAUAUUGUUGGAUGAGGAAUUUGAAGUAGUUGUCGGAGACUUUGGGUUGGCCAAAUUAAUGGACUACAAAGAUACGUACGUCACAACUGCUGUUCGUGGCACAAUUGGUCACAUAGCUCCUGAAUACCUAUCAACUGGAAAGUCAUUAGAGAAAACUGAUGUUUUUGGCUACGGUGUCAUGCUUCUUGAACUCAUUACAAGACAGAGGGCUUUCGAUCUAGCUCGGCUUGCAAAUGAUGAUGAUGUCAUGCAGCCAUUACCUCUCAGAGAUGCACAAGACCUCAUUAGAUUCUUGCAUCAGCCAGUUUAUCACAGUCAGAGAUUUAAAUUGUGGCUUAGCUAUUUUGAGAUAUAUGGUGGAAAACUCUUUGACCUUUUGAGUGAUAGAAAGUAAUUCCCUUUUCUUUCCUUGAUUAUUUAUUUAUGCAUGUCCAUGUGUGUUAUAAAUCAAUUUCUUUCUUAAAAGAACUUGAUUGAGUAUGAUGUGUAAUAAAUUUUAAUUAUCUUCUGGUUUGACCUUCUGUUAUGUAUCAAGCCAUUUGCCCUUCACACAUUCUCUCUUUCAAUAUGUAUUCUGGUAUAAAUGUGCAUGCACAUACAUAUUCGAAUUUUUUAAAAUUGGAACAUUAGAUAUAAUCAAGUAAAGAACUUGAUUAAAAAACAAAUAUUCAAUAUAUUAAAAUUUGAUCUGUAGAUAUAAUACAAUGAAUAAAUUGUAAGGUGAUUAAAAUUGAAUGAAUAAAUUAGAAAAAUUUUAUUAAAAAUAAAACUAAUUAAAUGUGUAUAUUCAUAUACACUGCAUUAAUUAAAAAUAUUUUUAAAUAAUUAAAAUAAAAAAUAUUAUUUUAAUAAUAUUACAUAUAUAUCGACUUUUGAACCAGUGGCAACUACUUCAGUACAAAAUAAAAAAGGUAAUUAAUAAGCAGGCUCAUUCAUAAUUUUUUCCCCACAGAAUGAAUGAUGUUAUUUGCAAACAAAAGCUGUCCUCAAAAAUCUUCUCCCAAAUUUUUUUUGCCAUUGAUAUAAAUAUAAACUGGUUAAUGUGGUAUAUUAAUAUAUAAAAGGAAAUGAGUAUAUAAAUUCAUAUAAGAAUAUUGAUUAUUAAGAAUUUUAUUAAAUUAUAUAUUUUAAUUAUAAUAUAUUUAAUAAUAAUUAUGUUAAAAUAUGAUUAAAUUAUUUAUUAUUGAUAUUAAUAAUCUUAUUAAAAUUUAAUAACAAUAACAAUAAUUAUUUACCUAAACCAAUUUAUGCUAAGGGUAUUCUAGUCAUUUUAGUUUUUUCCAUUAUGCUAUUACACCUCUAUUCCAUUCAACCAAACACAAGAUUACUAUUACGCCUCUAUUCCAUUACAUUCAACCAAACAGUUGAUUUGCUAUUACACCUCUAUUCCAAUACACCUCUAAUCCAAUACACCUCUAUUCCAAUACACCUCUAAUCCAAUACAGCGAACCAAACGUGCCAUAAUUCUUUCAGGUUGCUCAAAUCUUGUAAGGUUUCCGGAGAUUGAUGGGAAAAUAAAACAUCUAAAAACUCUUGAUCUUUCUAGUUGUUAUAAAAUUGAAUAUUUGCCAGUGAACUUGCAGCAAAUAGAGUUUUUGGAAAAGCUUGACUUGAGUGAAACAAGCAUAACAGAGCCACCAUCCUUCAUUUUUCAUUUGAAAAAUCUUAAAAUUCUAUCUUUCAAUGGGCGCAAGGGACCAUCGUAUAAGUCACGACCAAAUUUGCCUUCUCUUUUCAAGGUAAUCCCAGGAAGAAGGACGAAUCCCAUGGCUCGGAUGUUGCCUUUGUUGUCAGGUUUGAGUUCAUUAAGAAGCCUAAAUCUAAGGGACUGCAAUCUUUGUGAAGGAGAUAUUCCACGUGAUUUUUCUGGUCUAUCCUGUUUGAUGAUUCUUGAUCUUAGUGGUAACAAUUUCAUCAGCAUACCUGCAUCUCUUACUCGGCUCUCGAAGCUUUGGUUUCUUGAUUUGUCAAAUUGCAACAUGUGCACUCUUGGUGAAGCAGAUAUUCAUGGUCUAUCCUCUUUGAGUCAUCUUUAUCUUAAGGGUAACAAUUUCAUCACCAUUCCUUUGGCUCUUACUCAACUUAGCAGGCUUAAAUCGCUUGAAUUAUCAUACUGCACAGAGCUUAAAUCCUUGCCUGAGCUUCUAACAACUAUAGCAGAUGUGAUUAUAGAUGGUUGUGCUUCACUUGAAUUAGUUGCAAGUCCAUCAAAAGUAUGCAACUUAGUGGAUGAGGCUCUCGUUUAUGCCAUUAACUGCUUCAAAUUGGCUGAGAAUAUCAAUGCAUUAACACUGCUCAGAAAACAUCUUAAGGUCGACUAAUCUAUUUUCUCCCUUACAAAAUGUCAUACUUGAGAAUUUAUGGUUUUAGUUACCAAACGACUUGUGUUUUAUUUUGCAGGCUUUUGCAAAUUCAAGAAAAAUGUUUGCUAUUCUUAUGCCCGGAAGUGACAUCCCAGAAUGGUUUAGCCACCAAAAAAGUGACUCUUUCAAUUAAGAUACCCCUUCCGAAAGAUAGUCAAUGGAUUGGAGUUGCUUCUUGCUGCAUUUUUGUCAAUAAUGAUUCUUCAAGAGAUUACGAGAUUAUCAGUUGUUGUGCAUGUAUCAAUUUCAGAAAUUCUGAACAAGCCAGCCGUGAUGGAUCUAUUUUUCGAGGUAGAAAUCGUAGAAUGAUUGGUGGGACAGGCUGGCAGGUGGGGCCCAUAAUAAAAGAUGACCUUUUUCUUCAUUAUUGGUCGCGUGAUCAACUAUAUCCAAUUUCCAUGGAGUAUAAAUAUGGUCAUUGUGAAACCAAUAAUUUACGGGCAACAGAUUGCUUAGAUCAUAAAUGCGAUGAGCUUGAGCUGUCUUUCUCAGACCUAGAUGUUGAAGACAAUGCUAAGGUGAAGAAGUGUGGUGUUAGAAUAGUGUAUGAGAAAGAUUUGGAAGAAAUAAAAGAGUUGCAGUGCCAUACCACUCAAUUUUCUCCAAAUUUUGAACACACCCACCAACACUCUAUUCACAACGAUGGAUCAGUAGAUAACACUUCUCACAUAAAACGAAAAGCUAAUAUCUACGAUGAAGCGGAGGAAGAAGGGCCGCAACCGAAACGGAUGCAGAAGUUUUUCAAUUUUAUAAUGGGCCAACCGGGGAAGAAGCAUUAACUGUGGUAAACUACUUAACCAACCUCCUAUUGAUUUUUUUUUGUUUUACACAUUUAUAUUGUUUGUAUUUUUAAUUUCAUUUAAAGUAAUAUUCUAAAUUUAUUUAGGAACGAGAUACGAUCCUUCCAUUAUAUAUCCAAAAGUUUUAAAAUUUUUAUUCAUACUCAUAUUGAACAUGAGCACAUAUUCUAUGCAUAUCGCAAAUGUUGAUAACAUAAAUUUUUAUACCAUUUAAAAUUUUAGUCACUUAAUUCAUUCAUUCAUAGUUGAAAUGUGUACAUUUAUAUUAGUUUAUUUUUUAUUAAAUUUUUAUUUUCAUAUUAUAUAUAUAUAUAUUCACUUACAUCUAUUUUUUAUUUAUAAGUAGAAGUAAAUAUAAUCAAUUUGAGACACAAAUGUGGAGAAAAAAGAAUAUCUUCCACGACAAAGCACGUAAUCAAAAUGUGAAAAUCCUCUAAUGAGAAUUAGAUCAUAAUUUCACUUGAGUUAAUAACUAUCAUUUUUAUUUGAGAUUAAUUUAUGUGUUCAAUUUAAUCGGUCAAAAUUAUUUUUCUAUAUUUGAAAGAUUAAAUAUAAGUCUUUAAUUAGUACUUAAAUAGGUUUAAUUCCUUUUAAUAAAAGUACCAUUUAAAUUUCAUGGCUUGAAGUACAAAUAAUAUUAUUUCAACUCUUCAAUUUAUAUUUUUUACAAAGUAUUUAUGUUUAGACAUUUAUUUUUAACACUUAUUCAAAUAUGAAUAUAAAGUAUAUUCUUUUAAUUAAUUGGAAAAUCUUUUCUGUGUGAGAAACAUAUUCAUAUCCAAUAUAUUUUUUAAAAUUCAAUAGAUUCAUUUUUGUUCUUGUUUAAAGUGAGCAAGAUUUUCAACGAUUAUGUUUUCCGUGAUAUUAACAAAAAAUUCUCUAUUUGAAGUAAAUUAAUAUACCAGUGAUACAGAUUAUCCCAAUGCAACAAAAAUAAUCUUGGUCUUUUAUGUUUAUCCCUUAGACCGAUAAAAACAUGAAAGUCUGCUCAAAGGAUCGUGCAAGUGAAGGACCAGCAAAGAUUAUCAGGUUGAAAUGGAAGCAGACACUUACAUAAUUAUAUGCUCGGAUUAAUUUUGAGAAUUUUCAGAGGAGUCAAAAUUAAAUUACAAUUUUUACAAUAGUAAAAAUAUAACUUAACUAUUUUAAUAACUUAUAUCUUUAUAAAUUUUUAAUGAUUGAAUCAAAUUUUUAUCAAUUUUUGGGAGAUUAAAGUAUAAUUUCACCUUUACUAAUUUAAAAUUUUAAAUAUUAAAAAAAGUCUAAAAAUGUAAAUUUUAAGGAGAUUAUAUGGUCGGAUGAAUUUUGAGAAUUAAAAUUGGAUAGAGAUUAUGUUAAUAUAUAAUUAGAUGUUUUUUUUUUACAUAUAAUGUAAUGUAAAUUAUAUUAUAUUAUUUUAAAUGAAAUUUUUUCAAUUUGUUAUUUGUAAAAUGUAAAUUAAAAUAGUAAUCUAAUUGUAAUGUCAAUAAAACCUUUUAAACUAGGCAGGUUCUUAGAGUUUAUAAAUUUUAACAAUUUGACCCUUAUUUUUUUUCUUUUCAACAAUUUAACCCUCAAAAUUUUAUUUUGAGUCAAAUUAUGAUUUUUUUAUAGCAAAUGUCCAUUAAACCAAUAAUUUAAUGAUAUUAACGUGAGAUGAAUAAUGAAUUCAUUUUAAUUCAACAUUAAACUUUUCAAGUAUCAUCUCAUUUGGACCAUCUUUUCCUCUAACUUGAAUAGAGGAUAGAUUGAAGGAAAUUCCAUUUGAUUGGUGCGCAAUUUUCCUCUGACUUGAUUAGAAUGAUAUUAUCAAAUGUUCUGACUUGAUUAGAAUGAAAUUAUGAAAUGUUCACUCUCGUAACCAUUUUUUGGAAAAACGGGAAUCGACUUAGAUUUUAAAAAAUGAAAACGAAAAACGGGAGUCGCCACCAAUCUUUUUUGAUGAGGUGUGAUCGGAUCAUCUUAAAUUAAUCAUUUUAAUAAAAGUCAAGAUUUACUAAAACGAUAAUUUUGGGUCUACGAAAAAUCAGAAAACGAGUUUGGGAGUCGGUUACGCACGAGGAAGGAUUAGCACCCUCGAUACGCCCAAAAUUGGUACCUAGUUGAUUAAUUAAUGUCUUAGUGUCGAAGAUUUGAAAACUUGAAAGAAUUUAAAAUACGAUCCCUCUUUAUAUUAACGCUAAAAAUGAUUAAAUAAAUUAAAACGGAUGUUAAGGACUCUCUCAUCUCGAAGUAAUAAAAUAUCAUGCCCAGUAAGUUAGAACACGACACCUCAAACUUUGAGACUGAGCUUGCCUUUUAUUUAAAAUUAAUGUAUUUUAACUCCUUUUAAAAAGGAUAUUCGGUUAAUGAGGGUGAACGAGGAAAAUUGAAACCCAGUAAGUUAGGGCACGUUUCCUCGAAUUCCCGAACACCGAAUAUUGCCUUUAUUUGCUAAAAAUCUUAUUUCGAGGUAACAGAAUGUCAUACCCGGUAAGUUAGGGCACCACACCUCGUAUCUCCGAAAAAAAGCAUUUUUAAAACUCGUAUUGUGGUUUAAAAGAAUAUUCUGUUAUUUUGGUUAAACGAGAAAAAUCGAAACCCAGUAAGUUAGGGCACGAUUUUCUCGAAAUUCCAAAUACGGAGUAUUGCCUUUAUAAAAGAAGUAAUUUUGGUUGGAUAAAACAAAAAUUCGUAAUAAAACGAGAUAAUAGAGAAUGCAUGAGCAAAUAAAAAAUUUUAGUAUUGAUGGGCAUAACAUAAACACGAAUGUGAACGAUAGCAAUGAUUAGAGCACAAAUAAAUGAAUAAAAAGAAUAAAAAGAAAAUAACGAACAAGCUAGGAAAUAUUCGAAAUUAGAAAGAACUAGUAAUAAAUAAACAAUCAUUAUGUAAAACCAACGAGUGAUAGUAUAGUAAUGAUGAUAACAAUAUUAAUAAUAGUAAUAAUACAAAUAAUAAUUUUGGAAUGAUGUAUGAAAGUGUAUAUAUGUAUGUGUAUAUAUAAAUAAGUAAAUAAUAUAUAAAGUGAGUGAAGAAUAAAAAAUAAAAUAAGUGUAUUUAAAGAGUAAUGGAUAAAAAUAUAAUAAUAAUACAAUGGCAGUAAUAAUGAUAAUAAUAAAGUCUUAGAAAUCUUAAGAUGCUUAAACUUUUGAAUUUAAGAGACUGCAAAAGUCUUAGAAAUCUUCCAACCAGAAUUGGAAUGGAAUCUCUUGAAACAUUAAUUCUUUCGGGUUGCUCAAGUCUUGUAAGGUUUCCGGAGAUUGAUGGGAGGAUGGAACAUCUAAAAACUCUUGACCUUUCUAGUUGUUAUAAAAUUAAGUAUUUGCCAGUGAAUUCGCAACAAGUAGAGUUUUUGGAAGAGCUUGACUUGAGUGAAACAAGCAUAACAGAGCCACCAUCCUUCCUUUCUCAAUUGAAACAUCUUGAAAGGCUAUCUUUCAAGGGGUGCAAGGGACCAUCAUAUAAGUCACGACCAAAUUUGCCUUCUCUUUUCAAGGUAAUCCAAGGAAGAAGGACGAAUCCCAUGGCUCGGAUGUUGCCUUGGUUGUCAGUUUUGAGUUCAUUAAGAAUCCUAAAACUAAGGGACUGCAAUCUUUGUGAAGGAGAUAUUCCACUUGAUUUUUCUGGUCUAUCCUGUUUGAUGAAUCUUGAUCUUAGUGGUAACAAUUUCAUCAGCAUACCUGCAUCUCUUACUCGACUCUCAAAGCUUGAGUUCCUUCGCUUCUCAAAUUGCAACAUGUGCAGUCUUGGGGAAGCAGAUAUUCACGGUCUAUCCUCUUUGAUAUCGCUUGAUCUUAGUGGUAACAAUUUCAUCACCAUCCCUUUGGCUCUUACUCAACUUAGCAGGCUUGUAUCGCUUUGCUUAUCAAAUUGCAAGAUGCUUAAAUUCUUGCCUGAGCUUCUAACAACUAUACGAUAUGUGAGUAUAGAUGGUUGUGCUUCACUUGAAGUAGCUGCAAGUCCAUCAAAAGUAUGCAACUUAGUGGAUGAGGCUCACGUUUAUGCCAUUAACUGCUUCAAAUUGGCUGAGAAUAUCAAUGCAUUAACACUGCUGAGAAAACAUCUUAAGGUCGACUAAUCUCUAUUUUCUCCCUUACAAAAUCUCAUACUUGAGAAUUUAUGGUUUUAGUUACCAAACGACUUGUGUUUUAUUUUGCAGGCUUGUGCAAAUUCAAGAAAAGAGUUUGCUAUUUUUAUGCCCGGAAGUGACAUCCCAGAAUGGUUUAGCCAACAAAAAAGUGACUCUUCAAUUAAGAUACCCCUUCCGAAAGAUAGUCAAUGGAUUGGAGUUGCUUCUUGCUGCAUUUUUAUCAACAAUGAUUCUUCAAGAGAUGACGAGAGUAUCAGCAGUUGUGCAUAUAUCAAUUUCAGAAAUUCUGAACAAGCCAGCCGUGAUGGAUCUAUUUUUCGAGGUAGAAAUCGUAGAAUGAUUAGUGGGACGACAGGCUGGGUGGUGAGGCCCUUAAUGAAAGAUCACCUUUUUCUUCAUUAUUGGUCGCGUGAUAAACUAUAUCCAAUUUACAUGGAGUAUAAAUAUGGUCAUUGUGAAACCAAUAAUUUACGGGCAACAGAUUGCUUAGAUCAUAAAUGCGAUGAGCUUGAGCUGUCUUUCUCAGACCUAGAUGUUGAAGACAAUGCUAAGGUGAAGAAGUGUGGUGUUAGAAUAGUGUAUGAGGAAGAUUUGGAAGAAAUAAAAGAGUUGCAGUGCCAUACCACUCCAUCUUCUCACAUCCACCAACACUCUGCUCACAACCAUGGAUCAGUAGAUAGCGCUUCUCACAUAAAACGAAAAGCUAGUAACGCAGCGGAGGAAGAAGGGCCGCAACCAAAACGGAUGCAGAAAAUUUUCAAUUUUAUAAUGGGCCAAUCGGGGGAGAAGCAUUAAGUGUGGUACACUACUUAACCAACCUCCUGUUGAUUUGUUUUUCUAUAAAUCUAUCUUGUUUGUAUUUUUUAUUCCAUUUAAAGUAAUCAUUCUAAAUUUAUUUACAAAAGAGAUAUGAUCCUUUCAUUAUAUAUCAAAAAGUUUUAAAUUUUUUAUUCAUACUCACAUUAAGCAUGAGCUCAUAUUGCGAAUAUUGAUAAUAUAGGUUUUUAUACUAUUUAAAAUUUUAAUUACUUAUAAUUAAAAUGUGUACAUUUAUAUUAGUUUCAUUCUUUUAUUAAAUUUUUAUUUUCAUUAUAUAUAUAUAUAUUCACUUACAUCUAUAUUUUAUUUCUAAGUUGAAGUAAAUAUAAUCAAUUUGAGACACAAAUGUGGAGAAAAAAAAAUAUCAUCCAUGACAAAGCACGUAAUAAAAAUGUGAAAAUCCUCUAAUGAGGAUUAGAUCAUAAUUUCACUUGAGUUAAAAACCAACAUUUUUAUUUGAGAUCAAUUUAUGUGUUCAAUUUAAUCAGUUAAAAUUAUUUUUAUAUAUUUGAAAGAUUAAAUAUAAGUCCUUAAUAGUACUUAAAUAGGUUUAAUUCCUAGUAAUAAAAGUAGCAUUUAAAUUUCAUGGCUUGAAGUACUAAUAAUAUUAUUCCAACUGUUCAAUUUAUAUUUUUUACAAAGUAUUUAUGUUUAAACAUUUAUUUUUAACACUUAUUCAAAUAUGAAUAUAAAGUAUACUCUUUUAAUUAAUUGGAAAAUCUUUUCUGUGUGAGAAACAUGUUCAUAUCCAAUAUAUUUUUCAAAAUUCAAUAGAUUCAUUUUUGUUCUUGUUUAAUGUGAGAUGAUUGUAUUUUAUGUGAUAUUAACAAAAAUUUCUCGAUUAGAAGUAAAUUAAUAUACCAGGAAUAUAGAUUAUCUCAAUAGUGAUAUAGAUUAUCUCAAUGCAACAAAAAUAUUCUUGGUGUUUUAUGUUUAUCCCUUAGACAGAUAAAAACAUGAAAGUCUGCUCAAAGGAUCGUGCAAGUGAAGGAUCAGCAAAGGUUAUCAAGUUGAAAUGGAAGCAAACACUUAACACAAUUAUAGGCUCGGAUAAAUUUUUGGGGAGUGAAAAUUAAAUUAUAAUUUUUAUAAUAGUAAAAAUAUAAUUUAACUAUUUUAAUAGCUUAUAUCUUUAUAAAUUUUAAAUAAUUGAAUCAAACUUUUAUCAAUUUUAGAAAAAUUAAAAUGUAAUUUUACAUUUAAAAAUUGAAAAAGUUUAAAAAUGUAAAUUUUAGGGAGAUUAUAUGCUCGGAUGAAUUUUGAGAAGUAAAAUUUGAUAUAGAUUAUGUUAAUAUAUAAUUAGUUGUUUUUUUUUUUUUACAUAUAAUGUAAUGUAAAUUAUAUUAUAUUAUUUUAAAUGAUUUUUUUUCAAUUUGUUAUUUGCAAAAUGUAAAUUCAAAUAGUAAUCUAAUAAUGAUGUCAAUAAAACCUUUUAAACUAGGCAGGUUCUUAGAGUUUAUAAAUUUUAACAAUUUGACCCUUAAUUUUUUCUUUUCAACAAUUUAACCCUCAACAUUUUAUUUUGAGUCAAAUUAUGGAUUUUUUAUCGCAAAUGUUGAUUAAACCGAUAAUUUAAUGAUAUUAACGUGACAUGAAUAAUGAAUUCGUUUUAAUUCAACAUUAAACUUUUCAAGUAUCAUCUCAUUUGGACCAUCUUUUCCUCUAACUUAAAUAGAUAGAUUGAAGAAAAUUCCAUUUGAUUGGUGCGCAAUUUUCCUCACUUUAUAAUUGGUGCACAAUUAUGAUUAGAAUGAAAUUAUCAAAUGUUCACCUCUAUUUUACAGCGAGAAUGUUAUAACCUUACAAACAAAAUUCUGAAAUAAAUGUUCUUAAAGACAAAUUGCACGAAAUAACUAAAUCUCAAGUUUUAUUCUGAAUUAGAUUUGUCCAUUUAAUACAUAAUAAUUGAAUUUAUCACUAAAUCCCUCCCUCACUAGGAAUGCAUAAAAGUCUAUUCAAAUCAAUUUAUCUGACCCAAACUGAUGUAAUUCCUUUAUAUACAUAUCUAGAUAUGUAUCAAACAUAAGUGUUAAAUAUAGGUACUUAGAGAAAAUGAAUGGGUUCGUGUAAUAUAGGCUAUGAUAUAACCAACAUCCAUGUAAAAUCGAGAAAGAUAUGAAUAAGACGAUCUUCUAACUCCCUACCCCAGGCCCUAAUAUAGGUUAGGGUAAUACACUAAAAACAUAGAUCACCACUACUCCCCACCGUAAACAUUCUAAAAUCACAUGCAAAAUUCUGUCGAGCUCGUUUUAGCAUCUAAAAAGAAAAAAUAAUAAUAAUAAAAUAGAUGCCUAAACAAAGUCCGAAUACGGGGUGGUGAGAUACAAGAGAUGGGAAAUCAAUCAUACCAUACAAGAUUUAGUCCUCAUCCAUUCCUGCAGGUUGAUCUCUCCUCGCUGGACCUCCAGCUGGUUUCGCCAUGAUAAUCUGCAAACAUUGAAUCAACGGCAUUACUGAGCUUAGUGGAAGAAAAUGUUUGGAAAAUGAAAUACAUAUGCAAUCCUAAGUAACAAAUACAGCUUUGCAUGAGAACCUAAUCCCAUCAGCAAACUAUUUUAAGUGCGAUUUUCAUUUUCAAGCUUUCUGUCUCUAGUAAAUUACCUGAUCUACACGCAACACAGUGCAGGCAGCCUCUGCAGCAUAUUUGAGAGCCAAAAACCUGACAAAAAAAGUCAACAAUUGUAAAUUAUAAAAGAAUUCGAGGUUAAUUUUCGAUGCAAAAGAGAACAGAACUGAGCCAGAAAUAAUUGUAAAUAGCGACUUACUUAGUGACAUAAAGGUCCCAAACAUUCACGGUUGAGACAUCCUUGCAAACACCGUCCUCAGAGUCGUCUCCCCUCAAGUCGAUGCCCACUUUACCAUUCCCAGAUGCAUGCUUUUCAUACAACUUAGAAAUAAUAUCCAUUGGAUUGAGUCCAGCAUUCUCUGCCAGGGUUCUCGGUACCAAUUCAAAACUUUCAGCAAACUUAGCAAUGGCAUACUGAUCCAAUCUGCAAAAUAUCCCGUAGUUAAUAUUAAUAGCUUCUUCUAGUACUCAUCUAAUCUACUAUAAAUCCCAAAAACCUGUAGGAGAUUCCCAUCACAGCUAUGAGAAUGAACAUAACCAAUGCCAGAUAUAAAUAACAUGACAGCCAACAAUGCAGAAGAAGACUCAUUUGACACCUCUCCAGCACUAUGCCUGAAUACCUAGUUGUUCAGCAGGUAGAAUCAUGAUGGUCGGUCUUGCACCUGUUCCGGUCGUACCGACCACUGUCGUACUGACUACCUUGGGUAGAAUUCCAUCAAGCCACAAAUGUGUUCAUGUCAUUCAUACAAGUGUAAUGCACAAACUUGCAGCUUAAAUAUGAAACAAUACAUGCAGGAUGGCAUUUUGCAUUAAGAAGAGCACUAGGAAAAAACAAAUCACCCUGUUUCCUUGAAGGAGAACUCUUUCAGUCUUCUCGCCAACUCGAUUUCUGUAGCAGCAGCUCCAGGUACCAUACGACUAUCCCUGCACAUUGCCUAACCAAAAAUGAAUGGGCAUUAAGAAUGGGAUAAUGAUUCUUUCCUUGGAAUUUACAUCCAAAAAAAAUGGAAAAGACAAUUUCAGCAGGUGAGAAUAAAAGAAUUUAAUCAGGUUUAUAUGGCAUUCAAAGAAAAAGAUCAGCACAAAAACAACCUUAUAUGUAUUGACUCCAUCAUCAACAGCUCUUUCAAGAUCAUCCAAUAUACUAUCAGUACUUCCUCGCAGAACCACAGUGGCAACCUUGUUACCCCCAUCUUCACUUCUCACAACAGUGACCUACAUUAAAUUGGCAAAGGCAAAAUAGAGUGAGGCAAGGACAAGGAACCAAAUAUAAGUAAAGCCACCUCUUCAAACAUACCCGAGAACCACCGAUUUCCUCAACUGAAAUUGAAUCAACAAAUCCCAAAUCAUCUGGCUUUGGUUGGCUGAGUUUCAGCUGUCAGAAGAAUUAAAGGCCCAUUAGGUUGCAAUCAAAAGAUGUGAUCUUUUUUCUUAUAACAUAAUCUAGAUAGAAUGCUCACAAGAGCAGAAGUGCCUGUUGUGCGGCAGAAGCGUCGUAGUUCAAACUUUGAGCUGAUUUUCAAGACCAUUAGCCUGCACAAAUAAAAUCACGUAUCAGAGAUGUUGACCAAGAGAGCAAAAUAAUUGAAAUAAUUUUGAAUCCAAAAAGUAGGUGAAUCUAUCAACAACAACAUAUUCAACAUCAUGGGCUAAAUAUCAAAUCAAAACAAGAAAGAGCAAAGUAAAGAGUUGGAAAUAUGGGAAGGAAGCUUGAUGUACUUGUAACGGUCACAGAAAUGCAAUGCCAUUUCCCCGACUGCUCCACCACUAACGAUAACUUUGGCACCAGAAUCAGCAACUGCUUUAAUGAGCUCCUCAACCUUAGCUUCUUCAGUUUUUGCAUAAUUCUCCAGCUGUAAGAAAAAAACAUCAAGAGAAGCCUUCCACAUUUAGAAUAUUUAACCAACAAAAGCACCCUAUACCAAUUUACAAAAUGUAAAGACGGACAGCAUGAGAUAAGAAAAUCAUUAUGCCCAUUGUGCCCAAAACCACAGAUUUUAAAAUAACAGGAAUGCAUUCAAAACAAUUUGCCUUCUAAUCAGUUACUUCUUUCAUAUGAUCUCCUAUUUAAAAAAAGAAUUAAAAAAUUAUCAUAAUUUACCUGCUCAGCAGAGUGAAUCAAAACAGUUCCUUUUGUUUCAGUAGCAGUUGAAUCAACACCAGUAGCAAACACAGCCACCUAACACGAAGUGAACACAACAAUACAAGUCAAAAAGCAACAAGACCUUUAACUUGGCCAAGUGAAAACUAUCAAGCAGCUUUGUAUAACUUAAAUUAAUCUGAAAUGGAUAAAUAGAAAGAAAAAAAAUUACCUUCGCCUUCUCCACACGUUUUAUACUUCCCACAGCAUCACCUUUUAAAGCCAUUCCCCUAAUUACUGUGCAAUUAUGCAAAACUCCUCCAACAAGCUUUGACACACGGACAUUAUCAACAUCAAAGUUCACAGGGUUCUUGGGGCAGACUUGGAUGCAAGCCUAAUGACAUACAAAAAUAAAAGAAAGAAAAUGCAAUUAUGUUAUCCUUCAAAAGGCAAUAGAUUCUAGAAUAAUUGAUUGGUUACGCAGAGAGCAACGAGUUGUGAAUUACAUCAGCUAUAUGGGAAGACAAUAUAUCUUCCAGUCCAUAUUGUUUGCUAGCAACAGCAGCUUUCAUUCGACUAACAACUUGCUCUUUAUUCCGUACAUCCAUAGUCUCAGAACCUUUCUCUACAAGCUCCUCCAAAAUCUCAAGUGUCUACAAAAGUUAAAACACAAAAACCAAUUCACAAAUGACAGCACAUUUAUCAUCACAAUUAACAAUACUCAGGUCAUUGAAGUCACUUAAAAGUGCAAAGGACAAACCUUGGUAAUUGCUUUAGUAUAUCCACUGAUUAUCUCACUCGGAUGCAAGCCAGUCCUAACAAGCUCCUCAGCAUUUUGGAGAAGCUCUCCGGCAAAAGAAAUUGUCAAAUUAGCCCCAUCACCAAUUUCCUCUUGCUGAGCCUUACCCGCCAGAACUAAUAUCUUUGCCGCCGGAUGCUGAACCUCAAGCUCAUUGACAAUGGUAGCAGCAUCAUUGGUAACAAAGAGCUUGUCUAAAUGAUUAAUAACCAUCUUAUUCAUACCUAAAGAACAUUAACAGAAAAUUAAAGCAAAUAAGGCAUUACAAAAAGAACGAUCAUCCCGGAUUUCAGGAAAAAAAAAACAGAACAAUAGUAGCAUCAUCACUCGCAAUAAAGAGCUUAUCUAAAUGAUUAAUUAAAAAUCAUACUCAUACCUAAAAUACAUUAAAACAAUUGAUCCGAAUUUCAAACAGAAAACAAAGCGGAAUUCAAAUUAAAAACAACAAUUAAUAAAGAAAUUCGAAGAGAGAGAAGGGUACCGUCGGGGCCGAGGGAAGUGCGGGUGAUUGUUGAGAGUUGCUUGCAAGCAUCGAUGUUUUUCAAAACAGCUUCAUCGAGACCUGAGAGAUGCUUGUGACCUUCCUUAAGCAUCGAUUGUAUGCCAUGAGGUUGCAUUGAGAACGCCAUUUUUUUCUUCUUUUUUUGCACAAACCCUAAUCAAAGAAGAGUAAAUUAAAAAAUCAAACCCUAGAAAUGGGGGGAAGUGGAACUUGAAUUAGUCUUGAAGAAGGAAAUAGCAAAAUGGAAGUGUAAGUCAGGCAAACCCUAAAACACUUUCUAUAAAGGUUUGUCUUAGAUGUAAGCUCUUCCUUUCAAAAAUCCAUAGAUUUAAGAUUUUCAAAAACUUGCAAAUUUAGUCUCUAAUAUUUACUUUUAUUAUCAUUUUCGUCCCUUUCUUUAAAAUCACUUAACUUUUAAUUUUUAUUUUUUAAUAUUUAAUAUUUUUAGUCACUUUUCUAUAAAAAACAAUUUAAUUAAAUUUUGAAAUUUUAAAGCUAAAAUGAUCUAAAAUAAAUAAAUGUUAAGAAAUAAAUUUAUUAUUAUGCCUAUUAAAAUUGUGAUUUAGAUUUCAAAGGACUUGUAUCUAAUGAUAAAUAUAAAUUUAGUAGAUUAUUGUGAAAAUGGAAAAAAAUAAAAAUAUAUAUAUAAAACAUUUAUAUAAAAGAUAUAUUUAUAUUUAAAGGGAUAAUUUUUAAAACUGCAUAUUAAUUUUGAUUUAAUGUGUAAUUUAAUAUAUAAACUUUGAUUGGGUGUAAUUAUACAGAUAAAACUUUUUUUUGAACGAUAUAAACAUGAAACUUUGAUCGUGGUUAAAAUUUAUACAUAAAAUUUUGAUUGUGAUUUAGUCAUACACAUUUAAAAAAAUAUAAAUACAUCAUUUUCUUUUCAUAUUAGAUUAAUAUGAUUAUUUGUGUAUACAAUAUGUAAAUGUAAAAUGGAGUUAUAUUGAUAAUUAUUUUAGCAAUUUAUAAAAAUUAAAUCAAAUCAAAAUUUCAUUACUAGAAUUACAGAAAUUCAUAGUUUAUGUAUAGCAUUGCACGUUUUAUCAAUAUUCAUGUAUAAUUUUGAUAUUUUUCCCUAUUUUAAAUCCACAAAUAAUGAUUUAUCCCGUGAAUUAUACAUCAUUUGUUAAUGUAAUACCUGUGGUUUUUUGCUCUCAAUUUGGUACAUGUGAUUUUUUUCAGUUAACCGCUUUAACCUAAACCAUUACAAAAAGUGACUGUGGCAAUAUUGGAUCUCGUCACAUCGUGGGUCUUGUGACCUUAAGCUUAUGCAUUCCGAUGUGCAAAUGAAUCAAACUAAGAACUACCUAGAAUCAUGAAAAUGGACAACCAAAAAGUAACGCCAAUGUGCUCUUCUUAAAGCUAGGUCUUCUUGACCAAAAGGCAUUAUUGGCACUCUUCUGAUUGCAACCUUGUUGAGCAGAUGAAGCUUCACCACCAUGGUCUGUUGCAUGUAGGACUCAUCAUCAGAAGUUGCAUGACCUUCACUACUCUCUGACUAGCUACGAUCUCUAACUCGACUUAUUGGCAUUUUUUGGGUUAGAACCUUUAAGGACACAAGAGGGAUUAAAAGAAAGGAGAGGAAGCAUAAUAUGAGUUUCGUACAAUAGGAAUAAUACUACCUUCUUUGUGCAUAGUCAACACUAACAAAUGAAAUAACAUUAGAGGAUGGAAGGUCUCCAUUAAUACAUUGUCAAAAUGGGUGAAGUUAGAAAAUAUUUUUAAGGGUCAAAAUUAAAUUAUAAUUUUUAUUAUAGUAAAAAUGUAAUUUAACUAUUUUAAUAGUUUAUAUCUUUAUAAUUUUUAAAUGAUUAAUCAAACUUUUAUCAAUUUUAAGGAGAUUAAAGUGUAAUUUUAUCUUUACUAAUUUAAAAUUUUAAAAAUUAAAAAAGUCUAAAUGAAAAUUUUUCUAUUUUAAGAGAUCGGAGUCCCUGCCAACCUUUUAACUACGCCCCUUACUGUCAACAAAUUUGCUAUCCAUUACAAGGACUCAUCAAUAAAAAAAUUAAUUUUUAAAGGCCAAAAAAUCCAUUUUAUUAUAUCUAGACAUACACUAUCUUUUAAUUUUUAUUUAACUAUUAAAUAAUAAAAAUAUUAUAUUUUAUAAUUUUUCGACCAAAAGAAAAAUAUUUAAUUAUUGAUAAAGUAAAAUUUAAAAGUAAAGUAUAGUAGAUAUUUAAUAAAUAUUAAUAAAUAUAUUUAUAUAAAAAAUACAAAUAAAUGAGGUUUUGAUUGAAAUAGUAAAUAUAAUAUUUUAUGUGUAUUUUUAUUAGCAUGUGUAUUUUUAUAGAUUUUACAUAACAUAUAAAUAGAUAAAAAAAUAUUCUUAUACUAAUGUUUGUUGGCUAAAUUAGGCAUUUAUGUUGAAAAGAAAAUUAGGGAAAUGGGUCAAAAUUUGUGAUAUUUAGAGAAAUAUGUUGAUUUUGGAGAAAGGAUGUGAAAAAACGUCCAGUGAGAUGUGUUUUUCUUAGUUGGGUGAAAGUGCGUCCUGCUGGAAGCGUUUUCCUGAUAAGUCAACAGAAAAUGCGUCUAGCAAGAUAGAUGUGUUUUCACUUUCUUUCUUCUCAGUUGGUUGACUUUUUCUAGAGUUAGGGUUUUGUGUUUUUAAGGUUUAUGUUUUUAAGGUUCAGGAUUGGAAUUUUUUAGCGAAAUACUUAGGGGGUUUUGACUUUCUCAUAUCUCUUGUACAAGAAGAUGUUAUCAAUUUGUACCAAUGGCUUACUGUGUUGAAAUGAUUUUUUGCAUUGCUUGAAACUCCAAAAGAAUUGAUGAAAAACUCUUUUCCCAUGAACCAAUUGAUCACGAUAGUACACAGACUCCGCUUGUAGAUCAGUUACGAAACCUGGUACAUAUCGAGCCAAUACUUGACACCAUUGUCACAGAUCAUUGUAUGACUUGUCCCACCCGUUAUGAAUCUUUCCUAUAACCUUUUGUUUUGCGACUCAUGCCUUGUAGUACGACGACGUAUAGUUGUACAGACUAUGAAUAUUGACAAUCACCUAUGGGAAAAGAGUUUUUCAUCGAUUUUUUUGGACUUUUCGAGCAAUGCAAAGGAGCAUUUCAAUAUUGUAAACCAUUGAUACAAGUUGACAAUGUCUACCUAUAUAGGAAAUAUGAGAAAGUAAAAAAAACUGUAAAUAUUUCUCUCAAAUUUUCUAACUCUAAACCUUAUAAAACCAAAAUCCUAACCUAAAAAAAAACAAUCGACUAAGGAGAGAGAAAGUGAAAACUUGUCUAAUAGAAUGGGUGUAUUUUUUGCUGACUUGUCAAGAAAACACUUCCAAUGGGGCGCGCUUUCACCCAAGUAGGAAGAAAACUCGUUCAGUUAGAUACGUUUUCACUCUCUCUCCAAAAUCGAUUUAUUUCCCUAAAUAUCAUAAAUUUCGGCCCAUUUCCCUGUUUUUAUGGCAAUAUGCCUAAUUUAACCAUUGUUUGUUACUUUACAAAAAGUUUUCGAAAAAUUUUUAAUUGAGUUGAGACUCAAGUGAUAAGUAAUACUAAAUCAAUCAAACAUUUUUAUAAUAUCUUACUAAAAAUUCUAUCACAUAUGUAUGCAUUCGAAAACUCCAUAUUUAGAACAAAAAUAUCUACUUAAAAAUAGCACACAAUAAAUAAUGAAACGUAAAGUUUGAAACAACAACAAUAACGACGACACAUAUGCAACAUAUAUGAAAUUAAAUUUAAAAACAGUUUAAAUUGUGAGUAAAAUGAAGUUUAAUUAGGUAAAUACAUUAGAUUAAUAAAAUUAAAUACACUCCAAUUAUUUAUCAUAAUAUUACCAUUUUUCUUAACUUGAUAUCGAGUGAACUUGUGACACAAAUUCAAUCAACAAAAUUAUCAUUAUAUACAAAUAAUGUGGGUGAAACAAUUUGUGUACUAUCAUUUAAAUGUAUAAAAAAAUAAAAAUAAAACUUUGGUUAAAGUGAUAAAGAAAAGAUUUUAUAAAUUCUUGCGAUACGAGUUCAAAUCUCAACAUUUGUAUUUUUUUAUUUUUAAAAUAAUAAAAAGACAAAAAUACCCUCGUAAUAACAUAAUUUAUUUAAAAUAUGUAAGGUUAUUUUCGUAACUUUUUUAACUGAAUUAGUGAUGUGUCAACUUGUAUCAACAAUUCACACUUAAAUAAUAGUAUAUACAUAGAUUUUAUUUAUUUUUAUUUAUAAAGAAUACAUUUUAAUUAUGAUUUUCAAAUAAAUAAAUAAAAAUAUAUUAUAGUGUGAAUUUAUAAUAUUAUUUAAAUCUUUAAACUUAUGCAACAAAUUAAAGAGGUAUUAACUCAAUUAAAAAAUAUUAAAAAAUUAUUAUUUUUAAAAAUAAAUUAUAUUAUUAAGGAAUUUUUAUUGUUAAGAUAUUUUUGUAAAAAUCAAUAAAAUGAUAAAAUUUAAACUUAAAGAUAUUUAAUUGUACUCCUUUAUCAAAAUUUUAUUUUAUUAACUAUAUUUUACAUAAAAAAUUUCACCACUAUCACACUACCAUUACCAUUCUAUUUGCACUUCACUUUUUUUUUUUUAAAUUACACUUCAAACCCUUUUCGUAUUAGAAUUUUAUUAUGGUAGUAUGUUUAAAAAUAAUAUAUAAUAAAUAAUAAAACAUGUUAUUUAAAAUUAAUUAAUAAUAAAUAAAAUAUAUACUAUAUUAAAAUAAAAAUUAAAUUAAAUUAUGAGAAAAAUAAAAAUUAAACAUUUAAAUACAUAAUAAUAAUAUUAAAUGUAUUUUAAUUAUUUAUUAUAAUAUUAUCAUUAAUGUUAUGUUGAUAUCUAAUUAAUUUAUAACACCAAUUAAAUUCGAUAAAGAUAAUAAAGAAUAAAAUUAAAAUGUAUAAAAUAUCAAUUUUAGUUGAGUAGUAAAAUUAUUAUUUUAUGGAUCUAAAUGUUAUGGUUAAUGUAAAUUAUUUAAAUUUUAUUUAAAAAAAUUUAAGCACUCUAAAAUAAUAAUAAUAAUAAAUAUUAUUUAUUUAUUUAUUUAUUUAUUAUUAUUAUUAUUUAUGUUUGACACACAAAUGACCCUCACCGUACAUAAUAAAAUUUGUUUUCUCAAUCUUCUCUUACAGUUCUAUUCAAUCAAUCUCUCAAAAAAAAAAAUUGGUUUUUUCUGUAUCUUUCGAUAACCCUAAUUUUUGGCAUACCAUUUCUUUUUCCAAGUCUUGAUUUUUAUUUCUCGGUUUUUUUUUUCUAAAUCAAGCCCCCAAAAUGUAUUUUCUGAAUAUUUCAUCAAGAAUCGGAGCUUGACCCAUCACGUUUUUUGAGGUAACCGAUCUUGUAAUUUUUUUGAAGUUUGUUUGAUGAUCGGUUUUACUUUUGAUUAUUUAUUUUUUAUGAACAGUUGAAUGAUCAGAUUAGAGAUUGUUUGGUUACUAAAAUCUGGUUUAAACUGAUUAUAAAAUGGAAAGUUUUUGUGUGAUGUUUUGAAUUUUUUCUAUCUUUUGAAUCAUAUUUUUGGGCAAUCAAAAAUGAAUAUGGUUGAUCAAAAGAUUGUUGAUUUUUAUUGUAAAUUAUUGAUUUUUUUCUUUUUGCUUGAUAUUUAAAUGACUGAUACAAAUAAUCUAUGAAGUUGGGAUUUUUUUAUCAAAUAUGGAAUGAAUUUGCAUUGAUUUUUGUAUGUUUUUAGCUACAUUUGCUUUAUAGCUAGUCUGUUCUUGGCAAAAAAAAAAAAAGAUUUAUUUUGAAAGACUAUUUGCUAAAUAGUCUAUUUGAGAUAGCUACUUAGUGGAAGAAUUAUUUGUUUCCUCUUUUGAUAUAAUUUGCUCACUGAUUGUAUUAUUAUUGUUUAUAAUUUGAUAUCUGGUAAUGUCAUGAGAGACAGGGUUUUUAUUCUAAGGGUAUGUUAAAAAAGUUCCAUAUAUAGUUACAUUGAUUAUAUGAGACCUUUCCGAAUAUGUACUGUUUUGCAUGUGAUAUGUGUUUAUUGGUUUCUUUUAUUGGUAAAGUUGGUUACUUUUAUGUUAACAGAAGAUUUGAAGGGGGUAUCGAGGGAAUUAAUUGGAAUGUGAAUUGUAUGGGGUGAAGAUGCCAGAUUUGCGAAGUGGAGCCCGGAGAUCGAAACGCAUUGAUGAUCUUCAGCCUCCUCCUCCUCCUCAUCCUCAACCAGUUGAACAACCGGAGAAUUGUGUACUGCUUGCUCAAAACCGAACCAGGAGGAGAGUUGGUGGAAGAGGGAGGGGUAAUGCUGCAGGUGUAGCCAAAGGGCCCUCAGCGGUGGUACCUACGAGGCCAACAGCUGCUGGUAGAGGCCGGGGCAUUAGGUUGAUAGAUUUAGACCCCGAACCUUGUCAGGUUCUUCCAGGGGCUUUACCUUUGGUUGCUGCUGAACCGGCGGCUUUUAACCGAGUAGAGGUGGUGGCAGAUAAAGAUAUUGCAAUGGAGGGUAGGAGUGGUGACAAAAUAGUUGGAGUUGAUGAAGAAGCUAGUACAACCCCGGUUCCUGAAAGGGUAUCUCCAAAGUGUUUGCCAUAUGUUUCCUUUUUAAAUAUAUUUAUUUUUUACUUAAAUCUUCCAUAGUAAGUUGCUUAUUCCCGGGACACCUUACUUUUGGCAAGAAAACCGGUUAAAUACAGUUUUUUUUCGUAUCCUUCAUGACAGCAUUUCAAGAAUGCUUCAACUAAUUGGAUAAUCAUUUCUACUUCUAUUGUUCAUGAAAGUGAGGGAACCAGUGUUUUAACUUUCUUACCAACGAUAACGUACGUAGUUAUUUUGUUGUUUCUCUCAAUGCAUACCAUUUUUAUUAUUUGUUGCAGGUACAAGUGGGUAAUUCUCCUGUAUAUAAGGUAGAAAGGAAACUGGGAAAGGGUGGUUUUGGCCAGGUUUAUGUUGGCCGAAGGGUAAGUGGUGGUAGUGGUAGAACUGGACCAGAUGCAAUUGAGGUAUGUCCGAGAAAUUCAUUCCCAUGCUUAAGGGUUUUCCAGAUCAAACCACUUGGAUGUGAUGACAUGAGAUUUUUUCAUAACAGGUAGCCUUGAAACUUGAGCACCGAAACAGUAAAGGUUGCAAUUAUGGUCCGCCUUAUGAGUGGCAAGUGUACAAGUAUGGCAUUUAUAAUCCUAAAACUUUGAGUCAAGCUUUUGUUUCUACAUAGUGCAGCUUCUAAAUUCUUACUUUUUUUCUCUUGAUGUCCUUACGAAAUGCAAAGUACCCUAAACGGGUGCUACGGAGUUCCUUGGGUGCAUCACAAGGGUAUCCAAGGAGACUUCUACGUUCUGGUGAGCUUUUAUUCUGUGCUCCUUUGUGUCAUAACACCCGAAAUACUUAAUGCAUCUUAAAGAAAAUUAAUGAAAUUUUCAGGUGAUGGAUAUGCUCGGUCCUAGUCUUUGGGAUGUUUGGAAUUCUUUAGGACAAUCGUAAGAAAUAGAUUCCUCCUCUUUUGUCUUUGUUGUACAUAUUUGAGGCGCGUCUAGAUGAUUCUACAAUACACUUUCAUAUUUGUAAGGUGUAAUAUGACAGGAUGUCUCCUAAUAUGGUUGCCUGCGUAGCAGUGGAGGCAAUAUCAAUUCUUGAAAAGCUUCAUUUAAAAGGGUAUGUCAUAUCUGAACUUUCUGCACUUCAUUAAAUUCAUCCUUCCGUUUUGCAUUGUUGCAGCUGAUUGUUUAUUGUCUUCUUGAAAUAAGGUUCUUGCAUGGGGAUGUGAAGCCUGAGAAUUUUUUACUAGGCCGACCUGGAUCAGCUGAUGAGAAGAAGCUAUAUCUUAUUGAUCUUGGUUUAGGUAAAUUAUCCUCGGUCCCAACUUCCCUUCUGCUGUGUUUAGCAUGAGCGCUUAUAGUUAACUGUUAGUGUUCUCUUCUUCUUCAAUGGGAGAUUUCUCUACGAGAUUAUAAUUUUCUCUCAUGUUUUUUAACCGAGCUGGAAUAAAUGCUAUUUGCUAAUGGUAUUAAUUGCUAUCUGCCUCUUGUGUUCUUGGAUCAGCUUCUAGAUGGAAAGAUGCACGCUCAGGUCAACAUGUUGAUUAUGAUCAGAGGCCUGAUGUAUUCAGGUUUGUGGACUUUUUGCUUUAAACAUAAGAGGGUAUUGCUUAUACUUGGUGCUAAUAUCUUCAAUAUUUCUUUUAUCAGGGGAACAAUUAGAUAUGCUAGUGUACAUGCACAUUUAGGUCGGACUGGAAGUCGUAGGGAUGACCUCGAGUCUUUGGCAUACACAUUGGUAUUUCUUCUAAAAGGGCGGUUACCAUGGCAGGGUUAUCAGGUUUGUUUCAUUGUUUCGAUUAUGGAUUUACCUAAUCUGGUAUACUUCAUUCCUCUUUACCAUCCUGCCUUUUUUGGGGCUUCACAGGGGGAUAACAAGAGUUUUCUGGUUUGCAAGAAAAAGAUGGCCACUUCACCCGAGUUGAUGUGUUGCUUUUGUCCUGCACCAUUUAAGCAGUUCCUCGAAGCUGUUUCAAAUAUGAAGUUCGAUGAGGAGCCCAAUUAUGCCAAGCUAAUAUCCUUCUUUGAAAGCCUAAUUGAACCAUGCACACCAUUGCAACCAAUUAGAAUUGACGGAGCUCUUAAGGUGGUUGUUAUGCCUUUUCCCACAAUUAAAUCAGUUCGAUAGGUUGUUCAAUUAAAAAACUUUUUCUUGGUUUCCUUUUGUAUAAAUAGAUUGGGCAAAAGAGGGGAAGAAUACUCAUUAACUUGGAAGAAGAUGAGCAACCUAAGAAAAAAGUACGAAUAGGUAAUGCUGCUACUCAGUGGAUUUCGAUUUACAAUGCUCAUCGCCCUAUGAAGCAAAGGUAAAAUUGCAUUUCUUGUUAAAUAUAGUAUCCAUUUCUACUACUUAUUGUUGUGAAAUGCUCAAAUAUUUUAUUUUAUCUCCAAUCUUUAAUGUUUGUUGUGUGAUCUUAUAUUCAAGUCGGGCCCCUCCUCCUAUUGCCAAUUUGUUUUAUGGUUGAUGCUUGGCAUGGUAUCGGAUCCUUGGUUUUCUGUUUCCGGCCUAUCCCCAUGUGAGGUUAACUUACCCCACGUGGCUUUCCACAUGUGGCCCCUUGUUAGCUGCAUUUAGGGGGGAGUAUUAAGUUCUGUUAUCCUACAUCUAUUAAAAGUCUUGGGUAUGCUGUGGUCUUAUAUUCAAGUUGGAUUCCCCCACCUAUUUUCAAUCAGUUUUAGAUUCAAUCGAUGCUUAACAACUUUCAUUAUUGGUGUCUUGUCUUUGAUGAUUAAACUUUUACAGUGACUGGCCAAAACUAAAGUAAAUGACAAAAGACCCAAUACUCAUUUCAAAGUUUGCAUGUGGUCCAUUAAAAUUUGAUUGCCACUCCUUGAUGUUUGUUUUCCGGUGCAUGCCUCUUUCCAUGAAAUGCGAGAUAUUCAACUAUGAUGCUUAAUGUUUGUUUUUGCCUAGAGUUCGCUCAUCUUCGGUAUGUUCUCAAUCGGUGUCCAUCUGACCUUUAGCUUUUUACCAAUCUUGUAGAUAUCACUACAAUGUAGCGGAUUUGAGAUUGAGCCAACAUGUGAGUAAGGGUAAUGAAGAUGGUUUGUUUAUUAGUUGCGUGGCUUCGGCAGCUAAUCUCUGGGCCCUGAUCAUGGAUGCGGGAACUGGUUUCUCUUCCCAGGUUUAUGAAUUGUCAACCGUAUUUCUACACAAGGUGAUCAUUCUAAGGCCUAAUUGGUGUCAUUUUUAUGCUUGCUUUAUGCGCCUUUUUUACUUUGGACUUCUAAUAUCAACUCGAUUUUAUCAGGAUUGGAUUAUGGAGCAGUGGGAAAAGAACUACUAUAUUACUUCAGUAGCUGGAGCAAACAACGAGAGUUCCUUGGUUGUUAUGUCGAAAGGUUGGUCAUUACAUACUAAAUAUAUUUCUUUUUAGACUACUUUGAAACUAGAAAACUUUUACCUUUUUAGCAGUGUCAUUGAGUUUGCUGAGACCACUGUCAUGCACAGAUAAAUUCAUAUAUUAAAAUUUAUUAAUGAAUCCCAGUGUUAAAGACUUGUCGAAUUUAUGUUCAUCUUCCUAAACCUGCUGCCAUAAUGCUGAAGUCAUACUAUGUUAUAUCCAAAGUGGUAUGCUUAAUUUGAAGGGUCUUUAGAGGGUCGUAUCCCAUACUCAUGUCCAAAGGUGUCCGACACAGGUACUUAAAAGAAAAAUGACGAGUCGAAGCAACAUAGCAGUCAUACACGAUCACAUCUUAUUGAGAUUAAAUUUAGUACUGAUGUAAAUAUGAAAUAGUCUACAGUUUAUGUUUCCUUCUAAAGGCUAGAACUGACUCCUUGGUUUCAAAAAAGCAAAAACCAUUAGUUUUUAGGGCUUAUUUUCAGCAAUUAACCUUUAGAAAGAAACUAAUGUCAAGCUUGUGGGUUGCAGAUGAGAUCAGUGAAAGCAAUAUGCUCCGAGCUUGCCCGAGAUUCAUAUAUAUUGAAAGCAUGUAAAUUAUAUUGACCAUCUAAUCACAAGCUAUUAUUGAUAUUCUGUGACUUCGUAGGGACUCCUUACACCCAGCAAUCCUACAAGGUGAGCGAAUCUUUUCCGUUCAAGUGGAUAAAUAAGAAGUGGAAAGAAGGCUUUUAUGUAACAUCAAUGACAACUGCUGGGACUCGCUGGGGUGUGGUAAUGUCAAGGAACGCUGGAUUCUCUGAUCAGGUAUUCCUUUCUUUUGAUCUUUACAUGUAUCUUCAGUUUUCCACUGUCCUCCAUUUCCUAAGUAUCUACUUACGCGUUGUUUUGCAUUUAUUUCAACCAUUCAAGGUUGUGGAGCUCGACUUCUUAUAUCCAAGUGAAGGAAUACACCGGCGAUGGGAGAGCGGUUACAGAAUAACAUCAAUGGCUGCAACUGUGGAUCAAGCUGCCUUCAUACUUAGCAUUCCAAAACGAAAAACAACAGAUGAUACUCAGGAAACGCUCCGUACAACUGCCUUUCCCAGCACCCAUGUAAAGGUGGGUAUACCCUAUUUUCGCACCUCAAUAUCCUUUUAACAUCCAUAUGAUGAUUGAUCAUUGGUUUGGAUUUUAAUGUUACAGGAAAAAUGGGCAAAAAACCUAUACAUUGCAUCGAUUUGUUAUGGUCGGACAGUUCGCUAAUCCCGGUCUGUACAUUCUGACUUAAACCAAAAAAAGAAAAAAGAAAAUGAGUUCAUGGUUUGAAAGCCACCGAGUAUCUUUCGUCUCGAGUUCGGUUAACUCUUCUAUAUAAUCUUCUCAUAUGUGAAUGUAAAAAGGGGAAAACUUGAAAAAAGAAAUGCAUAAGUGAGAAAUUGAAGAAAUGAGUUAAAAUUCCUUGAGCAGUUUUUCUGUUAUAAGCAUAAAUUUGAUGGUAAGCCGUCUUUUAUUUUAUUGAGAGAUAUCAUUAAUGGCUGCAAGUAAAUGUGCAGUGAAAAUCUUUCACCUGAGGAAAUAUGCCAAUACUUUCAUAUACUUGAUAAUCUGUAUAUUUAUAACAACUCUUCUAAAGUUUAUAAGAAUUUGCCAUAUAUUCAUUUAGUAUAUUACUAUUUUGGUUGGAUUGGGUUAAGGUUAAUAUCCUACGGUUUGCCUUCCUUCUAGAGGUGAUUGAAUCCAUAAUUCAGAAGCUUUUUGAUUUAAUCAAUUAUUUUUAUUUAGUGUUUGGUGUUAUUCAUGUUAUCAUAGGAAUGUGACAUUCUUUGAAAUGUAUUUCUCGGGAAAGUUUGGUUUGGUAUACAUUAUCAAGUAAUGAUAAAUUAAAUUUUUAUUUUUAUUAAAUAAAAAUAAUAUUUAUGUACUUAAUAUUUUUCUUCAACUAAAACCAUAUUCAUUAAAAAGAAAGACAAAAUGAACAAAGUGAAAACAAUCUAUAGAUUUAAUUUCUAUUUUAUUUUUAACAAAAAUUUAAGUUAAAUCUUUAAUAAUAAAUUUUAAUUGACAUUUUAAUUUUUUUAAUUUAUGAUGUUAAUUGAAAGUAAAUUUCUUUUAAAUCUGUCUUUCAUAUAUUUUGCAAAUAUAAUAAUGAACGUAUAGAAUUCUGUACAUAUAAAAUUUGUUUUAUAUAUAAUAACAGACAUUGAGGUUAAUAUAGGAGAACGUUAGGGGUGUGUAAAUUUCGGAAAAAGUUGUGUAAAUUUUGGAUAAAGUUGAGUUAAUUCAGUUAAUCGAAUUAGUUCGGUUAGGGGUAAGUUAAUAAUUUUUUGGAAGUUUAGUUAACAGUUAAUUUAAAUUGAAAUAGGUCGGUUAACCAAAUUAACUGAUCUUAAUAAAUAAUAUUAUAACAUAUAAGUAUUAAGUCAGGGUUUGUUAGUUCGGUUAAUUUUUUGGAAGUACAAAUUAAUCGAUCAGUUAAUUCGAUUAAUUUUUUUAUGUUUUAUAUUUGUUUUAACCAAAAAUAAAAAUAUAAAAUUUUAAUUAAUUCGGUUAACCGAUCGAAUUAACCGAAAAAAUUCGGUUUGGUUAAUUUAUUUUUUAACAAGAUUGGUUUAGUUAAAGAUUAAGGGUUUAAAAGGGUCGGUUAAUUUAAUUAAUGGUAGUUUGAGUCGUUUAACCGAUUGAACACCCCUAGAGAACAUGGGUUCGAGUGCGCUGAAGCACAUUAUCCUCCUAUUUAUGGGUUGAAGAAGGGCUAUAGGUAGUUUUAGACAUUGUGUUAAAAAUAAUAGAUAUAAUCAAAAACUAUAAUGAAAUUAUUAAAAAAAACUUAUUUUUGAAUAAAUUAAAAAUAUUAUGUAUAUAUAAUACUUACGAAUAAUCUAUUGAAAUAUAUAAAAAAAUCAAGUUGUAAAAUAAAAGAAGAAGAUAAUAAUUUUAUUUUAUUUUUACGUUUAUCAAAGAAAGAUUUUAAAAUAUUCUAUGUAUUGAAAAAAAUUUCAAAGUCCAUCAUUUGUACUAAAUUUUGUUUUAAUACUAAUUUUUUUUAAGAAAAAUGAAAAUAUAAAGGGAAAAGAUAAGUUUAAAAAAAAAUUAAAUUGUUUAAAAAUAUUCGAGCAUUGGUCAAAUAGUUUGAUAUGUAAUAAAUAGAUAAUAUUAGUGAUUAUAAAAAUACAAUGAGAUCUUAGCUUAGUUAUCAAAGACGGAGGCUCUAGGUUUUGGUAUUUAGAUUCGAGGCUUAUUAUGUGCAAUUAUAUGCGUAGAUUUUUGAGCUCAUCAUGUAUGGAAGUUUUAGUCUAGAUAAUCUUAGUUUGUUGGGUUUAGUUAGGAUCGUAUCAAUUUUUAGUUUGUUAAUAUUGUGCUGUAAUAGUUUGAUUCUAUUCAGUGAUUACUCGGAUAGUUCAUUUGUAAUAGUUUGAUACUUGUGGUUACUCAGACUUGUAUUUGUAAUUAUAUUAUACUUGUUACACUUUAAAAAAAAAUUUGAAAAAUUUAGUAAUCAAAGUGUUGGUAAAAGUACCAUGAAGGCCAUUAUACUAGAAGUCAAAUUGCAUUCUACCCCUCUACUAAAACAAUGUGUAAAAUAGUACUCGUAAAUUAGAUCAAAAAGCAAAUUGGCAAUUCUAUUAAAAAAAUCAUUCAUAACUACUACUAAAAAUUGGUUCUUAUACAUAUGACGUGUAACUGUCAGAUUUUUCUAUGAACUACAUCAAUUUUUAAUAGAAGAAAUAGAUUAAAUUUUGAACAGAAAGGAUUAAUUUGCUCCUUAACAUAAGGUACAAGGAUUAAUUUGCCCUUUUUUUUAGUAAAGGGGGUAAAAAUACAAUUUGAGUCCUAGUAUAGAGACCUCUAUGGUACUUUGAGGUAAAUGACUUAUUUGGCACUCCAAUUUUACAAAAAAAAAAGAAGAAAAGACUAUUUUAGUUCUUCAUUUUAGCCCUUCACGCGUAUGUCACGUCAAUAAAAUUAAUAAAAUAUUAUUAUUUUUUAUUCAUUUUUAAGUGAAUUAAUAAACAAUUCAAGUUCAAGUACUAAAACAAAUGAAAAAUUAAACGGAAAACUAAAUAACUUUAUUUUAUAAAGUUAGAAGUUAAAAUAAGCAAUUACACUAUACUUUUACCUUGAAAUGUGAUCAAGCCAAUGAACUUGUAGUUCACCGUCUUGAAAAUGUUUAAGGCAAUUUUAUUUUAUUUUUUAGAACUACGAGUAUAUUAACAAGUUCAAAUCAGUAAAAUAAAUAAUUGUUAAAAAAUAUCAAAUAAUUUAAAAAUAUAAAUUCAAAACUUGAGGAAUUCAGCACUACAAAAGUUUAUCAAAAGAUUUUUAUUUUAAUUUAAUUAUUGAAGCAUAUAAUAUUAAUAAAUAAAUUAUAAAAAUAAUCACUUCUAUUUAUCUCAUAUUAUAUUUUAAUUAUUUAUAUUUAAAGUAUUAUAUUUUAAUUAUUUAUAUUAACGUUUUAUUAUGAAAUGAUCACUCUACUGUUAAGAUUUACUAUCUCCAAAAAUCACACUCCAACAUGAUAAUUAAAAUAUGUUUUAAAUUGAGUAAAAAUAAUCCUAUAAAAUUGAGUAAAAAAAUUUAUAAAAAUAAAUUCAGACAAAUUUCUGCUCAUGAACGCACAUGCUUUUAACUAAAAGGAUAGUUUAGUAAUUUAAUAUACUAAGAAACUGCAAAACCCUAUUUCUCCUGUUUCUUACAAAUUUUUACUCCUUCAAGUAUAAACCCUUUCAGGAGAAAAAACACUUGGAAGCCUCACCUCGGAGAAGCCGAACAGAGAGUGUGAUAAAAAGGCAAAAUCCAUGCGACCACCGAGAGGAGGCGGAGGUUUCCGUGGCGGCAGGGACGGUGGCAGAGGGAGAGGAGGUGGCCGAGGAGGCUUUGGUCGCGGUGGUGGACGUGGUGGCGGUGGGUUUCGUGAUGAAGGCCCUCCUGCUGAAGUAGUGGGUUAGUGUUUUUUUACCCCUUUGUGGUAAUUGUUAUUUUGGUUUUCUUGUUUGGAUGCUAAGAAAAUGAGAGGAACAAUAAAAGAAACCCCAUUUUGAUGCAGCGAGGAGUAAGUACUAGGUAGUAACAUUUUUUAUUUACGGUUUUUCUUCCAUUGCCCUUUGCUUUGUCUAUAUACACACAUAUCUUGUUGGAUGCUUAGAAAAUUAAAUUUAAUUGCAAAAUUAGGGAUAAAAGCAGUGGUUUUGUUGCAAAUAAGAGCUCGGAUGUGAGUGCAAGUUAUUAUUUUGGUUACUUAGCAGUAAAAGAUAUUAUUUUGUUUUGUUACUCGAACUUGAGUGCGAGUGUAAGAUACAAUUAUAUCGGACAUUGGUAUGUCUAAUUUCUUAAAAGAACCUUCACUUGUAGGAUUGCGUUUUGAAAUUUGUGUCUGAAAAUAUGUCCGAUACGGGUGUCAAUACACCAUACUUAAACAACAACGAACAAUCUGGGCAAUAAUUUGACUUAACGAACAAUCUGGGCAAUAAUUUGACUUUCUUUUGUUUGUUAUUUAUGCAGAGGUAUCUACAUUCCUUCAUGCUUGUGAGGGUGAUGCAGUGACAAAGCUGAGUAAUGAGAAAAUACCUUUCUUUAAUGCUAACAUCUAUCUGCAAAACAAGACCCAGAUUGGGAAAGUCGAUGAAAUCUUUGGUCCUAUCAACGAAUCUGUGAGUUCUGAUGCUAGUUUUCAAUGCAUUGUUCUUAAAUGUUCUGGACUUUCAAAUGCAUGUUGGUUUAUUUGCUUUCUUGCUUGUUGCAGUAUUUUUCAAUCAAGCUGUUGGAAGGUAUUGUAGCGACCUCGUACACUGCAGGUGAUAAGUUCUAUAUUGACCCAAGCAAACUUUUGCCUCUUGCUAGAUUUCUUCCACAACCAAAGUAUGUUUGCUUUUCCUUAUAUUCUUUCAUUUACUGUCACAAAAUUGCUUUGCUUUGAUUUAUUUUAUCGAUGCUUGUGUCCUGGAUUUGUUUUGAGAUGAUCUAACCAAACUUGUCGAGUUUCAACCGAACUUGCAUGGGGAAAAAAACUGAAAUUUUUGGGUUUCAACCUCCCCCUAUAUGUCUUUUUUUAUCUCACAAUCAAGUUCGGAGGCUAGGCAUGUUGGUUUCUUAUCUGAAAUUUUCGGGGCAAGUUGUGGGGCAGUUCUAGAUAAAAUCCACCUUGCCACGAACUUAUAUGGGAGAAACAAGCGAACUUUUUGGGUUUCAACCUCACCCUAUAGGGCUUUCUUUUAUCUGACAAUCGAGUUCGGAGGCUAGGCAUGUUGGUUUCUUAGCUGAAAUUUUCAGGGCAGGUUGGGAGUGGUUCUAGAUAAAAUCCACAUUGCCCCGAACAUAUAUGAGGAAAAAUAACCCAACUUUUCAGGUUUCAACCUCACCUUAUGGGUCUUUCUUUUAUCUGACAAUCAAGUUCAGAGGCUAGGCAUGUUAGUUGCUUGGCUGAAAUUUUCAGGGCAUAUUGGGGGCGGUUUUAGAUAAAAUCCACCUUGCCUCGACUCAAUAUUUUUACUAAAGUACCCCCUCUUUUAAUUCUUUAACUUUUUUUUUAAUAUAUUUGGUUUAGUUGGUAGAUUUUUGGAAAUGGUGUUUAAGUUUACAGAUUGGGAGGAGUUCUUUGUUUCAGGGGUCUGGUCUUGGGAGCUAGAUUCAAGUCAAGUUCUGGUUUCCAAUCUGUUGCUAUCCUCAUAUGCUUCAAUUUAAUUUAUCUUUUGAUGUGAAAUUGGUAGUUUGCUGGAGUUCAUAUAAUUGGUUAUGGUACAUAAUAUCACAUGAUGUAAUUUUUUAGGGGGCAAGCACAAGGUGGUGGAAGAGGUGGUCGUGGAGGAGUUAGAGGUGGCGGUAGAGGCGGUGGUCGUGGUGGAUUCCGUGGAAGGGGUGCUCCUAGAGGUGGCAGGGGUGGUUUUAGGGGCGGUGGCCGUGGUGGUGGUUUUAGAGGCAGAGGGAGAUUUUAAGUAAUAACAUUUUGUAACAGUACCAAUGCCCAUUUAUUUUAUCCUUUUGCAAUGUCAUGGGCAUUGAACUUCGAAAAUUUGAUUCCGAACUUGAUUGCGACUGUAGCAUGUUCAACACAGAUACGUUCAUCUCGUACUUUUGUCAAUCGAAAGUGCCUAUAACCAAGUUUAUGAUACAUGCUGGUGAUCCAGCUUAUUCCCCUCUCCACGAUAGGUUAUGCUCUAUUGUUCUACUCCGACAUAAGCCAAGCUCUGAGGUUGAAACUUUAUUUUAUUUUUUAAUAAUUUCGUUAUAGAUUUCGAUCAUAUUUGUUUUUUUUAACAUAAUCUAUAGAAUUACUCAUAAUUUUUUUCCAACUCAUAAAUAUGUUUGAAGCGCUUCAUACUAAUCGAUAAAUUGGCAACAAUAUUCAUACUAAUCGAGUUAAGAUUUAAUUGAUAAAUUGAGAUUUGAAUUUUAUCUAAAGAGUAUUUGUUUUUGAAGUUUAGAAAUUUAGCAGCUUGAUUUUUAUGCAUUAAAUUUAAAAUCAAUUAUUUUAUUGUAUUUUUGGUAAAAUUACAUUUUCAGUUCCUUUUAAUUUUGAAAUUGAGUAAACUAGUCUUUUUGAAAAAAUAGGAUAAUUUAAUCUUAUCAGUUUCGAAAGUGAGCAACUAAAGAUAAUUAAUUAUGAAAUUAAUGUUUUUCAUCCAUUGUACAUGAGUUCGAUUGAUAUAAUAACAAUUUAGCUUUCAAAGUUUACAUGUUUUGUCAAUUUGACUUUAAUUUAACAAAUUUAUCUUGCAACAUUUUCUGAAUGUGUACAUAUUGAGGAUGAAUUUGUUGAAUUUUUAAGAAUUAAAGUCAAAAUGACAAAAUAUAUAUGUCGAAACCAUCCCUCGAUUAAAAUUUUUUUUAAUUUUAAUGAAAAAUGGUGAAAUCGACUUUUUGGGAAAUAGAAAUAUGGAGUCUGCCACCGAUCCUUUUGUUUUGGUGUGAUCGGGUCACCUAAUAAUUUGGUUAUUUUAAUAAAACAUUUUCGGUUUACUAAAACACCGAUUAUAGUCUACGAAAGUGUGAGAAAAUGGGCUCAGGAGUCGGUUACGUAUGAGGAAGGGUUAGCACCCUCAUUACGCCCAAAAUUGGUACCAAAUCGAUUAACUAUUGUCCUUAUGUCUAAAACUAAAAAUGUUUUUGAAAUGUGGUUCUUGUUAACAACAUUUGAAUAACCCGAGUUGGUUGCUAAAAAUCUCCUUGUUUCGACGUCCGAAAAUUUAUAAUUUGAAAAUCACAAAAGGAUGCUCAACUAUUUAGUCCAACGAAAAAAUCGAAACCUAGCACAGUAGGGUACGAUUCCUCGAAUUUCCAAACAUUGGCCAUUGCCUUACCUUACAAAAUACGUGUGAAAUUCCGAGGAGAUAUUCGAUUAUUUUGGACAAAUGAAAAAGUGCAACCCAGCACGAUAAGGCACGAUUCUCAAAUCGCCAAACAUUGAACAUCGUCUUUGUUUUUAAGAAUGUUUUCUAAAAGCGAGUGAAAACCUAAAGGAAUAUUCGAUUAUUUUGACUAAACGAAAAAUCACAACCCAGCACGGUAGAGCAUGAUUCCCGAAUCAUCAAACACCGAGUAUUGCCUUCGUUUUAAAGGAUUUUUAGAGGGGCUGAGUGAAAUUUUGAAGGGAUAUUUGAUUAUUUUAAACAAUCGGGGAAUUGCUACCCAACACGUUAGGGCACGAUCCCGCGAAUUGCCAAAUAUCACAUAUCGCCUUCGUUUUAGAGAUUUUAAAAGACACGUGCAAAAUUUUAAAAUGAUAUUCGAUUAUUUUGAACAAAUGCGAAAUUGCAACCCAACACGUUAAGGCACAAUUCCGCGAAUUGCCAAACAUCAAAUCUCAUCUUCAUUUAAGGGAUUUUAAAAGAUAUGAAUGAAAUUUCAAAGGGAAAUUCGAUUAUUUUGAGCGAACGCGAAAUUGCAACCCAACACGUUAGGGCACGAUUACGCGAAUCGCUGAACAUCAAAUUUCGUCUUUGUUUUGAAGAAUUUUUGGAUGAAUACUUAAGAACAUAUUAAGUCGAUUUGAAAUAAGAUGACAUUGAUCGUAGAAAUUGGAUUUUAUAAAACCACAUUUCGAAAAAAAACAAAUGAAAACGAUGAGAUGGGAUAAUAGGCGUAUGCAUAAAAAUAUGACAAUGGAAAAAUGAGGAUAAUAUAAUUUAUCUAAUCAACUACAAGGACUAAGCAUAACUAGCUUGGAAAUAUAACUCAACUUCAAUCAUGCAUGGAGAAUAAUUAGCUUGACAAUAAUGAAUACAUAAAAUGCAACGACAACAUACAUGGCAUAAUAAAAAUUAUUAGAGGCACCAAACAAAAUGCAAACCAAAGAAACAAUAUGGUAUAAAACUAUUUCACAAUAAUGACGAAUAAAUGGACAUAUAAAAUAUAGGUUGAAAAUUUGUAUAAAACUAAGGAUAUAUGUAUAAAACCUUUUUUGAAACUGAUAUUAUAGAAUGAAAGUUUAGGUCAAAUUGCAUGUAAAAUAUUUUAAAUACAAAUACAUUUAAAAGUUGACAAACUACAUGAUGAUUUAAAUAAUGUAACAUAAAAGAAUGAGAAUAAAGAUAUGUGACAAGACUUAAUACAUAAAAUAGAUUUAUGAAACAUGUGUACAUGUAUAAAAAUAGUAUUUAAGUGUGAAAUUUUAAACCAAAACAAUGUGUGGUAAAAUGUAUUCUUAAAAGGGUGACUUAUGUACGUAAAAGAAAGUAUAUAUAUAUAUAUAGAAAAAAAAUUAAGAGAAUUCAUAAAAUAACCUUAGUAUGGGACUAAAUAUGUACAUAGAACUAAAUUAUUAACCAUUUAUGAACAAAUAUACGUGAAACAUUUGAGCAAGUGUUACAUAGAUAUUUUAAAUAAUACAGUAUAAAAAUGGACUAUAAAAUGAUGAUUAAAAAUAUAUGAAAAAGUUAUUGAAAUAGUUCAACAAAUAUAUAAAAAUGUUAAGCACUUUAAAGUACAAAUAUUAUAAAUUGCAAAUUAUGAACCUUGAUUAAAAAAAAUGUACAUGACACAUAUAUAGAAUAUUUAAAGAAAUGUCAUACAAACAGCGAAAUAACAUGAUAAAAAGAACCUUGAACUCGUUACACAAAGAAGACUAUAGGUAUAAAAUCAUGGAUCUAAUAAAGUAUAUAGAUCAAAUAUAUGUACCAAUAUAUAUAUAAGUAUUUAAUCAAAAUGUUAUAUAAAAGUGCUAAAAUAAUUUAACGUGAAAAGAAUUUUAAAAAGAUGAUUUUAUAAACAAAAUAGAGUUUUCAAAAAGAACUCAACACAUAUAUACACGUAUAUGAAAAUAUUAGGAAUUUUAAAAGAAUAAGCAUUACGAGUCAAAAACUCAAUUAAAAUACUACAUGUACAAAUAUAUAUAUUAUCUAAAAGAAUAUUGUACAAGAAUGUUAAAAUAAUCUAAAUAAAAUCUUCAAAAACAAAUGUACAAAUAUAACCAAACAAAAUGAUUAAGAUAGAUCGAUAUAGAGAUAUUAAAUAUGUUUAAAAGGUAAGUUAUACAAAUAGAAAACUAAAAUAAAAAUGAAUUAAAAUAGGAUGAAUAGUUUAUAAAUAAAAAAAAUCGAAAAUUGGGUCAAUAAAUAAUCCGCGCAAGUAUGUAGGGACUAAAGCUGGAAAUAUUCUAGAUGCCCAAAACGCGACACUGUACAGUGGACUAGAGUGCAAACACGCACAAAUUGCAGGGGUAAUAAAGAAAAAUCCUGAAGCAUGAGUGCGAGCUGAUUGAAACGUGGUGCGAAAGGAGAGGGGCCGAUUUUGGAAAUAUACCCUCAUUGCAAAAACACGCGGGUCAUCGGGGCAGCAAACUGGAUCGAGUCGGGCCCGAUUAAACGACGUCGUUUCUGAGCCAUUGAAACGGGCUUAAAACGGCGUCGUAUUUGGUCCUUUAAAAGGACCUAAAGCUGAAUCAUUCGGCCAAACAAACCCUAGCCCCUCUUAUCCCUCUCGUCUGACCUUAGAACUCCCCCUUUAGCGCCGAUCUACGUCUAUCAGCAGAGACGAACAGCCCCGGGCUUCAAAGGAUGACCAUUUCGGUCGUGGGAUCCCUUCUAAACCCCGAUUUCGACGAAAUGAAGGGGAUACGACGGCCAACUCGCAAGGUAAACCUCUCUUUUGCUUUCUUUUUUUGUUUUUGAGAUAGAUUUCAAAAUAAAAAGAAAAUAGAGGCGUAAAAAUGAAAACAGGGAACAACCUUUGCAGAAUAUUCAACUUCUUUGUAUUUGAUUCCUCUUUUUUUUGUGUAAUCUGUUCGUAGUCGUAUUACAAUCGAAAAUCAAAGGCUUUAUAGCCGAAUAACUAAAGAAAACAACAAUUUUUGUCCUCUGCUUUUGUAUUGGCUUGUUGCUGCUUUCGUUUGUUUUCUUUUGCAGGUACGGAGCACGGGGCUGUGCGUUGGCGCUCGGGUACGGGUCUAGGCUAGGGUACGGAGGUGGUACGGUCGUUGCGAGGCUGUUGCGGCGCAAGAGGGUGACCUAGGGUUCCCGAAAGUGUUGAAGUUUUUGGGCUUUUUGGGCUAUUCGGGAUUGGGCUUAUUGGGCUAGGAUAUUAAGUUUGGUUUUUGGGUCAUGUAUUGGGUUUUAUAUAUUUUUUGUAUUUGUUUGUUUUGUGUUUACACGGGCCCAGGCAGAUUUGGCCCAUUACAAUGUAAACAUCAAAAGUUAAAUUUAUUAUUAUACUAAUAAAAAUUAUGUACAAUUGAUAGAGACAUUAACAAAAUAAUUAAUUGUCUGAAAUUGCUCACUUAUUAUAAUUACUCACUUAUUGUGAAACCGUAGAAUUAAUUUACUUAAUUUUGAAAAAAAUCUUCUACUUCAAAUUUUUUUUAUACAAAUUAAAUAAUAUACUUAAAAAAAUAACUCCACACAUGAGAUUCUCUAGUGAAUUAUUAUGAUACUUAAGACUAUUACUUUCAUAGCUACAGUUUGAUCUCAAAUAACAUCCAAAUAAUAGAGUUUGGAAGUCUGUCAAAUCAAAAUUGAGUUCAUUUUAGAUUAGUGAUAAUUUUGAGUUUAGAUUUUUGGGUUUAAAUAAUUAUUUUAUAGUUAUUUAUUUGGUUUGUGUUUUAGUUUUUUUUUUUUUUAUAAUUUAUGUUUGGGGUUAUCAUUUUCAAUAAUAUUAUCUCUAAUAUUUAAAUUGGCAUCUUUCUUAAAAGUACAAUAUACAUUAUUACUUCACUUAAUAUUUAGUGAUGAAAAUAACUUUGUUAUUUUAGUGAAUACAAGGAAAGUAAGCAAGGGUUUUGGCUCCGCCUCAAAUAUAAAAUUGUAAUUUUAAUUCCUUAAAUAUAAUUAAAUUAAAAAUUAAUAUGAGAUAAAAUUAUGUUUCAAUUCUCUCAAAAAAUAUUUAAUUCCUUUAAAAACAAUGAAAUUAUAAAUUCAUAUAAAACAAAAUCUAUAUUUUACUACCUUAAAAAUUUAUAAUUGAAUUUACCUCUAGAAAAAAGAAGUGAAUCAGUGUGAUCUAAAUUUUAAGCAGAGUUGUGAUCAUAUUGCCCAACUUGGUACUUUCGAAAGUCAAAAAGUAUCGAGUGGUACCACCCAACAAUGCAAAAAGUCAUGCUUAUCGACUGGUACUACCCAACAAUGCAAAAAGUCAAACAUGUUCGUGUGGCUGCCUAACGCUUUUUUUUUCCUUUAAAUAACUUAAAAUUUUUGAUUAAUUAUAAAAAUAUCUAAAUUAAAAUGAUUUCCACGGUAUUAUAUAAUCACACUUCAAUCAAUUUAAAAAGCGUAAUUAUUUUAUUAGAUCCUUAAACGAUUUAUAUAAUUACGAUUCAAUUUAGUACUAUCAAUUUAUCGAAUUGUACCACUUAAAAAUUAUUAUUAUUUAAAAUACAAUCAUUAAUCGAUAAUGAAAGGUUGACAGAAAUUGAAUCAUUUACGUGUAAAAUUUUUAGAUUGGAUUAUUUUCAUAAUUAAUAAUGCCUUUGGAUUUUGUCCUCUGCAGCUAAGAUUUAGAAAAAGCCGUAGUUAAUAAUUGGAUGGAUAUGCAAAACUUGGACCGACCUUAUUUGUUCAUUUCUACUCAUAAAAUAAAUAAUAAAUAAAAAAUAUCAGAAAAGUGUAAUUAAUGUGUAUCAAAACGUAAUAAUAAAUUAUUUUUAAUUGUUGCCUAUAAAUAUCAAUUAAAAAUACCUAAAAUGUGAGGUCAUUUUAAUUUUAGUAAGAAGAAAAAUUCUGUUGGGAGAUUUAGAAAAUGGCAGCCUCAUGCUCUUUUUGACAUUUUCUAUGGUUCAUUGUUGAAUAGGCCUAAAUUUUACUCUCUUUAUAUAUUUAUAUAAGCACAAUUCGGACCAAGCUCAAGUUAACUCAUAAACCAAUUCUACAAUUCUUUUAUAUUAAUAUUUAUAUAUUUUUAUUUUUAUAAACAAGCAAAGAAUCAAGAAAAAAAUGGGAUAAAACUCAUUCAUCACAUAUUUAAAUAUUAGGAUUGAAGCUGAUUAGGUAUUAGUUCGGUUGGUAUCGAAAUUGUUGUAGUAUGAGAGAACGUGGAUUUAAGCGUACUCAAAUACGUUUAUUUUUUUAUUUAAAAAUUAGAAUGAGAUUAUGACUGCUUUGCAAUUGUACAUGUCAAACUUGAACUUAGAUAAGUGACAAGCUAAAAUAUAAUUUUAUCAGUAUAUUAAUUUCUUAUGUCAAAAUCUUAAGAAUAUUAAAUUGAAAUUUUAUCAUAUUAAAAAUUAAAAUAUAAUUUUAUCUUUAUAUUACUUUAUAAUUUUAAAUAAAUUAAAGAGACUGAAAUGAGAUUUUAUUCGAGGAUAAGGCUCAUGUUUACUGUCUUAGCGCGGUUUUUGACAUGGGUACUCAAUGAAUCCGGUUCACCAACAAUGCCUUCGAAUAUUAUAGGGGUAUUGAGCAAUGCAUUGAAUAAUAUUCAGCCAUCAACUGAUUAAAACAUUAAAUAUUAAUGUUAACGUCUAAGUAGGGAUGUAGCUAGAGGGGUAGAUUAGAUAGUGGCCUUGUCCUCCCUUAGUUAAGGGGUAUAAUAUUUCUUUUAGUCCCUUUUAGUUAUGAAGUAUUCAAUUUAAUUAUCUUUUGAACAAAUUUUUAACUUUAGCCACCAAACUUUUAAAAUUUUAUUUUGGCCCCCUAAUAAUGAAUUGUUGGCUUCACCCCUGAGCCCAAGUGUAUUUCAUACUAAUAUAACAUUGUUUGUCUUAUAUUCCAUGUUAAUAAAUAAUUUAGAAUUAUAAAAUUUUAAAUUUUAAAAAUUCAAAAAGAUUAAAAAAAACAUGAAGUACACUUAGAUUGCCAUGAGAGUUUUCAUGUUUAAAAAUUUAACGUUUUAGUCAAUACUUUAGUUAAAAAAAUAACAAUUUGAUUAUUUUAAUAGGUCAAGGGCUAAAUUUAACUAAAAAAAGAAUAAGAGUUAAAUUGAUAAAAGAUGUAAAUAUUAAAGGUUUAAUUUAUAAAUAUAUCUUAAAUUAGAAACAAAUUAGGGUUCUUUUCUCCCUUUUUGGUCGAUAUUUCCCUUUUUCUAGAGACUAAAAGCUAUAAUUAAAUAUUUCAUCUUUGCUGCUAUAACCCAAAACUGAAAAUCGAUAAAAUGACGAUCAAAUUAUUAAUGGAGUUGGUGAGCCAUCAUUUGACUUUGUGAAGCCAUACAAUAAUAUACCAAAAGCCCUUUUUUGAGGAGAAAACUUCAAUCUUCAGCAAACGCGUUUUUUUCCAGUAUAUCAUUUAAACACUUUUUACAUUCUCUGGCGUUUUCCCCCAAAAAAAAUACUCACCAUUUUUUUCUUUAAUUUUCAGCUUUCUUCCUUAUACAUUCUUCGUAAUUCCAAUCUACCAUCACAUAAACAAAGAAAAAAAAAUUCUGGGUUUCUUAUCGAAUCUCCAAAUCUUUCUCUUUCAUUGAAGAAAAAAAUUGAAAAACAUGUGUCCUAUGAGGUUCUUAUUGGUGUUUUUCUCGGCGAUUUUAGCUGGGUAUUUCGCUUGGAGAACGGCGGUGGGUUCAUCGGUUGAUGCCGAUGAUGGGGUUUCUGAAGAUUCAAGGAAAAUUGUUGCCAAAAAUGAACAAGAUUUCAGUUUCAAAAUGGUAUGCAUUCGUGUUCGUAUUAUCAUAUAAAUCAUGUUCAUAUCAUUAUAUUAUUUAAAUUAACUGUAAUUUUUUUUCCUGUUAUUGAAUUUCCUGAUGGUUAAGAAUGGAUUCUGGGUAUUUGUUGAUAUGGCUAGUGGAAGGUAUUUGUGGAGGAAUUUUAAGGAAUUGAAGAAUGAUGAGAAAUUAAAGAGCUCUUAACAGUUUUUGAUUGAAUUGUAGAAUUAUGUCAAACCACUUUUUUUUUUCUUUUUCUUAUUCAAUAUGUAUGAAUGUAUGUAUGAGAAAUUGAGUUCGUUGUUGUUUCCAAAGAUAGGGAAAUUUGAAUCUAAAGAGAUGAAAAGUUCUCAAUUAUUGUAGAUUUACCAUGUUUUAUGAAUGAAAAUUUAUAUAAUUAGAAUCUUUGGUUCUUAACUGAAUUUCCUGCAAAUUUUAUUUCUAUAUUAGAGCUUAAUGCUUUUUGAAUAAAUUUUCGAAUUUUAAUUUUGUGGAUAGAGAAAACAGUUUUCGGUGAGUUUUAAUCUGUUUAAGAGUUUGAUUCGAUUAUAAAUUUAAUUAUAACUCGAUGUGGUUAUCGGAUAAAAUUCUUCAUUUGUAAUUGUAAUGACUUGUAGUUGAGUUAUAAAAACUACAUAAAAGCAUUAAAAACUGUUAACACUAUAUUAACAAAAGAGGAAAUAAGGAGGAGAAGGUGGUGGAGAUAAGGAAGUUGGUUUAUCUAUAUCAAGCGGAGAGUCGGAAUAGGUGGAGGAGAGGAGGAAUACUUGGGUUUUUCUCAAGGAAGGAGGAGAUCCUUUGUCUGUCAUGCUAUAGGGUAUACAUAAGGGGUAUCCCUAUCCCGUUAUGCCAUGUAGUUGACAAUAUGAAAGGUAGCUUGCUUACGUGAUCGGCCAGGUUGUAGAGCCGUUACAAAUCAAUUGCCGCCAUAUGUAGUACUGUGUGAUCCUGCUAUGAUAUUUUCUUUAUAGAGAUUGUUAUACUUUGUGGUCCCCACAAAGAGUUCGUAGUGAAUCGUCUUAACUAGGACUUGUGGAGGGUCACUUAUGGAUGGUUUUGGACGAGAGUCACAUUAAAGGAUGCUAAAUGGAGGGUUACACUCACGGAUCGUCCCAAGCAAUCCUCGAUGAAGGGUCCAUGACAAGUCACCUCUUGCCCUACCACGUGUCCUUGUCAAGACAAAUGUAUAACAAAAAUAAAUCAUAGUUGUUGAAAUCAAACUAAGUCAGACGGUUGACAUGGUUGAAUUAAAAAUCAGUUGGUUCAACAAUUCAAUCAAUAUUACAAAACCUUUUUUAAUCGAAUCAAUCUGAACCACUACAAAAUUGAAAAUUGAAACUGGUUUGGGUUAAUGUAAUCUUUAACCUGUUUAAUUUUCAUUACAUGUCAACCUUAAAAAAAGCUAAAAUGUAAAAAUUAAAAUAGAAAUAAAUCGGGUGAAUUAGUUUUUAUUUGGCAUAAUAAUUUAUUUGGCCCAUCAACUUUAUAAAAAAAAGUCAUUUUUGCUCUCCAUUUAAUUUUUAGUCUUUUUUAACUAAGGUUUGUUAAUUUUAAUAACGUGAAAUGCACGUGGAUUAUCAUGUCACAUUACAAUUAAUUAUAAAAGAAUAUUUUAAAAAAUUAAAAAUUAAUUAAUUAUUAAUAUGACAUUCACAUUACAGUUCAAGUGCACGAUACGUUAGGAAAGUAAAUAAAUGUUAACUUUUAUAUCUAUUUUGAGAUGAUUUGAUAAAUAGUAUAAAUUUAAUAUCCAGAAGAGAUGAAAAAUUAAAUAAAGAGUUAAAAUAAUUUUUUUUAAAAAAUUGGAAGAUGAGAUAAACCUUUAUGAUUUUUGCCGUUUGCUACGUUGCUGUUAAAGCCGCCGCCUACGGUUUGCUAUUGCCUCUUCAACGUCGAAAUUGAUUUUAAUAUAACAACUAUACAAAGGAGAAUGAGUAACAAAUAGUUGUAAUUAAAAAAUAGGUUGAAACACAUUUGAAACCAACAACUUAAUUUCUUAUUUAGAUUUUUAAAAUUUUUAAAAUUUUAAAUUAAUAAAAAUAAAAUUAUUUUUUAACUCUCUUAAAAAUGAUAAAAAAUUAAUUUAAUCUUUUAAAAAAUUAUAAAAAUAAAAACUAUUAAAAUAAUAAAAUUAUAUUUUUACUAUCAUAAAAAUUAUAAUUUAAUUUCGACUAUUCUAAUUUUUUUUUUCCUAACAGCCCGCUUCAAAUAAUGUACGAGAAAAAGAUGAAGGCUUUGAGAUGAGAGUUUUUGCUUUGGAAGAAAAUAAAGAGGAUGCUAGGAGACGCGUGAUUUUUUUAAAAAAUGCUUUGUAUUUGGCACCAUUACGCUCUCUUUUUCUUUAUUGUCAUAGUUACUUCAAUGUUUUGUACCAUGUGUAAAUUUAAUGGUUUUGUGGGUAGCUUUAAUGACAAAUGGUUUUACUGUUGGUUUAAAUUUUUAUAGGUUAAUGUAGGCUUUAUAAAUUUUGAAUUUAGUUUUUUUAAUUUAUUUUUUAGAUUUUAACAUUCAGGUCUAAUUAUUAAUAAAAUUAAUUAUUUUAUUAAAUUUAUUGAUAUAACAUUUUGAAAUAAAAAAAUUCACUUAUAAAAAUUUUAAUUAAAAAAAUUGUAAUGAAAUAAAUUUAACAAAAAAUUCUUAACAACGUUCAUAAUUGAACUUAAAUUUUAAAUUUUGAAAAAUAAAAGAACUAAAUUUUUAAGAAUAAAAGUAAAUAGGCUAAAUUCUAAAUUUAAAUAUUUUCAAUUCAUUCCCUAGCAUAUUUGAAUUUAGAUAAACUUGAAAAAAAAUUUUGAGGAAUAUAUUGGCUAAUUUAAAUAAGAAUUUUAUAUAAUUUUUAAUUUUAUUGUUUUUAAAAAAAUGAGAAGGAUUUGUUUUUAUUAUUCUUACUAGAACUCAUACCUUAUCGAGCAUGUUAUCCUAUUUUAAAAUUGGUUUAUUCUACAGUAGCAAAUGCUUCGUCACAAUAGAAAUUUUAAUGAAGCGAGUUUAAUCAUUAGUCAAGUCGCAAUAAAUGAGGGAACUAUUUUGAAAAUACUAAAAUCUCGAGCUCGAGGAUAGAGUUAUCUGAUAAAAAGACCACUUGUCAUCUUUUAAAGGCUAUUUAAAUUUAAUUUUAAAAUAAAAUAAAUUACCAUGUAAAUAAAUUAAAAGUUUAAUUAGAUGCUGCAAUACUUUCAAGUGGGACCCUUUUUUCAACUAAUUAAAAAAGAUAAUUACUUCAUCAAGUCCCUAAACAUUUUUCUCCUACACGUUUCAGUCCAGUACUACUAAUUUAUUAGACAACUUCAAAAAUUUUGUUUUCUGUGAGGAAUUUUUAGGGCGGUGCUGCCUGAAAAAAAGUGGCAUCCAACUUUACCAUAAAAAUCAAGUUAUUCUCAUAAUUAAUAUGGAUUAUUUUCAUAAUUUUUUAAACUUAUAGAAUCAAAUUCCUAAAAAUCCCUGCUUUGUUACUUUCUUUCCUAUGUCUAUGCCGUCUUAAGCUCCUAUAAUAUAUUAUUUUCUCUCUAAAAUUAUAUAUAUUUUCAGUCAAGAACUAAAAUAAUAAAAUUGGUUUCUCUUUUGUUUCCUUUUUACUCCCCCCCAAACUUGCUAAGCUUUCAACUUUCAAUCAAGCUUCAAUUUUUGUCCUCUCUCUCAGGUACUUGCCAACCUCUUUGUUACUUACUUUCAUGUGAUGGGUAGUUUUUAAUUUCUAGAAAACUACUCAAAAUGUGAUAAAAACAUGCACCCUUUUUUGGGGUUUAUAUGUAAAUGAUGAAGCAUUUUCCCUUUGGGGUUUAUUGAAGUCAUCACUGUUAGAUCACAGCAAGUCUGCUACGAAAUGAUUUGGGUUUUUAAGCUUUGAUCCUUUUAUAGAUAAAUAGAAGAUGCAUUUUAUGUGUUUGCUGUUUUGCCUGUCCUAUUAGCUGUUUAAUGGUGGAGAUUUGCUUCCCUCACUAUGAUGUGUAGGAUUAAAGAGAUUUGUGAAGAAAUAAGCAUGUUUUAUCGAUUUGAAACAUAUUUUAGAAGAUUCCAAGUAGUGACUAGAACAAUGUGAAUGAAAUGGAAAAAUGAAAAUCAAGUUUAUGUAUCCUUCAGCAGCUUAAUUUUUAGAAAAUUAAGAACAUUUUAUGAAUUUCUAUAAACUAUGAAGCUAUCUUUCUCUGAUCCGACACAUAUCUCGAUAUGGAUACGAGGGUAUGAUGUUCUAAGAGGGCUCCAAGUAUUCAAUACUGACACCUGGGUCUGAACAUCGUAGUUAUUAAGUAUUGAGGUUUAGAGAGGCUUCUGUAUAUACAAUGGGCACUAUAAACCUCUCAUACUAAUUUUUAGUGGUGUCUGGUAUACAGUAAUCUGGUUGUCAUAUACUGAUUCUGUGUUUACUUCUCGUAUUCAUAGAGAAUUGAAGACUAGGGAAGUUAAGAUGUCGACUAUGGGAAAUUCGACAAAUAUAUUUUGGCAAGAAUCGCCUGUUGGGAAGCUUGAGAGACAGAAGCUACUUAACCAAAAGGGUUGUGUUGUAUGGAUCACUGGUCUUAGCGGAUCAGGUUUAUAGUAAAAAAUGACUCUCUUAUCUGCUUCUAUUUUUCCUUCCGAGCCAUGAUUCCCAUUCCUUGAAACUUAAAACAAUUAUCAGCUUGCUUUGCUUCAUCCUGGUUUCAAAUUUGAAAAAUGCUUCUUAGAUCCAAUGAUCAUGUUUCAGGUAAAAGCACACUUGCAUGUUCACUAAGUAGGGAACUUCAUACAAGAGGCAAGCUAUCCUACAUACUUGAUGGGGACAACGUUCGGCAUGGAUUAAACAAGGAUCUUGGUUUCAAGGCUGAAGAUCGAACAGAAAAUAUUCGCAGGGUUGGUAAGUAUGUUGAGAAGUAGAAGUCUAUAUAGCUAACGUGUUUGGUUUAUGUAAAUAGUUUUGUCCAGCAAGCAAGACUUGUAAUAUAUGACUGCAAAUCGUGGCAAAAGUUCAGCUAUCUGCAGUUUAACUGUUAUUAAACACUGUAUUAUUACUGUAUAUGAUUGUUACCUUUGUUGCUUCAACUCUUCACUUUCCCUGAAGUACCUGUAUUUGACACAAUAUGAGGGAAUGAUUCUCCAAAGAUAUGAAUAGACUUAGAAAUUUUUUUUAAGUAUACCCAUAUCCAACAUUCACAUUGGAGUCCGGGUAACUAGAUGGUUUACACGAGUUCGGCUUUUCUUUUGGAAGAGCCCGGUUAGGGCACUGUUCUUCUUUGAUUUAUUUCAUUUCAUGUUGUUUCUAACAUUUUGUGCGUCUAAUUCAGGUGAAGUGGCAAAGCUCUUUGCAGAUGCUGGUUUAAUCUGCAUUGCCAGUCUAAUAUCUCCAUAUAGGAAAGACCGUGAUGCAUGCCGAGCAAUGUUGCCGGAUGCUUUUAUCGAGGCAAGGCUCCUUCUAAGUGGUUCUCAUCUUUGCUUAUGUUGUUGUUUGUACUUAAGUUGAAAUGCCUUUUUCUUUGUACACUUGCAGGUUUUCAUGAACAUGCCCCUAGCAUUAUGUGAAGAGCGAGAUCCGAAAGGUCUUUACAAGCUUGCCCGUGCUGGAAAGAUUAAAGGUGUGCUCAAUUUCCUUCAUACAUUCAUUAACAUUAAGUUGCCUUGUUCAUGUUAACAGCAAUAUAUACGCAUUGUCAUAUAGAAAUUCAUGGUGAUUUCUUUUUUAAUGGAUGAAUUGUAGAAGAUGAUUCCUCAUUUAUCCUUUACCAACUAAUUGCGUUACUUUUGCAGGUUUUACUGGCAUAGAUGAUCCUUACGAACCACCUUUGAACUGUGAGGUAUGUGUUUAAUUGAAUACGGAAAUUAUUAGCGGCGGCAUUGUGAAUUAAAAUUAGGCUAUUAUUCUGAUAUAAAUACUGCUAGUUUAUGGGUAAUCGUUUUCCUCCUUUAUAGAUAGAACUAAAUCAGAAAGAUGGAGUUUGUCCCACACCUAGUGCCAUGGCUGAGGAAGUAGUUACUUACUUGGAGGACAAAGGAUAUCUGCAAGAUUAGCGACCAAUUCUCGGUUGUCAUGGUCGAGCAUUCUCAGUCGAGUUCAAUUGCCCGCCAACUUUGUAUUCCUUUCGUCCCAAGUAAUUGUUAUCUUUUAAGUGGACAGGGUUUUCAAGUUAGUGGGCACAUCAAGGUCACUAACAACUCCAUUUUUUUACUGGAAAUUACGGAUUGAGGUCAUUGGAUUUAUUACUUGUAUUCUGGAUAUUUAUGAAUGAACACCACUCGUGUCUCAGUUUGAACUUCUUAUAUUUACAACAUUCUAGUCUUUAAAGCGAGUGCAUUCAAGUGGAUAUGCCAUGUCGCGGAAUAAACUCCGUACUGGUGCAUUCAUGGUGGAUCCAGGAAAAUUGUGGCAUGCAUCGAAAAUCAAGUCUUAUUUGUGUAUUUUAUCCUGCAGAAAUUGAAACCGAGAUGGCAGGUGCAUUUUCAAUUCAAAUCAUGUAAUGUAUAUAGACAUUAUUAUCAUCAAUUGCGAUAAAUACUAGUAAAUAAAGAGACUGUAAAAUAACGGUCGUAACUGUCUGUAUAAAUAAUUUCAUUUUGAAAAUUCUGUGUCCCAUGAAAUUCAGAAAAAUAAAAAUUGAGUCAGUUUUCGAUUAACUACAAACCGGUACUUCCGACCACCAUGGAGAACAGCAUCAAAUGGUUUGCUUCCAUAGGGCUUUCGGUGAACCUCCAUACUUGUAGCUUUCAAGAACUUAAAUCAAUUUCCCGAAGCCUAUCAAUGCUGUUUAGAUGCUUUGUUGAGUUGUAUUCUUGUGCAUCGAGGAGUUCGUUCGAGUAUGUUCUUCGGAUUGAUCGAUUCCAGGAUUUUUUACAACAGUUUGCAAGAUGUCCAUCACACCUCAGUCGUACUGUGACCUGCAACAAAAACAAACUAGGUUAACCUGUUAUUUAUGUUAUUCCCGGUGUACCCAUUUCACUUGUUUGCAGUGCUUCCGUCUCUUGAACAAAAAGCAGACAUAAAGCAUGAGUCAAAGACCAAGACAUCUAUUUGAUGACAAAACAAAACAAUUGAAAUUUUCAAACCGAUCAAAUGCACUUCAAUAACAGUUAUAAACACUUAAAAGUCAUAUCAACUUCAACAAUCAUCCGAAAAUGAGAGCACCGGAAUGAAAAUGUUAUUGUCCUUAAGUCACCAACAAGAGUUUUAUUCUUGUACCUACUACUUAAUGGCUUGUUUUACAACAUGAGUAACAGUCUGACAAGCGGGUGCUACCGUUGAACAUGAACUAACACACAAAUCAUAACAUUGAAAAAUAUCAGCAUGCCAGAAAUAAAUGAACCACCAUGGAUUUAUCAAUAAGAAAGAAUUCAAUCAUGAAAGUACCUACGAUUUCCUAGCUUAAUGAGAUGAACAAUAAUGUGUCACUCUUUGAUUUUAUAAGUAUAACUCGUAAAUAGUUCUCCAGUUAAUUAAUUUCUUGAACAGAUAUUCGAAAACUUCAAAAUCUAUCACGAACCUGACUCAUUUGAGGACGAAGAAUAGGAGAGUGCUCGAUGCACAAAGAGGCAGUCGAAACCAUGCGAUUCGCUUCCUUUGGAUCAUAAUCAUCACCUAGGGAAGGAUCAAUGAGCCCUUUAAUAUCAUUCUUAUCAAGCAGAGGCUUUGCCUACAAGAAUCAAAAGAGUAUAAGUAACCAUUUUUUUUACGAUUACAAUAUAAUUGGAGUUUGGAGGGAUCAAAUUCAUCUCGAGGAAAUAUACCCAUAUUACGAUGCUUUGUUGUUGAUCAUCUAAAACUCUCCGUCCUGCAAUGAGCUCCAAAAGUAGAACUCCAAAUGCAUAUACAUCGGUUUUCUCAUUAACUAAGCCAUGCAUGAAGUAGUCAGGAGCCAAGUAGCUGCAUCUCGAGAAACAAAUGUGUCAGCGUUACCAAAGAAGUAUUUAUUAACUCGAUACAGAUACUUUAGGCUUACAAACCCAAAGGUGCCUUCAAAUUUCGAUACAUUGUGGUGAGUCCACUGUUUUGGUAGCCACUUUGCAAGGCCGAAAUCGCAAAUCUGGAUGAGAAAUCGGCCAACAUAAUCAAACAAUAGAACGAAGAAAGGGAAUGGUUAUACAACAGAUCAUUAAGAGCUUUAUAAAACAACUGUCAUAAACUUAGUUCUUAUACAUAAAUUGUUUUAUAUUAACAAAGAAAAGCACGAAACUGACAUCCCUGCAAGCCUCUUGGCAGGAUAUGGAGUCAGAAAACUCGACUUUCAUAACUAAAACACGACAUGUAAUAUUCAAAACUUUCACCAUAACUACAGCCACCAGAAGAGUGAGCACAAAGGAAGAAAGCAAUCAAUAUCUCACAUACGCUUCGCAUUGGCUCGACCCAAAGUUGCCAAAUUUACGAUCUAAAAAUUAAAGCUUGCACAAGGCUCCGCCCGCACUUAAUGAAAGCGUCCGGUAUAACAACCAUGAUCUAGGACAGCAACAUAACCAAUAUAAUUUGACCAGUUUAACUAGGAGAAAUGGAAAAAAUAACUAGUAUUAGGUGAUCCAAUGUAUGGCAUUGAAAAGUUUCAGAGUAGAGCAAAUAGAAAUCCUUAUCGUUUUGCAGAUGAAAUGACCUAAGCUAAAAAAUACACAUGGUCGUCUAUGCCUCCAUAAGCAAUGAUUUUUUUUCCUGCAUCUACUCAUUAGUAGUAUAAAUUUUCUCGUUUUACAAUGUUAUACUAUAUUACCCUUACUCGUCAUUUUCCUUGAAGUAUUCUUAUCCAACACAUAUUCAAACAUGAGUAUUAGAGUAUGAUCCUCCAAAUAUAUCGAAAAGGCUUACAAAAACAAUGUAUGGGGAAUAUUAGUUUCUGCAUGUUUCAACGCAUUAUGCAACUUUUUUGUGUUCCUCUAACUAUAUGUUCUUAUGAUUUAGUACGUAAAUAGCAACAGGGACAGUGAAGUAAACCAUGUCCUGCAAAAUUAUUGAAAAUUUUCAAAGAGAAUAGUAAUAUAGAUUUUGGCCACUAAGUAUGCAUAGAUCAUUUCGAUAUAUAUAUAGUAGCUAGUUCACAUAGAUAACCUGGAUUACUUAAUAUUGGAGUAGCAGUUUCAUGAUUUCUUUGUAUCAUGAAUGACAUAGAUGUGUGUUUUGGACUCCGUACACUCCGGAUUCCUGCAAAUCUUUCACGGCCCUCUGUUUUUAAAACAUCUAAUUCGGUGUAGCCUACGAAUUUAAGACUUGAGAAGUACCUGAGGCUCAAAAUUCUCGGUAAGCAGAAUGUUUUCAGCCUUGAUAUCUCGAUGAAUAAUACGCCUUUCGCAACUCUCGUGAAGAUAUGUGAGGCCAUCGGCCGUACCCAAAGCAAUCUUAUAUCUUUUACUCCAAUCUAGUAUUCCUUUCGAUCCUGGAUAAAGUCAAGAGCAUCACAAGAUUUCAUAAAAAUUGAAUAAUUACUACUUGAGAUAUACAAUCCAGACCAUUAAGAACAAACCAUGAAGAACCGAUGCCAAACUGCCGAAUGGAGAUAACUGAAAAACAAGGUGCAUUCCUCCUUCUACGCCACACCCAAUCAAUGUAGCAGUGUUCGGAUGGUUUACAUGCGCUAUAAUGCCAAGCUCACUCAGGAAGGCAGCUGUCAUCUCAUCCGAUGUCCCUUUUGUCGCACGUUUUAUUGCGACAAAUCUUCCAUCUUUCAAACAACCCUUGUAGACUAUUGAGUAACCACCCAUUCCAAUUAUGUUUUCUACAAGAAAAAGAACCUUAUAUUCGUCUGCACCACUAAACCUUUAUGCCAUUAUAUUUUACUGUUUUUGCAAGUAUUUGAAGCCUUGAAAUUAAUUGCAUACCGCGGUUAAAGUUGUCAGUUGCAGCUCGGAGCUCGGGUAGGCUAAAGUUUUGUAAAGAAGACUUGUAGUUGUACAAUUCUUGCAUCAUAGGAUCCUCUUCCACCCUCUUGCUGCUCUUUCUUGAUCGCUUCGAUGCAGAGAGAAUGGGGAUCGAAGCGAAGUGCUUUUUCGAUCUUCUUUUCCAUAAUUGGAAGAGUUUUUUCCAGUUAGAAAGUGCUACCGAACCUGUGCAACUAACUAAUGCGUGCGGGCUAUUAUCAGGUGAAUUUUUGUUGGAUUCCGAGCCUUCAAAGCAUGCUUCUAUAACUCCUUUUGGAGACGAUCUAUCUUGUUUCUCCUUUUCGAUGUUGGGGCCCCGUAAUUCUUCGAUGCAAUAAGAAACAAAGAGUGGUAAAGAGCUUGAAGUACUAAAACACAUGAACCACAUAAAGAUAGAGAUAACUACCAUGGGCGGAUCCAUAUGAAGAAACCAUAGCCUCUUGUCUUCUAUGUCUUGCUUGAACAACCAUAUCUUCGAAGUUCUGCUCCGGCCUAUCGCCUGAACCGAUGGAGUCCGAACUGGAAGAAAUCAAUGGUCAUUACAAAUCAAUAAUCCAAAUAAAAAGCUAGAAAUCAGGAUCUGUGCUUGUCUCAUUAUGUUUAUAGGUGACUUUGCUAUGGAGGAGAUAAUUAUAAACUUAGAAGUGAAUGAUUUGUUGAAUAACCAAAAGAAAAAAGAAUGAAAAUCAUAAUCACAUCAAUGAAAACUUGAAAAUCCAAUAUAUAUAUAUAAGCAUUAUUUACGUAACAGGGGAAUAAGAAAUGAUGAAAAUGGGAAAAUUCCUGAAGGAAAAUAACCAAAAAUGCAUGUUUAUCAUGUAUAUUUAUGUUUAGAAAAUCCCCAAAAAUAAAACUUGAAAUCACCACUUAAAUAGGAAUGAAAACCAACAAUCUUCUUUGUAAGACAGAGAAACAGCACAAAAAAAACGAAGAUCUAUACAUUUUUCAUAUCUUUUCCAAAAAAAUCAAAUGGAAGAAGCCAUUGAGAUACCACUCACCAACCAUUAGACAAAAUACCAAAAAGAGCUCAUCUAAUAUUCAAUCAAAAUUAGAAGAAAAACAGAACUUUCAAUAAAACUAAGGAGAAAACAAAUUAAGAACUCAUUUGCAGGCAUUUUUUAAAAGAUAAGACACUCUCAAAUGAGAUGACAUGAGGCAUACAAACCUUAAAGUUGCUUGUUUCUGGUCAUUAAUGUCAGCCAUGAGCACUAUCAAAACAAGCAAAUAAACCAAACCAAACAACUAUGUGACAGAGAGAAAGCAAAGCAAGUAAGAGAAAGAGAGAGACACCAAACAAAAGGGAGAAGAAAAAAUUAUUAGAAAUGGUUUCUAUGAUAUUAUAGCCCUGUUCUUUAGUAGUCAAAUUAAAUUCUGAACCCCACAAAAUUCCCAUUGUUUAUGUUUUGCUUUCUAAUUCUAAGCCCCCGAAAAUGGCAACCUCAAACUCUAAAAAUAACUAUAUAUGGAAAAGUUUUUAAUGCUUUCUCUCUCUCUCUUUAAAGAUUUCUAUGAUAGCAUACAAGGCCUCCGGUGUCGACAGUAUGCUUGGUUUGUUCUAACGUGGUUGAACCCAUUAUUUUUUUUUCAGUUAAAAUGUGCUAAUGCUGUAAUUUAAAAUCCUUAAAGUUAAAAAUUAACUUUUUAUUAUUUAAAAAUAUUAGUCUUAUUGAGUUUUUUUUUUUUUGUAUCUUAGAAAUGGUGUGGUUUGAUUAUUUAUAUGAUAGGGUACUAUUUAUUGAUAAGACAGAUUAAGUAGACUUCAUGCAUGUAGACAUAUUCCCUACUCUAGUCUAAACACGUGUCUACAUGGUUCCGACUUUAUGCAACCUCACAAUACAGAGACCAAGUCUAGCUCGUCAAUCUACGAACUUAACUUGCAAACUCACUCCGUGAACUUAGUAUUUGGGUUAAACCUACGAGUUCAUUAGGAUUCAACUCAGGCCUAAUAAUGAUCAUCCUAACAAGUUUAAUCAUUAUCAUCAUCUGUAAUUUGUCAAAUUUUGUUAACAUGUUUAUUUUUCGCUAAUCAUAUGUCACAUUAUAUGAAAACAAUCAAAUCAAUGUGCGAAGUUGAUAAAUUUUGAGAGAAAAUAUUAAUAAUGUCAAUGAUUAGACUGAAUUUUUUAAAUUAAAAUUUUAAGCAGGUAGACCAAAUAUCAAAUUUUAUCAAAAUACAAUUAUUGACAGCAUAUUUUAAACUAUUUUUUCUAUAUGAAUGAGCUUAAUGUAAUAUUGAGAUUAAUAGGAUUAAUCAAACAAUUUUGGUGUUCAUUCCAUGAGUGAUUUAUAUUAUUCUAAUUGAGUGACAGUUUAGAUUAUUUUAAUGAAAUACAGUCGACCUUCUCUAUAACAGUCAUUUGUUAUAAUGACAUUUCGUUAUAAUAGAUACGUUUUUAGUAUAAUCAAAUUUUUAUGUUUUACUUUAACAUUCUAUAACAGUUUUUCCGUUAUAACAACAACAACAACCAACUAUAGUUGUGAAGUACAUUAUUUAUUAAAUUAGUUCUCUAAAAUAAAAUAUUGUCUAAAAUUUUAAGUAAAAUUAUAAUUAUUUCAUAAGGUUAUUAAUUAUAAUUUAUUAAAUAAAAAAAUUUAAUUAAAAUAUUAAUUUAAUAAAUAUUUAAAUUUCACAUGCAAAAAAAUCUAUUAUUCAUAUUUUAUUAAAUGAAAAAAGAAUCUUUAAUAAGUGGAAUAAAUAUUCAAUAAACUAUGAAGAUCUCCCGUUAAUAUUCUAUCAUAAAUUUGGAACUUCAUAAACUUAUAAAUAGAAUAUUUGAAUUUAAUAACUCAAAAUAAAUUUAUUUAUUUAUUUUGAUAACUCAUACUAAUUAAUUGAACUUGUUAGAUUGAUGAAUAUUAUAAUUAAUUAUGUGAAAGAAUGUAAAAUAAAAUGUGAAUAAAAGUAAUCAUGCAUGCACAAAGUAUAUGUAUUUUAAUUUUAUUAAUUUGAUUUCUACUUUCUCUAUUUUUUUCGUAUAAUUUUCACUCUUUUUAUUUGAUAGAAAUUUAGAUAUAAAUUCUAUUGUAGGUUUAUAAAAAUUAUGUUUCUAUAACAACAUACUAUUCUAGAUAUAUAACAAUCACUUCUCUAUAACAGGUAAAAUCUUGAUAAAAAAGUGGAACUAUUAUAGAGAAAAUUGACUCUAUACAACAUGGUUAUAGACAGGGACAAAACCAAAAAAAAAAAAAUUAGUGGGCCGAAUCCCUGCCAGCCCUUAAUUUAGUCACGAGUUUCGCCCCUAAUUCUAAAUGACAUUUUAUAUGUUUGAUUAAUAAAAUAUUUUAUCUAUUUAAAAAAAUUCUUCUCUCUACAAAACAAUAUAAGAAAAAAAAAUAGAAGUCUAUGCUUUUUUUUUCUGAUUUAAUAUUUUUUCUAAUCAAAUCAUCAUUGUCGUUGAUAGUUUUUUUUUUAUAAUAAUUAUUACCUUAAUAUGCUUAUUUUUUACCAAUCAUUUGUCACAUAAUAUAAAAACAACCCAAUCAACGUGUCAAAUUGAUGGAUUUUACCGGAAAAUUUUUAAAUCGAAAAAAAUAAGAUGACUUAAAUUUUAACCUUUUAAGUAUAGAAGAAAAUGGCUUAAUUAUUAACUUUUUAAUCUCAAAUUAACAACAUAUUUUAACCUUUAAUUUUUAAGUUUUUUACUUUUCAAAAAUUGUAUUUCCAAGUAUCAAACGUUAACGUUUUCUUUUGUUAAUUCCAUCGAACAUAUGAUAAGAAGACAUAUACAUCUUUGUAUUUUUUUUAUCCAAUUGAACAAUUUUAUAUGUUUAUUGAUUUACUUAAAAUUAAAUUGAACAAUUUUAUAUAUUUAUUGAUUUACUUAAAAUUAGGACUAAAGUAAUAAAUUUUAUAAACAUUAGAAAGUUAAUUUUUUUUAUUAUGCUAAUAAAAAAUACACAUUAAACUUCAGUCAUUGACUUAACGGCAGAGUAAUAUAAAAUUCACCCAAAAAAAUUUAAAAUUGUAAUAAUAGAUAAAAGAAAUUUUCAUUAAUUUUCAUUUAAUUACUACUUAAUUAAUAUUAAGUUAGACUUUUAUUUAUAUUAAAUUAUACUCAUUGUUUUAGAAUAAUUAUCCUAUAAACCAAUUAAAAAAAUGAGAUUUAAUUGUAUAAAUAGCUUCCUAAGAGAUUGUUAAUAUUAAAAAGUUAGAAGUAUUUCAAAAUAAUAAAAUAUUAAAUUAAUAGUUAUUCGAUAAGAAAAUAUCAAUUCAUAUUUUUUUAAAUAAUUUCAUUACAAGUUCUGAUGAUAUUUACUCUUUUUUUUUUACAUAAUGCUUAGAACUCUUCCUGUAUUAUGCCUAUACCAAUUAAGUUAAGACUCAAUCUGUAAAAUUAAUAAUAUUAAAAUAUAUAUAAUCAAUAAUAAAAUAAUAUAAUAUUGUGAUAUUUAUUUACUACACUUUUAUUUAGUUUAUUCAUAAAUCUCUUCAAAUUUUCCAUUUAAAAUUUAUUCAAAAACUAUUAUCUAAAACCCUUCGCUCGUUCACUACUAAUUUUUUAAAAUUUUCUAUUUUUGUUUGAGUAAUUAUUUUUAAAAAAAGUGUUAUUCUUUUAUUUUUCUUGUAGAUUUUGAAAGUUAAAUAAAUGAUUUCACUCAAAAUCAAUAUAUUACGAUUAUUAGAUCAUAAUCUGUAAAAUCAUUCACUCGAUCGUUAUAAAUUAUAAGUUCUAAUCAUAUUUAUUCUUUUUAACAUGAUACUUAAAAUUACUCAUAACUUCUCUCAAUUUAUAGAUGCUUCAACACACUCAAACUCACGUCUUCUUACGUUGACAAUAACAAUCACGUCAAGAAAUAAAACUCAACCCACAUGUAACUUGACUCAAUCUAAAUGAUAUUUUCCAAACAUUCAAUUUUAAUAAAAUACAUGAAAAAAUUGUGCCACUUUCACAACAAACAAAUGAUUAACUAAAAAAACACGUUUUGAAAGGUGAAAAAAAACUAAAAAUUAUCAAAUUAUAACACGUUUUAUAAAAUUUGACAAAAAAGAAAACAAAAAGAGAAAAUUAACUAAUAAAAAUUAUUUUUAAAUAAAAUAGAAAUAGAAAAAAUAUAAAUAUUUAGGGUAGUUUUUAACAGUCCACGAGUGAAUUAAAAGUAUGAUGAGUUUUACGUAUAUUUAUGUAUUUUUUUAUUUUUUAUUACAUUCUUACAAGAGUUCUAAUACACUUGUCAAAUCAUCAACAAGCUUGAAGAAUAAUUUUUUAAAAAAUAUUAAUAUAAAAAUUAUAAUAAAAUCACCAAGUCUAUAAAAAAAACUUGAAAAAAAUUAAAUCCACGAGGGGACUCAACUCACGAGUCAAAACCAGUGGCCCAACCCAAAGAAAUAAAUUCCUUCAUACAGCGAAGAAACCAUUUUAAAGUGUAAAAACUCCCUUACGUUUAGCUUUGUUCAUGUCAGGUGACUCUCCAAUGGCUUCUCCAUUAAGGUAAAAACCUUUUCCACAUUCUCAUGCAUGUUAUUUACAUGCAUCAUUUGAUGCACUAGGCUAAUCUGAAAAGGUAAAGCUUUGAACCCUUCUUCUUCUUGCUUGCUUUUUUCUUCUUUUUCCUUUUUUUUUUUUUUUUUGCAAAAUCUAGUGUAUAGCUUAAGCAAUGUUCUUUCUGGGUUUUGGAUAUGAUACUGAGUAUUGAUCAUGAUAAUGUGUUAUCUUAGGUUUUUUUUUUAUUCAUGUUAUUGUUGGUUCACAUUUUAGUUUUUAGUUUCGUUUGACAAAUGAAUUGAACUAUUUUGAUUUAAAGUGUUUGUGAUUCUAUAUGAUUCGCCUUGGGUUUUGAUUUCAUUGCUUAGAAACAAUCUGUUCCAGAGAGGUUUUCUAGGGUUUUCUAGGCCUAAUUUUUCAUUUUUUUCGAUAUAUUUGUAACUGCUUAAUUUAAACCAAGAUUAUACUCUUCUGAAAAAUUAAGGGUAUGGAAGUUUCUUUCUUCCUUUUUUCUUGUCUAGGACUGAAUUUUUCCCUAACAUAAGAACGAUUAAACCUUUGUUACUCGGAAUCAUGAGUGUCAGCUAUGGUUAUGAACUUAUGGUCAGAUUUCUCCGAGUUUCUUUAUGUUUUUGGAGGAUCUUGGAGGCUGUAUCUCUAUAUCUAUGUGUCAGAUACGGAUACUUAAAGAAAAAUGAAGAUUCGGAGCAACAUAGACUGAAACAACUUGAUGAACCUAUGAUGAACUUAGUGAAUUUGCGCAUCUGUUUUGACCCCGAAAUGUCAAAAUCCUGGCUUUUUCGGUUCAUCAGGUAGAUGCUAGUUGAUGCAUUCGGAGUGAUUCCGUAAGGCAUAUGAUAAAGCUUUGGAUUCAUUAAAGAGUUAACCAAACAUCACCUAGUACUACCCUUUCGAAACACAGUUAUCAGUAAUGAACCCAAUGAUGCUUAAUGAUGUGGUAGAUUUCAUUUAUUGGAUAAAAUCUCGAAUUUACAGAAAAGGUUUUGCUUAGAAGAGUAUCUUUUAUUUCCAAAAACAAUUGUUAUGACAAAUAAAAAAGAUUCGCAGUCACAAAAACCAAUCCAGAACAGAAUAUUUGAGGUAAAAGAACUGACGUUACGGAUCAUGAUCGUAACGUAAUUGCUUGUCUUCAUUGCAAAAUUGACUGCUUAUUUGUCUUCUGGCAGGUCUAAAAAUGAAAAUGGUGAAAACAAUGAGCACACAAGUCCCCAGCAACUAGUUCUUGAUGUAGCUCCUCUCAAUUGUGUGCCAUAUGUUGGCCCGACAAAUCCAGAUGAUAAGUCUGUCUCACCUGAAGAGAAUACUGAUGACACAGAAACAAUCGGUCCUGCUAUGAUAUUUCUGCCUUCCGAAACAACCAGUGAGGAUUUGGAUAGUAUCGUGGCUUGUACCAAACAUGGAGUUGCUUUGACUGGGGCUGCAGCAACUGGAACAAUGGGACCGAUCAUAGGGUUAGUGGACAUCGGUGUAUUAGAGGAUUCGUACUAUUUUCGUGUCUCCCUUCCUGGAGUAUCACCGGAUAAAAGUAAGUUUUUCUAGGUUAAUCGCCCUACUCGUGAUCAAAAAAAAAACCUUACCACUCUUGGUUAAGAGAGGAAAGGAUAGUGGCAAAUGGUUCAUGUGAUGCAUAUAAAUCACUGGUCCGCUGUGGAUAUGUACGAUUUUGCCCCAAGUUUUACAUGUAUUCAGAUUUUGGAGGGUCCUUGGAGGAUCACAUCUCAAUACUCAUGUUAAUAUGCAUGAGAUUCAGGAGUUAAGACACCUGUACUUUUAAGAAAAAUAGAGUUGGAACAACAUAAGGUUAAAAUGUAUGUCUGAUCCUGGUAAAAGUAUCAUGGAGGCCCCUGUAUUGAGAGUAAGAUUGCAUUUUGCCCCCUCAAGAAAUGGGCAAAUUAGUCCAUGUAUAUUAGUUCAAAGAGCAUAUUGGUCCUUUUUGUUAAAAUUUUCUUCCAUUUGUACUGUUAAAAACUUGUGUAGCUGAUGGAAUAACCAAAUAGUAAUACGUGACAUGCCACGUGUACAUCAUGCUGACAUAUAUGGAUUGUUUUUAAUAAUAGACAUGGAUGACAAUUUUAACGAAAGCACCAAUUUAUUUUUUGAUUUAACAUAAAUGGGCUAAUUUGCCCAUUUUUUGAGUGAGGGGGCAAAUUGCAAUCCGAUGCCUAGUCCGUGAUACUUUUACUGUCUAAUCCCUUGAAAUAAAAUGAUGUUUUGAUAAUUGAUUUGCACUGCAGUUUUUCACCCAAUGCCAUUAAACCUCUAUUACAAGCCUUAGGGGUUGAGUUAAUGAUUUUACCGCAAAUGAUAACCGUGUUAGUUGAUUUUACGAGUGCAGAAGACUUCAGCUGUGACAUCGAGUCUGAUGGAAAAGUGCUAAUCAAAGGGUUAACAACAACCGGUGAGAAACUUGUAGUCAAGAACUCUCAAGUCUUUCACAUGCUAACACAAAAUCUAUGCCCAUCUGGACACUUCACUGUUUCAUUCGAGCUACCGGGUCCUGUCGAUCCCGAAAAAGUUACUAGCUGUUUAGCUAAUGGAUUGCUUGAAGCCGUUGUGAAGAAAAGGUAACUGAGGAGGCUCAAAGAGCAAUGGUUAUGGCUUUUUCUUCCCCCUGCAUUGGACUUAGUACUAUGCAUAUGCUUUAAGCAUGAGUUUAGAAAAGGUGAAUAUCCAACUUGAUAUUUAAUGAAUCUGCUACUUUUGGAAUCAAUGAAAUAGAUUUGUCUUAUUUUUGAAAUCAAAUAGUUGGUAUUAUAUUUUUUUUUGUUGAAAUAUAAAACAAAAAAUUACAUAAACUUAUUCAUAAACAGAAUGCCUCUAGUACUGUCUCCUUGUAGAGCUUCUUUAAUUGCCUCUAGAAAUUCUUCGAACAUAUGCAAAUAGUCGUCAUCAUCUGUUCGAGCUACUGCCUUAUUAAAUUCUCUAGGGACAUAUUUCAAGAACUACUUUUCUUCAUUUGAUAAAAUCUAUUAAAUUCGUCUAACCAGAGUGGAAUUUAAUCUUUCAAUUUUACUGUCUUCAAUAAUUUUUACAACCUCAAAAUUAUUUUUUUGGAUAACGAACUCAUCAUAAUCUUGUUUAUUAAUCAAUUAAACCAUCCAAAAUGUCCCAAAAUUCCUCAAGGAAAACAGGACACUUCCCGAAGAACCAAUUGAAAAAUCCAUUGAAUGAGCCUGUUGAAUAUUCUCACUUUAAAUUUUCAGAAUCAAACUUACACUCAAGAAUCCAAUCUUUUUCUUUUUUUAUCGAUCUUCUAAAUACAUAAAUUAUACAUAAGGUCACUAAAUUAUUAAAGAAUUUAUUUUUUGGUUAUUUAAUUUUAAAAAGUUACAAAAUAGUUAUUAAAUUAUACGAAAGUUUUUAUGUUAAAUCCAACUAGUGAGCUCUAAGUGACACUUGUUACGGUUUAUCAGUGCCUAUCAGCAAGUAAAAAAUAUAUACUUUAGAUUCAAAUUAAUCUGACAAUCAAUGUCAAAGAUCAAAAAUAAAAAUUGUUCGAAUUUUAAUUUGUAGAUUCAUGACAUUUAAAAUUAUUUCAUAAAAAAAUUUAAAUUAUAAAAGUAAAGAGGAAAGAGAGAUUUCGAUUGACAUAAACGGUGCAAAUAUAUAAGGCUAUAUAAUUGUAAUUUAAACAAUACAACAGCUUAAAUGGAAUUUUUUAAAUAGUUUAAUGAUUAUUUUAUAUUUUUUAAAGUUAAAUAAUUAAAUUAUAAUUUUAUAAAUAAUUUAAUGAUCUUAAUGUAGUUUACCCUUUGUUUCGUCUUCACUGAUGAUGACAGCAUAAAAACCGACAGAGGCAACACAAAUCAAAAAAUUGCCAUACACAAGUCGAAGUUUCGCAAUACAAAAUUAAAAAAUUUCCUAAAAAUUUAUUCUACUAUCAAAAACUGAGACCUCAUUUUGUACCAAAAAUACAAUUUUCAAUCCUCUAAUGCCAAAAAAACAAAAAGAGAAAAGGAAAUGAAAGAAAUAAAUUGAAAAAUUCAACGAACAAUGGAAAGCUUUCCCUCUUAAAAUGUCCAUUUGCUUCUUCUUUUGCCUCUCCUUACGAUCUCCAUCACUGAGGAAGAAGAUGAAGGAACCCUAAUUUCUCUAAUCCAUUUCAUUGCUUCAUUUCCCCUUAAUCCCAAUCCAACAGAAACCCCAACACAACAGACCCCAAAAACCCAAGCUUUAAACCCCCUUCUCCACUCUUUAAUCAAUGCAAACACAAAAAAGAUUAACCCUAAGAUCCCAAAAAGCAUAUCACUACUUAUCUCUUUCCCAAACAACAAGCAAAGAAUACAAGACCCUAAAAUUACUAAGAACCCUAAAAUUUUCUUCCCGUUUCUUCUUCGCAUUGUUGGCUUUUUCCAUCCUUUAAAUCUUACUCCAUUGAAGCCGUUCAAAAACCCAAGCCCUUCUUCAUCUGCAGCAACUAAAUUUUGAACGAUCAGAUCCAACGGUUGAGGUAAGAUCCUGAGAUUCGAAGCCAAAAUUGACAGCAACUCGAGUGCAAGCUUUGUCGAUCUGUCAGACCCCUUUCUUCUUUUGCUUCUUCUUGCGCAAAUAAUUGGUUUUUGGAUCUGGGUUUUGGGUGAAAGCAAAGGAGAAACGGUGAAAAUGGGAGAUUUCCAUGAACAAUUAAAAGCUUGAAGAGAAAUGGUGGAUUCGAGAAAUGGGUUUAAGAAACUAUUGGUUGUGUAGUGAAGGAUUUGGGAUUUGAAUUGAAUGCUCUUCUCCAUUGUUAUUGAAAAUGGAUUGGUGAAAAAAAAACAAAAAAAUAAAAUGAAAUUUUGAAAAAGAAAUGGAACUUAUACCAUUAUUCUUUUAUAUUGAAUUUCGAUUUUUUUUUUCUUUUUGAAAUGAAAGGAGGAACAAUUUUUGGCGGAUGGGCGAUUGAGCUCCAUCGUGAAUUUUUUUCUCCUAUUUUUCAAAUUUUUGUGGCUUAUUGAAGCCCCAUUAUUUGUCUGAUAAUUCAAAAUCAACCCCAGCCCAGCCCAGUUCGAUAGGUUGGAUUAAAUUGGGCAGAUGACCAAUGUUUCUUUAAAUUAGACCGAUGAUGGAAUCAAUUACGUAAUUAGUUCGAUAUUUUAAUCAAACAAUUUCUUAAAAUUUAAAAAAUUUGAAAUAAUAAUUAAACAAUUUGUUUCAAUUGAUUUUUAUUCAGUUUAAUCGAUUCAUAUCGGUUCUCGAAUUAAUUACAAAGUCCUUCCUUAGAUUAAUACCCCAAUCUAUUCUCGGUUUAGUGCAAUUCAAACAACAUUGCAAAUCACAAAUCAGACCAAAAAAACAAACGUUAAUUGGACAACUCCAAAAAUGUGUGAAGAGGACUAGCUCCAAAUCAAGUCGAGGCUUUCUGAAUCAAAUUAGGGAACGAAUUAGUCAGGCCACCAAUUUGUCAAUCCUACAAAUUCAAUGGAUCCAUCCAAUUCGAUUAAAUAAAUCAUUAAAAAUUCAUAAAAUAAAAAAAUAUUAACAAUUCAAUUCAACCUAUUUUUUAUCUAAUCCAACUAAUUUAUAUCGAUUCCUAAAUAAACCGGUUCAAAACCCUCUUUAAACUAAUAUCUUAACUGAUAUUAAAUCCAACUAGUUUUAUCUAUCAAAUUAGUCUUGAUGAAAUAACUUUGGUUGAAAUUGUAAUCAAUAAUUCUCACCAUAUCUAGAUUAGAUGGAGCACAAGAUCUUUAACUGUUUAUGGGUUAUAUUCAUUGAAAGAUAGAAUUAAGAUUACGGAAUAAUCUUAAUAAAAAUUUCCAACAUGAGGAUGGAGUAUAGGAAGAAAUCUUUAAAAUGGAAAUUUUUUUAUUUAAAUCUUUUAAAAUUUUUAAAAUUUUAAAUUAGUAAAAAUAAAUUUAUAUUUUACCUUUUAAAAAUGAUAAAAAUAUAAUUUAAUUUUUUUAAAUUAGAAAAUAUGCUAUUAAAAUGAUAAAAUUAUAUUUUUACUAUCGUAAAAAUUAUAAUUUAAUUUUCAGCAUUCUAAAAAAAAUUCUAACUUCAACAUGAAAAGUACGCAAAUUGUUGAUAUUAGGCUUUUACCCUAGCAAAGUUAUUUAAAUGGGAAUUAUCUCAUGUGUCAUCAAAUACAGUACAAGCUUAUGCGAAAAAUCGUUGAAAACAAACAGCUUGCAGUCAAUUGGAGAAUUUAACCAAUUUUGGAGGACAUUCACAUUUUGAAGGACUUCGAUGCAGUGAUCAGCAACAAGUGAUGAGGCAUUAGAUUGGAUGGUUAGAAAAGCAAAAAGUAACUUCAACAAAAUCUUCGGGAUGAGUCGGGUCGGGUUAAUGUAAAAUUUUAAAUAUUUUUUUAAGUUUGAUUUGAAAGUAUGGCUUAAAAUUUUAUUCUGGUCUGGCUCAAAUUAAAAAUGUUAAACUUGAGCCCGACUCAAUCCGUCUGUAUUAAAAAAAAUUAGAUUAUUAUUUUUAUAUAAAAACAAAUUUUAAAAUAUAAAAUACAUCAAAUACAUUACAACCAUUAAAAAUAUAAGUCAUCUCUGGCGAUGAAUCAAUAAUUCUAAGUGCUAUUCUUCUGUAUUCUUGAUAAACCUGCAUUUAUAUAUAGACGUAGGAGAAUUUAUUUGGGAAGUAAGAAGCCCUUUUGACAUCUCUUCAUCUGCAAAGAAUUAUUGGUGUGAAAACACAGAAAUAAAUUGUUGAUCUUUGAAUAGGAAAAAAAGUGGAUCUGCAGGAUCCCAAAUGAAUUGGCUUAUUCGAAAAAAGCCUUGUUCUUUGGAAGAUCUAUCUCGUGCCUGGUACUAUAUGGUUCUACUCUACAAAAAUGUCGAAUCAUUCUCUUGAAGCUCAUCCUUUUCAUCAUAAAUGAUCCGUUUGUCCCGAAAUGACCGGGCCCAAUAGAGAAAUCCCAAUUCGUUCGGCCUUUCAAUACAAUCAAAUAGAAAGCCUCAAGGGCGCCAUAUCAUAGGAGCCCAAACUAUGUGAUUGAAUAAAUCCUCCUCUAUUUGUUGCAGGUCGAGUACUCCUUCUUCUUCCCUUUCUUCAAACUCCAAUUCGUAUUUUUCAUAAAGAUUUCUCCGAUCGACGAUAGAACAUCCCAACAAAUUGAAAAUAAAUUAAAAAAUAUUUAUACUUAAAUAACAUUAAAAUAGUUGUAAUUUAGCAAGUAAAUACCUCUAAAAUAUUAACAAAAUUAACAAUAAAACAAGAGUUACACAAUAUCCAAACAAUAACAACAAAAUAGUAACAAUAUAAUAACGAAAUGACAGCAAAACAACAAUAAAAAAAAAAGUUUAGACUGAUCCAAACUUGGGCCAAAACAAUCUUACCUGAAGCCCAACCCAUUUAGAAAAUAAACAUUUUUUUAUUCAAACUCAUUUUUAAAUUUAUAUUUUUUUCCAAACUCUCUUCCACCCGUAAUUAGGUUUAACAAUGAUAUAUAUAAUGACUAAUUUAAGGUUGUCGUAAUUACACCAUUUGACAAAUGUAGGGAGAAAAAAGACACAUCAUAUUAUCCAAAUUAAAAUUUUAACAAUAAAAUUGUUUUAUUUAUUUAAAUAAAUAUUAGUAUACAUGUUGGUAUAAAAAUAAAUUUAAAUAUUUUUAUUAUUUUAUUAUUCUUUAAAUAGUCAUAUGGGAUAAUUUGAGUCUAUUCGACACUUAUUGGAAUAGAUUUAAAAUUCGAAAAUUUUAAGAUAAUGACUUGAGCAUAUCUAUGUAUGACCAAAACAAAUAUAGAAAAUUAUAACAUGAAAAAUAAUAUAACUUAGAUACACAUAUAAGAAUGUUUCAAAACUUAUUUUUAUGUACAAUUAUAAAUAUUAAAGUUGCAUUUGUUUUAUUGAAAGCAACUUUCAGAAAACGAUUUUUGAAAAAUUGAUUGAUUUUUUUAAAAAAGCUAAUAUUUUAUUGUGUUUGAACAUUUCUGUGUAAAAUAUUUUUCGUUAUUUGACAAAUUUUCCUGAGAGUUUGUCUUAAUAAACAAAUGCAACAUAAAUAUAUUUGUUACAAAUUAUUAUUGUAACAUUUCUCUUAGAUCGUCAAAAUUAUUUUUUAAUAAUAAAAUGUUUUAUAAUAAUUAAUAUAUUAUAUAAACUUAAUAAUAAACAAUGCCUAAUUAAAAUUUAAUUUAAAUUAUAUAUUACAUAUAUGAGAGUGAAUAGUGGCAUGUUAGAGCUAGAAGGGAUAAACGAAGUUAAACAUGACCUAAACAAAUACUAAUAUUUAUAUAAUUAAAAAUUCAUAUUUUAUAGUAUAAAUAUUUAUUAUUAAAUAUUUAUAAUUAGUAAUGUAUAUUUAUUAUGAAAAAAUAUAAUAUUAAAUAAUUUAUCAAAAAUAAUUAAUUAUAUUAAUAAUUUAUUUUAUUAUUAAAUAUAAAAAAUUAAAUAUGUAUUUUAAUAUUAUUUAAUAUUAUAAUAUUUUGUAUUAAUAAUUUAAAAAUUAAAAUUAAAAUUUAUUAUUAAUAUAAUUGAAUCAGCCUUGAUUCAAAUUUAUUUUUAUAUAAAAAUAAAAAUAUUCCAUUCUAGAAAAUUACUUACAUUUUUUAAAAUGAUAAGUUAAUUUAUAAAAAAAUAGCUUAAUUUUUAUUGACUUAUAAACCAUUUUUCAUUAAUCAAAUGUUUUCCAUUAAACAAAUGAAGGAAAAUGUAGAAAACAUUUUAUUUUACGUAAAACAAAUGCCCACGAUGUAGAUGAAAAUUUUUAUGUAAAAAUUAUAUUUUUAAAAUUUUUAUAUAAAAAUCAAGUGAAACAUUAAUUGAAAUGGUAAUACGAUAAUCUAGGUGUCAUAAUGUCUUCGGUUCAAGUAAAAAUGUCCAUAAGAUAGAUCAGAUUGAGACUUGAUUUGUUCACAAAAUUUUAAGCCUCAAUUAGAGUUGGCUUGUCUAAAAACUUCAUAUUAUUAUUUAAAAAAAAUAAAAUAUAUUUUAUAUUAAAACAUUUUAUGAAACAUUUUUAUAUAAAUUUAGGUUGACAAUGAGCAAAAUCUUUUUAUUCAAACUUAAUCCAAAUUAGAUGAAUUGAACUAAUUCAACCAUAAAUAAUUCUAAUGUUCAAAAUUCAUCAUCAUUCAUGAAUUUUUAAGUCAACUUAAUCAAGUCGACUGAAUCUUAUCUUGAUUGGCAUGAGUGUUGUUGUCAAAUGCAGGAGAAUAUAAGUUCAAGUGUGCUCAAGCACAUUUAUGAGUUGGGAGGGACUAUGGGUUAUUCUAGACAUUAUGUCAAAAAGAAUAAAUAUGAUCGAAACUUAUAAUGAAUUUGUUGAACAAAUAAUUUAUCUAAAACACGAUUAUAAUGCAACAAAAUGUAAUUACACACGAGCACUCAAAUUAAUGGGUUUAUAUAUAUAAGUGUUGCUAUAAGCCAAUAUUUAAAGGGUUGAAGUUUGGUUAAAUUCUGCAAUUAAUAUUUAUAUUUUAUGAAAAUUGUGAAAUAAUUUUUUUAUUUUAACUUGAUUAAUUUUAGUUUUUGUAUGUUCUGGAUUUUGAAAUUUUAGUUUUGACCUAAAUAGUAGUAGUUAAUUUCGUUUCGUUAAAUUUAAUUAUUAGUUCUAUACAAUGCGUACAAUUGUAGAUUUAGUCUACAUUCUCCAAUUUGAUCAUUUUAAGUCCAUAUACUUUUCUAAUUUUAAAAUUUUAGUUUUGACAUAAAAUUAACAUUCGUUAAUUCAUUAAUUGGAUAUUUGGUGAGUAAGAUGUGGAAAUAACAAGUUGACAUAACAUUACACAUAUAAUAAUAUGUUUGUCACAUAAUAUUUUAGAAAUAGCACGACUUAUUGAAUUUAACAUUUAUCGUUUGGUAAUGUCUAGAAUUUUAAAAUUUGAAAAGUAAAUAAACUAAAAAUGACCAAAGUAAAAUACAAUAAUUAAUUUCAUAAAUUUUAUAAAGAAUAGGGUCUAAUAACGUAAUUUAACCUUAAAUUUCAACUUUUUUUUAAUCAAUUAUCGACCAUUUUAACCGAUUCGCUACACUCAUUUCAAUUUAUAAGGAUGAACUGUUGUAUCAACUUUUUUAGUUCUGCCUAUUUAACCAACCGAUCAUAUCUAAUUUUUUAUAGGUUAAUAUGCCAAAAAGGGUAAAUAUAUUUUGGUAACUGAACUUGGCUUCAAAGUUCAAUUUGAUACUUAAGAUUUCUUUUCAUUAGAUAUCUAAACUUGGCCUCAAGGUUCAAUUUGGUAUUUAACUUAAACUUGGCUUUUUAUUUAAAUUUACCUGAACUUGGCUUCAUAUUAAGUUCAGGUGCCAAUUUGAACUAAGAAGCCAAGUUCACAUGCUUAAUUGGACCAAAAUAAACUUUAGGUACCAAAUUAAAUAUUGAAGCCAAAUUCAAAUACUUAAUUGGACAAAAAAAAACCUUAGAUACCAUUUUGAACCUUAAAACUAAAUUCAGAUACCAAAAUAUAUAUUUACUCAAAAAGACUAUUAAAUUAGUGUGAUUUGUUUAAGUAAAGCUCUUAUACAUACUAGAGUAUUAGCCUUUCUCCAAAAGUUUUAAUGAAGAAAAAUAAAAACAAAUUUAAAAGGCUUAUUGAAUUAAAGAAAAUGGACUUGAAUAGAAUGAACUAGUUUAAGGGCAUUUUUAUAAUAUUACCCAUUUUUAAUCACUGAACAAAAUUAUAAUCAAUGUUGAUUUCGAAGUUCCAAUCCCAAGACGUUAUCUUGAAAAUCCCAAAGUCUAAAUUGUUCUAAUAUUUGGUAUUACCUUAAAAAAAAUUAUAUAUAAAUUAUUGGACCAACGUAUAAGAUUUUUCAAAGCAACACAAUAUUGACCAUGAUUUGGAUAUUUCAUAAGCUAAAAAUUUAUUUAACAAUUAAUUUAAGACGCCAAUAUUUAAUACAUUUAUUGAAUUUAAAAUAUAUUAAUUAUGCGUAGAUUAAACAUUGAUUAGGUCCCUAUCCUUUCCCCUCCCUCUAAUACUCAAAAAGUCAAAAUCUAAUUUUUGUAUUGUAUUCAUAUAUUUAUUAAUAUAAGAGUUAAUUGCAUCACACGUCCCUAAAUUGUAAUAUUUAUUUUAAAUUAGUUCUCAAUUUUUAAAAUAUUCUAUCAAUAAGAUCCUUCCAUUACUAAAAUCAUUAAUUUAGUGGUUAAAUAAUAUGUCAAAUCUUAUAUAGUAUAGCUUGAAAUGAAUAAUUUAAUAAAAAAAUGAAUUUUGUAAAAAUGGAUGAUAUAAAAAUAUUACUUUUGAGAUUUUCAAAGCUUUUACAAAAGCUUUCUAGCUCACUUUCUCUUUUAUCGAUUUUAUUUUAUUUUUAGUUUUCACUUUUAAAGUUAUACAAUAUGUUUACUUUUCUUUAAUUUUUUAUUUUAAAUCAUGUCAUAUAAGGUUUGACAUGUCAUUAGCGGUUAAAUUAACAGUUUUAUUAAUUGAAAGACUUGAUUAAUAUAACCACUGAUAGUUUGAGGAUUUCACUAGAACGUUUUAAAGUUUAUGGGUCAAUUUAAAACUAGGGUUAUAGUUUGAGGAUGUUUGAUGCUAUUAACUCUUAAUAUAAUAAUUCUUUUGAUAAUUGAGCGAGGAGAAUGGGGUUAGUUGGGAUUAAACUCAAACUUUUAUACUUACAACAUUAUGUUCUCAUCAUUGGAUUAAGAGAUUGUUGGCAAUUAUUAAUAUAGUAAAUUUAUUUAAAAUAUCGCGUGUUCAUAUAAUUUUGACUAAAUUAUAUGAAAAAAAAAUUAUUAGCCAAAUAAGUUGGUUUUUUGAAAUUUUUAAAAAAUAUGUAAUAUUUUGAGAGAGUGUGUGAAAGUAUGUUCAACUGGGCCCAUUUUUCCGUUGACAUAUCAGGAAAGCUCCCCCAUCCAAGCACUUCUAGUUGAGUGUGCUUUCACAUAUUAUCUUAAAAAACAGCCAAUUUCUCUUAAAAAAACAACCUAUUUAGUUUUUUUUUUCAUAUAUGGUCAAUUUAGCCCAUAAUUUUGUAUAACUUAAUAAUUUAUAUUAUAUAAAGUAGAGGCAAAUUUAGGGGGUUGGCAAGGGCCUGCCCCCUAAAAUGUAAAAUUUUUAUUUAAACCCUUAAAAUUUUAAAAAAAUUUAAAUUAGUAAAAGUAAAAUUACUUUUUGGCCCCCUAAAAUUAUAAAAAUUUAAUUUAAUCCUUAAAAAUUAUAAAAAUAUAGACUAUAAAAAUUUAAAUUUUCAUUCGACUCCCUAAAAAUUUGUUCUGGUUUUGCGUCUGAUAUAAAGUUUAAUUUUUUUGGUCUCUUUAUAUUAGUUUUAAUAAUUUUUUUUGCAUUGUGAACAAUAUAAAAGAGUAAUGAUCAAGUGUUUAUUGGCAUCUCGAUUUAAACACUGUCAUUGUCAACCUCUUGUCAUUAGUAAAUUAUACAAAAAAUAAUUUGUUUACGUUGUUGCUACCAUGUCCACUAUUAUCAGCUCUUGCGAAAAAUGGCAACUUAUAUUUAAUUUAAAAAACACUAUAUUAAUAAUUAAAUAUAAAAUAAUAAUAAUGUAACUGGUUUUAACUGACUAAUUUGAAUCACAUGAAAUUAAACGUUGUUUUUUUAAUUAUUUUUUUAAAGGGUGCAAACAUUGAAUUAUGUUCAAAACUGACUUGGACUGUGGACUUAUUUCAGUGAUAUCAUGGGUUGAUUUUUUUUUCCCUCCAAAUAUUAAUAUUAAAAAAAUAGUAAAAUUUUCAUUCAUUUCCCAAGGGAUUUUCAAACACGUGCAUUAAAAAGCAACAAAAAAAUAAAGGAAAAAAAUAAAUCUGAAAAGUAUACAUAAAUAUAGGUUUAAUACGUAAUAUUAGAUAUUAAUUUUAUUUUGGUGUAAUUAUAUAUAUAAUUUUGAUUUUGAUUUAAUUUUUGUAUUUAUUAACACCGUUAUUUAUGUGGCGUUAUUUUUCUUUUAUGUUAUAUGGAAAUUUUUAAUAUGACAUUUUAUUAAAUUAAAACGCAAAUGAAUAAAUUUAAACUAUAUUUUCAUGUAGAUUUUAAAUAUGCAUUUUUUUAAUCUUGAAAAUACAUGUUUAUUACUAUGAAAAUGGAAAAUAAUUUAAAUUUAUAUGAAAAAUAAUUAAAAUUAUUUUUAGAAACAAAAACAACAUAAUUUAAAUUUACAUGGAAGCAUUAAAAUUUAUUAUUUCAUUUUUUAGCUUAAUAAAGUUAAUAAUCGAUUUUCACAUAAUUUACAAGAAAAAUCGUGUCGCAUAGAAUAAGUUGUUAGUGUUAUGUGAAACUAAAUAAAAAAAAAACUAAAAUCUUAUGUUUAGAAUAUCAAAUUUAAGUUCGUAUAUAAUAUUAUACAUUAAAUUAAAAUUCAUUUAUAAUUUUAUAUUAAUUCUAUAAAAAGUAAAUUACUGACCAAGUGGUUUGGAAUCUUCAUAAGUAUAUAAUAAUUAUUUUAAAAAGCAUCUCAUCUCAAAAUUUAAAAAAAUUAGUUCUAACUUUUAGUAAAAUAAAAAUAAUAAAAUUUAAUUAAGAUGUUAUUUUAAUAAAAUGUUUAAAUUUUAUAAAAUAUUUAAAAAUUAUUAAAUGAAAAUAAAUUUUAAUAAAAUAGAAUCACAUUAAUAAAUUUUACUAAAAAUAAGAUUCAAUUUCAUUAAUUAAUAUUAUUGAUUUAAUAUAAUACUUAGUUUUAAUUUUCUUUAAAAAAUUCAAAUAUAAUAUUAAUCUCGACCGCUAUUAUAGGUGUCACGUAUUUGAUAUAAGUAUGUAACAAUUAUCUUUCAAUUACAUCAAAAUUUUGACAGGUAAAUGGACUCUUAUAGAGUGGUUGAUUGUAUAAAACAUUGUUUGGGGUCCGGUCAUUUUCCCAUGAUUUUUGGAGCCAAACUAGUUAGACUAGAAAUUGGUCGGGAUAUCGAUUCGAAAUAAGAGAUUGAGUCAAUUGACCCGUGAAUUAGUAUGGACAAAUUAAAUUGAAUUUUUUGAAUUUUAUAAAAUUUUAAUCGAAUAAAUCAAAUUUAUCAAAUUGAUAAAUUAAUGGCUUGACUAAACCCACCACGAAUUUAUUUUAAAAAACGUUGCCUUUCCCAUCGUCCUAUAUUCAAGAUCUAAUAUUUCAUGUAUUUGUAAUAUGUAGAUGAAUUUUUUCGUACGAUAAUUAUAUUUAAAAUAUUUUAUAUUUAUAUUAUAUGAAAUUUAACAUUUUCAUAUAUUUGUAUCACGUUUUAAUAAUUUUUUCAAGUUGUUUCAUAUGACCAAUACUAUUAUCUUCGAUAAAAGAAAAAAAUGAGGAUUUUUUUAAUUUAUUAAUUAAAUAUAAAAAUAAUAAUUUUUAAAUAAAAAAUAAUAAUAAUUAAAACGUUUUUAAGUGACUAAAUUGAAUCGUAUGAAAUAAAACGUUGAUUUUUAUUAUAUAAUUUUUGGGGGUAGGUGGCUGUUAUGAACAUGCCAACAUUGAAUCAUGUUUAAAAUUGGACUUGACUGUGGAAUGUGGACUUAUUUUAGUGAUAUCAUGGGUUGGGUUUUUUCCCCUCAAAAUACUAAUAUUAAUAUUUUUAGAAACUUGUUCUUUUAUCUCUCAAUGGACUUUCAAGCACGUGCAUUACAGAUGCAAUAAGAAUUUGGUAAAAAUCAUCUCCAGUCCCUCUUAAUUUUGAUAUUAAGCAUAUUGGUCACUUUCAAAAAAAUUAAAGCAAAUUAAUUAUUGUUGAUUUCGAAAGUGAACAAUUGAUCACAACAUUAAUAUUUUUCGUCAAUUAUACAUGAUUUUAAUUGGUAUAAUAACAAAUUAAGCCAUUAAUAAUUUCAUAUUUUAUCAAUUUGAUCUUAGUUAUAAAAAAUUAUCUAAAAAGUUUAAAAUUUUCAAAAAAAUAAAUAACUUUGAAUAUAUAUACUAACAAAUAAUAUGUGUAAAUUUUGAGGGCUAAAAUUGUUAUUAUACCAAUUAAAAUUUUGUACAAUUGACUAAAAACAUUAUUGAUGUAUUAAUUGUUCUUAGUUACUCACUUUUGAAAUUGAUGGUGGCUAAAUUGCUUUGAUUUUUUUAGAAGGAGCAAUUUGCUUAAUAUUGAAAUUAAGAGUAACCAAAGAGGACCUUUUUACCAAAAAAAUUUGUUAAAUAUGCUUCAAGUUUACGUACUCUUCUUACAUUUAGAAUUUAAUUUAGUCUAUUAAAUUAUUAAAUUUUUUGAUUAAAUUGAAGUUCAUUAUAAUGUAAUAUUUUUAUUACAUAACUACUAGAUGAGUGCUUUUUUUUUUAAAUAUCACAUUAGUGGAUUUAACAAAAGAAAUUUAACGAUGUUAACGAUCAGACUUGAAUUUUGAAAUCUAAAAACACAGAUAUUGAAAUCCUGAAAAAAAAAGGGUUAAAUUCUGAAUACGUAAAGAGUAUAGGGGUUUAGUGAAUAUUCUAUUUUAUUUUUUAAUUUUAGUAUUUACAAUGUUAGAAAUCCUACAGAAUACUUUUCUUUUUUGGUAAAAAAUCCUAUAGAAUAUUAAAACUCAAUGUUAACCAGUUUUAUACGUAAAAAAGUAAAUUUUUAUUUAAUAUCUUAUUUUUUUCUUAAAUUUAAGAAAAUAACAUAAAAAGAUACACAAAAUCAUAAAUUUACCUCUAAAAAUUUUACAAUUGUUUUGAAAAUAAAACAAGAAUUAUUCAACUUUUUUGUAUCAUUUUUCCUUAACAAUAAUCCAUGGAAUUAUUGAAGAGAAUUUCUAGAAUUUAUAGGACAAACUUUGGUAAUAAUGGUAAUUUUUAAUCCAAUCUUUGCAAAAUUCAUGGAAAAAAAAACCAUUUUUACUUUCUUUAUUUGUAGUUUUUUUUUCCUGGUUUCGAUUUGUCCCACUAACUAAUUAUUUUUCUUCAAAUACUGAAAAAAAAAUUAUAUUUCCGUUCCAUUUCAAGAAAAUACUUCGUAAAUACUAGAGUUUUAAGCUUUGAUAAAAAAUAUUUAAAAUAUUUAUUUUUUAGAAAGUAGUUUUUAUUUAAAUUUCUAAAUAAAGAGCGAGAUGAAUACACUAUUUUAAAAAAUAAAAAUAAAAACACCUUUGUUAAUAGUUUUUGGGUAAACUGCCUAGCUGAUCACCCAAGUUUUAGGGUAUUUUCAUUUUAGUCAUAAAACGUUAAAUCUCUAAUUGCAGUAAACUAUACAUGCCAUAUCAUCUCUAUGCUUUCAUUUUGAUCAACCCUGGACCCUAAACUCAAAAAAUAUUUUUUAAAGUAUUGAUUGGGGUAAAAGAAUAAGGAUUAAAGUGAAAAGUGGUAGAAACUAAAAUAGUAAACAAAUUUUGUCAAAUUGUAUUUGUUUAGUUGUUUAUCCAUUUUAGUCCUUGAACUUGAAUUCUGUCAAGGUUUGGUGAUGUGAUCUGUGUUAUUGGAACAUAACUAGAAUGACUGGAUUGAGAAUUGAUUGAUAUAAUGAUCUGAACAAAAGGGUUGAACUUAUUAACUCAUAAAUUGCUUGAAAUUCGAAAAGCAGGAUAAAGAUCAAUAGUUCAACAGAUGGGAUGUUAAAUAAAUUUUUUAAUAAAAUUUUAAUUAUUGUUCGUUUGACAAUUGAACUGGCCGAAUCAGGAACUGGUGGUCUGACUUAUUCAAUCACCGAUCUGGUUAUUAAAACACUAAAUCUGACAUAUUGAAAUUAUACCACAUUAUCAACUGAAAAUUUAUAUGAUUUUUAAGUGAUGAUGUGCCAAUCAUCAAACUUUUACAUUUUUUCAAGUUAAAGGAUCAAAUGUACCUAGUUGUCAAGUUGUCAAGUUAAAGUGUCAAAGUAGAUAAAAAAAGUACAGGUAUCAAAAUGAAUCUACUUGCCAAGUUCAGGGGCCAAAAAUUAUAUUAUCCCAUUAUUAAUACAAAGAAGAAAUAUCCCAAAACGGAAAGUUGAGAAUCACGCGCAAGCUAGUCGAGUGGGCAUGGCAUCAAUCUUUAAGUGAUAAAAAAAAUUGGGAAUAGAACAAACUAACCAAAUAAGAACAGGAAUUUAGGUUGAUUUAAAUGGCGCGUAAAGUCCCAUUUCUUUUUAACUCAGUUUUCUCCGCCCCCACCAAAUCCAGCUUCCUCUGACGGCGGCGUUAUUUAAACGCCCUCCUCGUCUUAAGCCCACUGCGUCGACUAGAUCCUUCGUUUCAUUCUCACUCACGGAUCCAACCUUCGACACCAAUUUUGCUCCCAAAUUGUAACUCAAAUCAUCAACUAAAAAAUUCAAAUUUAACAUUUUUUUAAUUUUAAAAAAUGGAGGUAACUGCCAGAGCUCCAGGGAAGAUCAUUCUCGCCGGUGAACAUGCUGUGGUUCAUGGAUAUACUGCCGUUGCUUCCUCCAUUGAUCUCUACACUGUUGUCUCUCUUCGUCUUCGUUCUGGUAUCUUUCUGUUUCUCUUCUUCCAUUCAUUUAAUUGUUAUGUAUUUUUUUUAAAAUGGUGAUUUUCGGGUUGAAUUUUAUGAAAUGAAAGUUAUUUUGAGUUGGGUUGUUCUUAGAUUGUGUAAAAUGUUUUGGUAGUUUCCUUGUUUAGCCUAUAUGGAGUUAUAUUCCAGUUUUCCAAGCCUUUUUUUUUGUAUGAAUUUGUUGCUCAAAUUUUUUGUUUUUGGUGUUUUAUAGGUUGGAAUUUGAUGUUAUUUUAAAUUUUUUUUGAUUGGGUUAGCCGUUAUUUGGAAGAUUAUGUAGGUUCAGCAAAAUUUUGAAGUCAUCAGCAUUAUUUGCCUUUCUUGAAGUUUUGUUUGCUU
rnacentral:lncRNA from 1 species